rnacentral:lncRNA from 1 species
GUCGUUUUCUUUCCCUUUCAUUUUAUAUAUUUGGUUGAACAAGUUAAAAGCUGCAGGGCCCAGCCUUAAUGAAGAGAAAAUUGGAAAGUUAACACAUAUCUGAAUGAAAUCUGAUCUUCUUUCAAAUCGUAUAUCUGGUAUCACCCUUCAAAUGUUUAUGAAUGAGGCAGCGGCAGCUAACUAUACAAAAUUCUCGUCGUUCUGAUGUUAGCUUCAGAACUAGGACUGCUUCUGAUGCAUAUAUUUUCAGUGUACAAAACCAAAUAUCGGCACAGCAUUAGUGUGCAGUCAUUUGGAUUGCUAGUCUAUUUUUGCCGCUGUAAACGUGCUUCAAGGUUGUAGAUUGAGGUAACACUAGCUAACUUAGUUAUUAUUUUUUGGUAGGAGAGUUCUUCAUUACAGUACUGAGGGAGUUAUUAUCAAUGUCAAUUGUGAAUAGCUGAUCGAAAUUCCUGUUUUACAAUAUGUGGAAAUAACGUACUUUUUAUCAUGAUAUUCUGCUUGUGUUUGUUGGAGGUGCUAUAAGGGAAAAAGGAAAGGAACAUACUUUUUGUUUAUUAUUGGUCUGGUGUAAGAAUGAACUUGAAAUUAAUGUUUGGUUUAUGUUACAAAGUCCAACCAAAAGGCUUAAGCUAUAAGGCAAGAGAGAUUACAUGUAUAUAAAAUUUUCUAAUUGUGUUACCGUUUGCAUUGCAAUAAUCAUGGAUGUGGCAUAUCAACCUCAUUGGAGGUGUCAUCACUACAAUAGGGCCAACAGCGCCCGAUAUUGAUAUAUAUUCAUUCUUGCUGACUGCUAUCUGCCGCUACUUAAAACGAAGGUUUUCAUAACCAAGUGAUGUUCAACAUUUUAAUAUUCACUCUCAUGUGCAACCCUGGAUAAAUUAUAUGAUGAAUGCAUUUAACGAGUAAGAUAGAGAAAAUAACUCACUUGAAAUGAAAUGUAAAGAGGGGCAUGGAAAAUUGAGAGUUGGCUCUAGUACCAAAUUAAAAGUUCAAAAUCUGAAAGUUUAAGCAUUAAGUGGAUGCAGACUAUAGGACCAUUAUAAACCCCAAAAGAAGCAAAGUGGGAUAUUUUACUAUUAUAUGUAGCUGCUAUUGUGGAUUUAUAGUCUAAUUCUGAUUUGCGUUUUGAUGGGUUAUGCAUUUGCCCCAGUAAAGCUUGUCAAGUUGGAGUUAAUUGCCAGUGUCCUUAGGAGUGCUCUCUGUUCCCAGAGAUUUUUUAGUGUCCUUAGGAGUGCUCUCUGUUCCCGGAGAUUUUUUAUUGGCAGAGUUGGUUUGGGAAGUGACUAACAAUUUUCUCGUGUUGUAGGUCAUCUAGUAAUGGGUGAUGAUAGCGAUGUAUCUCAUAGGAAGACAUAAGUUUGUGACAGAUCUAGAGUAGGUUGAGGGUGUGAUAUCACAAGAAGUGAGCAAAGUACGUCAGAGAUUGAUUGCAUGGAAUUAUUUUAGUCUAUAUCAAGAGUUCGGGUAGAUUUAUUGCUGCUUAUCUUUUUCCAUCGCUUUGAUUGCAAGUUGAAAACGUUGUCAUAGUUUUUUCUUGUAAACCACAAAUAUACACCUACGUGGCUACAUACCCUCCUCUAUUCGGGACCGAAUACUUACUUCAAUUGGAAAAGUAACAGUUGCUAGGCCGACUGGCAGAUUAGUUGAUUCAUCUUUUAAUUCCUGUUUAGAUGAAGUGGCUUGGUGCUUGUUGUUCCCCUAUGUGACCCAAAUCGAUGGUCAUUUGUUUCGUCUGAUAUGCUAAUUUCGUAUUUGAGCAGCACAAAGCAUUCCAAAUGACGCAAGCAGAGAGCAGCCUGCUCCUACUGUGGUUUCGUCUACAACCACUGUUAAUGCAGAUCGUUCAACUUCUAAACUCAAAAGGGAACCUAAAGUUGCUUCUCGGCUGCGGAAAUUCAAAGUUAAUGAUCUUAAGUUAGCUGCUAGGAACUUUAGUGCUGCAAGUCUUCUUGGUAAAACUGGUUUUGACUCUGUACGUGGAUUUACGAAUGAGGUAUUUAUAGUCGCUCCUCAGCUGCGGAAAUUUUCAUUAAAGGAUCUUAAGUUAGCUACAAGAAACUUUAGUCCUGAGGGUCUGCUCGGUCAAGGCGGUUUUGGCCGAGUCUUUAAGGGUUGGAUUGAAGAAAAUGGGACUGCUCCUGCGAGGCCUGGCACUGGGCUGACUGUUGCUGUUAAGAUUUUCGAGCUUUGUGCGCAGGCGGUUCACGAAGAAUGGCUGGUAGUAUCUCAUGUGAUGAUCUUUUCUUUCUGGAUUAAUGCAUGUUUGACAGUUAGUAUGACUUUUGAACUGUUGCACUUUCCACGUGCCAGGCUGAAUUGAGUAUUCUUGGUCGUCUAGUGCAUCCGAAUUUGGUAAAGUUAAUUGGAUAUUGCGUGGAAGGUGACCAAGGGCUGCUUAUAUAUGAGUAUAUGCAAUGAGGGAGCUUGGACAAUCACCUUGUUGAAAGUAUGCGCACUUGUCCUUUUGUAUGUGCUUGGUGCCGUUAAUGGCAUGUCCUACAUGUCCUACAUUAUGUUCGUAGUAUAUAAGUACUCACGUGAAACAAUCCACCCAUAGCUCAAUAUGGAAGUCAUGUCUCCCAAGAAAACUAUUUGAUUGCUGCUAGAAUCUGGAUAAUAAUUUUAAGGAGAAAAAUGUUACUUCUCCUUAUUGUGGACGUCUUUUCAGAAGAUUGUAGGGUUUGGAACCGUAAUUUCCUAGAUAAUUCUUCAAUGCUCAUACUCUGUUGAAUGUUCUUCUGCCUGAAAUGUUUUUAUGUAAAUUGCUUUUUUGAUGUUGGUGCCACCGACCAAAGGGAUGCAAUACCAGAGACUUUCAAUGUUAUCAUAUAUUCAGAGGACAUUAUAGUUCGAUGCCAGUGAAAAACAAAAAACAAAAAAGGAAAAAAAUAGCGGAAGAUCAUGUGAUAUGGUCAAAAAAUGUCACUUUCUAGCAGCUUCAUCCGUGACUGAUUUUAGUAUCGUUUUAUCAUCUUUGUCUCUCAGUAGUACAUCUCAGGGAGUCCUCUCUAACUUGGUCAUUUAGGCGCAAGAACACCAGCGUUGCACCGUAUUGAGGAUGAAACUCAGUACAAAGCUCGCAAGUAUGCUAGUAAUGAUAUUUAAUGGAAGGGGCAUGCUUGCCGAUUGAACAACUCUCGAAAGACAGUAGAUGUUUUUAAUAGUAGGGCAUAUCCUUUGCAUAAGCAUUAUUUUCAUUUCCACGAGAAAAGAAAGGGAAUCCUGCUGUAGUUUCUACCAUAUUCUUGCCCUGCCUACUCAUUCUCAGCAGUUAUUUAACAAAAGUUGGUAUCAGUUUUAACCAAACUACAUGGUGGCUUCAGAAAGGGAAUAUUGAUUUAUCUGUGAUGACGAAUAUUUUAUUAGUUAAUUCUUCUGUUCUUUUGUGGGCUGUGUAGCGAGAUUGGCUCUCCCUUGGUCUACCAGGACGAAAAUAGCGCUGGAUGCUGCAAAGAUUCUCGCUUUUCUUCAUGAGGAGACAGAACCGCCAGUGAUAUUUCGUAAUUUUAAACCCUCUAAGAUCCUAUUAGAUGCCGUAUGUAGCAAAAGCUGUGGUGACAAUUUUUCCUUUUUAAUCACGAUGUUGGACUUUUUCAUCAUUCGUCUUUUUUAGGACUACAAUGCCAAGCUUGCUGGUUUUGGACUUGCUAUUGUCCUCGAGGGAGAUGACUAUCACUCCAACCCUAGCUGCGGAACAUAUGCCUAUAUGGCCCCGGAAUAUGUGAUGAGAGGUAUGUGUAUGUUUCUACGAGCAAUCUGUGGAUGAGAGAUGUCCAAAUAACCUGCACAAAAGUAGUUGAGUAAGAUUUUUGAGAUGUCAAAUUAUCCUAUGGCAUAGAAAAGAAGAGAACAGCCCCAAUCUACACAUCUCAUUCACAGCAUGUGCACCAAUUUUGACAAAGAACUGAAUCGAAUUAGGUAGAUAUCAAUCGUGACCAAAGACAAGAAAAUUAGGGGGAUGGUCAUAUACUGAUAUAACCUAAUUUUCUCUUUGUGCAUCCUGUCUCUGCUCUGUCCUCAUAUAUUGUCACAAUUUGCAGGAAUGGUAUGAUCAACUGUCGCUCUUGCACAUUAUGUUAACUUUUUUCUGCUAUAGUCCUGCAUGUGGUCUCCCAAAUGAUGUUAUUGCCUCACUUUCAGUCCACUAGAUAUCUAAUCAUUGGACGGAAUAUAUUGCAUAUUUCUUGCUUGAACUUCUGGAACAUUACGCGCAGUGUAGCUUGUGGAAUGACUGAUUGCUGCUCACUACCCGCAGUCCUUUUCUUUGUUGGAGGCAUCUCUCAACUGUCGUUUCCUGAGUGUAAUGUCUGGUGUCUUUCUCAUAUUUUUUUUUUGCCCGGGAGGAAACUGUAAAAUUUGCUGGACCAUCGCGAGUUAGCGUUCCUAGGUGAUCUAGAUUUACUUUAUGUGGUAUGCGCAGGCUUUGGGAAUGAUAAGUACUGAUUACAAGUACAUGAAAAUUGAAUCUUGGGGGUGCAUAUUAGGCAAGUUCAUAAUCCACGUUAAUCAUGCAUUGCUGGCAAGUGAGUUUUUUUUUUUUUUUUUUGGGUCUUUGGUUUAUAUUAUUCUUUUCAAUUAACGAUGGAAUGUCUGCUAUGCCCUUCGAACGCCCGACUAAUCCAUGGUACUUUUUGAUAGGAUGCACAACCAGUAAUUACAGAAACACUGAUUCAUAAUUAAAGUUCUUUCUCUAUGAGUUUUUAUGUGCUUCAAUGCUAUAUGUCUGAAGGGUUCCUGGUUCAUAAUGGAGUAUCUAGAUUUCUUAGAGUGACCAGUUAAUGGGGUAGUCUUCCGUCCUACAAGCAAUAGAUAAUUACCGAAAAACGUAAAUCCAUACCAGGUAUUGUUUGUUUCUUUGUUUCAUGUGCUUUAGGGCUACAUGCGGUAGAUCAUGAUUUGGGUUUAUUCUCAUUAUAAUUUCCUAUUUAUCAUUUACGAGCAGCAUAUUUAACUUUAAAACUAAAAGGGCAGUUGAUUUGUAAAAUAUUUUCCUAAAAUAAUCGUUUGUAUUUCUUGAAAUAAUUAGCCAAUAAAAAAUGUAUUCAUUAUCAUUUAUGAGUAGCAUUUUUAGCUUUAAAACUAGGUAUUAUUUGUUCCUUUGUUUUGCGUGGUUUAGAGCUAAAUGUAGUAAUCAUGAUUUAUGUAUUUUUUUUUGUUUUACUUUCCUAUUUAUCAUUUAGAAGUAGCAUAAUUUUACGUUAAAAUCGUUAAAAAGGCGGUGGUUUAUUCUUAUACAUCUAUUGAUUAAGAGUUGAGACUUUUUUCUCUCUCUCUCUUUUUUUUUUUGGCAUACGUCCUUAUAAAUUUCAGUGAAGGCAAUGCAGUGAGAAUCAUUCACUAUGUUAUCGUUAAUUUUAAUGAUUAUGACUUGACAAUUUCUAAUAAAUGGCAUCAUUUUGAAUUGAUAAAUUAGUUAGUCUGUUCAUAUUUAUCAUGCUAUAAAUUACUAUUUCGCAGAAGCAAAUACCUUGACAUGACAGUCCAUGAAUGAAAUAUAUUAUGAUGACGAGAUACAAUAUUGUAUUUUGGAAUUGCCAUCUUCGAUAAUAUCACAAUUUGGGCUUUAGUACACUUCUAUUCCACUAAUUGCUUUGAUAAUUUCACUAAUAUUGAAUAGCUUUUCAUCCACAGCAACGCCCAGGGUGCUUAACUAGUAUUAUCAUAAGAAAAAAAGGAGCGAUGGAAGGACAGAGAAUAAAGUUAUUAUUUCAAACUUACCUGUUUUUGGUUGCUCGAGGUGGUUGAGAUAUUUGUGGGUACUUUAUGGAUUGUAUUUAUAUCCAAAUAGGACCAACUGAUACUUAUUUUAGGUAUUCCUGACUAGUGACUGCACAUAUAUUAUUGCAGGGUGCAUCUCAGUAAAGAGUGAUGUUUAUAGUUUUGGUGUGGUUCUUUCGGAAAUCCUGACCGGAAGAAAACCCUAUGACUUCACUGAUGAUGGACUUCUCCUUGUCGGCUACGUUCGGUCACAUCUGGAAAAGGAAAGAAGUUUGUACGAAUUGAUAGAUUCAAGGCUCGGAAAUCAAUUCUCAGGAAAAGGUGCCCAGAUUACUUUCCAGUUGGCUGUUCGCUGCCUUCAAAUGGAUCCGGAUGCUCGUCCCUGGAUGAGUGAAGUUGUCGAAGUUUUGAAGACCAUACAAGAUCUUCCAUACACGGCAAGUACAUCAAAUAUUCAGGACAAGACAGGGAAGCGCUAGUCGUGAAAUGGCAUCCAAACUCAAACCAUGGUGAAUUCAAGGAAUACAAGUCCUUCAAUUAUGGAUGGGACCAACGCAUACCAUGCCACCACACCACCAAUCUUUGGAAGCCAGUGAUAGACUGCGGCAAUGUGCCUAUAAAUAGCCGGCAUUCAUCCCCAUUUGUCUCCUUUUCUCCUCUUUCCUUUUUUGGUGCCAGAGUUUUGGCUUCCAUAUAAACAUUCACUCUUGAUUAUUGAAAUGUCGACUUAGAAAAAAUAUAGUGUGAGUUAUACUACGUUUAUAAAGUCAUCCAUCGAGAGGUGGUCAGGUGAAGCCCAAAAUUGAGAAGUACGCUUGGGCAUUGAUACCUUUUCUCUACUCUACAACAUCUUAAUGAUAAUGAUUACCUUUGAUGAUGUCUAUUUGACGUACAUUUUCCUGUGAAAUUUAUUAUGUAUCGAGCUUUUCCACAUUGUGGCAUGUCUUUGAGACAUGUUUUCAUUCUUGAUAAUCAUCUCUUUGUAUUCUAUUUCUCACAUAACUGAGGUGUUCGUUCAUUUGAAUUUGCUAAUUCGUUUGCUAUGUAAAAAUAUACAAUUGUUCUCUUUCAGAUGUCAGCCAUGAUAAUUGUUGGAAAUUCUUUUGGGCCAGCACAUAUUGUUGAAGCCAGUAUUGAAUUUUCUUUAUUAAAGACCGUACAUUCAAUGUAGGCUAAUUUUAUUUUUUUAAAUUUGAGCCUAUGCGACCCAACCUGAAAAAGUUUUGUCAUGGGCCGGGGGCCUGGCCCAAGUGGGUGACGGGCCCAUUAACCGCGGGUUGGAAUGCUGGUGCUGUGGCGCCUCCAAGCUUUUUUCUUUGAGUUUUUUUUUCUUCUUCAUAAAAAAUAUAAAGUGUAUUCUUUUUAUAAAAUUUCUGUUUCUUUUUUUUCUUUUUCUUUUUCUCCUACUCCUUUUGUUUUACUUUAAAUCUAAUCAAAGAUAUUCUUCCUUUUUUCAUGUAAGAAUACCUUUUCCUUUUGUAUUUUACAAUCAAUCUAUUCAUAUAGUUGGACUUGAUCACAUCCAAUUAUAUAUUAAUUCACUUUAAUUUUUUCUGAACCUAAUUAUUGCCUUGAAAUCAAAUUUAGGGCACAAAAUCGACAACCCUUUUAUACUACAAUCAAAAUGCAUAAUACAAGAGGAUGUGCAUUAUUUUACUAACUUUGAUAUCAAUAUGAUCUCAACAAAGACAUUCGAGAAAAAAUAACGAUACUCACGUAAUUUUGAAGAUUAUAAGCGUGCUAGAAAAAAACGAAAAUUUUUCUUUUUUCUCGUGACAUCGCCAAAGGUUUCUUUUCUCUGCACUCCCUCAGUUGCUCCCUUUUCCAUAUCUCCGUUCACUCCUUCACUUUGGCCUCUCCACAAUCCGAUGAACCCUAUUGGCAUUGAUUUUGAAACUUACGAUUCAGGAGGAUAGAUAGAUGAAGCGAUGCCUCUUGACUAAUGAUUCCGGAACAUCAAUCCAACAAAGAGGACAAAAAUGUUCAACUUACGGUAACAGUUUCAAUUCCAAAAAAUUGGUAGCUGCAAAAAACACACUCAGUGAUUCUCUCGUUCUCUUUCAUUUACUCGGCAUAGACAAUUAUCCCAUGUUUCCAAGGCUGGAAAUAUAAAACUUGAAAUAAUUCACGAGGAAAUGGUGGGGUAGACAUAAUUAUCCGGGCAGAAUUCCACCUUCAGACAGUGUUUUUUCAUUAAAGCCUAGGCUGUGUCCAUUACUGACAAAGUCCUUAGUCUUCCCCAAAAAUUGCCGCUUAUCUUCCUCGCAAGCUCUUGUAAUCUUACGUAUCUUGCAUAGGGUCACUCUCAACUCCGACAUAGCCUCUGCAAUCUGCAUCCCUACUUGUGUACUCUCCGGCAAAGUAUUUAUAUGAAUUUCAGAUGUGACAACAGGAAAGAUUAUGUCUGGCUUCCUGAAGAGGCAAAAUGGUGAACCAGGUCACUCAUAGCAGUUAAUGGAGAUAUCCUUCCUUAAACAUGAACUAGCAAUCAGGUCAACCGAGAACUCAGGAGCCGUAAUAAUCAACAGAGCAUGUGUAAUAGUAUGGUGUUGUGAAACUUGCUUAAGAUUAUGAAACAAAUAGAAAAAACAACCCACAGGCUAUUCUUGCUACUGCAACAGCUUUUACAGCAAAGAAACAACUUCCUUGAUCAAUUUGAAGAAUGACUGACUACGCAUCUAAAAUGUCUCUCUACCUUUUCUCGAUCUCAAAGAAAAUGCAAAGAAGAAUAUUUAGCUUGAUCAGUGACUAUCAGGAAUAGCAACCAACUUCCUGUUCUUUUUUAAUUUCAGUUAGGUCAGACCCUAGUCACAGAAAUUUUAUAGUUACUAACGACAUCUGGAAAAUUGGAGGGAGAAACGGAGAUACCAGAAGCCUAGAGAAAUCAAGCCGUCCUCUCGUAUUAUUCCACCAUCCAGUGAUACAGCACCGUGAUCUAUGCAGACAGAGGCCUGCUUCAUGUGUUCUCUGGUGUCAUAAACCUGCAACUUGCCAAAAAGCCGAUAAAAUAGUGUUUCUCGUAGAUCAAGGCCUUCAGUUGUUCUUGUUGCCAAAUGAUCAAAGUCUAUGUCGACCAUGUUAACUGCAUAUCCCAUGAAGCCUGGAGGGAUUUCUCCACUAGGUAAGGUAGGAUGAGGAAAAGCCAGUUUCCUUUGAGGAUCACAGCCUUCAAUCUCUCCUCUGUAUGGGCUACCAAAGGUUUAUUGCAAAUGAAUGAGGAAAUGCUUUCAAGAACUCGAUUAAGUUGGUCAAGGAAUAUGAUCUUCCAUAACAGUAAAUGCUAUAAAAUUAUAAAAAUACCACUUAUGUACCUUAUUUCCUCAAGACAUAUGACACGAAAUUCACCACUAAUAGACUUGCCAAGUUCAGCUGCUUUUGCAUAAACAGCAUUUUGGAGAUCAACUUCUCCGUUUUUGUCAUAUGUCUCGAGACUAAAUGCCGUCUCGGAGUUUGUGCACACGAUCCCGAGCAUUUGAUCUUCACCCAGAUACUUGGCUAAGAUCCUCCAAAAUGGAAAAUGCAGCUCUAAGUAUCAAUUUGUCUAAAAAGUGAAAAGGGUAUUCGCAACAUUGAACAAGUGGGUCAAAUAGAAGGGUCAGUGAUAGUUUACCUGCUAAGCUCAAUAUUGCAAAUUGUUCCAAGAAGUGCAACCACACCAAUGAUGCCAUCUCUAGAUCCUCCAUGUGGUCCUUCUGAAGCAAAAUUUCUGAUCAGUUCACAGAGAAUGGAAGCCGCCGAGCCAUCUCUGUUUUCUAUCAUGUCUGUCAUUUCCUCUUUGGCGAAAAAGCAGUCCACAAUGUUCAAAAGGGAAGGCCCUGCAUAAACUGCAAAAGUUGGUCAUCCCCAUAGACCUAACUUAGUGAUGUAGGUCCUACUUGUCACAACUGGAUUUGCUAGGCAAAGUGAAUAAUCGCACCCCAGGUGAUUUUGGUGAAAAGCAACCAUUAACUGAGCAAUCAUUUUCGUCCUAACUUGAUUCAGAUCUAUAUAUAUUGUAUGUUGGAGUAAAUGGCAAGUCGUUUUUUCAAAAAGCAUCACAUUUCUUCAUCUAGAGACAAAGAUGAUAAUAUGAUGAGAGAGUCAUAAUAUGACAAUCAACACAUGGAUUUAUAUUCUUUAAACUUCCCAAACUAAGUAGCCAUAGGUCACUGACAUUGACAAGACCACAAGGACAAAGAAAUGCGCGUCAUUGCAAAACAGUGUUGCAUGCAUUUAUAAAAACCAAUUAUUAUUCAGUAAUAGAAUUAACCAAGACAGAUCACCUCCUAACUCCACCAAAGAUUGCUCUAUUUCAACCUUCCGGUCAUGCAGCAACUUCAGUACCCUUUCCCGAUGUUCGAUGCGCAAACCAGUUUCCUCAAGAACCUGUGAGAGGCAGUAAGUGUAAGUCACAAGGCACAACUGACCACAUAAGUAUGUGAGAAUGAUGGGCAUUAGCUGCAACUAACUGACCUCAUUAGAACAUGAAAGAAGCUUAAAUUUAGAAUCUUAAAGCCAGGUACUUAAAGAAUAAUUACGACUUCAAGAUUACAAUAGGAAUUUACCCUUUCCCGAUGUUCAAUGCACAAAGCAGUUUCCUCAAGAACCUGUGAGGAGCAGUAAUUGUAAGUCACAAGGCACAACUGACCAUAUAAGUAUGUGAGGAUGAUGGGCAUUAGCUUCGACUGACCUCAUUAGAACAUGAGAAGCUUAAAUUUAGAAUCUUAAAGCCAGGUACUUAAAGAAUAGUUACGACUUCAAGAUUACAAUAGGAAUUUACAAACCACAAAUAACCAGAUUUAUGAGAGGGAUGUAAUGUGCAAUAAAGAUCUAACACAAUACCUCAUUCUUGAUGAUGGAAAGUACAUUCCCUAUAUUAUUAGAGGUUGAUUUGUCCUGUAGCAUCAUUAUAUUCGUAUUUGGACAUAAGGUUUGAAUCUCAUGCUGCAAAUCUGAAGAAGGCUGAAUGCCAAUCUGCGCAUACAAAUCAAGUUCAAUAAAUGUACCACUGCAAAUUACCAACACAUUACCAGAAAUAAAACGUUGUGACCUUGAUGCUCAAAGAUAACUCUCGGUGACGAGAAUGAACAGCAGAGAAGCUAAAGCAACCAGCAUCUCGAGGGACAGUAAGUGAAGGAAUAGUGCAUCGCCCCUUUCGGAAAGGAUAUAAAGUGGUUGUUUUUGUAACGGAUGAGUCCAGUUUUAUGGAAAGUGUACGAAAAUGGCCAUUUUCCUCAUCAUUGUGGAUAUUCUCAUCGAGAUUACCCUCUGUAUCCACAAUUUCGAAGACGAAAUUCUCUAGUUGGGAACCAGCCGCACAAAGCUGAGGCACCUGUAAAUCAUGCCAACAUUAAAACAAGUUUCUGAAAUUGAAAUCAUUGUGCAACUAGAAGCAGAAGACUAUACUAACUGGUUCUGCAACUCUGAGCUCCCUUUUUUCUGUUUGGAGCUCUUCCUUGAAUAUUUCUUCACCGCCGGUUGUAACAGACAGCGAUACUGUAUGCAGGUAAUGAAUGUAGUUAUCCCCAGACAGUCAGUAGUUGCUAUAAGUUUGAAACUUAAAACACUUGAUAGUACAAAUAUUGAAGCUUCACUUUCAGCACAGCUGCUACGUGAUGACCAUAUGGAAUCUAUUGGAGUUUCCUUCAAUAUAGUGAAAUGUGAAUUCAUACCCUCCAAUGAACUUAACGAAAUAGAUAGUUGUUGGUAAAGAAAUUGCACCUUUUCUAGAUGCCUGGUACUUCUAAUCCUUAUUAUAAUAGUUUAAAAUUAUGAGAACAUUUUCUUACACAUACAGAAAUAUAGACUUUGACAAAAGAUUUGGAAUCACUAUUAUUAAGGGAACAUUACAUUCUCAGAUCCUUACUCAUCUCCCUACCCACAAAUCUGAUUACUGACUCCAUAUUAAAUCUUUAGCAAAAUUAUUAUGAUAGAUGCUGUGUGAACAUGAAAUACAAACACCAUAAUUUUAGUUCCUAGCAAUAAAUAUCAUCAACUGAUAUGUCCCAGAAGCAAGAUUCAAAUAAAACACCUUUUAAAUAAAACUGUGUGAUUUUGAGUCCACACCGCAGAAAGCCUGCACUCCAAGAAAAAGGACUCUUAUUUACCUCAUAAAUUGGGAGUACCCAAAUCUUUGUUUAUAGGAGUCGUGUUAAGCUUCAAUCAAUCAACGCUACAAUGAAUAACUAAAGUUGAUCGACCUGGAGUGUAAACUAUACUAAUUGAAUAAACUGUAUGGUCAAUUCAUAAGUUGAAGAAAUAAAAGGUGACUCAAUGUAAUUAUUUAAAAAUAUUGAUUCAUUGAGUCUACUAGUUGUAUUAUGGUAAAUUGAAACUCAAACUUUGUUGUGAUUACAGUAAACAUCAAUAUGUGUCGAUGAUGCUAACUCUAAUGUUUCUUAUGUUUUACAUAAUCGCUAAAUUCUUCCCAUUCCCAAUUCAAGCAAGGUUAAAGUAAUUUCAUCAAGAGAUACACGAAAAAUUUCCAAAAAAAAAUGAACGAGUUUUAGGUUUAUACUAGCAGGAUUUUUUUAACCCUCAUCAAGGAAAAGGAAUUAGUUUGAAAGAAUGAAAACAGGUAUAGAUUAGUUUAGAAUAAGGAUGAAACUUUUCAGUAAUAAAAGGUAAUAAUGAUAGGCUGAAUAUGUUUUUCUUUUACUAUAGAAUUUCUGAGUUAUUUGCUUCUUGUAACUUUCUUUAUUAUAUUGAGAGUGAUAAGUCCACCCUUGGUUCAAAAUAAACUGCAUUGAUUUAAUGGCAAUGUAGGAACUAAGAAGUUAGUUGUGAUAAUCAAAAUUUAGCAAUUUUCAAGAGAUUAAUAAGCUUUGCGUAGAAAAGAAAAUGCCCUAUCGAUGAUGAAUCCCAUAAUAGUUUACGAAGUGAUUUUAAUGGUAGAAGGUUGGGAUUAUAAUUAAGACCAUGAAUGGGCCGCAUUUUCGAAUGGCCAUAGGCCUAGUAGUAGCAUUCUUGGUUGGAGGCUCAAUCAGCAAAUCAAUAUGUAAUAAUGAGCUGAGCUACAAAACUGCAAAAAGAGAAGGAAAUAUGCCUGAAAGUAAGUCUUAGCAUACCACCUGCCCCCUAAAUGGUGAAUACAUGAUCACUCUACCAUGUUCAUUAAAUUUAGAUAUAGCUUGUGAAAGUUAUUGCAAGACUUUGAGCUAUACUCUACUCCACUUUACUUGAUGUUCUUUUGUAAACACAGUUUCCUUCAACUAAAGAUUACCCAGAAAACGUUUGAAGAGAUCAAAGUAAAAGUCCAAGCUACAAACUCAAGGUUCAUACCAUUUUGAUUGUAACCUGCAGUAACUUUCAACAUGCCACUGAGAUGAACAAAUCCAUCACGAUCCACCUGAACAAGGAAUUUAUUCCUUCUCUUAAAUAAUUUUCGACAGAGGCUAAACCAUCAGCAAUGCAUAUGCUGUUCCAAAUAUGGUAUGAAUACACAAUAGACCUCUACAAUGCACCAAAUCUUUUUGGGCCACCGACAUGCUAUUUCAUCGCUUGAACAGUUUAUACCCUAUAUCUAAAAUGCCAGCAGGGUCAUUCCCAAUAAUAACAACAGAAAUGUAGGUAAAUGUGGGAGCAAAAUCACCACAAAGUUCCUGUUGCUUCAGUUAAACGCUCUCAUGCACCUAUGCAACUAUGGAAAGAUAAAUGCCCUGACUAACAUGCUGAAUCGGUGUCAACAAAGGCCAUCUUUGAAGCUUUGUCUAGGAGAGUGGAGGGAAGAAAAUUUAGGUGUAACUAAACAAAACUUUGAAUUUUCCUUCCAAACUCUCACAAAAUCCGAAUUCUUACCUACCCACUUUCUGCCCAAAUUUUCAUUUCCCCCAUUUUCCUUCAUCUCCCAAACAUAGAAUAAGAGAACAAAUAAUUAAUUACAGAAUUUACGCAAUAGCACCACAGGGAAUCUGGGAAAGCACAUCACCUUGUGCUUUUUACCCAUCUGAUCUUUAAUGGAAAAUCCCUCAACCUUCAAAAGAACUUCAGAGCCCUUCAAAGCAUGAUUUCCAUAAGCAUCAAACAUCUGAAGGAAAUGAAUCAAACGAAAGACAUAAGCAAGAGUGGCAAAAAAUUUCUUCUGCAAAUAUACAGCGAAUUAUUGGCUAAACAUAAUGAUAUUCCAGUUUGGACCAGGUUAUCUUACACUGCUUUUUCUGUCGUAUGGUGAAGUUCUACAAGGUACGCAAUUAAAAAGUUCAAAGAAGUUCUGUCUCAGAUACUUGUUAUUUUUCAAUUGAAAAGAGAAAGACCAGGCCUCAAUUUCCAUCCAAUAAAAUACCUUAUGAAAGACUAAGAACUAUACAUGGCGAGUAAAGUAAUUGCCAUUGCGGUCAGGAAAAUGUACUGAGGACCACGACUAUGCAAUAUGUGCACGCUAGUAACAGUCUGCACAUGAUUGAGUAUUUUCUUGUACAAAUAGUGCUAGAAACUUCAUUCACAAUUGGGCUUAAGCACAAGGCUUGAGAGGAUGUGCUUUUACCUCCAAUUUGAGUUCUUGUACUAUGCACCCAGGAAGCAUUUGGAUACUUCGCAUGGAUGGAUGUGCCAACACUCGCCGCACAUGUCCAGGAAUAACUAUGAGAAUGUUGAGAAAAUAAUUUCCAGGCAUAUCAAUAGCUAAACAAUUAACAAAUCUCACGCUCAUGCUUGUAAAGGAAUUUAAUCCGGAAUGCGAUACCUUUACAUGGUAUAGAAAUGGACAAAGAUUCAUCCGGUGGACAUAAAAGCAUUGUGCCCUCAUAGUUUGGCCGGAUGAUGUCUAAAUCCCCACUUUCUAUUAGUAUAUCCUACACAAUCAGAAAAUCUGAGUUACCACAACAAUGCUUGAGAUACUACUGUAUCUCGAUAGAGUUAAAUUUUAGUAAAGUGUGCAAAUCUGAGAUGGGCCAGACAUAUUAAAUAGAUGCGCAUGGCACCUUAAUUCUUAGAGUCCUUUUGUCAGAUGAAAGGCCUGCCUUCAUUUUCUUUACACAAAUCAACAUGCCGUUACCCAUCUUGAAUUGCAAAUUGACUUUUGGAGUUGAUGGGAAUGGAAUGAGGUUCCCAUAUUUGUCAUAACAUGCAACAUCUAAAGGUGGAAAGCAUGAUCCAACCCUGUCAAAAUAGCCAACAAAUUACAUUACAAACCUGGAGCUCCACAUAUACAACAAAAGAGUAAAAAGUUGGUACUAUCAAAAACUUCUUACCAUCCUUACCUGACUCUAAGAUGCUCAUUCUUAUCAUAGCCCAAAAGUUGCCACCUUCCAACCUCAGCAGAUGCAAGAACUGUCACUUCUUUUUCAUAGUUUUUACAGCUUGUCUCAUCCUGAUCAAAAGUACAUGUCAACAAAAAAAUGUUCGAGAGGUAUUACACAAUAAAAAGAGCAUUUGGUGAUAAAGUUUGUCCCUGUUUCUUUAGCUGGCAGAAAAGAGUUAAAGAUGCUUGCUUACCAUAUGCAACAGAAAUUUAUAUAUACCGGAUUUCUGAAAUAGUUCAUGAGACUUGUGCUGCAAGGAAAAGAUGUAUAGACCAUGAUAUCCUCUAUAAUAAGAUGGUGUCACGCGAGAUGAAUAAAGAAUACUUUCUCGACCAAUAUCAGAAUCGCCACUGAAUUUGACUUCCAUUGACAUUUCCAUUUUAUUUUGGGAAAAGACCACCAAAAACCCCAAACUUUACCUUAAGUGACAGAUUUGCCCUAAACUUUUUUUUGUGACACGAAAAACCCCAAAGUUUGCAAUCUGUGACACAUUUACCCCAUUAAGGGCAUUUUCGUCUUAUUCUUUCUGUUUUUUCUUUUAUUUAUUUUUUUCUUCUUCUCUCCGCUGCCUCAGCGGAGGGAAGCUGGCGCCGGCGAGGGCCUCCCUGGCGAGGGUCGCCCUCGCCUGGGCUGACGCCGGCGAGGGGUGCCCUCGCCCGACGCAGGCGAGGGCCGCCCUCGUCGGCAUCGGGCGAGGGCCUCCCUAGCGAGGGUCGCCCUCGCCUGGGUCGACGCCGGUGAGGGGUGCCCUCGCCCGACGCAGGCGAGGGCCGCCCUCGUCGGUGUCGGGCGACGGCCUCCCUGGCGAGGGUCGCCCUCGCCUGGGCCGACGCCGAUGAGGGGUGACCUUGCCCGACACAGGCGAGGGCUGCCCGACACAGGCGAGGGCGGCCCUCGCCCGAAGCCAGCAAGGGCACCCCUCGCUGGCGUCCCGCGAGGACCGCCCGACGCCGACGAGGCCGACCUUGCCCGACGCCGACGAGGCCUCCCUCGCCCGAUGCCGGAGAGGGCCUCCCUCGCCGGACGCCGGCCUCCCUCCGCCGGUCCGGCGGAGGGAAGAAAGAAGAGAAAAAAAAAAUUAAAAGUAAAAAGACAAAAAUAUCCCUAUGAUUUAGGGUAAAUAUGUCACAAAAAUGAAAGUUCAGGAUUUUUUUUGUCACAAAUGAAAGUUCGGGGUAAAUGUGUCACGGCUUGCAAACUUCAGGGUUUUUCAUGUCACAAAAAAAAGUUUGGGGUAAAUUUGACAUUUUUAGUAAAGUUUAGGGUUUUUUGUGGUUUUUUCCCUUUUAUUUUUGACAAUGUACUUCUGAUCCAAGUUCUUCGGAGCAGUGGAGUAACUGAAAUUUGCUGGCCGAACAACGGCUACAAUUUCCUUUGGAGGGUCCUGUCCAGUAGGAAUGGGUGCAUGAACUGGUAACGCCUGAAAACAAAAAAGACAAAAAAGAAAAUAUGAAUAGGCUAGUAAUAUAGACGGAGGACAGAUAAAUCUCAAUAGUAUUCUCAGGUCAGCAGUUAUUCUAAGGAGAAGGAACACAAUAUGUAACAUCAUGCAAAAAAUCUCCUUAGCUCUUAAACCUUUCAGACCAACAGAUUUCACCUAAAUGCUAUAAAAUGCUCGAACAAGGUUAUAUAGGAUGCUUCAAGAACUACUUUCUGCAGUCACCUGUGAAUUGAAGAUCGACUUACAAAACCCUAAUUAGACACGUACCUCAUGAAUUCCUAACUCUUCACAUUGGUUGGCAUCUAGCAAGUCAAUUGAAGAUGGAGCUUUCAAGCGCUGCUUCUCCAACUAGCACUCCCACUCGGAUUUCCCAACAGCUACUAACUGGAUUUGGAAGCUCAAGAUUGAGUAGAGACCACAAAGAAUCGUGAUUUUGGACAUUAUAUGACAUAAAGAAGUAAAAUGACAUUCAAAUAAUCAAAUAGAUACCUCUCCAGAGUCAAUUACUCCAAUAGGUAUAGAUACAGAACUCUGAACCUCCAAGCAAAUGUUUCCAUCGUGCUUAUUGAGGAUGCAGCCUUGCUCAUCAGGCACCCCUAGUGGCCUUUCACGCAAAUUAAUGUAGGGACAGCUUGUUAGCAGAAUCUUGAGGUAUCCAAUCAGUUGAUGAAAACUGAAAACACUUCAACCACAGAAAAUCGAAAAGUGACUCACCUGCAUAUGAUUCGUGCUUCCCCUGCAGAGAGAAGACGGUCAGAUCAAUUGACCAAUACACUUCAUUGAAUAGAAUAGAGAAACAUCGUCACAAUGUAUAAACUGUUUUCUCAAUCAAGUUGAGGGAUCUUCUGAUCUGGAAAUCCCCUAUGAGCAGAUAGACGGUUAAAACUUGAUCCCAAGAUUUUUCUCCAAAUUAAUACAUGAUCUAAUUCUUUCAUUUCAAUCCUAGCGAGCAUAAGUACUGACUGAUGGUUUGAAUGCAAAAUGCUUCCACUGAUCAAUGUGGGACACUUCUAAGGAACCUCCUUUUCUGUCCAAGUCUCCUUGGAAAACAUAAUAAAAAUCAAGUCAUUGAUGGUGAAAUAAAUUGUCUGAAAAAUCAUUUGACUACUAUGGAAUAGGCACCAGUUUGAAACUUAGAGUUACCAUAGAAGCUACAAUGUCUGUACAUAUUAGAUGCAGAGUAUCUCUUUAUGCUUCGAAUCGCAUGCUCAAAUAAGAAUUCCAUUCUGUUUAAGUAUAAACGUUAUCUGUUAGACAUACUGAGAUAAUCUAACAUGCCCACAAUAAAAGUAUCUUUUCGCAGAAAGCUCGAAGUAAAAGCAAUUAAAUAAACGCAGGUAUAUCAUUUCUUACCACCUCGAUCUCCUUGAAGUCCUUCAAGCAAAAAAUAUUCCAGAGUAGCAUAGACAUUCUUCUUGUGCACUCCGGCACAUGCUCCUUUGAGAAUUUUGAUUUUCUGGCCAGAUCUCCAAGACACUCCCUUCCUUUUCAUCCGACAGUGCACUCUCACAACUAAGAUAUAAAUUUUUAUAUUAACUAAUUGCACCAUGAGCAGCAAAGCAAACAAAUAAUAGGUAAAACAGGAAGUAGUGUGGUCAAAGAAUUUCAAAUAAUAUCAAACAUUUUGCGCAAGACAGGAAAAGACUGAAUAGCGAACCACUAUCAUGUGACAUAGCAGAACUUCACCGGUAAUCCACCAGAUUAUGAUAUAUAUCACUUCUACAUACCGUUAGAUGAUACACCAAGUGCCUUCUUGUUUCCAGGGUUGAUUAUGAAAACAGCUUGGUCCUCGCUGCUGUCAACCUCUUCAUCAUAACGAUCAUGCAUUUGGAUAAUCCAAUCAGAAUACUCCUUUUCCAGUUGCAAAGGAGUCAACAACUUCUCUUCUCUGUAGAUUUUAACAUUUAUUCCUAGAUAAUGGACAAAAAUUCCUUAAGGACUUUGGAACCACGUAAGUUUAAGUUGAAGAUAGUGGAAAUAUGUACAAGCAUGACCUUUUACUCCAUUAAGAGGCCUGCCAAUUUUUCUAAGAGCACUGGUAAAUGGGCUGUGCUGGGCCAGAUCUGUCUGUCAAAAGAAUGGAGCAUUGAGCAUCUCUAUAUGAAAAGUUCCACAAGAAGAUGAGCUAUUUACAUUUCUCAAGCAAUUUAGAUGAUGACUAUAUGUCCUUCAACCUAUUUUUGGUCCUUUGAUUUGACAGAAUAUUGAAAUAUCAAAACAUGCAUUCAUCUACUAGCUUAAGCUUUCAGAACAGUCGAUAGUGAUCUUAUAAAAUCUCACAUGGUAUCAGAGUAGGAGGUCCUAAUUCCGAAUCUUUUCAAACCCCUAUUUGCCUCCCAAUGAAAUUUUUUCAUGCUUAAUACUCAGCAAAAAAGACCAAACUAAGCAUGAGGGUGAGUGAUAGGAUAUUAAAAUAUUAAAACACGCAUUUACCUACUAGCUUAAGCUUUUAGAACAAUUGAUGGUGGCAGUCUUACAAAAUCUCACACAUAAACUCUUUUGCUAAAGCAAAGUAUUUCAAGUAAUGAACCACUUACAUAAGAUAGACAUGUUUUGGUUUCGAUGUUUUCCAAAAGUACAUUAUUUACUUAUCAAACAAAGAGUCAGCUCAACAGAUACUAGCCAAAUGAAGAACCAAAAGAAAAGGAAGUAAAGAAGACCUGUCUUUGAAAUGUUGAUCAUCAAACUUUUGUCAUUUCCCAUUAAUUGAAUUUAAAAAAUUUAUUAAAUUAUUUUAAGAUGUCAUAGAAAAGGUACUCAUCCUAAAAUCUACAAACGGCAACUCAAAAACCUUUAAAUUUUAGUAAGAACAAUAUUUUACUGCAAAGGCUUACAGCUACUGUGUAUGCAUACUUCUAACCUCCUCUCCAGCUAGGUAACAGCGAUGAGAAAGAUUGGAAACAUCACUGUCAACUGACAAAUAACAGACGAAUGACAACAUGUUUUGCCCUGAGAUAUAACACUGAAUUCAUAUGUGCUAAUAUGACAAUAUAAAGAGGUCUCAACUCUGAUCAAACUUAUGACAGCCACAUUCAAAAUGCUACCAUUUUAUCCAUGAAGAAGCCACAUUCCUACCAACACACAUCAAGAAAUUUCAGAAGAAUCCCUCUGGCAACAUUCAAAAUGCUACCAUUUUAUCCAUAAAGAAGGCACAUUCCUACCAACAUACAUCAAGAAAUUUCAGAAGAAUCCCUAUGGAAAGACAUGAAUUAGCUGGAGACAUUUUUUUUUUGUGUUCCUGCUCUGGUUUGCACCUCCAAAACCGCACACUCUGUUUGGCCUUGCUACGAGAAAUCUCUAGUUCCUAGUCCAUAUGUUUUCAGUAGAUCGAAGCAUUUGAAAGUCUUAAGUUACAUAAAAAUGUCAGAACUGGGACCACUAAGUAUUCUAAUAAUGAAAGCCUGAUGGCCCAUGAAUAGGCCGUAGAGUUCCCCUCACCUUGGAAGGUGUUGGAGAAAAUCCAGCAUCAGUCUCUGCAUCAUCAAAAUAUAAGUAAGACAUCUCAUGAUGUAUAGAAUUAAAGAAAAUGCAGUCCCACUAGAUAAGAAAGGUCCUAAUAAUCAGUGAUAACCAUACCAAUAAAACAUUUAACUCUAAAGAAAGAUCUCCUGAAUAAGUGAGCUUUAUCUCCUUUCUUAUGUCUCUCCAUGAAUGGAAGCAAACCCUGUAGUAGAAAGCAACUAUGAGAACAUUACUUACCACAGUUAAAGAGAGACAGUGGACGCAUCAAAUACUUGACAAUGACGCCUUGAUUUAACCCAAAAUUUUCAAUUACAUCAAGUUUCUCAGACAGGACCUUCUCAAUGUGCACAUGAAAUUUUUAUAAGAUAAGCCACAAUAUGUUUAGCAUUUGUGUUUUCUUGCGAAUCUUGUCAGAAAUUCCUUCAUUUUGGAAGAAAUCUUAAGUUUGAUGAUAUUUCACAACAUACGAAAUGAAUUACAAAAAACCUUGACUGUUAAUAGAGUGAAAAUCGAGAAAAAUACAGGUAUAAGCAUGUUUCUUGCAAAAUGGUUCUUAUUAGCUGACUCACUAGCUUGGAGAAGAUGAUGUCAACAUUUGCAUAUAUGCACUAAAAGGGAGGAUAAGAAAUGAUCAAAAUGCAAUUGACGUGGGCAAAGAUCUGAAACAAGAAAAGUUCAUUUUGGUGGUUGUCAUAGACAUAAUGGGUUGCCACGGGCAUUUGCUGGAUGUAAAAGCACAUAGACAUAGACUAUAAGUUUUGGGCAAGAUUGCCUACCAAGGAAAGAGGAAGAGCAUGAUUUGGUGGGGUUACCAUUUGAAAAAUUUACUAGAGUUGAUAACAUGAGUUGCACUGAAGCACAACAGCAAAGAAGUUUUGAAAUGUCAGGAUGUCAUUUCACCAUUGUUCUAACAUGCAAUGCACACAACCGGUUACAUAAUGUCUUCUAUUCCCAGCACAGCAGCCACAACAUAGAGGUAAGAAAAUGGUCUCAUCAAACCUAUAAACCAGCCUGGCCAAAAAUAAAAAACUUAUAAACCAGCCUAAGAAGUUAUACUUAAUACCAGCUUUAAACAUGACCGGGUUUGCCAGGCUUGUUUUGCCGUUGGCUUGCUGUAGGUCGUUUUGUUAUAUUAGGGCAACUAGAGGCAAGAAAUAUGGAUCACACAAACUCCAUCUGUUGAAUAUUUUAAUCAGACUUUUUCCAGGUUUGCAGAAUGCUUGCUUUCUUGAUGUAUCCAUUAGAUGAGCAAUUGCAGUCAUAGUCGUCCAACUUCCGAAAGGAUAACCAUGGGGCCAGGUGUCUAAACCUCGCUUCUUGGAUGGUUUGUGGAAAAUGGAUUAUGCAAGACUACUGGGCCACUAGAUCUAGAUAGCAACAAAAAAGAGGUUUAAAUAUCCAUCUGUUAACUGGGGGCUGUAUACAAAAGGAUAAAGGCUUGAAGAUGUGUGAUCAAUAACAAUGUAAGCUGUACUAUUUUGGAGCAGCAUAAGUUUUAAGGACCGUUAAAUGUGCUAUUGCUUCUAGGCAUUUAAGCCUGCAACUCACUAUCCUUAUCUUAUGUAAUGCAAGGGAGAUGCCUGGGCUUUUCGUUUCAUCAGCUUUUUUUAGUUUGAUUAUAAUAUCCAAAAAGAUCCACAACUCACCCAGCAAGCAUUUGGAAGCAGUCGGCCAAGACGUCGGAUUGACACUCGACUGAAAGAUUCAUAGCUUUCUGCCAGUCUGCAUCCAUCAGCUUCUAACUUCUCUAAGAUUCUCUCAAUGUUUUCCUUCCCUUGGAGUACUUAUAUUAAGAACUUCCUCCGCAGGAAACUGAGAAGAAAAGAAACUAUAAGAAUAUACUGCCAUACCUGAACAACAGGAAAGUAGACACACUUCAGGCAAGCAUUAGCCUCGUGAAUUGCUGUGGAACCUGAAAAGUAUUGCAGCUUUUUAUAUUAGAGAAAAGCACAAUCUAAGUGACAUUCUUAGGUAAAACUAGUACUAAAAGCAUUGAUGCCAACAGAUGAAAGAAGGGCCUAAGAAAGAUAAAAGUUGGACAACCUAGAAUAAAAGAUGAUAUAACUCUGUCUCCUCUUCUAUAAAGAAUGGGACAGAGAACUACAGAUACUUACCGAGUAUUCUAUUUGCGUCAGUGUCCUCUGUGAUCGAAAAAUGAACUUGAAUUAUAAAAUCAGGACCAUUGCAUGAAUGCAAGUUGGUAAUUGCAACCUCCCCUCCUUCAAUUUCAGCUAAAUCAAUACCAUUAACCUGACAAAGCACAAACUUAUUUCACGGUGCAAAAAGCUUACUUUGAGAUCCCAUUAAGCCAUAAUGGGUACUAUUUUUUCAACAAACCAUACACUAUGACACGCUCAUAUCAUAAGCGUCUAAAUAGUAAACCUUCUCAAAUUAGUUUAUAUAUUUGUAGGCAUAGCAAGAACACAAAAUCGGAAAUUGUUCAUAAAUCUGAACGACCUAGUUACAUAGCUGGAUUGUGCCUUUUCUAUCCCAAUAUUAAGAAUGUACAAAACUGCCUGUUCAUAGUGGACAAAAAAGACAAAAGCAAUAAUGCGUAUUAUUUUUUCUGCAAACCAUACACUAUAAAUAGCAAGCCUUCUCAAAUUACUUAAUAUAUUUGUAGGCAUAGCAAGAACAAGGAAAUCUGAAAUUGUUUGUAAAGCUGAACAACAUAGUUACAUAGCUUAAUUGAGGCUAGCUAAAAAGUAAAAGCAUUAUGUGGCCAUAGGAGUUAAUAUUAGAGUCCACCGUACUAACGGUGCAUUCCAUACCUCGAAAUGGACUGGUCUGAUAGUCCUCCUCAAAUUCGACAAACCAUCACACUGCAAACAUUCAAAUUAAUUAGAUAUAAAUCAAAUUCAGGCAUCCUAUGUAAUCCUUACAAAGAAGAAGCAAACUUGCAUAACUCUGAAAAACCAUUUUACCUACUACUUGCUAUCUUAGACAUUGCUCUACCUUGAUAUCCCCAGUAAUCCAGAAAGUCAGUAACAGUUAUGAAUUCACCAGAAGGGAGAACUCAUUAGCAUAGUUUUAAAUCAUAGCGAGGAGUAAUACUCUCAAAAAUAUUGACCAAAGCCAUACCCCACAUUGGCCACAAUGCUAACUGAACCCAACUUUGUGGUCAGUAGCAGCAUUUAUGAACAUUGUGCAGUGAUGGCAUUAUAGCAUUAUUGCAUGUGCCAUAGCAGUAACUUUUCAUAGGAGCAACACGGUAAUUAUGAUACUGUAUUGAUAUUCUAUUUGGCAAAAUCAACAGCAGUGUUUGAUUUACUCCAAUUUCUGCAGUACUUAAACUUUCCACCACCACAAGUCCAGGCAACGAAGAUGACAUAACGCAGAUCUGUCUGAAAAAUCUAGCAAAACUCUUUAAAAUGAUAGAAAAUUGAGACAUCAUUUUAAAUUUCAAAAAAGUGAUAUGACACUUUCCCAAAUUUAGCUGAUGAACCCCAUAAAGCCAAGAGAAAAAGACCAGCAUGACUUUCUCCACUUGUAAUGAAAUAACAUCUCUAUAAAAGUCUUGUCGAAGAGUGCCCUGAGGCACUUACUAAGCAUACUUGUAUGAAAUGUUUCAAUUUCUAAAGCAUUAACUACACAUAACAAAAGUAAAACAGUGCAUAAAGAAUGGUGAACUUUCCUCAAUCUGUGGCUUAACAAGAGCCCUGCAGACACUCUUUAACAAAACCCUAAGCAAAAAUAGAUAUGAUUUCAGCAAACCUGAACGUAUGGGAAAUAGAUGUCCUUCAGCUUGCACGAGAGUUGAUAUAGAUUCACGUUUUUCAUUCUAGGCUUGAAAAUCUCAACCUGUACAGAUUUUAUACGACAAGAAUGCAUGAAAACAUCACAAUGUAUUGUCUAGGUAUCGAGAAUUCACAAUAUUUACCACCUUGUGACAAAUCAAGAAAUACCUGAAAAUUUUACCAGCCGAAUGUAUUUAGAAUAAUACAUAAAAGUCAUUAACUACAUAUAUAUGCCCAAGGCAGUACACGAAAGAAAUAAAAUAUUUGCUUCAAACUUCAUAGUAGAGGCUUUCCCCCAUCAACAGACGCCGACAUGCAUGAAGAGGUGUUCUAUCAAUCUUUAUCAACUUCAAACUGUUCAAAGAGUUAUGUCUCAACUCACAGUAGCCGCCAGUUUAUGUGUUUCAUAAUCCUUGUGAGGGUGUUUCAUCUCUCGCUCACGUAUAGUUCUCAACUCGCCUCACAUCUUAUAGACUUUAAAUUCUCCCUAUCUCCUCCCACUGCCUAACGUCUUCUUUAAAUAUUUCAAUCCUAUAUCUCGAAAAAAAUAUCUAUUUUAUCACCACUAUGUUAAAGUGACAUAAUAGACAAUCUAAAGCCUAGGAUUCCCUCAAGAAGAUUGACUUUGCCUUGAGAACAAAGUAAAGACAUGACCUGAGGAAGUCUUCGACUGGCAUAAUCAGAGAAUCUAGAGCCUAAUAGUCAAGUCGUAAUCAGAGAAUCUAGAGCCUAAUAGUCACUCAAGACGGCUGACCUAUGACUACUUCCAAGUCCUGUGCUGUGGCCAAGCCAAAAACAAAUUUAUAGAGCAAUGGAGGUUACGUAAAAAGACAUGCUUUCAAUGGAUGAUGCCCGGGUCAGAGCAUGACAGAUAACAUCCUAGACAAUGGUUUUUACCAGGUUUGUAGAGAUUAGCUGAGUAAAACCUUCCCAGGGAAAAAAAAAAACACACACACACACACACACACAUAGGCAAAAAUUUAGUUGCAAAUAUAAAAAGAAAAGACGUGCAUAUGCACCAUGAAAUGUCCAAUGAGUCAAUGCGAUUGACACUGAAAUACCACAAUAGAAAGAAUUUAUUAAAAGAAGUCUACCUUCGUGAAGCUUCCUUGAGGUGCUCUUGCGCUUUCAUUUUCUAAAGGAACCCUGACGCCACCAUCAGUCUGAAUAAACGACAAAGAAGAUGAUGACAGAUUAAAUAAAUCUAUGUAUGGAACAUAAGGGAGUCCAGUCGAGAGAAAAAUAUGACAACAAUGAAGAAAUCAGUGAUCUUGCAUACUUUCCAAGAGUGUUGAGAACCAGAUCUGCUCAAUAGAGCUUCUCUCUUCAGAUGUAACGUGUAUACUCUUUUAGAUUGCAUAGUCUUGGAAGAAACCAUGGCAUGCCUGUAACUCGUUAAAAGGUAAAGAGGUGUAAAUUACCUCCACAAAAUAUAAUGGACUACCAGUUUCUACAACUACAAUACUCUGGAAUGUACCUUCCCAAAUGCAUAGAGGCAAUUGGUCCUCCAAAUCCAAACAAGCCAAAGAAAGGCUGCACCACGCUCAACAAAUUAUCCAGAAAAUAGAAGCAAUUUAAACUUUUAGAGAUUCAACACAGUUUAAUUUUCCUCAUUCAAAUCCAUGUCCAGGACGUGGAAAGGUGAAUUGUCAGCUAGUUAGGAACAUACUGUUGACUUCUCUCAUAUAAUUCCGACUCAUUGAAAACAGAAGUUUGUGUUUGCUUUUUAUUGGGGGAGGAUAGGGAAAAAAUGUUUUUUGUAUUUCAACGAAGCUAAUGCUGCAUGGCGCAAUGUUGCUUUGAAAAUUAAUUCCGCCUAUGAGAAGUGGAAGGUAUCGGCAACAUUUUCAGGAAGAGGAAGUUGAUUCUUUAAGAACAUUGAUUAUGCCAGGACAUACUUGACAGUGUAUGAAUAUGGCAGCGGAAAAAUCGAUUCACUCCUAAUAUAUUGCAGUCAACCAAUCAUUCACAUGUGAUAUUAGCUUGCAUCAAUUUACAUCUCCUGGAAAUACCAAUGGAUUCCUGCUACUAGCAAAAGGACAUUUUGCAUGUCUUUUUCAUGCAGAGACUACAAUAUUCAAUUAAUGUCACGUGUUUGAAGAGAAAUUACCAUUAGAUACGGAGGUUUUCCACCUACUGCCUUAACUUUAUACUUUCUGUGAAGUGAGGCACCCAUCUUUCCCCUAGACAAAAAGAAUGAACACAAAUCCACUAAAAGUUACAAAAAGAGAAUGAAAUCAGAAACCAAGGCUUGCUAGUGGAUGGAAUUUAUCUUGUAGUUAAGCAUAUCUGUUUCUAAAAAUAAAAUAAAAAAAAGUUCUGUCCUAUCAAGUAUAUUUCUAUUAGAAAUAACUGGAAAGGAUACAGUCAGUUUUCUCCAUGAAGAAGCCAUCAUUUUGCAUUUAAGUAGCACCAGCCUCUUUCUGGAAAUAGAUAAUUGACUCAAGUAAUCAUCUGAAGACGAUGUAACUCCACAUUAUCAAAGCAUGUUCAAAAAGUCAUGUCGCCAAUGUUAUUUCUUCAUUUUCAACUAGAUAACCAAAAUUUACCCAAAGCACAGAAUUCUCUCCUAAAAUUCUGUCCCCUCAAGCCAAGAUACAGUUUAUGGUGUAAGUUGCCAUGGACAAAUGAGUGUGUGGGUGCGUGUGUGGAUUCGGGUUAAAUAGGGAAGAAAAAACAUUGCUUUAGAGUACUCAAUACCACUUUGCUAUAGAGUUCUCAUCACUGUCAUCCAUUCCAGGGCCAGUGUCAAAGAUAGAGAUCUUUUCAUCAGAUAUAUCCAAGCUGCAAUUUCAAAACAAUAGUGAGUCAGGCUCCAAAGUUCAAACCCAACAGAAUUUCAAUAAGAAUGCAACUAGCAGAAGCAUCAAGAUGAAAGAUUAAAAUAUAGUUAGCCCAUGAUCAUAUGGCAUCAAAAGCCCAUCAUGUUGAAGUAAAUGCGACAAUCUCCAUGUGAAACUUAUGAUUCAUAAUAUAUGGCUGAAAGAUGUCUGCAUUGAUGAAGUCCUACAUGGUUCAGACUUAAAGAAGAGUUUUGUUGGCAAUUAGCAAACUGGCAGUGAUACUUCCAAACAAAGGAAAAGCUUCAAUGUUGUUUUCCAUUACUCUCAUUUAUUAUUCACUAAUUUAGUUGAAACAACAAGAAUGCAUGUUUACAAUUGUUCAUAUUUAUCCAGUAAACAAGUCAUCAAUCACCUCCUGUAGAUUUGCUUAGUAUAAAAUUUCUAUUUGAAAAGAAAAGGUUCCUUUUAUAGGAGAAGUUCUAAGAUGCACCCAGUUCAACAAAUAGAUCAACGCAAAGAAGCAUCAUCCUUCGUACAGCUUCCACCAUAAGCCACAAUAUGGAUUCUAAUGUUCCACAAAUUCUCAGCCUUAAGCCACAAAAGGGUUGAUGUUCCAAUCCUAAUGGUAACGUGACAAGAUCAAGAAAUCACCUAAUCAAUCUUUUAGAUUUCAGGGGAUUAGCCCAUACAGCUUGCAAGGAAUUAUCCUGGCGAAAGGAGCAGCGGUCAGUUUGGCAUCAAACAGGGAUUAUAACUUCCAAAAUCAUCAGGACAACUUACUAUCAAAUCUGCAAGAGCAGUUUCAAAAGUAUAGUCUUCAGGUAGCUCCUUCAACAAUUCCGUGUCAGGCGUUAAAUCCCACAUAUUCUGUGAGAGAUUUCACGCAUAUAUCAAUGCAAUCGCUUGAAGAAGCACAGAGAACUAGAGAAACUCCAUCAUAGCAUGCGUCAUGUGUUCAAAGGCCAUGAUACACCUCCCCCCUCCCAAGGGUACUAUCAAAAUCCACAACAAGAGAACUCCUAAAAAGCAAGUGAUACCCAUUAUGCAGAAAGGAAUAAAAUACUAACCUCAAAAGUAUUAGUUGUGUUGCUAGAGCCAUCCUAAUUGAAAAAAGAUAAUUCAUACAAAAGAACAGUAAAAUAAGUAGAGCCAUUAAAGGGAAUAUGCACGCUCUCAGUAAAUUAGAAGACAGAGCAAGCGAACAACAUAUGGCUUUUUCCCAAUACUCACGUGAAGACGCAAGAUGUGGCGCUUGUGAGGCUUAAAGUUGUCAAAAAUAAUUUGACUUUCGAUCCGGUUGCCAUUUGCAUCUUCGAGAUGCAACUCAUUACUUUCCCAUGCGAUGGGACACUUCGACCUUAGCGAUGGAUCUUGCGCUUUGGCUCGAUCGUACCUUUCUUUGGCCAUCAGCAUGAAAUCUCCGGAGGCCAUCGUCGGGUUGGGUUCCCUUAAUGCGAUUCCCACGGCAGUCCCAUUAGGCAACAAUAUGGUGAAUCUAUAUAUCCUGUCGAUAUCACCAUCAUUCAUCGCCUGCUCCGCAGGCCUCUUCCUGAUGCUCCCGCAAUUCUGGCUUGGCUCCAUCCUUUAGCCAGCCCGAAACCUGUCGUGCAAAAAAGGAGAGCGGUAACAAAGAUCACACGGGUCGGAAAGCACGAGUAAGAGAGCAGAGGAAACAACCAUCACCCCCUCAACACAUUUGACUGUAGAGGUUCAAAACUGCAUGCGCGAUUUCAGAAAAGAUCACAUUUUUUCGUGAUUUUCCCCUACUAACAUUCUUUCCCGUCUUUUACCAAAAAAAAAAACAUUCUUUCCCGUCUCUUUACCAAAAAAAAAAAAAACAUUCUUUCCCGUCUUUUCGUUAUCCCACAAACCAAACGAACGAACGUCACCAGGAUAUUGUAAACACGAGAACAUUACGCGAAUUAGCUGAUAAAAUGAUCGCUCAAGCAGGGCUCGAACGCGGGUCGGCAGAAGUGGGUAAGAAGCCAGCCAACCCCUUUCCGGCGUGCGUAACGUCCUCGCCAACCGACUCCCAGCUCCGGCGAUAGGAGAAAGUAGUUAAACCCCGGGCACACGUCAGGAUCAACGAGCAAACACCGGCUGCCGAUCGAAGCUCAACCGACACGUUCCCCGCAAGAACAAAGGCGGAAGGUUGCCUGAGGGAGCGGAGGCAAUGCAGCAUAACAGAGGUAGAGCCCCCUGCUCUCCCGCUUCCCUCACCCCGGCAGCUACAACCGUCGUCCUGCGCGAUCCUCGACGUCUCUCGAGGGUUUCCAGGAAGGACGGAGGAGGAAGAGAGAGAGAGUCGCGGCGCCGCGGGAGACGAAGAAGACGAAGACGUUCUCUGCACUCCCCUGCAACCGAAUGGUCGUACCUGACUGGUGUUGCUGCCGCGCCGAUGGAGGACAGGCCCCUUUGAGAUCGCGCCACGUGGACGUGGCAACUGCGACGGCUUGAUGGCAUUGAAGCUUUCCUCCUGCAAAUUUGCCGCUAAUGUAACCAGAUCAAUUACCUUUUAGUUAUGAUUAUUGGAUUCUUUUUUUUUUUUUUAUCAUUUUUAUUGUGAAAUAUUCGCAAGGGUCACCCUCACCCGGCCUGGUUGCCCUCACCAACGUCACGCAAGGGCCUCCCUCCCCCGACCCAGCUGAGGGCCGCUGUGACAUCCCGAUUUUUCCGAUUCUAUUUUCAAUAAAUUGAGACGGGCAUUUCGUUGGCACGCAUAUAGUUCUUUUCCUGGAGUUGGCCACUCAUGUGGAAACUAGUCUAUCGGGUGAAGCUGUUAAGAGUUUCUAAUGCAUUAGACUCGAGAAUUUGACCAGGAAGCGACCUUUCGACCGAGCUAGUCUGCAAGGUUCAUUACGGCACAAUUAAAAUCGAUUAAAGAUUGGAGAUAGGUCGACUCGACAGAGGCAUGUGAUCAGGUGUGGGUGAUUCCACCAGAUUGCACCAUUCUUGUCGAUUGGCACUAGACCGACUUUUCUAUCGAUUGGGUACCCUGUGUUCGUAUUUGAAACCUUGAGAUUACCUCGACAACCGAAAGUCGCCAAUGUUUCAAAGAUGUACAUUGUGGCUUGAGAUGAUCAACCACAGGUCAGAUGCAUGAAAAUUUCUAAAGGCUACCCGGUAGAUUGGGCCGCGCUAGUAUCGUGCCAAAGUGAAAUUAACCGUGGAAUUGAGAUCAAAUUCAGAAAUUGGAAGUCUGGGUGUGUCACAAAUCAUUUCAAGAUCAUUGAAUCAUCUUUGGAAGAUUUUUCAUGCAAGCCGAGCGUUUUAGCAAAAUAAUCAAGAAAUGGCUAAUUUGACUCGAGAAAUAGUAGGCUCGUCUUUGGUUGUGCUUUUGGGACUUAAGUUGGUUCUAUAGACAAGUGAAGAUGUGAAUUGAAGUGUGGUGACAUUGGAUUAAUUUUAUGGACUUCAAUUUGAUUCAAUUGGAAGAGAAUCAAGUGGAAUUGAAGAAUUUGUUGUACAAAGUUUCAUGUCCCGGCGGAAAAGUAAAAUGAACCCAUUGGAGAAAGGUUGUGGGAGAUAGUGGAAGAUGACCUCAUGUGAGGUCAUGGUGGGCCAUGUGUGAGGGAUUAAAGAAAAGGAAAAAGAAAAGAAAAGAGCCCCCACUCCUUCUCUCUCCUCCCUCUCUUCUUCCUCUCUCCCGUUGGCUUCUCCUCCAUCUUCAUUGUGCGAAGACCAGAAAAUUUCAGAGAAGAAGGAGCUGCAGCCAUGGUCGUCCACUCCCGCCUGCACGCCAUCGUCGCCGUCGCGGUCGCCGCUCGCUGCCGCCGCCCCGCGCGUCUCCGCCCGCUCACCGUCGCAGCCCCGCGAGCUGCUCCGCCCAGCCGCCUCCGUUUGCUACUCGGGAUCUCAGAUCUAGUCGGACGCCGAGCAGAAACCAGCAGCUCCGCCUAUCGCCGUUCGCCCGUCGCCGCCGUCGCGCGUCUACCUCGCGCUCGCCCGCGCCUGGCCGCGCGCCGCUCCGCCCGCUUCGCCCAGCUCGUCGUCCCGAGCUGCUGUUCAGCUCGCGCAAGAGCUGUCGGAGCUCAUUCGUCGCCGCCAGCCACCGCCAUAGCUCCUCCGCCCUUUCCGACCCGAACCGGCGCCGGAUCUGGCCUCUCUCAACCUUGAACCGCCACGGACAGCAGCUGCAGAAAAUGGGUAUGGCAGCCCCUUCUUGGCCCGUUUUGGCCGCCUUCCCGAGCCCGGAUGCUCGGCCCGCUUUGAGGAAAGUCGAUCCUCGCGUCGUCCUCGUCGUUUUGGUUCGCUCGGCUCGCUAAUCCGGUGAGUUUAACUCACUAAACCUCGCUUAGAGGGUUAAUUAUGCUUUAGGUGUGCUUAGUUUAUGUUAAGUGUGAUUAGGUGGUUAGUUUGAUUUAUUUAAGGGUGGUUUAUAUUAAUGUGUUUAAUUAGCUUAAAUUGUGUUUAAAUUAAAGUUAAGUGGGUGUUUAUAUUAAUAUAAACCUUGAUGUGACAAAAAUGAAUUUACUUUUGAUUUAUUUAAAUAUCUCGAAAUUAUUGAAUAAUUAAAUAAUAUUUUAAUAUUCGAAAUUAUUAAAAUAUUAUUAUUUAAUUAUUUUCGGAAUAAAUAUAAUUAUUUAUUAAAUUCCGCAAAUUUUGGUCGGGACCCUAAAUUCUCAGAAUUUCGUACCGGUCGCUACGGUACAUUCGGAUUUUGAAAUUGAUGAUUGGAUAUUUUAAAUUGAGUGUGGAUCGUGAAAAAUAUGGAUAUUAUUAUUAUAUUAAUUUUCGGAAUAAAUUUAAUUAUUUAAUAAAUUCUGAAAAUUAUUUGGGAACCUUAUUUACUCAGAAUUUCGUGCCGAUCGCUGCUGUGCAUUUAGAAUUUGAUAUUGAUGAUUGGUUGUGGCGAAUUGAGUGUGAUUGCGAUAUAUAUGGAUUCUUUGUAAAUUUCUAAGUGUGGGAAUUGAGGAGAGAUGAGGUAGUGAAUAUGCCACCUAUUAGAGGUCGCGCCCAGUGGGGCCGUUUUAUGCCACCUAUUAGAGGUCGCGCCCGAUGGGGCCGUGAUAUGCCACCUGAUAAAGGUCGCGCCCAGUGGGGCCGUUUUAUGCCACCUAUUAGAGGUCGCGCCCGAUGGGGCCGUGAUAUGCCACCUGAUAAAGGUCGCGCCCAGUGGGGCCGUUUUAUGCCACCUAUUAGAGGUCGCGCCCGAUGGGGCCGUGAUAUGCCACCUGAUAAAGGUCGCGCCCAGUGGGGCCGUUUUAUGCCACCUAUUAGAGGUCGCGCCCAAUGGGGCCGUGAAUUGCCACCUGUUAAAGGUCGCGCCGAGUAGGGCCGUAGUUGAGAGCAAUGAUUGAUUUGCUAGAAUGACAUGAAAUCGGCCGAGUCGAUUGAUCGCUGAGACGAUCCAAGUGGUUGAAUUGUUUUGAUAAUGUGAUUGAGCCACGGUUGUUUGGUUAUCAUAAUUGCAUGUGGUUGGUUUAUAUAAAUUGUGCUAACCUGCAGAUGAAGGCUGAGGCGAGGUAAGUCUUCUGUGUGAUGUGGCUAGGCCACCCGGGGCGUAUUUUCUUUCUAAUAGGGGUUUAGGGGGUUGAACUUGCUGAGACGUGGUCUCAGUGGUUAUUGAAUAACCAUUUCAGGUCCCUGAUGGACGGAGCGGCCAAAUAGCUUUGGUUGGCCUUGAAGAGUUGGAGAAGUGAAGUCAUAAGGAUUGGAGAUCGUGUACGUCUUGUAGGUCGUAGGAUAAUCUCUUUUUAAGAGCCAGUCUUUUGUAGACUUUUGGCCGUAGACCUCUGUUUGUAAUUUCGUUGAUUUACGAAAGUGUUAUGUUGUGAUUUUGUUUCCUGCUUUUCUAUCCCAAGUUAAAUGUUGUCAGGGGAUUUGUUUCGCUUCCGCAUGCGUAAAGAAAUGAAUGGGUCGGCGACAUAUCCUGGGAUGUCGCAUUCAAGAUCGACCGUAGUGGGAUGUGCGCGCGCUCGAGGUUCGGGGCGUGACAGCCGCCCUAGCCAGCCCAAGCGAGGGCGACCAACACCGGCGAGGGCAGCCCUCAUCGGACGCCGGCUUCUCUUGGGUAGCUCUCACCAAACGCCGGUAUUUUUUAAAAAUUUUAGAACUCAAUUGAACUUUUGCAACAAGUUUUAUAACUAGUGGUGCACAUGUCCUUUUUUUUAUUUUAUUUUUUAUUUGUAGAAGAAAGAUCCACCUCAUUAAAGUUAAAUAAGGUCACUUUUGCUACUUAAUAAAAAUUUCAAACUUUUAUUUGGUUAAAAAGAAGGUUUCCUCUCAUUAGAUUAUAUGUCCAAAAGUCUACUUUUAGUACAAUUUAUUAGAAAGGUUGGAUCAGAAUGUUACUCACGAAUAGAUAAAUAAUUAUUUUUCCAGCAUGAAAAGUUAGUGAAGAUGUAUGUCAACAAUCAUAGGCGAUUGUUGCCGAAGUCAAUAAACAACGAGGAGAUAAAGAGCCGAGAGAGGACGGUGGACUUCUCUUGGAAGCAAGAUGUACGACAAAUCUCUUUGCUUUCCUUGUUAAACUAAAGAACCAUCUCGACAACAUAUAGUUUGCCCGAUUGUUUUCAUGAGGGAGAGGACUAAUGUCAAAUCCAUGGUGGACGGUGCAGGUCGGGCUUCCCUAGGGUCUACUAGAUUUGACCAUAAGUCUAGCUGGAGAUGAAGCUCAAGUGGUUGGCGGAAGCAUCGUGGGCUCGCUCAUGGCUUUGAGGCCUGUCGUACUGAUCAUAGUAACCUUUUCUAAUGCUACUUACGAGAGACUGCACUUGGAGGAGGAAGAGGAAGCGGGCAGCGGGCAGCGGGCAAGGGAAGAUGGGUAGUGGCUCGCCGCCGCUGGGGAUUGGUGGCAACUAGAGGUGUCAAAAUGGGUCAUUAACCCAUUUAUGGAUCCAUUUAUGUUUAAAUAGGUCGUUAAUGGGUCAAGUCUUAUUUCUUAAAGUACCCAUAAUGGAUUUUAAAGAUAAAGAGACUCAGAUAUAUGGAUUUUAAAUGGAUCAGCUCUUUAACCCAUUUAAGACCUAUUUAUCAACCCAUUAAAAAUGAACCCAUUUAUUUUCACUCAAAACCUCACAACCUCUCUCUUCUCUCUUUAACUUUGUGAAAAUAUUUUUUUUUUAUAAAAACUAAAAUUAUAAUUAUUUUUUAUUUUUCUUUUAUUUUUUCUUUCCUUUUUCUUUUUUUUUUUCCUUUAUUCUUCCUCCGGUCGUCGGCACGACGAUGGCCAGUGACCGGCCAGGUGAGCCUUGAGCUCGUCGGAUCUGGCGAGGCGGAGGCCUCGCCGACGCCCAGCAAGGGGCGAGCUUGAGCUCGCUCGACGGCGACGAGCCUUCAGCUCGCCAGAUCUGGCAAGGCAGAAGCCUUGCCGAUGUCCGGUGAGGGGCGAGCUCAGGCUCACCCGACGCUAGCGAGCCUCGAGCUUGUCAGAUCUGGCGAGGCUUGACCUUGCCACUGUCGAGCAAGGCUCGAGCCUUGUCGAUUUGGCGAGCCUCGAGCUCACCAGCGUUGGGAGAGCUUGAGCUCGUCGGAUCUGGUGAACCUCGAGCUCGUCGGCGUCAGCAAGCUAGGUGAGCUUGAGGCUCACCUAUGGCUGGCCGUCGGCCGUGACGAUGACUGGCGGCCAGCCAAAGAAGAAGAAAAAAUAAAUAAUAAAAAUAAUAAAAAGGAAAAUUUAUAUUUAAAAAAAUAAAAAAUAAUAAAAAAUAAUUAAAAUUAUAUUUUUGAAAAUAAUUAUUUUAAAAAUUGUAAAAAUUGUCCAUUAAAUUUGUGUAUAAAACUAUUUUAGCAAUACAAUUUUAGAAAAUAAUAUAUAUAGAGGAAAUAAGCUUGGAAGUAUUUUAGUAAUAUAAUCUUAAAAAAGUAUAGGGAAAAUGUCACAAAUGGUCCCUAUACUAUUACUUACUGUGCAAUUUCGUCCUUGAACUUUUGAUCGGCUCAAUUUGGUCCCUGAACUAUUGAUAAAUGCCCGAUUUGCUCCAUGAAUUUUCGAUCAGCUUAAUUUGGUCCCUGAACUAUUGAUAAAUGUCCAAUUUAGUCAUUCGUUACUAUUUUUCCUUUUUUUUUGCUUAUAGUAAUGAAAUUGAAAAAAAAAAUGAAAAAAAUAACAAAAAAAUAGUAACGAAAAAAAAAACCCCUAGCGGGUACUGUUCAUCUUCCUCGUGGAAGCAGCCUUGCCCGCACCGAGGAAGAUAACUCUCACUUCACCUAUGUCACUGGAACGUACGGCAAUACUGCUUGGGAAUAUGUGAUGCAAGAUAUCUAUAUAUUGGUACGGGCCAUUUGAGAAUGAGAAUUGCACAAGUAACUUGCAUAAAUGCGGUCGAGUAUUAUUUUUGAUGUUUCAAAGUGAUCCCAUUGUAUAAAAAAGAAGAGAACAGCCCCAAUCUACACACCUCACGCACAACAUGUGCACCAGUUAUGAUUAGGAACUGAAUUCGAUUAGGUAGAUAUCAACUUAACCAAAGACAAAAAAAUGAGAGCGAUGGUCAUAUACUGAUGCACUAUCUGUCUGAUCUGUCUUGAUACAUGUGGCCACAAUUUGCAGGAAUGGUAGAAUCAGCUGUAGUUCCUGCACCCCAUGCUAAAAAGUUGCCACUUUUUUUUUCUUUGUUUUUAGUCGGGCAUGUAGUCUCCUAAAUGAUGCUAUUCCCUCACCUUCCAGUCCACCAUCUAUCUACUCUUUCUCAUAUUGUUUGCCUGGGGAGGAACCUAGAAAUUUUGCUGGACCCUCAUGAGUUGGUGUUCCUAGGUGAUCUAGAUCUACUUUCUAUGGUGCGCACAUGCUCUGGAAAAUACACGAAAGUUGGAUCUUGAGGGUGCAAAUCAGGCAAGUUCCUAACCCACGUUAAUCACGCCUUGCCGGCAAGUGAUCAUAGAUGUGUAGAACAUUUGCUAAGUCCUUCAAAUACUCGAUAUAUCCCUAUCAUUUUUUACUACCGAAACACUGAUUCACAGUUAGAGUUCUUUCUUUGAUGUGCUUUCUACGCUGCAUGUCCGAAGGGUUCUUGGUUCCAAAUGAUAUCUAGAGCAUGUCCGAGUAGCUGGUUAAGUUCCACCGGGUGUGGUAGUUGUCUGUCCUACAUGCACUAGAUAAUUCCCAAAAAACGUUGAUUCAUACCAUGAUUAGGUAUUAUUUAUUACUUUGUUUUUGCGCUUCAGGGGCAUGCAGCACAUUAUGUAUACUUUCUCCAUCGUACUUUCCUACUUAUUAUGCUGGCUGGUAAAAGCAUACUCGAAUGAAAGACACCUUGGUGUUUGAGAAGUCUAAUUCUCAUAUUGAUUUUAUUCCUAUUGCUGUAAAUACCAAUUUUUCGGGGAGAGAGAGAGAGAGAGAGUUUAAUUUGGUUGUAACACCUAAAAUCUGUGGAAAAUAUCAACAGAUGAAUUCUAAUAUAAUAUUCAUGAUUUUCUAUGUUUUAAAAUAGUUCUUUUUUAGCAAUAAGUCCAUCGAUGACGUUUUACUUAAAAAAGAAGAAGAGAAAACAAAUCCCCUAAUUAAGGUUAAAUUUAUUUUAGACAGGUUUUGCUUUUCUUUAAUCUCAUAUCUCAUGAAAUUCAUUUUUAUUUAAUAAAAUAUACCUAAAAUCUUUCGAAUUUUAAAACAUCAUCCAUCCUAUUUAUAUUUCAAAUGCUUAGAUUUUUUUUUUUUUUAAUAGCAACCAUUUGAUCUUCGGGUCAAGAUCUGUGUGCAUCGACCGAUCCAAGGUUAUGAGAAUCGAAGCGAGGGACUGGGCCAAGAUAGUCUAGUAUCGAUUGCGAUGAUCAUUAGCAACCCCGAUGGAGCAAACCAGCACGCUUCUAAGUAGUAUCUGAACGAGUUUAAGCUAAUGGUCACAAAAGUAUAUCGUAGUCAAUUAAUUUAGAUAGGGACCAACCCACCACGGUUCUAAGUAGUAUCUGAACGAGUUUAAGCUAAUGGUCACAAAAGUAUGUUGUAGUCAAUUAAUUUAGAUAGGACCAAAAAUUAAAACAAAACGGUACACUAUGAGUGAGCAUCUAAAUAAGUGAAACAUACAUAUACACUAAGCCCUAUAAUUUGCUUUUUAAAAUCAAUUCUAUCAUUCUUCUUGAGAAUGUAGGACUAGCAUUUAACUAUAGUAUCAUCCCCAUCUCUGUAGAUUGAGGAUGUGGGAUAAGUUAACUAUCUAAUUAUGGUCCAAAUUUACUUUCCUUAUGGAUUCUGUAAUCUAAUAGUAAUCAUUAUAAGCAAUUUUUUAUCCAUGCCAUAUGAUCGUAAAAGUGAGUUUACUGUUUUAUGAGGAUAUGAAUGGUAGGUGUAAUUUAUGUUAAUAGGUAAAAACUGGCAUGCUUCCUUGGCGGGCAUAGUUUAGGAUCCCUAGGAACAGUCUCAUCAAGUUUACUCAUGGAUGGCACUGGAUGGAUGUACUUUGGCAUCGUGUAUAGCAGCUGAGCUGGCAAAAGGUUCUCCUAUGCUUCCCAUAUCUUAGCUUUUCCCCUAGCUCCAUCGUUAAUUGGAGGUUCAAUAGCUAAUAUCAUAAAAUUAUCUGUAAAACGAUUAACUUGAAAAUCAAAAUUACAAGAUAUGCUAAUUGCUUUCUGUUCUUGAUAUGUAGUUGGUGGAGAGAGGUGUGAAAAGGGAGUUUAUGGAUAUCAUUUAAGUUAAUUGGGUAAAUGACAAUCCAAAAGAAUUGGUUAUGAGGGAAAAUAUUAUAAAUCAUCAUUCCUUUGGGGAAUGAUGUAGAGAAAUAUGAGAAGGGCACAUGGGAGAUGAUGGAGGUUGGAUGAUUGCGAGGGAAAUGCAAUGUAGCAUUUUUGAGAUUGAAAAGUUACAAAGAGUAAAUCUGAGGGGAUCAUUAGUAGAGAGAUCAAACGCAUAUAUUUAUGAGCUUUCAUUUAUUUAAGAAAUUGACAGGUUACCAAAAGCGGGAAUGUCUUGGACUAGAGCAAAGAAAUAAGUAUUGGAAAGGGACCUCAAGGCCCUUUCCAUCAUUUUCUGAUGUUGAACCUAAAGGGUCCUAAUUUCACGAAGAAGAUAGUCCUACUCUUAGACCUAGGUCCAAGUGAUCUCUAUAAACAUAUGUGCGUGGAUAUGUAAGCAUGUACAUGUCUAUGUACAUAACCUAAUUGACGAUCCACAUACUUAAGUUUGUGAUGCAAGUGUUGGAAUAGUAGAGAAGCAAGGGAGACAAAAUAUUGAAGUGCUUAAUAAAUUCGGGCAAUAGCUUGAGUUUUUGGACUCGAAAUCUACAUUCACUUUGCCAAAAUAUAUUCAAUGCAUUUCACUUUGUCAAACUGCCAUUGCCAUUGACUCCAUAAGGUCUGCAUAUCAUUUCAUGUACUUUAAUGCUCUUCACCGAUAUUCUUAGGCAAAAAGUUACGUAUGUCCUCACCACCUACUCUAAAUCCUACUCUAAAUGUUUAAAUAAAAAAAUCGCAAAAAAAUCACUUAAGCAAUCAAGACACUCGAAAGUCUUAGAAAAAAAAUGUGUCCAAGAUCAACCUCAGCCCACAAGAUUUGCCAUAACUUCUUUCUUUGGAUCACGUAUUUGGUGAUUGGUGAACUGCAAUUUGCUUUAGGGUGUGAUCUGAGUGUUUUAUGUCCCUGAUCUUGAUCUUGAUCGUACAGAAAUUCAUAUGUUUCUUGAGGGCCUGAAGAGGCAAGCUGGGUAGAAAACACAACUUGCAUAUAGAAAAGGCGAAAGAUAAAAUAAAAUUGUAGAUUGUUAUUAUAUCCAUUGCUAUUUACAUUUGCAAGAUUUUAGGAGUUACUGUGGAUGCCAGAUCCAUAUCCAGCAGAAAGCCUUAUUAAUCGUCUCUGUUUCCCAAAACCAAACUACCCAUCUGCUCUUCUUCCUCCACCCUCCGCUGCCGUCGAUCUUGCCUCGGGCUUUAGCACCUUCCUACGGCGCCUCGAACGCCCUGCGCGGGUCAUCACCGGCGGAGGUUCAAAGAGCGACAACGACAGAGCAGCACAGCACAGUCCCACCCGAUCGUCAUCCUCCGCGUCGCCUUCCUCUGGUUCGCCCUCACCGUCCGCGUCAAGAGCCCCGAGCUCAGGCUUCGCCGCGUCGACGUCAAGUCCCUCGACUACUCCACCGCGGCCUCCUUCUCAGCUCCCUCGACCGCGUCGCCGGUUGGGGAGGCCGUCCUCCGGAACACCAACUUCGGGGAGUUCGAGUUCUCGAACGGCACGGCUGUGAGCGUGAUCCACGGAGGGUCAGCGCUGGGCCGGGGGGGGGGGAAGAUCGAAGGAGGGAGAGCGGGAGGGAGGGAGAGGCCGAGAGUGACGGUGAAGAUGGAGGUGAGGUCGAGCGAGCUUGGGGCGGACGCCAGCGAUGUCGGCUCAAAUAUAGCACGAGCACGAGCGCCGGAGAGAGCAAACACGGAGGAACCUGAAAUUUUGAAUUUAAGGAAGGGGCGGCGGUAAUGCGGUUUGUUGACGGCGGCGGGGGAACGGAGUAGCAAUGAGAGCGGAGAUAGAAGCGAGCGGCGCGACAAAGUAGAGAGAUUUUGGGAUUCAAAAUUCAUCGGGCGAAAGAAAUGGGAAAUGAUAAUUCUCUUUCGUGGAGAGCAUCGUAAAGCGCCUCUGCUUCUCUUUCCAUGUUUGAAGGAGAAAAUAAGAGGAAAGAGGAAAGCUUCUGUGCCAUAAUAAAUGCAAUUGCAAGCAGAUGAUAGUCGAGGAGAGGGUAGGAAGAAGGCUGGGGAGAGGAGAGAAGGGGGUAACUGCAGAAGGGCGCCGCGUGAGUGGUCCGUGAGUGGUCGGGGACCACGGACCACCCGAUAUUUUCUCAAUUAAAUGCCUUAAAUGCCCAAGUGCAAAACCCUUGCGGACUGCACCAGAGUGAUUCGCCAACCUCAACCUCAACUAAAUAUGGCUGCAGCACUCGAGUAAAGUCAGUAUUAAUACUCACACUGCUUCAGUUUAUCUCCGUCGUUGCAAGCUUCUCUCCAUCGGCGCCGUUUGUUUGUCUGGAUCAAUAGUAAGCAUAGCUUCAUCUCACUUGAUUCCGUUGCUCUUCUUAUACUGAUUUUCGAAGAGAAACCGUUUCAAUGUCAUGACCACAUGUUAAUAGUCUCAACGCACGCAUAACAUGUUUCGUAAUAGCUCAUGAUUUUUUUAGAACACAAAACGGUUGCAAAGCUUUUCUCUUUUUCUCUCCUGGGUACUCAGUUUGACAAAAGCUUUGUCCAGGGCAAGAGGGAAGAAGAAGCGAGACCAGGUUUGCUUUCUCUCAUAUUUGCCACGAUGAUGAUGAAGAGAAGGGGAAUGCUGCUCGUGCUUAUUUGUUCAAUGUUAAUAACUAGCUGCCAUGGAAGUAUUUGGAAGAAGACAUCCGUUAUAAUCCAGAACAAUUUGACGGAUGAACGUACUCUGACGGUACAUUGCAAAUCUAAGAAAGAUGAUCUGGGAAUCCAUCGUAUAGCACAGCGGUCGUGGCAUUCGCAUUUAUACCCAGUUUCUUGGGAAGGACGCUCUUCUUUUGCAGCUUUUCAUGGUCCGGUGGAUUCGAAUGGUUCAAUAUAUAUGUUCAAAGCAGGGACGAGGAUAAAUGCAUUUUCUGUAUUUGGAAGAUCUCGCCCAAUGGCCCUUGUAGGCUCAAUGGAUUGACGGGAGAGUUCGAUCUUUGUUAUCAUUGGAAUCGUCGCUCAUAGUUAGUUUGGCAUACUCAGGUCACAUUUUUCGACAACUUGUUUGAGCCGCAAUGAACGGAAGAAUUGCCCAAGUUCUCAUAAUGUCUGUUCAGAUCGCUGCUUCUUUUGGCAUUUUUUUUUUUUCAAUUUCAACUGUAUUCAUUCAGUUGUGUGUGCAGUAUUUACUACUUUCAGAUGCAACUUAACCAGUAGCAAAUUUGAGUGUUGUUAUUAGCAUGUCUAAAGCUGUGGAUAUACGAUUACAACUAAUUUGUUUCACAGGAUCCCUCACAAUAUUUUACUCUCAAAACUCACAUAUAGAACCCUAGAAACACUCAAAAAACUUUUGAUGUAAUGUAACGUCACAAAAUAAGCGGAGAACGAACUUAAUUUCUUUGUUUUCGAGAGUUUGGAUUGUCACUUGGUGCUUCCCCAUUGUGGCUGGCCGCUUGCCUUGUGGCUGUGGCCAGCAGUAGCCACAUGCCUUUGGCUACUGGCUACAGCCUACUGGUGUGGUCGCUUCAGCCCCACCCAGUGCUCCGUCAUCGUCAACUUCGCCCUCCGCCACCUCCUGGUGGCUCACCGCCGAGAAGUACAAGGGCGGCAGCGUCAAUCUCGUCGUCGGAAGGCAAGCCCUCCCCAAGGAGUGCACCCUUGGGAAGUCCCUCACGGACUGCCACCUCCAUACCCUCGCCGGCAAGUUCAACGCUGUCCCUGGCGACAUCACUGUCGUCCUCACGACGGCCGACGUCGCUGUGGAGGGGUUUCGCAUGCGGUGCAGGUACCGGCCCGGGUCCACUUUUGUCUGGGUCGGGGGCUCGGAGAUGUAGUGCCUGGGGCAGCAGUGCGCGUGGCCGUUACACCAGCCCAUGUACGGCGCCGCCGCUGGUGGAACCAAGCCGUGAUGUCGAGGCCGAUGGCAUGGUGAUCAACCCGGCGACGCUUUUCGCGGACACUAUCACGAGCUACAGCGCCCACGGGCCCGGUGGCCAGAAGUUCCUAUCGCCGGCGGUGGGGGACCCAAAGACGUCCGCGUGCACGCAAGCCUCUCGUGUGAUCGCAAUACACCACGUGGACGAUGGAGAUCAUCCGAAUAGGAGGGGUAGUUUGAUACUAGAGUUCCGCAACCGGGUGAAGGGUGAAACUGAAACCCUGCAUUUUACUUUAGGAAAAACGUCCAGAAAAAAAUUAUUGCCGUUUAAGAAGAAGCGUGAGUGCGAAAGGAUAGGAUUUUAAAAUUAGAUAUGGUGUAAAUUGCAAUUUCUAAUAAGUGAAGAUGGUUAAUUUUCUGCAAUGUUUCUGUAAAAUAUCUUUAAAAUAUUUAUAUAACAAUUUGAAUUUUGAUAAAUUCGAUUACAAAAUUCAAGGAACUUGGAUUUUCGAUUCUUGUGUCUCCUCCUUAUUUCCAUGGCUGCCAAACAAGUUGAAAGAAAGAAAUUGGUAUCCCAUUUGUGCAUCAUUUUCCAGUCCAUUGUUAUUGUUAAAUACAUGUGUAUACAUAUGCUAAGGCAACUAAUUAAAGAAAUAUUAUAAUUUUCAGUGCCGGUAUGUUUUCAAGAGCAUAUUGAGCAUCACAUCCAUCCAUGAGCACUUUAAUAUUAAUAAUCGAGUCAUAGACUCUUCAAAUGAUGUCCACCAUAGAGUCUACACAUCCUUCAAAGGACAAUUCUAGGUGUACGGCCACGAAGGCCUAGAAACUCACAUAAUUUUAACAGCUUAAAUUACUUUAUACAUCACACAAAAAAAUUGCUUUUUUUUUUAGACACACCAUAUGAUUUAAAUAUUCAAAAUAGCCAUCUCUAGGCCUUAUUAAUGAUAGGAUAAUAGAUAGGUUAGAGGAAAAGCACAAGAAUACUAACAAAGUAACAAUGUCUAGAACAAUUAUAUACAAUCUCUCUAUAAAGAUUAGUUUCUAAUAAGUUCAAAUUCUUUUCUAAGUGGAAACUUUUGGUUAAAAUUGUGAACUUUUUAAGAUUAUAACUUAGGUUUGGGAUGUGCUAAUUAAUAAAGACUACUAACAAGAUUCAAAUUUAUGUGCUGCCCACUUUUGAACCCAUAUUUACAUCCUAGAAAAAAAUCUUCCCUUUUUCCCCUUUUGGACUUAUACAUAGAUUAUUUUCAUAUCACGCUUCCAUAGUGCCAUUUUCUCUCUGAUCAUCUCAUCCUCGGCAUUGAUCGAAAAUUUUUCAUUAAGAACAAAAUGCUUUACAUAAAUGCUAAAUGACAAAUUUAGAUGGAAAGAAAACCUUGGAAGGACAAGGUUAGUAACUACUUACCGAAACUAAUGCUUUUAGUUGCAAAGGGUUCCCAUGGGAGGUAUCAAUGGACCAAGGCUAGUAACUACUUACGGAAACUAGUGCUUUUAGUCGCAAAGGUUCCCAUGGGAGGUAUCAAUGGACCACUGAAGUUUAUUUUUUCUUUCUUUUUUUUUUUUUCCUUUUUGAUUAGAACCAACAUGUCUUUAUUGAAAUAAGCACUCUCUAAUAAUUAUUUAUUCUCUUCGUUGUAGAUGGACCAUGAGAGCCUUAUGUCUGGAUCAUGAACAAUGCCGAUUCGCAUGCCCUACCCAAAGUACGGAAAAAUCAUAAAAUCCAAAGCCUAGGUGUUACUCGUGACUGCUUCCUUGACCUUGGCUGUCAUUGUUGUUUACACCGGAUGAUUGAAAGGAAUGCUAUAAGAAUCAAUCACCGGCAGUGAGGCAUGAAAUUUAAAUGCACAAUUCUUAGCUAAAUAAUUGUUGCAACCUCCUUCAAUUGCCGCUUUACCCACAUCCUCAAUAGAUGUGCUUCACUUUCUAUCCAUCAAGUGUACUAUGUACCUUCGGAAAAGGUGGUGGUAACGAAUGAAAGCAAGUUGAAUAGAUUGCUUAAACAAAAACAUUAGCCUAUGCCCUCCUAAGCAAAGCAUUCCGUGUCAUCUCUAGGCUCUAGGUAAUCAGCUCCUCAAAAAUUUUCACCUAGGUAUUUGUUUUGCUAAAGAAUCAAAGUUUUUCUUGGCUUGGGAAAUUGUACAUGACCGGACCAGACUAAUGAUCAAUUCCUCACAAUAGAAAUGAUAUGGGGCCACUCAUAGAUAGAUUUGCAUACCUCAAGGCAAAGGCAUGCAGAAACAUCCCGAUUGAAAAGCCAAGGGCCACAAGAAGUGAUGUAAAGAAUAAAUUGUAGAAUGAGGUAUCCCAAUCAUUGUAAGCAGGCUGACCAGAGAAUGAAGCAUAGGCCUUGAACCACAGCAGGGUAAAUCCAAACGCAAUGUUCUUGUAGAAUGCACAUGCAAUGUUCUCGUAGAAUGCACCGGGUUAAGUCUUCAUUUUAUUUAUUUAUUUAUUUUUGUUACUAUGAGCUUGAUGAGUUCUCUUGUAAAUACUAAUUUAACCAUCAACCCUCUAUUUUUAGAUGCUGGAAUUGUAUAACAUAAAGAUCAUAUGUUUUUGUAGCUAAAUAAAUUCACGAGAAUCACCACACAUAAAAUUAUUCACAAGAAUUCAUUAUCCACAGAUAAUUUUCAAAAGAAAAAAGGUUCCAUGCUGCAGGUAAUAUUCUUGCUACAUAGGGCAUGGACACGACAAUUCUAAAAUUCUCCUGUUUAGCCCGCAUCUCCAAAUAUGGAAGGCAAGAAAUACUAGCAAGGGUUUAUUAUUACAAAUGGUAAAUAAUAAAAGUAAUAACAUUGGGAAUAUUUCAUCUUGACACCAUUGGCCCACAUAUAGGCAUGCAAAAAGUGAUACCAGUAAGGGUCAAUCAAAUGCAUGUUUUUUCCUUGGGGACAGAUUUCCUUAACCAUGCCUCUAAAACCUAUUUCUAGUGUCCAUAGAGUCAAAAUAAUUCCUCAUAAUACUAAAGAAAAAAAUAAGAUCAAGAUUUAUGUUUUUUCCCUAUUUAAAAUGGCCAAGAAAUGAAGGCUUCAGCCACAUUAUUCGGUUGGAAAUCAAGAAAAUGGGAAUCGGAUAUGAUUUAAAUCAAGAAAAUAGAAUCUUUCUUCUUUUUUUGUACAUUUCUCUAAUUUUUUGCUGGCCCCACUUCUUUCUUUUCCCCAUGGUCGUUGGGGGCGUCUUUUAUGGGAGAAUGGCGCGCAGUGGGUAGGAAGAGAGAUUCAAGGUCGCUCUCUUAAAUUUGUUUACCGUUUAAGGUGCAAAAGAAAGAAAAAAAAAAGAAUUUUUAAAUUUGCUUACCCUUCACUGUGCUUACGCCUCCCAAACCCUAAUUUUCUUCAACAAAUCUUGAUGAUUACAUUUGCCCUUUCAAAUCCAGCUGACCGUCUUGGCCUAGACAAGAUUGUGGGGGAGUCCGGAGAGAACAUUGGUCAUCUCGACUAAGGAGUAAUAUGGCUGAAUCAUGAUUUGAGAUAUUUCAUGAAAGGUCCGGAAAAAUAUAAUGAGAGAGUGAGUUGGCAACUCACAACGAAAGUUUUAGACAUUACUUGGAAAAUCAUUUAGGGGGAGCCAAAGUUUCGGCCAUAAAUAUACAUAAUUAGAUAGAUUUUAAUUAAAUACUUAAGCCAUUGAAUUAUGAUUUACCAUGGAUAUUAACUGAUCCACAUUGUAGGGAUAAAUGUCCUAGUUUACUAAAAUUUGGCUAAUUAAUUGACAAAAGAUCUGGCCAAGUAGUUGUCAAAAGGUCAAAAGGUUUAGAUCAUAGUUGUCCCAAGUUGAAAAUGAUAACCCUUGUAUAUUAGAUAAAAAAAAGUCUAUUUCAUUCAUCAUAUAAGAAAAUUCACUUGAGGUGUCAUUCAAUAUAUAUGAGUAUAUAGAGUAUAGCUAAUGCAAAUGGUGGGUCUCGCGGGGAAAAACAAACAAAGUGGGUUUUAACUUUUCCCCCAUAGAUUAUUCACUUCUAAUUCAUAGUUGAAUAGGCAAGGCCAUUGUCCACACCCUCUGCAUGGCUUUAGGACAGACCCUUAAAGAUUUGGUACAACAUAAAAUGUUGUUUUCUCUCUCUUUCUUCCUUUUUUUUUUUUUUGGCUUCUUUUUCCGAGGUUACUGUAUCAGCAGGAGUUGACUCCUGUUUCUGGAGUUUUUGAUAGCAGAAGGUUUGUCCUUUCUGCUGCGACUUUUGAUUUAGGGGAGAGAGAGCGAGAGAGAGUUCUUAGCAGUUAAACAAGAAGUGGGAAUUAUUCAGGUUUGAGAUGAUAGGGGUGGUCAGGAGAGAGGAAAAGAAAGAAGUGAGAGCUGCUUUGUCCUACCGUCAACGAGCAAGCAUGGUAUGGCGUUGGUAGAGCUAGGAAGAGAGAGAGAGAGUGAGAAUUUAUCGGAUGAGAGAGAGAUAGAUUUCCUAGAGAACCAAAAUGAUAUACAUGCCCUGCCCUGGCAAUAAAAUAUAAAAACUAGCUGGGGCGCCUUGACCCUCUAAAUUAGGAAGCAUGGGCAGAGGAUUAUAAAUGAAUGGCCCUCACCUUAUGAUCGGGAGGAUCACCCUAUUCAACGUAUGAAUAACAAUCCAAGAGCCGCCACAUGAUAAAGAUACAUUUCUCGAGCCUCCCUUUUCAUUCAUGCUCUCGAAAUGCACAAAUUUUUUACUUUCUAAUUUGCUGGGAACAAGACCCUUUUGCGUGACCUAAGCCCGUGAGUAAAUAAUAAAAAGGUGAAAAAGGAAUUUCUAUCGGUCACCCGGAGCAUUGAAAGGUACAAAGGGAGGGAGAGAGAGAGAGAGCGCGUAUGAAAUGACAACAACCCACCAUUCAUGAAAGAAGAAAAUAUGGAAAUAAGAAUUAGGGGAGCGUAUGAAAUGACAACACACCACCAUUCAUGUAAGAAUUAGGGCCGGAGGCCAGAUCUUUGCCCUUUGCCCGGGGAUGCAUAACAAAGAUGGGAUCCGCAUCUCCUCUUAAUUUUCUCCAUCCUUUUCUUGGCCUUUCUAAUUUAUUUUGGUCGGGCAUCAUAAUACCUGCAUCCAUGCGCGCCGUGCCUCGCGGUGGAGUUUGCAUCACCAACACUUUCCAUUUUUUUUAUUGGUAUAUAAGAUUAGUGCCCAAAAAAAUCCCAAAUAUUGUAAAAUCACUUGAAUAGUGCUGGAAUAGAGGAUAUACUGUUGUAUAAGUUUGAAAUGCAAGGGGUUAAGUCCCCUUCUCCACCAUGGAGAGUGAAAAUAAUUUCUCAUGAUACUAAAAAAUAAGAUCAAAAUUUAUGGUUUUUUCCCUAUUUAAAAUGGCCAGAAAAUAAAUAAAGGCUAGUGGGGCUCAAGUCAAAGAGUAAAAAUCAGCAAUUUACUACACAUAUGGUAAUUAUUUUGAUGAAAUUCCAGUGUCGGCCAUUUGUUUGAUAACGACAUAAAAUUUCUCUCUUUCUAGCUUAGAAGCGAGAAGGAAUGAUGGCCACUGUUUGAUAAUGAUUUAAAAUUUCUCUCUUUUUAGCUCAAAAGUGAGAAGGGAUGAUGAUGCUCAAGGAGGGAUGAGUAAGAGAGGACAAAAAUUUUCUUUGUAGAAAAUAGAAAAGUAAAAAAGAAAAAGAAAAAGGAAAUGGAAUGGUCGGAAGCACAAGACUCCGGCGCCAUUAUUAUGCCAGUCCAGCCCUCCUCUCCAGUGUGGUGUGAUGUAAAAUAAAGAUGGAAAUCAAGAAAAUGGUAAUAUCUUUUUUGGGGAUAUUUCUCCAACUUUUUGCUGGGCCCCACUUCUCUCCUCAUCCGGGCAUCUCAGGUCUAAGUGAGAACUAAUUAACACCUUUUGGCUGUCGACCGCAACAAUACCAUUGAAGUUUUGGGUUUUUUUCCCUUCAGUUUUGGUUAGAACCAAUAUGUCUUCAUAUGAAAUGUUGAAAUAAGUACCCAUUAGUAAUAUUUUCUAGAUGAAUGGAUGAGAGCCUUAUAUCAAUGAACCAAUACAUCCACUCCACUUGCAUAGUCUACAGAAAAAUCAUACAAAAUCCAAAACCUCCCUGGCCAGACUAAUUCUUGCCAAAGCUUCUUGGACCUCGGUGGCCGUUUUUAGUUAUUAUUUUUCAAUUUCAUGAGAUUCCCAUUUAGUUGCCAUUCAAUUCCCACAUUCUCGAGGAGUGAAUGAGUGCUUGGGGUACUCAUUUGUAGGAUAUAUAGAAAAUUACCACAGUAAUGAAUAAGACUUACUUAUGCCACAAAUUGGAAUUGCGUGUUCUCAUUUGUAAUAGCAUCAUCAAGGCCCGAUUCCCCAAGCUUGUCCUGACCUAGUCAAAGUCGCAAGGGACUAAAGCUAUUAGGCGGGCUUGAGCUAUGGCACUUGGUCGAAAGGGUCACCUAUCCACAAGUUCGUCUGCAUUAGGAUGAAUGAAAGUAUGACAUCCUAAGAUUUCACCAAAGCCCGUCCCAUAGUGCCUCCACCUAGGACACCGCGGCAUCUCCCAAAUAUAUUUCCUCACGACCACAACUAACAAUAACUGCUCUAUAAAUAACAAAUAAUGGUUUAUAUAUAUAUGAGCGGUUAUUGCUUUUUAUUUAUUUUUCUCUUUUUUUUUCUAAUUGGUUGAAAAUGAGCAAUUCUCCUUCCUUGCGAUGGCCUGUGGAGAGAGAAAAGGAGAAUGGGAAGUGUAAGUUCUUCCAAUGGGAAGGGGAGCAGAGUUAGGUGGUGGCGCCCCCGCACCCACCUGCCGGUUCACUUGGACGGCAGCCAUGGAGCCCGAGGGUCCCAUGCAUCUCAUAAGACGAAGGGACUGUGAAAUUUAUUUCUUGAACUUCCAACAAUCCUUAAAUAUCUAAUUAAGAAAAUUCUUUCUGAUUUUUAAUAUGUAAUGUAUUUAUGUUAAUGUGUGCACCUUGUAUUGUAUAGCUAGUUAAAAUAAAUGUGGGAUGGGUAUUUUUGGUGAUAAAAACCCUUGAUUUCCAGGUUAACUUUUUUAUGGAGUUUAGAAUAUUUAUGGUGCACGAGAACACCACAGAGUCUUUUCCAUUGAAUUUCUAGAGAAGGCCCUUUUUGGUCAUUAGUGACUUUUGACUGAAAACUCUAUGUCUCUCCUUUUUCUCCCUUAGGUUUUAUCAAAAGAGGAAGACCACCCUUUGCACACUCAAGCCGAUUAGCGGUAAUGAGCAUGUGAGCUGGUUAGGUUUUCCGGCAAGGGGAGGGAGCAGAGGAGCCAUUUUGAGGUGUUCCAAUACAAUGGAAAUCAAUAUGAUUCGAUGAGUAUUUUGCUUUUUAUCAGUUUUCCCUCUUUCUUGUCUUCUAAGGGACCUGUACUAUUAAGAUUGACGCUUUUAUUCAGUGAUUUCCUCAGAUCCUCUGAUGCUAGACAAAUUAUGUAUGUACAUAAAUACAAUUCACAUUACUAUCUGAACAAACUCAGUGAACAAUACCAUGAGGACACGAUUUUACCUACAGUUGCUAGUUUGUUGUGACUAUCUGGGUUGACUUUUUUUAACCUGCUGUUCUCUGGCUAUUGUGGACAAUGCCCCUAUUCAAGUGGCUUGGGUCCAUGCCUAAGUAGCUUUCAGAAUUAUGAUGGAAUUUAAUUAGUGCAUGUGUGCAUAAACUUUACCAUGGGGAAGAAAGGUCUGAUAAAUAAAAGAUCAUAUGCUGUAAGUUGUAUCUAGACCAACUGCAUAAAAUGGCAAUUUGUCCUCAACAAUACAGUUGGGGCUUUCCAGAUGCACAGUAGCACUCACCAUUGCUCUUCUUUUAGUGAUCAAGAAAUGGAAGAGACAAUUUAGAUAACUUUGCUUUUGUACAAGUGCCUAGGCGAUCAAGCAUAUAAUUCCUUCAAUGCUGAACCCCCCACUAGGCAAUAGAAUAGAAGCUCAGGAGUACAAGAGCUGUAUUCCUUGAUUAGCACUCAAAGUUAAUCUCAUCUUAGAUGUUUGAAUAUUGAUUGAUUUUUACAAGGAAAGAAAGAAUUUUUACCUGGAUGUUCUUUUUGCAGGUUUUCUGGUUCUACCCGUUGUACAUAUUUAGGAUCAUUUUGAGCACCAUAUGGUACUUUCACUGAAAUUUCAAUCUACACAAGUUAGUUUUAUGUCUGUUUACUCUGGGAAUCUUGUUUGUUUGAUUUAUGUGAAUUUUCCAUGAAGCAAGGAUAUCGAUGAGCAUUGCGAUUACCAAAUAAAGUCUUGUAAGCAUGUGCAUAUGCCCUUUCUGGUAAAUUAAAUGUAGGAGUCAACAUGCUGUUCUGUUAUCAAUGGGAACAAGGGGAAAGAAAAUAUUAAUAAAAUAAUUUGUGGGUAAACUAGACCUAGCAUAUUUCCUUUGGUAACUGAAGUCUUAAUAUUGAAAUGUAGCAAAAGCCAUGUGUCUUCUGUUUAGUUGAUGCUAGAAAAGGAAGGAAUGUGGAGCUUUUCACACAUAGAAAGGUUAAAGACACUCAAUGGAAUUCUAGGUGUUUGAUUGACCUUGCUGUCAUAGGGAUAAAAUUGGUCCAGGGGAAGAAGGCGCUUCCAAUGGAUACGUCAUAACCAAAAGAUGGUUAUUGUUAAAUUUUAUAGAUUGUCUACUUUUAUUGCUUGCAUUGCAGGCCAUGAUAAACAUGUGUCUCGGAUUUUAGUUUAUCUGGUUGUAACUUGGUUUUGCCUUCUGGUUAGUUUGCACUGAGUUGAGAGGGAGGUUUCUAGAUCUACCGUUUCACUCUUACUGUACUGUCUACACUUCUAGAUUCUUUAGGACACAGAAUCUAUUGUUGAGUACUUAUGAUAUAUGUUGUGCAGGAAAUCUAAGGUUUUAGUGGAAGAUGUGAAUGCAGGUAAAAUGACAUAGCUAAACAUGGAUUUGCUGCAAUGGAAGGAUCUUGCUCUAUGUUAGAGCAACCCUCAAACCAAAUACGAUUGAAAAGGAAAAACUUGUUGAUCUUGGAGGGUAUAAAACUAAACACAAUCGACAAUUCUUAUAUUUGGCUACAGAAGUUGGCUUUUUGUAUUAGUGUAUCUGAAGCUAAAGUGGUUUCAAUUACCUUAGGGUGAUGAUCGGAAUUGGAGAGCAGGUAUAUUCAAUACUACUCCUGACCUUCUUCUUACCAGAGGUGAAAUACAGUAUAGAUUUAAUCUUGAAUAUCAAGAUACACUAUAGGAUUAAAAGCAUUUUAAUUGGACCUUGAACUAUCCUAGUGAUAAAAUACCUUCAACAUCUAUAGCCUGCCCUGUCCUCGGUUUUGGUUAGUGUCCCUCUCCUCUCUCUCUCUAGCUCAAUAUUUCCUAGCAUUCCAUCAAUUUUUUUUCCAUAAAAUUCCUUGUAAAUCCUUGUAAAUCCAUAACAAUAAUUUGGUUAUCUGGCUGCACUUUUUUUUUUUUUGUUUAGCUUUAUAACCCAUAGUCCAUUCAUUUCAAUUGGUAAGCCCGUCUGUCUUUGACUUUGUGCAGCUUGCGAGCUCGAGAGAGUUGAGACCUCCAGGUUCGUUCGCUCGGCCCUUGUCUUCAUUUGAUCUUCUUCAUUCUGGCAUGGGUCGGUUCUCUUAUGCUUCUGUGUCGAGGCAAGGGAGUCUUGAGGCAGUAAGUAUUAUCUCAUAUUAUCACGUCUUUUUCAUUCUUUUUUUUUCCCAUCCAUUUCACAUGGCAGAUGGCUAACCGUUAUCAUGUUGCGUUCGGCGAGGAUGACACAUACGCUGGGUUUUUACUCCAGCUAUUCUGGGAAGCAGGGGAAGGGAACCCGCGGCAGAUGGCUGACCGUUAUAAUGUUGCGUUCGACGAGGAUGACACAUACGCUGGGUUUUUACUCCAGCUAUUCCGGGAAGCAAGGAAGGGAACCUGCGGCAGAUGGCUGACCGUUAUAAUGUUGCGUUCGGCGAGUAUGACACAUACGCUGAGUUUUUACUCCAGCUAUUCUGGGAAGCAGGGGAAGGGAACCCGUGGCGCUGCAACAAAUAUGCUUCCUCCUGUGCCAUUGCAGCACCUAUAGCCUGCCUUGUCCUCAGUUUUGGUUAGUGUCCCUCUCCUCCCUCUCUCUAGCUCAAUAUUUCCCAGCAUUCGAUCAAUUUUUUCCAUAAAAUUACUUGUAACUCCUUGUAAAUUCAUAAAAAUAAUUUGGUUAUCUGGCUGCACUUUUUUUUUUUUUGUCUAGCUUUAUUACUCAUAGUCCAUCAUUUCAAUUGGUAAGCCCGUUUGUCUUUGACUUUGUGUAGCUUGUGAGCUCGAGAGAGUUGAGACCUCUAGGUUUGUCCGCUCGGCUCUUGUCUUCAUUUCAUCUUCUUCAUUCGAGCAUGGGUCGAUUCUCUUCAGCUUGUGUGUCGAGGCUAGGCAAUCUUGAGGCAUUGAGUAUUAUCUCAUAUUAUCACGUCUUUUUCAUUCUUCUUUUUCCCCGUCCAUUUCACAUGGCAGAUGGCUGACCGUUAUUAUGUUGCGUUCGGCGAGGAUGACACAUACGCUGGGUUUUUACUCUAGCUAUUCCGGAAGGCAGCGAAAGGGAACCCGCGGCAGAUGGCUGACUGUUAUAAUGUUGCGUUCGGCGAGGAUGACACAUACGCUGGGUUUUUACUCUAGCUAUUCCGGGAAGCAGGGGAAGGGAACCAGCGGUGCUACAACAAGUAUGCUUCCUCCUGUGCCUUUGCAGCAUCUAUAGCCUGCCUCGUCCUCAGUUUUGGUUAGUGUCCCUCUCCUCCCUCUCUCUAGCUCAAUAUUUCCCAACAUUCCAUCAAUUUUUUCCAUAAAAUUCCUUGUAAAUCCUUGUAACUCCAUAACAAUAAUUUGGUUCUCUGAGUGCACUUUUUUUUUUUUGUCUAGCUUUAUUACCCAUACUCCAUUCAUUUCAAUUGGUAAGUCCGUCUGUCUUUGACUUUGUGCAGCUUGCGAGCUCGAGAGAGUUGAGACCUCCAAGUUCGUCCGCUCGGCCCUUGUCUUCAUUUGAUCUUCUUCAUUCUGGCAUGGGUCGGUUCUCUUAUGCUUCUGUGUCGAGGCAAGGGAGUCUUGAGGCAUUAAGUAUUAUCUCGUAUUAUCACGUCUUCUUCAUUCUUUUUUUUUCCCAUCCAUUUCACAUGGCAGAUGGCUAACCGUUAUCAUGUUGCGUUCGGCGAGGAUGACACAUACGCUGGGUUUUUACUCCAGCUAUUCUGGGAAGCAGGGGAAGGGAACCCGCGGCAGAUGGCUGACCGUUAUAAUGUUGCGUUCGACGAGGAUGACACAUACGCUGGGUUUUUACUCCAGCUAUUCCGGGAAGCAAGGAAGGGAACCUGCGGCAGAUGGCUGACCGUUAUAAUGUUGCGUUCGGCGAGUAUGACACAUACGCUGAGUUUUUAUUCCAGCUAUUCUGGGAAGCAGGGGAAGGGAACCCGCGGCGCUGCAACAAGUAUGCUUUCUCCUGUGCCAUUGCAGCACCUAUAGCCUGCCUUGUCCUCAGUUUUGGUUAGUGUCCCUCUCCUCCCUCUCUCUAGCUCAAUAUUUCCCAGCAUUCGAUCAAUUUUUUUCAUAAAAUUCCUUGUAACUCCUUGUAAAUUCAUAAAAAUAAUUUGGUUAUCUGGCUGCACUUUUUUUUUUGUCUAGCUUUAUUACCCAUAGUCCAUUCAUUUCAAUUGGUAAGCCCGUUUGUCUUUGACUUUGUGCAGCUUGUGAGCUCGAGAGAGUUGAGACCUCUAGGUUUGUCCGCUCGGCUCUUGUCUUCAUUUCAUCUUCUUCAUUCGAGCUUGGGUUGAUUCUCUUCAGCUUGUGUGUCGAGGCUAGGCAGUCUUGAGGCAUUGAGUAUUAUCUCAUAUUAUCACGUCUUUUUCAUUCUUCUUUUUCCCCGUCCAUUUCACAUGGCAGAUGGCUGACCGUUAUUAUGUUGCGUUCGACGAGGAUGACACAUACGCUGGGUUUUUACUCUAGCUAUUCCGGAAGGCAGCGGAAGGGAACCCGCGGCAGAUGGCUGACUGUUAUAAUGUUGCGUUCGGCGAGGAUGACACAUACGCUGGGUUUUUACUCUAGCUAUUCCGGGAAGCAGGGGAAGGGAACCAGCGGCGCUGCAACAAGUAUGCUUCCUCCUGUGCCUUUGCAGCAUCUAUAGCCUGCCUCGUCCUCAGUUUUGGUUAGUGUUCCUCUCCUCCCUCUCUCUAGCUCAAUAUUUCCCAGCAUUCCAUCAAUUUUUUCCAUAAAAUUCCUUGUAAAUCCUUGUAACUCCAUAACAAUAAUUUGGUUCUCUGAGUGCACUUUUUUUUUUCUAGCUUUAUUACCCAUAGUCCAUUCAUUUCAAUUGGUAAGUCCGUCUGUCUUUGACUUUGUGCAGCUUGCGAGCUCGAGAGGGUUAAGACCUCCAGGUUCGUCCGCUUGGCUCUUAUCUUCAUUUGAUCUUCUUCAUUCUGGCAUGGGUCGGUUCUCUUCUGCUUGUGUGUCGAGGCGAGGCAAUCUUGAGGCAUUGAGUAUUAUCUCGUAUUAUCACGUCUUUUUCAUUCUUCUUUUUCCUCGUCCAUUUCACAUGGCAGAUGGCUGACCAUUAUCACGUUGUGUUCGGCGAGGAUGACACAUACGCUGUGUUUUUACUCCAGCUAUUCCGGGGAGAAGGGGAAGGGAACCCACGGCAGAUGGCUGAUUGAUAUAAUGUUGCGUUCGGCGAGGAUAACACAUACGCUGGGUUUUUACUCCAGCUAUUCCGAGAAGCAGGGGAAGGGAACUCGCAGCGCUGCAACAAGUAUGCUUCCUCAUGUGCCAUUGCAGCAUCUAUAGCCUGCCUUGUCCUCGGUUUGGUUAGUGUUCCUCUCCUCCCUCUCUCUAGCCUAAUAUUUCCCAGCAUUCCAUCAAUUUUUUCCAUAAAAUUCCUUGUAAAUCCUUGUAAAUCCAUAACAAUAAUUUGGUUAUCUGGCUGCACUUUUUUUUUUUGUCUAGCUUGAUUACCCAUAGUCCAUUCAUUUCAAUUGGUAAGCCCGUCUGUCUGUGACUAUGUGCAGCAUCCGAGCUGGAGAGAGUUGAGACAUCCAGGUUCGUUCGUUCGGCUCUUGUCUUCAUUUGAUGUUCUUCAUUAUGGCAUGGGUCGGUUCUUUUAUGAUUAUGUGUCUAGGCGAGGCAGUAGUGAGGCAAUGAGUAUUAUAUCGUAUUAUCAUGUCUUUUUCAUUCUUCUUUUUCCCAUCCAUUUCACAUGGUAGAUGGCUGAUUGUUACCACGUUGCGUUCGGCAAGGAUGACACAUACACUUGGUUUUUAGUCCAGCUUUUUCAGGAAGCAGGGGAAGGGAACCCGCGGCAAAUGGCUGACCGUUAUAAUGUUGCGUUCGGCGAUGAUGACACAUACGCUGGGUUUUUACUCCAGCUAUUCCAGGAAGUAGGGGAAGGGAACCCGCGGCGCUGCAAUAAGUAUGCUUCCUCCUGUGCCAUUGCAGUAUCUAUAGCCUGCCUUGUCCUUGGUUUUGGUUAGUGUCCCUCUCCUCCUUCUCUCUAGCUCAAUAUUUCUCAGCAUUCAAUCAAUUUUUUCUAUAAAAUUCCUUGUAAAUCCUUGUAAAUCCAUAACAAUAAUUUGGUUAUCUGGUGCACUUUUUUUUUUUUUUUUGUCUAGCUUGAUUACCCAUAGUCCAUUCAUUUCAAUUGGUAAGUCCCUGUUUCUCUCGUCUAAUGUCCAGUAAUAGAGAAAGUCUUUUUUUUUUUUUAAUUGUAUUGCAUUUUUUUUUUAACUGGCCUUGUAAUCUGGCUUUCAAAGUAACUUGCUGCUGUAAAUUGAAAUGAAAAGAAAGGUUUGAAAACUCACUCGUUUACCCUAUUUUGCUUUUUCUCAUUCGAAAAUAAAUAGAUUUGCCUCCUUUCAUCUGCACACCGUGGUAAGGAAAUUUGAUGCCCUUUUCUAGCCGAAUAUUGCAUCUGUCAUUACUUUUUGAUUGUGUCUUCUUGAACAAUAACUACCCAUUUGCCCUAGUUUGACACAUACUAAAUUCUCUUCGUGUGCAUGUGAUAGUUCACCAGUGAAUUUUGCAUAUUAAGUCACUAUAGAGAUCCAAAAUUUGUGUCUUUUUGAUUGGCAUCUCAACAGGCUUGAGUACCUGAGUGAUCUGAAUGUAGGAUAUAUUUGAGGUCACUGCUUGCUGAAUCAAGCCCUCUUUUUAUUUUCAGUUAAAUUAAAUAGAGAAAUUUGAUCACGAUCGCCAUACGACUGCCGCACGACAACCGCGCAACCACCGCACGACCACCGCACGAUUGCUGACCAUCGCCGCCAACUGCCACCACAAGAUUGCCACCCAUCAACCGCAGGAGGGGAUAGUGGCCGAUGGGCUAUGGGCGGCAACCAUGUGGCGGUUGGCGAUGAUAGGCUGCCAACGGAUGGUGGCAGUCAUCGGGCAGUGGGUUGUAGGCAGCAGUCGGUGGGCUACGGGCGGUGGCGACCAUCGCCGGCAGUCGCCAGCGGUCGGCUACCAACGGUGGCCAUAGGCAGCAAGAGGUGGCCGACAGUUGGCAGGCAGUGGGCAAUGGCUGCAUUGUCAUUUUAGCUUGCAGCAUUGUCAUUUUAGCUUUUGCCGAAGGGUGCUUAAAGUUGAUUUUGGAAAAAUAAAAUAAAAGAAACGAUAAAGGGUUGUAUAUUAAAGAGGAUUUGUCCAAGCUUAAGCCGAGGUUUAAUUAAUAAUUCAAAUUUCAUUGGGAGGCGAUGAACUAAGGGAUGAACUUUUAGGACCCGGUUGCAAGAACUACACAAGUAUUAAAUGUAGCUUUAUCCCUAUUUGUUAGCUAGUAUAAGGAUUAUAAUCUUAAUGGUCGAAAAAAUUACUGAACUGACAUAUAAUUUACUUUGCCUCGGGAAAAUCAUUUCAAUCACAAAUAAAAAAGAUUAGACUUGGACGUAAACUAAAAUCGAUACAAAAUUGGAAGCCAGAGAAGAGAGAUGUUUUGAGCAUUUGUUUAUAACGGAAUCAUUUGUUGCACAAUUACUGUCCCUCGCAUCAUCAAUACGUAACCAAGAUUCAAGAAAAUGUCUAGAGCUUUAGCUUUGUCAUUUGAAGAAAAUUGAACGACAAACUUCAUCAAUUGCAAUGAAGAAAAGUGAAGAAAUUCAUAUAUUUUUCAACCAUUCAUAAAUAUGACACGAAGAAAACCAUUUCGCUUUUACAAAAAUAAAAUUCAAAGCACGUGUCACAAUAUAAACAAUACUCAUUGAAAAUUUAACAUAUAUAUAGUAACAAUAUUUUGUUAUAAAUUACUAUUAUUGUUACUCCGAACUCUUAGUAAUUCGGGUCACGUCGAAAUGUGGCAAAUAGCUGCAUUGAGAACCAUGAUUUUACAUGGAGUGGAAGUGGGACAUCCAUAAUCGUUCAUAAUUUAGCACCAUCCGUCAUUGGAAGCUACACACGUGUACAAGAAGUGCAAGUAGGAAUUGGUCAUAUGUACGCACGAAUGCAAUAGGCAUUGUUUGUCAAAGUGAUGAAUUUGAUUCUAGGCAAGUCAUAUCACAUUCUGAAUCUCCCGUGGAGGAAAGCAGGUGGCGAACCAUUUUACUUUUCAAGUGGGCAUCGGGUCAACUUGACUUUUAUUUGGCGGGUUUGAUAUCCAUCAAAUUGAGUCCAUCUCUUUCGAGCAAAAGCAAGUUAUUUGUAUUUGGGAGACUGAGUGCUAGAACAUUUUACCUUUCAAACGAUCAGUGAGUCAACUUGACGUAUUUAAUGGGAUUUGAUAUCCGCCAAAUUUAGUUCACCUUCUUUGAUCAUGAGUAGGUCAUUCACAUUAGGACUUGGAAAUGCUUCCUUGUGUUAUGAUCUCAAGUUUUUCAGUCAAGUAAAAAAUUAAAUCAUAGGUCUCACCUUAAAUUUUAGUUCAUUUUCGAGCUCAAAUUUUGAGAUGACACAUAUUCUUUUCGGAGUGGCUUGAUCAAAAUUGACAAUAACCAACUCUUUUCCCUUAAUUUUUGUAAAAAUUUCUGAACGGAAGUCAAGCUUACCCAAGUUUAUGUCUUAAACUUAUAUUAUAUAAUACGAUGUAUCUAAAUAAUGGAAUUUUCUCGCAAAAUAGAUUUUCGAGUUCAAGAAGGAAGAUGUUAGAUUCUUUUUUGGCCAUAAGAGAAAAGUGUCUCCUUUUAAUUGUUUAUCAAAUAACAUAAUAGAAACAUGGAGGACCGUUCUGUUUCAUUUUUGGGUCAAUAACAAUUAUUCUUUAUAUCUCGCUUUACAAUUGUAUUUCUUAAUAUUAUUAUUUGAAGGAGUGUAUUUUCUUCCAUCACGAAUUGGAGGAAACUUUCCUUUGCCUAUGCCUUUAAUUCAAGGGUUGCGAGUUAUGAAUAUUAUCCUAUGCAAAUUAGACUAAAAUUAAAAGUGGGCGAUAUCCAUAUUUAUAACCCAUCAAUAAAAUGUAUGAUUGAAGGAAGAUAUGACAUUUAUUUAAAACAUCUAAAUGUAGCAACAUGUCAAGGAAAAAAUUGAGUGCAUUUUUUUUAUCCCAAACAGUCUAGAAUAAGUCUACCUCUCCAGUCAAAUCAGAAGCAAACCAUCCAUAUCAAAAUUAGAGAAUUGACAAAGAAUUACUUCUUUGGAGAAUUAUUUCACUAUGUUCUUGGCACAAUGACCCAAGAGGCUUGUGCCAAGUAAAAGCAGAACACGAAACCUCGCUCUAAUUGUGGUGCCAUACCUCGGUCAUUUGACCUCGACUAGUUCUUUGGGUUACCUUGUGUAUUAGCUACUGUCAAUUGAUCGCGAAAGCAAUUUCAACUUCAACAUUUUAUUAGUAAAUUCCAUAAAAUUUGAUAAGUAUUAUCAAGAAGAAUUGCGAUCCAAAACUAUGAGAUAAGGAACCAAACCCAAUUCUAGAGUUGUCAAGACAGCAAAAAGUUGAUUGCUUAAAUCUUUAUCGCUUUCCAAUUGGAUGCGUUACACAAGUUAAAGUUCAAUUUGCCGAGUAAACACAAUGUUUAACCCUUCAUCUUUUCACUUCUCUUGUCACAGAAACUGCCUCCAUGGGCUGUGGGUGCGGCCUGACAACGAAGGUUAUCACUUUGUAGCUCCACGCGCAGAUCACUUUUAUAUCUCUUCGGAGAUCACCGGUGCUGAGUCGCUGGCCGGACUACUCAGUGGGAAACACUAACAAUUGCUUGGGCCGAGGAGUUGGCUUGCGUGCUUGAAGAAACGAAGGAAUAUCGGGCUUCCCACAUCAACCGGUGCGUUAAUUCCCUGGUAAUUGUAAAGUAUUACUUUCUCUGAAAGAAGUUGAAGGGUGAGCUGUUUUAUUUGAGCAGUGGGUCCCAGAGCCAUGUGUCGAUCAAUGAGUGGGCCGGCGCCCAUGUGGUGUGGUGGGGCCGAGCUCGGUCUAGCAGAUGGCCGCUUGCCGACCUCGUCAAACCCGUACUCCUCGAUCCCAAACUGCUCCGCCAGCGCCAGCAAUUACCGGAAGUGCUCCCACUCGAAAACGUAGUCGUUGCUGCAGUUGAAGGCCUCGUUCUGUGCAUACGGAUCGACCGCUACCCCAAUCUGCUGCUCGGCAAUGAGGUCGCCAUUUCCUUCGAUGGAGUAGCUAGCACUCCCGGCCGUCCUUGGUCCCCGGGAACAUAAGCGGGACGCCCUUGUGCUUGCAGAUGGCGGCAUAGACGCAAAGGGUGCCGGCAAGGUUCAUGAGGCUGUAGGGGUAGAAGACGAAGAUGUGGGAAGCCCGAAACUCCGAGGGAAUUGACGCACCGGUUGAUGUGGGAAGCCCGAAAUUCCUUCGUUUCUUCAAGCACGCAAGCCAACUCCUGAACCGAUUGCGGCGAUGCACUUCGCAAUGAACAGGAGGAGCUUAGCGAUUCGGUCUCGAGCUCCUAAGAACUCUCUGCAAAGAAAAGGUUUGUUUCUCACCGGAAGGGUGGACGCCGCCGGAGGAGGGCUCCUUGAAGCUGAAUGUUGAUGGAUCCGUCGGUCGAUAGCUCCUCGGAAGCUUCAAUUGCAGGGAAUCUCUGCCGGCCGCUGCUGGGUUUCACGAGGAAAAUAAGAGCAGCCUCGGCCAAAGCAGUUUUUGGUGUUUCCGACGGAGGAGUCCGACCAGCAAUUCGGCAGCGGUGAUCUCCGAAGAGAUAUAAAAGUGACCUGCGCGUGGAGCUACGAAGUGAUAACCUUCGUAGUCAGGCCGCACCCGCAGCCCAUGGAGGCAGUUUCUGUGACAAGAGAAGUGAAAAGAUGAAGGGUUGAACAUUGUGUUUAUUCUGCAAAUUGAACUUAAACUUGUGGAACACAUCCAAUUGGAAAGUGAUAAAGAUUUAAGCAAUCAACUUUUUGCUGUCUUGACAGCUCUAGAAUUGGGUUUGGUUCCUUAUCUCAUAGUUUUGGAUCGCAAUUCUUCUUGAUAAUACUUAUCAAAUUUUAUGGAAUUUACUAAUAAAAUGUUGAAGUUGAAAUUGCUUUUGAGAUUAAGUAGCAGUAGAUGGUAUCCAAGGUAACCCAAAGGAUUAGUUGAGGUAAAAUGACAGAGGUAUAGCACCACAAUUAGAGCGAGGUUUCGUGUUCUGCUUUUACUUGGCACGAGCCUUUUGGGUCAUUGUGCCAAGAACACAGUGAAAUAAUUCUCCAAAGAAAUAAUUCUUUGAGAAUUCUCUAAUUUUGAUAUGGAUGGUUUGCUUCUGAUUUGACUGGAGAGGUAGACUUAUUCUAGACUGUUUGGGAUAAAAAAAAUGCACUCAAUUUUUUCCUUGACAUGUUGCUACAUUUAGAUGUUUUAAAUAAAUGUCAUAUCUUCCUUCAAUCAUACAUUUUAUUGAUGGGUUAUAAAUAUGGAUAUCGCCCACUUUUAAUUUUAGUCUAAUCUGCAUAGGAUUUCAUAACUUGCAACCCUUGAAUUAAAGGCAUAGGCAAAGGAAAGUUUCCUCCAAUUCGUGAUGGAAGAAAAUACACUCCUUCAAAUAAUAAUAUAAAGAAAUAUGAAUAUAAAGCAUGAUAUAAAGAACAAUCCUUAUCGACCAGAAAAAGAAAUAGAACAAUCCUCCAUAUUUCUAUUUUGUUAUUUGAUAAACAAUUAAAAUGUGGCACUUUUCUCUUAUGGCCGAAAACGAAUCUAGCAUCUUUCUCCUUGAAGUCGAAAUUUUUUCACUGGACUUCAAGAAAUUUACAUAAAAAUGCGAAAUAGCUUAAUGCUUCUUAAUCCUAUGCAAGUCGAAUGGGCUUUUUGACCCAAAAGAAGCAGAAAUGGCCUAGCCCACUGGAAUGCCUCUGAUUUGAGAUCUCCUCUCCGCAUAGGGCACGAAUGUCCUACGCAAGAGGCAAGAAUUUUCAGAUGAUCUUUGGGCGUGAAAUUAAGCUAUCUUAAUACGGUGAAACCAAUCAAUCACGAUAAACAAAGUAGUCUCGAAGCAAGUGUCUUUCAAUUGGGGCCACCAUAGUUACUUGAAAUGCGAGUUUACGUGAGAUAAUUUUCAUUGUCGCCAAACAAGAAAGAUUAGUGAUCAAACAUCGAUCGUUUUGCUCCUCAAAUAACAAGUUGCAUACCAAUGGCUAACAAUGACUCUGGUGGUUUUUGCCAGGAUAAGCAAAAGGAGAUCACUUUUUUGCUAAGUGGCAUGGAAAAUGGUAUUGACAUAAUUUACUUACUAAACAUCACCCUCCUCUAACCAAGGUUCCAGCAUCACAAUUCCAUUUUUUGUGUAAAUUGAGGAGUCCGAUCAGGGAUAACAUGCCACUUUCAGGAGAUUCUCAAAUUGCAAAGGCUUGGUUUGAUCAAGCCACCGAGUAUUGGACAUAAGUUAUAGCGCUUACUCAAAUAAUUAUAUUGAAGUAUAGAAAUCUCACGAGAAUAUACAUAAAUAACUAUUUUUGAGAAAAAUUAUCUAAUAAAGAACUUCAAUACCAAACACUUUUCUCCAUGAACGACAGGCCUCAUGCAUGGAGUUGUUUCCUUCGAGCAAUUCUCGGUAUUGGAAUUGCAAGUGGAUGAUCAGAAGCAAAGAACGAUACAUGGACUUUGCUAUUUUUCUUUUUGCGGCACUACCUUUGAGACCGCUUCUUUGUUUUACUAAUGCUAAAAGAAUCGUUUAUACGGAUAUAUAUAUAUAUAUAUAUAUAUAUGUAAAUUAGAAAGAGCUAGAAGCAUUGUCUUAUCCUGUUGUGUGAAGGAUUACCCUUUUUUUUUCAGCGUCCUUUCCUAAUACAAAGAAAAGGUGAGAUUCUCUCGUACUGAUAUAAUGAUCAUCCUUACUUACUAUGUAAAUCACUGUGGUGGGAGGCAAUUGAUCUCGAGGCGAUGGAGAAUUUGGGGGGCCAAGAAUGGUGAGAAAUUUUAUUUUGCGAGAUUAUUCCAUUAUUUAAAAAGUCCUAUUAUACUAAUAUACGUUCAAGACAUAAACUUGGGCAAACUUGACUUUUGUUCGGAGAUUUUUACAAAGAUUAGGGAAAAAGACUUGGUUAUCGUCAAUUUUAAUCGAGCCACUACGAAAAUAAUAUGCGCCAUCUCAAAAUUCAAGCUUGAAAAUGAAGUAAAAUUUAAGGCGAGACCUAUGAUUUAAUUUUUACUUGACCGAAUAACUUGAGAUCAUAACACAAGGAAGCAUUGCCAAGUCCCAAUGUGAAUGACCUACUUAUGAUUGAAGGAGGUGAACUAAAUUUGGUGGAUAUCAAACCCAAUUAAAUACGUCAAGUUGACCGGUUGAUAAUUUGAAAAGUAAAAUGUUUUGGCAAUCGGUCUCCCAAACACAAGAAAACAAUGCCUAGUUCCGAUAUGAAUAACUUGCUUUUGAUCGAAAGAGAUGGACUCAAUUUGACGGACAUCAAACCCGACAAAAAAAAAAGACUCAAGUUGACCCGAUGGUCACUUGAAAAGAAAAAUUGUUCGGCACCCGGUUACCUCCAUGGGAGAUUUAGAAUGUGAUAUGACUUGCUUAGAGUCAAAUUCAUCACUUUGACAGACAAUACCUAUUGUUAUGACUGAUUCCUGCUUGCACUUCUUGUACACGUGUGUAGCUUCCAAUGACGGAUGGUGCUAAAUUAUGAAUGAUUAUGGAUGUCCCACUUCUACUCCAUGUAAAGUCAUGGUUCUCCAUGCACUUCGCCGCAUGUCGAUGUGACCCAAAUAAAAAAGAGUUUGGAGUAACAAUAACAACAAUUUAUAACAUAUUAUCAUUACUAUAUAUAUAUAUAUAUAUUGAAUUUUCUAUGAGUAUUAUUUAUAUUGUGGCCCAUGUUCUGGAUUUUAUUUUUGUAAAAGCAAAAUGCUUUUCUUUGUAUCAUAUUUUUAGAAUAGAAAUCUAUUGGGUAAAAUUAUUUAAUUUUUCAAUUUUUGGAAUAUAUUUAUACUUCAUAAAUAGAUUUGCAACAAAAAUUAGAAGUAAUUUUUUUUCUAUUUAUGAAAUAGAAAUAAGAAAUAAAAACUCUUCUCAAUAUUUAUCCUCUCUAUUAGUCGAUCGCUCAUCCAUCGUCACCAAUUGCCAUUCAUCGUCCGUUGUUGCCACUCUCAGCCAUCGGCCAUCACCGGCGGUUGUUGGCCACCAUCACCGGUCACCGGCCGCCACCGCCAAUCGUCAACCACCGGCGAUGGCGGCCGCUGUUCACCCUUCGUUGUCACCACUCCCAACCGCCGACCAUUGGCUACCAUUCACUGUCUGUUGUCACGACUUCUAGCUGCUAGCCGCCACUGCCGAUUAUGUUUGCCGCCGCCGAUUGCUACUGCCACUGCCGCCCUUGUCGAAAAUGGAGAAAUUUUGUGUCGAUAUCAAAUGAAUUUCUAUUCUGAAAAUAGAAAUUUUGUAUCGUUAUCAAACGCAUAUUUUUGCUUUGAAACUCAUCUAGGAAUAGAAAUAGAAAAAUCUAUUUCUCUUCCAAAAAUCAAUUUCUGUCUAUAAUGGUUAUCAUCCGCGCCCUAACCAGCCGAACAAUGAUUAUUUCCAUACUUUUGUUUCCGGAAUAAAAAGAAUAGAAAUUUGUUUGAUAACGUAUUUGUUCUACAGAAAAAGGAACCAUACAGAAAGGAAAAACACCCUCAAAUUAUCAUUUUGCUCCACACGCUGUGACACUCCUGUGUGCCCCCGCCUCGUACGAUACCAAACCCCCGGCGUUGGUUGGAAUAUGCGAACCAAACUACAGAGAAUCCCAACCCUCCCUCCCCUUCACAUUGGACGCACCCGACCCAAAAUUCCACACCUCUCUCCUCCUUUUUAAAAAUAAUUAAAAAUUGGAUUGUUUAAAAUUAUUUUUAUAAUAAUAAACUUUUCAUUAACCAAGAAGCUUAAAACUAGGAAAAAAAAAUUACGAUUUUUUCAAAAGGGAAAUUAUCUUCUUGAAUUUAAGCUUUGAUAGGAAAUUUUUUUUCAUUAACAAGGAAAACAUUUUUCAUUGACUCAUUUUAUUAAGUGAAUCAAAUGCCGAAAAUUGAGGAAAACGUUUUCUCAUAAAAAGGUUUUUUUUUUUUUUGUGAAAUAAAUGCACCCUAGACAAACAUUGGCCCACAAUAAUCAUUUUAUUUUUGGGAAAAACAAUAUAGAACAGUAGCUUGGUAAACUUUAAGUAGGUAUUUGGAUAAUAAUACAUAUCCAUAAGAUAUAUCCACAAUAAUCCUUUGUUUCAUGGAAAAUAAAUAGUUCAAAAACAUUUUCUUAAAAAUGAUUGCUUGCAUCACUUAAAAAAAAUGAAUGAACUAAAAUUAUUUUCAUAUCACCAAUGAAUAUGUCUAGACACGAGUUUUUCUUGAUAAUGAAUUUUUUUUAUCGACUAAUUAUUUUAAGCAAUCAUUUUUUUUUGGGACAUUGUACCGUGGCAUAAACACCAUGUGAUGGCUAUGUCAUUAGUAAUAAGCAGAAAUAGCUUACAAUUUUUUCUUUUGAUAAUAUCUAUAUUGUCGGAACAAUUCAGAUUUAAAUUAUACAAGUAUUUCAAAAUUUAUUGUUCUUUUUUCCUUUUGAGUGAAUGUCACUUUAGUAUGACGGAGGAAUUUUAUUUCAUGUAUUUAUGCUUUUACUCUUGUUCAACCAAAAAGAAAAUACGUUUAAUCUUGUGAAGUUAUUAUGCUUUUAGUUGGCCUUUUAAAUGGAAUGUUGGAAUUACUCCUUUUGCGGAAACAUUGUCUUAAGAAAUUGAAAGCUCGGUAGAGACAAAUUAUGAAGUCCUACAAGGCAAUAAGCUAAAAUCCAGGUUCUCUUCAAAAAGAAAAAAGAAAAAUCACAAUGUAAUCAUCCCAUAAAAGGGUAGGAAAAAUUCUACCUUCUGUCCCCUUGCUCUCAUCACAAUGUAAUCAGCCCGGAUAAUUUUAGGCCGAUUUAAAUGGGGACCGGUCUCUAGGUUAAAAAUAAAUAAAUUAGGAACUUAUCUUAACCUAUUUGACAGCUCGAUGUGCGUUCAAUCAUUCUCUAGCGUCGAACUUUUAUGGUAUAAUAUGAAAAUUAAGAAAAAAAAAACAUUAUCUCAUCAUAGUUCGACAUUCGUACAUACAAGAUUGAUGCUUAUUUUUUUCAAUGUAGGAUGUGAUCCUAGUUAUUAAGACGAGAAAAUGGGAAACAAGACAAAAAAAAAAUUAAGUGGAAACAAAAAACAAAUAGCACAUAAACUUUACUACAUUGCAGAGAAAUACAUUAUACAGGAAAAUUGUUCAAAAAACCCUAAACUUAUUAUUAGUGUCAAAUUGAACAAUUUAAUCAAUGACAAGGCGUUCUCUUUCAUUUUCCAGCCUAGUACCUUCGGACUUUUAAUAAAUUCUACACGCUUUUAUUUUUAAUAAAAUUCUAAUAGUGAGGAAAGAUCACCCAUUAAAUUAUAUAGAUACACACACAACAUGGGCUUUACUCGUUGUAAAGAAAAAUACUUACGCCAGCUUGUGCAAAUAAUAAUUUUGCAUGUUGAAAUUGUCGUGUCAGAUUAUAUUCCCUAGCAUUCCCACUGAUCGACAGCUUUAUCCGACUCCUGGGAAGCCAUGAUCUGGGCCCACCUCGCAUGUCUAAAUAUAGACCAUUCGAGGACCACCAGGUUGACUUGCCCUCUUGCCCGAACGGGGAUGUCAUCCACUUCCACGCCACCCAAUUCAACCGGACCCACGUAGGAUUCAAUCAAUCUAAUCCCAGACUUUUCACGUUGAAAAAGGCACAUAUAAAAAAUUCGAAUAACAUUGACCGUGGUCGUGCGGUCCAGCUCGAGUUAAAGGUGAAAGUUCGUAAGAGAAUAACCGGGAUAAUUAUUUAUAAAUCCAAAAUUUAUUGUACGGUGACUUAUCCAAUUUAAAGCCUUCUUAUGACUUGUCAUUUUAGUAAUAAAUAUUUUAAUUUUAACUAGAUAUCGUUGACGUGACAGUUUAAUCAACAUUAGCCGUUUUACGUAUCAUAGUCGGCGUUGGAUGUUUACAAAUUUUUAAUUUUUUUCAAAAAUUUUCAAAGUUUAUCUCUUUUUCUUCUUUUAUUUUUAAACCAAAAACACGACUUAGAUUCAUGGUUAGAGUCAAUGCCUUGGUUGCAUGCAUACACUGUUUGAUAAAAUGCCUUGAAGUCUCAACUAAAAAUUGGUCAACGAUAUCACAAGAUCCGAUAUUGAUAUGAAAUUGCUCGAUUAUAGCUAAUUUUUGUAAGUGCAUAGUGUUUCCAUAAUUUUUUGUUUCCCAGUGCUAGUGCAUUUGCUUUAUUCUCUGUACUGGGCUGUCUUCUCGCGGUGGUCCUCCAUGAGGAAGUUGAGCGAAGAUCACCGGUAGGCAUGUUCAUUGAAUAUUCUGGUAAUGUCCCGAAAGCCUUACAUUAGCCUCGGGAGUUGUUGGCACUAUGAGUACGUUCAAUGAUAUUGAAGUUUCCAUCAUCAUCGGACGACCGGUGGUGAUGGACGAAAAAGGCCAAUAUUAACAGAGAAAUAUAGGUGUCGACAAGCUGAUAUUGUUUCGGGUAAGCAGAUUCGAUCGUCGGCCAAUAGUUGGUACGUUCUCCUUUGUAAAUACAUUUUAGGAAAAUAGAGAUGGGUUUGAAAAAAAUUGGGUUGUUCUGGUCAUAUUAGGUUAAGUUUAGGGAUUUUUGUGGUAAUAUAUAUAUACUAUUGGUACGUUCUCCUUUGUAAAUACAUUUUAGGAAAAUAGAGAUGGGUUUGAAAAAAAAUUGGGUUGUUCUGGUCAUAUUAGGUUAAGUUUAGGGAUUUUUGUGGUAAUAUAUAUAUAUAUAUAUAUAUAUAUAUCACUUUUCUAUCGAGAGUGAUUUUUGUGGUGGGAGUCUUUCUAUGGUUUGCCCAUAAAUUUAGGCUGAGAGUGAAAAUUUAUUAAAGUUAGAUGGCGAUUCCACUCCUGCUAAAUGGUUUAAAAAUUCCUAUGAGCGAUCUUCUCAUUUAAAAUUGAUUCAAUAAAAAACAAAGAAUUUUUAAACAAAUACUCUGCUCCAAAAUAACUGGCAUUCCAUGGAAAGAUUAAAGCACGACGGUAUUUAUCUUCUCAAAAACUCUCGAUAGAUUGUUCAUAAAUGAGUUCCAAACGAUUCAUCAAGCAUCCCUAAUCAAUGAUUCAUCAAGCAUCCCUAGUCAAGCAUGGGGUUGCCCAUUGCGGGCCAUCCUUACCUAUGGGUACCUUAUCCAUGGUACGUUGGGCCAGGCCCAAAUACAUCAUUGUUGGGGAUUGCGAGCUACCAAAGUAGCAUCCAGCCUGACGGGGGCCCACUAGCCACGAGUGGGGCAAGCCCAACUGCUGGAGCAGAACAAAUUGGCGGGUCGGACGAAGCGAGUCUAGGCACAAAUCCCUACCCGGAAUUUCAUAAUGCAGGGCAUGGAAUCGGAUCUGGUGGGUCGGGCAUAGGGACGAAUCCCUACCCGAAUUUCGCACCCAACUUUCUGUCUUUUUCGAUCGCACCCGUCACCAGCUAAUCGGAGCUUGGCGACCCCCUAUAUGUGUCAACCGCCGACGGUCCAGAAUUGCGAUUGAUCACCUUGCAAUUGACCGAGCCAGAAAACUACUCCAGAUGGUCCCAGACUUUUGGUGAGCCCUUGUGACAAAGGACAAGGCCCUUGUGACAAAGGACAAGGACGGUUUCCUCGACGAAACCGUACCCGUUCCUUCAGACGAGCGACUGGCCUGACACUGGAGAAAAUGCAACCAUCUCAUCCGAAUGUGGAUCAGCAACUGCGUCUCUCCAGAUGUCGCGGGCAGAGAACUCGAAGAAAAUGUGGGACAACAUCAAAGAAAUGUAUGGAAAAUUAAAUCGAGCCAAGAUUUUUUUUCCUCAUGCAAGAACUCAGUGAACUCAAACAAGGAAAUAUGAUGGCAACGGCUUGUUACAACAAGCUAUCGUUGCUCUGGAACGAGCUCGAGGCCGCAGAAGAAAAACUCAAGGGACCGGCGGAAACCCUUGAAUAGUAUAGAUCUAUAAAGGAGAGGGAGAAAACCACUCAUUUCCUUUUGAUUUUGAACGAGAAUUACCUGACGUUCCAUUCACAGAUCCUGGCGAUGGAUUUGGUCCAUCCUCUCGGAAGGAUUUUUCAACUAGCUAUCCAAGAAGAAAACUAGCGACUCGCGGCUUCGGAGCAUGCGCGAGGAAGCGACAGUGUCGCUCUCAUGCUUCAUGGGGAGUGGCAAGAUUCGGGGUUCAAAACCCUAGCACGAGACAGAGAAAACCGAGAGGCAUUAAGGUUGCAAGGCAGUGGCGAAAGGGUGUUUAAAAGGGGAGGUGCCAACGGUCCAAAUCUUCCACGGCGGUCCGACAGUGUUCAGGAGUAUGAUCUCUCCGCUGAUUCGGACAUCGGAUAUAAUUUUGCGAAAAAAGGCAUCGAACGGCUAGAUCUUUUCCGCAUCUUCAAGGAAUUUUGGCCAAAAUUCGAAAGGAAGAGGUAAAUUGUAUUGCGAGUACUGUAAACGCCCACAUCAUACUAUAGAUAAUUGUUGGAAAUUGCAUGGGAAGCCAGGAGAAAAAGAAAAAAAAAAGAAAGAAUAUUAUGCAGCUUACCAAGUUAUGGGUCUGAGUAAUGAUCGGCCAAUUACCUUUGGGCAAUAUGAACAGUUGAUGCAGGCUUUACAAAAGGCAAACAUCGCAAACAAAGGAGGAAGUUUUUCAGGUAUAUCUCAUUACCUGAUAAAUUUUAUUUCAAGAAAGGCUUGGAUAGUCAACUCAAGAGCAAGUGAUCAUAUUAUUUGUGAUAAAAGUUUUUUUUUUUUUUUGCUAUGCAUAAGAAAUUGGAUAUAUCAAUUUCUAUGCAACUGCCAAAUGGGAAUAUCACUAAUGUCACCUUGACAAGCAUUGUUCAUCUGAGUCCUCAAAUUACCCUUCGAAAUUUCCUCUAUGUCCCACAAUUUCAAUUCAAUCUUAUCUCUGUGUCCAAAGUCUAGAAGGAAAAUUCCUGUCGAGUAUUCUUUGAUUUUGACACCUGUUUUUUCCAGACCCUUUCGACUGGCAAGUUGAUGGGCUUAGGUAAUCUCUCAGAAGUAUUAUUUUUUUGGAUUGCCUUUCCAAAUAACUUUGAUUUUUCACCGGUUGUCUCGAAUAAAAUAUCAUUGUGUAAUGCUACUACCAAUGAUAAGAACUUUCUUUUACAUUCAAGGAUGGGUCAUAGUACGUUUUUUCCCUGCUCUAAAUGUUAUAUAUGCCCUAUGGAAAAACAAUCUCGCACACCCUUUCCCACCAAUAAAAGUCAUUCCAGUGAUAUUUUUUCGCUAAUCCAUGUGGAUGUUUGGGGGCCUCAUCACACGGCACAUCGUGAUGGUUCGCGUUAUUUUCUUACUAUUAUGGAUGAUUACUCUCAUGCCACCUGAAUAUUUCUAAUGCAGUCCAAAGGUCAAGUUCCUUCUAAUCUAAAAUCCUUUAUCAUUCUGACCAAAAAUCAGUUUGAGAAGUCAAUACGGCGGAUCCGCAUUGAUAAUGGAAAAUAAUUUUUUAACCAUGAAUGCAGCUCACUUUUCUUAUCUCAUGGGAUUCUACAUGAAAGCUCAUGCGUUUACACUCCACAGCAAAAUGGGGUAUUAAAACACAAACAUCGUCAUCUGUUGGAGGUACCGCAAGAGCACUGAAGUUUCAGGGAUCCAUUCUAGAUAAUUAUUGGAGAGAUUGUAUUUUUACUGCAGCCUAUCUCAUCAACUGGAUGCCCACUCGAAUACUCGCUGGUAAAUCACCUUUCGAAUUACUUUAUGGCAAAAAACCAACAGUUGAUCAUUUAAGAGUUUUCGGUUGUCUAUGCUACACUGCAACUGUGGGACCUUAGGACAAAAUGAGUCCACGUGCUAGACGAUGCGUAUUUAUGGGUUACCCCAACCUGCAGUAAGGAUACCGUGUUCUUGAUCCAUCAACAUGAGAUUUUUUCGUGAGUAGAGACGUAAUUUUUCAUGAAAAUAUCUUCCCAUUCCAGGAAACCAGGGAGGAUUUGACUGUCUCAAACAAUUCUCAUAAUUUCUUACACUAGGAAGAUGUACCUCCUGAAUAUUUUCUUACAGGAUCUCCAGAUCCAGUCAUUCCCUCACCUUUAGCAUCCACUCCACCUAAUCAGUUGCAACCUCAGGAAGCAAUGGAAAAUAUGCCUACAACUCAACUCAAUAUGGAAAAUAUUUAUGAUGUUUUGACAUAAACAAAUAUUGAAGAAUCAUCUUCUUCACCACCAGCGGAUCCUCCACAUCGUUCGGGACAAGCCACACGACCACCAACAUGGACAAAGGAUUAUAUCUGUGCAUCUCUUAAUUCGCCAGGUAUCAACUAUCCAAUAUCCUCAUAUGUCUCUUUUGAUAAGCUUUCGUCACAGCAUAUAUGUUGUAUUAGUCGCAUAUUCGAUGAAAGGGAACCUUCUAGUUAUGAUGAGGCAUCCAGAGAUCCACGGUGGCAAUAAGCCAUGGUAGCAGAAUUACAGGCAUUGAGUGAUAAUUAUACCUAGGAACUGGUCCAGCUUCCUCCAAAUCGAUAGUCUAUAGGAUGCAAAUGGGUCUAUAAAAUCAAAUAUAAAGCUGAUAGAUCCAUUGAGCGUUACAAGGCUCGAUUGGUGGCCAAGGGAUAUACCCAGCGAGAAGGUUUCGAUUAUCAUGAAACUUUUUCUUCUGUUGCUAAAGAUGUCACAGUUCGCUCCUUCUUAUCAGUUGCAGCAAUCCAUGAUUGGUCAUUACAUCAAAUGGACGUCAACAACGCUUUUCUCCAUGGCAACUUGGAUGAAGAAAUCUACAUGGAUAAUCCUCAGGGCUUGUGGAGACAAGGGGAGAAUAAAGAAUGUCAUCUCCGCAAAUCCCUUUAUGGACUGAAGCAAGCCUCCAGGCAAUGAUACGCAAAAUUUGCCAAUGCUCUCACAACUGCAGACUUCAAACAAUCCAAAUAUGAUUAUGCAUUGUUCACAUGGACUAAAGGUACGUCAUCUAUUUACCUAAUGAUAUAUGUAGAUGACAUUCUCAUUAUGGGAAAUGAUGAAGCUACAAUAGAGAAUCUUAAGAAAUAUUUGCAUACCACAUUCCAUAUAAAAGACCUGGGAGCACCACAAUGUUUUCUUGGAAUUGAGAUUACCAGAUCUCACCAAGGAAUUUCUCUUAGUUAGAGAAAAUUUGUAUUGGAAAUCAUAUCAGAAGCAGGUUUAUCAUGAUACAAACCAGCAAUUAUUCCAAUCGAGCAGAAUACCAGACUGCAGCGGAUCAUGUUAGGGGAACAUCUCAGGAUGAUCCUGUUCUUAGAGAUCCGACGAGUUAUCACAAGCUCAUUGGAAAACUCAUAUACUUGACUAUGACCAGACCUAAUAUAUCGUAUGCAAUGCAAAAUCUUAGCCAAUUUAUGCACAAACCGAAGGAAUCUCACAUGAAUGCUGCUCUGAAAGUUGUAAAGUAUUUGAAAAGUUGUCCAGGUUAGGGAAUANNNNNNNNNNNNNNNNNNNNNNNNNNNNNNNNNNNNNNNNNNNNNNNNNNNNNNNNNNNNNNNNNNNNNNNNNNNNNNNNNNNNNNNNNNNNNNNNNNNNNNNNNNNNNNNNNNNNNNNNNNNNNNNNNNNNNNNNNNNNNNNNNNNNNNNNNNNNNNNNNNNNNNNNNNNNNNNNNNNNNNNNNNNNNNNNNNNNNNNNNNNNNNNNNNNNNNNNNNNNNNNNNNNNNNNNNNNNNNNNNNNNNNNNNNNNNNNNNNNNNNNNNNNNNNNNNNNNNNNNNNNNNNNNNNNNNNNNNNNNNNNNNNNNNNNNNNNNNNNNNNNNNNNNNNNNNNNNNNNNNNNNNNNNNNNNNNNNNNNNNNNNNNNNNNNNNNNNNNNNNNNNNNNNNNNNNNNNNNNNNNNNNNNNNNNNNNNNNNNNNNNNNNNNNNNNNNNNNNNNNNNNNNNNNNNNNNNNNNNNNNNNNNNNNNNNNNNNNNNNNNNNNNNNNNNNNNNNNNNNNNNNNNNNNNNNNNNNNNNNNNNNNNNNNNNNNNNNNNNNNNNNNNNNNNNNNNNNNNNNNNNNNNNNNNNNNNNNNNNNNNNNNNNNNNNNNNNNNNNNNNNNNNNNNNNNNNNNNNNNNNNNNNNNNNNNNNNNNNNNNNNNNNNNNNNNNNNNNNNNNNNNNNNNNNNNNNNNNNNNNNNNNNNNNNNNNNNNNNNNNNNNNNNNNNNNNNNNNNNNNNNNNNNNNNNNNNNNNNNNNNNNNNNNNNNNNNNNNNNNNNNNNNNNNNNNNNNNNNNNNNNNNNNNNNNNNNNNNNNNNNNNNNNNNNNNNNNNNNNNNNNNNNNNNNNNNNNNNNNNNNNNNNNNNNNNNNNNNNNNNNNNNNNNNNNNNNNNNNNNNNNNNNNNNNNNNNNNNNNNNNNNNNNNNNNNNNNNNNNNNNNNNNNNNNNNNNNNNNNNNNNNNNNNNNNNNNNNNNNNNNNNNNNNNNNNNNNNNNNNNNNNNNNNNNNNNNNNNNNNNNNNNNNNNNNNNNNNNNNNNNNNNNNNNNNNNNNNNNNNNNNNNNNNNNNNNNNNNNNNNNNNNNNNNNNNNNNNNNNNNNNNNNNNNNNNNNNNNNNNNNNNNNNNNNNNNNNNNNNNNNNNNNNNNNNNNNNNNNNNNNNNNNNNNNNNNNNNNNNNNNNNNNNNNNNNNNNNNNNNNNNNNNNNNNNNNNNNNNNNNNNNNNNNNNNNNNNNNNNNNNNNNNNNNNNNNNNNNNNNNNNNNNNNNNNNNNNNNNNNNNNNNNNNNNNNNNNNNNNNNNNNNNNNNNNNNNNNNNNNNNNNNNNNNNNNNNNNNNNNNNNNNNNNNNNNNNNNNNNNNNNNNNNNNNNNNNNNNNNNNNNNNNNNNNNNNNNNNNNNNNNNNNNNNNNNNNNNNNNNNNNNNNNNNNNNNNNNNNNNNNNNNNNNNNNNNNNNNNNNNNNNNNNNNNNNNNNNNNNNNNNNNNNNNNNNNNNNNNNNNNNNNNNNNNNNNNNNNNNNNNNNNNNNNNNNNNNNNNNNNNNNNNNNNNNNNNNNNNNNNNNNNNNNNNNNNNNNNNNNNNNNNNNNNNNNNNNNNNNNNNNNNNNNNNNNNNNNNNNNNNNNNNNNNNNNNNNNNNNNNNNNNNNNNNNNNNNNNNNNNNNNNNNNNNNNNNNNNNNNNNNNNNNNNNNNNNNNNNNNNNNNNNNNNNNNNNNNNNNNNNNNNNNNNNNNNNNNNNNNNNNNNNNNNNNNNNNNNNNNNNNNNNNNNNNNNNNNNNNNNNNNNNNNNNNNNNNNNNNNNNNNNNNNNNNNNNNNNNNNNNNNNNNNNNNNNNNNNNNNNNNNNNNNNNNNNNNNNNNNNNNNNNNNNNNNNNNNNNNNNNNNNNNNNNNNNNNNNNNNNNNNNNNNNNNNNNNNNNNNNNNNNNNNNNNNNNNNNNNNNNNNNNNNNNNNNNNNNNNNNNNNNNNNNNNNNNNNNNNNNNNNNNNNNNNNNNNNNNNNNNNNNNNNNNNNNNNNNNNNNNNNNNNNNNNNNNNNNNNNNNNNNNNNNNNNNNNNNNNNNNNNNNNNNNNNNNNNNNNNNNNNNNNNNNNNNNNNNNNNNNNNNNNNNNNNNNNNNNNNNNNNNNNNNNNNNNNNNNNNNNNNNNNNNNNNNNNNNNNNNNNNNNNNNNNNNNNNNNNNNNNNNNNNNNNNNNNNNNNNNNNNNNNNNNNNNNNNNNNNNNNNNNNNNNNNNNNNNNNNNNNNNNNNNNNNNNNNNNNNNNNNNNNNNNNNNNNNNNNNNNNNNNNNNNNNNNNNNNNNNNNNNNNNNNNNNNNNNNNNNNNNNNNNNNNNNNNNNNNNNNNNNNNNNNNNNNNNNNNNNNNNNNNNNNNNNNNNNNNNNNNNNNNNNNNNNNNNNNNNNNNNNNNNNNNNNNNNNNNNNNNNNNNNNNNNNNNNNNNNNNNNNNNNNNNNNNNNNNNNNNNNNNNNNNNNNNNNNNNNNNNNNNNNNNNNNNNNNNNNNNNNNNNNNNNNNNNNNNNNNNNNNNNNNNNNNNNNNNNNNNNNNNNNNNNNNNNNNNNNNNNNNNNNNNNNNNNNNNNNNNNNNNNNNNNNNNNNNNNNNNNNNNNNNNNNNNNNNNNNNNNNNNNNNNNNNNNNNNNNNNNNNNNNNNNNNNNNNNNNNNNNNNNNNNNNNNNNNNNNNNNNNNNNNNNNNNNNNNNNNNNNNNNNNNNNNNNNNNNNNNNNNNNNNNNNNNNNNNNNNNNNNNNNNNNNNNNNNNNNNNNNNNNNNNNNNNNNNNNNNNNNNNNNNNNNNNNNNNNNNNNNNNNNNNNNNNNNNNNNNNNNNNNNNNNNNNNNNNNNNNNNNNNNNNNNNNNNNNNNNNNNNNNNNNNNNNNNNNNNNNNNNNNNNNNNNNNNNNNNNNNNNNNNNNNNNNNNNNNNNNNNNNNNNNNNNNNNNNNNNNNNNNNNNNNNNNNNNNNNNNNNNNNNNNNNNNNNNNNNNNNNNNNNNNNNNNNNNNNNNNNNNNNNNNNNNNNNNNNNNNNNNNNNNNNNNNNNNNNNNNNNNNNNNNNNNNNNNNNNNNNNNNNNNNNNNNNNNNNNNNNNNNNNNNNNNNNNNNNNNNNNNNNNNNNNNNNNNNNNNNNNNNNNNNNNNNNNNNNNNNNNNNNNNNNNNNNNNNNNNNNNNNNNNNNNNNNNNNNNNNNNNNNNNNNNNNNNNNNNNNNNNNNNNNNNNNNNNNNNNNNNNNNNNNNNNNNNNNNNNNNNNNNNNNNNNNNNNNNNNNNNNNNNNNNNNNNNNNNNNNNNNNNNNNNNNNNNNNNNNNNNNNNNNNNNNNNNNNNNNNNNNNNNNNNNNNNNNNNNNNNNNNNNNNNNNNNNNNNNNNNNNNNNNNNNNNNNNNNNNNNNNNNNNNNNNNNNNNNNNNNNNNNNNNNNNNNNNNNNNNNNNNNNNNNNNNNNNNNNNNNNNNNNNNNNNNNNNNNNNNNNNNNNNNNNNNNNNNNNNNNNNNNNNNNNNNNNNNNNNNNNNNNNNNNNNNNNNNNNNNNNNNNNNNNNNNNNNNNNNNNNNNNNNNNNNNNNNNNNNNNNNNNNNNNNNNNNNNNNNNNNNNNNNNNNNNNNNNNNNNNNNNNNNNNNNNNNNNNNNNNNNNNNNNNNNNNNNNNNNNNNNNNNNNNNNNNNNNNNNNNNNNNNNNNNNNNNNNNNNNNNNNNNNNNNNNNNNNNNNNNNNNNNNNNNNNNNNNNNNNNNNNNNNNNNNNNNNNNNNNNNNNNNNNNNNNNNNNNNNNNNNNNNNNNNNNNNNNNNNNNNNNNNNNNNNNNNNNNNNNNNNNNNNNNNNNNNNNNNNNNNNNNNNNNNNNNNNNNNNNNNNNNNNNNNNNNNNNNNNNNNNNNNNNNNNNNNNNNNNNNNNNNNNNNNNNNNNNNNNNNNNNNNNNNNNNNNNNNNNNNNNNNNNNNNNNNNNNNNNNNNNNNNNNNNNNNNNNNNNNNNNNNNNNNNNNNNNNNNNNNNNNNNNNNNNNNNNNNNNNNNNNNNNNNNNNNNNNNNNNNNNNNNNNNNNNNNNNNNNNNNNNNNNNNNNNNNNNNNNNNNNNNNNNNNNNNNNNNNNNNNNNNNNNNNNNNNNNNNNNNNNNNNNNNNNNNNNNNNNNNNNNNNNNNNNNNNNNNNNNNNNNNNNNNNNNNNNNNNNNNNNNNNNNNNNNNNNNNNNNNNNNNNNNNNNNNNNNNNNNNNNNNNNNNNNNNNNNNNNNNNNNNNNNNNNNNNNNNNNNNNNNNNNNNNNNNNNNNNNNNNNNNNNNNNNNNNNNNNNNNNNNNNNNNNNNNNNNNNNNNNNNNNNNNNNNNNNNNNNNNNNNNNNNNNNNNNNNNNNNNNNNNNNNNNNNNNNNNNNNNNNNNNNNNNNNNNNNNNNNNNNNNNNNNNNNNNNNNNNNNNNNNNNNNNNNNNNNNNNNNNNNNNNNNNNNNNNNNNNNNNNNNNNNNNNNNNNNNNNNNNNNNNNNNNNNNNNNNNNNNNNNNNNNNNNNNNNNNNNNNNNNNNNNNNNNNNNNNNNNNNNNNNNNNNNNNNNNNNNNNNNNNNNNNNNNNNNNNNNNNNNNNNNNNNNNNNNNNNNNNNNNNNNNNNNNNNNNNNNNNNNNNNNNNNNNNNNNNNNNNNNNNNNNNNNNNNNNNNNNNNNNNNNNNNNNNNNNNNNNNNNNNNNNNNNNNNNNNNNNNNNNNNNNNNNNNNNNNNNNNNNNNNNNNNNNNNNNNNNNNNNNNNNNNNNNNNNNNNNNNNNNNNNNNNNNNNNNNNNNNNNNNNNNNNNNNNNNNNNNNNNNNNNNNNNNNNNNNNNNNNNNNNNNNNNNNNNNNNNNNNNNNNNNNNNNNNNNNNNNNNNNNNNNNNNNNNNNNNNNNNNNNNNNNNNNNNNNNNNNNNNNNNNNNNNNNNNNNNNNNNNNNNNNNNNNNNNNNNNNNNNNNNNNNNNNNNNNNNNNNNNNNNNNNNNNNNNNNNNNNNNNNNNNNNNNNNNNNNNNNNNNNNNNNNNNNNNNNNNNNNNNNNNNNNNNNNNNNNNNNNNNNNNNNNNNNNNNNNNNNNNNNNNNNNNNNNNNNNNNNNNNNNNNNNNNNNNNNNNNNNNNNNNNNNNNNNNNNNNNNNNNNNNNNNNNNNNNNNNNNNNNNNNNNNNNNNNNNNNNNNNNNNNNNNNNNNNNNNNNNNNNNNNNNNNNNNNNNNNNNNNNNNNNNNNNNNNNNNNNNNNNNNNNNNNNNNNNNNNNNNNNNNNNNNNNNNNNNNNNNNNNNNNNNNNNNNNNNNNNNNNNNNNNNNNNNNNNNNNNNNNNNNNNNNNNNNNNNNNNNNNNNNNNNNNNNNNNNNNNNNNNNNNNNNNNNNNNNNNNNNNNNNNNNNNNNNNNNNNNNNNNNNNNNNNNNNNNNNNNNNNNNNNNNNNNNNNNNNNNNNNNNNNNNNNNNNNNNNNNNNNNNNNNNNNNNNNNNNNNNNNNNNNNNNNNNNNNNNNNNNNNNNNNNNNNNNNNNNNNNNNNNNNNNNNNNNNNNNNNNNNNNNNNNNNNNNNNNNNNNNNNNNNNNNNNNNNNNNNNNNNNNNNNNNNNNNNNNNNNNNNNNNNNNNNNNNNNNNNNNNNNNNNNNNNNNNNNNNNNNNNNNNNNNNNNNNNNNNNNNNNNNNNNNNNNNNNNNNNNNNNNNNNNNNNNNNNNNNNNNNNNNNNNNNNNNNNNNNNNNNNNNNNNNNNNNNNNNNNNNNNNNNNNNNNNNNNNNNNNNNNNNNNNNNNNNNNNNNNNNNNNNNNNNNNNNNNNNNNNNNNNNNNNNNNNNNNNNNNNNNNNNNNNNNNNNNNNNNNNNNNNNNNNNNNNNNNNNNNNNNNNNNNNNNNNNNNNNNNNNNNNNNNNNNNNNNNNNNNNNNNNNNNNNNNNNNNNNNNNNNNNNNNNNNNNNNNNNNNNNNNNNNNNNNNNNNNNNNNNNNNNNNNNNNNNNNNNNNNNNNNNNNNNNNNNNNNNNNNNNNNNNNNNNNNNNNNNNNNNNNNNNNNNNNNNNNNNNNNNNNNNNNNNNNNNNNNNNNNNNNNNNNNNNNNNNNNNNNNNNNNNNNNNNNNNNNNNNNNNNNNNNNNNNNNNNNNNNNNNNNNNNNNNNNNNNNNNNNNNNNNNNNNNNNNNNNNNNNNNNNNNNNNNNNNNNNNNNNNNNNNNNNNNNNNNNNNNNNNNNNNNNNNNNNNNNNNNNNNNNNNNNNNNNNNNNNNNNNNNNNNNNNNNNNNNNNNNNNNNNNNNNNNNNNNNNNNNNNNNNNNNNNNNNNNNNNNNNNNNNNNNNNNNNNNNNNNNNNNNNNNNNNNNNNNNNNNNNNNNNNNNNNNNNNNNNNNNNNNNNNNNNNNNNNNNNNNNNNNNNNNNNNNNNNNNNNNNNNNNNNNNNNNNNNNNNNNNNNNNNNNNNNNNNNNNNNNNNNNNNNNNNNNNNNNNNNNNNNNNNNNNNNNNNNNNNNNNNNNNNNNNNNNNNNNNNNNNNNNNNNNNNNNNNNNNNNNNNNNNNNNNNNNNNNNNNNNNNNNNNNNNNNNNNNNNNNNNNNNNNNNNNNNNNNNNNNNNNNNNNNNNNNNNNNNNNNNNNNNNNNNNNNNNNNNNNNNNNNNNNNNNNNNNNNNNNNNNNNNNNNNNNNNNNNNNNNNNNNNNNNNNNNNNNNNNNNNNNNNNNNNNNNNNNNNNNNNNNNNNNNNNNNNNNNNNNNNNNNNNNNNNNNNNNNNNNNNNNNNNNNNNNNNNNNNNNNNNNNNNNNNNNNNNNNNNNNNNNNNNNNNNNNNNNNNNNNNNNNNNNNNNNNNNNNNNNNNNNNNNNNNNNNNNNNNNNNNNNNNNNNNNNNNNNNNNNNNNNNNNNNNNNNNNNNNNNNNNNNNNNNNNNNNNNNNNNNNNNNNNNNNNNNNNNNNNNNNNNNNNNNNNNNNNNNNNNNNNNNNNNNNNNNNNNNNNNNNNNNNNNNNNNNNNNNNNNNNNNNNNNNNNNNNNNNNNNNNNNNNNNNNNNNNNNNNNNNNNNNNNNNNNNNNNNNNNNNNNNNNNNNNNNNNNNNNNNNNNNNNNNNNNNNNNNNNNNNNNNNNNNNNNNNNNNNNNNNNNNNNNNNNNNNNNNNNNNNNNNNNNNNNNNNNNNNNNNNNNNNNNNNNNNNNNNNNNNNNNNNNNNNNNNNNNNNNNNNNNNNNNNNNNNNNNNNNNNNNNNNNNNNNNNNNNNNNNNNNNNNNNNNNNNNNNNNNNNNNNNNNNNNNNNNNNNNNNNNNNNNNNNNNNNNNNNNNNNNNNNNNNNNNNNNNNNNNNNNNNNNNNNNNNNNNNNNNNNNNNNNNNNNNNNNNNNNNNNNNNNNNNNNNNNNNNNNNNNNNNNNNNNNNNNNNNNNNNNNNNNNNNNNNNNNNNNNNNNNNNNNNNNNNNNNNNNNNNNNNNNNNNNNNNNNNNNNNNNNNNNNNNNNNNNNNNNNNNNNNNNNNNNNNNNNNNNNNNNNNNNNNNNNNNNNNNNNNNNNNNNNNNNNNNNNNNNNNNNNNNNNNNNNNNNNNNNNNNNNNNNNNNNNNNNNNNNNNNNNNNNNNNNNNNNNNNNNNNNNNNNNNNNNNNNNNNNNNNNNNNNNNNNNNNNNNNNNNNNNNNNNNNNNNNNNNNNNNNNNNNNNNNNNNNNNNNNNNNNNNNNNNNNNNNNNNNNNNNNNNNNNNNNNNNNNNNNNNNNNNNNNNNNNNNNNNNNNNNNNNNNNNNNNNNNNNNNNNNNNNNNNNNNNNNNNNNNNNNNNNNNNNNNNNNNNNNNNNNNNNNNNNNNNNNNNNNNNNNNNNNNNNNNNNNNNNNNNNNNNNNNNNNNNNNNNNNNNNNNNNNNNNNNNNNNNNNNNNNNNNNNNNNNNNNNNNNNNNNNNNNNNNNNNNNNNNNNNNNNNNNNNNNNNNNNNNNNNNNNNNNNNNNNNNNNNNNNNNNNNNNNNNNNNNNNNNNNNNNNNNNNNNNNNNNNNNNNNNNNNNNNNNNNNNNNNNNNNNNNNNNNNNNNNNNNNNNNNNNNNNNNNNNNNNNNNNNNNNNNNNNNNNNNNNNNNNNNNNNNNNNNNNNNNNNNNNNNNNNNNNNNNNNNNNNNNNNNNNNNNNNNNNNNNNNNNNNNNNNNNNNNNNNNNNNNNNNNNNNNNNNNNNNNNNNNNNNNNNNNNNNNNNNNNNNNNNNNNNNNNNNNNNNNNNNNNNNNNNNNNNNNNNNNNNNNNNNNNNNNNNNNNNNNNNNNNNNNNNNNNNNNNNNNNNNNNNNNNNNNNNNNNNNNNNNNNNNNNNNNNNNNNNNNNNNNNNNNNNNNNNNNNNNNNNNNNNNNNNNNNNNNNNNNNNNNNNNNNNNNNNNNNNNNNNNNNNNNNNNNNNNNNNNNNNNNNNNNNNNNNNNNNNNNNNNNNNNNNNNNNNNNNNNNNNNNNNNNNNNNNNNNNNNNNNNNNNNNNNNNNNNNNNNNNNNNNNNNNNNNNNNNNNNNNNNNNNNNNNNNNNNNNNNNNNNNNNNNNNNNNNNNNNNNNNNNNNNNNNNNNNNNNNNNNNNNNNNNNNNNNNNNNNNNNNNNNNNNNNNNNNNNNNNNNNNNNNNNNNNNNNNNNNNNNNNNNNNNNNNNNNNNNNNNNNNNNNNNNNNNNNNNNNNNNNNNNNNNNNNNNNNNNNNNNNNNNNNNNNNNNNNNNNNNNNNNNNNNNNNNNNNNNNNNNNNNNNNNNNNNNNNNNNNNNNNNNNNNNNNNNNNNNNNNNNNNNNNNNNNNNNNNNNNNNNNNNNNNNNNNNNNNNNNNNNNNNNNNNNNNNNNNNNNNNNNNNNNNNNNNNNNNNNNNNNNNNNNNNNNNNNNNNNNNNNNNNNNNNNNNNNNNNNNNNNNNNNNNNNNNNNNNNNNNNNNNNNNNNNNNNNNNNNNNNNNNNNNNNNNNNNNNNNNNNNNNNNNNNNNNNNNNNNNNNNNNNNNNNNNNNNNNNNNNNNNNNNNNNNNNNNNNNNNNNNNNNNNNNNNNNNNNNNNNNNNNNNNNNNNNNNNNNNNNNNNNNNNNNNNNNNNNNNNNNNNNNNNNNNNNNNNNNNNNNNNNNNNNNNNNNNNNNNNNNNNNNNNNNNNNNNNNNNNNNNNNNNNNNNNNNNNNNNNNNNNNNNNNNNNNNNNNNNNNNNNNNNNNNNNNNNNNNNNNNNNNNNNNNNNNNNNNNNNNNNNNNNNNNNNNNNNNNNNNNNNNNNNNNNNNNNNNNNNNNNNNNNNNNNNNNNNNNNNNNNNNNNNNNNNNNNNNNNNNNNNNNNNNNNNNNNNNNNNNNNNNNNNNNNNNNNNNNNNNNNNNNNNNNNNNNNNNNNNNNNNNNNNNNNNNNNNNNNNNNNNNNNNNNNNNNNNNNNNNNNNNNNNNNNNNNNNNNNNNNNNNNNNNNNNNNNNNNNNNNNNNNNNNNNNNNNNNNNNNNNNNNNNNNNNNNNNNNNNNNNNNNNNNNNNNNNNNNNNNNNNNNNNNNNNNNNNNNNNNNNNNNNNNNNNNNNNNNNNNNNNNNNNNNNNNNNNNNNNNNNNNNNNNNNNNNNNNNNNNNNNNNNNNNNNNNNNNNNNNNNNNNNNNNNNNNNNNNNNNNNNNNNNNNNNNNNNNNNNNNNNNNNNNNNNNNNNNNNNNNNNNNNNNNNNNNNNNNNNNNNNNNNNNNNNNNNNNNNNNNNNNNNNNNNNNNNNNNNNNNNNNNNNNNNNNNNNNNNNNNNNNNNNNNNNNNNNNNNNNNNNNNNNNNNNNNNNNNNNNNNNNNNNNNNNNNNNNNNNNNNNNNNNNNNNNNNNNNNNNNNNNNNNNNNNNNNNNNNNNNNNNNNNNNNNNNNNNNNNNNNNNNNNNNNNNNNNNNNNNNNNNNNNNNNNNNNNNNNNNNNNNNNNNNNNNNNNNNNNNNNNNNNNNNNNNNNNNNNNNNNNNNNNNNNNNNNNNNNNNNNNNNNNNNNNNNNNNNNNNNNNNNNNNNNNNNNNNNNNNNNNNNNNNNNNNNNNNNNNNNNNNNNNNNNNNNNNNNNNNNNNNNNNNNNNNNNNNNNNNNNNNNNNNNNNNNNNNNNNNNNNNNNNNNNNNNNNNNNNNNNNNNNNNNNNNNNNNNNNNNNNNNNNNNNNNNNNNNNNNNNNNNNNNNNNNNNNNNNNNNNNNNNNNNNNNNNNNNNNNNNNNNNNNNNNNNNNNNNNNNNNNNNNNNNNNNNNNNNNNNNNNNNNNNNNNNNNNNNNNNNNNNNNNNNNNNNNNNNNNNNNNNNNNNNNNNNNNNNNNNNNNNNNNNNNNNNNNNNNNNNNNNNNNNNNNNNNNNNNNNNNNNNNNNNNNNNNNNNNNNNNNNNNNNNNNNNNNNNNNNNNNNNNNNNNNNNNNNNNNNNNNNNNNNNNNNNNNNNNNNNNNNNNNNNNNNNNNNNNNNNNNNNNNNNNNNNNNNNNNNNNNNNNNNNNNNNNNNNNNNNNNNNNNNNNNNNNNNNNNNNNNNNNNNNNNNNNNNNNNNNNNNNNNNNNNNNNNNNNNNNNNNNNNNNNNNNNNNNNNNNNNNNNNNNNNNNNNNNNNNNNNNNNNNNNNNNNNNNNNNNNNNNNNNNNNNNNNNNNNNNNNNNNNNNNNNNNNNNNNNNNNNNNNNNNNNNNNNNNNNNNNNNNNNNNNNNNNNNNNNNNNNNNNNNNNNNNNNNNNNNNNNNNNNNNNNNNNNNNNNNNNNNNNNNNNNNNNNNNNNNNNNNNNNNNNNNNNNNNNNNNNNNNNNNNNNNCCACCAGUUUCGACCUUCUUAUGGUGUCAAUAAAUGCCGUUGGUUAUUAAGAUAAACUCGAAUGGAAUUUUUACUUGGAUUCGAUCUUAAGCUUGAGCUACAUUCGUUGUCAUGAAUUUAUAUAAUGGUGCAAGUUGGCAUGAGAGAGAAAGCAUCUUGCAAUUUAUCAUGAAAUUUCAGCUUGAAGAGGAGCGUAUGUCUCCAUCAUGGAGUGAGGAAUACAACUAAGUGAUGUGAAUUUAUAAGUUAUAUGUCUAUUUUUUCUUUUUAUAUUUUGCAGUCAUAGAUAAAGAUUAUUUCGUUUUUUAGCAACUCACUUUUUCACAGAGGAGCACACACCAAACCAUUCGAUCUUUGGUGAGAUAAUCUUUGAUUAUAAGACACAGAAAUCAUGCUGUUUACCCGAUAACAAUUAAUAAAAUGAAGGUGAAGAACUUAACUCGAAUAGUUGCGAAAAGAGAAGGAAUAUUAACUUGUCGAGCUGCGAGAGAAGAAGUACAUGAAAUGUCUUUUUAAAUGAAUAUUCAUGCAUCAAACCUGGGGAAUCCCACCACCCGAAUUGUCCACGUGUAACUCAGCGAACGAUCGCUUGCUUUCUCUACAGAGGCCCCACAGCUUCGCUUUCCGUGCCACGUGGAUAAUUUACUCUUUUUUUUCAAGAAAGAUUAUCCAAUUUGUACUUUUGUCAAAUAAGAUGCCUGGAGGCUAGUGAAAACAGACACCCAAGAAAAAAGGAUUGUUAUCAUCAUCAGUACAUUUUCAUUCUAAUGCUAUAUCUAAUUUUUUUUUAUUGAAAAGAGUUCAAUCACAUUUAUAAAAAAAAAAAAAAAAUCUGUGGGAAGAUAUUUUUUUUCGUUUUUCAUUAUUUUAUUUUCUUGAUUUCCUAAUUACGAACUUAAAAUGAAAAAAAUAAAUUAGGAGAAAAUAAGGUUUAUUUGUAAUUUAAGACACAGCCACGCUGUCCCGCUGGGGCUCCGACUGACACCGUAUUUGCUGCCAUUGAUCGCUUGCCCAUGCCCGGCCGCUCACCGCUGUCCUUGCACGGCGAGACACGUUCCGGCGACGGCGACGACUCCGGCGACGAUAUGAUGGACCCUGCGCUUCACGUCAUUCGCCUACUCCUGCACUCUGGCUCGACGACUCGACACUGCAGCCACCACAGCCCAGCCAAGGCACAGCCAAGCUCCCCGACGACCUGCCCCUGCAUUGCCCGUCAUGGCCGCUACACCGAGCCAAGAUGAUGAACAACCGACCCUCACUGAGCCUUGCGAGUGUAGCCCUUUGGUGCGUCCCGGAGAUCCAUUGCACCGGCGAUGAGCCAAGCAGCUCUCAUCCUUGCGCGUUGUUCAGCCCUCCACGCGGGAUUUCCAGCCCCCCACCGNNNNNNNNNNNNNNNNNNNNNNNNNNNNNNNNNNNNNNNNNNNNNNNNNNNNNNNNNNNNNNNNNNNNNNNNNNNNNNNNNNNNNNNNNNNNNNNNNNNNNNNNNNNNNNNNNNNNNNNNNNNNNNNNNNNNNNNNNNNNNNNNNNNNNNNNNNNNNNNNNNNNNNNNNNNNNNNNNNNNNNNGAAGCAAAGUUUAACUUUGCUAGUACUGGCACGUGAAGAGAUACGCAGCCCACGUUUUUUACUGUCAAGAAGAAAAGUUCAACUUUAACUCUUGCAAAUUUGAAGUCCAGGCGGUGAAGAUGCUUAUAAAUAUAGGGUUACGUUAGUUUAUUUAGAGUAGGGAGAGAGACAGUGAGAGAGUGAGAUUUUAGAGAGUUAUAAGCUUAGCAAAGCUUGUGUGUGUCUUGUGUGUGUACUGCAUUAAGCCUUUACAAGGCAUAUUAUGUAAUAUAAUCUCUCUUUGUGUGUUUACACUCUCUCCCUCCAAAUCCUUUUGGUUCCAACAGGCUUGAGCAGCUGCUGACCGAACAUUGUCCUUGCUCCCUGUGCCGAGGCCGCGUUUCUUGCCGAACCCGCUCUGUUCCUUUCCCCGUUUAGAUUACACUGAUUCAAACCAUUGUUGACGUUGGCUCUCUCUCUCUCUCUCUCUCUGCAGGACGCCUGGUUUUGACUCGUCAAGUUAUUGCCCCUGCCACUGCCAUGUGCCACCGAGAACCAUCAAAAAGUAAUGUCCAAGCCAGAUUCUUUACUGAUGAAACAUAGACAUGGACUUCACCAUUUGAGUAAUGUCCAUAUUUAUUAUACACCACUUAGAGACCUAAUUUGAUGAAUUUUCUUCAACACCGUUCUUCUAAGGUUCUUCCAAUGGCACGAGCACAACAUCUUACAAGUCUUAUGAACUGAUUAAGUUUAAGACUUGAUUUAUACAGGUGAUCAUGUUGAAAAGCAGUUUUUUCAUGCCAUUUAUAAGAUUUGAAGACAUGACAUCCUAUUCCCAAGCUCAAAAUUCUCUAAUGCCAAACGAACCGUGCCAAUCUUGGGGGUGAAGUAUUUUUUUGAAAUUAGAGCAUGUGGUUUUUGUAAUUUUUAGCUUUAUAACGAAAUGCUACACAAUUUAAAAAGAAAAAGAAUUUUAAGAUUUUGUGUUUAUCUUGUGAAAAUUUUGUCCAUCAAUGAAAGUUAAUUGUUCAGUCAAGAGAACAUUUCCUAUUAUCAAAUAGGAUGCAUGUCCUUGAACAAAUAUUUAUUUCAAGAAAGAUAAUGUGAGAAUGAUCAAGCUGAAAUAGCUAGUACGAGUACCUAGAGGGGGGUGAAUAGGUAUACAAAAAUUUCUCGAAGCUUGCACGAUAUCAAUUAGAGUAUUUGCAACAGUUAAAAAUUCAAUCGCAAGACUGAGUAAGGGAAAGAGAGAAUUGAACACUCGGAUUAUAAUGGUUCGGCUUGAUUCAAGCCUACGUCCACUCUUCUGCACUGACAGCCGAUUGGCUGGAUUCCACUAUGAUCAAAGAGUUGUUACAGUGUUGAUCUUCCUUGAUUUCUAGGUGUAGAUGAUCUACCACACUCACUCAAGGCGUCACCAAGUAUAAACACUCUCUGUAUACAAUUUCGCUCAGUCUCAACUAACAAUCAAGGAUCUUCAGACUCUGGAAUUUUUCUAUCGAUCACACACUUAAAACAACUUGAACGUCUUCCUUUUAUACUCCUUCAUGCCAUCAUAGCCGUUGGCACUUACCAAAGGAAUUCCUCCAAUCUACCCGUUGGACGGAAUCAAUCAAGAAGAUCAUCCGAGCUAUUUAAGGAAUCUGAUGAUAGCCCAUCAAUCCUGUUCGCCCAUACAAUCAGGAUCUUGGUUUCCAAGAAUAGAAUAAUCCAAAAUUAUUUCGUCGACCAUCGGAUCUUCAAUCGAUCUUAGAUAAGAAUUAAAGAAUCCGAAAUGAUUAUCCAACCAAAGAAUCUAUUCCAGAGGAUAGGACCGAAUCCUCAACCAUAAACCUCGGCUUUGGAUUUCCUUCAACACUGGAUUAGAAAGACUGUCAGUGAGAGUAAACUUAAGUCUUGAGUCCUGAGUCUUAAGUCUUGAGACUUGAGACUUAAGUCUUGAGUCUUGAGUCUUGAGUCUUGAGACUUAAGUCUUGAGUCUUGAGUCUUGGGUCUCGAGAGAACAAAGUCUUCAGACUUUAAACUGACGGUCUCCGAACAUGCAGACUUUAGACUGAAAGAAACGUUUUGUCAGCUUCAAAAUAUUCUGGAAAGAUUUCUCCAACAAUCUCCCCCUUUUUGAUGGUGACAAAACUUUCUAGGUGCAUAUCAAUCAUAGAAGAAGAAGGAAAAAAAGUAAACCAUUAUCAUUUAAAAUGCAACAAACAGUAAUAACAUGUUAUAAUACUACAUCACAUGCUAUAUCAAUUUUGCCACUCACUCUUAGUAUUUGUCUCGGCAAUUGCAGCCUCGACGACUGACAUUUAAAGAAAAGUAAGGUGCAAGACUCCAGCUUUACAAGCGUCGCCUUCAUCGCCGUCCAUUGCCAUCGCCAUCGCUGAGACCUUUUUGCCCUUACUUAUCCAUCUCCUCCGACCAAAUGGAAUCCGGUGAGAUCCUGGAAGGUUUGCAGUUGAUGAUUCUCACCUGAUGUCAAGCCAGCUUCUUAAAUUUGGAUCUCUGGUCUAAUUUCGAUAAUAGUAACCAUUGUUCCAUUACCAUACUCCGGAUGUUGUUGGUGGCCUUAUUAAGCUUGUUCUGUGCCCUUGCCGUUUGUGGUUCAAUUUUGCUUGAUGAACGGGUCGAUUGGCCGGCUACCUCCGAGACAACAACUAGCAAGCCUCGAGGAUCAGUUUUCUGCGGGUGCUCUCUCUCUCUCUCUCUCUCUCUCUCUCUCUCUCUCUCUCUCUCUCUCUCUCUCUCUCUCUCUCUCUCUCUCAUGUAUUGUGUGUAAGGCGGCUUGCCAUGGAAACUUAAUGCCAACUGCGGAUGAUCAGAGAAAACUAAAGGAGGAAAUUUUGAUGUUGAGAAACUUCUUGAAUCCAUCAUCGGAUUGCCACCACUGUUUGGUGCCGGAACAAUCAAUUCUCAGAUAGUCUCUUGCCAGAAAUCACCAUUAACAAUGACAAAUCACAAAGGAGAAAGAAACAAAAAAUGGGUUCAGAUUCGGUUAACUGGAAUCAAGUCCAUUCAUUAACGAAAGUAUUAAGGUACACCAAUUCGCCCUCAGAUUGCACAAAAAGCAUGAGCUAUUUCGCAAUUGCUAGCCUUCCAAAAAAGGCAAAAGCAUCGCUCAGAGUAAUAAACUAGAUUUAUUAAGCCCCACUUAACUAGGUUAAAAGGCAGGGUGAAAAUUUUUGGGUCAAUGUCCACACAGCCUCAUCAGACAUGGCAUUCCCCUCUGAUAUUAAUAUAUCCAGUACCAUGGUGCUCUGUAAUUCACCUUUGUCGCAUCUGGUGUCUUUUUCACUAGGAACCUCCAUUUUAUAGGAAAAACGUCGAGAAAAGGAUAGGAUUUUAAGAUGAGUUAUGAUGUAAAUUACAAUUUUGAAUAGGUGAAGAUGAUUAGUUUUUUUGCAAUGUCUCUAUAAAAUAUCUUUAAAAUAUUCAUAUAAAAAUUUGGAUUUUGGUAGAUUUAAUUGGAUCGGUCCGACCGUCCUUAAUCCCACCGACUUUUACUUAUUUUGCCUCUUCAAAUCAAGUCAAUCCAUUAACAAAUACUUUAUAAAUCGUCAGCUUGCAUUUACGAAAAAUAGAGAAGAUAAAAUUCAACGAACUUGGAUUUUCGUGUCUCAUUCUUACUUCCAUAGCUACCAAACAAGUCGAAAGAAAAAAAGUGCUGCACCAUUUUCCAAUCCAUUGUUAAAUACAUGAGCAUGCAUUUGCUAAGGGCGACUAAUUAAGGAAAUAUUAUAAUUUUCAAUGCCGAUAUAUUUCCAAGAGUGUUGAGCAUUGCAUGGUAAGCAAGUAGAACAAAGUCACAAACCACGAGCCCUUCCUUUCUUGUUUAAUAUUAAUAAUUGAGCCAUAAACUCUUCAAACGUUGGGGAACAUAUAGUCUGCACAUCCUUCAAAUGACAAUUCUAGGUGUAUGGCGAUGAACGCCUGGAAACUCACAAAAUUGUAACAACUUAAAUUACUUUAUGAUUCCCACAAAAAAUUUAAAAAAAAAAGCUUUAGACACACCAUAUAAUUUAAAUGGUUCAAAAUAGCUAUCUUCGGGGCCUAAUUAAUGAUAAGAUAGAUAAGAAAGAGGAAAAGCACAAGAAUACUCACAAAGCAAUGAUGUCUAGAACAAUGCUUUUUCACGUGCAUGUCCACGUGAGUGGGAAAUGGACACAUGGGAACUCUCCUUGUCCAUUUCUAAUAUGGACUUUUUAUUUAUUUAUGUGCCAUCUAUUUCUAUAAAUUUUAUUUCUAUAAAAUCCUAUGGUUGUCUAGGGCAUAGGCAGUGACCCUUUUCUAAUUUUAAUUUUGGCCAGCGAUAACUUUAAAAAUUUUGGGAUAAUGACAAAAAUAAUCUCUAAAAUUUGAUCUAAUGUAAUCUCUUAAAUUCUUAGAUUUUUGGAAACAAUUUCUAUACUGUUUGAAAAUAGUAGUCCGUGAACUUUAAAUUUGUUCCAUAUGACUUUUAAAAUUUUGAUAAAUAUUUAAUUUAGUCAGUAUGAAAAUAACAUUAUAUAUUGGGUUAAAGCUGGAGGUUAUUUGGGUAAUUCCCCCUUAAGUAUUUAGGUCCCAGGAAAGGGAAUUGACCGUGGGUUAGUAGUUAGCAACUUGCAACUCCUCUUUCAUCCUCCUCUUGAUUCGAGACUAUUGAGGUUCUAAAUCAUUGGAUUACUAGUACUAAAUCUUUCGGCUAUUGAUGAUCAGAUAUUCCCCUUUUUUAUUUUUCGCACUCAAAUCUCUUCCGAUCGCCUCCUCACCUUUCGAGUCUCGGAAAAGGAAAAGGAAAAUUUUAAAAAGAAAAAAAAGAAAGAAAUGGCGCGCGAUUCUACCUUCCUGAUUGCACGGGAUGCCUUGAAGAAGGUAGCCGUUCCGAUCAAGGGCCAAUUCUAAUACGUGAUAUCCACCAAGCGCUACGCCGACCGUCUUUGGGAGGAAGUCUGGAAUUUGGAGUGGGAGGCUGAAAGGGUCGACUGCUUGGCGGGAGUGGCCAGAAGCAGUGUUCGGAAUAUCUAUUAUGGCUUCAUGGAGUGGCAGCGAAGUGCUGACAGGGCCUUGGAGUAGGCGGGAUACCUGUUAGACGACAUCGAACGGUAAGGCAUUACUUGGCGACCCCGACUAUCGCUACCAGUUCAGCAGGAAAGCCGAUGCCAAGAUCAAGGUCAUUGGGCGGCUCGUUCAGAAAUGCAGUGAAUUCAGGCAAUUGAACAUCUCCAUCGAUCCUGCUGCUGCUGCUGCUGCUGCUGCUGCUUCUCCUCCCCCUCCUCCAGGUGAUGUCUCUGCUCGGACUCCGGGCAGGAGAGAAGGCAGGCGUGCCACUCUGUCAUUCGCCGCCCCAUGGCGGUCUCCUCUUCUUCUGCCUUGAUGUCUCUGCUCGGACUCCGGAAAGGUAUAAUCAUAUUAUGCUCUCAGAAUGCAUAAUAUGAUUAUACCUUUCAUGACAGGACGCAAAGCGUAAUUUUCCUGUUUAUGUAAGAAGGUCUAGGUGUUGGAACUCCAACAUUGUGCACUGUUUUUGGUUUUUGGCUGGGAUCUUCAUUUGUUGCUUGACAGACAUGCUCUAAUUGUUUAUUUUCCUAGUAGGAUUAUUCAUCACUGGGGAACAAUAAUGGAUCUUUACUCAUCAGGUACCUUUGAUGAAUCCUGUCAGAUUGAGCCACCGCACCAGGCAGAGGAACUUGGGAGAAGUUCUAUCGGGAUCGAAUCCAGUCCACCUGAAUAUAGUAGAAAGGUCCUUAGGCGUGGGGGUUUAGGACUGACGGAGCCUCCGGAGGUCACGCAAUGGUAGAGUUUCGCAAAAAUUUACUUGAUGGAAAAUAAGUUGACUGAGUUACCAGAGAAUCCUCGGUGUCCUGGACUAUUGGUACUGUUUCUAAAUAGAUAUUGCAAGCUCAGAACGAUUAGUCCACCUUUCUUUGAUUUCAUGCCUGCUCUCGAAAUCCUGAAUUUGUCUUGAACUCGUAUCAAGUCCAUGCUAGAGUCUCUAUUCAGGCCAAGCCGCCUAAAAAGACUAUUCUUAAAUCAUUGUGAGCUAUUGAGGGAGUUACCUCCGAAAAUUGGAGAACUUCAGCAGCUUGAGUUACUUGAUCUUGAAGGGACUGAGAUCGUAGAUCUGCCAAAGGAGGUUGCGAAGCUAACAAAGCUACUUGCUUAGAAGUAUCUUUUUGUCCACACACAAAUUGUGGCCCAAAGUCUGCAGAAGUGAAUGCAUUGAUUCCUCAAGGCACUAUUUCUGCCCUAUCACAUCAAAUGUGUCUAGAUCAUUGUCCCAUUUCAAAUUUGUUGUUGGCAAACAUGCUGAACGCAUCAUGUGUCAUCUCCCAGAGGAUCUUGAGUUUGAGUUAGAACACUGGGAUAGAUCCCUGAAAUAUGUAAAUGGUUUGGGAGUACCCAUAGAUAUCCAGAAGAUGCUCCGGCAUACUACUGCAUUUUUCUUAGACCACCAUAAAGAUGUCACUAAGCUUUCUGAUUUUGGGAUUGAGAACAUGGAUCAACUAAAAUGCUGCAUAAUCAGGGAGCAUAAUGAGAUCCAGGUUAUUGUUGAUGGAACUGAUGUGUACGAUGAAGCUGAUAGAAGUGAAAUUGUAUUAGAAACAAGGGAAGAUGGCAGGAGGUUUCUCAAAUCACUUAAAUAUCUCUACAUAUAUCGUAUGAAGAGUUUGAAGUGCAUUUAUGAGGGGCCGCUGCAUCGAGGAUCCUUGUCUCAUCUUAAAUGCUUAGCCUUACUCACAUGUCCUUGGUUGACUACUAUAUUUACACUUGGCAUACUGGAAAACCUUGAUAGCUUAGAAGAGCUCAAAGUCGAAGACUUCCCCCUUGUCUUAUGUUUAGUGAGGUGUGAAGAUACUUGUGUUCAUGAGAGUGCUUCCUUCCUCCCCAAGUUGAAAAAGUUACCCUAUUCUCAUUGCCUGAACUCAUUAGCAUUUCCGAUGGCUUAUGCAUUGCACCGAACUUGAAACAAAUGAGCAUUUUUUAUUGUCCAAAUCUUAAGAAUUCAUCUACCGGUGAAAUGUGUUGCAAUCAUCUAACAGGAACUGAAGGUAAGGGUAAUAAUCAGCGGAGAGCAUUGUUCUGUUGAAUUGAUGCCUGUCUUUUUCUUUCAAUUUCAUUUUAUACAUUUGAUUGAACAAGUUAGAAGCUGCAGGCCUAGCCUUAAUAACGAGAAAAUUGGAAAGUCAACACUGAUCUGAAUGAACUCUGAUCUUCUUACAAUUUGAUAUCUGAUCUCACCCUUGAAAUGUUUAUGAAUGAGGUGGUGAUUGCUAAAUGCUCAAAAUUCUGGUCGUUCUAAUGUUAUCUUCGGAACUAUGACUUCUGCUGAUGCAUAUUAUAUUUUAGUUUAUGAAACCAAAUGUUAGCACACCAUAAGUGUGCACUGAUUUGGAUUGCUAGUUAAUUUUUGCCACUGUAAACGUGCUCCAAGUUUGUAGAGUGACUUAACAAUAGCUGGCUUAGUUACCAUUGGUGGGAGAAUUUCUUCAUUAGAGUGCCUAGGGAGUUAUUAUCGAUGUCAACUGUGGAUAGGUUAUUGGAAUUCCUGUUUCACAUGCUGUAGAAAUACUGUACUUUUUUUACUGGUGGUAUGAAGAUCUUACUUCGUGAUAUUCUGCUUGUGUUUGUUGGAGGUACCAUAUGUGAAAAAGGAAAGGAACAUACUUUUUUUUUUUUUUUGGUCUGGUCAAGGAAUAAACUUGAAGUUAGUGUUCAGUUUAUGUUGCAAAGUCCAACUGAAGGCUUAAGCUAUUAGGGGGAAGGAGACUACAUGUAGAUAAGAUCAUUGUCAAAAUUUCAAAUUGUAUUAGCGGUUGCAUUCUAAUAAUUACAGAUGCGGGCAUAUCAGCCUCUUGGAGGUGUCAUCACCACAACAGGGCAGAUAGUGGCUGCUACUGGCGUGAAUUUUAUUCUUAUCGACCGCAAUCAGCUGCUACCUAAAACAUUUGUAGUUAUAAGUUCAGAAAACAAGUGAUGUUCAAUACUUUAAUAUCCCCCUCUUGAGCAAACCCGAAUAAAACCAUAUGACGAAUGCACUUUAGGAAUAAGACAGAGAAAUUAUCUCACUCUAAGUGAAAUAUUAUUUGGGGCGUGAAUAAUUGAAAGUUGGCUCUAGUACCAAAUUAAAAAUCCAAUCUGAAAUUUUUUAGUUAUUAAGUGGAUGCAGACCAUAGGACCAUUUUCAACCCCAAAAGAUGCAAAGGGGGAUAUUCUCACAUUAUAUCUAACUUGUUACUGUGGAUUUAUUGUCUGGUUCUGGUUUUGCGCUUUGAUGACUCAUGCAUUGGCCCCACUAAAACUUGUCAAGUCGGAGUUGUUUGCUCUCUAAAUGUGCCAUUAUGCCUAGUUUAUGUAACUCUUUUGUUGGAUUUGUUGUGCAAUUGUAACACAAUUUAUCAACUCAGGCUGUAGCCCAAUUGAAACUUGCCUAGUUACUCUCCGAGACUCUUUGAUUGCCAGUAUCCUUAGGAGUGCUCUUUGUUCCCAGAGUUUUAUUUUGCAGUGUUGGUUUGGGAAGUGACUUUCAAUUAUUGUGUGCUGUAUACAUCUAGUAAUAGGAGAUGAGAGCGAUGUAUCUCAUAGGAAGACAAAAGUUUGUGACAGAUCUAGAAUAGGUUGAGUGCGUGAUAACACAAGAAGUGAGUGUCGAGUGCCUCAGAGAUUAAGAAAGUUGUAUGUCAGGUGGAAAUUUGGCAUUCUGAAUUGCUUAAAGAAAGUUUUAGUGUUUUAGUCUAUAUCAAGAGAUCAGGUAGAUUUGUUGCUGCUCAUCUUUUUCCAUUGCGUCGAGUGCAAGUUGAAUUAUGUUGUCAUAGUUAUCCAUUGUAAAUGUUAAAAAAAUAUAUUUUGGAUGUGUGUGUUACGGAAGCAUGGUUUUGGUAGUGGUUAUAAUUUUUGGUUUGUGAUGUGUGCAAGUGUAUGGUAUAUUUUGUGGAGGAUGAACAAGAGACAAGAUAAAAUAAUUUAAAGGAUAUAGGACAUGAGAUAUGGGAAAAAUAGUUUUAUUAGUUAAACAAACUAGUUUGAUGAAAGUAUAAUGAAGGUUUAAGACCUUUUAAGGGGAAGAGUUCACCCCACAUACAAGAUGGAGGUAACCUCUCACACACAAAUGAUCAACUUCCAAGCCUAUUUAUAGGCGUGAAUUCACCGCCAUACUCCACCGACAUCUAGUACAAAAAUUAAUAUAAAAUUACAACUUUGCUUCUUUAUCUCCUGCUCAUGCGGCUUCUUCGGAUCUUCUGGUGGCUUCUCCAUUUUUCUUCAUUUUUCUAAUCUCAGCAGCUUUUGUUGACUUUUCUUUCAAGAUUUCCCAUGCACAAAUUUCCCAUGCACGUGGAGCUUGUUCUCUUGAAAACUCCAGCAACUACUAUAAUAUUAUUUUAUUGUGUGCCCCUCUUUUCUUGAUCAACUUGGGCUUCUUCACGUAGUACCAGAAGCUUCUUCAACAUUUGAGAGUCUUCAAGUUUAUUCUUCAUUAAGCUAGUAGCUUCUAGAUUUUGUUGAAAAUGGAUCACCAAUUUUCAACACUCCCCCUUGAUCCAUUUUUGAAAUAAUCUGGACUUGUGUUGUAAAGUAUCGGACAUACCUUGAAAUUUUCUUAUAGUUUGUCCCAUACCUUUUAUGUCGUCUUUGUUUCAUGAUCCCUUGUAUUCUCCCAUCGAAACACUUGCACUUGCCUCGAAUGUGCAUGUUUUUUCUUCAACGAUGUCCCAUACGUCUCGGAACAUCAAAAUGCAUUUAGUUGUAGUUGUUAGCUCGGGCUCUGGCUCUGGCUCUCGUAGGCUAUGGCUCUGGCUCCGGCUUUGGUUUUGGCUCUGGCUCCGGCUCCGGCUCUCUUGGCUCUCGCUCGGGCUCUGGCCUUCUUAGUUGAGGAUGGUGAGGACAAACGUCCAUAACCAUCCGAUGUGCCUAUCUCUGGCUUCACGAUCCUUGACACCUGGCUCAGUUACGAAUCUGGGUGCAACUGGCUCUGAUACCAUUGGUGGUGUUUUGCGGAAGCGUGUGUGUGUGCAAGUGUUAUGUGUGAAUAAAAGGACUAUAAAGGCAAAGGGAGAAUGGGUUGAAAAAGAAGAAUUUUUAUUAUGAAAGCUUUUAUUACAAAGGAAGGAUUUUGGAAGGAGUGUGUGUGGUUUUUCUACAUUUUUCUUCAUUUUUCUAAUCUCAGCAGCUUUUGUUGUUUGCUCAAAAAAAAAAAAAAAAUUCUCAGCAGCUUUUGUUGACUUUUCUUUCAAGAUUUCCCAUGCACAAAUUUCCCAUGCACGUAGAGCUUGUUCUCUUGAAAACUCCAGCAACUACUAUAAUAUUAUUUUAUUGUGUGCCCCUCUUUUCUUGAUCAACUUGGGCUUCUUCACGUAGUACCAGAAGCUUCUUCAACAUUUGAGUCUUCAAGUUUAUUCUUCAUUAAGCUAGUAGCUUCUAGAUUUGGUUGAAAAUGGAUCACCAAUUUUCAACAGUAAACCACAUAUCUACCUGGGUAUGAGAUACCCUCCUCUACUCGGGAGUGGAUGUUUCCUUCUAUUGGAAAAAUAACAUGUGCUGGGGCAACUAGCAGAUUAGCUAAUUUAUCUUCAAAUUCCUGUUUAGAUGAAGUGGCUUGGUGUUUGUUGUUUGUCUAAGUGACCCAAAUCGGUGGUUGCUCAUUUUGUCUAAUAUGCUAAUUUUGUAUUUUAGCAGCACAAAGUAUUCCAAAUGAUGCAAGCAGAGAGCAGCCUGCUCCUCCUGUGGUUUCUUCUACGACCACUGGUAAUGCAGGCUCUUCAUAUUCUAAACUCAAAAGGGAACCUAAAGUUGCUUCUUGGCUUUGGAAAUUAUUAUUUAAUGAUCUUAAGUUAGCUGCAAGAAACUUUAGUGCGGCAAGUCUUCUUGGUGAAGGUGGUUUUGGCUGUGUACGUGGAUUUACAAAUGAUACAAGCAGAGAGCAGCCUGAUCCUGCUGGGGUUUUAUUUACACCCACUGGUACAGCAAUCGACUCCUCAGUUUCAUCUACAACCACUAGUAAUACAGCAAUUACCACUUCAAUUUCAUCUAAGAUCACUAGUAAUGCAACAAUUAACUCUUUGACUUCUAAAGUCAUUGAGGAACAUAUAGUCGCUCCUCAGCUCCAGAAAUUUUCAUUGAAGGAUCUUAAGUUAGCUACAAGAAAGUUUAGUCUUGAGGGUCUGCUCGGUAAAGGCGGUUUUGGCUGUGUCUUUAAGGGUUGGGUUGAAGAAAAUGGGACUGCUUCUGCGAGGCCUGGCACCGGGCUGACUGUUGCCAUUAAGGUUCUGAACACGAGGGGUAUAAGGGUCACAAAGAAUGGCUGGUAAUAUAUCAUCCAAUGAUCUUGUAUUUCUGGAGUAAUGCGUGUUCAACUAUUAGUAUGAGUUUUGAUGCGUUGCACUUUCCAUGUGGCACGCUGAAGUGACUAUUCUUGGUCAUCUAAUACAGCCAAAUUUGGUGAGGUUAAUUGGAUAUUGCGCGGAAGGCCUGCUAAUAUAUGAGUUUUUGCAACAAGGGAGCUUGAACAAUCACCUCUUUAAAAGUAUGCAUAGUUGUCCUGUAUAAUGUGCUUUGGUGCCCUUAAUGACAUGUCUAGCAUUAUGUUCAUACUACAUAAGUACUCACGGUAUAACAAUCCACCUCUAGCUGGAUAUGGAAGUCAUGUCUCCCAUGAAAACUAUAUGAUUGCUAAUAGCAUCUGGAUAAUAAUGUUAAGGAGAAAGAAUCUUACUUGUCCUUAUAAUCGAUGUCUUUCCAAAAGAUGGUAGGGUUCAGAAUCAUAUUUUCCUAAACAAUUUGCACACAAAUUGUCAAUGUCCACAAUGCUCAGCCUCUAUUGAAUGUUCUUCUACCUGAAAUGUUUUUACAUAAAUUGGUUGUUUGUUGUUGCUGCCACUGAGAACCAAAGGAUGCAAUACCAGAGACUUUCGCUGUUAUCAUACUCAGAGGACAUUAUCUGUUCGAAGCCAGGAAAAAGAAGGAAAGCCAUGUCGGUAGAUCAGAACUGGUCAUGAAAUGUCACUUUUUAGCAGCUUCCUCCAUGUGAUGAUCUUAGUAUCUUUUAUCACCUUUGUCUCUCGGUACUACAUCUCAGGGAAUCCUGGACUCAAUUCUCUUUAAAAUGGUCAUUUAUGUGCAAGAAUACCACAGUUAUACCGUAUUGAGAAUGAAACUUAGUACAAGCUUGUAAGUAUGCUGGUAAUGAUAUUUAAUGGAGGUACAUGCUUGGCAAUGGAAGGACUCUUGAAAGAUACUAAAUGUUUUUAAUGGUAGGGCGUGAUGAUUUCUUUCAGCAGGUUUCGCUGAGCUUUCCCUUGCAUAAGCGUAAAAUUUUAUUUCUACAGGAAAAGAAAGGAAAUCCUGCUGUGGUUUCUACUUUUUUCUUGCCUUGCCUACUAAUUCUUAAGCAUAAUGUGCAAGAACUACAUUUGAUUGUCCCACGAUCAACUGUAGUUCUUGCACAUUAUUCCCAUAUCUUCCAGUCCACCACAAAUUCAAUCAUUGAAUGGAUUAUUUUGCACAUGUCUUGCUCAAACUUCUGGAACAUUAUGCUCAGUGUAACUUGUGGAGUGACUGACUGGUACUCAUUACCCGCAUUCCUUUUCUUUGUUAGAAGCAUCUCUCAAUUGUUGUUUCCUCCGAGGAUAAUAUCUGGUGUCUCUCUCAUAUUUUUAGCCUGGGAGGAACCUGGAAAAUUUGCUGGACCGUCAUGAACUAGUGUUCCCAGUGAUACUGGAUUUACUUUUCUGCGGUAUGCACAGGCUUUAUUAAUGAUAAGUACUGAUUACAAAUACAUAAAAGUCGGAUCUUGACGGUGCAAAUCAGGCGAGCUCAUAAUCCACGUUAAUGACGCAUUGCUGGCAAGUGAUUUUUUGUUUUGUUUUACUCUCUCUCUCUCUCUCUCUCUCUCUCUCUCUCUCUCUCUCUCUCGGUCGGUUGUAUCAAAUACCUUGACAUGACAGCCCAUGAAUGAAGUAUAUUAUGAUGACGAGAUACAAUAUUGUUUUUUUGGAAUUGCCAUCUUCGAUAAUAUCACAAUUUGGGCUUUACUCCACUUAUAUGCCACUAAUUACUUUGAUAAUUUCACUAAUACUGGAUAGCUAUUUUAUCCACAGCAAUGCCCGGGGUGCUUAACUAGUAUUAUCAUAAGAAAAAAAAGGAGUGAUGGAAGGACAGAACAAAGUUAAUGUUUCAACCUUACCUGUUUUUGAUUGCUAGAGGUGGUUGAGAUAUUUGGCGGGUACUUCAUUGAUUGUAUUUAUAUCCAAAUAAGACUGAUUGGUACUUAUUCUAGGUAUUCCUGACUAGUGACUGCACCCAUAUUAUUGCAGGGCAAGUCUCAAUAAAGAGUGAUGUUUAUGGUUUUGGUGUGGUCCUUUUCGAAAUCCUGACUGGAAGAAAACCCUAUGACUUCACUGAUGAUGAACCUUCCCUUGUUGACUACGUUCGGUCACAUCUGGAAGAGGAAAGAAGUUUGUACGAAUUGAUAGAUUCGAGGCUUGGAUAUCACUUCAUGGAAAAAUGUGCCCAGAUUGCUUUGCAGUUGGCUACUCGCUGCCUUGAACCAAAGCCAGAAGCUCGUCCCUGGAUGAGUGACGUUGUCGAAGUUUUGAAAACUAUCCAAGAUCUUCCAUACAUAGCAAGUCCAUCAAAUAUUCAGGACGAUACAGGAAGCGCUAGUAGUGGAACGUGUGAAGAUGAAGAAACAAAAUUGAAGAACUGAAGAAUUAGAAAAUGUGAAGAUGAAGAGUUAUGUCAAAGAACUGAAGAUCAAUCAAGAAGCUUUGAAUUCUUCUAUUUCAAUACGAUUGUGAUACAGAAUCUGUAUAUCUCGAAUCAUCAAUGAUCAAAGAAGAUUUAUACUUCUAAACUUCUCAUACGCUCUUUCUCUUUAUCUCUGUCUCUUAUGUAAAAGUACAGAGCAUUCAUUUACAGGACUCUUCUAUCUGUUUUCUACAUACAUUCACUAAAUGAAGAGUAUUCUGCUAAGACUACUUAUAUAUCUUUUCCUAUCAAAGAAGAUGAGGAUACAACAGAAAAACUGAUUUCAACAAGACUGUUUUUCAAUCUGUUUCAAUUCUCAACUGAAUAACUGCUCACAAGUAUUCAUGAGUUGGCAAUCCGUGUCAGUCUUCAUCACAAAUUCUUCACCAUUGAUGACGAUCCAUAUCAACCUUCAUCGUGAUCGUUUAUUUGAUUUGUCGUGUCUUCUCCAGUUUGUGUUACUCACUUUGUUGCUUUGUAGCUCUUCCUUCUCUCUAAUAUCAGCCUCUAUUCUUUCUCCUUUAAUAUCAAUCUUCACCCUCUUUUCCCUAUUAUCAAUGUCAACAGCAUAGGUAGUUGGUACAGUUGGUGUUUUUGAUUUAUAUUCCUUAACAGAAUGGCAUCCAAACUCAAACCAUGGUGAAUUCAAGGAAUGCAAGUCUUUCAAUUCCGGACGGGACCAAUGCCUAUCCAUGCCACCACACCACCAAUUUUUGGAAGCAAAUGAUAAAUUGUGGCAAUACGCCAUUAAAUAGCAGUCAUUCAAACUCGUUUGUUUCCUUUUCUCCUCUUUCCUUUUUUGGUGCCGGAGUUUUCGCUUCCAUAUGAACAUUAGCUUCUGGUUAUGGAAAUGUCAACGGAGUAAAAUAUAAUACAAAUUAUGCUACAUUUAUAAUGUCAUCCAUUGAGAAGUGAUUAGGUGAAGCCCGAAUUGGGAGGUAUGGUUGGGCAUUGAUACUUUAUCACUCCUCUACAGCAUUUUAAUGAUAAUGAUUACCUUUAAUGGUGCCUUUUUGACAUAUCAUAUCUUGUGAAAUUUAUUCUAUAUCGAGUUUUUCAUGUUGUGUUCUCAUUUUCAGUAAUCAUCUCGUUGUAUUUCUAUUUUUCACAUAAGUGGGGUGUUCAUUCAUUUGAAUUUGCUAAUUCGUUUGCUGUGGGAAAUUAUACGGUUGUUCUCAUAUCAGCCAUGAAAAUUGUUAGAAAUUCUUUUGGGCUUGCAUUUGUUGUUGAAACCGGCAUUGAGUUUUCUUUGUUUGAGAUUGAGCAUUCAAUGCAAACAAAUUUUUUUAUUUCGGCCCAUACGGCCCAGCCUAAAAAAUUGGCAUGGGCUCGAGGCCCGGCCCAAGUGGGUGACAGGCCCGUUAACCACCCCUCGGACGGAGGUUGGAAUGCUGCCUCCAAGCUUUUUUCUUUGAGUUUUUGCUUUUUCAUAUUUUUCUAUUUUUUCUGCGGUAUUCUUUUCUUUUUUCUUGGUUUAUUUUUCCCAUAAAUAAAUAUAAAGUGCAUUCUUUUCUAAAAUUUAUAUUUAUAUUUAUAUUUUCUUUUUUCUCCUCCUCCUUUUUAAAAAAAAAAAUCUAAUCAAAGAUAUUCUUGCUCUUUUCAUGUAAUAAUACCUUUUCCUUUUGUGUUUUGCAAUCAGUCUAUUCAUAUAGUUGGACUUGAUCAAAUCCAAUUAUAUAUUAAUUCACUUUAAUUUUUCCAAACCUAAUUAUUGCCUUGAAAACAAAUUUAGGGCGUAGAAUCGACAAUGCUUUUAUACUGCAAUCAAAAUGCAUAAUGCAAGAGGAUGUGCAAUAUCUAAUAAAUUUUAACAUCAGUAAAACGUCAACAAAGACAUUUUCGACUGGGAAAGAAUAACGAUAUUUUGAAAAUUAAUAGUGUUGCCAAAAAAAAAAAAAAACAUUUUUUCCCGCGACAUCGGCCAAGUUUCUGUUCUCCGCACUCCCUCGAUUGCUGCCUUUUUCAUGUCUCCGUCCACUCCUUCACUCUGGCCUCCCCCACAGUCUGAGGUACUCUAUUUGUUCCUGAAUUUCUAGGGUUUUAUGAGUUUCACUUUUGCGUGUGCGCUUGUCAUGUGCUUUCAUGCCUGAAACUGUUUUUGAUUUCUGCCGUUGGCAAUUUCUAGUUGUAGCGCCGCCACCGCCAUGGACAUAAUUUUUCGGGGGGCGGUGGGGCAUUGGUGGGAAAUGAACUCGGCUUGAAUGCAAUGCUUUCGGAAGAGGUAUUUUCAUCUCUCGUGAAUCAACGUUGCUUUGAGUGAUUGCGGAGCUCGCCCGUGCUGAUAGUGGGUACGUGAUGAAAUUUGUACAUUGGAUUGGACUUGUGUUUUCUGAGAGGAUAUUGGCUUUUGCUUUGGGUAUUUGAUGAAUUAGUAAUUAUUUUUAUGGUGAGUUACUAAUUCCAUUUUUCAUCAUUGUUUGGGUGUUUGUUGAUUAUAUGAUGGUAGUUUGUCUUUUAAUUGUAUUUACGUAAUUGUUUAUCUUUAUGGAUUGUUCCGAGAUGCCCAUGGAGACUCCACGGGCCUACUAGCUUGUCGACGACAAGCCUGCCAGCGGUUCAUAUUUCUUCUUGAACAUACAUCGACUCUCUAAAUUUCCACACAAAGUGUUCAUUUUUAUGUUUAAUUGGCCACAAUGCUAUAUGUAGGCAAAAAAAGCAUGAAUGCAUUCAAAGACCAGUAGUGUCUUUUUUUAUCUUCUUAGUGCAACUCCAAUUCCUUUUUGUUUCAUUUUUAGGUUUUCGUGGGUUUGAAACAAAUUAUCUAAUAGAAAAAACUCCCGCUUUGAUCACACCCCCUUCUCUCCCUCUCUCUCCCUGCCGACACGGCUGUCUUCCUCUAGUAAGAAACUAGACCAAAAUGUCUAGUUCCUUGAAUAGAAGAAGUGUUAAAGUGGCAAGCAAUCAUGGGCAAAUUUUUUGUAUAGUCUAGUGUCAAUGUAACAAGUUAGCCUGUUUCGUGUAGGUGAAGCAAUAUACUGUAAUCGAAUAGGAGAUGAACCUAGUUUAAAAAAAAAGUAUUUUAGUUACGAACGACAGUUGUCUUGAUACUAUUUAUAUACUCAACGUGUUUUAUCUAACUAAACUAAAAUAAAUACUUUAACUAAUAGAUAGUGAAUGUUAAUUUAUAUAUCAUUGGCCUUCCCCAAUUGAUUUUACAUGAGAUAUCAUAAUCAACGUACAACCUCAAAUCUAUCCAACACUUCCUAUCCCUCUGGAAAAUCAGACGCGACCGGAACAUGAACUUUGGCGGGGGUCUCACGGAGGUAAUGAACAAAAUGGCUGCUUGUGUGACAGGUGGUCUGGUCUCUUUCCUAUUCAAGAAGUCUACACACGUUCUCAAAGAGCGGUUGACAAAGUUAAGUUUGUGCUAAACUUGCCAUGGCACGGGCCCCACGUACAGAAAAGAUUCGUGCAUAGCUCGUUCAUACCCCCAUUAUCCAUUAUUAUAGUCAGGUUCGUCCGGAAAAAAAGUCAAAUUGGAGAAAAUAAAGUCUUCUCCCAAAAAAGAUGAGAAGAAAGUAGAAUUUUUUUUUUUUCACUCAACCUGGAAAGUUAAGACGCAAUGAAAUCGUGGGUUAUGCCAGGGUUAGCUAAUGGUUUUAGUCAUCAGCUUCCUUGAUUGAAGCAGGUUUCUAUCGCGCAUCCAACAUCUGAAGCACAUUGAAUUAUCUCCAAGAUGAUAAGUCAUGAUUCAAAGUGACCGACACUAGACGGUGACUGAAAUUGCUGGCUACUUUUGGUCAUGAAAUUCGUCCUCAUUAUGCCCCCACCCUCAGUGAAACUAUGAGAAGAACCUGCAGUACCCGUGGCACUGGUUCGUUGACUUGGGCGACUGAUGGUUCGUCCAUGUGGAACUCGUGCAACACAUCUGGCAUCGUCAUUUCUCCAAAAACCACGGGCCAGCACAACCUUUGUGGUACGCGUGCUUGCAACAUGCAAGCAGUAGACACACUUUGCCGUCCUUGAAAUCCCUCGGUGAAUAGCAAAGUCCGCGUUCCUGGCCUUUGUUUCAUUGCUAUUGCACGCGACGAUCACCUGCGCGUGCACACCAAAAGACGACAAGCUCCGUUGCCGCCGUUCUGGAGGAUCCUCAGCUCCGGCGAGGAAUCACAGAAAAGAAAUACGAAUAUGCAAGCGAUCGGAUUGAGGAAAAUGUUGAUUUCGCCGGCAAAGCAGGACUCGAGAUGGAUGGCGACGGUGGUGGCGAAGAUGGGGACGAUGAUGAAGAUGAUAAGUGAGAGAAGUGACGAGGUCAUCGUGCAAACGGAGAAAGAGCCACUCGGCAGGAGAAAGGAGAACUGAAACACACGUCAAACGCUUAGGAAUUGGAGCAGCAACAAGCCUCUCUCUCUCUCUCUCUCGAUCUUCUAGGCGUUCCAGAAGCCUUGUCCACCGUUGAUCGGUGCCGGAAACCACAGCCUACCAUGCGACGUCCGUGAUCUUCAAAUAACGGUGUUCUCGCGCUUGAGCUUCGAAUCUGGGUGCUCCAUCAAGGAACUCGAGUUUAUUGAACCAAGGAGAAUUUUUUUCGACUUUCGAUAACUUGGGGCCUUCAAGCUUUCUGAUUUUCAUCGAGUGUGGAAGUUGAGAACAUUCCAUUUACGCGCGUAUGUUGAAGAUAUUGUUGCCCAUAAUUGAUCAUAAUUGAUCUUUAUUGAUCUAAUUGGUAUAUUUAGAGAAAAUUAGAAUUUUGUAUAUUUGGGAAAUUAUUCUUUAUUUUGUAUAUUUGGGAAAUUAUUCUUUCCUCAUUUUGUAUAUUUCUUUUCUCUAAUUAGUUCAGGCUUGUACAUUAUUAAUAGGGCUGUAAGCUGUAUAAUUCUCGACUUCUUUCCAUCUAAUAUUCUGACAUGGAGCCCAUCUUCUAGGUUCCGCUCCUUUUUUGUCUUCCCUUCUUCUUCUUUGUCCAAACCCUUUUUUUCUUUAUGUUCUUUUGUUUCCUUUCUUUUCCCACGUCAAGCUUGCAAAAUUUUUCUGGGCUAAAUCAACAAGGAAACAAAAUGCCGAGAAACCAAGCUUCAAAAUCUAGUACAUCCCAAGAUCCAGAAAUUUCUUCUAACGUCCAAGGAUUCACCUUUGGAUGAACAAACAAAUCUGGUGACAGAAAACCAGAUGCAAGAACAGAAUCAAUUGCCGACCCCUGAGGAGAGACAAGGUUUUGUUUACCCCAAUUCGGGGCAAAUUUUUUCGGGCCCAUAUGUUCAAUGGGUCCCAAUCCAAGUUCAACCUAUUCCGGGCCAAACGAGUCAGAUGAAUUCGACCCAAAGUUCCACUAGCUUUGCCGAGAGAAUCAAUGGCGGGCAAGGGGGAGGAAACCCACAACUUAAUAAUGAGUCUAACUCCGGUGGAAUGGGUUGGCUCUUCUUGAGUCAAACCGGUUCGGGUACAUCAGGAUUUGGGGCAAAUCCUUACCUGACCUAUGGAAUUGGAUUCCUUCUCUUCGCAGGCAUCAUUGCAAUCCGUAUUAAAAGCUAACCCGGUAAUUUAAAAUCACUUUAUUCGGAAAAAAAGAAGAAGGUAAUUUAUUGUGUACUCAUACAUAUUCAAAUCCAGUGAAAAUAUUUGUAAUUGGAUCGAGACAUUAACAAUAUAUCUCAAAUUUUUACUUUCAUUAACCAAAACUUCAGCUUUUUUGUGGAUAUGUGCACUACAAGUCCUAAAAUUUUUCGCAAAAGUACAAUUGAAUCAUAAAAUUUUCAACAAAUCUAAUUAAGUCUUAAAACUUAUCAAAUUAGUACAAUCAAGUCAUUUUGUUAACACCGUCAAUUUAUAUAAUGGAAAACACUAACGUGGCUUUUAUAUUAAUUUCUCUCUCCUACGUGACAUUUUUAUUAAUUUUCCUUUUAAAUUUUAUUCAAAAUAAUUAAAAACAAACUAGAAAGAAGAACAAAAAGGUGCAAGAGCUUGCCAAUGUGUGUUGCCAUCACCGGGUGACCGUUGCUACGCCCAAGCAAGGCCCCCUGUGUCACGCCCCGAACCCCGAGCGUGAGCAUAUCCCACUGCGGUCGAUCAAAUGCGACAUUCCUAGGUAGUGUCGCCGACCCAUUUAUUUUAUUACGCAUGCGGAAGCGAAACAAAUCCCCUGACAAUAAAAUACGGGAUAGAAAAGCAGGAAGCAAAACCACAACAUAACACUUCCAUAAUUCAACAGAAUUACAAACAGAGGUCUACGGCCAAAAGUCUACAAAAGACCGGCUCUUAAAAAUGAAUUGUCCUACGACCUACAAGUCGGACACGUUCUCCAAUCUUAUGACUUCACCUCUGCAACUCCUCAAUGCCAACCAAAGCUAUCUGGCCGCUCCGUCCACCAAGGACCUGAAAUGGUUAUUCAAUAACCACUGAGACAACGUCUCAGCAAGUUCAACCCCCUAAACCCUUAUUAGAAAGAAAAUACGCCCAAGGGUGGCCUAGCCACAUCACACAGAAGACUUACCUCGCCUCAGCCUUCAUCUGCAGGUUAGUACAAUUUAUAUAAUCCAACCACGUACAAUUGUGAUAACCAAACAACCAUGUCACAAUCACAUUAUCAAAACAAUUCAACCACUUGGAUCGUCUCAGCGAUCAAUCGACUCGGCCGAUUACAGGUCAUUCCAACAAUUAAUCAUUGCUCACAAUCACGGCCCACCCGGCAAAAUUAGAAUCAGUGGUAUCACGGCCCCACUCGGCGCGACCUUUAUCAAGUGGCAAUUCACGGCCCCACUGGGCGCGACCUUUAUCAGGUGGCAUAUCAUGGCCCCAUUGGGUGCGACCUCUAAUAGGUGGCAUAUCACAGCCCCACUGGGCGCGACCUCUAAUAGGUGGCAUAUCACGGCCCCAUUGGGCGCGACCUCUAAUAGGUGGCAUAUCAUGGCCCCAUCGGGCGCGACCUCUAAUAGGUGGCUUAUCACGGCCCCAUUGGGCGCGACCUCUAAUAGGUGGCAUAUCACGGCCAAUCGCCUAUCAAUUUCCACACUUAGGAAUUUAUAAAGAAUUCAUAUAUAUCACAAUCACACUCAAUUUGCCACAACCAAUCAUCAAUAUCAAAUUCUAAAUGCACAGUAGCGAUCGGCACGAAAUUCUGAGAGUUUAGGGCCCCAAAAUAAUUUUUCGAAAUUUAUUAAAUAAUUAAGUUUAUUCUGAAAAUUAAUUAAAUAAUAAUAUCCAUAUUUUUCACAAUCCACACUCAAUUUAUAAUAUCCAAUCAUCAAUUUCAAAAUCCGAAUGUACCGUGGCGACCGGCAUGAAAUUCUGAGCAACCGGGGUCAAAAAUAAUUUUUCUGAUUUUUAUUUUUUUUAAAUAAUAAUAUUUUAAUAAUUUCGGAUUAUAAUAUAAUAUAAUAUUUUCCAGAAUUUCGAAGCACUUAAAUAAUUCAAAACUAAAAAUCAUUUUUGUGUCACAUCAAGGCUUAACUUUAAAUAAACUCUAUUAGCAUUUAAUUAAACAUACUUUAGAUUAAACAAACAUCUUAAUCUAAAUCAUAAUUAAAUCAACUAAAUUAACCACCUAAACUUAAUCAACUUAAGCUAAGCACACCUAAAGCAUAAUUAACCCUCUAAGCGAGGUUUAGUGAGCUAAACUCACCGGAUUAGCGAGCCGAGCGGACCAAAACGACGGGGACGCCGAGGAGAACAACUUUCCUCAAGGCGGGCCGAGCAUUCGGGCUCGGGAAGGCGGCCAAAACGGGCCAAACGUCCGCUGCAUACCCAUUUUCUUCCAACUGCUGUUCACGGCGGAGGAGGGCUGAUCCGGCGUGGGUUCGGGUGCGGAACCGAUGGAGAGGGGUGGCGGUAGCUCGAGUAGUGGCCGACGAGGACAUGCGGCGAUGAUGGAGACUCCGGCAAAGUGCAGCGGCAUCGAGCAGUAGCUGGGACGCCGAACGAGCGGACGAAGGCGCGACCGAGGCAGCGACAGGAGUUAGCGGGCGAGCGAGCGGUCGGAUGGCGGCGAGCUGCGACGGCGACGACUUCAGCUUCGGUCGCUUGCUGCGGCGGCGAGCGGGACAUGCUGCUUUGGUUUGUUCUGAUCUUCGCACAACAAGGGCACCGAACAGCAUAAAGAGGACAGAGGAGAGAAGCGGAGGUGCACGCGGGCUGAGCGACGGCAAGUGGGCGGAGGGGUGGCCGGUGACGAGCGGCCGAGCGGGCGGACGAGCGAAGGGGGAGGUCGGCCGAGCUUCUGGUUCGCACGCCUCUCUCUCUCUAUCUCUCUCUCUCUCUCUCUCAAGUUCCAAGACAACUCCUUGAUUCAAGGAGGAAGAUGAUGGUGAUGGGUCACCUUUUCUCGGGCGAAUCUCCACCGUCCACGUGUCAAGAUCUCAACCCUUGGCCUCAACCACCAUGACAUCAUCCCAUGUCAUCUUCCACUCACUCAAAUCCUCCACAACUUCUCCAAUGGUUGCAUUUUAUUUUUCCGCCGGGGCAUGAAACUUUGUACAUUAAUUUCUUUAAUUCCAUUCAAUUCUCUUUCAAUUGAGUCAAAUUGAAGUUCAUAAAAUUAAUCCAAUGUCACCACACUUCAAUUAACAUCUUCACUGAUCCAUAGAACCAACUUAAUUCCCAAAAGUACGACCAAAAGCGGGCCUACUAAUUUCUCGAGCCAAAUUAGCCAUACCUUGAUUAAUUUGCCGAAAAACUCGGCUUGCAUGAAAAAUCUUCCGAAGAUAAAUCAAUGAUCCUAAAAUGAUUUGUGACACACCCAGACUCCCAAUUUCUGAAUUCGAUCUCAAUUCCACGGUUAGUUUCACUUUGGCACGAUACUAGCGCAGCCCAACCUACCGGGUAGCCUUUAGAAAUUUUCAUGCAUUUGACCUGUGGUUGAUCAUCUCAAGCCACGAUGUACAUCUUUGAAACAUUGGCGACUUUCGGUUGUCGGGGUAAUCUCAAGGUUUCAAAUACGAACACAGGGUACCCAAUCGAUAGAAAAGUCGGUCCAGUAUCGAUCGACAAGAAUUGUGCGAUCUGGUGGAAUCACCCACACCUGAUCACAUGCCUCUGUCGAGUCGACCUAUUUCCGAUCUCUAAUCGAUUUUAAUUGUGCCGUAAUGACCCUUGCAAACUAGCUCGGUCGAAAUGUCGCUUCCUGGUCAAAUUCUCGAGUCUGAUGCAUUAGAAACUCUUAACAGCUUUCCCCCGAUAGACUAGUUUCCACAUGAGUGGCCAACUCAAGGAAAAGAACUAUAUGCGUGCCAACAAAAUGCCCGUAUCAAUUUAUUGAAAAUAGAAGUGGAAAAUCGGGAUGUCACAACUCUUCACCUCUUAUAAAAAUUUCGUCCUCGAAAUUUAAACCUUUGCCAAUUCUUAAACCAAAAGGUGGGGGUACAGUCGUCUCAUAUAAGCUCAUCUUUCUCAUGUCCUUCUGUACCAAUGCUGCUAGAUCACUGCUAUCUUGCCCAAACCACUUCGGAUCCAAAAUACUAAACACUUACCCACUUAAAAUUCCAAAGGUCUUCAACACAAAAUCUACGAAGCUAAACUAGCGAUUCUGAGCAGUCUCUAAACUAUCUCUGAUAAUUGCGACUGAAUCACUGAUUUCUGAACUAACUUUGGACCUGCAAUUUUUUUUUGAUCUCUGAUCUCAGAUCUCAUCUCAACCGACUGAAAUCCUGUACACUCUACUCUGCACUAAUUAAAAAGAAACUAUCUGACUGAUCUGCUGAAACUGGGAACCUCUAGUCAAGAUCUGAUAUAAUUCUGACACUGAUCUCGACAACUGCAAUCACUGACUACUACACUGACCUUGGCCUGUGAUCUUUCUUUCCUUGACUUCAUCUCAGCAGUUUAAAUUCUGCAUUCUCUGAUAUACACUGCUUAAGAAAGAACCAUCUGAAAGCUCUGCCAACUUGGAACAUCUAAUCUAGAUUUGAAAUACAAUUCAUCCUUGGCACUCCAUGCAGAUGAAUUAUAUGAUAUACACACACUUCGGUAUACCCACUUUGUGACAAAACAGAAUCUCCAAUUUCUGAAAUCGAAUUUAGACUGGCGGUUAAUUUCACUCCGACACGCUUUUAGUGUGACAUAGGCUACUAGGUAGUUUUCGGAGCUUUUUAGGACAAAUGACCCGUGGCCGAUUUUCUUCGAGCCACGAUGAACCCACUCGACACAUUGGUGACUCUCGAGGGUCGUGAAAAUCUCGAUGAUUCAAAUACGGACACGGGGUACCAAAACGACAGUAAUAUCAAAUUAGUAUCAGUCGAUGAGAGUUUUCCAAUUUAGUGGAGUCACCCACGAUCGGUCAUUCAUCUCAGUCGAACCGACCUAUCUCUGAUCUUAAUUCGUUAACUGUGCCGUAUUGAUCUCUAAAGAUGAGCACGGUUGAGAAGUCGAUCCCUGGUCGAAUUGUCAAGUCUAUUUUCCUUAAGUCCUUAAUAACUCACCCAACUAGUCUAGUUAUCUCGCAAGUAGCCAACUCAGAGAAAAACACUGUAAUCGCGUCGAUGAAAUGCCCAAUUCAACCAAUCGAAAUCAGGGUCUGAAAAUCAACCUCUCUCUCAUCUGCAUUCUCUUAUAGAGUCUUUUGAAUUUCUAAAUCUGUCCACUAAAGCGAUUUGAUUCUGAUCUGAACUUUCGUCUCAAUUCUGAGGGUAGUCUUAAGAUUCAAAGGUGGCUUACCUUAAAUUUGAAAAUCGAAUUUCGAACUUAAAUAAGAUCCAAUCCUUAAGUACCAACUGUGCAACUAAGGACUCUCGACUCAGUGCAUUUGCGACUUUGCUCACCUUACCAGAGUGAUACAAAAUAUCAUAGUCAUAAUCCUUAAGGGGUUCCAUCCAGCGACGCUGUCUCAUAUUCAACUCUUGAGGUCUCAACUGACGGACGCGUAUGCAAUAACUCUAUCAUGCUGCAUCAACAAGCAACUAAAUCCUUUAAACGACACAUCAUUGCAGAUCUCAUAACUUUCAGGACCAGAUGGAAUGAUCAGCACAGCGCGGUAGUCAGCCUCUUCUUAGGCUCUUGAAGACUACACUUGCACUUACCUGUCCAUACGAAUUUCUCUUCCUUUCUCAGUAGUCUUGUCAACGGUAACGCUAACGCUGAAAACCCUUCUACGAACAGUCUGAAAUAUCAUGUUAAUCCUCAGAAACUUCUUAUCUCUAUCACUGUAGUCAAUCUCGGCCAACUGAUCACUGCUUUAAUCUCGGACGAGGUCUACGGAGAUUCCUUCUCCUGAAAUCACAUGACCUAGGAACACAACACGAGUCAUCCAAAACUCGCAUUUGCUAAACUUAUUGUAAAAUCCAAAAGCACUCAAGGUCUGAAGUACCCUCUCCAAAUAUCUCUCGUGCUCCUCUGCACUCUUUGGACACACCAGGAUAACUUCAAUGAACACGAUCACGACUGAUUCAAGUACCCUUACACAUUCUGCUCAUAAGACCCAAACAAACAACUAAGGUAUCCGUCAAACCACACGGUAUUACAGUGAACUCAUAACUGACGAAUUAAGUAAGAGAUGCUAAAUUCGGUAUGUCUUUCUUCCCGAUUCUCAAUUGAUGAUACCCUGACCUCCAGUCGAUCUUGAAGAAUAUCGAUGCACAAACACAAUGAAUCAACUUUCUUCCUCACGAAUAGAACAGGUGCUCCCCAAGGUGAUACACUGGAAAGUAUGAAUCUCUUAUCCAACACUUCCUACAUUUACACCUUCAGUUCUUUUAACUCAGGUAACACCAUCCGGUAUGGAGCCUUAGGGACUGGUUCUAUUCCGGGUGCCAAUUUAAUCACGAACUCUAUUUCUCUUUCUGACUGCAAACCUGACAAUUCUCUAGAAAAUACCUUAGAAAACUCCUGUACCACGAUUAUGAUCUCCAUAUUUGGCCCCUCAACUAAUGCAUCCACUUCAGUUGCCAUGUAAAUUCGAUAACCAACAACCUGAACCAAGUCAUCUUCAGUGACGGAUAAUAAGGAUUGAAGUUCCUCUUCAACUUUCAGUAAUUUAAAACUUUCAUACUCUAACUGAACAAACCGAAUUAUGUCACUGCCACAAUUCAUAACUGCAGAAAGCUCCUCGAGCCAAACCUUUUCAUAAAUGACUUCCAAGUCAUAUAUAAGCAAACUCAUCAGGUACAACUAUAGUCAAAUACUCAUCUUCCUAUUACUUUAUUACAACAACGAAGAUCCUACAACCUUCACUCAAAAUCCUGAUGCGCUACUCUGAUAAGACACCUCAAAACAUUCUUCCCUUGAUUAAUGCAUAGUCAAUCCAUUCCCAUUCCUUUCGUCAUUUUAGUGGCGUUCUAUCUGCAGUAGCGGUACUUACACUCUCAUGGACUUACGUGUUGGAGAAAUCUUAGUGAAAGUGUUUUGAAGUUGACAAAACGUUUCCAUCAGUCUAGUCUGAAGGUCUGCAGACUUUGUUUGUUAAAGUCUGAAGACUUCCGGACAGCCAGACUCAAGACUCAAAGUCUAUCCUCAUUGACAGUCUCUAAUCCGUUGAAGAAAGGUUAUCCAGAACUGGAUGUUUUGUUCAGGAUUUAAUCUUAUCAUCUGGAGAAGAUCUCGUGGCUGGAGAAGACGUAUCAGAAUCCUUUGAUUGAUCAAGUUUGAUUCAAUGACUGAAGAUUCGAUGAUUGUCUAAAUAUUAUUGGAAGGUUCUACUUAUGGAAACCGAGAUCCUGAUUGUAUGGGCGAACAGGAUUGAUGGGCUAUCAACACGUUCCUUUAAUAGCUCGAACAAUCUUCCUAAUUGAUUCCGUCCAACGGGUAGAUUGGAGGAAUUCCUUUAGUAAGUGCCAACGGGUAUGAUGGCAUAAAGGAGUAUAUAAGGAAGACGUUCUUAGUUGUUCAAGGUGUGCGCGAUAGAAGAAUUCCAAAGUCUGAAGCUCCUAUUUGUUUAGAUAAAUCCUUUGAGCGAAUACUUGUAUACAAAAGAGAGUCUAUAUUUGUGAGAGACCUUGAGGAGGUGUGGUAGAACAUCUACACUGUGGAAUCAAGGCAAAGCUGUGCUGUAACUUCUCUUUUGAUCAUAGUGAAAUCCAGCCGGUGGGCUGUCAGUGCGGAAGAGUGGACGUAGGCUUGGAAUAAGCCGAACCACUAUAAAUCCUGUGUUCAAUUUUCUCUUCCUCACUCUCUCUACCUCGAUCGUAUUUCAUUUUGUUAAUUAAGAGAGAAUUUAUUUUCUAUCAUAUGUUAAGAAUCGCUUCCGUAUAUCGAUAAAUUGUUUAGGCACCUAUUCACCCCCCUCUAGGUACUCAUACUAGCAAUAUCAAUUGGUAUCAGAGCCUGUGUACUUACUUUAUUUGAAGUGUUUUACUUCAUAGUAAAAGAUCCAUGGUUAGUAUGCUAGCACCAGGGCUGAUGGAAGGGCAAAGCAAUACCAGACCACCCUACUUUGAUAGAAAUGAUUACAACAUCUGGAAGAACAAGAUGAAAGCUUUCCUACGAUCAAAGGAUCCUCUGGAAUGGGACGUUGUAGAAAAAGGAAUUACUCCUACCACUGCAUCAGUCUCUGAAAGAGGAAAAGAAACUGAAAAAACCGGCGGAAUGUCUCAGGAAGAAAUAAUCAAGAGACAAACACUCGAUGCAAAAGCAAUUUACUCCUUAUAUUGUGCUUUAUCACCAACUGAAUAUAAUAGAAUAUCUUCUUGUGGUACAACAAAAGAAGUUUGGGACAGAUUGCAUAUCACCUAUGAAGGAACAGAUCGAGUGAAGGAAACAAGAAUCAACAUUCUUCUCGGUCAAUACGAAGCCUUCAGAAUGAAACCAGGAGAAUCAAUAUCUGACAUGUUUAGUCGUUUUACAGAUAUUGUGAAUGGUCUUGAAAAUCAAGGUCAACCAACUUCUGAUCCCAUGAAGGUAAACAAGCUACUGCGUGGACUCUCCAGGGAUUGGAAUCACAUAAAGACUUCAAUAAGAGAGACGUAGAGAAUUAUGCCACUAUCUGUUGACGAGCUGAUUGGAACUCUUCAGUCCUAUGAAGUGGAAAGGAUCAAUGAAGAUGAAGAUCCAAAAGGUAAGAAAUCCAUUGCAUUAAAAUCAAAUGAUGAUUCUGAUGAUACAGAUUCUGAAGAUGAUAUGGACGAUGAGGAGCUUGCUCUCAUGAUAAGAAGAUUCAGAAAACUAAAUAGAAAAGGAAGAAGGUUCAACUCAAAGAAACAAAGCUUUCAAAGACAGCAGACCAAGUCUGUUGAUGAUGAGGAACUGAAUAAAGAUGUAGUAUGCUUUGAAUGCAAGAAAAAGGGACACAUCAGACCCAACUGUCCUCUUCUGAAGAAGAAGAGAGGAAAAGCUGAAAAAUUUCGAAAAGCUCUCAAAGCUGAAACCUGGAGUGAUACUGAGUGUGAAGAAAGUGAUAAUGAAUAUGCCAAUUUAUGUCUGAUGGCACAAUCAGACUCAUACUCUGAAUCAGAUUCAGGAUCAGACUCAGACAGUGAAUUUGAGGCAAGUAAUUUUAAAAUUCCUGUCAAAGUUUCUAAAUAUAUUGAUGAACUAUGCUUUAGUCUUAAGACUUCUCUCAAAAGAAUUUCCAAACUAAAAAAGGAAAACUCAGCUCUAAAAUAAAAGGAAAAUGUUUUAGCAGAAAGAGUUAAAAGUCUAGACUUGUCUGUUUCCAAUCUUAAAGAAAAUGAAGAAAAUCUUUUAAAAGAAAAUGCUUUUUUAAAAACAGACUUAUCAAAUAUAUCAAAGAAAUUUUCUAUAGGGUCUGAAAAACUUGAGAAAAUUCUUUCAGCAUAAAGACCUUACUUCAAUAAGUCUGGUCUAGGUUUGACAGAAGAAACAAUUCCCUUGAUUGAUUUUCCUAAAGUAAAAGAAAGAAUUAAGAAAAGGCUUUCGAGUGAGGUUUACAAAAAUCACUUCAAGAAAGUUUUUGUAAAACCUGUAGGUAGAAAUGCUCUCAGAUGUUCUAAGUGCAACAGUCCGGAUCACUUUGAAAAGAGUGUCCUAUGGUAUGGAAACCUGUUAAGAAAGUAUGGGCUAAUACUGUUUAUCUUACUAACACCAAAGGACCCAAGAAAAUUUGGGUACCAAAGAAAGCUUGAGACUUUAUUUUAAAUGCAGGUCUCCGUCAAGAAACAGGUAAAGUGGUAUCUUGACAGUGGAUGCUCAAGACACAUGACAGGAGACUCAAAUUGCUUUAUAAAGCUUGCUCAAGUAAAUGGUGGAAAAGUUUCAUUUGGAGGAAACAGCAAAGGAAGUAUUGUGGGAUUUGGAACCGUGAAAAUUGGAACUCUCACAAUAAGUAAUGUUUCCUUAGUGGAAGGACUCAAUUACAAUCUUCUCAGCAUUAGUCAAUUGUGUGAUACUGGUUUCAAGAUCUUCUUUCAAGAAGGAACAUGUUCUGGAAUCAGUAAAGACUCUACUCAGUCUUUCAUGGGUCGAAGACAUGGAAAUAUCUAUCUUCUGGAUGUGAAACCAAAUGAAUCGCAAUGCCUUAUCUCAAUUCAAGACGAAGCAAGCUUAUGGCACAAAAAGCUUGGUCAUGUCAACAUGAAGCAAUUAGCCAAAAUCUCAUCAAAGCAGCUUGUUCGAGGUCUACCCAAAUUGCCAUACCAAAAGACUGAUUCAUGCACUCCAUGUAUUAUGGGAAAGCAGGUAAGAAAUUCUUUCAACACAAUAAAUUAUGUCUCUACUAAUCAUGUACUACAGUUGCUGCAUAUGGAUCUCUUCGGACCAACCAGAACUCAGAGUAUUAGGGAUCGAGUUGGUAAGUUUGAAGAAAGAUCAGAUGAAGGUAUCUUCCUUGGAUAUUCUACAUCAAGCAAAGCUUACAGAGUCUAUAACAAGAAGAGUCAGUCUGUAGAGGAGUCAAUGAAUGUCAAAUUUCAAGACUCAACGCAAGAUGAAUCAAGUCAGACUCAUCAAGAAGAGUCUGAACCUGCUCCAGACCCUCAAAAGUCUACAACUCAAGAAGCAUCUCAGACUCUGGAAAACCAGCAUCAGGUUGUUAGUGAAGAUCCAAAUAAAGAAAUAGAUCAUCAACCAGACAAAUCAACAAGUAACUAGAAGCAUAAGUCCAGUCAUCCCAAAGAUCUUAUAAUUGGCGAAAUUAAUGAAGGAAUUCGCACCAGAUCCAAAAGGUGAGAAGAGUCUAGUGCUGUGGCACUCAUUUCUGAAAUUGAACCAAAGAGCAUAGAAGAAGCUUUAUCUGAUGAAAGCUGGAUUGAAGCUAUGCAAGAAGAGCUCAGACAGUUCAGCAUAAAUGAUGUCUGGGAAUUGACAUCCCAACCAAAAGGUAAAACUGUUAUUGGAGCUAAAUGGGUGUUCAGAAACAAGAUGAACGAGAAAGGAAAAGUCGUACGAAAUAAAGCAAGACUCGUGGCCAAGGGAUAUACGCAAGAAGAAGGAAUAGACUAUGAUGAGACUUACGCUCCAGUGGCAAGGUUAGAAGCUAUUCGACUAUUACUUGCGUUUGCUUGUUAUAAGAAUUUCAGGUUAUUCCAAAUGGACGUCAAAAGCGCCUUCCUAAAUGGAUUUAUCCAUGAGGAAGUUUAUGUGGAACAACCACCAGGGUUUGAAGACCCAAAGAAGCCAGACUCAGUCUUCAGACUGAAAAAGGCUUUGUAUGGUUUAAAGCAAGCACCUCGGGCUUGGUACGACAGAUUAAGUAAGUUCCUAAUACAAAAUGGUUUUGUCAAAGGUAAAGUAGAUACGACUUUAUUUAUCAAGAAGGAAAACAAAAGUUUCUUACUUGUUCAAAUUUAUGUGGAUGAUAUUAUUUUUGGAUCCUCUAAUGAAAGUCUAUGCAAGAAAUUUUCAAAGUCUAUGCAGGAUGAGUUUGAAAUGAGUAUGAUGGGAGAGUUAACAUUCUUUCUUCGUCUUCAAGUAAAACAAUUGAAGGAAGGAACUGUACAGGAGCAUUAUUGGAUCACUUCUUUAUCUUACUACCUCUAGACCUGAUAUUUUGUUGAGUGUUUGCAUCUGUGCUAGGUUUCAAUCAGAUCCUAGAGAAUCUCAUCUCAGUGCUGCGAAACGCAUCAUUAAAUACGUCGCUUCAUCAUCAAGCAUCGGUCUUUGGUAUCCUAAGAAGGGAGACUUUAAUCUUCUGGGAUAUUCAGCUGCAGAUCUGGCUGGUUGCAGAGUUGAUAGAAAAAGCACUUCAGGAACUUGCCAGUUGCUUGGAAGCAGGACAGUGUCUUGGUUUUCAAGGAAACAAAGCACUGUGUCUCUUUCAACAACAGAAGCAGAGUAUGUAGCUCUUGGAAGCUGCUGUUCGCAAAUUCUAUGGAUAAAACAACAGCUAAGAGAUUUUGAAAUUGAAGACUCAUGCACGGAGAUUAAUUGCGACAACACCAGCGCUAUCAACCUCACCAAAAAUCCAAUUCUCCACUCAAGAGCAAAGCAUAUAGAGAUUCGACAUCACUUUAUUAGAGAUCAUGUUCAAAAUGGAGAUGUUUCAAUUCAAUUUGUUGACUCAAAGAAUCAACUGGCUGAUAUACUCACAAAGCCUUUGGAGAAAAAUCAAUUUGAGUCUAUACGGUCCAGACUCAACAUUUUGAGGUAUGAGGAUAUCAAAGUCUAAAGACUUUCAAACUCAGGCUUAUAAGACUUUAUCUACAGUCUUGGCACGACCUUUAGACUGUAAGUCUUUCUCUCUCCAAUCUUAUCUUGAAAAGGUACGAUCAUCAGACUGUGUUUAAAUUGUUGAUAUAUUUAAUUAACGUAAAUAUUGCAUCGAUUCAUUUUCAAAAGGGAAGUUAUUUUUGAAAUAGCUAUUUUUGCGGAUAAAGAUAGUUAUUUUGAAAAGGCAUAUUUUUAUUUCCUUUGUGAUGGUUCGGUUACUCUUCUUUUUAACCGGUUGUGCACUGUCGAUUCCUCUUCACUUUUCUAUUCACUUUUCUCUCAAAAACCCUAGAAAGCAUCGAUCCUCCAUUCCCGUUUGUCUUCUUCGCUCAAUCUUCAAAAAGUUGUCAUCUUUUCUGGGAAAGUCAAGCAAGGAAUCUUCCAAACACUGAGAAAGAUGUCAUAUUCACGAAAGUCCUCAAGAAUCGCAAGCAGGGGACCACAGAGAAUGAGUGAGGGGCCUACGCUGUGACAUCCCAAAUUUCUGAUUAUGUUUUCAAUUAAAUGAGACGGACUUUUCAUCGACGCGCUUAUAGUUCAAUUCUCCGAGCUGAUCACUCACGAGAUAACUAGUCUAUCAGGUGAAGCCGUUAAGGAAUUUAAAUGCAAUAGGCUUAAGAAUCUGACCAUGAACCGACUGUUCGACCGUAUAAAUCUGCAAGGAUCAUUACGACACUGUCAGAAUCGAACAGAGAUUAGUAAUAGGUCGAUUCGACUGAGAUAUGUAAUUAGAGUGUGGGUGAUUCCACCUGAUUUCAAUAUCCUCGUCGAUCGGCACUGAACUGAUUAUUCUGUCGUUUUGGGUACCCUGUGUCCGUAUUUGAAACCUCGAGAUUUUCACGACAAUCGAAAGUCGCCAAUGUGUCAAAGAUUAUGUCGUGGCUUGAAAAUAAUCAACCAUGGGUCAAUUGCACUGAAAAUUUCCUAAAAGCCACCCGGUAGAUUAGGACGCGCUCAAAUCGCGCCAGAUUGAAAUUAACCGUGAUUUUAAACCCGGAUUCAGAAAUUGAAAGUUCUGGCAUGUCACAAUUCAUUUUAGGAACGUCGACUCAUCUUUAGAAGAUUUUUUCUACAAACCGAGAUUUUUGGCGGAAAAGCAAAGUAAGGCCGUUUUUGUUCGGGAUUGUCAGAGAGCCGUUUUUAAUCGAAUCUUCGGGAUGCAAGUUGGAUCAUUUGACGGGGAAAUGUCAUGAGAAGGCCGAGGACACAUGGGUUGAUUUAUUUGAGCUUCAAUUGAUUGGAAUUAAGAGAGAAUUGAAUGGAUUGAAUGGGGGAAUGUCCAAAAUUCGUAGCUCCCAUGGCACACCACAUUUUGCACCUAUUGCCAAGCUUGUAGAGGAAGAUUGGAGGAGAGAGAGUGGCUGAGGUCAUGUGGUGUCAUGGUGGGGGCAAAGCCAAUGAGAAGAUGGCAAGUGUUGAGCUCUAGAGAGCCCAAGGAAACCCCCACUCUUAAGUAGCUUCUUCUCUAAGGCUUUCUCCCUUGUUGUUGAAGGAGAGAAGCUCAGCAAAAACCAGAGGAACCGAGCAGCAUCAGCCUCCACCGUCGCAUGCCCAUCGGACCCCAUUUCCUCCUCUGUUUUCCCCUCGUUCCAGUUUCUGCUCCAGCCGACCUUUCGCCAAAGAUCCAAGUAAAAAGUUAACUUCCCGGAUGAAUCAGCGAGCGCUCCACCCACUUCCGUGACGAGGACAUCCAGACCGUUCCGGAUCACCCUUCCUAUUUCCGGAACGAUUCUCCGGCCGUCCCGAAAUCCUGAGAUAAGCCGCCGCUCGCCGGACCGUCUGGACUCGCCUGGUUCCGCCUGUUUCGCCCGUUUCGCGGUUUUCAGCCAUUUUCUCCCCAUUUCUACCCUACCUCCACCCAUACCAACCACCAGCAAGAUCCCCUUGACCCCCGGGAGCCGCCGGUUGCCAACCACCCGCUUGCCGGAGCUCCGAUCGGCCCGUUUUCGCCGUUGAAGUUGCUGGUUUCUUCUCUGCAGUUCAGCCCAGAUCAGAAGCAGAAAACCAGAAAGCCGUGAGGUCUUCAAGGCCCGUUUUCAGUGUCUUCCCGGCCUCCGUUGGUGUCGCCGCUUUGGGGUUUAUCGACCGCCUUGGUGUCGGGGUCGCCGUGAACUCACCGGCGCGCAAAACCGGUGAGUUUAUCCUCUAAACCUUGCUUAGCAAGUUAAUCAUGCUUAAGGGGUGUUUAGAUUAGUCUAAUUAGGUUUAGGUGGUUAGAUUAGAUUAUUUUAAUAUAAAUUAGAUUAGUUGUAUGAUUAGUUUAAGGGAUGUUUAAUUAGGGCUAAUAGUAUGUUUAAAUUAGUGUAAUCUAAUUUAAGCCCUAAUUGAUUAUUUUUAAUUAAAUAAUUACUUCGAAUUUUUAAAUAUUAUUUUAUUAUUUUAUAAUAUUAUAAUAUAUUAUUUAAUUAUUUAAUUUUCGGAAUUAAAUUUAAUUAUUUAAUAAUUUCGAAAAUUUUGGCGGGAUGGCCGGUCGUUAGAAUUUCGCGCUGAUCGCAGCAGUGCGGUCGGUUUGUGCUAAUUGUAUGCGUAAUUGCGAAAUUGAGUGAAAAUGAUGAUUAUGGUUAAUUAUUCCAAAGUGAGGAAUUAAAUGAAAUUGGAGAAGUUUUGGUAUUUAACUUGAAAAUACCCGGUGUUGGCUUUUGGCACCGUAAUUGGUUUGUAGGAUCAGUUUGAAUCGUUGGAUGUUAUUGGAGUGUAUACCCAGUUCUAUGGUUUAAAUAUAUUUACUGCUUUGGAGAGCAAUUGGUUUAUAUAUGUCAGCUUGUGUGAGCAUUAUAUGUCAGCUUGUGAGAGCAAUGAUCGUUUAUCAGCUUGUGAGAGCAACGAUCCAUAUAUCAGCUUGUGCGAGCUAUCAUCUAUGUAUAUAUCAGCUUGUGCGAGCUACCAUCUAUAUCAGCUUGUGAGAGCAUUGCAUCCAUGUCAGCUUGUGUGAGCCAUGAAUUAUUAAUGGAUGGAUAGAUGGUAUGAAUUGAUAGAUGAUAUGAAUUGAUAUAUGGUAUGAAUUUAUCGACGUAUGAGUUGCACUGACGUGCAGGAAGGACUGAGGCGAGGUAAGUCCUCUAUUCUCUUUGUGUGGCUAGAGCACCCUGAGGCUUAUUUUCUUCCUAAUUGAGUUUUAGAGGGUAGGACUCGCUGAGACAUCGUCUCAUCCCGGUUGUGGGAUAAUAUUUCAGGUCCCUAGAUGGCGGAUCCUCCAGAGCUUUUUGGUGGACCAGUGAGGGUCGCUGAGAGGAUUUUUGACUUCGCCGAUCUCGACUGAAGAGCUGGCGAAUGGACCUAUCUAGCUGGUCUUAGGACAGCUUUUUUUUUUUAGGACUGAUCUUUUAUAGAUCUUUUGUUAAUAGCCUAGUCUUGUAAAUUGACUGGUUUGAUAUGUAUAAAGAUGUGUGGUUGGUUUUGAAAAUGUGAUCCUGCUUUUCUAUCCCAAUUGAGUUUUGUCUGGGGAUUAUUUAUCCGCUUCCGCAUGUGUAAAUAAAAAGAAUGGGUCGGCGACGUGUCCUGGGAAGUCGCAAUUCUACCGACCGCAGUGGGAUGUGCGCGUGCUCGAGGUUCGGGGCGUGACAUACGCACUUCGAUCUUACUGAAGAUGAAGUUACUCCAGAUCAGCAACCGAGCCCACAACAUUCUCAGCAGCGUCAUUCUCCUCCAUCUAAUCCUCAAGGCGUUGUUCAUCAGCAUCAGGAAGAAAUCAUCGAUGAUGCAGACCCCGUAAGAGUUCAAAAGCCCGCUUUUAUUUACAAGCUAUAUCGUGCCUUAAAAGGAAUUCGUACUCCUUUGAACUAUGUUGAUGAGUUUCUUAAAGACAAAGGAUAUAAGAACGAAUAUAUCUUUCUGCGAAAAAUGGAAAGUUUGGGAAUCGCUCGUAAAGGGGUGGCUGAGGAAACCCUUGCGAAUAUCCCAAGUGAUCCUCGUGACUGGGGGCCGAACCCUGUAGAUGGGAAUGACGAUGACAAUCUGUUCAGUCUAUUUCAACCGAAAAUGGGUAUUGCGGCUGAAAUUCAAGGAAAAAGGGGAGAUUUGUUCAGAUCAAAGGAACAAAAGGAUCUGUACUCGAAAUUGCUGAAGCGUGGGGUAAUAAACCCUAGGAGUGUGGACUUUGAUUUUCUGGAUGCUGUGAAAGUGAACUUGAGGGAAAAGUUCAGUUAUCUUCAACUUGAAAAGUUCUGCUCUGACUCAACUGAGGCUUAUGCUGAAUUGACUUCAUAUUUCUAUUCAAAUCUUAGCUUUUUAGAUGCGAAUAGAUUCUCCUUCAGCGUUAAAGAACAAGACUAUGUUGUGGAUAUGAAUAUGCUGGCAGAUGUGUUAGAAGUUGAGAGAGGCAGAUAUCAACCAAUCAAAGUUUCCACUGCUCGGGCCACACUUGAACUGGUGAAGGACAGGAGAAUAGAUGAGAAGAUCACCUACUCAAGGAUGAAUGCAUUCAACAUCUUGCUUCACAAGAUUGUGAUUAAUUGCCUUCGGCCGAAAUCAACUUCCAAAACUGAUGUUUCAAGCUCUGAGGCAAAGUUGAUGUAUGCCAUCCUCUGUGGAAAGAAUUUUUCUCUCCCUCAUACUGUUAUGUUUCACAUGUAUAGAGCAGUGAUGAAGGACAGAGGUCAACUCCCUUACCCAAGCCUUGUUACGAAGUUAUUCAGACAUCUGAAUAUUCAGCCUCCGCAAAUCUUUUGUGUUCGAUCAUGCGAUCAUAUGGUGGUAGGACUAAAAAUGGUGACCAAAAUGCGUCUGAAGGAACUGAGCAAGGAAUUGGAGAAAUUCAAGGAGAAGACUCCUGCCAAAUCUCAUCAACUCUUUUCUGCUGCUAACAGAAAAGGGAAGGAGCCCAUGGCUGCUCCAUCAAAGAGAAGAAGAGCUCUCCUCGUUGAGGAUGAAGAUGAUGACGAAGACAUCACCAUCUCUGCAAUGGCUUUGAAGAAUUUAAGUCGUCCUGUUCCACAGAAAGAAUCGGAACAAAAGACGAAAGAAGCAGAGGAGAAGGAAGAAGAAGAAAGAGAAGCAGAGCUAGAAGCAGAGGAAGAAAGACCUGAAGAAGAAAGAAGAGAAGAAGGAGAACCUGAGGAAAUCUCUUCUCCACCUGUAGGCAUGGAAACAGGGGGAGAUCAGGAGAAAGGAGUGACGUCUUCAUAUCCUGAUGCAAGUGAAGGAGUCAGUCGCUCGCCUGCAGACCCAGAAGAUGUUUAUGCAUCUCAAUUUCCAGAGGAAGGUCAUGAAGCUUCAUCGCCAAACCUGCGAGAUUAUGCUGAUCCACCAUCGUCUGCUUUUACUCCAUCAGAUCGAGCCGAAGCAAGUACUCAGACUGAUAAUGGAGCAGAUUUUCGCAGAAUCUUGGAUAUUCUCUUGGAAAUGUGAGGUCAAAUUUAUGCCUUGGGAUGCGAAGUUCAAAGUUUGAAGAAUGAAAGUCAAGCUUCUUCCUGUUCAUUGAAUGAUAAGAUGCAAGCCCUCACUAUUCAGAAUCAGGCCAAUGCCAAGAGUGAGGAGGUUGUACAGCUGAAGGAAGACUUUAAAAGGCUGGAAGGCAUCGUUCAAUCUAUGGAAGAUUUCCAGCUUGUCCGCGUUCCCAAGCAAUCUUGACUUCAUCUCAUCCUUUUUAAUGAUGACAAAAAGGGGGAGAGAUGCGGCAUGAUUUGAUAAAAAAACUUUCAAUCAUUUUUUUUGGAUUGAGUUGUUGUUUAACUGUUUUUGACAGACUUUGACUUUGUUUUGUGUCUGGAUGAGAACUGAACUAGACUUGGACUUGACUGCUUCUAUUAACAAGUAUUGAUAUCUUAUGGAUGGUUUUAUUAUAUACUAGACUAACCUAUUUUCUGUGGUUGCAAAUUCUAGUGUUAAUCUUUUAGCUAUUCAUCUCUAUAAGAUAUGCAUAUGUGUUUGAGAAAUGUUUUGCAGGUCAAAGUUAUCCAAAUCUGCAGGAAGGUUUUGUCACCAUCAAAAAGGGGGAGAUUGUUGGAGAAAUCUUAGUGAAAGUGUUUUGAAGUUGACAAAACAUUUCCAUCAGUCUAGUCUGAAGGUCUGCAGACUCUGUUUGUUAAAGUCUGAAGACUUCCGGACAGCCAGACUCAAGACUCAAAGUCUAUCCUCAUUGACAGUCUCUAAUCCGUUGAAGAAAGGUUAUCCAGAACUGGAUGUUUUGUUCAGGAUUUAACCUUAUCAUCUGGAGAAGAUCUCGUGGCUGGAGAAGACGUAUCAGAAUCCUUUGAUUGAUCAAGUUUGAUUCAAUGACUGAAGAUUCGAUGAUUGUCUAAAUAUUAUUGGAAGGUUCUACUUAUGGAAACCGAGAUCCUGAUUGUAUGGACGAACAUGAUUGAUGGGAUAUCAACACGUUCCUUUAAUAGCUCGAACAAUCUUCCUAAUUGAUUCCGUCCAAUGGGUAGAUUGGAGGAAUUCCUUUGGUAAGUGCCAACAGGUAUGAUGGCAUAAAGGAGUAUAUAAGGAAGACGUUCUUAGUUGUUCGAGGUGUGCGCGAUAGAAGAAUUCCAAAGUCUGAAGCUCCUAUUUGUUUAGAUAAAUCCUUUGAGCGAAUACUUGUAUACAAAAGAGAGUCUAUAUUUGUGAGAGACCUUGAGGAGGUGUGGUAGAACAUCUACACUGUGGAAUCAAGGCAAAGCUGUGCUGUAACUUCUCUUUUGAUCAUAGUGAAAUCCAGCCGGUGGGCUGUCAGUGCGGAAGAGUGGACGUAGGCUUGGAAUAAGCCGAACCACUAUAAAUCCUGUGUUCAAUUUUCUCUUCCUCACUCUCUUUACCUCGAUCGUAUUUCAUUUUGUUAAUUAAGAGAGAAUUUAUUUUCUAUCAUAUGUUAAGAAUCGCUUUCGUAUAUCGAUAAAUUGUUUAGGCACCUAUUCACCCCCUUUAGGUACUCAUACUAGCAAUAUCAUUACGCAGACAGUUCCUAACUCGAUGGCCGUGCUGGCCACAUUCAAAGCACGCUCCCCUUUUUACUCUGACAUUGGCUGAUUCAAGCCUCUUUUCCACAAACUCGGGGUACAAUCGGUGAGUCAUCUACUUCCCAUCAAAAAACAUCAUGCACCAUUCCUUGCACUGGGGUCUAUUCCAAGUACCCCACUAAAUGUCUCGGAGCAUGUUUCCCCGGUUCUGUCUUAUCAACGACAAUGCAGAAACAGCUAUAGUUCCAUCCAUCUAUACGAGCCAUCUAUGAUCAAAUGGCUUUACUGGCGACACCUGUAACAAGUCCUUUCCCUCUUACAGCACGGAACAGAUCCAUGUCUUUUCUUACAGACACGACACGCAUCGAUCAAGUUGAGAACUGACUUUCCAACUCAACUCUUCAGGUUGGGUGAAACAGGGCAUCUUUUUUCUGACAUCAGCAUUUCCUCCAAUCGAUUUCCAUUUCUGCUUAAACUGAACUUUGACUCAGUUACGGAGGCUUGAUCCUCGAUCACAACUCCAGAUUAGGCCUCAACAGGCAUGACAAUAACAACGGUCACAACACUGGCAGCGGUAGAAAUAGCGGCAAUAGCGGCGGCUCGGUCCUGAACUUACUGACCCAACGAGCUUCCAAGGAACACUAGCGCCUUAACGAUCCCAUUAAACCUAGGAUCGCUUAGUGCUGCUACACUCUCAAUACUAGCCUACGGCGGUACUUUCACACACACGCUGGACUAAGCCUGCGCUCUACCUCGGGUACCAACUCUUGUCAGCAUCCUACCCCGAGGUACAGGUCCUAUUGACCUCUUCCAAGGAGUCCUCCACUCCUGGUCACUCAUCCUACAGGCUCUUUAUCGAUGCCUGUUUUCGAUUCCAAUAUCAGGUUAGAAUUUGAGUGACCCCACAAACAAGCUACCAAGCAGCUAUCAACCACAUGCAUCAGCAUAUUAAAAGCUUUUCCUACUAACUAUCCCAUGACUCAUCGCACCUUAUCACUCCAUACACAGACCAUGCUCUGAUACCACUUAAACUGGGUAUGUCACGCCCCGAACCCCGAGCGUGAGCACAUCCCACUGCGGUCGAUCAAAUGUGACAUUCCCAGGUAGUGGCGCCGACCCAUUUAUUUUAUUACGCAUGCGGAAGCGAAACAAAUCCCCUGACAAUAAAAUACGGGAUAGAAAAGCAGGAAGCAAAACCACAACAUAACACUUCCAUAAUUCAACAGAAUUACAAACAGAGGUCUACGGCCAAAAGUCUACAAAAGACCGGCUCUUAAAAAUGAAUUGUCCUACGACCUACAAGUCGGACACGUUCUCCAAUCUUAUGACUUCACCUCUGCAACUCCUCAAUGCCAACCAAAGCUAUCUGGCCGCUUCGUCCACCAGGGACCUGAAAUGGUUAUUCAAUAACCACUGAGACAACGUCUCAGCAAGUUCAACCCCCUAAACCCUUAUUAGAAAGAAAAUACGCCCAAGGGUGGCCUAGCCACAUCACACAGAAGACUUACCUCGCCUCAGCCUUCAUCUGCAGGUUAGUACAAUUUAUAUAAUCCAACCACGUACAAUUGUGAUAACCAAACAACCAUGUCACAAUCACAUUAUCAAAACAAUUCAACCACUUGGAUCGUCUCAGCGAUCAAUUGACUCGGCCGAUUACAAGUCAUUCCAUCAAACUAAUCAUUGCUCACAAUCACGGCCGACUCGGCAAAAUUAGAAUCAGUGGCAUCACGGCCCCACUCAGCGCAACCUUUAUCAGGUGGCAAUUCACGGCCCCACUGGGCGCGACGUUUAUCAGGUGGCAUAUCACGGCCCCAUUGGGCGCGACCUCUAAUAGGUGGCAUAUCACGGCCCCAUUGGGCGCGACCUCUAAUAGGUGGCAUAUCACGGCCCCAUCGGGCGCGACCUCUAAUAGGUGGCAUAUCACGACCCCAUUGGGCGCGACCUCUAAUAGGUGGCAUAUCACGGCCAAUCGCCUAUCAAUUUCCACACUUAGGAAUUUAUAAAGAAUUCAUAUAUAUCACAAUCACACUCAAUUUGCCACAACCAAUCAUCAAUAUCAAAUUCUAAAUGCACAGUAGCGAUCGGCACGAAAUUCUGAGAGUUUAGGGCCCCAAAAUAAUUUUUCGAAAUUUAUUAAAUAAUUAAGUUUAUUCUGAAAAUUAAUUAAAUAAUAAUAUCCAUAUUUUUCACAAUCCACACUCAAUUUAUAAUAUCCAAUCAUCAAUUUCAAAAUCCGAAUGUACCGUGGCGACCGGCACGAAAUUCUGAGCAACCGGGGUCAAAAAUAAUUUUUCUGAAUUUUUUUUAAUAAUAAUAUUUUAAUAAUUUCGGAUUAUAAUAUAAUAUAAUAUUUUCCAGAAUUUCGAAGCACUUAAAUAAUUCAAAACUAAAAAUCAUUUUUGUGUCACAUCAAGGCUUAACUUUAAAUAAACUCUCUUAGCAUUUAAUUAAACAUACUUUAGAUUAAACAAACAUCUUAAUCUAAAUCAUAAUUAAAUCAACUAAAUUAACCACCUAAGCUUAAUCAACUUAAGCUAAGCACACCUAAAGCAUAAUUAACCCUCUAAGCGAGGUUUAGUGAGCUAAACUCACCGGAUUAGCGAGCCGAGCAGACCAAAACGACGGGGACGCCGAGGAGAACAACUUUCCUCAAGGCGGGCCGAGCAUCCGGGCUUGGGAAGGCGGCCAAAACGGGCCAAACGUCCGCUGCAUACCCAUUUUCUUCCAGCUGCUGUUCACGGCGGAGGAGGGCUGAUCCGGCGUGGGUUCGGGUGCGGAACCGAUGGAGAGGGGUGGCGGUAGCUCGAGUAGUGGCCGACGAGGACGUGCGGCGGUGAUGGAGACUUCGGCAAAGUGCAGCGGCAUCGAGCAGUAGCUGGGACGCCGAACGAGCGGACGAAGGCGCGACCGAGGCAGUGACAGGAGUUAGCGGGCGAGCGAGCGGUCGGACGGCGGCGAGCUGCGACGGCGACGACUUCAGCUUCGGUCGCUUGCUGCGGCGGCAAGCGGGACAUGCUGCUUCAGUUUGUUCUGAUCUUCGCACAACAAGGGCACCGAACAGCAGAAAGAGGACAGAGGAGAGAAGCGGAGGUGCACGCGGGCUGAGCGACGGCAAGUGGGCGGAGGGGUGGCCGGCGACGAGCGGCCGAGCGGGCGGACGAGCGAAGGGGGAGGUCGGCCGAGCUUCUGGUUCGCACGCCUCUCUCUCUCUCUCUCUCUCUCUCUCUCUCUCUCUCUCUCUCUCAAGUUCCAAGACAACUCCUUGAUUCAAGGAGGAAGAUGAUGGUGAUGGGUCACCUUUUCUCGGGCGAAUCUCCACCGUCCACGUGUCAAGAUCUCAACCCUUGGCCUCAACAACCAUGACAUCAUCCCAUGUCAUCUUCCACUCACUCAAAUCCUCCACAACUUCUCCAAUGGUUGCAUUUUAUUUUUCCGCCGGGGCAUGAAACUUUGUACAUUAAUUUCUUUAAUUCCAUUCAAUUCUCUUUCAAUUGAGUCAAAUUGAAGUUCAUAAAAUUAAUCCAAUGUCACCACACUUCAAUUAACAUCUUCACUGAUCCGUAGAACCAACUUAAUUCCCAAAAGUACGACCAAAAGCGGGCCUAGUAAUUUCUCGAGCCAAAUUAGCCAUACCUUGAUUAAUUUGCCGAAAAACUCGGCUUGCAUGAAAAAUCUUCCGAAGAUAAAUCAAUGAUCCUAAAAUGAUUUGUGACACACCCAGACUCCCAAUUUAUGAAUUCGAUCUCAAUUCCACGGUUAGUUUCACUUUGGCAAGAUACUAGCGCAGCCCAACCUACCGGGUAGCCUUUAGAAAUUUUCAUGCAUUUGACCUGUGGUUGAUCAUCUCAAGCCACGAUGUACAUCUUUGAAACAUUUGCGACUUUCGGUUGUCGGGGUAAUCUCAAGGUUUCAAAUACGAACACAGGGUACCCAAUCGAUAGAAAAGUCGGUCCAGUAUCGAUCGACAAGAAUUGUGCGAUCUGGUGGAAUCACCCACACCUGAUCACAUGCCUCUGUCGAGUCGACCUAUUUCCGAUCUCUAAUCGAUUUUAAUUGUGCCGUAAUGACCCUUGCAAACUAGCUCGGUCGAAAUGUCGCUUCCUGGUCAAAUUCUCGAGUCUGAUGCAUUAGAAACUCUUAACAGCUUUCCCCCGAUAGACUAGUUUCCACAUGAGUGGCCAACUCAAGGAAAAGAACUAUAUGCGUGCCAACAAAAUGCCCGUAUCAAUUUAUUGAAAAUAGAAGUGGAAAAUCGGGAUGUCACACCCUGGGGGCUAGCGAAACUCGCUAGAUCUAGGCGACGCCUCACCGGCCCUCGCCUAAAGCUAGGGUGGCAUGCCCAUAUCUAGGUGACGUGGGCCCCCACUGGGCCGGCGAUGGGCCGCAGUUGCAGCCCCUGCCCCUUUUUGUUCUUCUUUUUCCAGUUUGUUUUUUCUUAAAAUUAUUUUAACUUUUUUUUUAGUUUUUAAAUAUUAUUUGAAUAAAAUUUAAAGGAACAAUUUAAUAAAAAUGCCACAUAAGAGAGAGAAAUCAAUUUAAAAAUGCUACGUCAACGUUUUCCGUUAAAUAAAUUCACGGUGUUAACUAAAGAAUUCGAUUACACAAAUUUGACAGGUUUUGGGACUUGAUUGAAUUUUUUUGAAAGUUUUAGGACAUAAUUACACUUUCGCGAUAAGUUUUAGAACUCAUACCGUACAUGUCCAUUUUAUUUGAAGAAUAAAGAUCUAGCUCAUUAAAGUUAAAUAAUGUCUCUUUCGCUACGUGUAAAAAAUUGAAACUUUCAUUUGUAAAAAAAGAAAGUCUCCUCUCAUUAGAUUAUAUGUUCAAAAGUCUACUUUUAGUAUAAUUUAUUAGAAAGGUUGGAUCAGAAUGUUACUCACGAAUAGACAAAUACAUAUUUUCCCAGCAUGGAAAGUUAGUAACGAUGGUGGGCAGCAUAAAUGUUCAGCUAACCGUACCGUUAGCUUUUGAAACAAACGGUCAUGCUUGUGCUUCGCUCGGCAAGUUUCCACAUGCUUGUGCCGGAGAAAGGAAACUUUCGUGUUGGGUCCCUCCACCGUUGGCUUACCUAUUAACAAACUGAGCAGGUAUAAACUAGGACGCGCAUGACAACAUUUUUGAAACAGAAAUCAAUUUUUAUUUCAUGGACGAGUUUUUGAGUAAAGAAACGCGUUUGAUAACGAUUUAAAAUUUCUAUAUAGCAUUAGUUGUGGUGGCAUCUGAUUUACGACCCCAAUGCCAAGCUUUUCUGGUUUUGGACUUGCAAACAUUUUUCCCAAGGGAGAUAACUCUCACUUCACCUAUGUCAUUGGAAUGUACAGCAAUACUGCUCGGGAAUAUGUGAUGCAGGAGACAGGCCAUUUGAGGAUGAGAAUUGCACAAGUAACCUGCAUAAAUGCGGUCGAGUAUUAUUUUGACAAGUCAAAGUAAUCCCAUUGUAUAGAAAAGAAGAGAACAGCCCCAAUCUACACACCUCACGCACAACAUGUGCACCAGUUAUGAUUAGGAACUGAAUUCGAUUAGGUAGAUAUCAACCGAACCAAAGACAAGAAAAUGAGAGCGAUGGUCAUAUACUGAUGCACUAUCUGUCUGAUCUGUCCUGAUACAUGUGGCCACCAUUUGCAGGAAUGGUAGAAUCAGCUGUAGUUCCUGCAUCCCAAGCUAAAAGGUUGCCACUUUUUUGUUUUCUCUGUUUUUAGUCCUGCAUGUAGUCUCCUAAAUGAUGCUAUUCCCUCACCUUCCAGUCCACCAUCUAUCUACUAUUUCUCAUAUUGUUUGCCUGGGGAGGAACCUAGAAAUUUUGCUGGACCCUCAUGAGUUGGUGUUCCUAGGUGAUCUAGAUCUACUUUCUGUGGUACGCACAGGCUCUGGAAAAUACAUGAAAGUUGGACCUUGAGGGUGCAAAUCAGGCAAGUUCCUAACCCACGUUAAUAGAAUGUCUGCUAAGUCCUUCAAAUACCCAAUUAAUCCCUAUCAUUUUUUCCUACUGAAACACUGAUUCACAGUUAGUGUUCUUUCCUUUAUGUGCUUUCUACGCCGCAUGUCCGAAGGGUUCUUGGUUCCAAAUGAUAUAUCUAGAGCAUGUCCAAGUAACUGGUUCAGUUCCGCCAGGUGUGGUAGUUGUCUGUCCUACAUGCACUAGAUAAUUCCCAAAAAACGUUGGUUCAUACUAUGAUUAGGUAUUAUUUAUUACUUUGUUUUUGCGCUUCAGGGGCAUGCAGCACAUUAUGUAUACUUUCUCCAUCGUACUUUCCUAUUUAUUAUGCUGGCCGGUAAAAGCAUACUUGAAUGAAAGACACCUUGGUGUAAAUACCAAAUUUUCAGGGGGAGAGGGGGGGGGGGAGAGAGAGAGAGAGAGAGAGAGAGUUUAACUUGGUUGUAACACCUAAAAUCUGUGGAAAAUAUUAACAUAUGAAUUCUAAUAUAAUAUUCAUGAUUUUCUAUGUUUUAAAAUAGUUCUUUUUUAGCAGAUAAGUCCAUCAAUGACGUUUUACUUAAAAAAGAAGAAUAAGAGUAAACAAAUCUCCUAAUUAAGGUUAAAUUUAUUUUAGACAGGUUUUGCUUUUCUUUAAUCUCAUAUCUCAUGAAAUUCAUUUUUAUUUAAUAAAAUAUACCGAAAGUCUUUCGAAUUUUUAAACAUCAUCCAUCCUAUUUAUAUUUCAAAUGCUUAGAUUUCUUUUCUUUUCUUUUUUUAGUAGCGGUCAUUUGAUCUUCGUGUGUGCAUCGACCGAUUCUCGAGCAAUCUUAAAUAUGUGUAAAACUUUGACAAUGCUUGGAACGAGAUCUUUUACCACAUAAGAUAUUUUUUCUAAAAGGAAUUAUUAGAUUCAAAUUGUAAUUCUUCUUGGAUUUGCAGACUUACCAUUUUUGUUGGCUCUCUCUCCCUUUAUUAUUUUUAUUUUUAUUAUUAUUUUUGCUUUCCCUGCAUAAAAACAAGGUCGAAGAUUCCACCCAUGAGGUGUAAUCACGAUUAGAAGGUAAAUGCCGAUGGCAUGAAGCAAUAGAACACUUGGAUAUGAAAUUCAAACGUAAAGCCUACAAAAGCCCACUUUGGGCCGGAUUGUGUAAUAUUUAAAUCAAUUAUCUCAAUAACGAUUUUUAUUCUUAUAGGAAAAUUAUGAGGUUGAGAAAAUUUUCAAAAUUAAUUUUGACUUCCAAAGUCCUUCUAGUGAAAUCAUAUUAGACUUUGACCUUUCAAAAGAUAGGCGUAUGAAAGCUUCAGAGUGAUUUUACCAAAAUCCAAAUUCACUGUUGAAAUCUGGUCAAAAAAGAGAGGAAAAAAAAUUGGUACUUGAAAUUACAAUGUAGUCAUGUACUUAUCAAUCAUAAAAAAGUAAUUGAAAUAUUCUCAUUUAAGAAAGAGCAUUUAGACAUGUUAAAUUAGUACUUGCUCCCCCUCUUGACUCGCGCUUUGCCCUCGGGGAAGGUCCUAGGUGACCAGCUAUCGGCCUUGGCUGCCCCUCUCCCCGUCAACGGCGGAGCCCUUAGUGCAAUCAUGGUGGAUUUGGGAUGGUGAAAUGAAAAGCUCAGCCGUCGCCCUCCAAGCACCACACCAAGAUCGCCGUCAUGGAGGUCAGGAACAUCGGCAUGGCCAUCACCCAGACCAUCCUCACCCAGGACCUUGCUGACGAGCUGAGCCUCAACGAUGCCAAGCCCGACAAGCUCCCUGGCGAGACGCUCGACCUCUAGCAAGCCACGGCGUUCCUCCCCACGUCGACUACUGCAUCGCCGGCCGGUCGACCGAAUCCGAGAUAGAUGAAGGAAAGAUCAACUUCCAUAAACGCUGAGAUCUCGGCCUCUCUCUCUGAAGGGAAGAGACGACGGAAGAAGAAAGAGGAAGGAUGGCAUGUGAGAAAGAUUUGUGAGAAUCCUAAUAGAGCGGGUCCCGUGGGACAUCUGUCAAUCAACAAAUAGACUAUUAUUUUGCUGAGUUGUCAAUCACAAGUGUACCCAAUAUUUGAGUGAUGAAUUCAACCAUUUGGCAAUCGAUGUCAACCGUCCAGAACGAUGCGAUGGACGAUCAGGUUCUGGAUUCGUCCACCUCCAAUUGCCUGAGUAUUGUCUGUGCUGAUCAAUCUGGAACUGAUUCUUUGCUAUUCACUGGCAUCGAGCUGAUGGAACUCAACGAAGGAGACAAGGUCCACUCCUAUAUCGAGGAGAGACUCGCCUCACGUCUAGUUGAGCUUGGGGCGCAAGUUACCGUGGUGGCAAUCCUACUCCAGUUUCUCGGCGAAAACGCAGACCCAAGCUUUUCAACUUCACUCAGAGGCAGUGCAGAAGAAAGGCGGCAUUGACACCGCCAACGCGAGGUGCACAUGGUAUGCGACCUCGAACGAGGAAGUCCCCAAGAUCUUCUCCUAUGGCUUUGAUUACAGUGACAAACCUGAGAACAAUGGCUUCUAUGGUUGUGGAGUUUAUUAUGCUCCUCUUGAUCAUCCUCUCUCGAAAUGUACAUGAGUUCCCUUUUAACAUACUUUUUAUAAAGUGGUACGAUGAUGAAGAUAUGUUAAUAUAGCAUGUUACUAGAUUUCCUUUGUCACAUAUGAUCAGUUAUAUCUAAUAGAACUAGUAUAUUUCACGAUCAUGUUGUUGGACUCGUGUUAGAAUGUUGUGCGUAAGAUGAUAUUGGCCUUAGAUGGUUUCUCGGUGAUGCCUUGGCAGCGUUAAAUCUGCCACUAUUAAUUGCACAAAUGAUGGGAUAGAUAUUGUUUGGAAAGUCUUAUUUAGAGCGUUAUUGUAUUUCCCUUUUAUGCUAUGAUUGGUUAGAUCCGAUAGAUUGAGUAUGAUGAUCGGUGAAAUUUGAUAAAUCGAGUAUGUUUCGUGAGCAUAAUGUUUCUUGACUUACAUUAACAAAUGUGCAUGUGAUGAUAUUGGCCUUAAAUAUUUUCUUUAUAUUGCUUUGGCGGUACUAUGAUUGCUCCCAUAGAUAAAGAUGGCGUACGACAUUUGUUGAUUUGCCGUGUCACACUGGGGAAAUCAGAGCUUGUUAGUCAUGGCUCAAAACAUUCUCAUUCUAGUUUGGAAUAGUAUGAUUCGAGCAUCGACGACUUAUAAUCUCCAAGAAGAUACAUAGUUUGGAGCACCCAUAAGAACAUUUACGUGUUGCUGGAGUAUGUUGUCAACUUUAGAGCCCCUUGUUGCUCAAGAGGUAAUCGGAUUUUCUUUUCCAUUCCUGCUUUUGCAUUGGUGAUAUUUGUGUGUUUGACUUUAUCUGUCCUAUCAACUAGCCGGAUGAUUUGUGAAAUUUAUAUGCAAUAGGGCCGUUGAGAACUCCGGAGAAGUCAUGGAAUCUUAACGCCCCUUGGAUCCCAUUUAAGGAACGAAAACCUUCACUGCAUCUGACAUCAAUUUGGUCUCCAAGUAUUAUAAGGCUUACAGGGUAAGUGCCACAUCAACAUUGUCAUCACAAAAUUCUUGUCUUGCAAGCAUUUUUCUUUGAGAAAAGUAAAUGAAAGCGUGCGUGUGGAAACAUCAUCUUCCUUCCCUUAAGAUCUUAAUUUUAUUCGAGCAUAAUUCCGAAAGUUUAGUAAAAGAGAGGCGAAACCAGAUUUCCUUUUUCUAUAUAAAAGAUAUAAGGGCAAUGUCAGACAGGAUGGUAAGUUCUACUAUGAAUUUUAGAUUGGUCAUUCAUGAUUUAUCAAUUUGUCCGAGAAAGUCCAAUAAAUCAUGAAAAUAAGAUAAAUUUUGUCCUUCAUAUUUACACAAUGCGUAAAAAAAAUAUUAAAAAUAAAAAAGGCUAUUCAUUUAAAGGCUUAAAAUGUGGGGAAUUUUAAAGAAAAUCCAAUUAACAGUUAAUCAUCUUUUGUUGGAGGUGUGACGCGGCCAUCCACCAACACCUCCCACUUAAAAUUGAGUCCCUUCGGUGGCGGCACCCUAAGAGAGCCAUGCUUGGCGUCCGUCCUCUGUCGCUGCCUAGCUGCCCUCAAACGCCUCUUCGCUGCCGCCACCUCCAUCAGCAAACCUUCCUUCUUGCUGAAUUCCUCCACGAUCAGUGCCUCCUCAUCCAGCUGUGACCACUGGCGCCACAAGUGGGACGGGACCGAGUAUGACCGCAUUGGGGCAGACGUGAACUGUCCCUAGUGCUUGAAGCAAAUCCCCUCCUCUUCUCCAACCGCCCCCCUCCAUUACCGGCUGAGAGCCCGACGUUUACCUAGCCCUCAACCUCUGCCCUUGCUACCGGACGGCCUUCUACUUCAGGCCUUUCAAGCAGGAAUGAUUGUAGGGGGAAGCUCCAUCAAGAUUAGCCAGGUCUUUGCUAGGGACAUGGAGAGGCAUUGAGAUGCAUCGUGUGUGAAGAGCAAAGGUUCCGGUGAAAUGGGAGAGUUGCCGUUGAUGAUGCCGAAGGAGGUUUGCAAGGCGCUCGACAAGUUCAUUGUUGGGCAAUAAAUGGCAAAAGACUAAGUGUUUAGAACCGGCAUGUGUAAUCAGUACUCCCUAGUCAUAGACACUGUGCGAAGAGUGAAAAAAGUUGCAGUGAAACGGCAAAGUUGUAGAUAUUUAUGCUGAAGGAGCUUUGCAAGGGGCUUGACAAGUUUGUUGUUGGGCAAUGGGAAAAUGUCACAAACAGUCCCUAAACUUCCACUUAAUGUGCAAUCUCAUCCAUAAACUUUUAAUUUGUUCAAUUUGGUCCCUGAAUUAUCGAUAAAUGUCCAAUCUAGUCCCUGACUAUUUGAAAAUUGACCAAUUUUGUCUCUGAGCUUUCGAUUUGCUCAAUUUGGUCCCAGAACUAUUAACAAAUGUUCCAUUUAGUCGUUCUGUUUGUUCAAACCGUUAAGUGAUGACAUGAAGCAUUAAUUGAUGACGUGGAACUAAGUUGGAUUACUAGAAUUAUGAGUCAAUAUGUAUCUUAAAAAAGGAAAACAAAUUAGGGGUCAACUAAAGAUGAGAGCAUUGAUCACAAAAGCGGAGAGAAUAAGUGAUUAUGUAUCUUUUUUUUUGGAUGGUGACCACAAUUUGACCUGUUUUAAAGGUAGUUUCCAUGUGAAUAUUCCACAUGUCCUUUUUUAUUUUAUAUUUAAGAGACUAAAAGCCAUGGAAAGCCAAUUUCGUUAACUUUAACUAACAAAAUUUAGAAAUUGGUCAAUUUUCAAAUAGUCAGGGACUAGAUCGGACAUUUAUCAAUAAUUCAGGGACCAAAUUGAACAAAUUAAAAAUUUAGGGACGAGACUGCACGUUAAGUGGUAGUUCAUGGACCAAAUUGAGCAAAUCGAAAAUUCAUGGAUGAAAUUGAAUAUUAGAUGAAAGUUUAGGGAUCAUUUGUGACAUUUUCCCUUGGGCAAUAAAUGGCAAAAAAGUUCCGCUGUUAUGUUUAUGUUCGGGGAUUUUCAUUUGUGGUUCAUUUACCUGAGAGGGAAUUUGUGUAGAAUUUGCAUAUGCUUUUGCUUCUCCGAUCACCCCUAAUUUUUCGGUAAAAAAUUGGGUAUGAAAAAUACUAGAUAAUAUGUGGUAUUUGCGCUGCAGAUAUAGGACAUGGGGGUAAACAAGUCAAACAAAUGGAUCAGGUCGAAUUAAAAAUUUUUAUCUAAAUUCACUCAUUUUCAUACAAAGCAAAUUUAGUAGCCCAUACUUGACCCAUGCUCUACUCAUACAUUCAUAUUAUCAACCUGUGGAAGUUCAUAUCCAUCAACUUGGCCCACUUUAAGCUCUUAUGUGAAUGUGUUAUUUAGAUAAAAUUUUGUAUCAAAUUUAAAAGUAAAAUAACAAAAUAAGAAGAUGUACAUAAAUAAAUAAAUAUAAAAAACCUAGAAAGAACUAUAACAAUGUGCAUGUGUUGUAACAAAACAUUUUUUUUGGAUGCAUGCUUUACUCAACAAACUAAAAAUUUAAUCCUUUCUCAAUAAUUUGCGUCAAAUUCCAUGGCCUACUUAUCCUUUCUCGGCACGUAUUGCAUAGUGACAAUUAGCUGGUGUAGUAAAUUUACGUCUCUCUCAAUUUCACCUUACAAUUCCACACUCAGUAUCCAUCUCUAUCUCUCUCUCUCUCUCUCUCUCACACACACACACACACACACACACACACACACACACACACAGAGCUCACAAGCUCAUCGAAUUCUGCCAAGAAAAAUAUAUUGUAUUUCAACUAAACAUGAAAACGAACACUUUGUGUGCAAAUUUAGAGAGCCAAUGUAUGUUCAAGAAGAAAAAUGAACCGCUUGCGGCCUUGUCGUCGACAAGCUAGUAGGCCCCCAGAGUCUCCAUGGGCGUCCCGGAACGAUCAAUAAAGGUAAUAGUUACAUAAACACAAUGAAAAGACAAACUACCAUCAUAAUCAACAUCCAAACGAUGAUGAAAAGUGGAAUUAGUGACUCACAAAAAUAAAAAAAUUACUAACCCACUGUUAGGCAGCUGCGUUGGUUGAAAAUCCCUCCUUCAUCGCCAAAGUCGAGAGUUCAAAACCCGCAAUUACUAACAUGCUAGUCUCCCUCAAGGUAUAAUCGCCAUUAAAGUCUAAAGGUGCCACCGGGUGCUGGAGGACCUUGUGUCUCCGAAUAGCAUAAGCAAAAGGGGCUCAGGCGGAUCCUCGGUUACCAAAAAAAAUAAAAAAAAUUACUAAUUCAUCAAACACCCAAAGCAAAAGCUAAUAUCCUCUCAGAAAAUACAAUUCCAAUCCAAUGUAUUAAUUUCAUCAUGUGCCCACUAUCAGCAUGGGUGAGCAAAGCAAUCAUUUAAAACAUUGUUGACUGACAGGAGAUGGAAAACACCUCUUCCGAAAGCAUUGCGUUCAAGCCGAGUUCAUUUCCCGCCGAUGCCACACCGCCCCCAAAAAAUUGAUGUCCACGGCAGCAGUGGCCCUACAACUAGAAAUUGCCACGGAAGAAAUCAAUAGAUUGAAACGCUUUCAGGCAUGAAAGCACAUGACAAGCGCACGCAAAAGUGAAACUCGGAACCCUAGAAAUGGAGGAACGAAUAGAGUACAUCGGAUUGUGGGGAGGCCAAAGUAAAGGAGUGGACGGAGACGUGGAAAGGGCAACAAUCGAGGGAGUGCGGAGAAAAGAAAUCUGGGCGAUGUGGCAGGAAAAAAGUUUUUCUUUUUUUGGUAACACAAUAAUAAUUAUGGGAGCUUCGUUAUUCUUCCUCAGUAGAAAAAUGUCUUUGUUGAGGUUUUACUGAUAUUAAAAUUAAUGAGAUAAUGCACAUCCUCUUGUAUAAAAGCAUCAUCGAUUCUGUGCCCUAAAUUUGUUUUCAAGGUGAUAAGUAGGUUCGGAAUAAUUAACGUGAAUUAAUAUGUAAUUGAAUUUAAUCAAGUUCAACUAUAUGAAUAGAUUGAUUGCAAAAUACAAAAGGAAAAGGUAUUAUUACCUGAAAAAAGUAAGAAUAUCUUUGAUUAGAUUUAAAGGAAAAGAGAACAAAAAGGAAAAGAAAAAUAAAUUAUAGAAAAUAAUACACUUUAUAUUUAUUAAUGGGAAAAAUAAACAAAAAAAUAGAAUAUCUCAGAAAAAAUAGAAUAAUAUGAAAAUAAAAAAUCAAAGAAAAAAGCUUGGAGGCGCCAUGGCACCAGCAUUUCAACCUCUGUCCUAGGCGUGGUUAACGGGGCCGUCACCUACUUGGGCCGGUCUCGCAGCCUCUGACAAUUUUUUGGGUUGGGCCGCAUGGUCCCAAAUAAAAAUAAAAUAAAAGAUCGCCUACAUUGAAUUCUCAAAUACCGGUUUCAACAAGAAAUGCUGGCCCAAAAGAAUUUCCAGCAACUUAUUGUAGCUGAAGUCUGAAUGAGAAGAACCGUGUAUUUUUACAUAGCAAGCGAAUUAGCAAUUCAAACGAACAAGCACCCCAGUUUUGUGAGAAACAGAAAUACAACGAGAUGAUUAUUGAGAAUGAGAACAUGUGUCAAAGACAUGCCACAACGUGGAAAAGCUCCAUACAUAAUAAAUUUCGCAGGAAGAGGUACGUCAAAUAGAUACAAUCAAAGGUAAUCAUUAUCAUUAAAACACUGUAGAGGAGAGAUAAGGUACCAAUGCCCAAGUCUCAAUUUCGGGCUUCACCUCACCACUUCUCAAUGGAUGACUUUAUAAACGUAGCAUAACUCAUACUAUAUUUUUCUCUAUUGACAUUUCAAUAAUUAGGAGUGAAUAUUUAUAUGGAAGCCAAAACUCCGGCACCAAAAAAGGAAAGAGGAGAAAAAGAGAAAAAUGGGGUUGAAUGCCGACUAUUUAUAGGCACAUUGCCGCAGUUUAUCAUGGCUCCAAAGAUUGGUGGUGUGGUGGCAUGGAUAUGUGUUGGUCCCAUCCGGAAAUGAAGGAGCUGCAUUCCUUGAAUUCACCAUGAUUUGAGUUUGGAUGCCAUUCCACGGCUAGCGCUUCCCUGUCUUGUCCUCAAUAUCUGAUGUACUUGGCAUGUAUGGAAGAUAUUGGAUAGUCUUCAAAACUUUGACAACUUCACUCAUCCAGGGACGAGCAUCCGGAUCUAGUUCAAGGCAGCCAGCAGCCAACUACAAAGCAAUCUGGGCACCUUUUUCUGAGUACUCACUUGUGAGCCUUGGAUCCAUCAAUUCGGGCAAAAUUCUUUCAUCUUCCCUAUGUGACUGAAAGUACAAACGUCCACGACCAAUAAGGUCAAACGGUUUUCUUCCAGUCAGGAUUUCCGAAAGAACCAUACCAAAACCAUAAACACAACUUUUUACUGUAAUGUGACCUGCAAUAAUAUAUGUGUAGUCAGUAGUCGGGAUUACCAAGAACAAGUACCGGUUGGUCCUAUUUGGAUAUAAAUACAAUCCAUGAAGGACCCGUCAAAUAUCACAACCACCUCUAACAAUCAAAAACAGGUACUUGAACUAAAAGGCUGAAACAAUAUUUAAGACAUAUUUAUUUUACAAAAAAUGAAUGAUUUAGAAAAUAAAUUUUUAAAAAUGAUCGUUUGUAUUGCUUACAAAAAAAAAUUAUUAAAGAGUAUUUUCAUCGUCUACAAAAAUAUUUAUACAUAUAUUAUUAUUGAUAAUGAAAACAUUUUUCAUUGACUAGUUACUUCAAAAAUACAAACGAUCAUUUUUAGGAAAAUAUUUUCCAAAUCAAUUGUCCUUUUAGUUUUAAAGUUAAAUUUCGCUACUCCUAAAUGAUAAAUAGGAAAUUAUAAUGAGAAUAAACACAAAUCACGAUCUACCGCAUGUAGCCCUAAAGCACAUAAAACAAAGAAACAAAUAAUACCUGGUAUGGAUUUACGUUUUUAAGUAAUUAUCUAUUGCUUGUAGGACGGACGACUACCACAUUAACCGGCUACUCUAAGAAACCUAGAUUCUCCGUUAUGAACUAGGAACCCUUCAGACAUGUAGCGUUGAAGCAUAUAAAAACUUACAGGGAAAGAACUUUAAUUAUGAAUCAGUUUCCGUAAUUACUGGUUGUGCAUCCUAUCAAAAAGCACCAUACCUGAUGGGGAUCAAUCAGGUGUUCGAAUGGUAUAGUGGACUUUCGGUCGUUAAUCAAAAAGAAUAAUAAAACCAAAGACAAUAUAUAUAUAUAUAUAUAUAUAUAUAUAUAUAUAUAUCCAGCAUUGCACGAUUAACGUGGAUUACGAAUUCGCCUAAUAUGCACCCUCAAGAUCCAAUUUUCAUAUACUUGUAAUCAGCCUUUAUCAUUCCCAAAGGCUGAAUAAAUCUAGAUCACCUAGGAAAACUGACUCGUGAGGGUCCAGCAAAUUUUACAGGUUCCUCCUGGACAAAAAAAUAUGAGAAAGACACCAGACAUUAUUCUCAGAGGAAACAACAGUUGAGAGAUGCCUCCGACGAAGAAAAGGACUGCAAGUACUGAGCACCGAUCAGUCAUUCCACAAGGUACGCUGCGCGUAAUGUUCCAGAAGUUCAAGCAAGAAAUAUGCCAUAUAAUCCAUCCAAUGAUAAGAUACCCGAAGGACUGAAAGUCAGGGAAUAACAUCAUUUGGAAACACUCCCCCUCACACUUAAUCCGAAUCUCUUUGUCUAGUACUAAGCGUGAACAUAUUUAAUUAAAAAGACAAAUGAGGUAUGGAAAUGUUUGAACUUAGGACUUCUAACUCUGACCUCUUUGUCUAGUACUAAGUGUUGACAUAUUUAAUUAAAGAGACAAAUAAGGUAUGGAAAGAUUUGACCUCAGGACCGCUAACUCUGAUAAAAUAUGAGAUUUUGGUAGAUUACUGCCAACUAUUCAAAAAAUUUAAACUGUUAGAUGAAAAUAUGGUUUAAUAUUUAAUUACUCCAACACAUACCAUUCCUGCAAAUCAUGACAAAACAUAUGAGGACAGAGCAGAGACAGGAUGCACAAAGAGAAAAUUAGGUUAUAUCGGUAUAUGACCGUCCCUCUAAUUUUCUUGUUUGUGGUCACGGUUGAAAUCUACCUAAUUCAAUUCAGUUCUUUGUCAAAAUUGGUGCACAUGUUGUGAAUGAGGUGUGUAGAUUGGGGCUGUUCUCUCCUUUUCUAUGCCAUAGGAUAAUUUGACAUGUCAAAAAUCUUACUCAACCACUUUUGUGCAGGUUAUUUGGACAUCUCUCAUCCACAAAUUGCUCGUAGAAACAUACACAUACCACGCAUUAAGUAUUCCUGGUCAAUAUAGCCAAGUGUUCCUACGACAGUGCCGGAGUGAGAGUCAUCUCCCUCGAGAACAGUUGCAAAUCCAAAACCAGUAAGCUUGACAUUGUAGUCCUAAAAAAGACGAGUAAUGGAAAAGUCAAACAUCGUGAUUAAAAAGGAAAAAGGAACGUCACCCCAGCUUUUGCUACCUACAUCAUCUAAUAGGAUCUUGGAAGGUUUGAAAUUACGAAAUAUCACUGGCGGUUCUGCCUUCCCAUGAAGAAAAGCAAGAAUCUCUGCAGCUUGCAGCGCUAUUUUCGUCUUGUUACGCCAAGUGAGAGGCAAUUCCGCUACACAGCCCACAAAAGAACACAAGAAUUAACUAAUAAAAUAUUUGUCAUCACAGAUAAAUCAAUAUUGCCUUUCUGAAGCCACCAUAGUCAAAGAUACUUUGGUUAAAACUGAUACCAACUUUUGGAAAAUAACUGCUGAGAAUUAGUAGGCAGGACAAGAAUAUGGUAGAAACUACAGCAGGAUUCGCUUUCUUUUCUCAUGAAAAUGAAAAUAAUGCUUAUGCAAAGGAAUAUGCCCUACUAUUAAAAACAUUUAGUAUCUUUCGAGAGUUGUUCAAUUGGCAGGCAUGUCCCUUCCAUUAAAUAUCAUUACUAGCAUACUUGCAAGCCUUGUACUAAGUUCCAUCCUCAAUACGAUACAACUCUAGUGUUCUUGCACCUAAAUGACCAAGUUAGAGAGAAUUGUCUCAGGAUUCCGACAUGUACUACUGAGAGACAAAGAUGAUAAAACGAUACUAAAAUCACACAUGGAUGAAGCUGCUAGAGAGUGACAUUUCAUGACCACAUCACAUGAUCCUCCGCUAUUGUUCCAUCCUCUAUACGAUACAACUCUAGUGUUCUUGCACCUAAAUGACCAAGUUAGAGAGAAUUGUCUCAGGAUUCCAACAUGUACUACUGAGAGACAAAGAUGAUAAAACGAUACUAAAAUCACACACGGAUGAGGCAGAAGAACAUUCAACAGAGUAUGAGCAUUGUAAAUUAUUUAGGAAAUUAUGGUUCUGAACCCUACAAUCUUCUGGAAAGACGUCCAUAAUAAGGACAAGUGACAUUUUUUCCUCCUUAAAAUUAUUAUCCAAAUUCUAGUAGCAAUCAAAUAGUUUUCUUGGGAGACACGUUUUACCGUGAGUACUUGUAUGGUAUGAACAUAAUGUAGGACAUGUCAUUAAGGGCACCAAGCACAUGUUAAAGGACAAGUGCGCAUACUUUCCAAGAGGUGAUUGUUCAAGCUCCCUCGUUGCAUAUACUCAUAUAUCAGCAGCCUUUGUUUGCCUUCCACGCAAUAUCCAAUUAAAUGUACUAAAUUUCGAUGCACUAGAUGACCAAGAAUACUCACUUCAGCCUGACACGUGGAAAGUGCAACAGUUCAAAAGUCAUACUAACUGUCAAACAUGCAUUAGUCCAGAAAGAAAAGAUCAUCACAUGAAAUAUUACCAGCCAUCGUUCGUAAGCCAGCUGCCCACUUAGCUCGAAAAUCUUAACAGCAACAAUCAACCCAGUGCCAGGGCUCGCAGGAGCAGUCCCAUUUUCUUCAAUCCAACCCUUAAAGACUCGGCCAAAACCGCCUUGACCAAGCAGACCCUCGGGACUAAAGUUUCUUGUAGCUAACUUAAGAUCCUUUAAUGAGAAUUUCCGCAGCUGAGGAGCGACUACUAAUUUCUCAUUCGUAAAUCCACGUACAGAGCCAAAACCACCUUUACCAAGAAGACUUGCAGCACUAAAGUUUCUAGCAGCUAACUUAAGAUCUUUAAAUUUGAAUUUCCGCAGCCAAGAAGCAACUUUAGGUUCCCUUUUGAGUUUAGAAGUUGAACGGUCUGCAUUAACAGUGGUUGUAGACGAAACCACAGUAGGAGCAGGCUGCUCUCUGCUUGCAUCAUUUGGAAUACUUUGUGCUGCUCAAAUACGAAAUUAGCAUAUCAGACGAAACAAGUGACCAUCGAUUUGGGUCACUUAGGGGAACAAUAAGCACCAAGCCACUUCAUCUAAACAGGAAUUAAAAGAUGAAUCAACUAAUCUGCCAGUCGGUGUAGCACCUGUUACUUUUCCAAUUGAAGUAAUUAUUCAGUCCCAAAUAGAGGAGGGUAUGUAGCCACCUACGUGGAUAUUUGUGGUUGACAACAGAAAACUAUGACAACAUAUUCAACUUGCAAUCAAAGCGAUGGAAAAAGAUUAAGCAGCAAUAUCUCUUGAUAUAGACUAAAAUAAUUCUAUGCAACCAAUCUCUGACGUACUUUGCUCAUUCUUGUGAUAUCACGCCCUCAACCUACUCUAGAUCUGUCACAAACUUAUGUCUUCCUAUGAGAAGCAUCGCUAUCAUCACCCUUUGCUAGAUAAUCUACAACACACAAUAAUUGUUAGUCACUUCCAUACCAAUAUAGCCAAAUAAAACUCUGGGAACAAAGAGCACUCCUAAGGACACUGGCAAUCAACUCCAGCUUGACAAGUGUUAGUGGGGCAAAUGCAUGAGCCGUCAAAACGCAAAACCAGAGUUAGACUAUAAGUCCACUAUAACAAGCUACAUAUAAUAGUAAUAUAUCCCACUUUGCUUCUUUUGGGGCUUAUAAGGGUCCCAUAGUCUGCAUCCACUCAAUACUUAAACUUUCACAUUGGACUUUUAAUUUGGUACUAGAGCAUAAACUCUCGAUUUUCCAUGCCCCAUUUAACAUUUCAUUUCAAGUGGGUUAUUUUCCCUAUCUUAUUCCUAAAGUGCAUUCAUCAUUUAAUUUUUCCGGGGUUGCAUAUGAGAGGGAGUAUUAAAGUGUUGAACAUCAUUCUUUUACAGAGCUUAUGAUAACCUUCGUCUUAAGUAGCGGCAAAUAGCAGUUGGCAAGAAUGGAAUUUAUAACAAUGUGGGGCAUUGUUGGCCCUAUUGUGGUGAUUUCACGUCCAAUGAGGUUGAUAUGCCCGCAUCCACGAUUAUUGCAAUGCAAACAGUAACACAAUUUGAAAAUUUUAUAUACACGUAAUCUCUCUUUCUUGCCUUAUAACUUAAACCUUUGGUUGGACUUUGUAACAUAAACCAAACAUUAAUUUCAAGUUCAUUCUUUCACAAGACCAAAAAUGAAUAAAAAGUAUGUUCCUUUCCUUUUUCCGGUAUAGUACCUCCAACAAACACAAGCAGAAUAUCAUGAAAUAAGAUCUUCAUAUCACCAGAUAAAAAGUACAUAGUUCCACAGAAUGUAAAACAGGAAUUUAGAUUAUCUAUUCACAAUUGACAUUGAUAAUAACUCCCUCGGCACUUUAAUAAAGAAAUUCUCCUACCAAAAAAUAGUAAAUAAGCCAGCUAGUAUUUCGUCAAUCUACAAGCUUGAAGCCCGUUUACAGCAGCAAAAAUAGACUAGCAAUCCAAAUCACUGCACACUAAUGCUGUGCCGAUAUUUGGUUUUGUACACUGAAAAUACAUGCAUCAGAAGCAGUCAUAGUUCUGAAGCUAACAUUAGAACGGCCAGAAUAUUGUAUAGUUAGCUGUCGCCACCUCAUUCAUAAACAUUUCAAGGGUGAUAUCAGAUAUCCGAUUUGAAAGGAGAUUAGAUUUCAUUCAGAUAAAUGUUAACUUUCCAAUUUUCUCUUCCCCUGCAGCUUUUAACUUGUUCAAUCAAAUGCAUAAAAUGAAAGGGAAAGAAAAAGACAGGCAUCAUCUCAACAGAACAAUGCUCUUCGCUGAUAAUUACUCUUACCUUUAGUCCCUGUCGGAUGAUUGCAACAGAUUUCAUCAGGUGAUGGACUCUCGAGAUUCGGACAAUCGAUAAUGCUCAUUCGUUCCAAGUUUGGUGCAACGCGUAAGCCACUGGAAAUGCUAAUGAGUUCUGGCAACGAGAAUAGGGAUAUCCUUUUCAUGUUGGGGAGGAAGUGAGUACUCUCGUAAAUAGGAGUAUCUUCACACGUCACUAAACUUGAGACAACACGGCAGUCUUUGACUUUGAGCUCUUCUAAGCUAUCAAGAUUUUCCAGUAGGCCAGGUGUGAAUAGAGUAGUCAACCGAGGGCAUGUGACUAAGGCCAAGCAUUUAAGAUGAGACAAGGAUCCUCGAUGCAGCGGCCCCUCAUAAAUGCAACUCAAACUCUUCAUACGAUAUACAUAGAGAUAUUCAAGUGACUUGAGAAGUCUCGUGUCAUCCUCCAAUAUUUCUGAUACAAUUCCACUUCUAUCAGCUUCAUCGUACAUGUCAGUUCCAUCAAUAAUAACCCGAAUCUCAUUACACUCCCCAAUUAUGCAGCAUUUCAGUUGCUCCAUGUUCUCAAUCCCAAAAUCAGAUAGCUAAAUGACAUCCGUAUGGCGGUCUAAGAAAAAUGCAGUAGCAUGCCGAAGCAUCUUCUGGAUAUCUAUAGGCACCCCCACACCAUUUACAUAUUUCAGGGAUCUAUCCCAGUGCAAACUCAAGAUCCACUAGGAGUCGAUUCAUUAUGCGUUUAUCAUGAUUGCCAACAAUGAAUUUGAAAUGUGACAAUGAUCUAGACACCUUGUAUGUACCAAACCAUUUGAAUUUCCUCAGAUAUUCCACUCGCGGAAGGUACAAUUUAAGUGUAUCCAGACUUAUCAAGCCACAAACAUCAUCAACAAUAGCUUCCACAACACUCUCCCACCUCUCAUCCUCUGGAUUUACAUCAAUACUUAAUUCUUCUAACUGAGAUAACGCGGAAAUAGUGCCUUGAGGAAUCAACGCAUUUGCUCUCACGGAUUUUGUGCCCUGAUUUGUGCGUCGGCAAAAAGAUACUUCUAAGCAAGUGAGCUUUGUUAGCUUUGCCACCUCCUUUGGCAGAUCCAUGAUCUCAGUACCUUCAAGAUCAAGUACCUCAAGCUGCUGAAGUUCUCCAAUUUUUGAAGGUAACACCAUCAAUAACUCACAGUGAUUUAAGAACAGUCUUUUCAGGCGGCUUAACCUGAACAGAGACUCUGGCAAGGACUUGAUCCGAGUUCUGGAUAAAUUCAGGAUUUCAAGAGCAGGCAUGUGAUCAAAGAAAGACGGACUGAUAGUUCCAAGCUUGUAAUUUCUAUUCAGAAACAAUACCAAGAGUACAGGACACCGAGGAUCCUCGGGUAACUUAGUCAACUGAUUUUCCAUCAAGUAAAUCUCUGCAAAACUCCGCCAUUGCGUGACCUCCGGAGGUUCCGUCAGUCCUAAACCCCUGCGCAUAAGGACCUUUCUGCUGCUAUAUUCAGGCGGACCGGAACCGAUGUCGGCAAAACAUAUCUCAAGUUCCUCUACCGGUUGUGGGGUACCUGAUGAUGAGUAAAGAUGAUGAACAAUCCUACUAUUAAAACAUGCGAGCCAAACAACACGUGAACAUUCCAGCCGAAAACCAAACAUGUAUGAAAAAAUUUGAGGAAAUGAAGGAAACCGCAAGAGAUGUCGGAAUCGGAUCCUUGAACGGACGAACAUGAAACCCGAGCAGAACGUAAAUCGAAGGCCUGCGGUGGAGAAUAUCUCCCCAUGAUCGCACCCCAAAGAAGGAAGUAGUCCGGUUCGAAAUAUAACAAAUAAUGGCAGAUGAAACUUUCUUAUUUUUCCCUUGAAAACCGGUUAGGUAAAGUAGUCCGGUUCCAUGGAAUAUUCUCCGGUAAGGAAAGCACCUGUUACCGGUGAAAGAAUGACCGAGCCGUCACCAUGGCAUUGCCCAUUUUCCUAAUAAAAAGGGCAAUGUCUCGAGGAAGAGAAGCAUAAGGGUCGACUGAACUGAUGAAGGUAGCAUGUAUGCACUCUAUCUAGCCAUAUGAAUUUUAAUUAUUGCGUCCAUAAAAAUGAUUGACAUAUUAAAAUAACCCAUUAUCUUAUAUCGAUCUAUUUUGUUAUUAGAUGUAAGAAAAGGAGAUAAAAUAACCAAAAAAAAAAAAAAGAUUCUUAAAAUAACAAAUAAAAAAAUCUUCUUUCUCUUGCAUAUUCGAAUUGAAAGAAAAUAAUAUGGGUACCGUUGUACACAACAUAAAUAAGAUUACUAAGCAAAUAGCAUAGCAAAUAGCAUGAAUGGAGAUGGAUUUGCAUAUAUUCUUCUCCUUAUAGAAGCAUUAUGAUUACUCGGUAUUUGACAUUGUAUAUAUAUCAAGAGUAAGCUGAUUGGGAGCACAUUUGUAAGCUGCUGGAAAUGUGCUAGGGAUUAUCUUUCCCGUUGAUUCUGGUCCUUUUGUUCUUUGAAGUUGAGAAUAGUCAUGACGAAAAAGAUGUAAUAUAAUGUAUAUUAUUGAACAAAAAGUAGACUUUACAGGAUAAUUAUCGAAAAUAAUAAAAUAUCAAUUACAAUCAAUCAAGAUCAAUUAUGAAAAUAUACAUAACAUUCUCAAAUUCUACAUGGCCAAGUCUGGUUACCUUUUGGAAGAGAACUGAGAAGUCUCUCUGUCAGGUCCUUCCAUAGCCUCCGUCUUGAUUUCGCGGGGUGAGCAGGACUAAUCAGAUUAUAGAGACCACAAGAGGCUGGGCAACUUUGUGGGGAUUUCUGGCGAUUAUUUACAUAAUCAGGUCGGUCCACUUUUAUUUUCGUUAAAGUUUGCUCCUUCAAAGUCUAAAGGUCUUAAAUCAAUAAAUAAUAAAAGUGAAACAGAAAAAAAAUGUGGCCAAAUCCCGGUCUACUUUGGAACCAGCCAAUUUGAUACUAGGCCGAUUCCAAGGUCCACCAAUUUGGUUCUCGAAUACAAAAAUUGAGAAUCCGCUCUGACAGAAUAGAACCUAGAAUCUAUCUACUUUGAAACAAGUCAUACCUAAUAUGAAUACUGAGUCGCAAUAAUAAAGUAACGAAGGACAAGUUCUUAAGAAAGAGAGUGGUAACCAACUCACUAAUUGACUUGUGAUGUUAGAUAAGAUGGGCCUCAAAUCAUCUAAUGUUACUUAUAAACAGCGCAUACAUGUAUUAGUUGUAUAUUUGUAUCCAAGAAUCUUGUGGAAGAGUAGAUAUUGCUUGCACUCUCUCGGGUGGACGAUUCUAACAAAGUUGACCAUCCACUUAAAGAUAGAAAAUUAGGAUUGAUUUAUUUCACAAAAGAUGAAUAAUUUUGAAUAUAUUUUCCGAUAAAAAUGCACGAAUAAAAAAUAUUUUCAUUUUUUUCUGAAAAUAAUAAGAAUUUUUGUUGAUAAUAAAAGUAUUUUCCAUAACUAAUUAUUUCAAAUGAUAUAAAUAAUUAUUUUUAGAAAAAUAUUUUUUUAAAUCAUUCAUUUUCUAUCAAAUAAAUGAAGCUUCAUAACUGGUUGUUUUUUUUAGCCAAGAAGAAAAAACAUAAAGUUAUUUCGUCCCGUUCGUUUCUAGGCAUGAAAUUGCCUAUUGACUUUCUCUCUCUGGGCAAAAGAAGAAAAGCCUUUUCUCCUAAUAAACUGAAAUAUUAUUUGAACUUUACGAAGUUAAAGGAGCGAGGAGAAAGUAGGUGGUCAAGCCUUAUCUCUCUCUCUCCUCCCCACCUCACGUGACCGAACACUUCUUCUUCUUCUUCUUUCUUCGCGUGCGAACCAGCGAACUGAGGAAGAACAAAAGCUGCAGCUCGCCGUCGCCGCCCAUCCCGCCGCCCCCACCGCACGCUCGCGCGACGCCGUGUACCCCGCCGCUUCCUGCCCGCGCCUGCCGUCCUCACCGUGCGCCGUCCAGCCCCGUUCGGCCUCUGCUCAGCCCUGUUCUGCCCCGACCAGCCGCCUCCGGCCACCGCCCAGCUUCGUCCGGCCACCACCCGGCCUCCCCGGCGUCCCCCUUGCCCUCCACCGGCCUUGCUCCGCCUUUUCAGCCCCCGGAGCAGCUUCGUUCGGCCAAGAACAGCAGCUGGAAAAUGGGUUUCCAACAGCAGUUCUAGGCCCGUUUUGAGGUUUCCGGACCCCGAACCCGAGGUCUCCUUUGGAGUUUGUUGUUCCUCGCGUCGCCCCCGUCGGAUUGAUCCGAUUUGCGCAAUUCCGGUGAGUAAUCUCACUAAUUCAUGAUUAGUGGGCUAAUUAUGCUUAAGGAUUGUUUAAUUUUAAUUAGUUAGUUUUUGUGAUUAGAUUAGAAUGGAUUAGUGAUUAUUAGUUAAUUGUGAUACAAAUUAGCCAAAUUAAAUGUGUAUUUAGUAAGUAGAUGUGGUCUACUAUUUAUUGAAAGUAUCUUGAGAUUUUUCCCGACCUUAAUCAGGCUUCAAUUAGGCUUUUAGGGCCUAAGUGGAAUUUUUGGUAUUUAAAUAUUAAUUUUCGGAAUUAAAUUAAAUAAUUAUUUAUUUUUCGAAAAUUCAACUGGGAUGGCUCAUGACCGGAAUUUUAUGCUGUGAUCGUGGUGAAGUCCGUUUAUUUAAUUAGGCUUUAUUUUGAGCUAAAUUGAAUUUUUAGUAUUUAUUAAUUAAUUUUCGAAAUUAAUUAAUUAAUUAAUUAAUUAAUUUUCAGAAAUUAAGAUUGAGAUGGCCAACAGCCGAAAUCUCGUGCUGAUCAUCGUGGUGCAGUCCGUUUAUUUAAUUGAGCUUUAAUUUGUAUGGAAUUGAUCUAAAUUGUGAAUUUUAUGAUAUAUUCCUAUUGAGUUGAUUUGAUUAGUCGAUUGAGAAUUAAUUGGGUAUCGAUAGUGGAUUGGCGAACUUUAGAGAAAGGCGUUGUUUCAUAGUGGAAUCAUGGUAGACAGUAAAUCACUUGGAGAAGGGUACGUUGGCUUGGUGAUUAAGUAUUGGCAUCUAAAAUGACACAUGGCUUGGUGAUCUGAUACGUCACUUUGGUGAACUAGUACCUUAGAAAAUGCACGUGAGUCCAACGAUUGAGUAUUGGCAUCUAAGAGGGCACGUGGCUCGGUGAUCUGAUGCGUCACUUUGCUAAACUAGUGCUUUAGAGAAUGCGCGUGGGCCCAACGUUCCGGAAUGGCAUCUAAAAGGACACGUGGCUCGGUGAUUUGAUGCGUCACUUUGGUAAACUAGUGUCUUAGAGAAUGCACGUGGGUCAAGUAUUUGAGAAUGACAUCUAAAAUGGCACGUGACUCGAUGACUUGAUGUACCACCUUGGUGAAGAGGUCGCCUUAGAGAAUGCACGUGGGCCCAAGAUUUGAGGCACGUGGCUCGGAGACUUGGAAUGUUAUCAUGGAGAAUGCACGUGGCCUAGCUUUUAGAUAUUCCUCAGUGGAGAAUGAUUCGUGUGACAUGUAAUCGACUGGUUCGAUUUGUUUGGAGUAAAUGGGUGCCUAUUAUGAAUUAUAUUGACUUGCAUGUGGGAUCUAAAGCUAAGGUAAGUCCUAUGCCCUGUGCAUGUUUAGGCAGCCUAUAGUAUAAUGGUUUACUAAUCGGGCCUUAGUGGGGUAGAACUCGCCAAGACGUAGUCUCAUCCUAGUUUGGGGAAAACAUUUCAGGACCCCGAUGAGGAGCUGAGGAAGAGGAAUCUGAAAAGGAAAUCUCUGAGGUGAAACCUGAGGAGAGGGAUUUUUGGAAGAAGAAGAUAAUACCGAAAGGAAUUUUGCGUACGACCUAGAUGGACUGAGAUUACAUCUUCUUUUGAGAUCUCCAUUUUGAUGUAAAUAGUUAUGUAGUACUUUGGUUUGCGUUUUGUAUAAAAGUUUGGUUAUAAGUUUCAAUAUGAAAAAUAUGGUUCUGCUUUUCUAUCCUAUCGAUUUACUAUCUGGGGAUUUAUAAUUGCUUCCGCAUGUGCUUAAUAAAUGAAAGGGUCGGCGAUACAUAGUCCUGAGAUAUCGCAUUAUAAAAUCGACCAAGAUAAAAGGAUGUGUGCGUGCCCGAGGAUCGGAGCAUGACAGGAAGAUCCAAGCAUUAUAGCAGUAGCACAACUCGUGGUUAGAGAGUAUGUUGGUUUGCCACUGUUAAUCGAUAGAGUGGUGAAAGUUUUUGGAAAGAAGGACGACGUUUCUCUCUGGAGAGAUGAAUUGACACGUUUGUAGAGAUGGCCGAGUAUCAAUAACCAAGGCAUGAUUGAAAUGCUCGAAUUCCUUAAGUUCUGUUACGAGGAUUUAGAUGGGGAGGAUAAAAAGGUUUGCUUUCUUUAUGGAGCAUUGUUUCCCGAAGACUCUGACAUAUUUGUGGACUAUCUGGUGGAAUGUUGGAAGGCAGAGGGAUUUCUCCAUAGCGUUGAUGAGUUUCGAGAUGCACGUGAUAGACACAACAUAUUGGAUAAUCUGAUUAAAGUAUCAUUAUUAGAAAAAAGUGCGGUGAAGAGACAUGUCCAAAUGAACAGAGUACUUCGUAGUAUGGCUCUUAAAAUUUCGUCAGAAGUCUCAGACCAUAAGAUCCUGGCAAGACCAUGCGAGGGGCUAAAACAGCCGCCAAAGGAAGAAGAAUGGACAUCUGCAAGACGAAUUUUCUUUGAUGGAUAAUGACUUGUGCAGUUUACCGGCAAUUUCAAAUUGCACAAAUCUUUCAACUUUACUCUUGUAAAGAAACAAUAAUUUAAUGAUGAUCCCAAAGAGCUUCUUCUUGUCUAUGCAAAGACUCCGAGUAUUGGACUUACACUCUACGGCAAUAACAUCCCUUCCACCUUCUUUGCCUUGCUUGACUCAUCUCAGGGCACUCUACUUGAAUUCAUGCAAGGGCUUAAUAGAACUACCUUCAAGCUUAGAGGCACCGGUGCAUCUAGAGAUGCUUGACAUUUGACGCACCGGAAUCAUCGCUUUACCUAUUCAAGUUGGAAGGUUAAUGCAGAUGAGAUGUUUGCGUAUGUCAUUGUCAAAUUUUUGGUAUAUAAUAUGAAUUUAAAAAAGAAAAAAGAAAAAAAAAAGAAAAAAGAAAUGACCUUAUCUCAUCAUACAUCAUGAUUUGAUAAGUUUAUGGACAAAAUUGAAAUGUAAGAUUUCAAUGUAUAAUGUGAUCGUAAUUACAAAGAUUAGAGAAAGAGAAUCAAGAAAAAAAGAAUGCUUAAAGAGGAAAUAAUAAGAAAAUACAUGAAAUUAUAAAUAUAUGGCAUGUACUUGAAUACAUUACAGAGGAAUAUAGUAGAUUGUAUUGGGUAAAAUAGAAUGACGAUUCACUGUAGUUUCAAUAAAAUAAGACACUAACACUAACCCAUAAGGUGCAAAAAGAAUGGAAGAACAUAAUUGAUACCUUUAAAGUAAAAAAAAUAAAAAAUUAAAGAUAAUGAUAUUGUAUAAUAGAAAUGAAAAAACGAAGAGAAAAGGUGUAGGGAUUGGCAUGGAAGGGAUCUUUAGUAAAUUAGAAAAGGAAAGAAGGGAGGGAAGGAGAUAUAUCCUCUCAAAACCCUCGUUUAAUAUAAAGGAUACAGCAUAGAAUAUAAGAUGCCGGGCAAACUACUAUGAACUCAAUUCACAUAAUAUGCACGCCCUACACAAAUCUUCUUUAAGUAAAACCUAUUAAAUGUUCAAAGGUCAAUUUUACAUUAUGUAUUAGAUAUUAUAAGAACAGUAAACAAACUUGCAAUACAUAACUCGCAUGAUAUUGAGAAGAAACUACAUUUAAUUCACUAUUUCCUGACAAGAAGCAACUACAGUUUGCAGUGCUAAAGGAGCUCAAUAUUGCAACAAGUAAUCAUAGAAAAAAAACACCCAGAAUCGUUCUUUUUAUCAUUUUCAUCACCUCAUCGGUGAGUAUAACCAUCUAAUAGAUUGUGCAUGCAGAGAAACAAAACAAAAGCCUAUGCUAAUACAUAAUUCCAGUCACAACAAAUAAGAUGAAUAAGAAGCAAAGAGCUACGGAGAAAGGCUAAGUGAAGCUACAAAAAGGACCGUAAUCUUUCCUUGAUAGCAUCAUCUUGGCACACUAAUGUGGAUAACCAUGAUUGCUCAGCAUCAGUGGAUCUUAAAUUGAUAGCAUUUAUGCUGGUAAAAGGAAGUUUCAACAAGGAUCGACAUGAAGCUAUAUCCAGUCUCUCUAGAGAAGGCCAAAUCAAUAAGUCAUUCGGAGCAAUGCUUCUUAAAUUCGGAAGAUCAUGAAGCACUAGCUUUUUAAGACUCGGGAGUGUUCUAGGGUCCAAGCAAUGAUUCUCAGUUUCGAUGAUGAUCUCCUCAAUUUUGUGGCACACUUCAACACUCAAAUGCUUCAGCUCAGGUAGUUGCUUGAUCAAUCCAUUUGAGAAUAUCUUCUUGAGCUCGGGACAAUUGAACAAGGUCAAAUUAGUCAUUUGGCCCAAGCUUCCCACGGUCACGGGGCCCUUCCAUAUACAAUGCAAACUUGAGGCAUUUUUUAUAUCCAUUCUCUCUAGGCAUUUGAAUGCAUGAGGUGGUGCUACGUCACCGUCGAUGAUGCAUCUAAUGUCCUUGUAGCCCUCCACUGAACAAGCUCUGAGUUCACUCAAGUUCUCAGUCCCAAAUUCUGAUAAGCUCAGUAUAUUCCUAUGAUCAAUUAGUUCAAACACUUCGGUCUUAGUGAGUACUUCUGAGAUCACAGGAUGUGUGCCUUCAUCGUUUGCGUACUUCAAGCACUUGCACAAUUGAUAUUCAAAAUAAUCAAGAAUAUGAUACUUGACCGAAUUGCAAAUACCGACCGAGAACUGAAAUGUGAAGCGAAGGUUCGCCCACAGAGGGCUUGUUCUAACGAAGAUUGCGAGGCACUCUACUUUAGGAAAGAAAAAUGUCAGUGAAGUCAACCGUGUCAAGGCAGAAACCUCCUCCAUGAUAAUCUUCAUGACCUGAUCAGACCACGAAGUGUUCGGGUCUACAUCAAUCAUGAGUUCUAAUGAUGAAAUGCUCAAAAUCACCUUGGACAUUGGGUUUGUGGUGUCUAAAUUUGACAAUGACAUGCGCAAAAAUCUCAUCUGCAUUAACCUUCCAACUUGAAUAGGUAAAGCGAUGAUUCCGGUGUGUCGAAUGUCAAGCACCUUUAGAUGCACCAGUGCCUCUAAGCUUGAAGGUAGUUCUAUUAAGCCCUUGCAUGAAUUCAAGUAGAGUGCCCUGAGAUGAGUCAAGCAAGGCAAAGAAUGUGGAAGGGAUGUUAUUGCCGUAGCGUGUAAGUCCAAUACUCGGAGUCUUUGCAUAAACAAGAAGAAGCUCUCUGGGAUCAUCAUUAAAUUAUUGUUUCUUUACAAGAGUAAAAUCGAAAGAUUUGUGCAAUUUGAAAUUGCUGGUAAACUGCACAAGUCAUUAUCCAUCAAAGAAAUUCGUCUUGCAGAUGUCCAUUCUUCCUCCUUUGGCGGCUGUUUUAGCCCCUCGCAUGGUCUUGCCAAGAUCUUAUGGUCUGAGACUUCUGAUGAAAUUUUAAGAGCCAUACUACGAAGUACUCUGUUCAUUCGGACAUGUCUCUUCACCGCACUUUUUUCUAAUAAUGAUACUUUAAUCAGAUUAUCCAAUAUGUUGUGCCCUCUAUCACGUGCAUCUCGAAACUCAUCAACGCUAUGGAGAAAUCCCUCCGCCUUCCAACAUUCCACCAGAUAGUCCACAAAUAUGUCAGAGUCUUCGGGAAACAAUGCUCCAUAAAGAAAGCAAACCUUUUUAUCCUCCCCAUCUAAAUCCUCGUAACAGAACUUGAGGAAUUCGAGCAUUUCAUUCAUGCCUUGGUUAUUGAUACUCGGCCAUCUCUGCAAACGUGUCAAUUCAUCUCUCCAGAGAGAAAUGCCGUCCUUCUUUCCAAAAACUUUCGCCACUCUAUCGAUUAACAGUGGCAAACCAACACACUCUCUAACCACGAGUUGUGCUACUGCUAUAAUGCUUGGAUCUUCUUGUCACGCCCCGAUCCUCGGGCACGCACACAUCCUUUUACCUUGGUCGAUUUUAUAAUGCGAUAUCCCAGACUAUGUAUCGCCGACCCUUUCAUUUAUUAAGCAUAUGCGGAAGCAGUUAUAAAUCCCCCAGACAGUAAAUCGAUGGGAUAGAAAAGCAAAGCCAUAUUUUUCAUAUUGAAAUUUAUAACCAAACUUUUAUACAAAACGCAAACCAAAGUACUACAUAACUAUUCACAUCAAAAUGGAGAUCUCAAAAGAAGAUGGAAUCUCAAUCCAUCCAGGUCGUACGCAAAAUUCCUUUCGGUAUUAUCUUCUUUUUCUAAAAAUCAUUCUCCUCAGGUUUCACCUCAGAGAUCUUCUUUUCAAAUUCCUCUUCCUCAACUCCUCAUCAGGAUCCUGAAAUGUUUUCCCCAAACCGGGAUGAGACUACGUCUCAGCGAGUUCUACCCCACUAAGGCCCGAUUAGUAAACCAUUAUACUAUAGGCUGCCUAAACAUGCACAGGGCAUAGGACUUACCUUGGCCUUAGAUCCCACAUGCAAGUCAAUAUAAUUCAUAAUAGGCACCCAUUUACUCCAAACAAAUCGAACCAGUCGAUUACAUUGUCACACGAAUCAUUCUCCACUGAGGAAUAUCUAAAAGCUAGGCCAUGUGCAUUCUCCAAGAUGACAUUCCAAGUCUCUGAGCCAUAUGUCUCAAAUCUUGGGCCCACGUGCAUUAUCUAAGGCGACCUCUUCACCAAGGUGGUACAUCAAGUCACCGAGUCACGUGCCAUUUUAGAUGUCAUUCUCAAAUACUUGACCCACGUGCAUUCUCUAAGGCACUAGUUUACCAAAGUGACGCAUCAAAUCACCGAGCCACGUGUCCUUUUAGAUGCCAUUUCGGAACGUCGGGCCCACGCGCAUUCUCUAAGGCACUAGUUUAGUAAAGUGACGCAUCAGAUCACCGAGCCACGUGUCCUCUUAGAUGCCAAUACUCAAUCGUUGGACUCACGUGCAUUCUCUAAGGUACUAGUUCACCAAAGUGACGUAUCAGAUCACCGAGCCACGUGUCAUUUUAGAUGCCAAUACUUAAUCACCGAGUCAAUGUACCCUUCUCCAGGUGAUUUACUGUCUACCAUGAUUCCACUAUGAAACAACGCCUUUCUCUAAAGUUCGCCAAUCCACUAUCGAUACCCAAUUAAUUCUCUAUCGAAUAAUCAACAAUUAAUUCUCAAUCGAAUAAUCAAAUCAACUCAAUAGGAAUAUAUCAUAAAAUUCACAAUUUAGAUCAAUUCCAUACAAAUUAAAGCUCAAUUAAAUAAACGGACUGCACCACGACGAUCAGCACAAGAUUUCGGCUGUUGGCCAUCUCAAUCUUAAUUUCUGAAAAAUAAAUAAAUAAUUAAUUAAUUUCGAAAAUUAAUUAAUAAAUACUAAAAAUUCAAUUUAGCUCAAAAUAAAGCCCAAUUAAAUAAACGGACUUCACCACAAUCACCAGCAUAAAAUUCCAAUCACGAGCCAUCCCAAUUGAAUUUUCGGAAAAUAAAUAAUUAUUUAAUUUAAUUCCGAAAAUUAAUAUUUAAGUACCAAAAAUUCCACUUAGGCCCUAAAAGCCUAAUUGAAGCCCGAUUAGGGUUGGGAAAAAUCCCAAGAUACUUUCAAUAAAUAGUAGACCACGUCUACUUACUAAAUACACAUUUAAUUUGACUAAUUUGCAUCACAAUUAACUAAUAAUCACUAAUCCAUUCUAAUAUAAUCACAUAAACCUAAUUAAUUAAAAUUAAACAACCCUUAAGCAUAAUUAGCCAACUAAUCAGAGAUUAGUGAGAUUACUUACCAAAUCGCGCGCAAAUCGGAUCAAUCUGACAGGGCGACACGAGGAACAACAAACUCCAAAGCGGGCCUCUGGUUCGGGGUUUGGAAACCUCAAAACGGGCCUAGAAUCGCUGUUGGAAACCCAUUUUCCAGCUGCUGUUCUUGGUUGAACAAAGCUGCUCCAGGGGCUGAAAAGGCGGAGCAAGGCCGGUAGAGGGCAAGGGGGACGCCGGGGAGGCCGGGCAGUGGCCGGACAAAGCUGGGCGGUGGCCAGAAGUUGCUAGUCGGGGCGGAACAGGGCUGCGCAGAGGCUGAAUGGGGCUGGAUGGCGCACGGUGAGGACGGCAGGCGCGGGCAGGAAGCGGCGGGGUGCGUGGCGUCGCGCGAGCGUGCGGUGCGGGCUACGACGGCGAGCUGUAGCUUCUGUUCUUCCUCAGUUCGCUGGUUCGCACACGAAGAAAGAAGAAGAAGAAGAAGAAGUGUUCUGUCACGUGGGGGUGGGGAGGAGAGAGAGAGAGAGAUCCAAUAUUGUAUUUUGUAAUUGCCAUCAUCGAUAAUAUCACAAUUUGGGCUUUAGUACACUUCUAUGCCGCCAAUUGCUUUGAUAAUUUCACUAAUACUCAAUAGGGUGCUUGACUAGUAUAAUCAUAAUAAAAAAAAGGAGUGAUGGAAGGACAGAACAAAGUUAUUGUCUCAACCUUAUUUGUUUUUGAUUGCUAGAGGUGGUUGAGAUAUUUGGCAGGUACUCCAUGCAUUGUAUUUAUAUCCGAUUAGAAUCAACUGGUACGUAUUCUAGGCAUUCCUGACUACUGACCGCACAUAUAUUAUUGCGGGGCACUUUACAAUAAAGAGUGAUGUCUAUGGUUUUGGUGUGGUCCUUUUUGAAUUCCUGACUGGAAGAAAACCCUAUGACUUCACUGAUGAUGGACUUCUCCUUGUUGACUACGUUCGGUCACAUCUGGAAGAGGAAAGAAGUUUGUACGAAUUGAUAGAUUCAAGGCUCGAAAAUCAAUUCUCAGGAAAAGGUGCCCAGAUUGCUUUGCAGUUGGCUGUUCACUGCCUUGAAAUGGAUCCGGAUGCUCGUCCCUGGAUGAGUGAAGUUGUCCAAGUUUUGAAGACCAUACAAGAUCUCCCAUAGAUGGCAAGUACAUCAAAUAUUCAGGACAAGACAGGGAAGCGCUAGUCAUGGAAUGGCAUCCAAACUCAAACCAUGGUGAAUUCAAGGAAUGCAAGUCCUUCAAUUCCGGAUGGGACCAACACAUAUCCAUGCCACCACACCACCAAUCUUUGGAAGCUAGUGAUAAACUGCAGCAAUGUGCCUAUAAAUAGCUGGCAUUUAACCCCAUUUGUCUCCUUUUCUCCUCUUUCCUUUUUAGGUGCCAGAGUUUUGGAUUCCAUAUAAACAUUUACUCUUGAUUAUUGAAAUGUCGACUGAGAAAAAUAUAGUGUGAGUUAUUUAACCCCAUUUGUCAUCCAUUGAGUUAUGCUAUGUUUAUAACUACGUUUAUAAGUGUGAGUUAUACUACGUUUAUAAAGUCAUCCAUUGAGAAGUGGUCAGGUGAAGCCUGGAAUUGAGAAGUAUGCUUGGGCAUUGAUACCUCAUCUCUCCUCUACAGCAUUUUAAUGAUAAUGACUACCUUUGAUGGUGUCUAUUUGACGUACCUUUUCCUGUGAAAUUUAUUAUGUAUCUAGUUUUUCCAUGUGGUGGCAUGUCUUUGACACAUGUUUUCAUUCUCAAUAAUCAUCUCGUUGUAUUUCUAUUUCUCACAUAACUGAGGUGUUUGUUCAUUUGAAUUUGUUAAUUCGUUUGCCGUGUAAAAAUAUACGGUUGUUCUCUUUCAGAUAUCAGCCAUGAUAAUUGUUGGAAAUUCAUUUGGGCCAGCAUAUAUUGUUGAAACCGGUAUUGAAUUUUCUUUAUAAGAGACCGUACAUUCAACGCAAGCAAUUUUUUUUUUAUAAAUUUGGGCCUAUGCGGCCCAACCUGAAAAAGUUUUGUCAUGGGCCGGGGCCCCGGCCUAAGUGGGUGACGGGCCCCGUUAACCGCAGGUUGGAAUGCUAGUGCUAGGUGCCUCCAAGCUUUUUUCUUUGAGUUUUUUUUUUUUUUUUGCAUAUUAUUCUAUUUUUUCUGAGAUAUUCUUUUUUUGGGGUUUAUUUUUACCAUAAAAAAUAUAAAGUGUAUUCUUUUUCUAAAAUUUAUGUUUCUUUUUUUUUUCUUUUUCUCCUGCUCCUUUUGUUUUAAUUUAAAUCUAAUCAACAAUAUUCUUGCUUUUUUCAUGUAAUAAUACCUUUUUCUGUUGUAUUUGGCAAUCGGUCUAUUCAUAUAGUUGGACUUGAUCAAAUCCAAUUAUAUAUUAAUUCACUUCAAUUUUUCCGAACCUAAUUAUUGCCUUGAAAUCAAAUUUAGGGCAUAGAAUUGACAGUGCUUUUUAUACUACAAUCAAAAUGCAUAAUACAAGAGGAUGUGCAUUAUUUUAUUGACUUUGAUAUGAAUAAGAUCUCAACAAAGACAUUUUUCGACCGAGAAAAAAUAACGAUACUCACGUAAUUUUGAAGAUUAUAAGUGUGCUAGAAAAAAACUAAACUUUUUUUCCCCUGACGUCGCCAAGGAUUCUUUUCUCUGCACUCCCUCAAUUGCUCCCUUUUCCAUGUCUCCGUUCACUCCUUCACUUCCGAUAUACCCUAUUCGUUCCUCCAUUUCUAGGAUUCCGAGUUUCACUUUUGCGCGUGCGCUUGUCAUGUGCUUUCAUGCCUGAAAGCGUUUCGAUCUAUUCAUUUCUUCCGUUGACAAUUUCUUGUUGUUGCGCCGCCACCGCCGUGGAUAUCAAUUUUAAGGGGGCGGUGUGGCAUCGGCGGGAAAUGAACUUGGCUCAAACGCAAUGCUCUCGAAAGAGGCAUUUUCAUCUCUUGUCAGUCAAAAAUGUUUUGAGUGAUUGCGUAGCUCACCUGUGCUGAUAGUGGGUACGUGAUGAAAUUUGUACAUUGGACCCGACCUGUGUUUUAUGUGAGGAUAUUAGCUUUUGCUUUGGGUGCUUGAUGAAUUAGUAAUAUCUUUUUUUGUGAGUUACUAAUUCCAUUUCUCAUCAUUGUUUGGGUGUUUGUUGAUUAUGAUGGUAGUUUGUCUUUUAAUUGUGUUUAUGUAAUUGUCUACCUUUAUUGAUCAUUCCGGGAUGCCCAUGGAGACUCCUGGGGCCUACUAGCUUGUCCACGACGAGACUGCAAGCGGUUUAUUUUUCUUCUUGACCAUUCAUUGGCUCUCUAAAUUUACACACAAAGUGUUCGUUAUUAUGUUUAAUUGGAAUGCAAUAUAUUUUUCUUGGGUGGAAUUCAAAGACGACAAACUACCUAAAGGUGGCAGAAUGAUCCAUUCAACUGAUUAUUUGAAAAAUUGAGCAAUACCAAAUUUUGCUAUCUUUCCAUAACUUAGGAACUGGAACCAUAUGGAAAUCCUAAAAAACCACAAAUGUUUUAAGUUAAGUUCACUAACCAAUUCAGCGACCCAUCCAGUUGAAUACUUGAAAUAUAUGCAUACGGCAUAUCUAAUAAUUCCAGGAAAAUGGCACCAUCGCUGUGCAUCUCAAUUGAAAAAUGGAAUGGAAAGCUACAAGUUUUCUUCAAUUAGAGUUUUGUGAACUGUAAGGUCUGCAAAAGCUCCAAGUUAACUCAGCGUUUAUCGCUCUUUGCAUAAUCUCUCAUCUCAUCCUCGUUAUAGUACAAAAUGACUUGCGUCUACACUCAUCUGGUUGCAUUUCUUUCGGAUGAAUGCGAAUUCUAACAGGAUUUUAUGGAUGCUAUAGGAUCAUUCCCUGUAAAUGAAUAGGAGGAAAAGGCUGAAUUUUUGACCUUACAGCAAUUUCAUUCAGCUCAUAAUGUUCAUAUUACUGGCCUUUCACAUUGUAGUACGUUUGCGGCAUGUACAUAUGGAGGAACUAUUGGAAAAGUCAUUAUACUUUGGCCAAGCGCAAACAAGAUUUUAGACCCCCAAAGAUGUUCUAAAUCAAGAGAUUGCAAAAUGAUGAAGUUCGCCAAAGGAAAAAGAUGAUCUGUGUUACAAAAUCACACAACAUCGUCUAACUUUUGGGAUAUAAUAUGAAAUUCUUUAUAAAAAAAGAAGAAGAAGAAGAAAUGACAUUAUCUCAUCAUAAUUUGAUAAGUUAAUGGACAAAAUUGAAGUGUAAGAUUUCAAUGUACAAUGUGAUCCUAAUUACAAAGUUAAAGUCUCAAGAUUUUAUAGUCUCAAGACUCUGUUAUCUCAAGACUCAAGACUCAAGACUCAAGACUCAAGACUCAAAGUUAUUCUCACUGACAGUCUUUCUAAUCCAGUGUUGAAGGAAAUCCAAAGUCGAGGUUUAUGAUUGAGGAUUUGAUCCUAUCCUCUGGGAUAGAUUCUUUGGUUGGAUAAUCAUUUCGGAUUCUUUAUAUCUUAUCUAAGAACGAUUGAAGAUCCGAUGGUCGACGAAAUAAUCUUGGAUUAUUCUAUUCUUGGAAACCGAGAUCCUGAUUGUAUGGGCGAACAGGAUUGAUGGGCUAUCAUCAGAUUCCUUAUAUAGCUCGGAUGAUCUUCUUGAUUGAUUCCGUCCAACGGGUAGAUUGGAGGAAUUCCUUUGGUAAGUGCCAACGGCUAUGAUGGCAUGAAGGAGUAUAAAAGGAAGACGUUCUAGUUGUUUUAAGUGUGUGAUCGAUAGAAAAAUUCCAGAGUCUGAAGAUCCUUUGAUUGUUAGUUGAGACUGAGCGAAAUUGUAUACUGAGAGUGUUUAUACUUGGUGACGCCUUGAGCAAGUGUGGUAGAUCAUCUACACCUAGAAAUCAAGGAAGAUCAACACUGUAACAACUCUUUGAUCAUAGUGGAAUCCAGCCAAUCGGCUGUCAGUGCAGAAGAGUGGACGUAGGCUUGAAUCAAGCCGAACCACUAUAAACUGAGUGUUCAAUUCUCUCUUUCCCUUACUCAGUCUUGCGAUUGAAUUUUCAACUGUUGCAAAGUCUCUAAUUGUUUAAGUAUCGUGCAAACAUCGAGAAAUUUUUUGUGUAUACCUAUUCACCCCCCUCUAGGUACUCGUACUAGCUAUCUCAAUUGGUAUCAGAGCCUGUGUUCUUACUUUGUUUGAAGUGUUUUACUUCAGAGUAAAAGAUCCAUGGCUAGUAUGCUAGCACCUGGGCUGAUGGAGGGGCAAAGCAAUACCAGACCUCCCUACUUCGAUGGAAAGGAUUACAACAUCUGGAAGAACAAGAUGAAAGCUUUCCUACGAUCAAAGGAUCCUCUGGAAUGGGACGUAGUGGAAAAAGGAAUCACUAUUGCUGCUGCAUCAAACACUGAAAGAGGAAAAGAAACCGUUGAAACCAGCGGAAUGUCUCAAGAAGAAAUAAACAAGAGACAAGCACUUGAUGCUAAAGCAAUUUAUUCUUUAUAUUGUCUACGCAAGGGCUUCUAGUNNNNNNNNNNNNNNNNNNNNNNNNNNNNNNNNNNNNNNNNNNNNNNNNNNNNNNNNNNNNNNNNNNNNNNNNNNNNNNNNNNNNNNNNNNNNNNNNNNNNNNNNNNNNNNNNNNNNNNNNNNNNNNNNNNNNNNNNNNNNNNNNNNNNNNNNNNNNNNNNNNNNNNNNNNNNNNNNNNNNNNNNNNNNNNNNNNNNNNNNNNNNNNNNNNNNNNNNNNNNNNNNNNNNNNNNNNNNNNNNNNNNNNNNNNNNNNNNNNNNNNNNNNNNNNNNNNNNNNNNNNNNNNNNNNNNNNNNNNNNNNNNNNNNNNNNNNNNNNNNNNNNNNNNNNNNNNNNNNNNNNNNNNNNNNNNNNNNNNNNNNNNNNNNNNNNNNNNNNNNNNNNNNNNNNNNNNNNNNNNNNNNNNNNNNNNNNNNNNNNNNNNNNNNNNNNNNNNNNNNNNNNNNNNNNNNNNNNNNNNNNNNNNNNNNNNNNNNNNNNNNNNNNNNNNNNNNNNNNNNNNNNNNNNNNNNNNNNNNNNNNNNNNNNNNNNNNNNNNNNNNNNNNNNNNNNNNNNNNNNNNNNNNNNNNNNNNNNNNNNNNNNNNNNNNNNNNNNNNNNNNNNNNNNNNNNNNNNNNNNNNNNNNNNNNNNNNNNNNNNNNNNNNNNNNNNNNNNNNNNNNNNNNNNNNNNNNNNNNNNNNNNNNNNNNNNNNNNNNNNNNNNNNNNNNNNNNNNNNNNNNNNNNNNNNNNNNNNNNNNNNNNNNNNNNNNNNNNNNNNNNNNNNNNNNNNNNNNNNNNNNNNNNNNNNNNNNNNNNNNNNNNNNNNNNNNNNNNNNNNNNNNNNNNNNNNNNNNNNNNNNNNNNNNNNNNNNNNNNNNNNNNNNNNNNNNNNNNNNNNNNNNNNNNNNNNNNNNNNNNNNNNNNNNNNNNNNNNNNNNNNNNNNNNNNNNNNNNNNNNNNNNNNNNNNNNNNNNNNNNNNNNNNNNNNNNNNNNNNNNNNNNNNNNNNNNNNNNNNNNNNNNNNNNNNNNNNNNNNNNNNNNNNNNNNNNNNNNNNNNNNNNNNNNNNNNNNNNNNNNNNNNNNNNNNNNNNNNNNNNNNNNNNNNNNNNNNNNNNNNNNNNNNNNNNNNNNNNNNNNNNNNNNNNNNNNNNNNNNNNNNNNNNNNNNNNNNNNNNNNNNNNNNNNNNNNNNNNNNNNNNNNNNNNNNNNNNNNNNNNNNNNNNNNNNNNNNNNNNNNNNNNNNNNNNNNNNNNNNNNNNNNNNNNNNNNNNNNNNNNNNNNNNNNNNNNNNNNNNNNNNNNNNNNNNNNNNNNNNNNNNNNNNNNNNNNNNNNNNNNNNNNNNNNNNNNNNNNNNNNNNNNNNNNNNNNNNNNNNNNNNNNNNNNNNNNNNNNNNNNNNNNNNNNNNNNNNNNNNNNNNNNNNNNNNNNNNNNNNNNNNNNNNNNNNNNNNNNNNNNNNNNNNNNNNNNNNNNNNNNNNNNNNNNNNNNNNNNNNNNNNNNNNNNNNNNNNNNNNNNNNNNNNNNNNNNNNNNNNNNNNNNNNNNNNNNNNNNNNNNNNNNNNNNNNNNNNNNNNNNNNNNNNNNNNNNNNNNNNNNNNNNNNNNNNNNNNNNNNNNNNNNNNNNNNNNNNNNNNNNNNNNNNNNNNNNNNNNNNNNNNNNNNNNNNNNNNNNNNNNNNNNNNNNNNNNNNNNNNNNNNNNNNNNNNNNNNNNNNNNNNNNNNNNNNNNNNNNNNNNNNNNNNNNNNNNNNNNNNNNNNNNNNNNNNNNNNNNNNNNNNNNNNNNNNNNNNNNNNNNNNNNNNNNNNNNNNNNNNNNNNNNNNNNNNNNNNNNNNNNNNNNNNNNNNNNNNNNNNNNNNNNNNNNNNNNNNNNNNNNNNNNNNNNNNNNNNNNNNNNNNNNNNNNNNNNNNNNNNNNNNNNNNNNNNNNNNNNNNNNNNNNNNNNNNNNNNNNNNNNNNNNNNNNNNNNNNNNNNNNNNNNNNNNNNNNNNNNNNNNNNNNNNNNNNNNNNNNNNNNNNNNNNNNNNNNNNNNNNNNNNNNNNNNNNNNNNNNNNNNNNNNNNNNNNNNNNNNNNNNNNNNNNNNNNNNNNNNNNNNNNNNNNNNNNNNNNNNNNNNNNNNNNNNNNNNNNNNNNNNNNNNNNNNNNNNNNNNNNNNNNNNNNNNNNNNNNNNNNNNNNNNNNNNNNNNNNNNNNNNNNNNNNNNNNNNNNNNNNNNNNNNNNNNNNNNNNNNNNNNNNNNNNNNNNNNNNNNNNNNNNNNNNNNNNNNNNNNNNNNNNNNNNNNNNNNNNNNNNNNNNNNNNNNNNNNNNNNNNNNNNNNNNNNNNNNNNNNNNNNNNNNNNNNNNNNNNNNNNNNNNNNNNNNNNNNNNNNNNNNNNNNNNNNNNNNNNNNNNNNNNNNNNNNNNNNNNNNNNNNNNNNNNNNNNNNNNNNNNNNNNNNNNNNNNNNNNNNNNNNNNNNNNNNNNNNNNNNNNNNNNNNNNNNNNNNNNNNNNNNNNNNNNNNNNNNNNNNNNNNNNNNNNNNNNNNNNNNNNNNNNNNNNNNNNNNNNNNNNNNNNNNNNNNNNNNNNNNNNNNNNNNNNNNNNNNNNNNNNNNNNNNNNNNNNNNNNNNNNNNNNNNNNNNNNNNNNNNNNNNNNNNNNNNNNNNNNNNNNNNNNNNNNNNNNNNNNNNNNNNNNNNNNNNNNNNNNNNNNNNNNNNNNNNNNNNNNNNNNNNNNNNNNNNNNNNNNNNNNNNNNNNNNNNNNNNNNNNNNNNNNNNNNNNNNNNNNNNNNNNNNNNNNNNNNNNNNNNNNNNNNNNNNNNNNNNNNNNNNNNNNNNNNNNNNNNNNNNNNNNNNNNNNNNNNNNNNNNNNNNNNNNNNNNNNNNNNNNNNNNNNNNNNNNNNNNNNNNNNNNNNNNNNNNNNNNNNNNNNNNNNNNNNNNNNNNNNNNNNNNNNNNNNNNNNNNNNNNNNNNNNNNNNNNNNNNNNNNNNNNNNNNNNNNNNNNNNNNNNNNNNNNNNNNNNNNNNNNNNNNNNNNNNNNNNNNNNNNNNNNNNNNNNNNNNNNNNNNNNNNNNNNNNNNNNNNNNNNNNNNNNNNNNNNNNNNNNNNNNNNNNNNNNNNNNNNNNNNNNNNNNNNNNNNNNNNNNNNNNNNNNNNNNNNNNNNNNCGAUUUGCAGGAAUGGUAUGAUCAGCUGUAGUUCUUGCACAUUAUGUUUAAGUCACUUUUUUCUAGGGAAAAAUAACUAAAAAAAUCUUAAAUAUUUUGCAAUUGUGUCAAUGCAGUCAUAAACUUAUUUUUUUUUUGGCUAAUUGAGUCCUAAACCUUUUACAAUUGUGCCAGUUUAGUCCUUCCGACCAAAAUUGGCCGGUCAGCGUUGACAUGGCCACCGGGCGGCACCGGCAACAAAAUUUUUUUAAUGAUAUUUAUUUUUUCGAAUUAUUUUACCUUUUUCUCUCUCUCCUUUUUUUUCCUUCCCUCCUCCUUCCUCCUCCCCCUCCUCCCUCCUUCUUCCUUUGGCUUCGGCGACCAGCUAGCCAUCAUCGGUUGUCGGAUUGAGGCGGCCGGGUGAGCUCGCCUCACCAUCUCUAGGCGAGGGUGAGUUCACCUAGCCACUGGCGAGGCGAGCCCUCGCUGGAUCUGGCGAGGGCUCGCUCACUAGACCCAGUGAUGACGAGGCCCCCCUCGUUGGACUUGGCGAGGGCUCACCUCGCCGUCGCUGGAUGAAGGGCGAAGACUCUCGUCGCUAGGUGAGCCCUUGUCAAAUCCAGCGGCGGGACUUGCCUCGCCAAUGGCUAGGUGAGCUUGCCCUCGCCUAGCAAUGGCGCUCGCCUAGCAAUGGCAAGGCGAGCUCGUCCGGCCGCCUCAAUCCGUCGAUCGACAAUGGUUGGCUAGUCACCAAAGCCAAAGGAAGAAGGAGGGAGGAGGAAGGAGGAAGGAGGAGGGAAGGGAAAAAAAAAAGAGAGAAAAAAAAGUAAAAAAGAUUAAAAAAAUUAAUAAAAUGAUUCGAAAAAAUAAAAUAUUAAAAAAAAAUUGUUGCCGAUGGCCACGUUAGCACCAAUCGGCCAAUUUUGGUCGAAAUGACUGAACUGGCACAAUUGUAAAAGGUUUAUGAUUCAAUUGAUCAAAAAAUAAGUUUAGAACUAAAUUGGCACAACUACAAAAAAGUUUAGGACUUUUUUAGUAAUCCUCCACUUUUUUCUGCUAUAGUCCUGCAUGGGGUCUCCCAAAUGAUGGUAUUGCCUCCCUUUCAAUCCACCAGAUAUCUAAUCAUUGGAUGGAAUAUGUUGCAUAUUUCUUGCUUGAACUUCUGGAACAUUACGCGCACUGAUUGCUGCUCACUACCCGCAGUCCUUUUCUUUGUUGGAGGCAUCUCUCAACUGUCGUUUCCUCUGAGUGUAAUGUCUGGUGUCUUUCUCAUAUUUUUUUUGCCCGGGAGGAACCGUAAAAUUUGCUGGACCCUCGCGAGUUAGCGUUCCUGGGUGAUCUAGAUUUACUUUAUGCGCAGGCUUUGGGAAUGAUAAGUACUGAUUACAAGUACAUGAAAAUUGAAUCUUGAGGGUGCACAUUAAGCUAGUUCAUAAUCCACGUUAAUCAUGCCUUGCUGGCAAGUGAGUUUUGUUUUUUUGGGUCUUUGGUUUAUAUUAUUCUUUUCAAUUAACGACCGAAUGUCUGCUAUGCUUUUCGAACACCCGAUUAAUCCAUGGUAGUUUUUUAUAGGAGGCACAACCAGUAAUUACAGAAACACCGAUUCAUAAUUAAAGUUCUUUCUCUGUGAGUUUUUAUGUGCUUCAAUGCUACAUGUCUGAAGGUUUCCUGGUUCAUAAUGGAGUAUCUAGAUUUCUUAGAGUAGCAAGUUAAUGUGGUAUUCUUCCGUCCUACAAGCAAUAGAUAAUUACCGAAAAACGUAAAUCCAUACCAGGUAUUAUUUGUUUCUUUGUUUCAUGUGCUUUAGGGCUACAUGCGGUAGAUCAUGAUUUGGGUUUAUUCUCAUUAUAAUUUCCUAUUUAUCAUUUAUGAGUAGCAUAUUUAACUUUAAAACUAAAAGGGCAAUUGAUUUGUAAAAUAUAUUCCUAAAAUGAUCGUUUGUAUCUCUUGAAAUAAUUAACCAAUAAAAAAUGUAUUCAUUAUCAUUUAUGAGUAGCAUUUUUACCUUUAAAACUAGGUAUUAUUUUUUCCUUUGUUGUGCGUGGUUUAGGGCUAAAUGUAGUAAUCAUGAUUUGUGUAUUUUUUUUUUUACUUUCCUAUUUAUCAUCUAAGAGUAGCAUAAUUUUACGUUGAAAUCAUUAAAAAGGCAGUGAUUUUAUCUUAUACAUCUAUUGAUUAAGAGUUGAAACUUUUUUCUCUCCCUCCUUUUUUUUUUUUUGGCAUACGUCCUUAUAAAUUUCAGUGAAGGCAAUGCAGUGAGAAUCAUUCACUAUGUUAUCGUUAAUUUUAAUGAUUAUGACUUGACAAUUUCUAAUAAAUGACAUCAUUUUGAAUUGAUAGAUUAAUUAGUCAGUUCAUAUUUAUCAUGCUAUAAAUUACUACUUCGCAGAAGCAAAUGCCUUGACAUGACAGUCCAUGAAUGAAAUAUAUUACGAUGAAGAGAUUCAAUAGUGUAUUUUGGAAUUGCCAUUUUUUGAUAAUAUCACAAUUUGGGCUUUAGUACACUUCUAUUCCACUAAUUGCUUUGAUAAUUUCACUAAUACUGAAUAGCUAUUCAUCCAAAACAACGCCCGGGGUGCUUAACUAGUAUUAUCACAAGAAAAAAAAGGAGGGAUGGAAGGACAGAGAAUAAAGUUAUUAUUUCAAACUUACCUGUUUUUGGUUGCUUGAGGUGGUUGAGAUAUUUACGGGUACUUUAUGGAUUGUAUUUAUAUCCAAAUAGGACCGAUUGGUACUUAUUUUAGGAAUUCCUGACUAGUGACUGCACAUAUGUUAUUGCAGGGUGCAUCUCAGUAAAGAGUGAUGUUUAUAGUUUUGGUUUGGUUCUUUCGGAAGAAAAGGCGUACGCUUUACUAUUGAUGAACCUUCCCUUGUUAACUACGUUCGGUUACAUAUGGAAGAGGAAAGAAGUUUGUACGAAUUGAUAGAUUCAAGGCUCAGAAAUCAAUUCUCAGGAAAAGGUGCCCAGAUUGCUUUGCAGUUGGCUACUCGCUGCCUUAGACCAGAUCCGGAUGCUCGUCCCUGGAUGAGUGAAGUUGUCGAAGUUUUGAAGACUAUCCAAGAUCUUCCAUACAUAGCAAGUACAUCAAAUAUUCAGGACAAGACAGGGAAGCGCUAGCCGUGGAAUGGCAUCCAAACUCAAACUAUGGUGAAUUCAAGGAAUGCAAGUCCUUCAAUUCCGGAUGGGACCAACGCAUAUCCAUGCCACCACACCACCAAUCUUUAGAAGCCAGUGAUAAACUGCGGCAAUGUGCCUAUAAAUAGCCGGCAUUCAACCCCAUUUGUCUCCUUUUCUCCUCUUUCCUUUUUUGGUGCCAGAGUUUUGGCUUCCAUAUAAACAUUCACUCUUGAUUAUUGAAAUGUCGACUCAGAUAAAAUAUAGUGUGAGUUAUACUACGUUUAUAGAGUCAUCCAUCGAGAGGUGGUCAAGUGAAGCCCAAAAUUGAGAAGUACGCUUGGGCAUUGAUACCUUUUCUCGACUCUACAACAUCUUAAUGAUAAUGAUUACCUUUGAUGAUGUCUAUUUGAUGUACAUUUUCCUAUGAAAUUUAUUAUGUAUUGAGCUUUUCCACAUUGUGGCAUGUCUUUGAGACAUGUUUUCAUUCUCGAUAAUCAUCUCUUUGUAUUCUAUUUCUCACAUAACUGAGGUGUUCGUUCAUUUGAAUUUGCUAAUUCGUUUGCUAUGUAAAAAUAUACAGUUGUUCUCUUUCAGAUAUCAGCCAUGAUAAUUGUUGGAAAUUCUUUUGGGCCAGCACAUAUUGUUGAAGCCAGUAUUGAAUUUUCUUUAUUAAAGACCGUACAUUCAACGUAGGCGAAUUUUAUUUUUUAAAAUUUGAGCCUGGGUGACGGGCCCGUUAACCGCGGGUUGGAAUGCUGGUGCCGUGGCGCCUCCAAGCUUUUUUCUUUGAGUUUUUUUUCUUCCUCAUAAAAUGUCACGCCCCGAUCCUCCGAGCGCACGAACAUCCCACUCUGGUCGAUGAAAAUGCGACUUCCCAGGACACGUCACCGACCCUUUCAAUUUUUAUUACGCAUGCAGAAGCGAAACAAAUCCCCUGACAACAUUAAACUUGAGAUAGAAAAGAAGGCAAUCAAUCACAACCAAACAAGCUUUCGUAUAAACACAUAGGUUUAUAUACAACACUGGAUUGUCUACAAAAUAGACAGGCUCAACAACUAGGGAACUGUCCUAUGACCAACUUGUCAGACACGUUCACCGAUUCUUCAGCCUCCACCUUCCGAACUCCAGAACUUCCGGUCCUCCACGACCGUCAUCUAGGGACCUGAAAUAUUAUCCCACAACCGGGAUGAGACUACGUCUCAGCGAGUCCUACCAUCUAAAACUCAAUUAGGGAGAAAAUACACCUCAGGGCGCUCUAGCCACACAAAUAGAAUAGAGGACUUACCUCGCCUCAGUCCAUUUCCUGCACGUCAGUACAAUUCAUAUUCAACAAUGCUCGCACAAGCUGAAACUACCGACAUACCCAUCGGUCUAUCAAUUCAGUCAAUCCAAUUGAUAUCAUACGAUCCACAUAUCUAUCAAUUCAUAUCAUCUAUUAAACCAUACCAUCUAUUCAUCCAUCAAUAUAAUUAUGGCUCGCACAAGCUGAAAUGGAUGCAAUGCUCUCACAAGCUGAUAUAGAUGGUAGCUCGCACAAGCUGAUAUAUGGAUCGUUGCUCUCACAAGCUGAUAAACGAUCAUUGCUCUCACAAGCUGAUAUAUAUAUAGAUCGUGCUCGCACAAGCUGAUAAAAAGAUCUUAGCUCACCAGAAGCUGCCAAUAUAUAUAUAUAUAUAUAUAUAUAUAUGUGUGUGUGUGUGUGUGUAUCAUAAUUGCUCGCCCAAGCUGAUACAUAUAUAUAAACAAAUGCUUGUCAAAGCUUAUCAUUCAAUAAUAAACCAACUCAUAUCUCAAUUCAAUCAAUCAAUCAAUCAAUCCAAUCGAUUCAAACAGGUCAUACAAACCAAUCACGGUGCUAAAAGCCAACACCGGGUAUUUUCGAGUUAAAUACCACAACUUCAUCAAUAUCAUUCAAUUCCACACAUUUGGAAUUAUUAACCAUAAUCAUCGAUCACUCAAUUUCUCAAUUUAAACAUACAAUUAAAACAAACCGACCGCACUGCGGCGAUCAGCGCGAAAUUCUAACGACCGGCCAUCCCGGCAUAAUUUUCGAAAUUAUUAAAUAAUUAAAUUUAAUUCCGAAAAUUAAAUAAUUAAAUAUUAUAUUAUAAUAAUAUAAUUUUAUAAAUUAAUAUUUAUAAAAUCGAAAUAAUUAAUUAAUUAAAAAUAAUUAAUUAGGGCUUAAACAAGAUUACACUAAUUUAAUCACAUAACCUAAUUAGACUAAUCUAAACACUCCUUAAGCGUCAUUAACUCACUAAGCAAGAAUUAGAGGAUAAACUUACCCGAUUAACGAUCCGAACGGCUCAAAAUGACAAGGACGACGCGAGGGUCGAUAGUCUCCAAGGCGGUCCUAGCUUCCAGGGUCGGGAAGCCGGCCAACACGGGCCAAACCUUCGCUGCGAUACCCAUUUUUCUGCUCACUGAUCGCUGCUGGUUGAGGCCGAAAAUGAGUAGAUCUGGGGCUGGUUGGGGUCGAGAACGGGCGGAGGAGCUGAACCAGACCUAGGCGGGGCUUCACGGUGGCCGGAGGUGAGCUGAACGGCUCCGGCUGAGCUUCCUCAGAUCUGGAAUGGUUGCUGGAACAGAGGAACCGGCGAGAUGGAGACAAAAACGGACGGAGAUGCACGCGGGUAGGGUGACGGCGUUGCGGUGGCGCGCGGAGACGAGCGGCGCUGCUGGCUGCUGGCCACGACGGAGAGGGAGCUGCUAAGGUCUUCUUCGACUUGCUGGGUUCUUCGUACAGCAAGAACAUGAGCAACAAGAACAGAGAUGAAGAGAGGCAGCGACGGGAGAGGGAGAAGGAAACGGAGGCGUGCGGGCUGGACGAGCGACGGCCUCCAGCUAGGACGAACGGCGACAGGCGGAGCUGCUGCUCCGGUGUUCUUCGAUUGCUGGGCUUUCAAAAUGAAGAAGAUGGAGAGAAGCAAAACCAGUCGCACGGUAGGGAGAGGGAGGAGAGAGGCAACGGAAGAGAGAGGGAGAGGAGAGAGAAGGAAGAUGGGACCACUUUCAUUUUCUUUUCUUUUUCUUUAAUCCUCACACAUGGCCCACCAUGAUCUAGGAUGACCUCACAAUCCACUCACCCAAUUCUCCACAACCUCUUCCAAUGGUUGCAAUUUCAUUUUCCGCCGGGUCCAAUUCUUGUACACUUAAUUUAAUCAAUUCUCAAUCAAUUCCAUUCAAUUGAAGCUCAAUUAAAUUAACCCAUGUGUCCUCGACCUUCUCAUGACAUUUCCCCAUCAAAUGAUCCAACUUGCAUCCCGAAGAUUCGAUUAAAAAUGGCCCUCUGACAAUCCCGAACAUAAACGGCCUUACUUUGCUUUUCCGCCAAAAAUCUCGGUUUGUAGAAAAAUCUUCUGGAGAUGAGUCGACAUUCCUAAAAUGAAUUGUGACUUGACGGAACUUCCAAUUUCUGUAAUUGGGUUCAAUUUCACGGUUAAAUUCAAUCUGGCGCGACUUUAGCGCGUCCUAAUCUACCGGGUAGCUUUUAGAAAUUUUCUGUGCAAUUGACCUGUGGUUGAUUAUUUUCAAGCCACAAAGUGCAUCUUCUGUGACAUCCCGAUUUUCCAAUUCUGGUUUCAAUUCAAUAAGUCGGGCAUUUCAUCUUCGCGUCUAUAGCUUUCUUCUCUGAGUUGGCCACUCAUGAGAUAACUAGUCUAUCAGGUGAAGCAGUUAAGGAAUCUAAACGCAAUAGACUUGAGAAUUCGACCAGGAAACGACUGCUUGACCGUACUAAUCUGCAAGGGUCAUUACGGCACAGACCGAUUAGAGACCGGAGAUAGGUCGAUUCAACAGAACCAUGUAAUUCAGUGUGGGUGAUUCCACCUAAUUGCACAAUUCUUGUUGAUCGGCACUAGAUCGAUUUCUCUGUCGUUUUGGUACCUUGUGUCCGUAUUUGAAACCUUGAGAUUUCUACGACAACCAAGAGUCGUCAAUGUGUCGAAGAUGCACUUUGUGGCUUGAGAAUAAUCAACCACAGGUCAAUUGCACAGAAAAUUCCUAAAAGCCACUCGGUAGAUUAGGACGCGCUAAAGUCGUGCCAGAUUGAAUUUAACCGUGAAAUUGAACCCGAUUAUAGAAAUUGGAAGUUCUGUCAAGUCACAAUUCAUUUUAGGAAUGUCGACUCAUCUCCAGAAGAUUUUUCUUCAAACCGAGAUUUUUGGCGGAAAAGCAAAGUAAUGCCGUUUUUGUUCAGGAUUGUCAGAGGGCCGUUUUUAAUCGAAUCUUCGGGAUGCAAGUUAGAUCAUUUGAUGGGGAAAUGUCAUGAGAAGGCCGAGGACACAUGGGUUAAUUUAAUUGAGCUUCAAUUGAAUGGAAUUGAUUGAGAAUUGAUUAAAUUAAGUGUACAAGAAUUGGACCCCGGCGGAAAAUGAAAUUGAACCCAUUGGAAUGAGGUUGUGGUAGAUAGUGGAAGGUGACCUCAUCCAUGAGGUCAUGGUGGGGCCAAAGAAAGAGAAAGAGAAAAAGAAAGAGAAAAAAAGAAAGAGAAAGAGAAAGAGAAAGGGAGAGAAACCGGUUUUCUCCCUCUCUCCUCCGUCGAGACCUCCCCUCCAUCUUCUUCUUGCUGCUGGAAGAAACGCAGCAAGCUGAAGAAGCUGAAGACCAGCGAACCAGAGCAGCUCCGCCCGUCGCCGAUCGCCGUCGCUGCUCGCCGCUGCUCCGCACGCAACUCCGCCCCUCUCUCCCUCCUGCUGCCGUCGACUUCCUCUUCUCCUUCUUGGUGCUGCUCGACGUCCAGCAGAUCUGGGAAGACGUCGAAGCAGCCAGUAGUCCAGUCGGACCGCCAUCGCGCCCCGCUUGCCGCCGUUCGCCGCUCGCGACACCCGCCGUCCACGCACGCCAAGCCACCAUUCCAGCAGUCGUUGCUGUCUAGUGUGCGUCCAAAGCUGCUGUCCAGCACCGUGAGCCACCGCCGGAGCUCCCUCCGGCCACCGUGAAGCCCCGCAUAGGUCCGAUUCAGCUCCUCCGCCCAUUCCCAACCUCAACCAGCCCCGGAUCCGCCCUUUCCCGGCCUCAACCAGCAGCGAACAGAGAGCUGGAAAAUGGGUAUCGCAGCGAAGGUUUAGCCCGUUUUGGCCGGCUUCCCGAGCCCGGAAGCUAGGCCCACCUUGGAGACUAUCGACCCUCGCGUCGUCCUUGUCGUUUUGAGCCGUUCGGAUCGUUAAUCGGGUGAGUUUAUCCUCUAAACCUCGCUUAGCAAGUUAAUCAUGCUUAAGGGGUAUUUAGAUUAGUCUAAUUAGGGUUAGGUGGUUAGAUUAGAUUAUUUUAAUGUAAAUUAGAUUAGUUGUAUGAUUAGUUUAAGGGAUGUUUAAUUAGGGCUAAUUGUAUGUUUAAAUUAGUGUAAUCUAAUUUAAGCCCUAAUUGAUUAUUUUGAAUUAAAUAAUUAUUGCGAAUUUUUAAAUAUUAUUUUAUUAUUUUAUAUUAUUAUAAUAUAAUAUUUAAUUAUUUAAUUUUCGGAAUUAAAUUUAAUUAUUUAAUAAUUUCAAAAAUUUUGCCGGGAUGGCCGGUUGUUAGAAUUUCGCGCUGAUCGCAGCAGUGCGGUCGGUUUGUGUUAAUGGUAUGUUUAAAUUGAGAAAUUGAGUGAUUUAUGAUUAUGGUGAAUAAUUCCAAAAGUGUGGAAUUGAGUGAUAUUGAUGAAGUUGUGGUAUUUAACUUGAAAAUACCCGGUGUUGGAUUUUAGCACCGUAAUUGGUUUGUAUGACUAGUUUGAAUAGAUUGGAUUGAUUGAUUGAUUGAAUUGAGAUAUGAGUUGGUCUAUUAUUGAAUGAUAAGCUUUGGCGAGCAUUAGUUUAUAUAUAUGUAUCAGCUUGGGCGAGCAAUUAUGAUAUACAUAUAUAUAUGGCAGCUUCUGGUGAGCUAAGAUCGUUUAUCAGCUUGUGAGAGCAAUGAUCCAUAUAUCAGCUUGUGCAAGCUACCAUCUAUAUCAGCUUGUGCGAGCUACCAUCUAUAUCAGCUUGUGAGAGCAUUGCAUCCAUUUCAGCUUGUGCGAGCCAUGAUUGUAUUGAUGGAUGAAUAGAUGGUAUGGUUUAAUAGAUGAUAGGAAUUAAUAGAUGUGUGGAUCGUAUGAUAUCAAUUGGAUUGACUAAAUUGAUAGACCGAUGGGUAUGUCGGUAGUUUCAGCUUGUGCGAGCAUUGCUUGAAUAUGAAUUGUACUGACGUGCAGGAAAGGGACUGAGGAGAGGUAAGUCCUCUAUCCUAUUUGUGUGGCUAAAGCGCCCUGAGGCGUAUUUUCUUCCUAAUUGAGUUUUAGAGGGUAGGACUCGCUGAGACGUAGUCUCAUCCCGGUUGUGGGAUAAUAUUUCAGGUCCCUAAAUGGCGGUUCCUCCAUAGCAGUUUGGUCGACCAAAGAGUGUUAAUGAGAAUGUAAUUCAUGUCCCUACUCCCGGGGGCCAAGGUGCCUGGAUCUAUGAGCUUGUGAGGACCACUGUCUGGGUCGAUGCGGGUUUACCUCAGAGGGUACCCCAUCGAUUCAGGGCAUGGUACCGAAGCAGGUACAAUGGACCCAGGGAGGGUCCUCUUCAGGAUGUUGAGGUUCCUGCGUCAGUGUCAGAGGUUGCUUAUGGCAAUGGUACUGCUGAUUCUCCUGAUGGUGCGGUGGUGAACCCAAGUUCAAGUCUCCAUGAGACUCCAGGGUCUUCAGUUGAUGGUCCGAUCGUUUAGUGGUCUGUAACCCCUCUUUUUGUAGACCUGUGUAAAUAAGACUAGUGAUGUAAAUGAUCUAGUAAGUUGUGUAUAAAGGUGUGUGGUUGGUUUUGAAAAUGUGAUCCUGCUUUUCUAUCCCAAUUGAGUUUUUGUCUGGGGAUUAUUUAUCCGCUUCCGCAUGUGUAAUUAAAAAGAAUGGGUUGGCGAUGUGUUCUGGGAAGUCGCAUUUCUAUCGACCGCAGUGGGAUGUGCGCGUGCUCGAGGUUCGGGGCGUGACAUCUUCGACACAUUGGCGACUCUUGAUUGUCGUAGAAAUCUCGAGGUUUCAAAUACGGACACAGGGUACCAAAACGAUAGAGAAAUCGGUCUAGUGCCGAUCAACAAGAAUUGUGCAAUUAGAUGGAAUCACCCAUACUGAAUUACAUGGUUUUGUUGAAUCGACCUAUCUCCGGUCUCUAAUCGAUCUGUGCCGUAAUGACCCUCGCAGAUUAGUACGGUCGAGCAAUCGUUUCCUGGUCGAAUUCUCAAGUCUAUUGCGUUUAGAUUCCUUAACGGCUUCACCUGAUAGACUAAUUAUCUCGUGAGUGAUCAGCUCAGAGAAGAAAGCUAUAGACGCGAAGAUGAAAUGCUCGACUUAUUUAAUUGAAACCAGAAUUGGAAAAUCGGGAUGUCACAUAAAAAAUAUAAAGUGUAUUCUUUUUAUAAAAUUUCUGUUUCUUUUUUUCUUUUUCUUUUUCUCCUUCUCCUUUUGUUUUACUUUAAAUCUAAUCAAAGAUUUUCUUGCUUUUUUCAUGUAAGAAUACCUUUUCCUUUUGUAUUUUACAAUCAAUCUAUGCAUAUAGUUGGACUUGAUCACAUCCAAUUAUAUAUUAAUUCACUUUAAUUUUUCCGAACCUAAUUAUUGCCUUGAAAUCAAAUUUAGGGCACAAAAUGACAACGCUUUUAUACUACAAUCAAAAUGCAUAAUACAAGAGGAUGUGCAUUAUUUUACUAACUUUGAUAUCAAUAAGAUCUCAACAAAGGCAUUUGAGAAAAAAUAACGAUACUCACGUAAUUUUGAAGAUUAUAAGCAUGCUAGAAAAAAACGAAACUUUUUUUUUUUUUUUUUAUCGUGACGUCGCCAAAGGUUUCUUUUCUCUGCACUCCCUCAGUUGCUCCCUUUUCCAUGUCUCCGUUCACUCCUCCACUUUGGCCUCUCCACAAUCCGAUGUACCCUAUUGGCAUUGAUUUUGAAACUUACGAUUCAGGAGGAUAGAUAGAUGAAGCGAUGCCUCUUGACUAAUGAUUCCGGAACAUCAAUCCAACAAAGAGGACAAAAAUGUUCAACUUACGGUAACAGUUUCAAUUCCAAAAAAUUGGUAGCUGCAAAAAACACACUCAGUGAUUCUCUCGUUCUCUUUCAUUUACUCGGCAUAGACAAUUAUCCCAUGUUUCCAAGGCUGGAAAUAUAAAACUUGAAAUAAUUCACGAGGAAAUGGUGGGGUAGACAUAAUUAUCCGGGCAGAAUUCCACCUUCGGACAGUGAUUUUUCAUUAAAGCCUCGGCUGUGUCCAUUACUGACAAAGUCCUUAGUCUUCCCCAAAAAUUGCCGCUUAUCUUCCUCGCAAGCUCUUGUAAUCUUACGUAUCUUGCAUAGGGUCACUCUCAACUCCGACAUAGCCUCUGCAAUCUGCAUCCCUACUUGUGUACUCUCCGGCAAAGUAUUUAUAUGAAUUUCAGAUGUGACAACAGGAAAGAUUAUGUCUGGCUUCCUGAAGAGGCAAAAUGGUAAACCAGGUCACUCAUAGCAGUCAAUGGAGAUAUCCUUCCUUAAACAUGAACUAGCAAUCAGGUCAACCGAGAACUCAGGAGAUGUAAUAAUCAACAGAGCAUGUGUAAUAGUAUGGUGUUGUGAAACUUGCUUAAGAUUAUGAAACAAAUAGAAAAAACAACCCACAGGCUAUUCUUGCUACUGCAACAGCUUUUACAGCAAAGAAACAACUUCCUUGAUCAAUUUGAAGAAUGACUGACUACGCAUCUAAAAUGUCUCUCUACCUUUUCUCGAUCUCAAAGAAAAUGCAAAGAAGAAUAUUUAGCUUGAUCAGUGACUAUCAGGAAUAGCAACCAACUUCCUUUUCUUUUUUAAUUUCAGUUAGGUCAGACCCUAGUCACAGAAAUUUUAUAGUUACUAACGACAUCUGGAAAAUUGGAGGGAGAAACAGAGAUACCAGAAGCCUAGAGAAAUCAAGCCGUCCUAUCGUAUUAUUCCACCAUCCAGUGAUACAGCACCGUGAUCUAUGCAGACAGAGGCCUGCUUCAUGUGUUCUCUGGUGUCAUAAACCUGCAACUUGCCAAAAAGCCGAUAAAAUAGUGUUUCUCGUAGACCAAGGCCUUCAGUUGUUCUUGUUGCCAAAUGAUCAAAGUCUAUGUCGACCAUGUUAACUGCAUAUCCCAUGAAGCCUGGAGGGAUUUCUCCACUAGGUAAGGUAGGAUGAGGAAAAGCCAGUUUCCUUUGAGGAUCGCAGCCUUCAAUCUCUCCUCUGUAUGGGCUACCAAAGGUUUAUUGCAAAUGAAUGAGGAAAUGCUUUCAAGAACUCGAUUAAGUUGGUCAAGGAAUAUGAUCUCCAUAACAGUAAAUGCUAUAAAAUUAUAAAAAUACCACUUAUGUACCUUAUUUCCUCAAGACAUAUGACACGAAAUUCACCACUAAUAGACUUGCCAAGUUCAGCUGCUUUUGCAUAAACAGCAUUUUGGAGAUCAACUUCUCCGUUUUUGUCAUAUGUCUCGAGACUAAAUGCCGUCUCGGAGUUUGUGCACACGAUCCCGAGCAUUUGAUCUUCACCCAGAUACUUGGCUAAGAUCCUCCAAAAUGGAAAAUGCAGCUCUAAGUAUCAAUUUGUCUAAAAGGUGAAAAGGGUAUUCGCAACAUUGAACAAGUGGGUCAAAUAGAAGGGUCAGUGAUAGUUUACCUGCUAAGCUCAAUAUUGCAAAUUGUUCCAAGAAGUGCAACCACACCAAUGAUGCCAUCUCUAGAUCCUCCAUGUGGUCGUUCUGAAGCAAAAUUUCUGAUCAGUUCACAGAGAAUGGAAGCCGCCGAGCCAUCUCUGUUUUCUAUCAUGUCUGUCAUUUCCUCUUUGGCGAAAAAGCAGUCCACAAUGUUCAAAGGGGAAGGCCCUGCAUAAACUGCAAAAGUUGGUCAUCCACAUAGACCUAACUUAGUGAUGUAGGUCCUACUUGUCACAACUGGAUUUGCUAGGCAAAGUGAAUAAUCGCACCCCAGGUGAUUUUGGUGAAAAUCAACCAUUAACUGAGCAAUCAUUUUCGUCCUAACUUGAUUCAGAUCUAUAUAUAUUGUAUGUUGGAGUAAAUGGCAAAUCGUUUUUUCAAAAAGCAUCACAUUUCUUCAUCUAGAGACAAAGAUGAUAAUAUGAUGAGAGAGUCAUAAUAUGACAAUCAAAACAUGGAUUUAUAUUCUUUAAACUUCCCAAACUAAGUAGCCAUAGGUCAGUGAUACUGACAAGACCACAAGGACAAAGAAAUGCGCAUCAUUGCAAAACAGUGUUGCAUGCAUUUAUAAAAACCAAUUAUUAUUCAGUAAUAGAAUUAACCAAGACAAAUCACCUCCUAACUCCACCAAAGAUUGCUCUAUUUCAACCUUCUGGUCACGCAGCAACUUCAGUACCCUUUCCCGAUGUUCAAUGCGCGAACCAGUUUCCUCAAGAACCUGUGAGAGGCAGUAAGCGUAAGUCACAAGGCACAACUGACCACAUAAGUAUGUGAGAAUGAUGGGCAUUAGCUGCAACUAACUGACCUCAUUAGAACAUGAAAGAAGCUUAAAUUUAGAAUCCUAAAGCCAGGUACUUAAAGAAUAAUUACGACUUCAAGAUUACAAUAGGAAUUUACCCUUUCCCGAUGUUCAAUGCACAAAGCAGUUUCCUCAAGAACCAGUGAGGAGCAGUAAUUGUAAGUCACAAGGCACAACUGACCAUAUAAGUAUGUGAGGAUGAUGGGCAUUAGCUUCGACUGACCUCAUUAGAACAUGAGAAGCUUAAAUUUAGAAUCUUAAAGCCAGGUACUUAAAGAAUAGUUACGACUUCAAGAUUACAAUAGGAAUUUACAAACCACAAAUAACCAGAUUUAUGAGAGGGAUGUAAUGUGCAAUAAAGAUCUAACACAAUACCUCAUUCUUGAUGAUGGAAAGUACAUUCCCUAUAUUAUUAGGGGUUGAUUUGUCCUGUAGCAUCAUUAUAUUCGUAUUUGGACAUAAGGUUUGAAUCUCAUGCUGCAAAUCUGAAGAAGGCUGAAUGCCAAUCUGCGUAUACAAAUCAAGUUCAGUAAAUGUACCACUGCAAAUUACCAACACAUUACCAGAAAUAAAACGUUGCGACCUUGAUGCUCAAAGAUAACUCUCGGUGACGAGAAUGAACAGCAGAGAAGCUAAACCAACCAGCAUCUCGAGGGACAGUAAGUGAAGGAAUAGUGCAUCGCCCCUUUUGGAAAGCAUAUAAAGUGGUUGUUUUUGUAACGGAUGAGUCCAGUUUUAUGGAAAGUGUAUGAAAAUGGCCAUUUUCCUCAUCAUUGUGGAUAUUCUCAUCGAGAUUACCCUCUGUAUCCACAAUUUCAAAGACGAAAUUCUCUAGUUGGGAACCAGCCGCACAAAGCUGAGGCACCUGUAAAUCAUGCCAACAUUAAAACAAGUUUCUGAAAUUGAAAUCAUUGUGCAACUAGAAGCAGAAGACUAUACUAACUGGUUCUGCAACUCUGAGCUCCCUUUUUUCUGUUUGGAGCUCUUCCUUGAAUAUUUCUUCACCGCCGGUUGUAACAGACAGCGAUACUGUAUGCAGGUAAUGAAUGUAGUUAUCCCCAGACAGUCAGUAGUUGCUAUAAGUUUGAAACUUAAAACACUUGAUAGUACAAAUAUUGAAGCUUCACUUUCAGCACAGCUGCUACGUGAUGACCAUAUGGAAUCUAUUGGAGUUUCCUUCAAUAUAGUGAAAUGUAAAUUCAUACCCUCCAAUGAACUUAACGAAAUAGAUAGUUGUUGGUAAAGAAAUUGCACCUUUUCUAGAUGCCUGGUACUUCUAAUCCUUAUUAUAAUAGUUUAAAAUUAUGAGAACAGUUUCUUACACAUACAGAAAUAUAGACUUUGACAAAAGUUUGGAAUCACUAUUAUUAAGGGAACAUUACAUUCUCAGAUCCUUACUCUUCUCCCUACCCACAAAUCUGAUUACUGACUCCAUAUUAAAUCUUUAGCAAAAUUAUUAUGAUAGAUGCUGUGUGAACAUGAAAUACAAACACCAUAAUUUUAGUUCCUAGCAAUAAAUAUCAUCAACUGAUAUGUCCCAGAAGCAAGAUUAAAAUAAAACACCUUUUAAAUAAAACUGUGUGAUUUUGAGUCCACACCGCAGAAAGCCUGCACUCCAAGAAAAAGGACUCUUAUUUACCUCAUAAAUUGGGAGUACCCAAAUCUUUGUUUAUAGGUGUCGUGUUAAGCUUCAAUCGAUCAACGCUACAAUGAAUAACUAAAGUUGAUCGACCUGGAGUGUAAACUAUACUAAUUGAAUAAACUGUAUGGUCAAUUCAUAAGUUGAAGAAAUAAAAGGUGACUCAAUGUAAUUAUUUUAAAAUAUUGAUUCAUCGAGUCUACUAGUUGUAUUAUGGUAAAUUGAAACUCAAACUUUGUUGUGAUUACAGUAAACAUCAAUAUGUGUCGAUGAUGCUACCUCUAAUGUUUCUUAUGUUUUACAUAAUCGCUAAAUUCUUCCCAUUCCCAAUUCAAGCAAGGUUAAAGUAAUUUCAUCAAGAGAUAAACGAAAAAUUUCCAAAAAAAAUAAAAAAUAAAAAUGAACGAGUUUUAGGUUUAUACUAGCAGGAUUUUUUUAACCCUCAUCAAGGAAAAGGAAUUAAUUUGAAAGAAUAAAAACAGGUAUAGAUUAGUUUAGAAUAAGGAUGAAACUUUUCAGUAAUAAAAGGUAAUAAUGAUAGGCUGAGUAUGUUUUUCUUUUACUAUAGAAUUUCUGAGUUAUUUGCUUCUUGUAACUUUCUUUAUUAUAUUGAGAGUGAUAAGUCCACCCUUGGUUCAAAAUAAACUGCAUUGAUUUAAUGGCAAUGUAGGAACUAAGAAGUUAGUUGUGAUAAUCAAAAUUUAGCAAUUUUCAAGAGAUUAAUGAGCUUUGCGUAGAAAAGAAAAUGCCCUAUCGAUGAUGAAUCCCAUAAUAGUUUACGAAGUGAUUUUAAUGGUAGAAGGUUGGGAUUAUAAUUAAGACCAUGAAUGGGCCGCAUUUUCGAAUGGCCAUAGGCCUAGUAGUAGCAUUCUUGGUUGGAGGCUCAAUCAGCAAAUCAAUAUGUAAUAAUGAGCUGAGCUACAAAACUGCAAAAAGAGAAGGAAAUAUGCCUGAAAGUAAGUCUUAGCAUACCACCUGCCCCCUAAAUGGUGAAUACAUGAUCACUCUACCAUGUUCAUUAAAUUUAGAUAUAGCUUGUGAAAGUUAUUGCAAGAAUUUGAGCUAUACUCUACUCCACUUUACUUGAUGUUCUUUUGUAAACACAGUUUCUUUCAACUAAAGAUUACCCAGAAAACGUUUGAAGAGAUCAAAGUAAAAGUCCAAGCUACAAACUCAAGGUUCAUACCAUUUUGAUUGUAACCUGCAGUAACUUUCAACAUGCCACUGAGAUGAACAAAUCCAUCACGAUCCACCUGAACAAGGAAUUUAUUCCUUCUCUUAAAUAAUUUUCGACAGAGGCUAAACCAUCAGCAAUGCAUAUGUUGUUCCAAAUAUGGUAUGAAUACACAAUACACCUCUACAAUGCGCCAAAUCUUUUUGGGCUACCGACAUGCUAUUUCAUCUCUUGAACAGUUUAUGCCCUAUAUCUAAAAUGCCAGCAGGGUCAUUCCCAAUAAUAACAACAGAAAUGUAGGUAAAUGUGGGAGCAAAAUCACCACAAAGUUCCUGUUGCUUCAGUUAAACGCUCUCAUGCACCUAUGCAACUAUGGAAAGAUAAAUGCCCUAACUAACAUGCUGAAUCGGUGUCAACAACGGCCAUCUUUGAAGCUUUGUCUGGGAGAGUGGAGGGAAGAAAAUUUAGGUGUAACUAAACAAAACUUUGAAUUUUCCUUCCAAACUCUCACAAAAUCCGAAUUCUUACCUACCCACUUUCUGCCCAAAUUUUCAUUUCCCCCAUUUUCCUUCAUCUCCCAAACAUAGAAUAAGAGAACAAAUAAUUAAUUACAGAAUUUACGCAAUAGCACCACAGGGAAUCUGGGAAAGCACAUCACCUUGUGCUUUUUACCCAUCUGAUCUUUAAUGGAAAAUCCCUCAACCUUCAAAAGAAGUUCAGAGCCCUUCAAAGCAUGAUUUCCAUAAGCAUCAAACAUCUGAAGGAUAUGAAUCAAACGAAAGACAUAAGCAAGAGUGGCAAAAAAUUUCUUCUGCAAAUAUACAGCGAAUUAUUGGCUAAACAUAAUGAUAUUCCAGUUUGGACCAGGUUAUCUUACACUGCUUUUUCUGUCGUAUGGUGAAGUUCUACAAGGUACGCAAUUAAAAAGUUCAAAGAAGUUCCGUCUCAGAUACUUGUUAUUUUUCAAUUGAAAAGAGAAAGACCAGGCCUCAAUUUCCAUCCAAUAAAAUACCUUAUGAAAGACUAAGAACUAUACAUGGCAAGUAAAAUAAUUGCCAUUGCGGUCAGGAAAAUGUACUGAGGACCACGACUAUGCAAUAUGUGCACGCUAGUAACAGUCUGCACAUGAUUGAGUAUUUUCUUGUACAAAUAGUGCUAGAAACUUCAUUCACAAUUGGGCUUAAGCACAAGGCUUGAGAGGAUGUGCUUUUACCUCCAAUUUGAGUUCUUGUACUAUGCACCCAGGAAGCAUUUGGAUACUUCGCAUGGAUGGAUGUGCCAACACUCGCCGCACAUGUCCAGGAAUAACUAUGAGAAUGUUGAGAAAAUAAUUUCCAGGCAUAUCAAUAGCUAAACAAUUAACAAAUCUCACGCUCAUGCUUGUAAAGGAAUUUAAUCCGGAAUGCGAUACCUUUACAUGGUAUAGAAAUGGACAAAGAUUCAUCCGGUGGACAUAAAAGCAUUGUGCCCUCAUAGUUUGGCCGGAUGAUGUCUAAAUCCCCACUUUCUAUUAGUAUAUCCUACACAAUCAGAAAAUCUGAGUUACCACAACAAUGCUUGAGAUACUACUGUAUCUCGAUAGAGUUAAAUUUUAGUAAAGUGUGCAAAUCUGAGAUGGGCCGGACAUAUUAAAUAGAUGCGCAUGGCACCUUAAUUCUUAGAGUCCUUUUGUCAGAUGAAAGGCCUGCCUUCAUUUUCUUUACACAAAUCAACAUGCCAUUACCCAUCUUGAAUUGCAAAUUGACUUUUGGAGUUGAUGGGAAUGGAAUGAGGUUCCCAUAUUUGUCAUAACAUGCAACAUCUAAAGGUGGAAAGCAUGAUCCAACCCUGUCAAAAUAGCCAACAAAUUACAUUACAAACCUGGAGCUCCACAUAUACAACAAGAGAGUAAAAAGUUGGUACUAUCAAAAACUUCUUACCAUCCUUACCUGACUCUAAGAUGCUCAUUCUUAUCAUAGCCCAAAAGUUGCCACCUUCCAACCUCAGUAGAUGCAAGAACUGUCGCUUCUUUUUCAUAGUUUUUACAGCUUGUCUCAUCCUGAUCAAAAGUACAUGUCAACAAAAUAAUGUUUGAGAGGUAUUACACAAUAAAAAGAGCAUUUGGUGAUAAAGUUUGUCCCUGUUUCUUUAGCUGGCAGAAAAGAGUUAAAAGAUGCUUGCUUACCAUAUGCAACAGAAAUUUAUAUAUACCAGAUUUCUGAAAUAGUUCAUGAGACUUGUGCUGCAAGGAAAAGAUGUAUAGACCAUGAUAUCCUCUAUAAUAAGAUGGUGUCACACGAGAUGAAUAAAGAAUACUUUCUCGACAAAUAUCAGAAUCGCCACUGAAUUUGACUUCCAUUGACAUUUCCAUUUUAUUUUUGACAAUGUACUUCUGAUCCAAGUUCUUCGGAGCAGUGGAGUAACUGAAAUUUGCUGGCCGAACAACGGCUACAAUUUCCUUUGGAGGGUCUUGUCCAGCAGGAAUGGGUGCAUGAACUGGUAACGCCUGAAAACAAAAAGACAAAAAAGAAAAUAUGAAUAGGCUAGUAAUAUAGACGGAGGACAGAUAAAUCUCAAUAGUAUUCUCAGGUCAGCAGUUAUUCUAAGGAGAAGGAACACAAUAUGUAACAUCAUGCAAAAAAUCUCCUUAGCUCUUAAACCUUUCAGACCAACAGAUUUCACCUAGAUGCUAUAAAAUGCUCGAACAAGCUUAUAUAGGAUGCUUCAAGAACUACUUUCUGCAGUCACCUGUGAAUUGAAGAUCGAUUUACAAAACCCUAAUUAGACACGUACCUCAUGAAUUCCUAACUCUUCACAUUGGUUGGCAUCUAGCAAGUCAAUUGAAGAUGGAGCUUUCAAGCGCUGCUUCUCCAACUGGCACUCCCACUCGGAUUUCCCAACAGCUACUAACUGGAUUUGGAAGCUCAAGAUUGAGUAGAGACCACAAAGAAUCGUGAUUUUGGACAUUAUAUGACAUAAAGAAGUAAAAUGACAUUCAAAUAAUCAAAUAGAUACCUCUCCAGAGUCAAUUACUCCAAUAGGUAUAGAUACAGAACUCUGAACCUCCAAGCAAAUGUUUCCAUCGUGCUUAUUGAGGAUGCAGCCUUUCUCAUCAGGCACCCCUAGUGGCCUUUCACGCAAAAUAAUGCAGGGACAGCUUGUUAGCAGAAUCUUGAGGUAUCCAAUCAGUUGAUGAAAACUGAAAACACUUCAACCACAGAAAAUCGAAAAGUGACUCACCUGCAUAUGAUUCGUGCUUCCCCUCCAGAGAGAAGACGGUCAGAUCAAUUGACCAAUGCACUUCAUUGAAUAGAAUAGAGAAACAUCGUCACAAUGUAUAAACUGUUUUCUCAAUCAAGUUGAGGGAUCUUAUGAUUUGGAAAUUCCCGAUGAGCAGAUAGACGGUUAAAACUUGAUCCCAAGAUUUUUCUCCAAAUUAAUACAUGAUCUAAUUCUUUCAUUUCAAUCCUAGCAAGCAUAAGUACUGACUGAUGGUUUGAAUGCAAAAUGCUUCCACUGAUCAAUGUGGGACACUUCUAAGGAACCUCCUUUUCUGUCCAAGUCUCCUUGGAAAACAUAAUAAAAAUCAAGUCAUUGAUGGUGAAAUAAAUUGUCUGAAAAAUCAUUUGACUACUAUGGAAUAGGCACCAGUUUGAAACUUAGAUUUACCAUAGAAGCUACAAUGCCUGUACAUAUUAGAUGUAGAGUAUCUCUUUAUGCUUCGAAUCGCAUGCUCAAAUAAAAAUCCCAUUCUGUUUAAGUAUAAACGUUAUCUGUUAGACAUACUGAGAUAAUCUAACAUGUGACAUCCAGAUUUUCGGAUUCUAAUUUCGACUGGAUAAAUAUGGCCGUUUUUUUUGUUCAGUUGAAGCCAGGGAUUGUGAAUUUGGGAUACAAGUGAGCUAUACUGAUAAGAAAAAGUACCAAUUGGAUUGAUGAGGUGUUGAAUGGAUUAAUGGGGGUCAAUUUGAUUUAAUUCAAGUGGGAUUAAGGUUCAAUUGGAGGGAAAAACCUAGUGAAAUUCGUAUGCCACACAUACCCCUACAUUUUGGCCUAUCUAAAGACUUCUAGAAGGGGCAUUUUUGGGCUAGAAAUGUGGGUGGAUGACAGCUCAUGGUGGCCCACGUGCGCAUGACCUAAGAGAGAGAGAGUGAGAGAGGAAAAAGGGGAAACCGGUUCCCCCUUCUCUUCCUCGUCGCUGCCUCUCUCCCCUGCAUCUUCUUCAUCUUCAGCUGCACGACACCAUGGAAGCUGAAGACCAGCGAGCCAGCAGGCCGAAGCAGCAAUUCCUCUCAGCGUCGUUGCAGCAAGCAACCGGAGCCGGAGUCGCCGCCGUCCGCCGUCCUGCUGCCCUCGCCCAUCUCCGCCGCAUCCUCUCUCUUCCGUCCCUCUCGUUCGAGCGCAGCACAGCAGAACAGAGACGGCAGCUUGCCGUUGCCACCAGCCGCCACCGGAGCAAAGGCCGUCGCCGUCGCAGCCACGCCGAGCCGUUGUCUGCUCCGCCCACGCCCUCCGCCCCUUCCUCACCCUCCUCAACCGUCGGUCUCUGCUCGUGCGUCCAGGCGGGGUGCUGGUCGACCCAUUCAAGCGGCGGAUUGGCCACCUCCGGCCACCGUCAAUCUUGCUGGAGCUCCGCCUCGCCCUCAGCCGCCCUUGGCCGCCUCAACCAGCCUCGAAUCUGCCCCAACCAGCAGCGAUCAGAGGGUUGCAGAAAAUGGGUAUGACAGUGGGUUUUGGCCCGUUUUGGCCGUCUUCCCGAGCCCGGAUGCUCGGCCCGCUUUGAGGAAAGUCGAUCCUCGCGUCGAGCCCGUCGUUUUGUGUGAGUUUUACUCACUAAUGCCUUCUUAGUGUGCUAAUUAUACUUAAAGGUUGAUUAAUGUUAAUUAAGUGUAAUUAGGUGGUUAGAUUACAAUUGAUUAGUGAUUAUUAGUUAAUUGCUUUGCAUAUUAGUUGUGUGAUUAGUAUUUUAGAUAGAGAAUUGCCUAUAGUAUUUAUUGGAUGCUUCUUGGGAUUUUUCCCGUCCCUUAUCGGGUGUUAAUUAAGCAAAUCGGGCCUAGGUGGAAUUUUUAGGAAUUAAAUAUUAAUUUUCGAAAUUAAUUAUUUAAUUAUUUAUUUCUCGGAAAUUCAACUGGGAUAGCCAGUGACCAGGAUUUUAUGCUGAUGAUCAUGGUGCAGACCGUUUAUUUAAUUGAGCUUUAUAUUGUGCUAAAUUGAAUUUAUUGUAUUUAUUUAUUUAAUUUUCGAAAUUAAUUAUUUAAUUAAUUAUUUUCCGGAAAUUCAACCGAGAUGGCUAGUGACCAGAAAAUUAUGCUGACGACCGUGAUGAAGUCCGUUUAUUUAAUUGGGCUUUAUUUUGAGUUAAAUUGAAUUUUUAAUAUUUAUUAAUUAAUUAUUUUUCGGAAAUUAAGAUGGAGAUGGCCGACGACCGAAAUCUCGUGCCGAUUGUCGUGGCGCAGUCCGUUUAUUUAUUUGAGCUUUGAAUUGUGCAAAAUUGGAUUGAAUGUGGAAUUUAGGAUAUAUUCCUAAAUGGUUGUGGUUAAUUAUUUCAUUGAGAAAUCGUUGAGUAUUGAAUAUUGAAAGUGGUUGAGUGGGACCGUAAAGCCAUUGAAUCUUGAAAGUGGUCGAGUGGGACCGUAAAGCCAUUGAUUCUUGAAAGUGGUCGAGUGAGACCGUAAAGCCAUUGAUUCUUGAAAGUGGUCGAGUGGGACCGUAAAGCCAUUGAAUCUUGAAAGUGGUUGAGUGGGACCGUAAAGCCAUUGAUUCAUGAAAGUGGUCGAGUGGGACCAUAAAGCCAUUGAAUCUUGAAAGUGGUCGAGUGGGACCGUAAAGCCAUUGAUUCUUGAAAGUUUCUUGAAAGUGGUCGAGUGGGACCGUAAAGCCAUUGAAUAAUUGAAAGUGGUUGAGUGGGACCGUAAAGCCAUUGAAUAUUUGAAAGUUGCUUGGUGGAGCCGGGAUUACCACCUAUAGCAAGUUAUGUCCUAAGGACCGUGAUUCAUAUUUGUAAAUUGAGUUGGAAUAGUUGAAAUGACCGGAAGUGGUCUUGUGAUUAUGUAAUCGACUAAGUCGAUUGAACUUUGCCUUGAUCCGAUUGUCGUGAAUUGAUUGAUUUAGUGGAAAGGACCGUGAAUGGUCUUGUUGGCGUGUAAUCGACUAGGUUGAUUUGAUCGACGCUUCGAUCUGUGAUGUGAUUGCUUGGAUGCCUAUUUGAUAUGUGCUAACAUGCAGGUGGAAUCUGAGGCCAAGGUAAGUCCUCUGUCUCAUGUUGUGCAUAGGCAGCCCUAAGGUGUAUUAGUUUACUAAUCGGGUCUUAGGAGGUAGAACUUGCUGAGACGUUGUCUCAGUGGUUAUUGAAUAACCAUUUCAGGACCUGGAUGAGGAGCCUAAGGAGCAUGAAUCUGAUGAGGAGAUCCAUGUUGAGGAACCUGAAGAGGAGUACGUGAAGGAGAACCCCGAAGAUGAUCCAGAGUAGGAUCCUGAUGACGAUUGUUAUAGAAUCAAUUUGAGUAGAAACCAAUCGUUUUAGUAUGGCUUGUAUAUGAGCAUAAGGGUGUUGGUUUUCAGGUUCAAUUUCCUAGUCCUACUUGUAUAUCCCAUUGCUUUAUUGUCUGGGGAUUUUAUAAUUGCUUCCGCAUGUGCUAUUGUAAAGGAAAGGGUCGGCGAUAUGUAGUCAUGGGGAUAUCGCAUUUUAAAAGCGACCAAAGGUAAGGGAUGUGCGCGUGCCUGAGGAUCGGGGCAUGACAUAACAUGCCCACAAUAAAAGUAUCUUUUCGCAGAAAGCUCGAAGUAAAAGCAAUUAAAUAAACGCAGGUAUAUCAUUUCUUACCACCUCCAUCUCCUUGAAGUCCUUCAAGCAAAAAAUAUUCCAGAGUAGCAUAGACAUUCUUCUUGUGCACUCCGGCACAUGCUCCUUUGAGAAUUUUGGUUUUCUGGCCAGAUCUCGAAGACACUCCCUUCCUUUUCAUCCGACAGUGCACUCUCACAACUAAGAUAUAAAUUUUUAUAUUAACUAAUUGCACCAUGAGCAGCAAAGCAAACAAAUAAUAGGUAAAAUAGGAAGUAGUGUGGUCAAAGAAUUUCAAAUAAUAUCAAACAUUUUGCACGAGACAGGAAAAGACUUAAUAGCGAACCACUAUCAUGUGACAUAGCAGAACUUCACCGGUAAUCCACCAGAUUAUGAUAUAUAUCACUUCUACAUACCGUUAGAUGAUACACCAAGUGCCUUCUUGUUUCCAGGGUUGAUUAUGAAAACAGCUUGGUCCUUGCCGCUGUCAACCUCUUCAUCAUAAUAAUCAUGCAUUUGGAUAAUCCAAUCAGAAUACUCAUUUUCCAGUUGCAAAGGAGUCAACAACUUCUCUUCUCUGUAGAUUUUAACAUUUAUUCCUAUAUAAUGGACAAAAAUUCAUUAAGGACUUUGGAGUGAAAACCACGUAAGUUAACGUUGAAGAUCGUGGAAAUAUGUACAAGCAUGACCUUUUACUCCAUCAAGAGGCCUGCCAAUUUUUCUAAGAGCACUGGUAAAUGGGCUGUGCUGGGCCAGAUCUGUCUGUCAAAAGAAUGGAGCAUUGAGCAUCUCUAUAUGAAAAGUUCCACAAGAAGAUGAGCUAUUUACAUUUCUCAAGCAAUUUAGAUGAUGACUAUACGUCAUUCAACCUAUUUUUGGUCAUUUGAUUUGACAGAAUAUUGAAAUAUCAAAACAUGCAUUCAUCUAUUAGCUUAAGCUUUCAGAACAGUUGAUAGUGAUCUUUUAAAAUCUCAUAUGGUAUCAGAGUAGGAAGUCCUAAUUCCAAAUCUUUUCAAACCCCUAUUUGCCUCCCAAUGAAAUUUUUUCAUGCUUAAUACUCAGCAAAAAAGACCAAACUAAGCAUGAGGGUGAGUGAUAGGAUAUUAAAAUAUUAAAACACGCAUUUAUCUACUAGCUUAAGCUUUUAGAAUAAUUGGUGGUGGCAGCCUUACAAAAUCUCACACAUAAACUCUUUUGCUAAAGCAAAGUAUUUCAAGUAAUGAACCACUUACAUAAGAUAGACAUGUUUCGGUUUCGAUGUUUUCCAAAAGUACAUUAUUUACUUAUCAAACAAAGAGUCAGCUCAACAGAUACUAGACAAAUGAAGAACCAAAAGAAAAGGAAGUAAAGAAGACCUGUCUUUGAAAUGUUGAUCAUCAAACUUUUGUCAUUUCCCAUUAAUUGAAUUUAAAAAAUUUAUUAAAUUAUUUUAAGAUGUCAUAGAAAAGGUACUCAUCCUAAAAUCUACAAACGGCAACUCAAAAACCUUUAAAUUUUAGUAAGAACAAUAUUUUACUGCAAAGGCUUACAGCUACUGUGUAUGCAUACUUCUAACCUCCUCUCCAGCUAGGUAACGACGAUGAGAAAGAUUGGAAACAUCACAGUCAACUGACAAAUAACAGACGAAUGACAACAUGUUUUGCCCUGAGAUAUAACACUGAAUUCAUAUGUGCUAAUAUGACAACAUAAAGAGGUCUCAACUUUGAUCAAACUUAUGACAGCCACAUUCAAAAUGCUACCAUUUUAUCCAUGAAGAAGCCACAUUCCUACCAACACACAUCAAGAAAUUUCAGAAGAAUCCCUCUGGCAACAUUCAAAAUGCUACCAUUUUAUCCAUAAAGAAGGCACAUUCCUACCAACACACAUCAAGAAAUUUCAGAAGAAUCCCUAUGGAAAGACAUGAAUUAGCUGGAGACAUUUUUAUUUUUUAUUUUUGUUCCUGCUCUGGUUUGCACCUCCAAAACCGCACACUCUGUUUGGCCUUGCUACGAGAAAUCUCUAGUUCCUAGUCCAUAUGUUUUCAGUAGAUCUAAGCAUUUGAAAGUCUUAAGUUACAUAAAAAUGUCAGAACUAGGACCACUAAGUAUUCUAAUAAUGAAAGCCUGAUGGCCCAUGAAUAGGCAGUAGAGUUCCCCUCACCUUGGAAGGUGUUGGAGAAAAUCCAGCAUCAGUCUCUGCAUCAUCAAAAUAUAAGUAAGACAUCUCAUGAUGUAUAGAAUUAAAGAAAAUGCAGUCCCACUAGAUAAGAAAGGUCCUAAUAAUCAGUGAUAACCAUACCAAUAAAACAUUUAACUCUAAAGAAAGAUCUCCUGAAUAAGUGAGCUUUAUCUCCUUUCUUAUGUCUCUCCAUGAAUGGAAGCAAACCCUGUAGUAGAAAGCAACUAUGAGAACAUUACUUACCACAGUUAAAGAGAGACAGUGGACGCAUCAAAUACUUGACAAUGACGCUUGAUUUAACCCAAAAUUUUCAAUUACAUCAAGUUUCUCAGACAGGACCUUCUCAAUGUGCACAUGAAAUUUUUAUAAGAUAAGCCACAAUAUGUUUAGUAUUUGUGUUUUCUUGCGAAUCUUGUCAGAAAUUCCUUCAUUUUGGAAGAAAUAUUAAGUUUGAUGAUAUUUCACAAUAUACGAAAUGAAUUACAAAAAACCUUGACUGUUAAUAGAGUGAAAAUCGAGAAAAAUACAGGUAUAAGCAUGUUUCUUGCAAAAUGGUUCUUAUUAGCUGACUCACUAGCUUGGAGAAGAUGAUGUCAACAUUUGCAUAUAUGCACUAAAAGGGAGGAUAAGAAAAUGAUCAAAAUGCAAUUGACGUGGGCAAAGAUCUGAAACAAGAAAAGUUCAUUUUGGUGGUUGUCAUAGACAUAAUGGGUUGCCACGGGCAUUUGCUGGAUGUAAAAGCACAUAGACAUAGACUAUAAGUUUUGGGCAAGAUUGCCUACCAAGGAAAGAGGAAGAGCAUGAUUUGGUGGGGUUACCAUUUGAAAAAUUUACUAGAGUUGAUAACAUGAGUUGCACUGAAGCACAACAGCAAAGAAGUUUUGAAAUGUCAGGAUGUCAUUUCACCAUUGUUCUAACAUGCAACGCACACAACCGGUUACAUGAUGUCUUCUAUUCCCAGCACAGCAGCCACAACAUAGAGGUAAGAAAAUGGUCUCAUCAAACCUAUAAACCAGCCUGGCCAAAAAUAAAAAACUUAUAAACCAGCCUAAGAAGUUAUACUUAAUACCAGCUUUAAACAUGACCGGGUUUGCUUAAAAUUCAUGCGAGGAAUGAGCAACGACUGUUUGACCUUUCAUAUUAGGGCAACUAGAGGCAAGAAAUAUGGAUCACACAAACUCCAUCUGUUGAAUAUUUUAAUCAGACUUUUUCCAGGUUUGCAGAAUGCUUGCUUUCUUGAUGUAUCCAUUGGAUGAGCAAUUGCAGUCAUAGUCGUCCAACUUCCGAAAGGAUAACCAUGGGGCCAGGUGUCUAAACCUCACUUCUUGGAUGGUUUGUGGAAAAUGGAUUAUGCAAGACUACUGGGCCACUAGAUCUAGAUAGCGACAAAAAAGAGGUCUAAAUAUCCAUCUGUUAACUGGGGGCUGUAUACAAAAGGAUAAAGGCUUGAAGAUGUGUGAUCAAUAACAAUGUAAGCUGUACUAUUUUGGAGCAGCAUAAGUUUUAAGGACCAUUAAAUGUGCUAUUGCUUCUAGGCAUUUAAGCCUGCAACUCACUAUCCUUAUCUUAUGUAAUGCAAGGGAGAUGCCUGGGCUUUUCGUUUCAUCAGCUUUUCUUAGUUUGAUUAUAAUAUCCAAAAAGAUCCACAACUCACCCAGCAAGCAUCUGGAAGCAGUCGGCCAAGACGUCGGAUUGACACUCGACUGAAAGAUUCAUAGCUUUCAGCCAGUCUGCAUCCAUCAGCUUCUAACUUCUCUAAGAUUCUCUCAAUGUUUUCCUUCCCCUGGAGUAAUUAUAUUAAGAACUUCCUCCGCAGGAAACUGAAAAGAAAAGAAACUAUAAGAAUAUACUGCCAUACCUGAACAACAGGAAAGUAGACACACUUCAGGCAAGCAUUAGCCUCGUGAAUUGCUGUGGAACCUGAAAAGUAUUGCAGCUUUUUAUAUUAGAGAAAAGCACAAUCUAAGUGAAAUUCUUAGGUAAAACUAGUACUAAAAGCAUUGAUGCCAACCGAUGAAAGAAGGGCCUAAGAAAGAUAAAAGGUGGACAACCUAGAAUAAAAGAUGAUAUAACUCUGUCUCCUCUUCUAUAAAGAAUGGGACAGAGAACUACAGAUACUUACUGAGUAUUCUAUUUGCGUCAGUGUCCUCUGUGAUCGAAAAAUGAACUUGAAUUAUAAAAUCAGGACCAUGGCAUGAAUGCAAGUUGGUAAUUGCAACCUCCCCUCCUUCAAUUUCAGCUAAAUCAAUACCAUUAACCUGACAAAGCACAAACUCAUUUCACGGUGCAAAAAGCUUACUUUGAGAUCCCAUUAAGCCAUAAUGGGUACUAUUUUUUCAACAAACCAUACACUAUGACACGCUCAUAUCAUAAGCGUCUAAAUAGCAAACCUUCUCAAAUUAGUUUAAAUAUUUGUAGGCAUAGCAAGAACACAAAAUCCGAAAUUGUUCAUAAAUCUGAACGACCUAGUUACAUAGCUGGAUUGUGCCUUUUCUAUCCCAAUAUUAAAAAUGUACAAAACUGCCUGUUCAUAGUGGACAAAAAAGACAAAAGCAAUAAUGCGUAUUAUUGUUUCUGCAAACCAUACACUAUAAAUAGCAAGCCUUCUCAAAUUACUUAAUAUAUUUGUAGGCAUAGCAAGAACAAGGAAAUCUGAAAUUGUUGUAAAGCUGAACAACAUAGUUACAUAGCUUAAUUGAGGCUAGCUAAAAAGUAAAAGCAUUAUGUGGCCAUAGGAGUUAAUAUUAGAAUCCACCGUACUAACGGUGCAUUCCAUACCUCGAAAUGGACUGGUCUGAUAGUCCUCCUCAAAUUUGACAAACCAUCACACUGCAAACAUUCAAAUUAAUUAGAUAUAAAUCAAAUUCAGGCAUCCUAUGUAAUCCUUACAAAGAAGAAGCAAACUUGCAUAACUCUGAAAAACCAUUUUACCUACUACUUGCUAUCUUAGACAUUGCUCUACCUUGAUAUCCCCAGUAAUCCAGAAAGUCAGUAACAGUUAUGAAUUCACCAGAAGGGAGAACUCAUUAGCAUAGUUUUAAAUCAUAGCGAGGAGUAAUACUCUCAAAAAUAUUGACCAAAGCCAUACCCCACAUUGGCCACAAUGCUAACUGAACCCAACUUUGUGGUCAGUAGUAACAUUUAUGAACAUUGUGCAGUGAUGGCAUUAUAGCAUUAUUGCAUGUGCCGUAGCAGUAACUUUUCAUAGGAGCAUGUUAGAAUUUAAAUGUGCGCGGAAGCAUGGUUUUAGUUAUGGAUGAUAGUUUUUGAUUAGUGAGGUGUGCAAGUGUUGGUAUUGAUGAUAGUUUUUGGUUAGUGAGGUGUGCAAGUGUAUGGUAUAGUUUGUAGAGGAUGGACAAGGGACAAUAUAUGAUAAUUGAAGGAUAUAGAACAUGGGGAAAAUAGUUUCAUUAGUUGAACAAAAUAGUUUGAUGGAGGUACAAUAGAGAUCUUGACCUCUCAUGGUGGAGGGUUCACCUCACACACAAGGUGGAGGGUUUACCUCUCACUCACUAAAAUGAAUGAACUACAAGCCUAUUUAUAGGCAUGAGUCACACCUUAGUACAACAUUCUAGAUUUCUAUAGAAUGUUGUCCAUGUAGGCUUCAUCUAGGUAAUUCUAGAUUGUAGUUCUUCUAGAGACUUCUACAUUUUCUUAGACACAUAAGCUUCUAGACAAUUCUAGAAUUUUUCUUGAAUCUUCUAGCUCAAAUCUAUCUUGAAGUUUCUAGAAUUGGAUCACAAACUCCAACAGAGCAACACAGUAAUUAUGAUACUGUAUUGAUAUUCUAUUUGGCAAAAGCAACAGCAGUGUUUGAUUUACUCCAAUUUCUGCAGUACUUAAACUUUCCACCACCACAAGUCCAGGCAACGAAGAUGACAUAACGCAGAUCUGUCUGAAAAAUCUAGCAAAACUCUUUAAAAUGUUAGAAAAUUGAGACAUCAUUUUAAAUUUCAAAAAAGUGAUAUGACUCUUUCCCAAAUUUUGCUGAUGAACCCCAUAAAGCCAAGAGAAAAAGACCAGCAUGACUUUCUCCACUUGUAAUGAAAUAACAUCUCUAUAAAAGUCUUGUCGAAGAGUGCCCUGAGGCAUUACUAAGCAUACUUGUAUGAAAUGUUUCAAUUUCUAAAGCAUUAACUACACAUAACAAAAGUAAAACAGUGCAUAAAGAAUGGUGAACUUUCCUCAAUCUGUGGCUUAACAAGAGCCCUGCAGACACUCUUUAACAAAACCCUAAGCAAAAAUAGAUAUGAUUUCAGCAAACCUGAACGUAUGGGAAAUAGAUGUCCUUCAGCUUGCACGAGAGUUGAUAUAGAUUCACGUUUUUCAUUCUAGGCUUGAAAAUCUCAACCUGUACAGAUUUUAUAAGACAAGAAUGCAUGAAAACAUCACAAUGUAUUGUCUAGGUAUCGAGAAUUCACAAUAUUUACCACCUUGUGACAAAUCAAGAAAUACCUGAAAAUUUUACCAGCAGAAUGUAUUUAGAAUAAUACAUAAAAGUCAUUAACUACAUAUAUAUGCCCAAGGCAGUACACGAAAGAAAUAAAAUAUUUGCUUCAAACUUCAUAGUAGAGGCUUUCCCCCAUCAACAGACGCCAACAUGCAUGAAGAGGUGUUCUAUCAAUCUUUACCAACUUCAAACUGUUCAAAGAGUUAUGUCUUAACUCACAGUAGCCGCCAGUUUAUGUGUUUCAUAAUCCUUGUGAGGGUGUUUCAUCUCUCGCUCACGUAUAGUUCUCAACUCGCCUCACAUCUUAUAGACUUUAAAUUCUCCCUAUCUCCUCCCACUGCCUAACAUCUUCUUUAAAUAUUUCAAUCCUAUAUCUCGAAAAAAAUAUCUAUUUUAUCACCACUAUGUUAAAGUGACAUAAUAGACAAUCUAAAGCCUAGGAUUCCCUCAAGAAGAUUGACUUUGCCUUGAGAACAAAGUAAAGACAUGACCUGAGGAAGUCUUCGACUGGCAUAAUCAGAGAAUCUAGAGCCUAAUAGUCACUCAAGACGGCUGACCUAUGACUACUUCCAAGUCCUGUGCCGUGGCCAAGCCAAAAACAAAUUUAUAGAGCAAUGGAGGUUACGUAAAAAGACAUGCUUUCAAUGGAUGAUGCCCGGUCAGAGCAUGACAGAUAACAUCCUAGACAAUGGUUUUUACCAGGUUUCUAGAGAUUAGCUGAGUAAAACCUUCCCAGAAAAAAAAAAAAAAAAACACACAUAGGCAAAAAUUUAGUUGCAAAUAUAAAAAGAAAAGACGUGCAUAUGCAUCAUGAAAUGUCCAAUGAGUCAAUGCGAUUGACACUGAAAUACCACAAUAGAAAGAAUUUAUUAAAAGAAGUCUACCUUCGUGAAGCUUCCUUGAGGUGCUCUUGCGCUUUCAUUUUCUGAAGGAACCCUGACGCCACCAUCAGUCUGAAUAAACGACAAAGAAAAUGAUGACAGAUUAAAUAAAACUAUGUACGGAACCUAAGGGAGUCCAGUCGAGAGAAAAAUAUGACAACAAUGAAGAAAUCAGUGAUCUUGCAUACUUUCCAAGAGUGUUGAGAACCAGAUCUGCUCAAUAGAGCUUCUCUCUUCAGAUGUAACGUGUAUACUCUUUUAGAUUGCAUAGUCUUGGAAGAAACCAUGGCAUGCCUGUAACUCGUUAAAAGGUAAAGAGGUGUAAAUUACCUCCACAAAAUAUAAUGGACUACCAGUUUCUACAACUACAAUACUCUGGAAUGUACCUUCCCAAAUGCAUAGAGGCAAUUGGUCCUCCAAAUCCAAACAAGCCAAAGAAAGGCUGCACCACGCUCAACAAAUUAUCCAGAAAAUAGAAGCAAUUUAAACUUUUAGAGAUUCAACAUGGUUUAAUUUUCCUCAUUCAAAUCCGUGUCCAGGACGUGGAAAGGUGAAUUGUCAGCUAGUUAGGAACAUACUGUUGACUUCUCUCAUAUAAUUCCGACUCAUUGAAAACAGAAAAUUGUGUUUGCUUUUUAUUGGGGGAGGAUAGGGAAAAAAUGUUUUUUGUAUUUCAACGAAGCUAAUGCUGCAUGGCGCAAUGUUGCUUUGAAAAUUAAUUCCGCCUAUGAGAAGUGGAAGGUAUCGGCAACAUUUUCAGGAAGAGGAAGUUGAUUCUUUAAGAACAUUGAUUAUGCCAGGACAUACUUGACAGUGUAUGAAUAUGGCAGCGGAAAAAUCGAUUCACUCCUAAUAUAUUGCAGUCAACCAAUCGUUCACAUGUGAUAUUAGCUUGCAUCAAUUUACAUCUCCUGGAAAUACCAAUGGAUUCCUGCUACUAGCAAAAGGACAUUUUGCAUGUCUUUUUCAUGCAGAGACUACAAUAUUCAAUUAAUGUCACGUGUUUGAAGAGAAAUUACCAUUAGAUACAGAGGUUUUCUACCUACUGCCUUAACUUUAUACUUUCUGUGAAGUGAGGCACCCAUCUUUACCCUAGACAAAAAGAAUGAACACAAAUCCACGAAAAGUUACAAAAAGAGAAUGAAAUCAGAAACCAAGGCUUGCUAGUGGAUGGAAUUUAAUCUUGUAGUUAAGCAUAUCUGUUUCUAAAAAUAAAAUAAAAUAAAGUUCUGUCCUAUCAAGUAUAUUUCUAUUAGAAAUAACUGGAAAGGAUACAGUCAGUUUUCUCCAUGAAGAAGCCAUCAUUUUGCAUUUAAGUAGCACCAGCCUCUUUCUGGAAAUAGAUAAUUGACUCAAGUAAUCAUCUGAAGACGAUGUAACUCCACAUUAUCAAAGCAUGUUCAAAAAGUCAUGUCGCCAAUAUUAUUUCUUCGUUUUCAACUAGAUAACCAAAAUUUACCCAAAGCACAGAAUUCUCUCCUAAAAUUCUGUCCCCUCAAGCCAAGAUACAGUUUAUGGUGUAAGUUUCCAUGGACAAGUGAGUGUGUGGGUGCGUGUGUGGGUUCGGGUUAAAUAGGGAAGAAAAAACAUUGCUUUAGAGUACUCAAUACCACUUUGCUAUAGAGUUCUCAUCACUGUCAUCCAUUCCAGGGCCAGUGUCAAAGAUAGAGAUCUUUUCAUCAGAUAUAUCCAAGCUGCAAUUUCAAAACAAUAGUGAGUCAGGCUCCAAAGUUCAAACCCAACAAAAUUUCAAUAAGAAUGCAACUAGCAGAAGCAUCAAGAUGAAAGAUUAAAAUAUAGUUAGCCCAUGAUCAUAUGGCAUCAAACGCCCAUCAUGUUGAAGUAAAUGCGACAAUCUCCAUGUGAAACUUAUGAUUCAUAAUAUAUGGCUGAAAGAUGUCUGCAUCGAUGAAGUCCUACGUGGUUCAGACUUAAAGAAGAUUUUUGCUGGCAAUUAGCAAACUGGCAGCGAUACUUCCAAACAAAGGAAAAGCUUCAAUGUUGUUUUCCAUUACUCUCAUUUAUUGUUCACUAAUUUAGUUGAAACAACAAGAAUGCAUGUUUACAAUUGUUCAUAUUUAUCCAGUAAACAAGUCAUCAAUCACCUCCUGUAGAUUUGCUUAGUAUAAAAUUUCUAUUUGAAAAGAAAAGGUUCCUUUUAUAGGAGAAGUUCUAAGAUGCACCCAGUUCAACAACUAGAUCAACGCAAAGAAGCAUCAUCCUUCGUACAGCUUCCACCAUAAGCCACAAUAUGGAUUCUAAUGUUCCACAAAUUCUCACCUUAAGCCACAAAAGGGUUGAUGUUCCAAUCCUAAUGGUAACGUGACAAGAUCAAGAAAUCACCUAAUCAAUCUUUUAGAUUUCAGGGGAUUAGCCCAUACAGCUUGCAAGGAAUUAUCCUGGCGAAAGGAGAAGCAGUCAGUUUGGCAUCAAACAGGGAUCAUAACUUCCAAAAUCAUCAGGACAACUUACUAUCAAAUCUGCAAGAGCAGUUUCAAAAGUAUAGUCUUCAGGUAGCUCCUUCAACAAUUCCGUGUCAGGCGUUAAAUCCCACAUAUUCUGUGAGAGAUUUCAUGCAUAUAUCAAUGCAAUCGCUUGAAGAAGCACAGAAAACUAGAGAAACUCUAUCAUAGCUUGCGUCAUGUGUUCAAAGGCCAUGAUACACCUCCCCCCCCCCCCCCCCCCCAAAGGGUACUAUCAAAAUCCACAACAAGAGAACUCCUAAAAAGCAAGUGAUACCCAUUAUGCAGAAUGGAAUAAAAUACUAACCUCUCAAAAGUAUCAGCUGUGUUGCCAGAGCCAUCCUAAUUGGAAAAAAGAUAAUGCAUACAAAAGAACAGUAAAAUAAGUACAGCCAUUAAAGUGAAUAUGCACGCUCUCAGUAAAUUACAAGACAGAGCAAGCGAACAACAUAUGACUUUUGCCCAAUACUCACGUGAAGACGCAAGAUGUGGCGCUUGUGAGGCUUAAAGUUGUCGAAAAUAAUUCGACUUUUGAUCCGGUUGCCAUUUGCAUCUUCGAGAUGCAACUCAUUACUCUCCCAUGCGAUGGGACGCUUCGACCUUAGUGAUGGAUCUUGCGCUUUGGCUCGAUCGUACCUUUCUUUGGCCAUCAGCAUGAAAUCUCCGGAGGCCAUCGUCGGGUUGGGUUCCCUUAACGCGAUUCCCACGGUAGUCCCAUUAGGCAACAAUAUGGUGAAUCUAUAUAUCCUGUCGAUAUCACCAUCAUUCAUCGCCUGCUCCGCAGGCCUCUUCCUGAUGCUCCCGCAAUUCUGGCUUGGCUCCAUCCUUUAGCCACCCCGAAACCUGUCAUGGUGCAAAGAAGAGCAGAGGAAACAACCAUCACUCCCUCAACACAUUUGACUGUAAAGGUUCAAAACUGCAUGCACGAUUUCAGAAAAGAUCAUAUUUUUCGUGAUUUUCAUUUUCCCCUACUAACAUUCUUGCCCGUCUUUUCGUUAUCCCACAAACCAAACGAACACGCGUCACCAGGAUAUUGUAAACACGAGAACAUUACGCGAAUUAGCUGAUAAAAUGAUCGCUCAAGCAGGGCUCGAACGCGGGUCGGCAGAAGCGGGUAAGAAGCCAGCCAACCCCUUUCCGGCGUGCGUAACGUCCUCGCCAACCGACUCCCAGCUCCGGCGAUAGGAGAAAGUAGUUAAACCCCGGGCACACGUCAGGAUCAACGAGCUGCCGAUCGAAGCUCAAGCGACACGUUCCCCGCAAGAACGUCGGAAAAGCCAAAAAAGGCGGAAGGUUGCCUGAGGGAGCGGAGGCAAUGCAGCAUAACAGAGGUAGAGCCCCCAGCUCUCCCGCCUCCCUCACCCCGGCAGCAGCUACAACCGUCGUCCUGCGCGAUCCUCGACGUCUCUCGAGGGUUUCCAGGAAGGACGGAGGAGGAAGAGAGAGAGAGAGAGAGAGAGAGAGAGAGAGAGAGAGUCGCGGGGCUGCGGGAGACGAAGAAGACGAAGAAGAUGGAGACGAAGACGACGAAGCGCGACGUUCUCUGCACUCCCCUGCAACCGAAUGGUCGUACCUGUACCUGACUGGUGUUGCUGCCGCGCCGAUGGAGGACAGGCCCCUUUGAGAUCGCGCCACGUGGACGUGGCAACAGCGCCGGCUUGAUGGCAUUGAAGCUUUCCUCCUCCAAAUUUGCCGCUAAUGUGCCCAGAUCAAUUACCUUUUAGUUAUCAUUAUUGGAUUCUCUUUUUUUUUUUAUCAUUUUUAUUGUGAAAUAUUCGAAAUAUCAAAAUAAGAAUUUAAAAUAGAUCUUGUUUUAAAUAUAAACAUUAUAUUAAUUUCAAAAAAUGAACUAAUGUGAUUAUAGAUGUUUCAAAUAAGAAUCUAACAUUAUUGACCAGCAAAAUAUUUUAGCUGAUUAGCAGCUAAGGCCGGGAGGGUUGUUGACACCUAAACAACGACCUCGCCUCUAGUUGGUGAAAGUCACAAACCUUUGCCGCCGCCCCACCGGCAAUGGGGUGGUGACUCUAUGUUUCUCCUUUUUGCAGUUUUUUUUUCAAGAAAAUAAAAAAGGAAAAAGACAAAAUUUCAAAAGACAAAGUUGCCUUUCAUAGCCAAUAAGUUCAAACCCUUAUUUGAAAUUGAUAUGGGCACUUCAAGCCUUUAUUUGAUAAAAUAAGGGCAUUUCAAGUCCUUAUUUGAAAUAAUGUCCAUUUCAAUAUCUUAUUUUAAAUUAAUAUGAGCACUUUGAAUCCUUAUUUGAGAAAACGAUAGCACUGUGGGCCAUUGCUUAAAAAAAUACCCACUUCAAACCCUAUUUAAAAAAGAAAAUUGACAUUUUAGGUCAUUAUUGAGAAUUUUCCCUUUUUAUUGUGAUAUAAAUUAUAUAUUUUUGUUUUUCUAUUAGUUCGGUUUAGUUUGAUGGAAGAUAAAAACAAAUAGAUAUUACCUUUGAACACAUUAAUAUAUUAGUUCGCUUUUUAUGAUCGCGUGUAAUUGCAACUCGUUAAUAGUGCAAUCAUUCGCCUUCUUAUUCGUUUUCUUAAGCAGCGACUUGAGUUGGACCACAUGUGACAUACUGCAUUGUAAGUGGAGAGUCAAUGUCGUGACUAGUUUCAUACAAAAAUAAAGUUAAAUGUUUUUAGGAGUUUUUUUUUGCUGAAUUUUUUUAUGUAGAAAAACAAAAAGUCACCUCAUGGUAAAAUCCAUCCUCGUAACACCUUUAUCUCAAGAGAAUUUUGUUAUACAUUUCUGCGCUCACUCAAUUAGAAGAGCUUAGUAUUGAGGUUAGUCCAAAGGAUGAGAGGUGGAGUAGUGUUGUGGAAGCUGUUGUUGACGAUGCUUGUGGCUUGACGAGGCUGGAUACUCUUAAUCUACACUUCCUGCGAGUGGAACUUCUAGGGAAAUUCAUAUGGCUUGGCACAUCAGAGGUGUCUAGAUCAUUCACACUUCAAAUUCAUGGUUGGCGAUGAUGAUGAACACAUCAUAAUUCAUCUCCUAGAGGAUCUUGAAUUUGAGUUAGAAUGUUGGGAUGGAUCCUUGAAAUAUGUAAAUGGCAUGGGUUUCCCCACUAAUAUCAAGAAGUUGCUUCCGCAUACUACUGCAUUUUUCUUUGACCGCUAUAUUGAUGGCACUGAGCUAUCCGAUUUUGGGAUUGAGAACAUAAAGCAACUAAACUGUUGCAUAAUUGGGGAGGGUAAUGAGAUUCAGUUUAUUAUUUGAUGGAACUAACAUGCAUGAUGAAAUUGAUAGAAGUGAAAUUGUGUGUUGACACCUAAUUUUGAAAAAAUAACAUUGCAUUUUGAAAAGAAAAAAUAAAAAUGGGGAAAAUUGAUUUGAUUGAAUUAUGUAAGGAAAUAUGGAAUUUUGAUGGAUGUUCGGAUUUUGUUAAAUGCAGAAGUAAUUUAAAAAUCAAGUGAAUAAGGGGCAAGAAUUUUGCAAAAUGGAAUAAAUCUGAACAAGAUCAAGAUAAUUGCGAAAUCAUGCUAUAAUUUACAGAUUUGAUUUAACGUGGUGAGAGAUGGAAACUUAGAAAAUGCCUUAAAAAUGCAGUCGUCUGGAACCACUAUAAAAGAGUGCUGCAUUUUUCAAGAAAAAGGGGGUGGAUUUUCAAAAAAAAUCGAGAGUGAAUUCAAGAAAAAUUUUAAGAGCAAAAGGGAGGAAGUUUUCUCCUUCAUUUCUUUUGAAUUUGAUUUUGUCAAAGGGCUGUUUGCCCCUUUUGACUGAAGAAAAGUACAAAAGUCAGCAGGGAAUACGUGCAAAUAGGCGUGAGAGAGAAGAGCGAAAAAGAGAAAAAAAAAAUAAUUGACAAGACCCCUACUGUUCAUCUUCUCCAGGGUUCUUUUUGCUGCUUCGCCGGUUCCUGCAUCUUCGGUCUCUGGGCUACGCCGCCGGCCUCCUUCCACCACGCAUCCGCCAACCACCGCAGGCCCGCGACCCGAAGCCCGCUCGCCGCUGCGCCACCACGAGCACCGUCGCCACGCCACCGGAGACCACACCGCCCCUGCUCGCCUCCGCCACGCUGCGCCACCGAUCCCGCCGCUCCGUCCGCAUCUCAACUCGGAGCCGCCACAGCGAGACCACUGCGACGCCGCAGCCCCGACCCGCGACGCCGCCCGUCGAUCUCCGACGCUCGCUGAUCCGCCUCCGCCCGCACCAGACCGCGACCACCCUCGCCCGCCGCUGCGGAUCGCGACUCCAGCACCACCGGAGCCUGUGCACCACCUCGCCGUCGACGACCAGCAGCCCCGGUGCUGUUCAGCCCUCGCCGGAGUCCCAGCGCCGCCAGCCGACCGCCUACUUACCUCCGGCGUCAACCCCCCUGUCUCUGUUACUCACCUUAGGUAGCUUUUCAUUAUUUUUUUACUUUUUACCUUUUUCAUAAGUUAGUUUAUUUUAUUCUGCUCAUUUGUUCUAUCAUUUUUUUACUUCAUUUGAUAACAUUUUUUAGUUUAAGUAUUUAAUUUGGAUGUUAAUAUUUGUGAAUUUAGUAUGCAUUAUCCGUAGGAAUUUUGUCCAAAAUUAAUAUAAUUAUUAAUUUGAUCCGAGAGACAUCGGAUCAUUUUUCUAAUUAUUUUUAAUUUUUGGGCUUUUUGGUAGAAUAUUAAUUGUUAAAUCAUAAUAAUUAUUUAAUUUGGUCCGUAAGACUUCGGACCAGAUUUUUUAAUUAUUUUAAGUUGUUGUGAUGAUCAGGGUUAGAAUAAUUGUUAAUUUAACCUGUGAGACGUCAGGUUAUUUUUUCAAUUAUUUUGAUCCUUUAUUUAGUGAUUAUAUUAAUUGUUUAGAUUUAACCCUCAUUUAACAAUUAUUCAACUUAAAAAAAACUAAAAAAAAAUCAAAAAAAUCAAAAAUCAAAAUACUCAGAAAGAUUUGCAUGAGCAUAUAGGACAUUAAGGUUUAACAUAAUAGACACGUAGGUUUAAUUAAUCAAAUUUUUAGGAUUAUAUUUCUAGGAUUGCAUUUUUUGAUAAUAUUUUUAGGAUUGCAUUUCUAGAUAUUUUAAAAGAAAGAAGUUAGGAUUAGACUUAAAUAGCCUUUUUAGAGUUUUAGAUAUAAUUGGCACAUUUUCAUCCUCUUUUUUAAAAUAAAAAAAAUAAAAAUAGUCUUCUAAAACAGAAUAGGGUUUAAGUCAAAUUAAUCCCAAAAAUGGAUUAGAAGAUUAUUUUUAGAUAGAUUAAUUAGGGUUUUCAUAAAUUCUGAAUUUCAAUAAAAAAAAUGCAAAAAUACUAGAUGCAUGUUAACUAGUUUGCAUAAUAGAAUCAUUUAAUCAGAAUUUGUUAAUUAGUAAAAUUAGGUCAUGAGGUGCAUGUUAAUUAGUUUGCAUAAUAGGCCCAUUUAAUUGGAAUUUGCAUAUUAAUAAAAUUAAGUCAUUUAGUUUUAAAAUGCAUUUUAAAUAAAAGAAUUCUAAUUUUUAAGAAAAUCCAAAAAAAAGUUGUUUGCUUGCUUUGUGUGAUGCAAUUUAUUUAUUUGAAUGUUUUAAUAAUGGAUGAGUACCCGUGUGGCCACCACAUUUGCAUGAUAAUGAUUUAUCUUAAAAUAAAUCCAAUCUGCUUGCGAAAAUAUUUUGAAAAUUAAAAGAAACGGUACCGAAAGGGCAUUAGAAAAUUCUAGUGUAACCAAGUCCCCGUACCCUUAGUCUCUAGUUCGUAGAAGUAAAAUAAAUCUCAUUUUAUUUUACUUAGGUGUCUAGUCGACCUACCAUGAACCGAUUAGUGGCGACUCUUACAUAAUAACCUCUUGUAUGUUUAAAAAUUUAGAAUUAAGUCGCGAUUUGGUAUGGGCUUGAGAGAGUCCAAACUAAGUGUAAAAACUUAGCAGUCCAUUAACCUAGUUUUAAGUGGUGCACCCGAAAAUUAGGUCGCGACAUUGUGGAAAGAUGGGAGGAUGAUAGGAGGUUUUUCAGAUCACUCGAGUAUCUCUACAUCUGUCGUAUGAAGAGUUUGAGGCGCAUUUAUGAUGGGCCACUGCAUCGAGGAUGUUUGUCUCAUCUUAAAUGCUUGUCUUUAGUCAAAUGUCCUCAGUUGAUUGCCAUAUUCACACUUGGCCUACUGGAAAACCUCGAAAGCUUAGAAGAGCUCGAAGUCAUGUACUACCCCCUUGUCGUAAGUUUCGUGAGGUGUGAAGAUACUUCUAUUUACGAGAAUAGCUACUUCCUCCCCAAGUUGAAAAAGAUAUCCCUAGUCUCAUCACUUGAACUCAUCAGCAUUUCCGAAAACUUACACAUUGCAUCAAACUUGGCAGCAAUAAAUGUUGUUGAUUAUCCAAAUCUCAAGAAACGAUCAACUGAUGAAAUUUGUUGCAAUCAUCUAACAGGGACUGAAGGUAAGGGUAAUAAUUAGUGGAGAGAAUUUUUCUAUGGAAAUGGUGUGUCUUUUUCUUUCCAUUUCACAAGAUACAUUUGAUCGGACAAGUUAAAAAGUUACAAGCCCAGCUUUGAUGAAGAGUAAAAUUGGAAAGUCAACAGCUAUCUAAAUAAUCUCUUAUCUUCUUUCAAAUCGGAUUUUUGAUCUGUUAUGUUUAAAAUGUCUAUGAACGAGGCGAUGGUUACUGUACAAACUUUGGCCGAUCCACUCUUAGCUUUCGAUGCAUAUAUAUUUCAGGGUACAAAACUAAAUGUUGGCAUACCAUUAGUAUGCAUUGAUUUGGAUAGCAAGUUCAUUUUUGCCUCUUUAGAUAUGCUUCAAGCUUGCCGAGUAGCUUAACAAUAGCUGGCUUAGUUACUUUCUUUGGUGGGAGAAUUUCUUCAUUAGAGUGCCUAGGGAGUCAUUAUCGAUGUCAAAAUUUUAGUUAGGUUAUUGGUACUCCUCUUUUACAUUCGGUACAAAUACUGUACUUUUCAUUUGGUGAUCUAAAGAUGUUACUUCUUGAUAUUUGUGUGUUUGUUGGAGGUACUAUACGGGAAAAAGGAAAGGAACAUUCUUUUUAUUUUCUUGUGGUCUGGUGAAGGAAUGCACUUGAAGUUAAUUUUUGAUUUACAUUACAAAGUCCAACCAAAAGCUUAAGCUAUUUGGGCGGGGGAGACUACAUGACACAAGGUCAUAUCAAAUUUUCAAAUUGCAAUGCCAAUUGCAUUGCCAUAGAUUCGGGCAUAUUUGCCUCAAAAUAGUGGAUAUGGUCACAUUGGGCAUGAACUUUUAAAAUAUUGCAUCGACAUUAUGCGGUAAUAAAUUAACUUUAGUAACUUGAGUGGGGUUAUAUGAUGAAAUGGAGCAGAAAGUGGUGAAGCUCGUUGAGGAGUUGAAUGUAUCCAUUAGAAUGAGGUUGCGGUGUUUGCAUAGAAUUAUUUAAGUCUAUAUCAAGAGAUCAGGUAGAUUCAUUAUUGCUCAUCUUUUUCCAUCUCUUUGAUUGCAAGUUGAAAUAUUUUGUCAUAGUUAUCCGCUGUAGACCCCACAUAUCCACCUGGGUUGCUACAUACCCUCCUCUAUUUGGGACUGGAUGUUUCUUUGAAUUGGAAAAGUAAGACAUGCUAGGCCAACUGGCAGAUUAGCUAAUUCAACUUUAAAUUCCUGUUAAGAUAAAGUGGCUUGGUGUUUGUUGUUCAUCUAAGUGACCUAAAUCGGUGGUUACUUGUUUCAUCUGAUAGGCUGAUUUUGUAUUUGAGCAGCACAAAGUUUUCCAAAUGAUGCAAGUGAGAUAGCUAGUACGAGUACCUAGAGGGGGGUGAAUAGGUAUACACAAAAAAUUUCUCGAUGUUUGCACGAUACUUAAACAAUUAGAGACUUUGCAACAGUUGAAAAUUCAAUCGCAAGACUGAGUAAGGGAAAGAGAGAAUUGAACACUCAGUUUAUAGUGGUUCGGCUUGAUUCAAGCCUACGUCCACUCUUCUGCACUGACAGCCGAUUGGCUGGAUUCCACUAUGAUCAAAGAGUUGUUACAGUGUUGAUCUUCCUUGAUUUCUAGGUGUAGAUGAUCUACCACACUUGCUCAAGGCGUCACCAAGUAUAAACACUCUCAGUAUACAAUUUCGCUCAGUCUCAACUAACAAUCAAAGGAUCUUCAGACUCUGGAAUUUUUCUAUCGAUCACACACUUAAAACAACUAGAACGUCUUCCUUUUAUACUCCUUCAUGCCAUCAUAGCCGUUGGCACUUACCAAAGGAAUUCCUCCAAUCUACCCGUUGGACGGAAUCAAUCAAGAAGAUCAUCCGAGCUAUAUAAGGAAUCUGAUGAUAGCCCAUCAAUCCUGUUCGCCCAUACAAUCAGGAUCUCGGUUUCCAAGAAUAGAAUAAUCCAAGAUUAUUUCGUCGACCAUCGGAUCUUCAAUCGUUCUUAGAUAAGAUAUAAAGAAUCCGAAAUGAUUAUCCAACCAAAGAAUCUAUCCCAGAGGAUAGGAUCAAAUCCUCAAUCAUAAACCUCGACUUUGGAUUUCCUUCAACACUGGAUUAGAAAGAAAGUAAGACAUGCUAGGCCAACUGGCAGAUUAGCUAAUUCAACUUUAAAUUCCUGUUAAGAUAAAGUGGCUUGGUGUUUGUUGAGACUUUAACUAUCGAUAUCCAGACUUAGACUGAUAGAAAUGUUUUGUCAGCUUCAAAAUAUUCUGGAAAGAUUUCUCCAACAGCAAGCACAGAGCAGCUUGCUCUUGCUGUGGUCUCAUCUACAACCACCGGAAAAUGUAGCAGUUAACCCUUCAACUUCUCAAAUCAAAAGGAAACCUAAAGUUGCUCUUCCUUAUUCAAUGAUCUUAAAUUAGCUGCAAGAAACUUUAGCACUAAAAGUCUUCUUGGUGAAGGUGGUUUUGGCUUUGUACGUGGCUUUACAAAAGAUACAAGCAGAGUGCAGCCUGCUCCUCCUGGGGUUACAUCUAUAGCCACUUGUGAUAUAGAGAUUAACUCCUCAGUUUCAUGUCACGUCCUGAUCCAUGAGCGCGUGCCCAUCCCUCUUUGGUUGAUAAAAUUUUGCGACUUCCCAAGACGAGUCGCUGACCCUUUCAUUUUAUUGCAUAUGCGGAAGCGAAUAAUAAAUCUCGAUUAUCUCAGGAUAGAAAAGCAGGACAACACAUUCACAAACAAACAUGCUUUUAUAAACAACGUAUUUAGAUACAAAACGAGUCUGAUCAAAAGUCUACAAGAAUGUCAGCUCUCAAAAACAAAGGUAUUGUCCUAUGACAUACUAGUCGGACCCAAAUGCCAAUCCUUCUAACUUCACUUCCAUAGACUCUGGGGCUUUGGUCUUCCAUGACCACCUUCUAAGGAUUUGAAAAUGGUUAUAUAAUAACCAGUGAGACAAUAUCUCAGCAAGUCCACACUUUAAACCCUAAACCCUGAUUAUGAGGGUAAUACGCCUAAAGGCAUCCUAACCACACCAUCACGCAUUUAGCAUAGAGGACUUACCUCACCUCAAUUCCACCCUGUAGGUUAGUAAAAUUCAUAUAUCACAUACAUGCAAUAACAAUACUCGAGCCUUUGGAAUAUCUCAUUCAAUCUUAGUCAGUCAAUUGAGUCAACAUCAUUAAUCCACCAUUCAAUCAAACAAUCCGCCAGAGUUUCGAUUAUAAGGCCAAAUCAUUAUGACACAUCACAUUUCAUGUCACAUAAUUUCAUCCUAUAAUCAGGUGCGGUCCAUCAUAUUGGGGUUCCAUCUACACCCGAUAUUUACUCCAAACAUUCCCACUCAAAAUCAGACUCCACAUUCCAACUCAAUACCAGACUCAAGGCUCUAGAGGUGACCCUACACAAAAUCUUGUCAUUAUACGGUACUUAGUCCUUGACCACAAAUAACAAUAGUAUAAGGCACUAGAGGUAACUCAAAUGAAGUUUCAUCUUCGUGUAGUACUUAACCAUUUACUAUGCAUGACAAUACUGCAAGGCAUUAGAGGUAAUUUCCAUGCGACUCCGGUUGCCAUGUAACACUUAGCCCUUGACUACAAUAAGCAAUGAUAUAAGGCACUAGAGGUGACUCACACGAAGUCUUCUACUCGUGUAGUACUUAGUCCUUUACUUGCUCAUGACCCAUUGGCUUCCAUCAACACGACACACAUCACAUCAACUUUCAAUAAUCAUCUUGCCUCAACUAUAAACCAACACACGAUUAUUCACUCACGGCUCAAUGACAUUGUGCUUCCCACUUAAAUUUCUCAAUAAAAAUAAUAUCUUGGCCUAUUUUCUUCGUGUUAAAAAUACCUGAUAAAAAUAAUCGUGUGUGGGUACACGGUUGGCCUACGCCAAAAAUAUAAUAUCCUUCUUUUAGAAAAUCCCACUAUUUAUAUAGUGUCUAAAAACCUUUUUGACUUUACAAACUGACAUCCCAGCAUUUUCUGAUUAAAUACUGAAAUUACUCCAUUUUUGGAAUAAAUACUCAAUACUAAAAUUUUCACUUAAUUUGCACAAUGCAGCAUUCAAUUAAAUAAACCAAGCACACCAUUGCAAUCAGAUUGAAAUUCCGAUCACUGACUAUCCCGGUCUAAUUUUCGGAAAGUAAAUAAUAAUUAAUUAAUUUCUAAAAUUAAUUAAAUAAUUAAAUUUAAAUGCUAAAAAUACCAACCUAGGCCAAAAAUCACUAAAUUAAAUAUUGAUAUGGACCCGGAAAAUUCCUGAAUUUAUCAAGGCCUCACUUAAUCUAAUCUAACCACCUAACAUGCUCAAUUAAAUAAUUAAAUUUAUAAUUUAAUCUAACUAACCACCUAAUUCCUAAUUAAAUUAAAUUAAACAUCACUUAGACGUCAUUAGUCUACUAAGAAGAGUUUAGUGCAUAAACUCAAUGGUGCAUCGCGAAAUCGGUUCACCGCGACAACGACGUGACGGCGGCCGAAACUUGAGUUUGCAAUAGCAUCAACGAAGCUCGGACUGGGCCUAGAACCGGCCCAAUAAAUCUCAGCCCAAGCUGAGGUUUAUUCUUGAUUUUGGGCUGGACCCAAGUUGGGCUGGGCUUGCUAAACUUGCUGGGUUGGACUACAGAAGACUUGGGCCGAAGUUGGGCUAAACAUCACUGAUUUGUGGGUUGUUGAAUCGGACUUUGUUGGGCCCGAAAGGCUGAAGACGCUGGGCUGAAGACGUGCGAAGAUGGGCUGCAGAAAAAUGGCAACUAGCUGGGCCGAAUUUUGCUGGCUCGUGGACUUCAAUUGGGGUAGCUUCCGAGAGGCAGAGAGGUCCACGAAAGAGAGAAACUUCGAUGGGUUGCUGCAGUAGGUGAAGACUCGAGGAAGUAGCUGGCAUUCGCUGGCAAUGGAAGGAUGCAGGUUGUUUGGUCGUGGGCUGAAAGUGGAGAAGAAAACGUUGGCAGGCGGUGGAUUCAUGUGGGCAGAACUGUAGGCCAAGGGAGUCAACAAGGCUGGGGAAAAUUCCUUUAGUUGACCGAGUGUGAAGAAAGCUCAAACGCGGCAGAGAGAUGGAGCUCGGUGGAGAUGCUUCGCUAGCGUGUUGCAGAUGUGAGAGAAACGAACACAGAGAGAGAGAGAGAGAGAGAGAGAGAGAGAGAGAGAGAGAGAAAUUGAGGGGUGAAGCUGCGGUUUCGGUGAAGUUGAAGCAAAUAGAGGAAUGAGAGAGAGAGAGACACGAAGAUGUGAAGCGGGAGUGGCAGCGUGUAGAGGAGACCUCAACGAAGAGAGGAAAAAAAAAGUCAAGAACUCUUACCCUUUAAUCAAAGUUUGGUCCCCUAAAGCCCACACAAGAUUAUCCUUUUGCCUCUUAAUAAUUUUGAAGCCCAAAAUUGCUACCCUUUUCCAAAUCCGAAUUUCAUCACUUUAGGUUCUAUUUCUUCACUCAAUUCCCUAAAUUGAGGUGCAAAUUUCAAUGAAGAAAAAUCCCAUAUAAUUUUCUGUAAGUCCCCAACGCUCAAAGGCUCGGCUUAGAAGUCCAAAUUUCCUUUAAUUUGGCUCGUCCGAAUUUAUGUUAUUUUUCACAAUGUCCGAAUCGAAUUUCCGUAAAAAUCUUGGAAUCUCCAAAAAAAAAAUUCAGAUGAUGAGUUGACGUUUCUAAAAUAAAUCGUGACAUUACAGAACUUUCAAUUUCUGAAAUCGGGUUCAAAUUUAUGGUUAAUUUCACUCCAGCGCAUUUUUAGCGUGACUUAAUCUACCAUGUAACUUUUAAAAAAAUUUGGUGCAAUUGACCCGUGAUCGAUUUAUCUCGAGUCACAUUAUACAUCUUCGACUCAUUGGCGACUCGGUUGUCGUGAAAAUCUCGAUGUUUCAAAUAUGGGCACUUGGUAUCAAAACGACAAAAAAAUCAGUUUAGUGCCGAUCGACGAGAAUUCGCAAUUUGGUGGAAUCACCCACACUCUCAUCUCAUAUCUUAGUUAAGUUGACCUAUCUCCGAUCUCUGAUCGAUUUUGACAGUGUCGUAAUGAUCCUUGCAGAUCAACACGGUCGAGAAAUCAAUUCCUGGUCGAAUUCUCAAGUCCAUUGCAUUUAGCUUCCUUAAUUGCUCCUCCAUAUAAACUAAUUAUCUUGUGAGUAAUCAACUCAGAGAAUAGCAUUAUCAGCGCAUCGAUGAAAGGCCCGAUUUAUAUAAUCGAAAAUAAAUUCUGAAAAUUCAGGUUGUCACAUUUCAUCUCCAAUCGCUAAUGAUAAAAUGCUGAAGCCUUUCACCAACACUGGAUGCUACAAAGUGUGCUCCUAUUCUGCAUGAGGAUGUAGAACAGCCCGUGAUAUGUCAUGAUUUUAAAGCUUACAGUAUUCUAUUUGAAGAAAUUUAGGAGAAAUUACUCUGAGUUUUAUUUUCUAGAGAAUAUAUAAUUACACGAGGCAUCUAGCCUUUUUAUAGCUGCUGUUCAGCUAAUUAUUUGCGCUAACUACCGAAGCAAAAAACUCAAUAUACUAGCCAUAAAUCUAGUUAGUAUCUGCUGGUUGUAAAAUAAAAAUAAAAAAAAAACACCCUAAAACGCAGGAAACAAAUUCCUAAAAGCCAAGAAACAAAAUAUGGAAACAAAAUAACUACACUUCUACUGCUAACUAGAAAAUCCAAUUAUGAUUUUCAACACUUCCUCUCAAGCUAGGUUAUGAAUGUCUAUCAUACUUAGUUUGCACCUUAGGGUGUGUUUGGUAACAUUUCUGUUAAAAAAUUGUUCCAGGGAACAGAAAUAGAAAAACUAUUUCUAUUCCGGGAACAAUUUUUGUAUAGAAGAACGCGUUUGGUAAACUUAUUCCUGGAAUAGAAAAAGAACAGGAAAAUGUUUGGUAAACUUGUAUACUUUUUUUGUUUCUUUUAAUUUUUUAAUAUUUUUCCUUUUUUUUCUUUUUUCUUUUUCCUUCCUUUUGGCCGGUUGCCGGCCUCAACCAUGGUCGGCAGCCUCGCCUAGCCACGGCGAGGCUCGCUGGCCCCUAGCGAGGCCGAGCCUGGCUAGGGGCGGCGACACUCGCCCUCAUCGGGGGUCGGUGACGCUCCGGCGAGGUUGCCGGCCCUCGACGAUGUCACAAGCACUCGAUGGCUGGUCGCCGGCCAUGGCCAAGGGCAGCGACCGGCCAAAGAAAAAACAAGAAGAAAAGAAAAGAAAAGAAAGAGAAGAAAAUAAUAGGAGAGAGAAAAAUUAUUUCUUGAAAGUGAUCUAGGAAUAAGAAACAACUUUUUUUUUUGUUUCUUGUUUCUGUUCCAAAUGUGUUUUCGAGAACAAAAAAAAUAGAUUUAGAACACAAAUACAAACAAACGCGUUUACGUUCUUUUUUUGUUCCUUGUAACAAAAAAACAGGAAUUUUGUUUAUGAGCAGAAAAAAUGAACACAAACAUGCAGACCCUCAGAGUCUCGAAACUAUUUCUAGAUAAAAUCUUGGUUAAUAUGUCCGUUGUUUGAUGAUUGGUUGGAAUAUACGAGAGUUUCAAGAUUCCUUCCUCGAGUUUUUCUUUGAUGAAAUGUCGAUCAAUCUCCACAUGCUUUGUUCUAUCAUGAUGAACUAGGUUCUUGGCAAUCUUAAUAGCAGCUUUGUUGUCACAUAAUAAUGACAUAUGAUUGGUAUUUGUGAAUCCUAGUUCAAUUAAGAUUCUUCUUAGCCAUAUGCCUUCACAUAUUCCUUGACACAUUGCUCUAAACUUUGCUUCAGCGUAGCUCCUAGAAAAAAUGAGUUGCUUCUUGCUUCUCCAAGUAACCAUGUUGCCCCACAUGAAGGUAUAAUACCCUGUUGUUGACCUUCAGUCCAUGAGAGACCCAGCUCAAUUUGCAUCUGUGAAUAUCUCCACGUUUCUCUCAUUCGUUUUCUUAAAGUAGAGCCCUCUUCCAGGACUUCUCUUCAAGUACUGUAAGAUUCGAAAAACUGCUUGCAUGUGCUUCUCUGUUGGUCGAUUCAUGUAUCUACUAACCAUACUUACUGCGAAACCAAUGUCUGGCUGAGUAUGUGAGAGAUAGAUUAGUUUGCCAACUAAUCUUUGAUACCUUCCUUUGUCCGUUAAUGGUCCUUCUUCUUCCAUCUCGAUUUUAUUUGUAGAAUCCAUAGGUGUGUCAACUGGUUUGCACCCAAGCAUACCAGUUUCCUUCAAAAGAUCAAGAGUAUAUUUGCGUUGGGAAAUUGCAAUUUCUUUCGGUGACCAAGCUACCUCCAUACCUAGGAAGUAUUUGAGUUGACCUAGGUCUUUAACCUCGAAUUCUUCUGCCAAGAUAUUCUUUAGUUUUCUAAUCUCCCCCAAAUUGUCACCAGUUAGGAUUAUAACAUCGACGUAUACAAUCAUUAUUGCUCUUCUACCUUCAGUUGAUUUCUUGACAAAUAUUGUAUGAUUUGUUUGACAUUGAGUGAAAUUUAGCUUCUUAACGACCUUUAUUAACCUCUCGAACCAAGCACGAGAUGAUUGCUUUAGUCCGUACAGGGAUUUCUUGAGUUUGCACACCUUAUUGAAGCUCUCUUUCGUGUCAAUUCCCGUUGGAACCUCCAUAAAGACUUCUUCCUCCAAUUCCCCAUUCAAGAAGGCAUUCUUUAUGUCUAAUUGAUGUAGAGGCCAGUCCAAGUUAGCUGCAAGGGAGAGCAACACUUGAAUGAAGUUUAGUUUAGCCACCGGAGCGAAGGUUUCUUCGUAGUCUAUACCAUAUGAUUGCGUGAAUCCCUUAACAACUAGUCUUGCCUUGAAACGAUCAACACUACCAUCAACAUUAUGCUUAACUGUAAAGACCCACUUACAUCCCACCAAUUUCUUCCCAAUUGGCAAUUAUGCAUAUUCCCAAGUAUUCUUCUUCUCAAGUGCAUGAAUUUCCUCAAGAAUCGUUUUUUUUUUCCACUUGGAUUGAGCAAGUGCCUCCUAGAUAUUCUUGGGAAUUUGAAUGUCAUUCAACGUUGAAACAAAUGCUUUGUAUUUAGGAGAUAACUUUUCAUAAGAUACAAAAUUGUUAAUGAGAUGUUGAGUGCACUGUCUCUUCCCUUUCCUAAGAGCAAUGGGUUGAUCAAGAUCAUCAAGUACAACAAAAUUUUCUGAGCUUAUAGGAGAAUUACCUUCAUCUAUUGUGGGUCUUGAACUUGGGUUCGUCUCUUGAGUCGGCUUUGAUGUAGUACGAUCCUCCAACUCCUUUUGAGUUUUCCGCCUAGAGUAGACAAUUACCUAUUUAUUUUUGUCUACUGUAGCAUUUUGAAUGGGUAGACACGAAAGACUUUCGGAUGUUGGAUUACUCUUGAAUGUUGGAAUGGGUAGACACGGAGGACAAGCAUAAUUAGUAUUUGUUUGUUGUGACCUGAGUGAAUGAAAAAUGUGUCCCAAAAAUAAUAUUCCUCACAACUCUUCCCCUGAAUGAUAUUUUUGGAGUGUUAAAAACGCUUUAUUUGUAGGCAAUAACACUUAUAUCCACUUUGAUUUGGAGCGUAUCCUAGAAACACACAUUUAAAGAACUUAGGAUCUAGCUUGCUACGAUGUUGCUAAUUUAUAUGAACAAAUGCCGUGCAACCGAAUACUUUGAGUGGAAUAUGUGAGGCAAAACGAAUAUGUGGGUAGGUACGAAAUAGACUCUGAAAUAGUGUUUGGAAAUCUAGGACAUGGGAAGGCAUACGAUUGAUGAGAUAUGUGGUUAUUAACACUGCUUCUCCCCAAAAAUGUUUAGGAACAUGGGUGGCUAACAUAAGAGAAUGAGCGACUUCCAAAAGAUGCAUAUUUUUCCUCUCCGCUACUCCAUUUUGUUGUGGAGUGUCUACACAAGAGUUAAUAUGUAUGAUACAAUGUCUAUUUAGAUAUGACCUGAGCUAAAUUGGGUUUGGAUCAUUAGGUUAAAGGUUUGAAAAAUUUGGCCAAUAUCUGAUUUUUCUUUCAUUAGAAAAAGCCAAGUGAGUCUUGUAUGAUCAUCGAUGAAAGUAAAAAAACCACAUUGAACCAGAAAUGUUAUUGACACGAGAAGGUCCCCAAAUAUCACAAUGAAUUGAGAAGACUUAUAAGGUUGCAAAGGGUACAAACUGCGAGUAUGUUUGGAUAAUUGACACACCUCAUAUUGAAGUUUUAUUGAAUCUUUAUUGAACAAAGAAGGUAGCAAAAAAAAAAAAAACCUUUUUAAGUACGAGAAAUUUGGAUGACCUAACCUAUAGUGCCAUAAUCUUACGUCACUCUUUUCUUUAGCACGAGAUGUUACACAUGACAUCUUCUUGUUUUUCCAUUCUGAGGCAUUAACUCGUAGAGGUAGAGGCCCGCAUCCAUCUCAGCAUUGAUAAUUGUCAUCCUUGAGUUCAAAACCUGAAAUUCACAUGAGUGUGGGAAAAAUUUAGUAAUGCAGCAUAAAUCAUUGGUUAACUUGCUGAUGGAGAAAAGAUUAUAGCUGAGUUUGUGAAUAAAUAAUACUGAAUUCAGACCCACCCCUCUAUGGGCGCGUUGGUUUGGGCCUUUCCCCCUCUAAUUGCAGAAGGGGGGAGGUUUGAGUCAUUGCGUGCGCAUUAGCGCGACUUAAGCAGAGCAUCGUGGGAGGUGGGUCCCUGCGCUAGUGCUCCCUGGGGGUUUAAGCCGAGUGCUUGCUGUGAGGCGGUUCCUUCGGUCCAAAAAAAAUAAAUAAUAAUACUGAAUUCAGUGUCAUAUCUUUUGAAAUAACCACUAAUCCAACACCAGCCACCUUUGAGCAAGAACCAUCAGCAAUUCAAACACUAGUGCCAUUUUGACAUGGAUUGUACUCGUUGAACACUGUGAUAUCUCCGGUCAUGUGGUUGGAUGCUCCUGAGUCUACAACCCAAGAGGUGAUUUUCUCCUGUUUAGCACUAAAGACAUUUAGAGAAUUACCUCGUUAAGCUAUCGUUGUUGUACUAACCCCUUCUAGAUGGGUUGCUUUUGGAACUGAUGCUUGUAGUAGCUUUUUGUAGCUUUUUUAGCAUCUUCAGCUGCUCUUUGUUGAAGGGACUCGAAUCUACCAAAGCGAUUGUUUCGGUUUGGAUUACGUUGCUUCUGCUCUCUCGAUUUUGAGUAGGAUGUGAGGCUGAUGGCUUCCAAUCAUCUGGCCGACCAUGAAUUUUCCAACAUAUGUCUUUUGUGUGACCCGUCUAUUUGCAAUGAUCACACCAUGGACGACCACCCCUUCGCUGGUUGUUAUUGUUUGAUUGAGUGCCUCAGUUGUAGGAUGGUUGAGAUCCUCGAGCUAUUUAAGUAGAAUUUGCUGAAUUGGUCUAGUUUGAAGAACCAAGCAUCACCUUUCGCCAAGUCUCUUCUCUCUUGACCUUAGCAAAAACUUCUCGUACACUAGGUAGGGGCUUUAUGCUCAAAAUUUGUCCACGUACCUCAUCAAGCUCUUGAUUCAAGCCUAACAAAAAUUUGUAGAUGCGUUCUCAAUCUUGAAUCCGCUUGUACCACUUGCUAUCUUCAGGACAACUCCACAUCAUAUCUUCCAACAUGUCAAGUUGCUGCCAAUGGGUAUGAGUUGGUUAAAAUAAUUAGUGACAGAAGAUUCCCCUUGCCUCAGGUCAUGGAGAAUGCCCUUGAUCUCGAAGAUGGCUGAUGUGUUAUCUUUGUUUGAAUAAGUUUCAUGAACAACAUCCCAAAUCUCCUUUGCUGUCUUGUAGUACAUGAAAUUCUCCCCUGUUUCAUUCGGCAUUGAAUUCAGUAGCCAGCACAUCACCAUGUUAUUUUCCACCUUCCAUGUUUGAUAAUUUGGGCUCAUCUCCUUAGGUUGUACGGUAGCUCCAGUUAGGUAAUCUUCUUUACCUUUUCCGCAAACGAAAAUCAUGACAAAAUGAGACCAUUGAUUGAAGUUGUGACCGGUAAGUUUAUGACCGGUGAUAAGAAGAGUUCCACUUUUGGAUACAUUGAUAGGUUGGGUAAUGUGAGGAGAGUUCUAAGCUCUAGGGUCUAACCUCACUUGCCAUGGUAGCUCUAGGGUAUUUUGUCAUGGUGGAAACACUCACAAAUAUGGUAGAAAAGAAUGGUCCAGAUCGAGCUUUGAUACCAUGAAGAAAUUUAAGAGAAAUUACUUUGAGUUUUAUUCUCCAGAGAAUAUAUAAUUACAUGAGACAUCUAGCCUUUUUAUAGCUGUUGUUCAACUAAUUAUUUGCGCUAAUUACCGAAGCAAAAAACCCAACAUACUAGCCAUAAAUUUGGUUAGUAUAUGUUGGUUGUAAUAAAAAAAAAAAAACAGCACCCUAAAACGUAGGAAACAACUUCCUAAGCUAACAAACAAAAUCUGAAAAAUCUGGAAACAAAAUAACCACACUUCUACUGUAAACUAGAAAAUCCGAUUCUGAUUUUCAACACUAUUACACGCUGUAUAUAGCAAUAGUUGUGGCGGCAUCUGAUUUACGACCCCAAUGCCAAGCUUUUUGGGUUUUGGACUUGCAAACAUUUUGCCCAAGGGAGAUAACUCUCACCUCACCUAUUUCAUUGGAACGUACAGCAAUACUGCUCGGGAAUAUGUGAUGCAAGAUAUCUAUAUAUUGGUACGGGCCAUUUGAGAAUGAGAAUUGCACAAGUAACCUGCAUAAAUGCGGUCAAGGAUUAUUUUUGACAUUUCAAAGUAAUCCCAUUGUAUAAAAAAGAAGAGAAUAGCCCCAAUCUACACACCUCAUGCACAACAUGUGCACCAGUUAUGAUUAGGAACUGAAUUCGAUUAGGUAGAUAUCAACCGAACCAAAGACAAGAAAAUGAGAGCGAUGGUCAUAUACUGAUGCACUAUCUAUCUAAUCUAUCUUGAUACAUGUGGCCACAAUUUGCAGGAAUGGUAGAAUCAGCUGUAGUUCCUGCACCCCAUGCUAAAAAGUUGCCACUUUUUUUUUUCUCUGUUUUUAGUCGUGCAUGUAGUCUCCUAAAUGAUGCUAUUCCCUCACCUUCCAGUCCACCAUCUAUGUACUCUUUCUCAUAUUGUUUGCCUGGGGGAGGAACCUAGAAAUUUUGUUGGACCCUCAUGAGUUGGUGUUCCUAGGUGAUCUAGAUCUACUUUCUGUGGUGCGCACAGGCUCUGGAAAAUACAUGAAAGUUGGAUCUUGAGGGUGCAAAUCAGGCAAGUUCCUAACCCACGUUAAUAGAAUGUCUACUAAGUCCUUCAAAUACCCGAUUAAUCCCUAUCAUUUUUUCCUACCGAAACACUAAUUCACAAUUAGAGUUCUUUCUUUAUGUGCUUUCUACGCCGCAUGUCCGAAGGGUUCUUGGUUCCAAAUGAUAUAUCUAGAGCAUGUCCGAGUAGCUGGUUAAGUUCAGCCGGGUGUGGUAGUUGUCAGUCCUACAUGCACUGGAUAAUUCCCAAAAAACGUUGAUUCAUACUAUGAUCAGGUAUUAUUUAUUACUUUGUUUUUGCGCUUCUGGGGCAUGUAGCACAUUAUGUAUACUUUCUUCAUCGUGCUUUCCUAUUCAUAAUGAUGGCCGGUAAAAGGAUACUCGAAUGAAAGACACCCUGGUAUUUGAGAACUCUAAUUCUCAUAUUUAUUUUAUUCCUAUUGCUGUAAGUACCAAAUUUUCAGGGAGAGAGAGAGAGAGAGAGAGAGAGGUUAAUUUGGUUGUAACACCUAAAAUCUGUGGAAAAUAUUAACAAAUGAAUUCUAAUAUAAUAUUCAUGGUUUUCUAUGUUUUAAAAUAGGUAUUUUUAGCGGAUAAGUCCAUCAAUGAUGUUUUACUUAAAAAAGAAGAAGAAGAGAAAACAAAUCCCCUAAUUAAGGUUAAAUUUAUUUAAGACAGGUUUUACUUUUCUUUAAUCUCAUAUCUCAUGAAAUUCAUUUUUAUAUAAUAAAAUAUACCUAAAAUCUUUCAAAUUUUUAAACAUCAUCCAUCCAUCGUAUUUAUAUUUCAAAUGCUUAGAUUUCUUUUUCCUUUUAUUUUAAUAGCGGCCAUUUGAUCUUCAGGUCAAGAUCUGUGUGCAUCGACCAAUCCACCUUCUCAAGCAAUCUUAAAUAUGUGUAAAACUUUGAUAAUGCCUGGAACAAGAUCUUUUACCAUAUAAGAUAUUUGUUCUAAAAGGAAUUAUUACAUUCAAAUUAUAAUUCUUUUUGGAUUUGCAGACAUACCAUUUUUGUUGGCUCUCUCUCCCUUAAUUAUUGUUAUUUUUUUUGUUUUGUUUUUUUGGCCGGUUAUUUAUUAUUUUUGCUUUCCCUGCAUAAAAACAAGGUCGAAGAUUCCUUGUUGAGACGGAAAAGCAACAGAUUCAAGCCUUUUCAGUUUUAAGGCUCCAAGAGGAAUCAUUUUAUAGGCAAAAGUCUAGAGUUCGUUGGUUAAAAGACGGGGACCUAAAUACUAAAUUUUUUCACCAAGUCGUGAACAGGAGGUACCUCCAAAAUAGAAUCAUCUCCUUAACCAAUGGGGAUGUCACCACCUCGGACCCGGCGGAAGUUCAAAAGGUGUCCGUCGAUCACUUUCGUGAUCUUUUGGCUGCUUCCCCUUCUUCGUCUUGUCCAGUGAAGGAGGAGAUUCAGGCUGUUCUUAAUCAUUCCCUGGAUGCGGAACAGGUUUGUUUUCUAUCUAGGCCUAUUACGGAUAUGAAAAUCAAGGAAACUCUUUUCUCUCUUGCGGUAGGAAAAGCCCAUGGUCCUGAUGGAUUUAAUGUUGAAUUUUUCAAGCAUUCUUGGGAUAUUGUUGGUGCUUCAAUAAUAUCGGCAGUUAGAGAUUUCUUUGAAACUGGCGAGCUAUUGAAACAAAUUAAUGCUACCAUUCUUGUUUUAGUGCCCAAAAUCCCUACUGCUUCAACUGUCCAUGACUUUCGGCCAAUUGCUUGUUGCAACACUAUAUAUAAAUGCAUCACUAAGCUCAUUGCAAACUGGAUGACUCAUGUGCUACCUAGCAUCAUUAGUUCGACCCAAAAUGCUUUUGUCAAGGGGAGACACAUUAGUGAUAAUAUUUUGCUAGCCCAAGAGCUUUCAGUGGCUUCCACCAUGACCCCUAUCGGGCCAAAUGUGCUAUUAAAGUGGACUUUCGGAAAGCGUAUGACACGGUGAGAUGGGACUUCAUUGAAGUUUGCAUGCAGGCGUUCGGUUCUCCUCAGAGUUUUAUUGAUGAAAUUAUGGCUUGCAUAAGAUCCCCUAAAUUUUCCAUAUCCUUGAAUGGUGACCUUAAUGGAUUUUUUGCAAGUGGGAGAGGUAUUCGUCAAGGAGAUCCAAUGUCGCCUUAUAUAUUUAUUUUAGUAAUGGAAGUUUUUACCGGUUUGCUGGAUAUCCAAACCAACCACCCCUCGUUUCGAUUUUUUUGGCGGUGUAAAUCUUCCAGGCUUUCCCAUCUAUUUUUUGCCGACGACGUGCUCUUAUUCUCAGAAGCAAGCAUUGCCUCUGUGGAUCUUUUGAAGGCUGGGAUUGAAUCCUUUUCUAAUUGGAGCGGUUUGGCGCCGAACGUGAGCAAGAGUGAGGUAUAUCUAUCCGGUGGAUCGCCUACUUUGCGAAAUGACAUCUUGAACAAGCUAGGCUUCCAGGUUGGUACCCUUCCCUUUCGGUAUCUUGGAAUCCCUGUUAUUUCCUCGAGAUUAGCAAAGGCGGAUUGUGUGGCUUUGGUAAAUGCAAUUACAGCUCGAGUCCAAUCUUGGACGCACAGAUUUUUGUCGCUUGCCGGUAGAAUCCAGCUUAUAAAAUCGGUUCUCCACUCUAUUCAAGUAUAUUGGGCGAGUGUUUUCUUUUUGCCGUGUGCUAUUCUAGAUCAUAUUGAAAGAAUUUUUCGCCAAUUUCUUUGGAAAGGACCAAUAAUGGGUCCUGGGGGGGGCCAAAGUCUCCUGGAGUGAUGUAUGUUUGCCAAGAAAGGAAGGUGGGCUUGGAAUUCGGUCGUUAAAGGAGAACAACAUUGCCUCGAUGCUUAAACACAUUUGGAUUCUCUUCUUAGAUAAAGAAUCACUUUGGUGCAAGUGGAUUCACUCCACUUUCUUAAACCGCAAGAACUUUUUGGUGGUCCCUAUUCCGACUCAUUGUUCUUGGGCCUAGAAAAAGCUCCUCCGUCUUCGAGACUUGUACCAACAACAUUUUAGAUGGAAAAUUGGCAAUGGUCGAACUGCUUCGUUCUGGUUUGAUCUGUGGCACAUCAAUGGUCCACUUUAUAAGAUAUUUUCCAACCAGGAUAUAUAUCGUUCGGGCAUAUCUCGGGUUGCUUCCGUAGCUGACACCUUCUCAUCUCUGAUGGGCUAGUAUGUUAGUAACAUCUUGGCUGGUUGGUAGGAUCCCCUUCCUAUCUUCAACCAGAGUGAAGACCGAAUCUAGUGGAUUCAUCAUCCCUCGGGCCGCUUCUCUACAGCCUCUGCUUGGGAUCUUUUGAGACCUAGAGGCACCGUUGUUCCUUGGUCCUCUUUCGUUUGGAGUUCUAUUAUGCCACCUAGAUACCAGACACAUUUGUGGCUUAUCACCCGCAAGAGGUUGCCGACCCAGGUUCUGCUUGCUUCGGUUGGUAGGCUCUCUUCAGUUACUUGUCCCUUCUGUUCAUGCAGACCGGAUUCAGUAGAUUAUUUAUUUUUUGCUUGUCAUGUCCCUGGCAAUCUCGCCGCCUAUUGGGCGGCAAAAUUUAAUAUAUCUUGGCGCAACAAAUCGUGGCUUGAGAACUUGGACUAGGCGACUAGACGCUUCUCGGACAAAAACUUCUAUGAUGUGUUAGCCCGGUUUAGUUAUGGAGCUCUUUGUUAUAUUAUUUGGAAGGAGCGUAACAAUAUCAUCUUCCGUAAUCAGACUCUGUUCAUCCCGACGAUGAAGAUGCAUCUCCAGAAGGCCGUUAAGGAUAAAUCGUCGACCCUGAAGAAUGUUGUGGAUAAUCCUAAGAACAGAAGGUUGCAACGAAGCUAGGGCUUGAGUCCGUCUAUCUUUCAUUGAUGGGGGGGUUUUUUAGUUUUGGCUUGGUCUUUUGUUUCUUAGGUCUAUUUGUCUUUUGGUCCUUGGCACCCUUACACUCUCCCGCGAAUCAGGUCCUUUUGAGUGUUCAUUUUGGUGGUGCCAAGCUUUUCUUGUAUUUUAUGCAAAAUCUUAUCAAUACAAAUCUUACCUUUACCACAAAAAAAAAAAAAAAACAAGGUCGAAGAUUCCACCCAUGAGGCGUGAUCACGAUUAGAAGGUAAAUGCCGAUGGCAUGAAGCAUUAAAAUACUUGGAUAUGAAAAUCAGAACGUAAAGCCUACAAAAGCCUUGUUUGGGCCGGAUUGUGUAAUAUUUAAAUCAAUUAUCUCAAUAACCAUUUUAUUCAUAUUACACUUUGACCUUUUAAAAGAUAGGCGUAUGAAAGCUUCAGAGUGAUUUUACCAAAAUCCAAAAUCUAAAAUCCAAAUUUACCGUCGAAAUCUGGUCAAAAAAGAGAGGAAAAAAAUGGGUACUUGAAAUUACAAUGUGGCCAUGUACUUAUCAAUCAUAAAAAAAUUACUGAAAUAUUUUUAUUUAAGAAAGAGCAUUUAGAGAUGUUAAUUAAUUUAUAAAAUCAAUGUACGAGAUAAUUUUCAAUCUAUUUAGCGAUCCUCAAAGUAUGCGUGCCUCCGAUACUUCUCAAACACCAAUCCAAAACCUAGUUGCAAACCUGAGUGUUAUGACUACUAUGCAGAGCACCACCUCCCUUCUUCAUUGGUAUCCUCUUCAUAUGGCGAAGACAAAUUUGGAGUCCGGUCAUUCAUGGCUAGGUUUGACACUUGCAAUGUGAAAAGAUACCGCGAGUGAACUUGUUUUCUUGCCGCCCAGGAAUUUGUAGAGGCCGAAAACUCGGUCCUGAUCCAAUCCGGAACCCCUCCGGAGAAUUUGUUGUAGAUCCGUCAAAGACAACAAACUACCUAAAGGUGGCGGAAUGAUCCAUUCAACUGAUUAUUUGAAAAACCGAGCGAUACCAAAUUUUGCAAUUUUCCUAACUUAGGAACUGGAACGAUAUGGAAUUCCUAAAAAACCAUAAAUGUUUUAAGUUCCUCAAGUUCACUAACCAAUUCAGUGACCCAUCUAGUUGAUUACUCAAAAUAUAUGCAUAUGGUGUAUCUAAUAAUUCCAGGAAAAUGGCACCAUCGCUGUACAUCUCAAUUGUAAAAUGGAAUGAAAAGCUACAAGUUUUCUUCAAUUAGAGUUUUGUGAACUGAAGGUCUGCAAAAGCUCCAAGUUAACUUAAUGUUUAUCGCUCUUUGCAUAAUCUCUCAUCUCAUCCUUGUUAUAGUAUAAAAUGACUUGGGUCUACAUUCAUCUGGUUGCAUUUGUUUCGGAUGAAUGCGAAUUCUAAUGGAUGCUGUAGGAUCAUUCCUUGUAAAUGAAUAGGAGGAAAAGGCUGAAUUUUUGACCUUACAGCAAUUUCAUUCAGCUCAUAAUGUUCAUAUUACUGGCCUUUCACAUUGUAGUACGUUUGCGGGAUGUACAUAUGGAGGAACUAUUGGAAAAGUCAUUACACUUUGGCUAAGCGCAAACAAGAUUUUAGACCCCUAAAGAUGUUCUAAAUAAAGAUAUUGCAAAAUGAUGAAGUUUGCUAGAGGAAAAAGAUGAACUGUGUUACAAAAUCACGCAACAUUAUCUAACUUUUGGGAUAUAAUAUGAAAUUCUUUUUUAAAAAGAAAUGACAUUAUCUCAUCAUAAUUCGAUAAGUUUAUAGACAAAAUUGAAGUGCAAGAUUUCAAUGUAGAAUGUGAUUGUAAUUACAAAGAUUAGAGAAAGAGAAUCAAGAAAAAAGGAAUGUUUAAAGAGGAAAUAAUAAGAAAACAAUGAAAUUAUAAAUAUAGGGCAUGUACUUGAAUACAUUACAGAGGAACAUAGUAGAUUGUGUUGGGUAAAAUAGACUGACGAUUCACUGUAGCUUCAAUAAAAUAAGGGGAGAAUUGUCCAAAAAGUCCUAAACCUAUUGCAGUUUUGCCAAUUUAGUUUUAAACCUUUCAAUCUUGCCGAUUAAAUCCUAAACCUUUUGUUAGUUUGCCAAUUGAGUCCAUUCGGUCAAUUAUGAUCAGAAAAUGCUGACGUGGACGCCGGUGGUGCCACGUAGGACUGCCGGCGCUGAUGUUGACAAUUUUUAAUAAUAUUUUAAAAUUUUAAUUUUUUUAAUUUUUUAAUAUUUUCUGUUUUUUCCCUAUUUUUUUCUUUUCCCUUGUCCUUUUCCGAUGGCCGGCCACCAGCCACUGGCCUCGCCCGGCACUGCGAGGCUCGGCGGGGCGAUGGCAACGCCGGGCGAGGCCCGCCCCAGCGAGGGCCGGCCUCGCCAGAUCUAGCAAGGGGAGCCCUCGCCGCGGCUUGCCCUUGCCAAGGCGAGCGUCGACCUCGCCCCUGGCCAGGCGGGCGACGGCUAGCCACCAGCCACAGGCCGACGCCCGGCUAGCCAGGGGCGAGGGCCGGCCUAGCCAGAUCUGGUCUGGGCGAGGGUGAGCCCCGGCGAGGGCUCCCCUCACUAGAUUUGGCGAGGCUAGCCCUCGCCGGGGCCAGGGCUGACCUCGCCCGCCAUAGGUGAGGCUUGGCCGGGUGAGGGCUCGGUCGAUCUGGCGAGGCCAGGGCUGGCCUCGCCCGGCGUUGCCGUUGCCCGGCCGGGCCUCGCCUGUGGCGGGUGACGCCAGCAGGCCAGCUAUGGCCGGCCACCGGAAAAGGGCAAGGGAAAAGCCAAAAUGAAACAAAAAAAAAAGGGAAAAAGAGGAAAAUAUUUUAAAAUAUUAUUAAAAAUUGUCCAUGUCAGCGCCGGCAGUCUUACGUGACACUGCCGGCGUCCACGUCAGCAUUUUCCGGCCAAAAUUGGCUGGAUGAACUCAAUUGGCAAACUAACAAAAUGUUUAGGACUCAAUCGGCAAGAUUAAAAGGUUUAGGACUAAAUUGGCAAAAUUGUAAUAGGUUUAGGACUUUUUGGACAAUUCUCCCAUAAAAUAAGACACUAACCCAUAGGGUGCAAAAAUAAUGGAAGAAGAUAAUUGACACCUUUAAUCUAAAAAAAAUUAAAGAUAAUUAUAUCGUAUAAUAGAAAUGAAAAAACGAAGAGAAAAAGUGUAGGGAGUGACAUGGAAGAGAUCUUUAGUAAAUUAGGAAAGGAAAAGAGAAAAGUGGAGGAAAGGACAUAUGUCCUCUCAAAACCCUUGUUUAAUAUAAAGGAUACAGUGUAAGUUAUAAGAUGCUAGGCAAACUACUAUGAACUCAGUUCACAUAAUAUGCAUGCCCUACACAAUUCUUCUUUGAUAUUAGUAAAACCUAUUAAAUGUUCAAAGGUCAAUUUUACAUUACGUAUUAGAUAUUAUAAGCACCGUAAACAAACAUGCAGUACAUAACUCACAUGAUAUUGAGAAGAAACUACAUUUAAUUCACCAUUUCCUGACAAGAAGCAAUUACAGUUUGCAGUGCUUAAGAAGCUCAAUAUUGCAACAAGGGAUCAUAAAAAAAACACCCAGAAUCAUUCUUUUUAUCAUUUUCAUCACCUCAUCGGUGAGUAUAACCAUCUAAUAGAUUGUGCAUUAUAACCAUCUAAUAGAUUGUGCAUGCAGAGAAACAAAACAAAAGCCUAUGCUAAUACAUAAUUCCAAUCACAACAAAUAAGAUGAAUACGAAGCAAAGAGCUACAUAGAAAGGCUAAGUGAAGCUACAAAAAGACCGUAAUUUGUCCUUGACAGCAUCGUCUUGCCACACCAAUGUAGACCACCAUGAUUGCUCAGCAUCAAUGGAUCUUAAAUUAAUAGCAUUUAUCCUGGUAAAAGGAAGUUUCAACAAGGAUGGACAUGAAGCUAUAUCCAAUCUCUCUAGAGAAGGCCAAAUCAAUAAGUCAUUCGGAGCAAUGCUUCUUAAUUUUGGAAGAUCAUGAACUACUAGCUUUUUAAGAUUCGGAAGUGUUCUCGGGUCCAAACAAGGAUUUUCAGUUUCAAUGAUGAUCUCCUCAAUUUCAUGGCACUCUUCAACACUCAAAUGCUUCAGCUCAGAUAGUUGCUCGAUCAAUCCAUUUGAGAAUAUCUUCUUGAGCUUGGGGCAAUUGUACAAGAUCAAACUAGUCAUUUGGCCUAAGCUUCCCACAGGCACGGGACCAUUCCAAAUACAAUGCAAACCUGGGGCAUUGUUUAUGACCAUUCUCUCUAGCCAUUCGAAUGCACAAGGUGGUGCUACAUUACCGUCGAUGAUGCAUAUGAUGUCCUUGCAUCCCUCCACUGAACAAGCUCUAAGUUUACUCAAGUUCUCAUUCCCAAAAUCUGAUAAGCUCAGUAUAUUCUGAUGAUCAAUCAAUUCAAAUACUUCGGUCUUAGUGAGUACUUCUGAGAUCACAGGAUUUGUGCCUUCAUUGUUUGCAUACUUCAAGUACUUGCACAAUUGAUAUUCAAAAUAAUCAAGAAUAUGAUACUUGAUCGAAUUGCAAAUACCGACCGAAAACUGAAAUGUGAAGCGCAGGUCCUUCCAUAGAGGGCUUGAUCUGAUGAAGAUUUCAAGGCACUCUACUUUAGGAAAGGAAAAUGUCAGUGAAGUCAACCGUGUCAAGGUAGAAACCUCCUCUGUGAUUGUCCUCAUGACCUGAUCAGACCACAAAGUGUUUGGGUCUACAUCAAUCAUGAGUUCUUCUAAUGAUGAAAUGCUCGAAAUCACCUUGGACAUUGGGUUUCCGGUGCCAAAAUUUGACAGGGACAUGCGCAAACAUCUCAUCUGCGUUAAACUUCCAACUUGAAUAGGUAAAGAGAUGAUUCCAGUGCGUCGAAUGUCAAGCACCUCUAAAUGCACCAGUGCCUCUAUGCUUGAAGGUAGUUCUAUUAAGCCCUCGCAUGAAUUCAAGUAGAGCGCCCUGAGAUGAGUCAAGCAAGGCAAAGAAGGUGGAAGGGAUGUUAUUGCCGUAGCGUGUAAGUCCAAGACUCGGAGUCUUUGCAUAGACAAGAAGAAGCUCUCUUGGAUCAUCAUUAAAUUCUUGUUUCUUUGCAAGAGUAAAGUCGAAAGAUUUGUGCAAUUUGAAGUUGCCGGUAAACUGCACAAGUCAUUAUCCAUCAAAGAAAUUCGACUUGCAGAUGUCCAUUCUUCUUCCUUUGGCGGCUUUUUUAGCCCCUCACAUGGUCUUGCCAAGAUCUUAUGGUCUGAGACUCCUGAUGAAAUUUUAAGGGCCAUAUUGCGAAGAACUUUGUUCAUUCGGACAUGUGUCUUCACCGCACUUCUUUCUAACAAAGACACAUUGAUCAGAUCAUGUAGUAUGUUGUGCCCUCUAUCGCGUGCAUCUUGAAACUCAUCAAUGCUAUCGAGAAAACCCUCUGCUUUCCAACAUUCCAUCAAAUAGUCCACAAAUAUGUCACGGUCUUCAGGAAACAAAGCUCCAUAAAGAAAGCAAACCUUUUUAUCCUCCCCAUUUAAAUCCUCAUAACAGAACUUUAGGAAUUCAAGCACUUCAUCCAUGCCUUGAAUUUUGAUACUAGGCCAUCUCUGCAAGCUCUUCAAUCCAUCUCUCCAGAGGUGAAUGUUGUCCUUCUUUCUAAAAACCCUCGCCACUUUAUCAAUUAGCAAUGGCAAACUAGCACAUUCUCUAACCACAAGUUGUGCUACUGGUAUAAUACUUGGAUUCUUCAUAUUUCGACCUACUUUUUCUUCGAACAUUUUAUAUGCAUCGGCAUCGGAUAAACGCUUCAUAUUGACAAGCUCGUCAGCAUCCAUGUCAUAGCACAAAUCACGGAAUCUACUAGUAAAUACCACCUUGCUGUCAUUAUCAUUGUUGGGAAUACCUAUCUCAUGGAGAUCAAAAGGAUCCCAAACUUCAUCAAGGAGAAGUAAAUACCUCAUACCUCCCAACUCAUUUGAUAUAAGUUGAGCUGUCUCAACUGCGUUCGCUUGGCCCUCCAAUCUUAGCUUGAGACGCUGCGUGAUUGCAUCUUGCACCUUUUCAAUGCUCCAAGCCUUCGACACUGAUAUCCAAAUAACAAUAUCAAACAUUUUCUUAACUUCUUUAUUAUUAUUCAGAUUCUGCAUCACCGUAGUUUUCCCAGUUCCCACCAUUCCCCACAGUCCGAUCCUUUUGAUUUUUCUCUCCCUCAAAUUACCCAAAAUCUCUUCAACAGCCCAAUUUAGCGAAGGCUUAUCCUCAAUCCCGCAAGUAUCAAUGACUCUCACGUGCUCCGGGGAUCUGUCAGCUACCACCCCAUUAUCAAGCUUUCCUUCUUCUAACAGGACUCGUAAUUCCUCACGCUUUUUGGCCAUAUGCUUGCUAAGAUUUGCACGUGACCACAGUCGAGCGUAUCUCCAAGCAUGCAUAAUCUCUUUCUUGUACUUGCUUUCCAAUUUAAGUACUUCUUGUUCGGCCACCUUGACCCUAUAAAUCCAGGCUUCACAUUCCUUGGUAACCCUCUUCAUCUUGUUUUUGUUUAUUUCUGCCUCUACAUCAUCCCUUCUUGCAUAGAGCAUUUUUGCUUGGUCGGUCAUCUUCUCAAAAUUGAACUUGAAAUCAUCAGCAAACUCAACUUUUUUACUGAUGUAGCCAAAAAUGCUGCGUCCAUCCUUGUAGGCUUCGACUGCUAUUGCGGAAGCUGCUGCUUCAACCAUGACUAUCACAAGAACAAAAUCAAUUUGAAAAACCACUACAAGAAAAUGUAGAUUACUUGAGUAGAAAAGAGCAAGUCAUCCAGUUUAGUCAUGAGAUGUAUACUUAGACAAAAGGAAAAACAGAAAUAUGACUUUACAUUUGUCAAGCGGACGUACAGGGAAACAUCCUCAAAUAAAGAGGAAUGAGAUCAAAUUUUGCAAUGAUUUAGAAACUUCGACAUGGAUGCCCCAACAACAAAUAACGUAGAAUUUCUGCAUUUGGCUCAAUUGCAGUCUUGGUGAAGAUGACCCAUAUGUCCAAAACUAGGUUUUUGGGAAAGAUCGGCACCUAAACUAGAACAUGCUCAUAUGCUACUGUAAUAAAAGAACAAGUCAAAGUAAUAAGAGAAGUCUCAGCAAGCCACAACCCUGCAGUUCUAUGUGCAGCUCAAGUACACACUGAAUCUGAAUGCCACCUUUCCACAAAAAUGGGCACUUAAAAAGGUAGACCAAAUGAAAAGAGAGCUUUAUCUUAUAGCCGGGUGUUUAAAGGAAGUUGCUGUCUUAGCCACACAGAGCAAGAAUGUCAAGUUUUACAUGGACAUCCACUGAGUUCAAUUCGAAAGAUCCACUGAUUCAGAAGAAGGCGAUUUUAGACAAUGAGGAAUUAGGAGAUGGCAAAAGAUAGCAACAGUGCAAGCUGCAAAAGUUGCUUUUUUGUGAUCGCAUCAUCGUUUCAUCACAGAACAGAGGAUCAAUCUUGCAACACAGACUGGAUCUUUUCAAGGAGAGUCUUCGGCAACGGAAAGGAAAGAAAGAACAUGAAGAAGAAAAGAUUAAAAUACAGUCGCAUAAGCAACAUAUCUUAGAUUCAGAGAGAGUGACGAAGCACCUCGCGUACCUGAUUCUGCAGAGAUUGAGAUUGGCAAGAUGGGAAUCACAUUUUAGAAAAGUCAUUCCCAGUAGAAAGCCGCCCGAUGGAGAGGGUGAGGAGGUGGAAUUAGUGGUGAUCCAUUGACGUUGACUUGUUGAAAAGACCAAAUUGCACCUACACAAUUGCCUAAAUUCCCUCGUGCACCUUAGUGCGUGAUUGUAAAGUAUUCGGAAUAUUCCUCCACGUGUCUAACUUUAAUUAACCUUCCUUUUUUAAUUUUAUAAAGUUCAAAUAAUAUUUCGAAUUAUUCUGUGGGUAGCUGUUGUUUGGCUGGUGCCUUUAUAUUGGUUCAUUGGUCUGCUUUGACUGGUCGCUUGUUUUGUUGUUCUUGUGUGUGUAGCCGUUUGGCUUCCUGUGUCGUAGAUGGGCUGUUUCUUUUACACUAUGCCACCCUUCCACUCAUAAUGCCAGCUUGUCAUUUUGAAUGUAAGUUUUCAUAUUAUAUAGUUUGGUAAAACUCAAUAUAUUUAUUAAUUUCGUCAAAAAAAAUAUUAGAGAGAGAGAGGCCACUUUCAUGCCUACAACAAAUAGGACGAAAUAACUUUAUAUUUUUUUCUUUUUUCCUUUUUGACUAGAAAAAAAUAUUUAAUUUUAAAGCUUUGUUUAUUUCAUAAAAAAUGAAUGAUUUGAAUAAAUUUUCCUAAAAAUAAUCAUUGGAGAUAAUUAAUUAGUGAGAAAUAUUUUAAUAAUCGACAAAAGUUCAUCUUAUUACUUUUGUAGAUGAUGAAUUUUUUUUUUUGUUCAUUUUGACAAGAAAUAUAACAUAAUCAUUUUUAAAAAAUAAUUUUUAAAUCAUUCAUUUUUUUAUAAAAUGAGUAUCGUAAAUUUCUAAUUAGAGGGAAAGGUCAACUUUGUUGGGUUGUUGACCGUUAAUGGGGGCACUGCGUGCAAUAUCUAUUCUCCCACCAGAAGCAACUUAUACGUGUAAACAGAGUUCAUAUGUAUCGUUAGAUGAGAUGGGCCCAUUUGGGACCUAGCUGAUUUAUCAAUGCAUGUCAAUUACCGAGGUGGUCAUUACUCUCUCUUCGUCAAUUGCUCUUCGCUAAUUUAUUUUUGCGGCUCACUAUUCACUGUAGGCGUCAUUUUUUUAAGAGUGGAUAGCUGGCGAGUUUUGUCCUGUCGGAGCUAAAUCUCAAAUUUGAAUUCGGGAAUCAGGUGGGUUUCAUUAGAUUAAUAUAUUUGAGACCUUUAGACUUUGAAGGAACAAACCUUUUAAAAAAAAAAAAUUGGAGUGACUUGAUUAGGUAAACAAUUGCCAAAAGUUCACAAAAAGCUGCCUAGCCUUUUGAGGUCUCCAUAAUCUAAUUACCCUACUCACCCAACGAAAUCCAAACCGAAGCAAUGGAAAGACUUGAUAGAUAGACUAAAGAAAAGCAACCCGGACACAUUUUCUCAGUUCUCUUCCAAACGUAACCAGCGUUGGCCGUGCAAAAUUGAAGAACGUUCUGUAUAUUUCCAUUGAUAGGUUCUAAUUGAUUGUAAAUGAUAUUUUGUUACUUUUAAAAGUAAUCCUGUAAGGUUUAUAAUUAGGCUCAUGUACUUUUCAUUUAAUAAUAUACAUUAUAUUACAUUUUUCUAUCAUGACAAUUCUCAAUUAUAAAGAACAAAAGGACCAGUACUAACAAGAAAGGUAAUGACCCGCAUAUUCCCAUCAGCUCACAAAAUGUGCCCCACUAUCAACUUACCCCUGAUGUAUAAAAUGUCGAUAUAGAGCAAUGUAAUGCUUCUACAGAGAAAGACAAUAGGCAAAUCCAUUGCGAUUCCUAAUAUUUGCUAAGCAAUCUUAUUUAGGUAGUGCACAAUGGUACUAUAUUAUUUUCAUUCGAUUUGAAUAUGUAAGAGCACGCAAAAAUUUCUUUUAAUUAUUAUUUUUUUAACAUCAAAUAACAAAAUAGAUCGAUAUAAGAUAACAGGUUAUGUUUAAUAUGCCUAUCGUUUUUAUGGGUGUAGUAAUUAAAAUUCAUAUAGUUUGAUAGAGUACAUGCAUGCCACAUUUAUUAGUCCAAUCCGUCCUCAUCUUUCUCUACAUUAAGGCUUUGCCUUUACGAAAAGCAACUUCUUGUAUAUUCUGGCUUCUAGGGUGAUUGGUUCCAAUCCAGUUCCCAAAAUUGGAAUUGGAAACCAGACCAGUUGGUCUUAGAAUCAGGUACCAGAUUUUUUUUCCCUCCACUCGAUGCUUUAUAUUAUGAAGAAAUUAAAAAAAAAAGUUAGCCACUUUUAAUUUUUUUUGAAGAAAUUAAAAAAAAAAAGUAUCUAUAAUCGAUCUAGUUUGGUUCCCUUUUAGAAUUGAGAAGCGGACUUCUGGAACAUUGGUUUCGCUUGUAGAAAUUAGGAGUAUGCAAGGUAUAUAUCAAAUUCUGAAAAUUGGAGAAUCGAUUUCGAUGGGUAAGUUUUAAAUUUCAGAGUAUGCAGGAUAUAUAUUGAAUUCCAAAAAUUUAGGAAUCGUUUUUGAUAGGUAGAUAUUAGGUUCCAAUAGAAGCUGAACCGAUUCACUCCUAACUACCCCAACAAGAAUGGCAUGUUUGAUAACGUUUUUGUUCAAAAAUUGUUCUAGGGAACAGAAGUAGAAAAAACUAUUUUUAUUCCGGGGGACAAUUUUUUAAUAGAAAACGUGUUUAGUAACUGCACAAAAUUUCUAUUUUUAUAAUAGAAAAUGAACAGAAACACGUUUGGUAAACUUGUAUAAUUUUUUUGUUUCUUUUAAUUUUUUAUUUUAUUUUUCCUUUUUUCUUUUUUCUUCCUUUUGGUCGGUUGCUGGCCUCAGCCAUGGUUGGUGACUGGCUGAUGAGAGUCGGCGCCCUCGCCAGAUCUGGGCGAGCUCGAGCUUGCCCUUGUUAAUGGUUGGGCAAGCUCAGCCUCAUCAGGGGCCGGCAACGCUCUAGCAAGGUUGCCAACCCUCAACGAUUGGUCGCCGAUGUCGUUGGCUCUCGACAAUUGAUCGCCAGCCACCGACCAAAGAAAAAAGAAGAAAAAGAGAAGAAGAAAAGAAAGAGAAGGAAAAAAUAUGAGAGAGAAAAAUUAAAUUUUUUUCUUGUUUUUAUUUCAAAUUUGUUUCUGAGAACAAAAGCGUAAAUACGUUUGGUAAACUUGUAUUUGGUAACUGCACAAAAUUUCUAUUUUUGUAAUAGAAAAUUAACAGAAACACGUUUGGUAAACUUGUAUAAUUUUUUUUAUUUCUUUUAAUUUUUUAUUUUAUUUUUCCUUUUUUCUUUUUUCUUUCUUUUGGUUGGUUGCCAGCCUCGGCCAUGGUUGGUGACUGGCCGAUGAGAGCUGGUGACCUCGCCAAAUCUGGGCGAGCUCGAGCUUGGCCUCGUUGGUGGUUGGGCGAGCUCGGCCUCAUUAGGGGCCGGCAACACUCUAGCAAGGUUGCCAGCCCUCAACGAUUUGUCACCGAUGUCGUCAGGUCUCGACAACUAAUCACCGACCACCGACCAAAGAAAAAAGAAGAAAAAAAGAAGAAGAAAAGAAAGAGAAGGAAAAAAUAUGAGAGAGAAAAAUUAAUUUUUUUUUCUUGUUUUUAUUUCAAAUUUGUUUCUGAGAACAAAAGUGUAAAUAAAUGCAUUUUUUUUAUUUCUUGGAACAAAAGAACAAAAGAAUAGAAAUUGUGUUCCGAAGAAUAAAAACAAAACCCAAACAAAUAGGUCCAAAGAAGUUCACUCGGUCGAACGCAGACCUACAUUUAAAAAUCGGUCGGUUUAUCUCGGGAAACAGCCUUGAGGCCGGUUCGACCUUCCCCCCCCCCUUCUUUCUCUCCUCGUCUCUAUUUUUGAAUCGCGUUAGCAUACGGUUGGGAACACCAAAAUACAUAGAGACGGUGCGGUGCUUCGUUUGCUACUUUCUUCUUUGGGGUGCGAUCAUGGGGAACAGCAGAAGCAAGCCAGAGUCGAUGGAGCCGUGGAGACGCCUUAGCAUUGAGACGCGAGCAAGUCCUCCCCCGCAGGCCUUCGAUUUAGGUCCUGCUUCGGUUUCAGGUUCGUCUGUUGAAGCAAGUCCUCCGCCGCAGGCCUUCGAUUUAGGUCCUGCUUCGGUUUCAGGUUCGUCUGUUCAUGCAUCGGAUUCCGACAGAUAUUUUUUAAUUCACGUUUGGUUUUCGGCUGGAUUCUCCAUGGUGUGGUUUGACUCACGUGUUUGAAUAGAUUAUUUUCCAGUAGGAUUGUUCAUCAUCUUUACUCAUCAUCAGGUACACCGCAACCGGUGGAGGAACUUGAGAUAUGUUAUGACGACAUGGAAGGUGGUCCACCUGAAUAUGGCAGCAAGGUGCUUAUGCGUGGGGGUCUAGGAUUGAUGGAGCCUCCGGAGGUCACACAAUGGCAGACUUACACGGAGAUCUACUUGAUGGAAAACCGGUUAACUGAGUUGACCGAGAAUCCUCGGUGUCCUGUACUCUUGGUCUUGUUUCUGAAUAGAAAUUACAAGCUCAGAACAAUUAGUCUGUCUUUCUUCGAUUACAUGCCUGCUCUUGAAAUCCUGAAUUUAUCCAGAACGCGAAUCAAGUCCUUGCCAGAGUCUCUGUUUGGGUUAAGCUGCCUGAAAAGACUAUUCUUAACUCACUGCGAGUUGCUGACCGUGUUACCUCCGAAAAUUGGAGAACUUCAGCAGCUUGAGGUGCUUGACCUUGAAGGGACUGAGAUCAUGGAUCUGCCAAAGGAGGUGGGAAAGCUAACGAAGCUCACUUGCUUAGAAGUAUCCUUUUGCCUACGCAUAAAUCAGGGCACAAAAUCUGCGAUAGCGAAUGCAUUGAUUCCUCAAGGCACUAUUUCCACACUAUCUCAAUUAGAAGAAUUAAGUAUUGAUGUAAAUCCAGAGGAUGAGAGGUGGGAGAAUGUUGUGGAAGGUAUUGUUGAUGAUAUUUGUGGCUUGUUGAGCCUGGAUACACUAAGACUGUACUUUCCACAUGUGGGACAUCUAAGGAAAUUCAAAUGGUUUGAUACGUCAAAGGUGUCUAGAUCGUUGUCACAUUUCAAAUUCAUUGUUGGUAGUCACGAUGAACGCAUCAUGUCUCAUCUCCCGGUGGAUCUUGAGUUCGAAAUAGAACGCUGGGAUAGAUCCCUGAAAUAUGUAUAUGGUGUGGGUGUACCCAGAGAUAUCCAGAAGAUGCUCCGGCAUACUACUGCAUUUUUCUUAGAUCGCCAUAGGAAUGUCAUGAAGCUAUCUGAUUUUGGGAUUGAGAACAUGGAGCAACUGAAAUGCUGCAUAAUCGGGGAGUGUAAUCAGAUUAAGGUUAUUGUUGAUGGAAUUGAUCUGUACGAUGAAGCUGAUAGAAGUGAAAUUGUAUUAGAAACAGGGAAGGAUGACAGGAGGUUUCUCAAGUCACUUGAAUAUCUCUAUGUAUAUCGUAUGAAGAGUUUGAGUUGCAUUUAUGAGGGGCCGCUGCAUCGAGGAUCCUUGUCUCAUCUUAAAUGCUUGGCCUUAGUCACAUGCCCUCGGUUGACUACUAUAUUCACACCUGGCCUACUGGAAAACCUUGAUAGCUUAGAAGAGCUCAAAGUCGGAGACUGCCCCCUCGUCUCAAGUUUAGUGACAUGUGAAGAUACUUCUAUUUACAAGAGUGUUCACUUCCUCCCCAACUUGAAAAGGAUAUCCUUGUUCUCAUUACCUCAACUCAUUAGCAUUUCCAAUGGCUUAUGCAUUGCACCAAACUUGGAACGAAUGAGCAUUUCUGAUUGUCCGAAUCUCAAGAGUCCUUCAACUGAUGGAAUCUGUUGCAAUUUUCUGACAGGGACUAAAGGUAACGAUGAUAAUCAGCAGGAGCACUGUUCUGUCGAAAGGAUGCAUGUUUUUUUCUUUCGCUUUCAUUUUAUUCAUUUGAUUGAACAAAUUAAAAGCUGCAGGCCCAGCUUUAAUGAAGAGAAAAUUGGAAAGUCGACCCUUACUUGAAUGAACUCUAAUCUUCUUUCACAUCAGAUAUCUGAUCUAUUACCCUUGCAAUGUUUAUGAAUGAGGCAGUGACCACUAACUGCUCAAAAUUCUGGUCAAGGAAUAAACUUGAAGUUAAUGUUCGGUUUAUGUUGCAAAGUCCAACCGAAGGCUUAAGCUAUCAGGGUGAGGGAGACUACAUGUAUACAAGAUCAUUGUCAAAAUUUCAAAUUGUAUUACUGGUUGCAUUCCAAUAAUUACAGAUGCGAGCAUAUCAGCCUCUUGGACGUGUUAUCACCACAAUAGGGCUGAUAGUGGCUGCAACUGGUGUGAAUUUUAUUCCUGUCGACUGCAAUCAACUGCUACUUAAAACAAUAGUUGUUAUGAGUUCUGUAAACAAGUGAUGGUCAAUACUUUAAUAUCCCCCUCUCUUGAGCAAACCCGAAUAAAAUCACAUGACAAAUGCACUUUAGGAAUAAGACAGAAAUCACUCUAAAUGAAAUAUUAUUUAGGGCGUGAAAAAUUGAGAGUUGGCUCUAGUACCAAAUUAAAAAUCCAGUCUGAAAUUUUUUAGUUAUUAAGUGGAUGCAGACCAUAGGACCAUAUUAAACCCCAAAAGAUGCAAAGGGGGAUAAUUUACCAUUAUAUCUAACUUGUUACGGUGGAUUUAUAGUCUAGUUCUGGUUUUGGGCUUUGAUGACUCAUGCUUUGGCCCCACUAAAACUUGUCAAGUCGGAGUUGUUUGCUCUCUGAAUGUGCCAUUAUGCCUAGUUUAUGUAACUCUUUUGUUGGAUUUGUUGUGCAAUUGUAACACACUUUAUCAACUCAGGCUAUAGCCCAAUUGGAACUUGCCAAGUUACUCUCGCAGACUCUCUUUGAUUGCCAGCAUCCUUGGGAGUGCUCUUUGUUCCCAGAGUUUUAUUUUGCAGUGUUGCUUUGGGAAGUGACUUUCAAUUAUUGUGUGCAGUAGACAUCUAGUAAUGGGUAAUGAGAGCGAUGUAUCUCAUAGGAAGACAUGAGUUUGUGACAGAUCUAGAGUAGGUUGAGUGUCUGAUAACACAAGAAGUGAGUGUCCAGUGCCUCAGAGAUUAAGAAAGUUGUAUAUCAGGUAGAUGGGAAAUUUGGCAUUCUGAAUUGCUUAAAGAAAGUUCUAGCGUUUCAAUAAGCAUUGAGCGGGGUUAUGUGAUGAACUGGAUCUGAAAGUGGCGAAGCUUGUGGGGGAGCUAAAUGAUCGCAUGGAAUUUUUUUAGUCUAUAUCAAGAGAUGAGGUAGAUUUGUUGCUGCUCAUCUUUUUCCAUUGCGUUGAGUGCAAGUUGAAGUAUGUUGUCAUAGUUAUCCAUUGUAAACCACAUAUCUACCUGGGUAUGACAUACCCUCCUCUACUCGGGAGUGGAUGUUUCCUUCUAUUGGAAAAGACCAAUUGGCAGAUUAGCUAAUUCAUCUUUAAAUUCCUGUUUAGAUGAAGUGGCUUGGUGUUUGUUGUUCGUCUAAGUGACCCAAAUCGGUGGUUACUCAUUUUGUCUAAUAUGCUAAUUUUGUAUUUGAGCAGCACAAAGUAUUCCAAAUGAUGCAAGCAGAGAGCAGCCUGCUCCUCCUGUGGUUUCAUCUACGACCACUGGUAAUGCAGGCCCUUCAAAUUCUAAACUCAAAAGGGAAACUAAAGUUGCUUCUCGGCUUUCGAAAUUAUUAUUUAAUGAUCUUAAGUUAGCUACAAGAAACUUAAGUGCCGCAAGUCUUCUUGGUGAAGUUGGUUUUGGCUGUGUAUGUGGAUUUACAAAUGAUACAAGCAGAGAGCAGCCUGCUCCUGCUGGGGUUUUAUUUACACCCACUAGUACAGCGAUCAGCUCCUCAGUUUCAUCUACGACCGCUAGUAAUACAGCAAUUACCAAUUCAAUUUCAUCUAAGACCACUAGUAAUACAACAAUUAACUCUUUGACUUCUAAAGUCAUUGAGGAAAAUAUAAUCUCUCCUCAGCUAUGGAAAUUUUCAUUAAAGGAUCUUAAGUUAGCUACAAGAAAGUUUAGUCCUCAGGUUCUGCUCGGUGAAGGCGGUUUUGGCCGUGUCUUUAAGGGUUGGAUUGAAGAAAAUGGGACUGCUCCUGCAAGGCCUGGCACUGGGCAGGCUGUUGCCGUUAAGGUUCUGAAUCAUGAGGGGCUUCAGGGUCACACAGAAUGGCUGGUAAUAUAUCAACCAAUGAUCUUGUAUUUCUGAAUUAAUGCAUGUUUGACUGUUGGUAUGACUUUUGAUGUGUUGCACUUUCCAUGUGGCAGACUGAAGUGAUUAUUCUUGGUCAUCUAGUACAUCCAAAUUUUGUGAAGUUAAUUGGAUAUUGCGCAGAAGGCGACGAAAGGCUGCUAAUAUAUGAGUAUAUGCAACGAGGGAGCUUGAAUAAUCACCUCUUUAAAAGUAUGCACAGUUGCCCUUUAUAAUGUGCUUGGUGCUCUUAAUGACAUGUCUAGCAUUAUGUUCAUACUAUAUAAGUACUCACAGUUUUGACCCAAAAAAAAAAGUACUCACUGUAAAACAAUCCACCUUUAGCUGGAUAUGGAAGUCAUGUCUCCCAUGAAAACUCUAUGAUUGCUACUAGCAUCUGGAUAAUAAUGUUAAGGAGAAAGAAUCUUACUUGUCCUUAUAAUCGACAUCUUUCCGAAAGAUGGUAGGAUUCGGAACCAUAUUUUCCUAAACAAUUUGUAUACAAAUUGUCAUGUCCACAAUGUUCAGCCUCUGUUGAAUGUUCUUCUACCUGAAAUGUUUCUAUGUAAAUUGGUUGUUCGUUGUUGCUGCCACUGAGAACCAAAGGAUGCAGUAUCGGAGACUUUCACUGUUAGCAUACUCAGAGGACAUUAUUUGUUCAAAGCCAGGAAAAGGAAGGAAAGAAAUGUUGGGAGCUCAGAACUGGUCAUGAAAUGUCACUUUUUAGCAGCUUCGUCCGUGUGAUGAUCUUAGUAUCAUUUUAUCACUUUUGUCUCUCCGUAUUACAUCUCAGGGAAUCCUGGACUCAAUUCUUUUUAAAUUGGUCAUUUAUGUGCAAGAACACCAGAGUUAUACCAUAUUGAGAAUGAAACUUAGUACAAGCUCGUAAGUAUGCUGGUAAUGAUAUUUAAUGGAGUUACAUGCUUGGCAAUGGAAGGACUCUUGAAAGAUACUAAAUGUUUUUAAUAGUAGGGCAUAAUGAUUUGUUUCAGCAGGUUUCGCUGAGCUUUCCCUUGUAUGAGCGUAAAAUUUUAUUUCUACAAGAAAAGAAAGGAAAUUCUGCUGUGGUUUCUACUAUUUUCUUGCCUUGCCUACUAAUUCUUCGCAGUUGACUUUCAGAAGUUGGUGUCAGUUUUAACCACACUAUCAUUGACAAUGGUGGCUUCAGAAAGGGAAUAUUGAUUUAUGUGUGACGACAAGUAUUUUAUUAGUUAAUUCUUGUGUUAUUUCGUAGGCUGCGUAGGAGGGACUCCGCCUCUCCCCUGGUCUUCCAGGGUGAAAAUAGCGCUGGGUGCUGCAAAGGGUCUUGCUUUUCUUCAUGAGGAAGCAGAACCGCAAGUGAUAUUUCGUAAUAUUAAACCUUCCAAGAUCCUAUUAGAUGCCGUAUGUAGCAAAAGUUGCGUGACAUUCCUUUUUCCUUUUUAAUCAUGUCGUUUGACUUUUUCGUAACUUGUCUUUUUUAGGACUUCAAUGUCAAGCUUUCUGGUUUAGGACUUGCAAAAAUUGUUCCCAAGGGAGAUGACUUUGACUCCACCCCUGUCAUGGGAACGUAUGGCUAUGCUGCCCCAGAAUACGUAGCGACUGGUAUGUAUAUGCUAGUACAAGCAAUUUUAGGAUGAGAAUUGUCCAAGUUAUCUGCACAAAAGUGGUUGAGCAAUGUUUUUUACAUGUCAAAACAAGAGAACAGCACCAAUCUACACGCCUCAUUCACAACAUGGGCACCGUUAUGAUUAGGAACUGAAUUGAAUUAGGUAGAUAUCAAUCGCGACGAAAGACUAGAAAAUCAGAGGGACCGUUAUACACUGAUAUACCUACUUUUCAUUAUGUGCAUCCUAUCUCUGGUCUGUCCUCAUACAUGGUCACAAUCUGCAGUAAUGGUACAAUCAGCUGUAGUUCUUGCACGUCAUGCUAAAAAGUCACAUUCUUUCUGUUUGAGUUCUGCAUGUAGUCUCCCAACUGAUGUUAUUCCCUUACCUUCCAAUCCACCACAUAAUCAAUCAUUGAAUGGAUUAUCUUGCAUAUUUCGUGGUUGAACUUCCGGGACAUUUUGCAUUGCUGGCAAGUGAAUUUUUUGUUUUUGUUUUACUUUGUUUAUUAUUAUUCUUUUUCGUCUUUGGUUGAUAUUAUUUUAUUCAAUUAACGACCGAAUAUCCACUACGCCCUUCGAAUACUGGAUUAAUCCCCAUCGGUUGUUGUAAUUUUUAAUAGGAUGCACAACCAGUUUUUACCCAAGCACUGAUUCUUAAUCAAAGCUCUUUCUUUAUGUGUUUUUAUGUGCUUCAACGCUACGUGUCCAGAGGUUCUCAGUUCUGAAUGUAGUAUCUAUAUUUUUUCCAAUAGCCAAUUAAUUUCCACUAAAUGUGGUAGCUGUCCGUCCUACGCGCUAUAUUAUUACUAAAAAACUUACCUAAACUAGGUAUCAUAUGUUUCUUUGUUUUACGUGCUUUAGGUCUGGGUGCGCUUGGGAAUGGCUUUCCCAAAGCCCCUUGGGCGUCGAAAGUCUUUCAGGUCGAAUAAAGUGUUUUUGGCAAAAAAAAAUUGAACCUCAUUUCCCAAAUGGAAGCCUUCCAAAGGCUAAAAGCCCAAGACAGCUGAGAGGGUGCCUUGAGCUUUUGCCUUUUGGGCAUGCUAAGCUAUUGUUCUUCUUCUUCUUCUCUGUUGAAUAGGACCGGCAUGCUGUGAGUGGUUGCCGGCAAAGGGCAGGCGAUUGAGUAACCCCUAGCGACGGUUGUAGCAACCCAAAUUUGUCACGCUACCUCCAUGAAGGUCUCCUUGAGAUUGCGCGACCCACCUCCAGCGACCUAGCGCGACCUCGUCGCAACCCAAAUCUCAGGUCGUUAGAGGUCGCGUGACCUCGCUAGGCGAUACCCAAAUGUGGGUCACUGGGUUGUGCGGAGGUCACAAUUGCUUGGUCGUGCCCUCGCUAGGGGUCGCUCAACCCCAAGUGGUCCUUGCCGAUGGUCUCCGGGGGUUGCCUAGAGUCUUGCAACCUCAUAGGUCAACCAUCGGUGACAGAUUUCGAUCGUCAAUGACCGCUUGCCCUCGCCGGCCAGCUUUUUUAUUUCUCUGUUGAUGAUUUUUUUUUUUUUUUAAUUAUAAAUGUCUUUCGUAACCACCCGUGGUGGCGGCGUAAUUGGUUGAGCACUUGUUCCUUUCGCGAGAGGUCCAGUGUUCGACUUCCUACGCCGUCUGCCUUGUUGGAAAGGAACCCACAACUUACCCGGCAAGCAAGGGUGGUGGUGACUCUACCUGCUCCAGGGUUUACCUAGUUGGGUUGCCGGCUUACGGGGGUUCCCUAGGUUACCAAAAAAAAAAUAUCUUUGGUAAAUAUAAUCUCUCCAAAUGCUAUUUUACUCAGAAAUAUUUCACAAUAGACUUUCAUAUUACAAUUUAAUAAACAUAAUUUGCAUUUUAAAAAACCUCUUUAACUUGAAGUCCUUUGUAUUUAUCCAAAAACUUUCCUCAAAAGUCUAACUCAACGCAUCCAUUAUGAUUUAUUUGUUUUCUCAUUAUACUAUCCUAUUUGUCUUUUACGAGAAGAAAACUUUAACUUUGAGGCCAUUAAAAGGCAGUUGAGAUUAAGAGUUGAAAAUUUUAUCUUCUCUUUUUUUCCUUGAUCUACGUACUUCAUUAUAAUUUUAGUGUGGGCAAUGCAUGAAGAAGUAUUCACUAUGUUAUUGUAAAUUGGGAUUAUCAUGACUUCAUAAUUUCUAAGAACAAGCAUCAUUCCAAUUUACAGAUCAAUUAGGGAGGUCCAUGUCUAUCAUGCUAUAAAUUACUGCCUUACCGAAGUCUCGAAUGAAGUUUAUCAUGAUAACAAGAGAUGCAAUAUUGUGCUUUGGAAUUGCCGAUGAUAUUUAGGACCAUUUGGUACAUAUUUUAUAUACUCCUGUUUAGUGAGUGCACAUAUACUGUUGCAGGGCACAUCACAACAAAGUGUGAUGUCUAUGGAUUUGGUGUCGUUCUUUUGGAAAUUAUGACCGGACUGAGAGUCAUAGACCGAGGUCGGCCUUCCCAUGAAAUUAACCUUGUUGAAUACGUUCGGCCACGUCUAGGAAGGAAAAAAGAAUUGUACAAAUUGAUGGAUCCAAGGCUUGAAGAGUUCUCAGAAAAAGGUGUCCAGAUUGCUUUCGAGUUGGCUGCUCGCUGCCUUAGCGAAGAUCCAAAAGCUCGUCCCCUGAUGAGUGAAGUCGUUGAAGUUUUGAAGACUAUCCAACAUCUUCCAUACAAGGCAGGAACAUCAAAUAUUCAGAACAAGACUAGGGAAGCGCUGGCUGUGAAAUGACGUCCAAACUCAAACCAUGAUGAAUUCAAGGAAUGCAAGUCUUUCAAUUCCGGGCAGACCAACGCAUAUUCAUGCCACCAUACCACCAACUCUGGAAGCCAGUGGUAAACUGGGAUAAUGUGCCUAUAAAUAGCCGUUGUUCAAUCCCAUUUGUUUCCUUUUCUCUUCUCCUUUUUGAUGUCAGAGUCUCGACUUCCAUCUGAACAUUCGCUCUUGAUUACUGAAUUGUCGAUGGAGUAAAGUAUAAUCUGAGUUAUGUUGCGUUUACAAAGGCACCCAUUGAAGAGUGGUCAGGUGAAGCCUAAAAAUGGGAAGUAUGCUUGCGCGUUGAUGCCUUAUCUCUCCUCUACAGCAUUUUAAUGAUAAUGAUUACUUUUGAUGGUGCCUAUUUGAUGUACCUUAUCUUGUAAAAUUUGUUAUUUAUCCAAUUUUUCACGUUGUGGCAUGUCUUUGACACAUGUUCUUGUUCUCAAUAAUCAUCUCGUUGUAUUUCUAUUUCUCGCGUCACUGGGGCGCUCGUUCAUUUGAAUUGCUAAUUCAUUUGCUGUGUAAAAAAAUACACGGUUCUUCUCGUUCAGACUUCAACCACGAUAAAUUGUUGGAAAUUCUUUUGGGCCAGUAUUUAUUAUUGAAACCGGUGUUUGAGCAUUCAACGUAGGCUAUUUUUUAUCGUAUUUUUGUUUGGGCCUAUGCGGCCCAACCUAAAAAAAUUCAUCAUGGGCUGUGGGCCCGGCCCAAGUGAGUGCAGCCCCGUUAACCACUCCUAGGACAGAGGUUGGAAUGCUGGUGCCGGUGCGCCUCCAAGCUUUUUUCCUUUGAGUUUUCUUUUUUCAUAUUAUUCUAUUUUUUCCGAGAUAUUCUUUUCUCUUUUUGUUGGGUUUAUUUUUCCUAUAAAUAAAUAUAAAGUAUAUUAUUUUCUAAAAUUUCUAUUUCUUUUUUCUCCUCUUUUUCUUUUUCUUUAAAAUCUAAUCAAAGAUAUUCUUGCUUUUUUUUAUAUGUAAUAAUACAUUUUCCUUUUUUUUUUAUUUUGCAAUCAGUCUAUUCAUACAGUUGGACUUGAUCAAAUCUGACUAUAUGCAAUUCAAUUUGAUAUUUCCCAGCCUACUUAUUGCCUUGAAAACAAAUUUUGGGCUCACACAAUCGACAAUGCUUUUAUACUACAAUCAAAAUACAUAAUACAAGAGGAUGUGCAUUAUCUUAUAAAUUUUAAUAUCAGUAAAACGUCUUUCUUUUUCAACUGAGAAAAAAUAAUGAUACUCACAUAAUUUUGAAAAUUACUAGUAUGUUGCCAAAAAAAAAAAAAAAACUUUUUUUCCCACGACAUUGCCCAGGUUUCUUUUCUCCACACUCCCUCGAUUGCUGCCUUUGCCACAUCUCCAUCCACUCUUUCACUUUGGCCUCCCCACAAUCCGAGGUGCUCUAUUCGUUCCUGCAUUUCUAGGGUUUUAUGAGUUUCACUUUUGCAUGUGUGCUUGUCAUGUGCUUUCAUGCCCGAAAGCGUUUCGAUCUAUUGAUUUCUUCCGUUGGCAAUUCUUAGUUGUAGCGCUGCCGUCCAUGUUGAUAGUGGGCACGUGAUGAAAUUUGUACAUUGGACUGGACCUGUAUUUUUUUGAGAGAAUAUUAGCUUUUGCUCUGGGCGUUUGAUGAAUUGGUAAUUUUUUUUAGUGAGUCACUAAUUCCAUUUUUCAUCAAAUGUUUGUUGAUUAUGAUGGUAGUUUGUCUUUUAAUUGUGUUUAUGUAAUUGUUUACCUUUAUCCAUUGCUUCGAGACGCCCAUGGAGACUUUGGGGGCCUACUAGCUUGUCGACGACGAGACCACAAGCUGUUCAUUUUUCUUGUUGAACAUACAUUGGCUCUCUAAAUUUGCACAUUGCUGCUAGGUAAUAUUAAAAUAUAAUAAGUGUGCCAUGUGCAUAUUCCAACGCCAACAUAAAAAAACCUAAAUUUCAAUUAAAAAAGAUCACCACCCAAUUGACAUAAGUACUAAUAAGUCACAAUUGCUUUUUAUAAUUAGAUCAUUCUCGAAGAUGAUCACACUUUAGAAUGCGAUACAAGCGCUCAGACUAUUCUUUUGGCUCUGUGAAAUAAUCAAUUACGAGGAUGUCCUUUAUGCUGCAUGAGGAGAAAAACCAACUCCUGUAACUUGAUGCCGUUACCCUUAAUAGGAUCCUCUAAAACGUAACAAGAUUUAGCCAUUCCCCAAGACUUUGAGGAUUCAUUUAUUACGAUCUAUGAGAUAUAACCCAAGCAUGUCUAGAUGUGAGUAAUUUUUCUCCUGGCUAGACUCGAUUCAAAUCAUUUGUGAAGUACUUACCAUUCGAGAAGAAGUAUUUACCAUCACGAAGGGCAUGCGCACAAGGGGUCAUCUCCUUGUCUUUGUCCUCUCAUUGCACGAUCAAAUUCAACAGCUUCACGUGAAACCAUAUAAGAUAAGAAUCUUUGAUUUCGAGACAUGGUCGAAACUUGACGUAAAUCACGCUACACAGAUUGCUCCUCAACCAGAGGAAAUUUAAAAUGAAAAAUUAUAAUAUUAAAAUAGAGACGAUCCGAUAAAAUACCAUAUUAAAACCAAACUUAACAUCAUUCUCAUUAAGAGAAUACACCCUCACUCAAAAGUCCAGAAGCAUGCUGAUGAGAACAACUGGAUAGGAGGAUAUAAGCACAUAGGAAAAUACCAGAAAGAUUGAAUAAAUCCCAACGAAGGAUGGUCAGACCCAAACUGAUGAUGAGAGGCACUCUAUUGCACUAGUAUGAGCUAUCCAUCCACAAAGCCUGGCCUGACUAGUUGCUUGAACGCCAUGCUGCAUUAGUGACGAUCCACAUAGUAUCCAAAGGUAAAACUGAGCCACCCAUGUGGCAGAGAUGGAUCUGUUCAUUCUGAGCAAUAAAGGUAAUCAGAGCCACCUCUUACAUCCUCUGCAUAUGCAUAGCCUCAAGCAAAGCAUGGGGAAAACAACAAAUUAGCACAUUAUUCUUGCAAGGAACAAAUCUGAAGCAUCACUAUUUUGGUGGAUUAUUCUCUCCCAUUGUCCUACAGUACAAAGCACCCUUUUCAUGGGCAUUUCGGGACAGAAGCUACGAAGAAAUAUUGGUAGGAGAUAAUUUGACAGUCAGAAUAUUUUGUCAAAAUUUUAGCUCUCUCUCAUUGAAGCAAAGCACCAUUCACCAGCCUGCUCACAUGAAACUGCUUGCUGCUGCAAGGUCGGCACAAUCCCUAAUGAAAAGACAGGUAAAUGAGUUCAAAGAGAAUGUAAAGAAGGAGUGCUUAGAGAUUGUUCAGAUGGAAUGGAUGCAUGACGCUCUAUCGACACCUUCCCAUAAUAGGCAGAUGACAUUGCAUAAAUUGCUAUUCAGUGGAGACAACCUGCAAUAAAUUAUUCUAAAUCUCAACAGACAGAAUGUGGAAGUAAAGCAAUCUGCUGCAACCAAAAUAGCUUGGCAUGUUGAGGGAGGGCUCGCGAGCUGUUGAAAGAACUUCAUCUGGUCUUGCUGGAAAUAGUUCCAGGAUAAUGUCAAAAAUUCCUCCUGAGUUCCAUGGGCAUUUAACUAGGAGACGGCAAUUGUGGUGGGAUGCAAGGGAGAAAGCAUCUGAAAUAAUCAGAAUUUGCAUAUCUAUACUGGAAUUGGAAGCAAGCUAAUCCAGGUUAACUUACAAAGAAAACAGUUUCGCGACUGACUGUGGUCUCUCAUAGCCAUCCUCCUUUUGUUCAGGCUUCUCUUUAGGCUUUCAUUUUCCUGCCUGCCUUGAUUCUGGUUUCCAGUUAGCGACUUUCAAAGAAUGACCCAAUAACCCAGCAAUGCCUGUCGCCAUAGCUUCUGCCUUUUUAACAUAUGGAAAAGUUUACUCCUCAAAGAACUGAGACAACCACAGAUACAUAGACAGCACCUGAUGUUUGGUCUCCAGAUCCAAAAGCUCAGCAUCAUUUCGAGCAGAGCCCUUAGGCAGGCCCACUGCUAUAUUAAUUGGAUUACAAUUGGUGCAAAACAAAAGUUUUGACGGUGAGCUGUGGCAAACCUCAGAAGAUGAUACAUUGAUUUUGGGUCUCUGACAUUAAUUGGUGCAAAACAAAAGUCGAAGUGAUCUUCAAGAGAUAGGCCCGGCACCUUCUCCAACAUGUCUGCCACCCUCUUAAUAUGGUCGUGCCGACACAAGAAGUAUGAGCCAACAAGAUGGCAAUUUUCACCAAAUUUCUAGAGUAGCUUGCAGAACGUAACAUUGGGAAGUUGGCAAGCAAAGAGCUCAACCUGCUCAAAGAAAGGAAAGAGACCCACCUUCUUAACUUCUUCAAAUGGCUGCUUCAAACACUCAAUGAGGUACUCUAAAUCAUUAAGCUCAAAGGUAGUUGUAAGCCCAUCAGGAUAUCAGCUUCCUCUUCUACCAGCUCUUCCGGCAAUCUGCUUCACCUGUGAAGCGGGAACUGGCACCAUCUUAUCACCGUUGUACUUCGAGAGAGUGGAAUCACGACCCUUCUGAUAUUCAGAUUCAGACCCAUCCCCACUGCAUCACUUGCAACCAAGACAUCAUUCAUUGUCUCGAUCAUUAAACAAGUUAGCUUGCUGUCUUCGAGUCUCAGGUGGCAAGGCACCGUAUAUAGCACAGCAGCGGUGAUUGGUGUGCUUCUCAAUUGCCAAUUUAACCUCACAUAUUUCUCUCAAAGAAAAGGCAACUACACAAUCACCGGAUCGAACAUUGCGAAGAUCCCUGAGCAGCGUCUUGGCUUCAACAACCAGUGGCUUGAAUCUGUCGUAGUGGCAUUUGUGCAACUCAUCCCCAGUAUCAGAACAGAUUUUCCUCACCAUAUUCAGAACACUUGGAUCCCCACAAACAUGUAUCUCAUCGACCUUAAGUCCUAGCAAUGCUCUCGUCCAUGCAUAGCCUCUGUAUGGGUCUGCCAUCAUCUGGAUCUCAUAAAUUAUGGCCACAUCACAUAAGUGAUCGGUCAACGCCAUUUCCACAGUACAAGCAACAUGGUUCGAGAUAGGGACAUUCUUCUUUUCCUGCUCAGUGUGAAGACUAAACUCCCAAAGCAUUCACCUUGUCAACCACUUCCUUAGCCAAUAACCUAAGCGGAUUACAAUAAGAUUGUUUAAAUGAAGAAACUAACAAAAAUAUUGCAUGUUACUUGUAGGAUUAGACAAUGUGUGAAAUUUAGGGGCUUGGGCCCCUUUUGUUAUAAAAAGAAAAGGGUGUUCCAGUAAGCUAGAAAUACAGUUCAUGGGCAGCGACGGCUAUUAAAAUUCUGAAGUCCAAGGAUGUUUCUUAUAUCUGUGAAAAAAACCUCAAGCUCCUGAGCUUGAAGCACGACUUUCAAAUGCAGUUAUGGCCGCCAUCUUCAAUCGUGAGUCCUUCCCAUUAGGCGGCUCUUCCUACAUAGAGAUUGUUGCCAAAUGAUGAAAUGUCAUGAAAUAUCAGUGAGAUAAUGCAUGCGGUACAGAAGAACGUUAUGGCAAAGACACAACUCUAUUAUGUCCUGAGACAUUCUAAAACAUUAGAGUAAAAUCUCUUAACGUUUUGGGAACAACUGUUUCGAGCGCAGACAUUUGCUUGUACUUGAGAAACUUUUGCAUUAGUAUAGAGGUGAUGCAUGAAUAUGUCACACCCAUGUUUUAGUGACUGAUUGUUGACUGGCGGUGAUCGAGGGUACGGAGGAAAAGGAGGAAAAAACAACGAUCAGCCAUGUUGGGCCGAGGGGUGCAGAGGAACUUUAUUUGCAGGUUAAUGAACCUUUUAAAUGCAGUCGGUAUAAGAAUACAGAGCCAUAUAUCCCAUCACAUGCUUGUAUAUAAUUUCUAUUGCUAAUCCUCCAAAAUGAAGCAACAAUAGGCAGGUACAAUAGCAUCAUCACCUGGCAUGGAACAAAGAAAAUUCCAGCAUUAUACAUCACUGUGUUCCUAACCGUAAUUAGAUUUCUCAGGAAAAGCAAUGCGAUAUAACAGGCAUACAAAGUCAGGUGAGUUUGUCUCUUUUCAUAUGUAAGUUCCAUUCAGUGAAGCCUCUUGAAAUUAACACAUUGAAAGAUUUGUAGAGACAGCGGAGUAAAGAGUCGAACAUGCUAGCAUAAUAAAAGCUAUGUUCAGCCAUCUCACUUUACCAAGACCUAUAAAUAAGCAAACGGCUUGUCCCAACCAGACAUCAAACUAUCUUUCACCAGCCACUGGCCGAACAAAAAAAGAAGCACGAAAUAUGAAAAAGAAAGAAAGUACCCCUUUCCAAAAGGAACAAAGGAAGCACAUGGGAAAGUUCUAGACCAUCCAUUAUAUGUACUCAAUCAUAAUUAUUGUAAGAACCUUCCUAUAGCCCCAUUUAUGAAGUGGAAGCAGGAUAUACUCAAAUAGAUGUAUUCCAUCUUUCAAUUAGUGGAGCACAGAAUCAGGUACUUUUCAUAUAGAACAUAUCAUAAUCCGAACUUGGGAUAUCAACAUUAUUAAGCCAAUUUCAAAUCAUAGAACUAACAUAUGCUCAAGAAACCUUUAUACUUAGCUGCACUCUCCCAAACAGCUGAUUAUCUCAAAACGAGGGGAAGCGUAGGAAAAGGAAUUUGCCCACUGGAACAAAAUCUAAAUGCAUUUCUUCAACCUUAAAAUUUAACCCAUAUUGACAAAAUUGAAAUGGUACUUGUGAAGGUUGAGAUAAUAGUUACCUCAGGAUAUCCAAAGCUGAUCACAGAACAUAAAUGGAUGCUCUAGACAGUAGCCUGCAGAUAUGUGCAAGAUAGAAUUAGCACCUACCGUUCCCAUCCUUUUUACCAAAACGACAUAUUCAAAUAAAUUAAGUAAAAAAGUACAUGCAAGAGUUAAAGUAGGUCAACCACUAUUAGCCUUUGAUCAAAAAAAAGAAAAAGAAAAGAAAAAAACACUAUUUGCCUAAUUACCUAAGGAGGAGGGGGAUGAAGCAGCUUAGCCUGACGUUGCAACCAUGAGAUGCCACUUAUGGCAGAAUAACUAUUAAGUUCAUUCUAUUGGCAAUGAUUUUAAUACAAGGCCUUCGUAAACUGUCGAAGCAACAGAAACUGGCUGUGCCAUCACCUUUCAAUUUGACAAGUGGUAAAUGGAGAAGUUAAUAAAUGUGAGCACCCAACCCCCCCCCCCCCCCCCAAACACUUUAUCCCCGCGCUAUCCCGUCGCUUUCUAAAUAUUAAUCUGAUUCUUUAUUCAAAGGGUUAAUGGGGCUAAAAUGAAAUAUAGAAUGCGGACCUCCUAUAGAAUGCAGACCUCCAAACUCACCAUUGAUAGCACUAGGUAACCUCCUUGCUCAGCUGCCCUUGGAAAACAACCUUUACUUGGGGUACUUAAAAUACUGCGUAGGGGCAGUCUAAAAAAAAAGUACAGCUGUACAAAGGCUCAAGCUAUCUCCAGAGCUACAAAUGAUGCAGCCAUGGCUUCAGAAAUCGAACAUCUUAAAAUGAGUUAACACACUUUGGGAUAAGUUGGCAUGUUGACCAUACNNNNNNNNNNNNNNNNNNNNNNNNNNNNNNNNNNNNNNNNNNNNNNNNNNNNNNNNNNNNNNNNNNNNNNNNNNNNNNNNNNNNNNNNNNNNNNNNNNNNNNNNNNNNNNNNNNNNNNNNNNNNNNNNNNNNNNNNNNNNNNNNNNNNNNNNNNNNNNNNNNNNNNNNCUAUCUGCCCCCCCCCCCCCCCCCCCCCCUCUCUCAUAUUGCAUAAAAGUCUUCUAGAAAGCUCGUUAUUGGGUUGUGAAGAGUCAUUAUGUUUAAUCUUUUACUUCUUUCAUUCUGCUAUAAACCUAAAAAACCUGGAAGCUGCAUCUUCAUAAGAUGAAAAUAGCUUCUAUCAAGAAUCUAGAAUAUAACCAAUUGGCAUCCUCUGCAAAGAAUGAAAAACCAGCACUUGAUUGAUCAACCAAUCAAGUGUUUCUUGAUCUUUUACUCGUACCAAGCACCAAAAAAUGCCACAUGUUUUACAUUGCAUCCAUUUCAACUAAAAGGGUAAUGUACAAUAUGACAGAAUUUUUUUUGGAAAUUCUCUAUCAAUGCAUGAAUUACUUCUAUUCAAAACAAUGAUGGAGCUGGAAAAGCUUUAAAGUCGGGGAGAGAGAGAGAGAGAGACUGGGUGAGGGACCAGAAACAGGAAUUGGGAACAAGAGGCAGAGCAACUGCAAUUUUACUCCUGAUGUUAAAUGAGCCAAUUUGGAUGUAGAAAUGGAAGCCUUGCAUACUUAGACCAAUGUACACAUAAGUAUGUACAAGCUACAUCAUUAUGCUAGAUGAUCUCAUUAGAUUUUGUUUUCAAGUACUGGUUCUCCAAGAGGUACUACAAGGAUGAGUCAGAAGCAAAACCACAUUUAAUAAACAUAUAGCAUCACAUCGACUUGUGAAGAUGAUACAGCCCAACUGAUGACCUUAAUUUGUUCCUUUGAAUUAAGAUAACACAACUUUGCCACUUUACCUUCUCUGAGUUUGAGGUGAAAAUUACUUUGACGGCCUCAAAGACCUCUUCAACAGACUUUCCAGCAUCGAUCUGAAUGAAAGUCAAAAGAGAUAAGCAAUCAAAUGAAAUAACAUCAUGCAAAUACACCUACAGAAGAUUCAACACAUUUAGAGAUUUCCUCACCUUUCUAACUUUUUCCUUGGAAUUGUAGUACUCCACAACCGGGAGGCUAGACUCCAAGAACACCUUAAACCUUUUCCUUAUUGUUUCUAUGUUGUCAUCUUCUCUUCCCUUCAAAACCGGUAACAAAUAGUGGAAAAGCAUCAGAUUUCUAAAAUGACUACAUGAGCUGGAAAGGUGACAAAAGCAAAAAGUCUACUUGUAUGGUAAAGGUGGUGAAGAAGUAAUCGCCAGACCUGAUUCCUAUUCAACAAGCGCCUUUUUCCAUCUCUUCCUCAGAACAAUAAAAAAACAACACGAAUUCUGGCCCAAUUUUUGUCUGCAAAAAUCUUACUGGUUAUCCCUCUUGGAAGGAAGAUCAACAUGCAAUAGCUAAUAGGCUCACAUUUGAAAUGUGAGGGAUGAUACUAGAUUAGUUCUAAGAUUAAAGCAGCGCAAUUCAAACAAAAAUAGGUGUAGCCAAGCUUACAACAGUUUCAAAUGCGGCACGAUUUUCCUCAUUGCGAGGGAAACCAUCAAUAAGGAACUUAUCAUUUCCACUUUCCUGCAUUGCUUUCUGCAGGAGCUUGAUUGUCACUUCUGAAGGCACUAUCUUUCCCUCCUUAAUCAUAUUCUGGAUCAUAGUUCUGCCAAUUGAAAUAGGAAAUUUGGUUGGUCAUUGGGCUUUCAAAGAGAACUCAAUUGUAAAAGAACCUAAAAGACAUGGCUCCUACAAUGUGCAUUCAUUCAUCUCAUCCACCAUGUAACGAUUCAUGAAACAUUAUCUCAGUGGAAACUAAGCCAAAAAAAAAUUGUGAAAUGACCAAGAAAUCCUGUUUAAGUGAGCAUUAAAAAUAAUUACAAAAGAAAGAAAAAUAGCAUCAUGCAAAAAACUUCACUUGAACAUGCCUGGACUUACAUAAUUAGCUUUAGCCAAAAAAGGAUCCUACCACAUGGAAAAUAGAGAAUGCACAUAUUUCUAGCGAAACGUACAAGUGCAGAUACUAUCUACACUAGCUUUCUAAAAUGAUAGAAUAUCAAUGACAGCAGCAUUGUUACCCAUUUUCAGAACCAGAUUUGAUUUCUGCUCGAAGAAGAUCACCAGCACUAAGAUGGGUGAAGCCAAAGUGCUGAACAAUAUUGGCACAUUGGGCGCCCUUUCCACAGCCAGGUCCACCUACAAAUUAAAGAAAGCUAGAUUAAAAAGGAUGAAAGAGCCUCCACCUUUUGGCAAAGAAGAACUUAGAAGUCUUCUGAAGCAAUAAAAUAAAAAACUCCUUCCAAUAAGUUCAAAGAAUUUUAAAACCCAUAAAAUUGAGUAAAAGAGUUGAAUUUUGUCCGACAAAAAAGAAAAAAUCUCACCUAACUCUAAAUCAAGCACCAAACAUUUGAUCCAAAGGGGAAGGAUCAAAACUUCAAACGAAAGACAAGCAAUAGUGAAAAUUUGAAACACGAUGCAUCCCUCAAGCAACUUUGCUGAAAGAUCUGAAUGAAUCUACUUUCUGCUACUUAACAAAAUCAACUAAUAGAACAAUAGUAUCACAGAAUCUAAUAGAAGCUAACUCUGAUGGAAUUAAUUAUUAUUAAAAGACCAUACUGAUGAAAUAAAGGACCCCGUUAUCCCUAGAGUAAGUUGCAGAAACUUAAAAGUAGAUGCUCACCCAAAACAAAAACAACUGUGGGCUUCUUCUCUGUCAAGCUUCCCUCCUGUAAGCAGGCAGUUUCUCAUGUCAGCAUUACGCAUCAGCAAGUUGGAAGAAUAUGUCAAAAGCAUUCCAGUUAUUCUUCAUAUCAAAAAAUUCCUCAGUAUAUUCUUAUAGCAAGUUGUCAAGUCACUUCAAUACCAUGGAUGUCACACAAACCUUAAAUUAACGAAAGCGAGAGCGCACCCCACCCUCCCCACACCCAUAAACAUACACAGACACAUACACAUACGUGCACACGCACAUGCAGAGAGAGGGGAGGGAUAGAAUCAAAGGUUUUCUGGAACAUGAUCAGCAAGACAGGACAGUUACUCACCUAGACUAAGAUAAUAUAUGAUGAGAAACCAAUCAAGCAUUUUAUUCUAAAGUUGUUUUCACUUGGAGACUUGAUCUAGCCAUUCAAAUGCAUCUUAUCUCAUCCAUGUAUAGUUAGUGCAUUUUAUCAGACUUAUAGUUUGAGGUCCAUUGUACCGAACCUGAUCCCUUAUUAUCACCUCAGCAGGGUAUCAAGAUACUAUUGAUAUGCCCCAAAUCUCAACAAUAAAAGGAACUUAUAUUUGGGUGUGAAUGAAAUCCAAAGAUGAACAUCAUCAUGGCUACAGUUUAGUACUGACAUUCAAAACAGAACACAAGUAACCAAAAGAAAGCUCUACUAGAAAAGAAAUCAGAUGCUUGCCUCAAUUGCAACAUCAAUAACACUUCCCAUGAGAGCCAGCUAAAGAAUACUGGACCACAAGAUCUGGAUCACCAAGAAAAAUAAUUGUAUUAGGACAGCUAAAUUCAUGCUGUCAAUUCUUGGUAAGGCUGCCAAGUAGAGGCCAUGUUAAGAUCCAAACAUGGCAACUAAUUAAUGGAUGAAUCGACAACAAUGAUCUAAGAAUUUUUCAUUCAUUUGAUCGAUUUGAUGAUUAUGAUCACCAACUUUUUAUAGAUAUUCAAACUAAGUAAUAAAUUCUAAGAAAAUUUUUCAUGUUUUUUUUUUUUGUUUAUAUUAAAGGUUAGAGAUAAAAUUGUAUAUUUUUAUGUAAUUCAAUGACUAAUUUGAACAUAUAUCAAAAGUUCAGAAACCUCGAUUAUCGAUCGCAUCAACGAGCCCUGAUCGGGCUUCAGAGUUUGAUGGUAUAUGUUUUCGGAUCAUCACUGCCUCCGAAAGUCGUAGAUAGAAGAAAUCAAUGGCCAGAAAGGAAAAUUGCAGGAAGAGAGAGAGAGAGACAUUAGAUCCGGAGGAUGGAUGGAUUACCUGUUUGCUCUGGUUCGAUCCAGCAGUGGGAUUCGUCUCUUCCGGUUGCUAAUGAUCUCUUUCUUUCGGCGUCUGGGUCGAGAAGAUUCUCGGGGGAGAGCUGAGCAGAGAAAAUAUUACAUACCUUAAAAAUUUCACGUAAUUUUUACUCUGAAUCAUUCAGAGCGUGACACCUGUCCUCGCUCUCCCCCGUCCUUCCAAUUCAAACUAACGCGCGGGCGGGUGGGCAGGCAUUUUAUGUUUGCAUCCUUGUUUUGGGGGAGAAAGCUGGCCUAAAUCUGCGACCAGAAGUUCACUAGCUUAUUGCUUCUAAAUAUAAGCACAGCAAUGCGAGAAAUCUUAGGUGAACCAUUGAUGAUAAAAACAACAGUGAUUUAAUUUGUUAGCUGUCCGACCAUUGUUAUAUGCAGUUGACAGAUCUCGAGUCUCCUUGGAACUGCCCCGAUAGAAGGUCGGUCAUGCAUCGUUUGGUCGACUUGACGCCAAAAAGCCAAAGGUAAGACAAGGACUCUGCUUAGUUCUGAUGAUUUGACUUGAUGCUGUCAAGUGCAUCGUUUGCUGCGAUGUUGUUCUUCCAUAAGCGAAACAUUCUACAGAUGCUGGUCUCACCGGUCUAAGGAUGGCAGCAUAUAUCUGAGAUGUCGCAGAUAUAUUGGGUCGAGAGGAUUCUUGGGGAAGAGCUGAGCAGAGGGAAAAUGGAGAAAAUAUUGGGAUUCUUGGGGGAGAGCUGAGCAGGGGGAAUCUCAAAAGGACUUCGUACCCCAGCAAGAGCCCAAAAAUUUAUCACGAUUAUGUACUCGAGUCCUACGAUUUUCGUCUCAUCCCUUCUUAAGCUUCGUUAUUUUGAAAGAAACAGAAUCAUCCUCGUGAUAUUUGGGAAGAUAUAUUGACUAUCAAGCCAUGACUUUCAAAGAGCGCGAAAUUAUUCACAAUAAUUCAAGUACACAGUCGUCCAUUGCCAUCACUUGCGCCUUGGGUUGGUGCUCUGCGGCUCACAAAUCCUCAGAGUGAAUCUGUUGGUGGAUUGAAUUCAGUGGAACGUUAUGCUUUUGAGGAGUUCCUCCCUUUGUCCCAAAAAAAGAAGAAAGAAAAAAGCCACUCGAGCUGUCGAAGGAAACGCUCACAAGCCAAAUACAGCUCAAUUUGCCAUCUUUUCCAUUACCCCUUCUGGCUAUCCUCGACGACUUCUCUUGAAUAUAUUUCAGUCUCUUAAAUGUCGCUUGUCAUGUCCUGAUAUGAUUUUGUUUCAAUUUGGUCGAUUCAAGCUCCCAUCGAAGAUGUCUUGCUUUCCUACCUUUUUUGCCGAGCUUAUCCUAGUGACUACUACUUUCACAAGGUCAUUUGGUCCUAGGAAGUAACUUGGCACAAAAACAAAGGAAGACUUACCAAAAAGGUCUUAAACCUAUUGUAAGUGUACUAAUUUAAUCAUAAACUUCUUUUUUUUUUUACUAAUUUAGUCUUGAACAUUUUGCAAUUGUAUCAAUUUAAUCUUGACUAGUAUUGACAUGGACAGCGGCCGAUGCCGAUUGUUUGGGCAAUACUAACAUGGCAAUUUAUUAAUAAAUUUUUUUGAAUUUUUUUAUUUAUUUCCUUUUCUUUUUUUCUCUUCUUCAUCCUUUGACUUCUUUUCCCAUAGCCAUCGCUCAUUGAGCAAGGGUCGCAAAGUUCUCACUGGCUUGACGAGGCCUGGGGACUGCAGCCAAGGUGGCUUCACCCAGAUCUAGGCUACGCUCGACAGUGUAGAGUGUGAGGGCUAGGUGGCUCACAGAGAUCCCAGCCAAAUGGGAGAGGUUACGCAAAGGAAAAUGCAGAGGCCUCUGAAAAAUGUCAUGGGAUUUCGACCAAAAAGAAAAAUGCAAAGAUCGUGGAAUGAGUUGGCAGGAAGAUUUGAUGAAAACAAAAUAAGGGAAGUCUGGUGGUGAAGAAAUGGAAACUGAGGAAAAGAAAAAAGUUUUCUCCACAGUCCAUCAAAAAUGGUCUCACAGUUUCAAGUCCUUUACUGGCCAUAUCCCAGCAUCGUUUUCGACGAUAGAUCUUUCUUGUGUAAACACAUAACUAAACGUUAUAUUGGAUGCUACCAUCUUCCUUCAAGCCAAAGCAGAUAUACUCAAGGUAAAGUAGGCCAUUAUGAUAACCUCUGAUAAUGUACCUAAGACAGAGGAAAAGGCAACAUCAAACCGUGGCAAGUCUUGCGACUGAGAGAUAUUUUUCCCCCAAAGCAAAAAGGCUUCCGCUCCAGUUCCAUUGCCAAUAAGUUCAAGGACAGUGCCCGCCUGCCAAAACACACAAGGCAAAAGAAGGGAUCAAUAAUUUGUAAAGGGUACUUCUAUUGGGGCCAAAACUCCAAUGAAAAAAGCAUUUGCUAGAUAAUUUUGAAUGUGCAUUCAACAUAUCAAAAUAGGAGACGGAGCUAACUCACCUGUUACUCUCACUGCCUUUAUUCCUGUAAAUAAACAAUUACCACCUUAUAUUAGCAUAUGGCAAAGUCCAAUUGAUAUCCAUUAUUAGCCAUUUUUAUAUUAUGACAUUGAGGCCUUAAAAAAAUCCUCACAUGCAUAAAAACAGCAAAUGAAUAGUGCAAUAAGAAGGAUCUUCAAAUUAAAAGUUAUUUUCUCGUAACAACUACAGAAUAUCUAUACAUUUGUUCAUAUAGCUUGUAUUUCUUAGUGCAAAUUUAUGAUAGAUGAUUGAGUAGCUCACUUUUUUCAUUCAGAGGAAAAACCAACCCCUAAGUCAUGUCAAAUGUUUCUUCCAGAGAAAUACACUUUUGUGUAGUCCAACUCAAAUAUCUCAAGAGCUGCAAAUUCCUGACACACGACACGUCUUAUUCAAAAAUCUCUGGACAUCACUGACCUAGAAGACAUACUCAAAAGAGAAACUUAUGAUAGAGUGGGCAAAGCAAUGGAUAUAUCAACUGAGAAGGAAAAAACAAUGAAUCAUAUCACUUGCAGAAACAAUGUAGUUCUUUCACCAAUCCUUGUCCAAAUAUUGUUCAUAGCCCCUGUGCAUGGAAAAAGGAAACCACAAAUCGCAUCUUCAAAUACCACUAAAGGAGUAGGUUCCAUUAAAAAUAUGGAAGCUGCUGCAGAGAAUAGCGAUAAUUCACAUGCCUUGGAAUUGUUAAAAAUGCAACUUGAUCGCGUUGUCAAACGGUCAAACAAACUGGGCUUAAAGGUAUGGAUUUUCUAAAACAUGCGGAUACAGAGAAUGAGCAUUCUCACAUAUCAUUCUCAUUUUCUGUUUAUUUUCUCAUGGACACAGGCAUAUGAGUGUAGUUUGGGACCUAAAGAAUGCAUACUCAUGCUGAGGGUUGAGCAGCGUUGAGAAAGGCGAGCGGCGCCAAGGGUUGAGCAGCUUCAAGAGAGGAGAGCGGCAUCAAAGGGCGCCAAGUAGUGCCAAGGGUCGAGCGUCGUCAAGGGGCAUCAAGCGGCGUCAAGGGGCAUCCAACGGUGCAGAAGGUUGAGCGGUGUCGAAGGGCCCGUCAAGGGCGGUGAGCGGGUGUCAAGGGGCAUCAAGGUCAUCGAGGGGCAUCAUCAAGAGGAGUGAGUCGAAUAGUUGGAGAGAGAUUUUAGAGUGACAUGGGGUUGUUGGGGACAAGGCGAAGAGGGAAAAAGAAGAAACAAAAAGGGGAAAGGGGAAGAAACAAAUUGAAAUCUAGGAUUUUCACAUUUUACAUUCUAGAAUCCGGUUCCCGUUUUAGUUCCUAUAGGAACCGGGAACCGCUAGUUCCCAAAAAAAUGGACCCGGGAACCGGAACCUCCCUCUUUAAAAACGGAAACCACACUCACUCCUAGUUCUAGUUGGAGUAUACACAUAAUACGCACGAUGCCGGCACAUGCACGAUGCUAGCACAACACGUGCAUAGCACACUUAGGAGUCCAACGCGUGCUAGAAGAACUAGGGAAAGGGAUCCAGCCAUGCUGUAACAAAUAUGCCUCUUGCUGUGUGAUUGCAGCAUCUAUAGUAAAUAUGCCUCCUGUUGUGCGAUUACAGCAUUUAGAGCAUCAUGCUAAGUUUUGGUUAGUCCAUCUCUUCCUCUCUCUAGCAUUGUGUCCAAUAUUUUCAAGCAUUCUAUCAAGUGUUUUCAUAAAAACUAAUCAAUUCAUUGUAAAUCGAUGAUGUUGCCCAAAAAAACGAUAACAAUAAUUUGGUUAUAUUUGAGUACAUUUUUUUUCCUUUUUUAUUUAGCUUUAUUACUAAUAAAAAUAAUAAAUCUAUUGCCAAAAGUCCUUUUUUUAAUGCAUAAAAAAGCAACAAAAAUUAAUUAAUUUUAUAUAAUAUCAUUCACUUUUUUCUUCUUUUUUAGCCAAUUUGAGAUAAAUCAUCCUGAAAAAUAGUUCACAAAAUGUUUUCUUUUUCAUUUUUAUUUUUUCAAUUUUUUAUACAAGGCUAAAUUUACUUGGAAUAUUAGUAUAACAAAUAAGAUUUUUGGAAGAAAUUAGAGUGAUGAGUGAGACAAGCGUAUACAGUUGAGCAGUGAGGAUGGUGAUUUGUGAUUGGGAAUAUCUAAACUAUUCUCCCUCUUUGGGUCCGGCACUAGCUGGGUUCACCUCCAACAAACUUCUCAGUCGUAUCAAGGUUGUGUUAGCUACAGUCAUCCUCUUUAUAGACUCCACUUUGAUGAUCUUUGGGCAAGGCUUCUUCUACUUACUACUAGGCUGCCUUAUCAUCAAUAUCGAUGCGGGUUAUAUCCUUAUUAUAGCUUCUGUCUACAUUACGGAGAUAUCUUCCACCUUUUACCGUGGCCUACUCACAUCAUUCCCUGAGACGAUCAUAUCUUUCCUAAUUUUGUAGCAUAUAUUUAUUUUUUAAAUAUAUCAACUUUUGUCUAAGUAAAAAUUAAAGUUGGAAAAUUUAAGUUAAAGAAAUUGAUUAUUUUUUUAUGCCUGUUUGAGUGUUUCAGAUUUUCAUAAACAGUGGCACCCUCCUAGCCUACGUCUCCCACUAUUUCUUAUUUAGGAUAUGCACCAAAUUUACACAGUCUUACCUACUCUAUUUGGGAGGAAUCCCAUUUGGCUUAGUCACUUUUGGGGUUCUAACCAUGCCAAAAUCUUUCCGAUGGCUUGUCAAGCAUGAUCGCAUGGAGGAUGCGAAAGGCAUCCUAGUACAGAUCUCUAACUCCGAGGAGGAGGCGGCACAUCGAUUGGAUAAGGUCAUUAGCCAGACCAAUGGGGAGGGUGUGUGACAGGCUAUCAUCCACCCAACCCGAUCAAUCCUACACAUGAGCAUUUGUGUGUUUAAAAUCUACUUGUUUCAACAAGUUUCUAGAGCUAACACCAUGCUUGUCUACGGCCAUUGCAUUGUUGAGCAGAUGAGCAUUGUCAACUAUAGGGAACAGCUCCUCUUCCUCAUAGCAGUGGACCUUGUGAUGACCAUGUUCACCCUGGUUUACGCCAUUAGCAUUGAUUGAGUGGGGCGAUGAAGGUUAAUGUUCAUUAGCAUUGGCAAGAUGAUUUGUUACUCGCCUCCCUGAGUGUAUCCCUCACAAUCAUCCACCACCACGAGGAGGUCAAGUGAGUUGGUGUUAUAUGCGUCUUCUCAUUGUUGUACUACACAAUCUCCUUUUCCAUCGGGAUAGGGCCGGUAGCAUUGGUCUACAAUUUAGAGAUCAUAAACUCAUGGAUAUCGCGCGGCUUACCACCUAGCCCACUGCAAUGCCAAUUGCACACCCCUGGGCGCACAACCUCAUCGGGAAGAUCUCUAAGCUGUAGACUAAUGCUACCGGCCCCAUCCCAAUGGAAAAGAAGAUCGUGUAGCAUAAUAAUAAUAGACGCAUAUGGCACUAGCCCACUUGAGUAGAUGAUAAUAAGAGAUACAUCCACGAAAGCGAGUAACAAAAUAAUCCCACUAACGCUAAUGAAUAUCAAUCUUCGCCGCCCCCACUCGAUCAAUGCUAAUGGUACAUACUAGCGUGAACAUGGUCUUCACAAGGUCCAUUGCUAUGAGGAGGAGGAGCUAUUCCAUGUGGUUAACAAUGCUCGCCUGCUCAACAAUACGAGGGUCGUAGACAAGCAUGGUGUCAAGUCCAGAAGCUUAUUGGAAUAGAUAGAUUCCAAACACACAAAUGCUCAUGUGUAGGAUUAAUCAGAUUGGGUGGAUAACAGCCUGCCACACCCCCUCCCCACUGGCCUGGCUAAUGACCUCAUCCAGCCGAUGCGCCGCCUCCUCAAAGUCAAAGAUCCACGCCAGGAUGCCCCUCGCCUCCUCCACGUGACCAUGCUUGACAAGCCAAGGGGAAGAUUCUAGCAUAGCCAAAACCCCAAAAGCAACCAAAUCAAAAAGAUUCCUCCCUAAUAGAACCGAUAAGACUGUGCGAAUUUGGUGUGCAUCCUGGAUAAGAAAUAGUGGGAGACAUAAGCCAAGACGGUUCCCUUGUUCAUGAAAAUCUAAAACACUCAAACAAGUAUAAAAAACAAUCAACUUCUUUAAUUUAAUUUUUCUAACCUUAAUUUUUACUUAGACAAAAGUUGAUAAAUUUUAAAAAAUAAAUAUAUGCUACAAAAUUAAGAAAGAAAUGAAAUGAAAUGACUAUCUCAAGGAACGAAGUGAGCAGGCCACGGUAAAAUGUGGGAGAUAUCUCCAUAAUAUAGACAAAAGCUAUAAUUAGGGUAUAGCCCGCUCCGAUGUUAAUGAUAAGGCAGCCCAGUAGUAAAUAAAAGAAGCCUGGCUCAAAGAUCAUGAAGAUGGAGCCGACAAAGAGAAUGGUUAUAACCAACAUAACCUUGAUACGACUGGGAAGUCUUUCAAGCUUGUGCUGACCCAAAGAGAAAGAAGAGUUUAGAUAUUCCCAACCACAAAAUUAUCGUCCUCACUGCUCAAUUAUAGGUUUAGCUUUAUAUAUACGCUCGCCUCACUCAUCACUCCAAUUUCUGCCAAAAAUCUAUACUAAAUUCCAAGUAAAUUUAGCCACGUAUAAGAAAUUGAAUACAUGAAAAAGAAAAGGAAAAUAUUCUGUGAACUAUUUUCCAAAAACUAUUUUCUAAAAUGAAUUAUCCCAAAUUGGCUAAAAAAUAAGGAAAAAGUGGAUGGUGUUAUAUAAAAUUAAGUAAUUUUUGUUGCUUUUUUAUGCAUUAAAAAAAGAACAUUUGGUAAUAAAUUUAUCAUUUUUAUCACUAAUAAAGCUAGACAAAAAAAAAAUGCACUUAAAUAUAACCAAAUUAUUGUUAUCAUUUUUUUGGGCAACAUCAUCGAUUUACAAGGAAUCGAUUAUUUUUUAUGGAAAAACUUGAAGGAAUGCUUGGAAAUAUUUGACACAAUGCUAGAGAGCUAGAGAGAGGAGAAGAGAGACUAACCAAAACCUAGCAUGAUGCACAGCAGGAGGUAUACUUGCUAUAGCGCGAUCGGUUCCCUUCCCCUACUUCUUGAAAUAGCUAGAGUAAGAACCUUGUACAUGGAUCGUCUUCACCGAAUGGAACAUGAUAAUGGCCCCCUUCCUUUGCUUCUUUUUGGAAUAGCUCGAGUAAAAACUCUUUGUAUGUCUCAUCCUCGCCGAAUGGAACAUGAUAAUGGUCAACCAUUCCUUCUUGUGUUUGCCAUGUGAAACGGAGGGGGAGAAAAAAAGGUUUUUUUCAAAAAUUGUUGUCUUUUUCAUUCCCUAAAGUAAAAGCCUCUUGCUCUCUUGCUCAAUGUCUAAUGGUAGGCCCAAGAAGAAAGAAGUCAUGGAUGAUGAUCGUCAUGUACAUUUUGGUGAUGAUGAGAGCUAUAGAGUUCAUAUUAUCUCUAUUCAAAGAAUGAGGAGAAGAAGGUGAUGGCUACUGAGAGUUUUUAUUGAUUCUACUCAAUGAAGAGGAAGGAGAUGAGCACAACAAAAGAGGGAGAGAUGAAGAAAGAGGAGGCCUUCAUUUAUACGAAAAAUAAGUAGGAGAAGAAGAAAAACAAGGUGAUAGCUACCAAGAGUUUUUAUUAAUUCUAUUCAAUUAAGGGGAAGAAGGAGACGAGCACAUAAAGUACUACUAAUUUGAUGAAAACUAGGCUAUGGAAGCACGCAAAAUCUCAAGGCAUAAAGGAGCAACUUGAACAUCAAGUAUUAUUCGGUCUUUAAGGAAAUAUUAUUUGUCAGACACGAUUAGAGCAAAAACUGGUAUGCAUUCACCAAGGAGGUAGACAAUUUGAGCUACUUUAAAAUGCGCAUUUCAAAAUUCAAUGAGGUUUUUAUUAAUUCAAUUAAAGUUUAUGCAUAAUGACUUUACCAUAUUUGCAUCACCCAAAUUUUCACAGAAAAGAAUUGUCAUUCAAGACAAUAGCAUGAAUUUCCUAAGAAUACUAAAUGAGACUUUCAGUUAAAAAAGGACUUUCACUCACUCAUUUAAGAUGGCUAUUUUAGGAGAAUCACUCCAUCUCACUAUCAUCAUACCAAAAAAGGUCCGAGUAUCCUCAUAAGCAGUACGACCUUACCAAUCUAAGAGACCUUUAAUAGGGAUCGUAAUGUGGGCUUCAUCAAUGGUUUAGCAAAGAGACUCUUUGAGUCAAUGCAUUUUAAAAGAACAACUAUGUAAUCAUCUCCAGGUUUACAAGUUAAGAACCUUGCGAAAUGAGAAAGAAAUAAUCUUACUCACACUUCUUUAAGCGAUGCUUAAAACAUGCGAACCCCUACGUUAAUUCAAAUGCCCUAAUCAAAAUAGACUUUGCAAGGGACGUAACAUAGGCUGGGUUCAUAAGUUGAGAAAUGAAAGUAUUAUUAGGCUCAAAGAUGUGUAUAGGGUUCAAAGAUGAUGAUCAUCUACGCAUUGUCACCGGUCUUAUCCUUCAGGGAUUGUCAUUAUGAGCCCAUUAUUGAGCUUAACUCUUUGAGUACUGCUUCAUUAGGAUACAACAUUUUACAACCAAUAGUCACCUAUCUUGACUCUCUUCUUUUUUCAUCUAUGGACAUCAACCUUACUUUUACUAGGCACACCGUUUUUUUAUGCCCUUAGUUCUUAUUCAUUUUUUCUUUACUACUAUUUUCAUGGGUAUUGGUCUUACUUUUACCAAACACAUUACUUUUUCAUGCCCAUUAGUUCUAUUUUGAUGCAUAUGUCAAGCCAUUACACUUUGAAUGACACCCAAACUUUCAAGGGUCAUCAUCUCCCUUGCCUUGCCCCAAUGUGGGGGAUGAUCACCAAUUGAAUUUGAAGAAAUGAAAUUGCUUGCUCAAGUGAGCUAAGUAAUGGAUAUAAGUGCAUAGGAUAGAGAAAGAAAUACUCUUCGUCAUCAUAAAACACUUAAAUUAUCACAUGAAUUUAAUGUAAUAGCACAACUUGAAAAUUGAUGCAAGUGAGAGCAAAAAAAUUUCUUUUCAUUUUCUUCAACUUAUGAUACUAUCUUACCUCAAAUUUGCCCCGAUGUGAGGUGGUUCUUGACAGAGGUAAUUUGAAAAAAAAAAUUCAUAAGUGUAUGGAGCUCAAAUGAGUUAAACUAUGAAUCAUAUGUAGUGUUUGGUAUAGAGAAAUAAGUUACCCCUCAUCAUUUCGAUCAUCGUACCAUUUACGAAAGACCUCUUAAUCUUACGGAUAUUUAACUUUUUACACUCAUCUCACAAGUGUAUAGGUAGGGGACUGUAUAUAGGCUAAGGCUUGCCUUUCAUCAUCCUAACACGUCUCAUUCAGCAUUCUUAAGCAUUGAUAUCACUUCAUUAAAUUGUCUAUCUUGACAAAACUCCACAUGAAAUUGGUGAGUUAAAUAGGCAAAAUCACUAUUGAAAUUCUUUUUUUAAAAGAGUUCAAAAAUUUAAGCAUGAGAAGCUUUGUGACUUAAAAACAGAAAAUUUACCACACUCAAUGGUUUUAAGCAUUUUGCCCCACAAAGGGACUGCCUCCUUGGAUUGCCCCUAUGAAUCAAGAUCAAAAAUCCAAUCUUUGAUUUGAUAAAUACUAUAAGCAUGAUGUGUAAAUAAAAAGCCAAUCCGUGAUAAUGAUCUAAUCGAUUUUUCAUUUUUUUUAUUUAUUCAUGAAAAGUUCGUACAAUAAGGAAAUUUCCUAAAAAAGAGCUAUAAAGAUAGACAACCUAACAAGACCAAAUUUCCUAGACAUGAAUUGAAAAUAAAUUCUCCAAAAUUUUGUAUUGUUUUUCAAAUGACUCAUUCCAUAGCAAUUUCCUCAUUUCAUUUCUAAUUGACAAAUAAAUUAGAUCAAUGACUGAACUAGAUUGUCAUGGAUAGACCAAAAGUAUGACAAAGUAAAUAAAUUGUAUAGUAUAGGAAUAAAAGGCUUACUUCACCAAGGAGAAUUAACGACAACCACAUAGACAUGUAUAUGAGACGCAAUGCUUGAUUUCUACUCUAAACAGGCUUAGCAAAAUGAAGCCAUAAGGAUGAUCAGACUAGCCGCGAGCGUGCGAACUGAGUCGGGUCAUCAUGACUUCGGCUUGAUCAAAGAGCCGACCCGAGUCGCAAGCAUGCGGCCCGAGGUGGGUACUCUUGACACUAAAAAAGAAUCUUCGGAGAUUGAGAUGGACGACUCAUACUACAGGCAUGCAUUCGGAAUGGUAUCCAUCUCAAUACCAUCCUAGAUAACCCUAUAUGACCCAGGUUCGGCGGCAAGUUGUGUGUGUAAAAGUGUAGUGUAAGUGUAUAUACAUGUACAACAGUUUAUAUCAAGCAAUAAUUCAUAUAUAAAAGUAAACCAUGCAUUUAUACACCUCCCUACAAAACAAAAGUUAGCAAACACUUCCCCUUAUACUUCUCAUCCUCCAAGAACAUUUAACAUCUUAAACAUUAAGGACGUACUUGGGAUCCUUGCUGCAAAAAAAAAAAAAAAAGUCAAAUAGAAGAGAAAAUUAGCCUAAGUCCACUAAACUGUCGCAAUGUAACCUCGGAUGCACUACCUAGGGUUUGACUAAUGAAUUACUAAAUCUAACCUUAGCUCGGGCUCUCUCAAACUCAUAUUAAUUUGCAAUUUAGGUUUCAAGUUCUUAACAUGCAAUUAAUUUUUAAUUAAGAGUUGUCAUUAAUCUAUUUUUUGUUAGUCGAAUAGAAACCUAAAUAAAGUAACGGGAGAUUUACUUUACUCUAAUGAACCAGAUUAGGAGUUCAGAAACUUGUUUACGUUAGAUUUCUCUAAUGCCCUUUGAGUACCUUUCUCUUUUAUUUUGAAAAAAAUGUUUUGCAAGUAGCUUAAAUUGAUUUUAAUUUACUUCCAUAAGAUGUGAGGUAAUCAUGCGAAUGCACAAAUCACCAAUUUAACAUCCAAAAAAGUAAUAAAUAAAUUAUGGAACUUACCUCGUAGCAACGAAAGCAUCUACAAUGUUAGCUCAAAAUUCAUAUCAACAAUCCUUAAUAUAAUUUCUAAUUAACACACAAUCACUCCAAAUUUUUAGGAUUUUCUCUUGUUUAAAGAGAUCUAAGUUAUAUGUCAUGCAAUUUAAGUAAAUGGCCUAAUUCUAAUAACGGACAAUUUCUAACUAAUCCACUCCACGUGCUCUCCCUAUUUUGGAGUUUUCCCAUGUAGACAUGCUUCCAUCGUACUUGCCACCCUUGACGUUGUCCGCAAAAGCAAUCGAUUCAAGCUCGGCCAUCUCUUUUGGUGUAAGCUUCACUAACAGAGCUCCAAUGUUCUAGUUGAGAUUCUUGAUAAGCAUUUAGAAGUGUGCAAUCGAUGUGUUAGAAACGUCAAGCGAAGUGAUCUAGCAACUACCACACAAGGCUGAUGGGUUUGACGUAGGAUGUGAAAACAGAAACAAACUAAAAUCUAAGUUUUGUACGUGUGAUGAUACCAUUAGUCACACAUAAAAUAAAAAUUAAGAAAUGUAGAUGAUGUGUAGAAGAAUGUUAUUAGACGUAGAGCUCUUUUAGCUACAAAGAAAAUAGCUACUUCACUUGCCCAGCACUAUUGCUAGUCAAACACUAAUGGCAGGGAGUAAUACACAAUUGGCUUUAUGUCAGAUGGGAACUUGAUCCAAAACUCUCAGGGUGUCAGGAGUCCUCACUCAAGAAAUGGUUGUGUCAAGAUAUAGUUUUUCUUGUGAAGAAAGAUGAGAAUGAAAAAGGACAGAGGGCCAAAGCCCGAUACUGGCGUCAGUUAUUUUGAGGAAAUAUCGCUAAUCUUGUGAAGAAAGAUGAGAGAAAAACGGUGGGUGGAAAGUGGGGAAAGGAUAGUGAUUAGCAAAUGGUGGGAAGGCUGGGAAACAGAGCAACUUACAAAUUAACCUAUAUGUAUUCAUUCCCAAAAGCACGAGAAUCCAGGGAACUGCCUGGCUCACUAAAGCCAUUACUUGUGAUUUUACAUUUAUCUAGAAUCGAGAGAGAUGGGAUGUCUGGCAAGUGCUGGAUUAAAGACAUAUAAGAACAUGAAGCAUUCGUGUCACCAAGUUUUAUUCAUCCCAUCAAGAUACUUUUCUUUAUACCACAAGAACAGGUUUCCAGCACUUCAAUAAGAAUGACAAUCACUGUAAGCAUCUAAUUAUGUUGACAAGCAGGAACAGACCUGUCUGAAGUCAUCCUUAGAGAGAUUCUCCACCAACUUGGAGCCAACAGAAAAGAAUCCUCAUCCUAAAGCCAUCCUCCUUUUGUUCAGGCUUCUCUUUAGGCUUUCAUUUUCCUGCCUGCCUUGAUUCUGGUUUCCAGUUAGCGACUUUCAAAGAAUGACCCAAUAACUCAGCAAUGCCUGUCACCAUAGCUUCUGCCUUCUUAAUAUAUGGAAAAGUUUACUCCUCAAAGAAGUGAGACAACCACAGAUACAUAGACAGCACCUGAUGUUUGGUCUCCAGAUCCAAAAGCUCAGCAUCAUUUCGAGCAGAGCCCUUAGGACGCCCACUGCUAUAUUAAUUGGAUUAUAAUUGGUGCAAAACAAAAGUUUUGACUGUAACCUGUGGCAAACCUCAGAAGACGAUACAUUGAUUUUGGGUCUCUGACAUUAAUUGGUGCAGAACAAAUUUUGAAGCGAUCUUCAAGAGAUAGCCCUGGGACCUUCUCCAACAUGUCUACCGCCCUCUUAAUAUGGUCGUGCCGACACAAGAAGUAUGAGCUAACAAGACGGCAAUUUUCACCAAAUUUCUAGAGUAGCUUGCAGAACGUAACAUUGGGAAGUUGGCAAGCAAAGAGCUCAACCUGCUCAAAGAAAGGAAAGAGACCCACCUUCUUAACUUCUUCAAAUGGCUGCUUCAAACACUCAAUGAGGUACUCUAAAUCAUUAAGCUCAAAAGUAGUUGUAAGCCCAUCAGGAUAUCAGCUUCCUCUUCUACCAGCUCUUCCGGCAAUCUGCUUCACCUGUGAAGCGGGAACUGGCACCAUCUUAUCACCGUUGUACUUCGAGAGAGUGGAAAACACAACCCUUCUGAUAUUCAGAUUGAGACCCAUCCCCACUGCAUCACUUGCAACCAAGACAUCAUUCUCAUUGUCUUGGUCAUUAAACAAGUUAGCUUGCUGUCUUCGAGUCUCAGGUGGCAAGGCACCGUAUAUAGCACAGCAGCGGUGAUUGGUGUGCUUCUCAAUUGCCAAUUUAACCUCACAUAUUUCUCUCAAAGAAAAGGCAACUACACAAUCACCGGAUCGAACAUUGCGAAGAUCCCCGAGCAGCGUCUUGGCUUCGACAACCAGUGGCUUGAAUCUGUCGUAGUGGCAUUCGUGCAACUCAUCCCCAGUAUCAGAACAGAUUUUCCUCACCAUAUUCAGAACACUUGGAUCCCCACAAACAUGUAUCUCAUCGACCUUAAGUCCUAGCAAUGCUCUCGUCCAUGCAUAGCCUCUGUAUGGGUCUGCCAUCAUCUGGAUCUCAUAAGUUAUGGCCACAUCACAUAAGUGAUCGGUCAACGCCAUUUCCACAGUACAAGCAACAUGGUUCGAGAAAGGGACAUUCUUCUUUUCCUGCUCAGUGUGAAGACUAAACUCCCAAAGCACUCACCUUGUCAACCACUUCCUUAGCCAAUAACCUAAGCGGACUACGAUAAGAUUGUUUAAAUGAAGAAACUAACAAAAAUAUUGUAUGUUACUUUACUUGUAGGAUUAGACAAUGUGUGAAAUUUAGGGGCUUGGGCCUCUUUUGUUAUAAAAAGAAAAGGGUGCUCCAGUAAGCUAAAAAUACAGUUCAUGGGCAGCGACGGCUAUUAAAAUUUUGAAGUCCAAAGAUGUUUCUUAUAUCUGUGAAAAAAACCUCAAGCUCCUGAGCUUGAAGUACGACUUUCAAAUGCAGUUAUGGCUGCCAUCUUCAAUCGUGAAUCCUUCCCAUUAGGCGGCUCUUCCUACAUAGAGAUUGUUGCCAAAUGAUGAAAUGUCAUGAAAUAUCAGUGAGAUAAUGCAUGCCGACGUACAGAAGAACGUUAUGGCAAAGACGCAACUCUAUUAUGUCCUGAGACAUUCUAAAACAUUAGAGUAAAAUCUCUUAAUGUUUUGGGAACAACUGUUUCGAGAGCAGACAUUUGCCUGUACUUGAGAAACUUUUGCAUUAGUGUAGAGGUGAUGCAUGAAUAUGUCACACCCAUGUUUUAGUGACUGAUUGUUGACUGGCGGUGAUCGAGGGUACGGAGGAAAAGGAGGAAAAAACAACGAUCAGCCAUGUUGGGCCAAGCGGUGCAGAGGAACUUUAUUUGCAGGUUAAUGAACCUUUUAGAUGCAGUCAUUAUAAGAAUACGGAGCCAUAUAUCCCAUCAGAUGCUUGUAUAUAAUUUCUAUUGCUAAAAUAGGUGCAAGAAUCCUCCAAAAUGAAGCAACAAUAGGCAGGUACAAUAGCAUCAUCACCUGGCAUGGAACAAAGAAAAUUCCAGCAUUAUACAUCACUGUGUUCCUAACCGUAAUUAGAUUUCUCAGGAAAAACGACGCGAUAUAACAGGCAUACAAAGUCAGGUGAGUUUGUCUCUUUUCGUAUGUAAGUUCCAUUCAGUGAAGCCUCUUGAAAUUAACACAUUGAAAGAUUUGUAGAGACAGCGGAGUAAAGAGUCGAACAUGCUAGCAUAAUAAAAGCUAUGCUCAGCCACCUCACUUUACCUAGACCUAUAACUAAGCAAACGGUUUGUCCCAACCAGACAUCAGACUAUCUUUCACCAGCCACUGGCCGAACAAAAAAAGAAGCACGAAAUAUGAAAAAGAAAGAAAGUACCCCUUUCCAAAAGGAACAAAGGAAGCACAUGGGAAAGUUCUAGAUCAUCCAUUAUAUGUACACAAUGAUAAUUAUUGUAAGAACCUUCCUAUAGCCCCAUAUAUGAAGUGGAAGCAGGAUAUACUCAAAUAGAAGUAUUCCAUCUUUCAAUUAGUGGAGCACAGAAUCAGGUUCUGUUUCAUAUAGAACAUAUCAUAAUCCAAACUUGCAAUAUCAACAUUAUUAAGCCAAUUUCAAAUCAUAGAACUAACAUAUGCUCAAGAAACCUUUAUACUUAGCUGUACUCUCCCAAACAGCUGAUUAUCUCAAAACGAGGGGCAGCGUAGGAAAAGGAAUUUGCAUGACCACUGGACCAAAAUCUAAAUGCAUUUCUUCAACCUUAAAAUUUAACCCAUAUUGACAAAAUUGAAAUGAUACUUGUGAAGGUUGAGAUAAUAGUUACCUCAGGAUAUCCAAAGCUGAUCACUGAACAUAAAUGGAUGCUCUAGACAGCAGCCUGCAGAUAUGUGCAAGAUAGAAUUAGCACAUACCGUUCCAUCCUUUUUACCAAAACAAUAUAUUCAAACAAAUUAAGUAAAAAAGUACAUGCAAGAGUUAAAGUAGGUCAACCACUAUUACCUUUGAUUAAAAAAAAAAAAACUAUUUGCCCAAUUACCCAAGGAGGAGGGGGGAGAAAGCAGCUUAGCCUGACGUUGCAACCAUGAGAUGCCACUUAUGGCAGAAUAACUAUUAUGUUCAUUCUAUUGGCAAUGAUUUUAAUACAAGGCCUUCGUAAACUGUCGAAGCAACGGAAACUGGCUGUGCCAUCACCUUUCAAUAUUAAUCUGAUUCUUUAUACAACAGGUUAAUGGUGCUAAAAUGCAUUUUUCUGUUAGUGUUCUGCUAUGAUUUCAGCAUUUAAAUAUAGAAUGCAGACCUCCAAAUUCACCAUUCAUAGCACUAGGUAACCUCCUUGCUCAGCUGCCCUUGGAAGACAACCUUUACUUGUGGUACUUAAAAUACUGCGUAGGGCCAGUCUAGAAAAAAAGUACAGCUGUACAAAGGCUCAAGCUAUCUCCAGAGCUACAAAUGAUGCAGCCAUGGCUUCAGAAAUCGAACAUCUUAAAAUGAGUUAACACACUUUGGGAUAAGUUGGCAUGUUGACCAUACUCCAUAAGCCGUCCUCAAUCUAUCUCCUAUAAAUGCGAAUUCCUAUCUAAGGGAGAGUGAACAAUUGGUAGAAGCCCUAAAGCACUCCACACACCUCUUUGUAAAUCCCAAUGCUUGUGGUUUUAGUUCCUCUCAAGGAAGGAUUUCUACCCACAGAGUUUACUCAAACUAUCUGAUAGAAAAGUCUCUCUCCCCCCCCCCCCCCCCCCCUUCCCCUCUCAUAUUGCACAAAAGUCUUUUAGAAAGCUCGUUAUUGGGUUGUGAAGUCAUUAUGUUUAAUCUUUUACUUCUUUCAUUCUGCUAUAAACCUAAAAAAUCUGGAAGCUGCAUCUUCAUAAGAUGAAAAUCGCUUCUAUCAAGAAUCUAGAAUAUAACCAAUUAGCAUCUUUUGCAAAGAAUGAAAAACCAGCACUUGAUUGAUCAACCAAUCAAGUGUUUCUUGAUCUUUUAUUCGUACCAAGCACCAAAAAAUACCACAUGUUUUACGUUGCAUCCAUUUCAACUAAAAGGGUAAUGUACAAUAUGACAGAAAUUUUUUUUGAAAUUCUCUAUCAACGCAUGAAUUACCUUUAUUCAAAACAAUGAUGGAGCUGGAAAAGCUUUAGACAGAGAGAGAGAGAGAGAGAGAGAGUGGGUGAGGGACCAGAAAUAGGAAUUGGGAAUAAGAGGCAGAGCAACUGCAAUUUUACUCCUGAUGUUAAAUGAGGGUAUACUAGUCGUAAGACAUAAAUAGAGCCAAUUUGGAUGUGGAAAUAGAAGCCUUGCAUACUUAGACCAAUGUACACAUAAGUAUGUACAAGCUACAUCAUUAUGCUAGAUGAUCUCAUUAGAUUUUGUUUUCAAGUACUGGUUCUCCAAAAGGUACUACAAGGAUGAGUCAUGUCGCGACCUACCCUCGGAGGGAGGGAGCAGGUUUAGGGGUAUUGCCUAAAGGACGGGCCUAAGGCCCAUGAUUAGACGUGGGCUCUCCCAAGCCCAUACCCCGCAUGACGUUAAGAUAUUCUUAAGAAAUUUUGCAUAAAAGGAGUCGCCACUAGCCUAUUGGGAUCGGCUAGAAAUCAAGUGAGGCAUGGGAGCGUGCCUCACUUCCUACGCAACCAGAGAGUCUAGGAUCGAGGACUUGAUUACACUAAUUAACUAAUUAAUGCCCUUUCGGUACCUAAUCUUGUUCAUUUUAAAAGAAAAUGAUUUUUGUCAAGCAGUUUGGAUUGAUUUUAUACAUAUCCACUAACAUGUGAUAUGAUCAUACGGGUGUAUAAUCAUUAAAAUAACAAUUAACAGCUAAGAAAAGCGAUUAAAUAAAUUGCAUGAAAGAGCAAAAAUUCAACACCAAGGAAAAGAUAUAUAUCAAUCCUAACUAAAUUAAAGAGAAGCCAAAAUCAGCAUAUCAAUAUUAUGCAUUCAAAGGCAUUUGUCCUAAGGACAAUUGAAACCUUAAGGUAAAGCUCUAAAGGCUUAAUCAAACUUAGAUAUACUUCCGAAUUGAAAGGUUUCCUAUUUUUAGGAGAAAAUUACUCCAAAGCUUAAUUUCAACCUUUUCAAGGAAAAAAAAAAUUAGAUUUUUCUUUUUCUUUAAAAAAAAAGGAAUUUUCGAAUUCUCCAAAAAAACUGGAUUUUUGCAAUUUUUUAAUUUUUAUUUUUAUUUUUAAGAAAAAGUCGAAUUUUUUAAAUAUUUUCUGGGUUUUUUUAAUUUUCGGAAUCUUUUUGAAUUUUUAUAAUUUUUAGAAAUUUUCGGUUUUUUCUUUUUGAAAUUUUUUUGAUAUAUUUUUAAUAUUUAAUAUUAUUAUAUUCGGGAAAACAAGUUUAGAUAGGAUAAACCCGAUCCGACGACCCGAACUUACUCUAAAAAAGACAAAACCUAUUUUAAAAAAAAACUUUUUUUUGCCUUUAAAAAAAUAAUAAUAUUUUUUAAAAAAUUUUUAAUUAUUUUUUUUGUCUUUUCCCUAUUUUGUCUUUUCUACUGCCCUCCCCCUUUCGACGACUCCUCUGCACAAGCCAACAUUUGCUUUCCUUUUCUCUUUUUUUUACUUUUUGCUGCACUUUUACUUCUCUUGCUUUUUCUUUUGUUUUUUUUUGUUUUAUUUAUUUAUUUUUCCUUUGGUCUUCUCCUCCGCGUGCUUUCUUCUUCUUGCAUCUUCUUCUUCCCCGACGUCUUCAUGAACCCCUUUCCAUCCGACAAUUUCCCCCACCAAACCAGUGCCAACGAACGUCAUCUCUUGCAAAGGUUCACCGGUGUUUGGACCAUUAUGGCCCGUUGGUCAUACCGCUCGACCGGCGGCGACCGCUGCCGACCACCUUUUCCGACGACCGAUAACCCGUUCACCGGAACAAAGAAAACCCUCACUCUCCCGACUACGCAUGAUUAUUUCACGAAGGCCACGCCAAAACACAAUAACCAUACGAACAAGAAACAUGAUUCAGCAGCUACAUAUGUAAGCAAGGAUCGAUUCUAAGCUAAAACAAGAACUGACUUUUCGGAUAUCUCUGAGGCAUUUUGUCGAACAGUUGGAGCGCAGUACCAAAUUUCAAGGUUUUUUGGCUCAAUCGAGCCUUGAACGUGCCUUGGGGGUCUCGAACACAACAUACAAGGAACAUGGGAACGAAACGCAAGGGCGACGAGGGCCAGAGCUUGCGCGAGCCGGACGGCCGCGAGCUCCAGCCCGGUGCGCCUAAAAUGGAACAAGGAGGAGCCGAACCUACCUGGUCAGCUCGAGGAUGUCGCCGGGAAGGUCUUCGGACAAGCCCGUGCGUGACAGAACCGCUCACGGUUGCUCGAACCGCUCUCUCAGUUCGCCGGCUCUCUCCGCUCGAUUCAAGCUUCUCACCCUCGGCCUUUCUCUCUUUCCCUCUUUCGGUUUUUCUUUUUCGGUUUCUCUCUGUCUCUCCGUGCUCCCCUUGGCUCCUUCUCAGCUCUCUCGGUUUCUCACAGUUCCAGAAGAAGGGGGUCAAGAAGCGGGAUCUCGAGCAUUUCUCUUGCUCCAGCUCUCACUCUCCAGGACUUCUCUCGCCCCAAGCUCUCUCUCCAUUCUAUUCCUUCCUCCCUUUGUGGAGUUCUUCUUUCUUUUCUUUUUCUGCAGGUAUUCCGAGCGAAGACCUCCUGCCGUGCCAGCUGGUCGAUCGGUCUACUUCCCUGACCCGCGGAUCGCGCCGAAAGCCCUGCCAUGCCGAUCCUCUGCCUUGCCUCCUCUUUUCUUCCCGUUUCUUUCAUUUUUGCGCUCUUUUUUUUUGCAGGUUUGAGCUCAAGAGAGAGAAGACAGAUGGGAUGGGCCGCGAAGGAGGAAAAGAUGCCGGGCUGGGCCUAGGCCCAUGCGAGGGUAAAAGAAGAGGAAGGAAGGGGGCGGGCCGGGCCAUGGCUGGAUUCGGCCCGACCUAACCUCUAGGCGUUUUUUUUUUUUUUAUGUUUUGUUUUGUUUUUCUUUACUUUUUUUUUAGUGACUAAUUUCUAAUUUUGUACACGAUUAAGUCCUAAAUAAAAUGACGAAAUUUAGGUGUCAACAAGUCAGAAGCAAAACCACAUUUAAUAAACAUAUAGCAUCACAUCGACUUGUGAAGAUGAUAUAGCCCAACUGAUAACCUUAAUUUGUUCCUUUGAAUUAAGAUAACACAACUUUGCCACUUUAUCUUCGCAAAGUUUGAGGUGAAAAUUACUUUGACGGCCUCAAAGACCUCUUCAACAGACUUUCCAGCAUCGAUCUGAAUGGAAGUCAAAAGAGAUAAGCAAUCAAAUGAAACAACAUCAUGCAAAUACACCUACAGAAGAUUCAACACAUUCAGAGAUUUCCUCACCUUUCUAACUUUUUCCUUGGAAUCAUAGUACUCGACAAUCGGGAGGCUAGACUCCAAGAACACUUUAAACCUUUUCCUUAUUGUUUCUAUGUUGUCAUCUUCUCUUCCCUUCAAAACCGGUAACAAAUAGUGAAAAAGCAUCAAAUUUCUAAAAUGACUACAUGAGCUGGAAAGGUGACAAAAGCAAAAAGUCUACUUGUACGGUAAAGGUGGUGAAGAGGUAAUCGCUAGACCUGAUUCCUAUUCAACAAGCGCCUUUCCAUCUCUUCCUCAGAACAAUCAAAAAGCAACACUAAUUCUGGCUCAAUUUUUGUCUGCAAAAAUCUUACUGGUUAUCCCUCUUGGAAGGAAGAUCAACAUGCAAUAGCUAAUAGGCUCACAUUUGAAAUGUGAGGGAUGAUACUAGAUUAGUUCUAAGAUUAAAGCAGCGCAAUUCAAACAAAAAUAGGUGUAGCCAAGCUUACAACAGCUUCAAAUGCGGCACGAUUUUCCUCAUUGCGAGGGAAACCAUCAAUAAGGAACUUAUCAUUUCCACUUUCCUGCAUUGCUUUUCUGCAGGAGCUUGAUUGUCACUUCUGAAGGCACUAUCUUUCCCUCCUUAAUCAUAUUAUGGAUCAUAGUUCUGCCAAUUGAAAUAGGAAAUUUGGUUGGUCAUUGGGCUUUCAAAGAGAACUCAAUUGUAAAAGAACCUAAAAAGACAUAGCUCCAACAAUGUGCUUUCAUUCAUCUCAUCCGCCAUGUAACGAUUCAUGAAACAUUAUCUCAGUGGAAACAAAGCCAAAAAAAAUGUGAAAUGACCAAGAAAUCCUGUUUAAGUGAGCAUUAAAAAUAAUUACAAAAGAAAGAGAAAUAGCAUCAUGUAAAAAACUUCACUUGAACAUGCCCGGACUUACAUAAUUUGGUUUAGUCAAAAAAGGAUCCUACCACAUGGAAAAUAGAGAAUGCACAUAUUUCUAGCGAAAUGUACAAGUGCAGAUACUAUCUAUACUAGCUUUCUAAAAUAAUAGAAUAUCAAUGACAGCGGCAUUGUUACCCAUUUUCAGAACCAGAUUUGAUUUCUGCUCGAAGAAGAUCACCAGCACUAAGAUGGGUGAAGCCAAAGUGCUGAACAAUAUCGGCACAUUGCGUGCCCUUUCCACUGCCAGGUCCACCUACAAAUUAAAGAAAGCUAAAUUAAAAAGGAUGAAAGAGCCUCCACCUUUUGGCAAAGAAGAACUUAGAAGUCUUCUGAAGCAAUAAAAUAAAAAACUCCUUCCAAUAAGUUCAAAGAAUUUUAAAACCCAUAUCAAAAUCUGUAGAAGCAAAAUUCGAUGUGUAUACAUUGAAUCGCCCUCCACAUUUAAAUUUCCGGCCAUUAAAAAGGCAACUCUAAUAUUCUCCAUCCAGAAGACAAACAUGAACCCCAGUUUAUCGUGAGUGUAAGCAAAAAUUAUUAAACGUGCAUAAUAGCAAACGGUCACAUAUUAUGCCCCUUAGUAAUAACGUAUGAUGCAUUUCAAAUCAAUCUUUUGUAUUUAGAUUAACAUUAUGGAGCUACUGAAUGCUCAUUCAGUUUUGAAGGAAUAGAAUAUAUUGAAAUAAAAGAAAAUAGAAAGAUAAUGCUGAAAAAAGGGAGGAAGAAAUAAAAUAAAGUUUAAAAAGAAAAAAAAUUGAGUAAAAAAGUUGAAAUUCGUCCAACAAAAAAAAAAAAAUAUCUCGCCUAACUCUAAAUCAAGCACCAAACAUUUGAUCCAAAGGGGAAGGAUCAAAACUUCAAACGAAAGACAAGCAAUAGUGAAAAUUUGAAACACGAUGCAUCCCUCAAGCAACUUUGCUGAAAGAUCUGAAUGAAUCUACUUUCUGCUACUUAACAAAAUCAACUAAUAGAACAAUAGUAUCACAGAAUCUAAUAGAAGCUAACUCAGAUGGAAUUAAUUAUUAUUAAAAAGACCAUACUGAUGAAAUAAAGAACCCUGUUAUCCUAGAGUAAGUUGCAGAAACUUAAAAGUAGAUGCUCACCCAAAACAAAAACAACUGUGGGCUUCUUUCUUCUCUGUCAAGCUUCCCUCCUGUAAGCAGGCAGUUUCUCAUGUCAGCAUUACGCAUCAGCAAGUUGAAAGAAUAUGUCAAAAGCAUUCCAGUUAUUCUUCAUAUCAACAAAUUCCUCUGAGUAUAUUCUCAUAGCAAGUUGUCAAGUCACUUUGAUACCAUGGAUGUCACACAAACCUUAAAUUAACGAAAGCGAGAGCGCACCCCACCCUCCCCACACCCAUAAACAUACACAGACACAUACACAUAUGUACACACGCACAUGCAGAGAGAGGGGAGGGAUAGAAUCAAAGGUUUUCUGGAACAUGAUCAGCAAGACAGGACAGUUACUCACCUAGACUAAGAUAAUGUAUGAUGAGAAACCAAUCAAGCAUUUUAUUCUAAAGUCGUUUUCACUUGGAGACUUGAUCUAGCCAUUCAAAUGCAUCUUAUCUCAUCCAUGUAUACUUAGUGCAUUUUAUCAGACUUAUAGUUUGAGGUAGUUUGAGGUCCAUUGUGCUGAACCUGAUCCCUUAUUAUCACCUCAGCAGGGUAUCAAGAUACUAUUGAUAUGCCCCAAAUCUCAACAAUAAAAGGAACUUCUUAAUUCUUACUAAAUAUUUGAGUGUGAAUGAAAUUCAAAGAUAAACAUGUAGAUGCAGAAACAACUGAGAUUGAGAAGUCUACCACUCCAGAUUGGAAGAAUGAAUAACAUAUGAGGGCAGAUCAGGCAGUACGUCAUGGCUACAGUUUAGUACUGACAUUCAAAACAGAACACAAGUAACCAAAAGAAAGCUCUACUAGAAAAGAAAUCAGAUGCUUGCCUCAAUUGCAACAUCAAAACAAUUCCCAUCAGAGCCAGCUAAAGAAUACUGGACCCCAAGAUCUGGAUCACCAAGAAAAAUAAUCGUAUUAGGACACCUAAAUUCAUGCUGUCAAUUCUUGGUAAGGCUGCCGAGUAGAGGCCGUGUUAAGAUCCAAACAUGGCAACUAAUUAAUGGAUGAAUCGACAACAAUGAUCUAAGAUUUGAUCGAUUUGAUGAUUAUGAUCACGAACUUUUUAUCCACAUUCAAACUAAGUAAUAAAUUCUAAGAAAAUUUCUCAUCUUUUUUUAUUCUAUUAAAGGUUAGAGAUAAAAUCGUAUAUUUUUAUAUAAAUCAAUGACUAAUAUGAACAUAUAUCAAAAGUUCAGGAACCUCGAUUAGCGAUCGCAUCAAUGAGCCCUGAUCCGGCUUCAGAGUUUGAUGGUAUAUAUAUGUUUUCGGAUCAUCACUGCCUCCGAAAGUUGUAGAUAAGAAGAAAUCAAUGGCCAGAAAAAACAAAAAAACAAAAAAAACAAAAACAAAAAAACAAAAACAAAAAAAAAUCAGAACCAGAAGCAAAAGCUAGAGAUGAUGGAGUGUGGAUCAGAGAUGAGGAAAGCCAUGAGCAGAUCAAGCAGAAACCAGAAAAUUGCAGGAAGAGAGAGAGAGAGACAAUAGAACCGGAGGAUGGAUGGAUUACCUGUUUGCUCUGGUUCGAUCCAGCAGUGGGAUUCGUCUCUUCCGGUUGCAGAUGAUCUCUUUUUUUCGGCGUCUGCGUCGAGAAGAUUCUCGGGGGAGAGCUGAGCAGAGAAAAUAUUACAUACCUUAAAAGUUUCACGUAAUUUUUAUUUGAACCAUUCAGAGCGUGACAAACGUCCUCGCUCUCCCCCGUCCUUCCAAUUCAAACUAACGCGCGGGCGGGUGGGCAGGCAUUUUAUGUUUGUUUUGGGGGAGAAAGCUGGCCUAAAUCUGCGACCAGAAAUUCACUAGCUUAUUGCUUCUAAAUAUAAGCGCAGCAAUGCGAGAAAUAUUAGGUGAACCAUUGAUGACAAAAACAACAGUGAUUUAAUUUGCUAGCUGUCCGACCAUUGUUAUGUGCAAUUGACAGAUCUCGAGUCUCCUUGAAACUGCCCCGAUAGAAGGUCGGUCAUGCACCGUUUGGUCGACUUGACGGCAAUAAGCAAAAGGUAAGACAAGGACUCUGCUUAGUUCUGAUGAUUUGACUUGAUGCUGCCAAGUGCAUCGUUUGCUGCGAUGUUGUUCUUACAUAAGCGAAACAUUUUACAGAUGCUGGUCUCACCGGUCUAAAGAUGCCAGCAUAUAUCUGAGAUGUCGCAGAUAUAUUGGGUCGAGAGGAUUCUCGAGGGAGAGCUGAGCAGGGGGAAAAAGGAGAAAAUAUUGGGUCGAGAGGAUUCUUGGGGGAGAGCUGAGCAGAGGGAAUCUCAAAAGGACUGCGUACCCCAGCAAGAGCCCAAAAAUUUAUCACGAUUAUGUACUCGAGUCCUAAGAUUUUCGUCUCAUCCCUUCUUAAGCUUCGUUAUUUUGAAAGAAACAGAAUCAUCCUCGUGAUAUUUGGGAAGAUAUAUUGACUAUCAAGCCAUGACUUUCAAAGAGCGCGAAAUUAUUCACAAUAAUUCAAGUACACAGUCGUCCAUUGCCAUCGCUUGCGCCUUGGGUUGGUGCUCUGCGGCUCACAAAUCCUCAGAGUGAAUCUGUUGGUGGAUUGAAUUCAGUGGAACGUUAUGCUUUUGAGGAGUUCCUCCCUUUGUCCCAAAAAAAGAAGAAAGAAAAAAGCCACUCGAGCUGUCGAAGGAAACGCUCACAAGCCAAAUACAGCUCAAUUUGCCAUCUUUUCCAUUACCCCUUCUGGCUAUCCUCGACGACUUCUCUUGAAUAUAUUUCAGUCUCUUAAAUGUCGCUUGUCAUGUCCUGAUAUGAUUUUGUUUCAAUUUGGUCGAUUCAAGCUCCCAUCGAAGAUGUCUUGCUUUCCUACCUUUUUUGCCGAGCUUAUCCUAGUGACUACUACUUUCACAAGGUCAUUUGGUCCUAGGAAGUAAAUUGGCACAAAAAUAAAGGAAGACUUACCAAAAAAGUCUUAAACCUAUUGUAAGUGUACUAAUUUAAUCAUAAACUUCUUCUUUUUUUACUAAUUUAGUCUUGAACAUUUUGCAAUUGUAUCAAUUUAAUCUUGACUAGUAUUGACAUGGACAGCGGCCGAUGCCGAUUGUUUGGGCAAUACUAACAUGGCAAUUUAUUAAUAAAUUUUUUGAAUUUUUCUUAUUUAUUUCCUUUUCUUUUUUUCUCUUCUUCAUCCUUUGACUUCUUUUCCCAUAGCCAUCGCUCAUUGAGCAAGGGUCGCAAAGUUCUCACUGGCUUGACGAGGCCUGGGGACUGCAACCAAGGUGGCUUCACCCAGAUCUAGGCUACGCUCAACAGUGUAGAGUGUGAGGGCUAGGUGGCUCACAGAGAUCCCAGCCAAAUGGGAGAGGUUACGCAAAGGAAAAUGCAGAGCCCUCUGAAAAAUGUCAUGGAAUUUCGACCAAAAAGAAAAAUGCAAAGAUCGUGGAAUGAGUUGGCAGGAAGAUUUGAUGAAAACAAAAUAAGGGAAGUCUGGUGGUGAAGAAAUGGAAACUGAGGAAAAGAAAAAAGUUUUCUCCACAGUCCAUCAAAAAUGAUCUCACAGUUUCAAGUCCUUUACUGGCCAUAUCCCAGCAUCGUUUUCGACGAUAGAUCUUUCUUGUGUAAACACAUAACUAAACGUUAUAUUGGAUGCUACCAUCUUCCUUCAAGCCAAAGCAGAUAUACUCAAGGUAAAGUAGGCCAUUAUGAUAACCUCUGAUAAUGUACCUAAGACAGAGGAAAAGGCAACAUCGAACCGUGGCAAGUCUUGCGACUGAGAGAUAUUUUUCCCCCAAAGCAAAAAGGCUUUCGCUCCAGUUCCAUUGCCAAUAAGUUCAAGGACAGUGCCCGCCUGCCAAAACACACAAGGCAAAAGAAGGGAUCGAUAAUUUGUCAAGGGUACUUCUAUUGGGGCCAAAACUCCAAUGAAAAAAGCAUUUGCUAGAUAAUUUCGAAUGUGUAUUCAACAUAUCAAAAUAGGAGACGGAGCUAACUCACCUGUUACUCUCACUGCCUUUAUUCCUAUAAAUAAACAAUUACCACCUUAUAUUAGCAUAUGGCAAAGUCCAAUUGAUAUCCAUUAUUAGCCAUUUUUAUAUUAUGACAUUGAGGCCUUAAGAAAAUCCUCACAUGCAUAAAAACAGCAAAUGAAUAGUGCAAUAAGAAUGAUCUUCAAAUUAAAAGUUAUUUUCUCGUAACAACUACAGAAUAUCUAUACAUUUGUUCAUAUAGCUUGUAUUUCUUAGUGCAAAUUUAGGAUAGAUGAUUGAGUAGCUCACUUUUUUCAUUCAAAGGAAAAACCAACCCCUGAGUCAUGUCAAAUGUUUCUUCCAGAGAAAUACACUUUUGUGUAGUCCAACUCAAAUAUCUCAAGAGCUGCAAAUUCCUAGCACACGACACGUCUUAUUCAAAAAUCUCUGGACAUCACUGACCUAGAAGACAUACUCAAAAGAGAAACUUAUGAUAGAGUGGGCAAAGCAAUGGAUAUUUCAACUGAGAAGGAAAAAACAAUGAAUCAUAUCACUUGCAGAAACAAUGUAGUUCUUUCACCAAUCCUUGUCCAAAUAUUGUUCAUAGCCCCUGUGCAUGGAAAAAGGAGACCACAUAUCGCAUCUUCAAAUACCACUAAAGGAGUAGGUUCCAUUAAAAAUAUGGAAGCUGCUGCAGAGAAUAGCGAUAAUUCACAUGCCUUGGAAUUGUUAAAAAUGCAACUUGAUCGCAUUGUCAAACGGUCAAACAAACUAGGCUUAAAGGUAUGGAUUUUCUAAAACAUGCGGAUACAGAGAAUGAGCAUUCUCACAUAUCAUUCUCAUUUUCUGUUUAUUUUCUCAUGGACACAGGCAUGUGAGUGUAGUUUGGGACCUAAAGAAUGCAUACUCAUGCUAAGGGUUGAGCGGCAUUGAGAAAGGCGAGCGGCGCCAAGGGUUGAGCAACUUCAAGAGAGGAGAGCGACAUCAAAGGGCGCCAAGUAGUGCCAAGGGUCGAGCGUCGUCAAGGGGCAUCAAGCGGCGUCAAGGGGCAUCCAACAGUGCAGAAGGUUAAGCGGUGUCGAAUGGCCCGUCAAGGGCGACGAGCGGGUGUCAAGGGGCAUCAAGGUCAUCGAGGGGCAUCGUCAAGAGGAGUGAGUCGAAUAGUUGGAGAGAGAUUUUAGAGUGACAUGGGGUUGUCAGGGACAAGGCGAAGAGGGAAAAAGAAGAAACAAAAAGGGGAAAGGGGAAGAAACAAAUUGAAAUCUAGGAUUUUCACAUUUUAGAUUCUAGAAUCCGAUUCCCGUUCCAAUUCCUAUAGGAACCGGGAACUGCUAGUUCCCAAAAAAAUGGACCCGAGAACUCUUUAAAAACGGAAACCACACUCACUCCUAGUUCUAGUUGGAGUAUACACAUAAUAUGCACGAUGCCGGCACAUGCACGAUGCUAGCACAACACGUGCAUAGCACACUUAGGAGUCCAACGCGUGCUAGAACAAAUAUGCCUCUUGCUGUGCGAUUGCAGCAUCUAUAGUAAAUAUGCCUCCUGUUGUGCGAUUACAGCAUUUAGAGCAUUGUGCUAAGUUUUGGUUAGUCCCUCUCUUCCUCUCUCUAGCAUUGUGUCCAAUAUUUUCAAGCAUUCUAUCAAGUGUUUUCAUAAAAACUAAUCAAUUCAUUGCAAAUCGAUGAUGUUGUCCAAAAAAACAAUAAUAAUAAUUUGGUUAUAUUUUAGUACAUUUUUUUCCUUUUCUAUUUAGCUUUAUUACUAAUAAAAAUAAUAAAUCUAUUGCCAAAAGUCCUUUUUUUAAUGCAUGAAAAAACAACAAAAAUUAAUUAAUUUUAUAUAAUAUCAUUCACUUUUUCCUUCUUUUUUAGCCAAUUUGAGAUAAAUCAUCCUGAAAAAUAGUUUACAAAAUAUUUUCUUUUUCAUUUUUAUUUUUUCAAUUUUUUAUACGAGGCUAAAUUUACUUGGAAUAUUAAUAUAACAAAUAAGAUUUUUGGAAGAAAUUAGAGUGAUAAGUGAGACGAGCGUAUACAUAAAGCUAAACUUACAGUUGAGCAGUGAGGAUGGUGAUUUGUGGUUGAGAAUAUCUAAACUAUUCUCCCUCUUUGAGUCCAGCACUAGCUGGGUUCACCUCCAAUAAACUUCUCAGUCGUAUCAAGGUUGUGUUAGCUACAGUUUAUCGGCUCCACUUUCAUGAUCUUUGGGCCAAGCUUCUUCUACUUACUACUAGGCUGCCUUAUCAUCAAUAUCGAGGCAAGUUAUAUCCUUAUUAUAGCUUCUGUCUACAUUACGAAGAUAUCUCCCACCUUUUACCGUGGCCUACUCACAUCAUUCCCUGAGACAAUCAUAUAUUUCCUAAUUUUGUAGCAUAUAUUUAUUUUUUAAAUAUAUCAACUUUUGUCUAAGUAAAAAUUAAAAUUGGAAAGUUUAAGUUAAAGAAAUUGAUUAUUUUUUUAUGUCUGUUUGAGUGUUUUAGAUUUUCAUAAAUAGGGGCAUCCUCCUAGCCUACGUCUCUCACUAUUUCUUAUUCAGGAUAUACACCAAAUUUGCACAGUCUUACCUAUUCUAUUUGGGAGGAAUCCCAUUUGGCUUAGUCGCUUUUAGGGUUCUAACUAUGCCAAAAUCUUCUCAAUGGCUUAUCAAGCAUGAUCGCAUGGAGGAGGCAAAAGGCAUCCUAGUACAGAUCUCUUAACUCCGAGGAGGAGGAGGCACAUCGGUUCGAUAAGGUCAUUAGCCAAACCAAUGAGGGGGGUGUGUGACAGGCUAUCAUCCACCUAACCCGAUCAAUCCUACACAUGAGCAUUUGUGUAUUUAAAAUCGAUUUGUUCCAACAAGUUUCUAGAGCUAAUAUCAUGCUUGUCUACGGCCAUUGCAUUAUUGAGCAGAUGAGCAUUGUCAACCAUAGGGAACAGCUCCUCUUCCUCAUAACAGUUGACCUUGUGAUGACCAUGUUCACCCUGAUCUACGCCAUUAGCAUUGAUCGAGUGGGGCGACGAAGGUUAAUGCUCAUUAGCGUUAGCAAGAUGAUUUUGUUACUCGCCUCCCUAAGUGUAUCCCUCACAAUCAUCCACCACCACGAGGAGGUUAAGUGGGUUGGUGUUAUACGCGUCUUCUCAUUGUUGUACUAGACAAUCUCCUUUUCCAUCGGGAUGGGGCCGGUAGCAUUAGUCUACAAUUUAGAGAUCAUGAACUCAUGGAUAUCGCGCGGCUUACCACCUAGCCCACUGCAACGCCAAUUGCACACCCCUGGGCGCGCAAUCUCAUCAGGAAGAUCUCUAAGCUGUAGACCAAUGCUAUCGGCCCCAUCCCAAUGGAAAAGAAGACCGUGUAGCAUAAUAAUAAUAGACGCACAUGGUACUAGCCCACUUGAGUAGAUGAUAAUAAGAGAUACAUCCACGAAAGCAAGUAACAAAAUAAUCCCACUAACGCUAAUGAAUAUCAAUCUUCGCCGCCCCCACUCGAUCAAUGCUAAUGGCACAUACCAAGGUGAACAUGGUCUUCACAAGGUCCAUUGCUAUGAGGAGGAGGAGCUAUUCCAUGUGGUUAACAAUGCUCGCCUACUCAACAAUACGAGGGUCGUAGACAAGCAUGGUGUCAAGUCCAGAGAACAGGUAGAUUCCAAACACACAAAUGCUCAUGUGUAGGAUUAAUCAGGUUGGGUGGAUGACAGCCUGCCACACCCCCUCCCCACUGGCCUAGCUAAUGACCUCAUCCAGCUGACGCACCGCCUCCUCAAAGUCAAAGAUCCAUGCCAGGAUACCCCUCGCCUCCUCCACGUGACCAUGCUUGACAAGCCAAUAUGAAGAUUCUAGCAUAGCCAAAACCCUAAAAGCAACAAAAUCAAAGGAGAUUCCUCCUCAAUAGAACCGAUAAGACUGUGCGAAUUUGGUGUGCAUCUUGGAUAAGAAAUAGUGGGAGACAUAAGCCAAGACGGUUCCCUCGUUCAUGAAAAUCUAAAACACUCAAACAAGUAUAAAAAACAAUCAACUUCUUUAAUUUAAAUUUUCUAACCUUAAUUUUUACUAAGACAAAAGUUGAUAAAUUUUAAAAAAUAAAUAUAUGCUACAAAAUUAAGAAAGAGAUGAAAUGAAAUGACUAUCUUAGGGAACGACGUGAGCAGGCCACGGUAAAAUGUAGGAGAUAUCUCCAUAAUAUAGACAAAAGUUAUAAUUAGGGUAUAGCCCGCUCCGAUGUUAAUGAUAAGGCAGCUCAGUAGUAAAUAAAAGAAGCCUGGCUCAAAGAUCAUGAAAAUGGAGCCGACAAAGAGAAUGGUUAUAACCAACACAACCUUGAUACGACUGGGAAGUCUAUUGAAGGUGGACCUAGCUAGUGGCGACCCAAAGAGAGAGAAGAGUUUAGAUAUUCCCUACCACAAAAUUAUUGUCCUCACUGCUCAACUAUAGGUUAGCUUUAUAUAUACGCUCGCCUCACUCAUCACUCCAAUUUCUGCCAAAAAUCUAUACUAAAUUCCAAGUAAAUUUAGCCACGUAUAAGAAAUUGAAUACAUGAAAAAGAAAAGGAAAAUAUUCUAUGAACUAUUUUCCAGAAACUAUUUUAUAGAAUGAAUUAUUCCAAAUUGGCUAAAAAAGAAGGAAAAACUGGAUGGUGUUAUUUAAAAUUAAGUGAUUUUUGUUUUUUUUUACGUAUUAAAAAAAGAACAUUUGGUAAUAAAUUUAUCAUUUUUAUCACCAAUAAAGCUAGACAAAAAAAAAAAUACACUCAAAUAUAACCAAAUUAUUGUUAUCAUUUUUUUGGGCAACAUCAUCGAAUUAUAAGGAAUCGAUUAUUUUUUAUGGAAAAACUUGGAGAAAUGCUUGAAAAUAUUUGACACAAUGCUAGAGAGCUAGAGAGAGGAGAAGAGAGACUAACCAAAACCUAGCACGAUGCCCAGCAGGAGGUAUACUUGCUAUAGCGCAAUCGGUCCCCUUCCCCUACUUCUUCUUGAAAUAGCUAGAGUAAGAACCUUGUACACGGAUCGUCUUCGCCGAAUGGAACAUGAUAAUGCCCCCCUUCCUUUGCUUCUUUUUGGACUAGCUCGAGUAAAAACUCUUUGUAUGUCUCAUCCUCGCCGAAUGGAACAUGAUAAAGGUCAACCAUUCCUUCUUGUGUUUGCCAUGUGAAACGAAGGGGGAGAAAAAAAGGUUUUUUAAAAAAUUGUUGUCUUUUUCAUUCCCUAAAGUAAAAGCCUCUUGCUCUCUUGCUCAAUGUCUAAUGGUAGGCCCAAGAAGAAAGUCAUGGAUGAUGAUUGUCAUGUACAUUUUGGUGAUGAUGAGAGCUAUAGAGUUCAUAUUAUCUCUAUUCAAAGAAUGAGGAGAAGAAAAAGGUGAUGGCUACUGAGAGUUUUUAUUGAUUCUAUUCAAUGAAGAGGAAGGAGAUGAGCAUAACAAAAGAGGGAGAGAUAAAGAAAGAGGAGGCCUUCAUUUAUACGAAAAAUAAGUAGGAGAAGAAGAAAAACAAGGCGAUAACUACCAAGAGUUUUUACUAAUUCUAUUCAAUUAAGGGGAAGAAGGAGACGAGCACAUAAAGUACUACUAAUUUGAUGAAAACUAGGCUAUGGAAGGACGCAAAAUCUCGAGACAUAAAGGAGCAACUUGAACAUCAAGUAUUAUUCGGUCUUUAAGGAAAUAUUAUUUGUCAGACACGAUUAGAGCAAAAACUGGUAUGCAUUCACUAAUGAGGUAGACAAUUUGAGCUACUUUAAAAUGUGCAUUUCAAAAUUCAAUGAGGUUUUUAUCAAUUCAAUCAAAGUUUAUGCAUAAUGACUUUACCAUAUUUGCAUCACCCAAAUUUCCACAGAAGAGAAUUGUCGUUCAAGACAAUAGCAUGGAUUUCCUAAGAAUACUAAAUAAGACUUUCAGUUAAAAAAGGACUUUCACUCACUCUCAUUUAGGAUGGCUAUUUUAGGAGAAUCACCCCAUCUCACUAUCAUCAUGCCAAAAAAGGUCUGAGUAUCCUCAUAAGCAGUACGACCUUACCAAUCUAAGAGGCCUUUAAUAGGGAUCGUAAUGUGGGCUUCAUCAAUGGCUUAGCAAAGAGACUUUUUUGAGUCAAUGCAUUUUAAAAGAACAAUUAUGUAAUCAUCUCCAGGUUUACAAGUCAAGAACCUUGCGAAAUGAGAAAGAAAUAAUCUUACUCGCACUUCUUUAAGCGAUGCUUAAAACAUACGAACCCCUACGUUAAUUCAAAUGCCCUAAUCAGAAUAGACUUUGCAAGGGACGUAAUGUAGGCUAGAUUCAUAAGUUGAGAAAUGAAAGUAUUACUAGGCUCAAAAGAUGUGUAUAGGGUUCAAAGUUGAUGAUCAUCUACGCAUUGUCGCCGGUCUUAUCCUUCACCGAGGAUUGUCAUUAUGAGCGCACUAUUGAGCUUAACUCUUUGAGUACUGCUUCAUUAAGACACAACAUUUUACAACCGAUAGUCACCUAUCUUGACUCUCUUCUUUUUUCAUCUAUGGACAUAAACCUUACUUUUACUAGGCACACCGUUUUUUUAUGCCCUUAGUUCUUAUUCAUUUUUUGUUUACUACUUUUUUCAUGGGUAUUGGCCUUACUUUUACCAAACACACUACUUUUUCAUGCCCAUUAGUUCUAUUUUGAUGCAUAUGUCAAGCCAUUACACUUUGAAUGACACCCAAACUUUCAAGGGUUAUCAUCUCCCUUACCUUGCCCCAAUGUGGGAGAUGAUCACCAAUUGAAUUUGAAGAAAUGAAAUUGCUUGCUCAAGUGAGCUAAGUAAUGGAUAUAAGUGCAUAGGAUAGAGAAAGAAAUACUCUUCGUUGUCAUAAAACACUUAAAUUAUCACAUGAAUUUAAUGUAAUAGCACGGCUUGAAAAUUGAUGCAAGUGAGAGCAAAAAAAUUUCUUUUCAUUUUCUUCAACUUAUGAUACUAUCUUACCUUAAAUUUGCCCUGAUGUGAGAUGGUUCUUGACGAAGGUAAUUUGAAAAAAAAAUUCAUAAGUGUAUAGAGCUCAAAUGAGUUAAACAAUGAAUCAUAUGUAGUAUUUGUUAUAGAGAAAUAAGUUACCCCUCAUCAUUUCGAUCAUCGUACCAUUUACGAAAGACCUCUUAAUCUUACGGAUAUUUUAACUUUUUACACUCAUCUCACAAGUGUAUAGAUAUGGGAUUGUAGAUAGGAUAAGGCUUGCCUUUCAUCAUCCUAACACGUCUCAUUCAGCAUUCUUAAGCAUUGAUAUCACUUCAUUAAAUUGUUUAUCUUGACAAAACUCCACAUGAAAUUGGUGAGUUAAAUAGGCAAAACCACUAUCGAAAUUCUUUUUUUAAAAGAGUUCAAAAAUUUAAGCAUGAGAAGCUUUGUGACUUAAAAACAUAAAAUUUACCACACUCAAUGGUUUUAAGCAUUCAUUCAGGGGAUUGCCCCACAAAGGGACUGCCUCCUUGGAUUGCCCCUAUGAAUCAAGAUCAAAAAUCCAAUCUUUGAUUUGAUAAAUACUAUAAGCAUGAUGUGUAAAUAAAAAGCCAAUCCGUGACAAUGAUCUAAUCGAUUUUUCAUUUUUUUUUUAUUUAUUCAUGAAAAGUUCGUACAAUAAGGAAAUUUCCUAAAAAAGAGCUAUAAAGAUAGACAACCUAACAAGACCAAAUUUCCUAAACAUGAAUUGAAAAUAAAUUCUCCAAAAUUUUGUAUUGUUUUUCAAAUGACUCAUUCCAUAGCAAUUUCCUCAUUUCAUUUCUACUUGACAAAUAAAUUAGAUCAAUGACUAAACUAGAUUGUCAUGGAUAGACCAAAAGUAUGACAAAGUAAAUAAAUUGUAUAGUAUAGGGAUAAAAGGCUUACUUCACCAAGGAGAAUUAACGACAACCACAUAGACAUGUACAUGAGACGCAAUACUUGAUUUCUACUCUAGACAGGCUUAGCAAAAUGAAGCCAAAAGGAUGAUUAGAGUAGCCGCAGGCGUGCGAACUGAGUCGGGUCAUCAUGACUUCGGCUUGAUCAAAGAGCCGACCCGAGUCGCAAGCAUGCGGCACGAGGUGGAUACUCUUGACACUAAAAAAGAAUCUUCGGAGAUUGAGAUGGACGACUCAUACUAUAAGCAUGCAGUCGAAAUGGUAUUCAUCUCAAUACCAUCAUAGAUAACCCUAUAUGACCCAGGUCCGGCGGCAAGUUAUGUGUGUGUGUAAGUGUAUAGACAUGCACAACAAUUUAUAUCAAGCAAUAAUUCAUAUAUAAAAGUAAACCAUGCAUUCAUACACCUCCCUACAAAACAAAAGUUAACAAACACUUCCCUUUAUACUCCUCAUCCUCCAAAAACAUUUAACACCUUAAACGUUAAGGACAUACUUGGGAUCCUUGCUGCCAAAAAAAAAAAAAAGUUAAAUAGAAGAGAAAAUUAGCCUAAGUCCACUAAACUGUCGCAAUCUAACCUCGGAUGCAUUACCUAGGGUUUGACUAAUGGAUUACUAAAUCUAACCUUAGCUCGGGCUCUCUCAAACUCAUAUUAAUUUACGAUUUAGGUUUCAAGUUCUUAACAUGCAAUUGAUUUUUAAUUAAGAGUUGUCAUUAAUCUAUUUUUUGUUAGUCGAAUAGAAACCUAAAUAAAGUAACGGGAAAUUUACUUUACUCUAAUGAACUAGAUUGGGAGUUCGGAAACUUAUUUACGUUAGAUUUUUCUAACACCCUUUGAGUACCUUUCUCUUUUAUUUUGAAAAAAAUGUUUUGCAAGUAGCUUAAAUUGAUUUUAAUUUACUUCCAUAAGAUGUGAGGUAAUUAUGCAGAUGCACAAACCACCAAUUUAAUAUCCAAGAAAGUAAUAAAUAAAUUACGGAACUUAUCUCGUAACAACGAAAGCAUCUACAAUGUUAGCUCAGAAUUCAUAUCAACAAUCAUUAAUAUAAUUUCUAAUUAACACGCAAUCACUCCAAAUUUUUAGGAUUUUCUCUUGUUUAAAGAGAUCUAAGUUAUAUGUCAUGCAAUUUAAGUAAAUGGCCUAAUUCUAAUGACGGACAAUUUCUAACUAAUCCACUCCACGUGCUCUCCCUAUUUCGGAGUUUUCCCAUGUAGACAUGCUUCCAUCGUACUUGCCACCCUUGACGUUGUCCGCAAAAGCAAUCGAUUCAAGCUCGGCCAUCUCUUUUGGUGUAAGCUUCACUAACAGAGCUCCAAUGUUCUAGUUGAGGUUCUCGAUAAGCAUUUAGAAGUGUGCAAUCGAUGUGUAUUUAGAAAAGCAUGAUCAAUUAUAAAUUAUCUUAUCUUGUCCCAAAUCAUAAGCAUUAGAAACGUCAAGCGAAGUGAUCUAGCAACCACCACACAAGGCUGAUGGGUUUGACGUAGGAUGUGAAAAUAGAAACAAACUAAAAUCUAAGUUUUGUACGUGUGAUGAUACCAUUAGUCGCACAUAAAAUAAAAAAUAAGAAAUGUAGAUGUGUAGAAGAAUGUUAUUAGACGUAGAGCUCUUUUAGCUACAAAGAAAAUAGCUACUUCACUUGCCCAGCACUAUUGCUAGUCAAACACUAAUGGCAGGGAGUAAUACACAAUUGGCUUUAUGUCAGAUGGGAACUUGAUCCAAAACUCUCAUGAGAAGGGUGUCAGGAGUCCUCACUCAAGAAAUGGUUGUGUCAAGAUAUAGUUUUUCUUGUGAAGAAAGAUGAGAAUGAAAAAGGACAGAGGGCCAAAGCCCGAUACUGGCGUCAGUUAUUUUGAGGAAAUAUCGCUAAUCUUGUGAAGAAAGAUGAGAGAAAAACGGUGGGUGGAAAGUGGGGAAAGGAUAGUGAUUAGCAAAUGGUGGGAAGGCUGGGAAACAGAGCAACUUACAAAUUAACCUAUAUGUAUUCAUUCCCAAAAGCACGAGAAUCCAGGAAACUGCCUCUUUUUUUUUUUUUGGUAAAGAGGAAACUGCCUCUUUCAGGCUCACUAAAGCCAUUACUUGUGAUUUUACAUUUAUCUAGAAUCGAGAGAGAUGGGAUGUCUGGCAAGUGCUGGAUUAAAGACAUAUAAGAACAUGAAGCAUUCGUGUCACCAAGUUUUAUUCAUCCCAUCCAGAUACUUUUUCUUUAUACCACAAGAACAGGUUUCCAGCACUUCAAUAAGAAUGACAAUCACCGUAAGCAUCUAAUUAUGUUGACAAGCAGGAACAGACCUGUCUGAAGUCAUCCUUAGAGAGAUUCUCCACCAACUUGGAGCCAACAGAAAAGAAUCCUCAUCCUAAAGGACUGUAGGCAACAAUUCCAAUGCCAAGCUCCCUAGUCAACAUUUUAAAGAAAAAGCAGAGUCAGAAGGAAGCUGUUGUUGCUGCAUAAACAAUUAACAGAGUGAUAUCCUACCUGCACGUUGGAACGAUCUCUGCCUCCACAUCUCUUGACCAAAGUGACCACUCCAAUUGAACCGCUGUGAUGGGAUGACGAGCAUGUGCUCUUCUGAUUGUUGAUGCAGAGGCCUCAGAUAAACCAAUGUACUGUAUCUUACCCUCUUCAACGAGCUUCUUUUUCUCUCCGAUCUGUGCAUAUUCACAUGACAAAACAACAACAUCAAGAUCUUACAUGUUAAGAUCCAGAAAAUUAUGCAUGUCAUUAGCUUUUUAUGUGUCUAGAUCCCGCAAUUAUCAUGCAUCUCAAUGCGACAAAAAAGCCACAAGGUAUUGAGUUAACGGAGGUAGAUUUCUUGAAUCUCUCACAGAAGAGAGCAAAUAAAAGAAGUAUUCCAAGUACUCGUCAUAUUUCACAAUAUGUCAAGAAUCAAGUGUCUAGGCAUAAAGUUCAGGAACAACUUUAUAUGUGAUUCCCGUAUAUAAAUUCAGGAUGAACCCCGGAGCACUUUCAUCUCAAAGGAAGAUUUCAAAUAAUUUUCAUGCUUGUUGACCCUUAACUUGUAAAAGAUGCCCACAAAACGAAAACUCAAGCCACUAAACUACUAAAUUCCACAACCCCUGGACCAACACCGUGCCGCAUCUUGAACUCUGCUAUCAGCUGAACUUAAGUGUCAUUCAACAAAAUUCAACAAACUUGUAACAACAUGACGAUGCAUCAUCAACAACAAUCUAAUUUAGCAACUAAUCAUAUGGCUCGGAGAAAGUCUCAAGAGAGGUGAAAGUUUGAUAAGGAUCCAUACAGUGACUUCGAUGGGGACUCGAGUGUCGAUACGGUGCUGGUAGUAGAGGUCGAUGCAAUCGAUGUCGAGCCGCUUCAAGCUGGCCUCACAAGCCGCCCUCACGUACGCCGGAUCGCCCCGGACCUCCCUCUUCCCGUCCGCGAAGCUGAUCCCGAACUUGGUCGCCAAUUCCACCUUCUGCCUCACCCCUCCCUUCAGUGCCUGCUCAAAAUCAACCCCGAAAUCAGAAAACCAAGGCGCAGGAUCAGAGCACACUGCUCGAUGAAGCUAAAUUCCGUAACACUAUAAGCACAUAUAAUUCAUGCGGAGGCAAAACAGAGACUGAGAGAACCGACCUUUCCGAGGAGGAUUUCGUUGGUGUGGGGGCCGUAGAUGUCGGAGGUGUCGAGGAAGGUGACGCCGGAGCCGACGGCGUGGUGGAUGAGGGCGAUCAUGCAGCCCAGCCCAAACUUCAUCAGAAAGAAAACGCGAAAAAUGCAAGGCCUCAUCUGAGUGAGACAAAGGAUUUGGACGAACUUGAUUCCAAUAACUUCCUUUGAGAACUUUCGCAGAAGAGAUGAAAAACGACUUGCGAGAGAUCUCAAGUGAAAGAGAACGGGAUAAAAACGUAGAAAAUAAGGAAAUUUUGGAGGGUUCUUCCGAGUGAGACGAAGGAUUUGGAACGCCCGAGCAGCAACAAAUGCCAAAGCAGAGGACCGGAGGAGCAAAAUCCAAGAGCUAACGAAAGAUCCAAAAUUUGAAUGGAGGAGAGGGAGAGAGAACAACUUUGCUGGAGAAAGAAAGACGACCCUUUUCUUCUUCACAAAUGGAAGGAGAGAGGAUAUAAGAGAGAGAGAGUGAAAUAAAUGUGUGCAGGCUAGUCUCAGCAGGUCUAGUGAUAGGGAAAAAAAAAAGAAUUGUUUUGGGCGGGAAGAAUUUCCUCUGCUCCAGUGGCCCCACACCCUCCACAUGGCGGAGACAACGCUAACGUGGGAUCCGGGACCACCCAAUAUUUUCUUCAGGGCUGGGGAUACAUGGCUCUCCCUCGGACUACUCAAUAUUUUCCCCAGACCUCCUAUUCUGCUGCCGCUUCCCUGCUUUUGCUGCCCCUCUUUUCCCGUGUUGCCUUUCCCUUCCCUGCAGAGGAGAGCAGAGGAGAGAGAGCGUCAGAGUAUGCUGCUGAGAGGUGGGUCAGGUCUACAGGAGAGAGAGCAUAGGAGGGGGAAGAGCAAGUAUUUUAAGCUCCACGUGCAGUUGCAGUAGCAGCCUAGAGAGAGAGACGGGACAUAAAGAGGGGGUGCGGAGGGGCCUGGGAAGGGCGGAAAUCAACGGCAGGUUUCGAGAGACGGGAGCAGAGCGAAUCAAUUGGCUGAAAUGUACCUGCAUUCGGACGUCGGGCUGCAAAAUAAUUCAGCCCUCGCCCGCAAUGACGGAGACCGCCUCUCGACUUGGCCCGAAUUGCGAGAAUGCCACUCGAGAGGGACCGCACGAACUUCGACCGAGAAUUUUCGUGCAAGCCAAAAAGCGUAUUUAAGGAAAGGUUAUCCCGGUGGUUGAGCAUUUGACUUGAAUGCGACAAAAAUUUGAUGAAAGUAAUUUUAAGAAUCUCUAUCAGUUUUUUAACGGAGUCUGAUGCGAUGCUGCCUUUACACGGGAUGACAUUUAUAGAUGGGUGAGGGAAAAGAGCUUAAAAUACAUGUCAUGAAAAAAUCAAUAAAAUUGAGAGGAGGAGGAGGCCAGGCCGGGCGCGCAAGAGAGGAAAAGAGAAGGGGCGGGUUGGGCCAAGGCCAGAUUCGGCUCGACCCGACCCCUCUUGCGUCCUUUUUUUUUUUUUCGUUUAAAAAUAGGCAUCAACAGAUGGUGAUUGGAUGAAUGGCCUAUGAGGCAUUUCUAAUAUUGUAAAUGUCAUCAAUAUUGAUGUUUGGAACCUGAAAGAAUGAGGGAUGAAUGGUUAUUUCCCUGUAUGGAAAUUCUUGAUUCUUGUUCUGGGCAACUUUUCUCAUUCUCUAUGUCUUGAUAUACACUGUUUCUAUUGAACAGGGCGGUUGACUAUGUGGAGUGACGUGUUCGGCUUCGGUGUUGUGCUGCUGGAGUUGCUCUCUCAGGACGUCCCGCUGUCGAUAAAUCAGAAGUUGGGGUGCAGCAAAAUCUUGUGGAAUGGACUAAACCAUAUUUACGCUAUAAGGAGAAGCUAUACCGCAUAAUGGACGUGAAAUUGGAGGGGCAGUAUCCUCAGAAAGGGGCGUUUAUGGCCGCAUCCCUUGCCUUCGAGUGUAUUGGCGAUGCCAAACGUCAAACCUUCAAUGACGGACGUCCUGGCGACACUAGAGAAGAUCCCCGUGCCAAAAGAGUUGACGGCCACUGCUAGACAGGUGCAGUAGUUCGGCUCAUCUCCGCAGGACUGAAAUCUCCGUUGCAACGCAACUGCCCUUUGCUGGCUGUCAGGACUUUGAGAGGAUCGUCCCCUUUAAUAAUGCCGAGAACCCUGCCGUCUGCCAUGAGAUCUAUAAUGCCGAGAACCCUGCCGUCUGCCAUGAGAUCUAUAAUGCCGAGAACCCUGCCGUCUGCCAUGAGAUCGCCUUGUCAAUGAACUCCUUAUGAACAUGCAACCACAAUGAAAACCCUUCUAUGAGAAAUGGAUCUUGGGUAAGAGAGGAAAUGGAUAAGAGAAGAAACGAAACAGAGAAACCCUUUUCUUCUCCCUGCCUUCUUCAGCUUCCUCCUCUCCUUAAGACCGACCCCGACUCCGGGCCGGCUUGCUGUCAGGACGCGUACCAUGGGAAUGGACUUGCUGGGCAAUUUCGGGGCGAGGACCCUUUCCGGGCGGAGCUAGAGAGCAAGUUCGGAGAGAAGGUGCUGGGUAACGUCGACACGGAGCACAAGAUCUUGAUCUCCGUCGCCCCCGCUAUCUCUCUUGCCGAGCACCCAGCAGCCAAGCAGGAUUGUUCCCCUGUUUCCCCUUUCCAGCCCCCGAUGUCCCCAUGUCCCUUGACGACGCUCAGAAGCUCCUGAAGAAGGUCGAAAUUUCUCCCUGAGCUACUGCUGCGACCACGAUGAAAACCCCAUCCGCCCGCGCCCUCCAUGGGUUUCUUCCUUCCUUCCUUCCUUCCUUCCUUCCUUCCUUCUCCCUUCUCCCUUCUCCUGUGAAAACGCCAUACGCGAGAGCGAGAGAGAGCGGGAGAGAGAGACCAGAAAAAGAAAAAACCAACAACAACAAUUAAUUAAUUAAAAAGAGAGUCAAAAUGAAAAUCCUGAAAGUUUUGUCAAAAAAUAAAAAUAAAAAUUUGAUUUAUUUAAAAAUAAAUAAAAAUAAAAAGAGAAAAUAAAAACUUUUUAUUAUUUUUUCCUCUCUUUUCUUAAUUUUUUUUUUCAUUUCUUUUUUACUCUCCCAUCCAUCCUUCAAAUACAUAAAUAAAAUUAUGAAUACAUUGAAAUUGUUUUUUAUUUUUACUUUUUGUUAUUUUGAGUUUUAUAUAUUAGACUUAAAUAUUUGUUACUUUAAUCUUUAUUAAUUUAUCCCUCCUAUAUAUAUAUAUAUGCUACAUAACUAUCUAUGGAGCUACUCAUACUCUCUAAAGUGAAAGACCAGAUAUUAUGAGAAUGGAAGCGAGAGAUUGGGCCAAGACGGUCUAGUAUUGAUAGCAAUCAUAAGCAACCCACCAUGGAGCAACCCUCCAUGGUUCCAACUUCCAAGUAGUAUCUGAACGAGUUUAAGCUAAUGGUCACAAAAGUUCACUACAACAUAAGAAGCCAAUUGAUUUAGAUAGGGACCAGACUAUUUCGCAAAAUUAAAACAAAACAAUACAGAACGGACUCAGCUUCUAAAUAAGUGAAACAUAUAUAUAAACUAAGCCCUAUAAUUUGUUGCAUUGCUUUUUAAAUCAAUUCUGUCAUUCUUCUUGAGAAUGUAGGACUAGCAUUUAGCUAUAGUAUCAUCCCCAUCUCUGUAGGAUUGAGGAUGUGGGAUAACUUAACUAUCUAAUUAUGGUCCAAAUUUACUUUCCUUAUGGAUUCUGUAAUGCUAAUAGUGAUCAUUAUAAGCAAUUUUUUAUUCAUGCCAUAUGAUCGUAGUGAAAUUACUAUUUUAUGAGGAUACAAAUGCUAGGUGUAACUUAUGUUAAUAGGUAAAAACUGGCAUGCUUCCUUCAGCGGGCAUAAUUUAGGAUCCUUAGGAACAGUCUCAACGAGUUUCCAGUUCAAGGUAUCCUAUGCUUCCCAUAGCUUAGCUUUUUCCCUAGCUCCAUCAUUAAUUGGGGAUUCAAUAGCUAAUAUCAUAAAAUUAUUUGUAAAACGAUUAACUUGAAAAUCAAAAUCACAAGAUAUGUUAAUUGCUUUCUGUUCUUGAUAUGUGGUUGGUGGAGAGAGGUGUGAAAAGGGCAUUUAUGGAUAUCACUGAUUUAAGUUAAUUGGGUAUAUGACAAUCCAAAAGAAUGGGUUACGAGGGAAAAAUGUACUUAUAGAUCACAUAAUCUAUGUAGUAGUAUAAAUCAUCAUUCCUUUGGGAAAUGAUGUAGAGAAAUAUGAGAACUCGGAUGGGCACAUGCAUGGGAGAUGAUGGGGGUUGGAUGAUUGCGAGGGAAAUGCAAUGUGGCAUUCAAUGCGCUUGACAGCGUUGGAAUUUUGAGAUUGAAAAGUUACAAAGAGUAAAUUUGAGGGGACCAUUAGUGGAGAUCAGACGCAUAAAUUUAUGAGCUUUGAUUUAUUCAAGAAAUUGACAGGUUGCCAAAAGCGGGAAUGCCUUGGACUACAGCAAAGAAAUUAGUAUUGGAAAAGGACCUCAAGGCCCUUUCAAUCAUUUUCUGAUGUUGAACCUAAAGGGCACUUAGCCAAAAUAUAUUAUUCGGGCACUUAUGGAUGCAAAAGUAAACCAACCUACUGCCAUUUACUCUAUAAGGUCUGGAUAUCAUUUCACGUACUUUAAUGCUCUCCAACGCACUUCACUGAUAUUCUUGGGCAAAAAGUGACGUCCGCAGAAUAAAAAGUCGAUGUCCUAACCACCUACUCUAAAUGUUUAAAUAAUAUAUAUAUAUAUAUAUAUAUAUAUAUAUAUAUAUAUAUGGCUUUAAAUGGCGUUAAAUACCCAAGUCCAAAAUUCUUGAGGACUGCACCCCUGUGAUUGGCCAACGUCAACCUCAAAUGCAUAUGGCUGCAGCACUCGAGCAAAGUCAGUAUUAAUACUCACACUGCUUCAGUUUAUCUCCGUCGGGGCAAGCUUCUGUCCAUCGGCGCCGUUUGUCUUGAUCAAUCAGUAAGCAUAGCUUCAUCUCACUUGAUUUCGUUGCUGUUCCUAUACUGCUUUUUGAAGAGAAACCUUUUCAAUGUCAUGACCACAUCUUAAUAGUCUCAACGCACGCAUGACAUGUUUCUGUAAUAGCUUAUGAUUUUGUCCAGUUUGAGAACAUAUUAGAUGAGAAACGGUUGCAAAGCUUUUCUCUUUUUCUCUCCUCGGUACUGAGUUUGACAAAAGCUUUGUCCAGGGCAAGAGCGAAGAAGAAGUGAGACCAGGUCUAGGGUUUUCCUGUAUUUGAUCCGGCGAUUUUUGCUUUCUCUCAUAUUCCCGUGGGGUACUGAAUAUCAGCUGCCACGAUGAUGAAGAGAACGGGAAUGCUCAUGCUUAUUUGUUCGAUGUUAGUAACUAGCUGCGUUGGAAGCAUUUGGAAGAAGACAUGCGUUACAAUCCGCAACAAUUUGACAGAUGAAAGUACUCUGACCGUACAUUGCAAAUCUAAGAACGAUGAUCUCGGAAUCCAAUGUACAACACAGCUACAGCGGCCGUGUCUUUUCCCAUUUAUACCCAGUUUCAUCGGAAGGACACUCUUUCUUUUGCAGCUUUUCAUGGCCCGAUCGAUUCGAAUGGUUCAAUAUGUAUGUUCAAAGCAGGGACGAGGGUAAAUGCAUUUUCUGUAGUUGGACGAUCUCGCCCAAUGGCCCUUGUAGACUCAAUGGAUUGACAGGAGAGUAUGAUCUUUGUUAUCAUUGGAAUCGUCGCUCAUAGUUAGUUUGACAAUACUGGGGUCAUUUCUGCACUUGAUUCUCUCAUUUUUCGACAUCUUGUUUGGGCCGCAGUCCUUCAAUGAACGGAAGGAGCAUCGUGGGAGUUUGCAGUAAUGGGUUCUCAUUAUCUCUGUUCAGAUCCCUCCACCUCCGUGCCCUUGCCGGCAAGCUCAACGCUGUCCCUGGCGACAUCACUGUCGUCCUCACGACGGCCGACGUCGCUGUGGAGGGGUUUCACAUGCGGUGCAGGUCCCGGCCUGGGUCCACUUUUGUCUGGGUCAGGCACUCGGAGAUAUAGGCCCCGUUUGGUUCAACUUUGGGGAAAUGGCUUUGCAUUUCCCCAAGUAUCCUUGAGAGAAUGGGCAUUUGGGGGAAUGCAAAGUGUGUUUGGGAACUCCUAUUGCCGGCGGUGGGGGACCCAAAGACGUCCGCGUUUGCAAGCAAGCCUCUCGUGUGAUCGCAAUACACCACGUGGACGAUGGAGAUCAUCCGAAUGAGAGGGGUAGUUUGAUACUAGAGAUCCGCAACCGGGUGAAACCCUGCACAUUUUACUUUAGGAAAAACGUCCAGAAAAAAUUAUUGCCGUUUAAGAAGCGUGAGUGCGAAAGGAUAGGAUUUUAAAAUUAGAUAUGGUGUAAAUUGCAAUUUCUAAUAAGUGAAGAUUGUUAAUUUUCUGUGAUGUUUCUGUAAAAUAUCUUUAAAAUAUCCAUAUUACAAUUUGAAUUUUGAUAGAUUUGAUUACAGUUAUGAAAAAAGAGGAGAAGAUAAAAUUCAAGGAACUUGGAUUUUCGAUUUUUGUGUCUCAUUUUAUUUCCAUGGCUGCCAAACAAGUCGAAAGAAAGAAUGUGGUAUCUCAUUUGUGCACCAUUUUUUAGUCCAUUGUUAAAUACAUGUGCAUACAUUUGCUAAGGUGACUAAUUAAAUAAAUAUUAUAAUUUUCAGUGCUGGUAUGUUUGCAAGAGCAUUGAGCAUCGCAUGGUAAGCAAGCGGAACAAAACCACAAGGCGAGCACUUUAGUACUAAUAAUAUCAUAAACUCUUCAAACGGUGUCGACCAUAAAGUCUACACAUCCUUUAAAAUACAAUUCUAGGUGUACGGCAAUGAAGGCCUAGAAACUCACAUAAUUUUAACAGCUUAAAUUACUUUAUACAUCCCACAAAAAAAUUACUUUUUUUUAGACACACCAUAUAAUUUAAAUAUUCAAAAAAACUAUCUCUAGGCCUAAUUAAUGAUAGGAUAGAUAGGUUAGAGGAAAAGCACAAGAAUACUAACGAAGUAAUGACGUCUAGAACAAUUAUAUAUAAUCUCUCUAUAAAGAUUAGUUUCUAACAAGUUCAAAUUCUUUUCUAAGUGAAAAUCUUUGGUUAAAAUUGUGAACUUUUUAAGAUUAUAACUUAGGUUUGGGAUGUGCUAAUUAAUGAAGAUUACUGACAAGAUUCAAAUUUAUCUACUGGCCACUUUUGAACCCAUAUUUACAUCCUAGAAAGAAAUCUUCCCUUUUCCCCUUUUGGACUUAUACAUAGAUGAUUUUCAUAUCACGCUUCCAUAGUGCCAUUUUCUCUCCGAUCAUCUCAUCCUCGGCAUUGAUUGAAAAUUUUUCAUUAAGAACAAAAUGCUUUACAUAAAUGCUAAAUGACAAAUUUAGAUGGAAAGAAAACCUUGGAAGGACAAGGUUAGUAACUACUUACCGAAACUAGUGCUUUUAGUCGCAAAGGGUUCCCAUGGGAGGUAUCAAUGGACCAAGGCUAGUAACUACUUACGGAAACUAGUGCUUUUAGUCGCAAAGGUUCCCAUGGGAGGUAUCAAUGGACCACUGAAGUUUGUUUUUUCUUUCUUUUUCUUUUUUUCCUUUUUGAUUAGAACCAACAUGUCUUUAUUGAAAUAAGCACUCUCUAAUAAUUAUUUAUUCUCUUCGUUCAAGAUGGACCGUGAGAACCUUAUGUCUGGAUCAUGAACAAUGCCGAUUCGCAUGCCCUACCCAAAGUACGGAAAAAUCAUAAAAUCCAAAGCCUAGGUGUUACUCGUGACUGCUUCCUUGACCUUGGCUGUCAUUGUUGUUUACAUCGGAUGAUUGAAAGGAUUGCUAUAAGAAUCAAUCACCGGCAGUGAGGCAUGAAAUUUAAAUGCACAAUUCUCAGCUAUAUAAUUGUUGCAACCUCCUUCAAUUGCCGCUUUACCUGCAUCCUCAAUAGAUGUGCUUCACUUUCCAUCCAUCAAGUGUACUAUGUACCUUUGGAAAAGGUGGUGGUAACGAAUGAAAGCAAGUUGAAUAGAUUGCUUAAACAAAAACAUUAGCCUAUGCCCUCCUAAGCAAAGCAUUCCGUGUCAUCUCUAGGCUCUAGGUAAUCAUCUCCUCAAAAAUUUGCACCUAAGUAUUUGUUUUGCUAAAGAAUCAAAGUUUUUCCUGGCUUGGGAAAUUGUACAUGACCGGACCGGACUAACGAUCAAUUCCUCACAAUAGAAAUGAUAUGGGGCCACUCAUAGAUAGAUUUGCAUACCUCAAGGCAAAGGCAUGCAGAAACAUCCCGAUUGAAAAGCCAAGGGCCAUAGGAAGUGAUGUAAAGAAUAAAUUGUAGAAUGAGGUAUCCCAAUCAUUGUAAGCAAGCUGACCAGAGAAUGAAGCAUAGGCCUUGAACCACAGCAGGGUAGGGAGGUCUGGUAUUGCUUUGCCCCUCCAUCAGCCCCGGUGCUAGCAUACUAGCCAUGGAUCUUUUACUCUGAAGUAAAACACUUCAAACAAAGUAAGAACACGGGCUCUGAUACCAAUUGAAAUAGCUAGUACGAGUACCUAGAGGGGGGUGAAUAGGUAAAAAAAAUUUCUCGAAGCUUGCACGAUAUUUAAACAAUUAAAGAAUUUGCAACAGUUAAAAAUUCAAUCGCAAGACUGAGUAAGGGAAAGAGAGAAUUGAACACUCAGUUUAUAGUGGUUCGGCUUGAUUCAAGCCUACGUCCACUCUUCUGCACUGACAGCCGAUUGGCUGGAUUCCACUAUGAUCAAAGAGUUGUUACAGUGUUGAUCUUCCUUGAUUUCUAGGUGUAGAUGAUCUACCACACUCGCUCAAGGCGUUACCAAGUAUAAACACUCUCUGUGUACAAUUUCGCUCAGUCUCGACUAACAAUCAAGGAUCUUCAGACUCUGGAAUUUUUCUAUCGAUCACACACUUAAAACAACUAGAACAUCUUCCUUUUAUACUCCUUCAUGCCAUCAUAGCCGUUGGCACUUACCAAAGGAAUUCCUCCAAUCUACCCGUUGGACGGAAUCAAUCAAGAAGAUCAUCCGAGCUAUUUAAGGAAUCUGAUGAUAGCCCAUCAAUCCUGUUCGCCCAUACAAUCAGGAUCUCGGUUUCCAAGAAUAGAAUAAUCCAAGAUUAUUUCGUCGACCAUCGGAUCUUCAAUUGAUCUUAGAUAAGAAUUAAAGAAUCCGAAAUGAUUAUCCAACCAAGGAAUCUAUUCCAGAGGAUAGAAUCAAAUCCUCAACCAUAAACCUCGACUUUGGAUUUUCUUCAACACUGGAUUAGAAAGACUGUCAGUGAGAAUAAUUUUGAGUCUUGAGUCUUGAGUCUUGAGUCUUGAGUCUUGAGAUAACAAAGUCUUGAGACUAUAAAUUCUUGAGACUUUAACUAUCGAUAUCCAGACUUAGACUGAUAGAAAUGUUUUGUCAGCUUCAAAAUAUUCUGGAAAGAUUUCUCCAACACUUGUAAAUACUAAUUUAAUCAUCAACCCUCUAUUUUUAGAUGUUGGAAUUGUAUAACAUAAAGAUCAUCCGUUUUUGUAGCUAAAUAAAUUCACGAGAAUCACCACACAAAAUUAUUCACAAGAAUUCAUUAUCCACAAAUAAUUUUCAAAAGAAAAAAGGUUCCAUGCUACAGGUAAUAUUCUUGCUACAUAGGGCAUGGACACGACAAUUCUAAAAUUCUCCUGUUUAGCCCACAUCUCCAAAUAUGGAAGGCAAGAAAUACUAGCAAGGGUUUAUUUUUACAAAUGGUAAAUAAUAAAAGUAAUAACAUUGGGAAUAUUUCAUCUUGACACCAUUGGCCCACAUAUAGGCAUGCAAAAAGUGAUACCAGUAAGGGUCAAUCAAAUGCAUGUUUUUUCCUUGGGGACAGAUUUUCUUAACCAUGCCUCUAAAACCUAUUUCUAGUGUCCAUAGAGUCAAAAUAAUUCCUCAUCAUACUAAAGAAAAAAAUAAGAUCAAGAUUUAUGUUUUUUCCCUAUUUAAAAUGGCCGAGAAAUAAAGGCUUCAGCCACAUUAUUCGGUUGGAAAUCAAGAAAAUGGGAAUUGGCAUAUGAUUUAAAUCAAGAAAACAGAAUCUUUCUUCUUUUUUUGUACAUUUCUCUAAUUUUUUGCUAGCCCCCCUUCUUUCUUUUCCCCAUGGUCGUUGGGGGCGUCUUUUAUGGGAGAAUGGCGCGCAGUGGAUAGGAAGAGAGAUUCAAGGUCGCUCUCUUAAAUUUGUUUACCGUUUAAGAUGCAAAAGAAAGAAAAAAAAAGAAUUUUUAAAUUUGCUUACCCUUCACUGUGCUUACGCCUCCCAAACCCUAAUUUUCUUCAACAAAUCCUGAUGAUUACAUUUGCCCUUUCAAAUCCAGCUGACCGUCUAGGCCUAGACAAGCUUGUGGGGGAGUCGGGAGAGAACAUUGGUCAUCUCGACUAAGGAGUAAUAUGGCUGAAUCAUGAUUUGAAAUAUUUCAUGAAAGGGCCGGAAAAAUAUAAUGAGAGAGUGAGUUGGCAACUCACAACGAAAGUUUUAGACAUUACUUGGAAAAUCAUUUAGGGGGAGCCAAAGUUUCGGCCAUGAAUAUACAUAAUUAGAUAGAUUUUAAUUAAAUACUUAAGCCAUUGAAUUAUGAUUUACCAUGGAUAUUAACUGAUCCACAUUGUAGGGAUAAAUGUCCUAAUUUACUAAAAUUUGGCUAAUUAAUUGACAAAAUAUCUGGCCAAUUAGUUGUCAAAAGGUCAAAAGGUUUAGAUCAUAGUUGUCCCAAGUUGAAAAUGAUAACCCUUGUAUAUUAGAUCAAAAAAAGUCUAUUUCAUUCAUCAUAUAAGAAAAUUCACUUGAGGUGUUAUUCGAUAUAUAUGAGUAUAUAGAGUAUAGCUAAUGCAAAUGGUGGGUCUCGUGGGAAAAAACAAACAAAGUGGGUUUUAACUUUUCCCCCAUAGAUUAUUCAAUUCUAAUUCAUAGUUGAAUAGGCAAGGCCAUUGUCCACACCCUCUGCGUGGCUUUAGGACAGACCCCUAAAGAUUUGGUACAACAUAAAAUGUUGUUUUCUCUCUCUUUCUUCCUUUUUUUUUUUUUUUUUGCUUCUUUUUCCGAGGUUACUGUAUCAGCAGGAGUUGACUCCUGUUUCUGGAGUUUUUGAUAGCAGAAGGUUUGUCCUUUCUGGUGCGACUUUUGAUUUAGGGGAGAGAGAGUGAGAGAGAGUUCUUAGCAGUUAAACAAGAAGUGGGAAUUAUUCGGGUUUGAGAUGAUAGGGGUGGUCAGGAGAGAGGAAAAGAAAGAAGUGGGAGCUGCUUUGUCCUACCGUCAACGAGCAAGCAUGGUAUGGCGUUGGUAGAGCUGGGAAGAGAGAGAGAGUGAGAAUUUAUCGGAUGAGAGAGAGAGAUAGAUUUCCUAGAGAACCAAAAUGAUAUACAUGCCCUGCCCUGGCAAUAAAAUAUAAAAACUAGCCGGGGCGCCUUGAUUCCUCUAUUAUNNNNNNNNNNNNNNNNNNNNNNNNNNNNNNNNNNNNNNNNNNNNNNNNNNNNNNNNNNNNNNNNNNNNNNNNNNNNNNNNNNNNNNNNNNNNNNNNNNNNUUAUUAUUAUUAUUAUAAUAUAAAAACUAGCCGGGGCGCCUUGAUCCUCUAAAUUAGGAAGCAUGGGCAGAGGAUUAUAAAUGAAUGGCCCUCACUUAUGAUCGGGAGCAUCACCCUAUUCAACGUAUGAAUAACAAUCCAGGAGACGCCACAUGAUAAAGAUACAUUUCUCGAGCCUCCCUUUUCAUUCAUGCUCUCGAAAUGCACAAAUUUUUUACUUUCUAAUUUGCUUGUAACCUACUGACCAAAAAAAAAAAAAAAAAAUUGCUUGUAACCUUACAAGCCUCUCCCUUUCUACACAUUGAUAUUGUUGCUGCAACAAACAAAUCCAUGAAAACAAAAAUGGGAUUACACAAUCUAACUCCAAGGAGUAAGUUUGAUUUGUCAAUUCAAUUCGAGGCUCCAAUCGGCCAUCUUUUUUUUUAAGGGAGCCUGAUUUUUAAAAUUUAAAUACCCUCUCGGCCAGCGAUUUGGAACGAGUCCCCGCCUGUGUCCUUGGACCCUCUUCGUCAGGUUCGCCUCAAAUCCCGCGACGCGUGGUCCGGUCCCGACAGCGGAGGUUUCUUCCUGGCCAGUUCAUGGGCACCCUUAAGGAUCCUUAAGGGUUGGCGAGGUCAUGCGUACGUCACGGAUUGGGGAGUGGUUUGUGGUAUUAGAAAACGAUGAUCAUAUGCGAUUGAUGUGGUGGUUUCAAAGGUGAAAUUGCCAUUAUGGUGGCGACGCGACGGGGAAGGGAGAUGAUUUUUGGCUGGUCUUUGUGGCUCCUUUAUUAAAAUCCCCUAGCGAGAGGAGGCUGCCGCGACGGCGGGGAUGAGCCUUACUUCCCGGAACGGCUUCGAUGGCGAGGGACCAAUGACCAUCCCAUGGAACCAUCUCUGUUUCGAUAAUAAAAUAAAAUAUAAUUAUUAAAAAAAAAAGCUGAGGCUAGGAAGAGUCUAGGAGCAAAGCAGCAAAGAGAGCGCUUUGUAAUGAUUAAUUCUUAUUUUUAUCGCGAUUCGCAAUGAUUACUUUUUCACGGGGCAGGAAAAUCACGGCAGCCGGGCGACGCGUGGCACGUGGUCCGCUACAGGGAUGGGAGAUGGGAGAGAAUGAGUAAAUGAAAAAUCACGGCAGCCGAAAACUGAGUGAGUAAUAAUGAGUAAAUGAUUAGUGAGAGUUUUCAUUUAGUGUGAGUAAUAAUAAUAUCUUCUCAAAUUUUUUUAUUUUUAGUUGAGAGUAAAAGCUGAGUUGAUGCAUGGUAUGGCGACAUCCGAAAACGUUAAGCAUCCAAUCUAUAUUCAAAUUUUUCCUUCCAUUCCUUUAUGUCAAUCUAUUCUAUGGUGUACAUUUGAUCUAGUAUUUAAAAAAUAGAAGACAUGGAGAUCCCAACCCACAAAUUUACUGCUGGUGUUGACGAAGGGUUGUGUCAUGCUAGUAAGGAGGACAGAGAUUUUUCAUGGUGCAAAGCAGGUCAAGGCGAUUUAGGAGAUGUGCUGGGGAGUCCACCUUCACGGAUCACCGGAGAACUUGUAUCUCACUUUUAUUCCAAAAACAUAUUCUAUAAUUGCCAACCUUUCCUUCAUAGUAAUGCCAUCGCUUACAUCACUUAGAAAAUAAUCCAAUAAUUCGCUAAAUUAUCCACUCUCAUGCUCUCUCCCUACUGCUCCCUAAUCUAGUUACCAUCCAUCAUUAAUUAUACUACUAUGGUGAGUUAUGGCCACAACUCCGGCAACACAUUAAUUAAUAUAAUUUAAUUUGAUAUUUUGUUCUCUAAUAAAAUAAUCUCAUCAAGUCCAACCCACAUUCAAUUCCCCAAAGCGAUUAGCAUGUCAAAGCCGUCACUCAGCCGAAAUCAAAAUAAAAAUCGCCCAUUCACAUUUCCCCACCCAUUCCCAAAUUUUUUAUAAGUUCAAUCACCAAGCUAUCUCGUGUAAUUUGCCCCACUUUUUUGUACCAGAAUGGGCUUUGAAAUCUUUCCCCCUAGAAAAUUGAUCAUACUUUAAAAAUAUUUCAAUAUUAAAAGUAAAAAAUAUGUCAACAUUAAAAUUAAGCUGAAAACAAAGGUUGAAAGACAAUAACUAAAGGUGAAUGCGGUUGCUAUAGACUACGGACACGAAAUUCCCCGAAAAUCAAAUCAAAGAAGUAAUUAAGGGGAGGGGCAACUUUAAAAAUUCAAAUAAAGUAAAUUUACCAUUUUUAAAAUAUGAAUUCUUACAUAAUACCAAAAAUUCUAUUCUUACCCCAAAAAAAAAAAUUAUCCAAACUUAUACUUACAUAAUCCAAACUUAUACUUACAUAUACCAAAAAUUCUAAGAGUUUACUUUGUGAUACAAAAUCUUUUACCCAAAUUUUUUUUAGGGUGUAAUUUAAGAUUUUUGGAUGCUCCUUAACGAAGACAUAGUAAAAUUAAAUUAUAAUGAUGCCCAGGGGCAUCUCAUGAAAAGCACCCAAUUAAUUAAUUGAUUGACACGUGGCGUAAUUUUCCCACGGUUGGUCUUUCUGUUCUCUUCUCCUACUUUGUAGCCUUUACCCUUUUUGUCUUUUUGUGCAAAGGCUUUUUCAUCCUUUUUGACUAUUUUCUUUCCCCUAGUAUUAAUAGACUUCACGUUUUCAAUUUAUUUCCUAUUUCGGGCACCUUUCUAACAUCCCCCCUCUCUCUCUCUUCUGUGGCUCUCUUUCUUCUUCUUGCCCAAAAAGCCAAGACAAUUAAGACAGUAGCAAACAUUUUAAACCAAAAAAAUAGAAAGAAAAAGUUAUUUCAAACAAACUUUUUGAGCUCUUCACUAGUUAUCUAAAUAGAGAUUAUAUAUAUAUAAUAUCUAAAUAAAAAGGUUUUCCUUCAGAAUAAAAAGGUUUUUUGGAGAGAAAGUUUGUACUUGGUAAUUGGGGAUGCACUUAAUGCCAUGAGUUACAAAACAAUCCGCUAAAUUAUCCAUUUUCUAGAAAGAAAGUACUUGGUAAUUGGGGAUGCAUCCAUCAGUUACAAAAUAAUCGGCUAAAUUAUCCACUCCACUAAUUCUCCCCAAUCAGUUGCAAUCAACUGCCGUGGUUAGUGGUUAUACGUUACACGAGGUGAGUUAAUCUAACACUAACAUAUGGUUAUAACUCCCGCAACACACAUUAAUUUAAUUAAUAUAGUUGGAUAUUUAUUCUCUAAAAGAAUAAUCUCAUGGAAGUCCAACCCACAUUCAUUUGCCAUUUUCCUCACCAAUUGGUAAUUCCCCAAAGCAAUUAGCACAUCAAAGGGGUGAGUCACCCAAAAUCAUAAUAAAAAUCGGCCAUUCACAUGAGCAACUCACUGCUCAUCCUCAUGAUCCACACCUUGGUUCGGAAAAUUUUUAUAAGUUCAAUCAGCAAGGAGCUAUCUCCACUUUUUGUAUGAGCACGAGCUUUGAAAUUUUUCGCCCCUAGAAAAUGAUGAUUAUGUUUUAAAAAUAUUUCAUCAUUAAAGCACCUUUAAUUUGAAAACCUACAAAGGUUGAAAGACAAAAACUCAAAGUCAAGACUACGGUCAAGAUACAAAAUUCCCAGAAAAUCAAAUCAAAGAAAACCAAAUAAAAAAAGAAGUAAUCGAGGCGAGGGGCAAUUUUAAAAAUUCAAAUAAAGUAAAUUUACCAUUUUUUAAAAUACUGAAUUAAAAGCCAAUUUAUUAGGAAGCACGUCAUCAAUUUUUUUGGCACAUUUACCCUAAUAAAAAAAAUUUUGCACUGCUUACCCAAAUUCUUUUUUACAUGAACCCCCGCGUUAUCUUCCGAGGCUGAGGCUGUGAUCGUCAAUUGCGAUGGUGAUCCCUCGAGUGUGUACCAAAGAGGAAAUGGUCGGGGCCGGUGCACCUCGCGGGGCCGAGCGAGCGCCCGAGCGAGACCCGCAUUUCUCGUCAUUGCGGGGGCGACCCGGACGGUCGGCGAUUCUCUGCUUUCGCUAGCAACCGGCGUUCGCUGCCACGGUGGGAACUGAGAAGAAGAUAAAGAAAAGUACAAACAUUAAUUGAAGAGAGGGAAGCCGCGGGAUUUAUUCUGAUUUGGUCACGUGAGUUAUGCGUUCGAGUCCCUCCUCUCUCCCCCACCUUUUAAUUUUGUUUACCGUUGUUCCCUGUCUCCCAUCCGCAUCGGCCCUACAUUUUGCUCCAGGAAAAACGUGGAGAAAAAGUUAUUAUCUUUUCUAAAAAGUGUGAGUGUGUCGUAUGCGGAAGAAUAGUAUUCUAAGAUUAAAUAUGGUGGGAAUUGCAUUAACAAAUACUUUGUCAUUGUGCACCAUUUUCCAGACAGUACGAACGUUGAGUCCUGCACAUCCUUCAAAGGACGAUUCUAAUAUGGCGAUGGGACAAUUCUGAUGGGACAAUUCUUCGAGGGACAAUUCUAAGUAGGGUUAAUACCUUGAAAAACCCCAAACUGGUACACUUGUGAUAAAUUUAGUAAAAACUAUUUUUUUUUACCACAAAAAACCCAAAAUCGGUAUACCUUUGACAAAUUUAUCCCAAAUUGGUACACUUAUGACAAAUUUACCUUAUGUUAGUUUUCGUUAAAUUUUAUUCUCAAAUUAUUAAGUUAAAUGGCAAGUGACAGUUAACCGGUAUAUCGAUUUUACGCUCCGUUUGUCACAGUUUAUAAUUUUUGUGAUUUUUUUGUGAUAUUAAUCCAAUUUAGCAGAUGGUAUAUUUGUCACAAAUUUACCAGUUUAGGGUUUUUUGCAGUUGAAUAAAUUAGUUUGGGAUAAAUUUGUCAUAAAUAUACCAGUUUAGGGUUUUUUUUUAUAGUCAGUUGGGGUAAAUUUGUCACAGGUUUACCAGUUUGGGGUUUUUCAUGGUCAAAAAAAUAGUUUGCGGUAAAUUUGUCACAAGUGUACCAGUUUGAGGUUUUUCAGAGUAUUAACCCUUCUAAGUACAUGAGGAUCUGUGGGGAUGAAUGCCUGCCUCGAAACUCACAUAAUUUUAAUCAAUUACUUUAUAAAAUACUUUAGACCCACCAUAUAAUUUUAAUUUAAAUAGGUCAAGAUAGCCAUAUUAAUGAUAAGAAAAGGCACUUUCAUUAAUAAUAAUUGUUUCUUCUUUCCAAUUAUCUUUUUUUUACAAGAGUUCUGCCUAAUUGGAGAACUUUUUAUGUGUAUAACUCUCUCUAUAAACAUUAAUUUCUAAUAAGUUCAACUUCUUUUCUAAGAGGAAAUCUUUUCCUCUUAUUAAAAUUGUGAACUUUUUAUGAUUACAACUUAGGCUUAGGCUAUUCAAAUUUAUCCUCUGCCCACUCCAUAGUGCCAUCUUCUCUCUGCUAAAUGACAAAUUUAGAUGGAAAGGAAACCUAUUAACUAAUUACUGGAAACCAGUUGCGAAGCCUUCUCAUGAGAGGUAUCAAUGGCAACAGUCCCAGAAGGUUGUCUUUUUUUUUUUCCUUUUCCUUUGUCUUUUUGGUUAGAACCAAUAUGUAGGGCAAUGAGGCACCCUUCAAUAGCUGCUUUUAACAGCAUCUAUUCUAUAUGGAAGUGCCCCACUUUCUGUUCAUUCCUGUGUCCGCAACACAGCAAAACACAACAAUGUAUUAGUAUUAGAACCGGUCACUUUGAUCUAGGAGCUAGGAGUAGGAGCAUAAGCUUUAGGUUCAACUUCAGAAAAUGAUUCAAUUUCCAUAUAGCUAGAUACCUAUGAUUCCUCAUAGCAUAUCGUUUACUUAUUACAACAUCAACAGAAUAAUACUUACUCAUACUGCAUGUUCUCAUUUUAAUAGCAUUUUAUUUUUUGUUUUGUAUAAGUUAUUAUUGCUUUUUUGUGUUUUUUUUUUCAUUUGGUUUUUUUUUUAGCAAGAAUUUUUUUUUCUUCAUUUGGUUGGAAAUUAGCAGUUCUAACUUCUAGGGCCUUUUUCAGGGUAGCGUUGUUUGUCAGUACGAAUCGUACCUUCUCCUUCUCCCGUUUCCUUUUACCUCUGCUGCUUCUCUGCUUUUCUACGAAGCCGAAGGAGCAUUAUAUAUUAUAUAUCUUGUACGGAAAUAAGAUUAGUUUCUAGUAUUAAUUUCUUAUAUACCACCCUAAGUAAGCUCUCCAUUUUUGGUUGAGUUAAAUUUCCGGAGUCCAUAAUAAUGCUCAACGCCCCCCCUUCCUUGUUUAGAUUUAGAAAUUCCGAUGAGGGGAAUGAAGAGGCUCUUAGAUGGCAAAUGAAAGCUUAUGUGGGAUGGGAUGACGCGGGAUGUUUUAUCUCAUGUAAUUUAAAUACUUAACAAAUUAGUGGGGAUUUAGAUUUUAAGUGCUGCAACGUUGGAUUAUUCCAACUUGAUUUUUUCACGUUUUAACCACUUGGGUUUCAUUUUUUUUUGGGGAUAUUUUAAAUAUUUGAUGAACAAAAAUAUGUAAGCGGGGCUACUUUAUAUGCUUCUAGCUAAUAGCUUAGGCUUUCAAUAUUUCAAUAUCUUGGUUGAGUAGCAUAAAAUUAAAAUCAUGAUUUUGUGGAAUUAGCAGUCAAAGAGGGAGGUUUAGAAGCCUGAUAUGCCAAGCUUCUUCGGAUUUUGGACUUAAGAAUCGGCAUAGGUUUAUUAGGAGUUUAUUUUUAUAAAAACAAAAAAAUGCAGAGAGAGAAAAAAAGAAGAAAAGAAGCCCCUGCCCACAUGCAUGAAUGUUAUUUCCUCUUGUCAUGCUAUCACCAUGUUGCUAAAAAUGGGCGUCUGUAACCUCUGAGAGAGUGAGAGAGAGAGAGAGAGAGAGAGAGAGAGAGAGAGAGAGAGAGAGAGAGAGAGAGAGAGAGAGAGAGAGAGAGAGAGAGAAGAGCGACGCGCGUGUGUACCCUCGCCUCCUCCGACUCUUUUUCCCGUCAUACAGAAGAGAAGAGAGAAACAAAAGAGGGCAUCUCUCCUCCUCCUCCUCCUCCUCCUCCGUCUCCGUCGCUCCGUCUGUCUUUGACUUUGUGUAGCUUGCAAGCUCAACAGAGUUGAGACCUCCAGGUUUGUUCGCUCAGCUCCUCCGACUCUUUUCUCCGUCAUAACGAAAUCAACCUCUCCUCACUUCUCAAACUUCACUCCUCCUACACCUACAGAAGAGAAGAGAGAAACGAAAGAGGGCAUCUCUCCUCCUCCUCCUUCCCCUCCUCCUCCAUCUCCGUCGCUCCGUCUGUCUUUGACUUUGUGCAGCUUGCGAGCUCGAGAGAGUUGAGACCUCUAGGUUCGUCUGCUCCGCUCCUCCGACUCUUUUCUCCAUCAUAACGAAAUCAGCCUCUCCUCACUCCUCAAACUUCACUCCUCCUACACCUACAUAAGAGAAGAGAGAAACGAAAGAGGGCAUCUCUCCUCCUUCUCCUCCUCCUCCUCCUCCUCCGUCUCCGUCGCUCCGUCUGUCUUUGACUUUAUGCAGCUUGCGAGCUCGAGAGAGUUGAGACCUCCAGGUUCGUCCGCUAGGCUCUUGUCUUCAUUUGAUCUUCUUCAUUUUGCCAUGGGUCGGUUUUCUUCUGCUUGUGUGUUGAGGCGAGGCAGUCUUGAGGCAUUGAGUAUUAUAUCGUAUUAUCACGUCUUUUUCAUUCUUCUUUUUCCCCAUCCAUUUCACAUGGCAGAUGUCUGACCGUCAUCAUGUUGCGUUCGGUGAGGAUGACACAUACGCUGGGUUUUUACUCCAACUAUUCCUGGAAGCAGGGGAAGGGAACCCGCUGCAAAUGGCUGACCGUUAUAAUGUUGCGUUCGGCGAGGAUGACAUGCUGGAUUUCUGCUCCAGCUAUUCUGGGAAGCAGGGGAAGGGAACCCGUGGCACUGCAACAAGUAUGCUUCCUCCUGUGCCAUUGCAACAUCUAUAGCCUGCCUUGUCCUCGAUUUUGGUUAGUGUCUCUCUCCUCCCUCUCUCUAGCUCAAUAUUUCCCAGCAUUCCAUCAAAUUUUUCCAUAACAUUCCUUGUAAAUCCUUGUAAAUCCAUAACAAUAAUUUGGUUAUCUGGCUGUACUUUUUUUUUUGUCUAACUAUAUUACCCAUACUCCAUUCAUUUCAAUUGGUAAGCCCAUGUUUCUCUCGGCUAAUGUCCACUGCACGAUCGCCGUACGACCGCCUCACAACAAUCGCGCAACCACCGCACGACCGCCGCACGACUACCGCACGAUCGCUGACCAUCGCCGCCAAAUGCCACCACAAGAUUGCCGCCCAUCAACCGCAGGAGGGGAUAGUGGCCGAUGGGCUAUGGGCGGCAACCAUGUGGCGGUUAGCGAUGAUAGGCUGCAAACGGAUGAUGGCAGUCAUCGGCCAAUGGGUUGUAGGCAGCAGUCGGUUAGAUUUAGAAAUUCCGAUGAGGGGAAUGAAGAGGCUCUUAGAUGGCAAAUGAAAGCUUAUGUGGGAUGGGAUGACGCGGGAUGUUUUAUCUCAUGUAAUUUAAAUACUUAACAAAUUAGUGGGGAUUUAGAUUUUAAGUGCUGCAACGUUGGAUUAUUCCAACUUGAUUUUUUCACGUUUUAACCACUUGGGUUUCAUUUUUUUUUUUUGGGAUAUUUUAAAUAUUUGAUGAACAAAAAUAUGUAAGCCGGGUUGCUUUAUAUGCUUCUAGCUAAUAGCUUAGGAUUUCAAGAUUUCAAUAUCUUGGUUGAGUAGCAUAAAAUUAAAAUCAUGAUUUUGUGGAAUUAGCAGUCAAGAGGGAGGUUUAGAAGCCUGAUAUGCCAAGCUUCUUCGGAUUUUGGACUUAAGAAUCGGCAUAGGCUUAUUAGGAGUUUAAUUUUGUAAAAACAAAAAAAUGCAGGGAGAGAAAAAAAGAAGAAAAGAAGCCCCUGCCCACAUGCACGACUGUUAAUUCCUCCUGUCAUGCUAUCACCAUGUUGCUAAAAAUGGGCGUCUGUAACCUCUGAGAGAGAGAGAGAGAGAGAGAGAGAGAGAGAAGAGCGACGCGCCUAUGUACCCUCGCCUCCUCCGACUCUUUUCUCCGUUAUACAAAAGAGGAGAGAAACGAAAGAGGGCAUCUCUCCUCCUCCUCCUCCUCCUCCUCCUCCUCCGUCUCUGUCGCUCCGUCUGUCUUUGACUUUGUGCAGCAUGCGAGCUCGAGAGAGUUGAGACCUCCUGGUUCGUUCGCUCGGCUCUUGUCUUCUUUUGAUCUUCUUCAUUCUGGCAUGGGUCGGUUCUCUUCUGCUUGUGUGUUGAGGCGAGGCAGUCUUGAGGCAUUGAGUAUUAUCUCGUAUUAUCACGUCUUUUUCAUUCUUAUUUUUCCCCAUCCAUUUCAUAUGGCAGAUGGCUGACCGUUAUCAUGUUGCGUUCGGCGAGGAUGACACAUACGCUGGGUUUUUACUCUAGCUAUUCCGGGAAGCAGGGGAAGGGAACUCGCGGCAAAUGGCUGAUCGUUAUAAUGUUGCGUUCGGCGAGGAUGACACAUACGCUGGGUUUUUACUCCAGCUAUUCCGGGAAGCAGGGGAAGGGAACUCGCGGCCCUGCAACAAGUAUGCUUCCUGCUGUGCCAUUGCAGCAUCUAUAGCCUGCCUUGUCCUCGGUUUUGGUUAGUGUCCCUCUCCUCCCUCUCUCUAGCUCAAUAUUUCCCACUAUUCCAUCAAUUUUUUUCCAUAAAAUUCCUUUUAAAUCCUUGUAAAUCCAUAACAAUAAUUUAGUUAUCUGGCUGCACUUUUUUUUUUUUUUUGUCUAGCUUUAUUACCCAUAGUCCAUUCAUUUCAAUUGGUAAGCCCCUGUUUCUCUCGGCUAAUGUCCACUGCACGAUCGUCGUACGACCGCCGCAUGACAACCGUGCAACCACCGCACGACCGCCGCACGACCACCGCAUGAUCGCUGACCAUCGCCGCCAACUACCACCACAAGAUUGCCGCCCAUCAACCGCAGGAGGGGAUAGUGGCCGAUGGGCUAUGGGCGGCAACCAUGUGGCGGUUGGCGAUGAUAGGCUGCCAACGAAUGGUGGCAGUCAUCGGCCAGUGGGUUGUAGGCAGCAGUCGGUUAGAUUUAGAAAUUCCGAUGAUGGGAAUGAAGAGGCUCUUAGAUGGCAAAUGAAAGCUUAUGUGGGAUGGCAUGACACGGGAUGUUUUAUCUCAUGUAAUUUAAAUACUUAACAAAUUAGUGGGGAUUUAGAUUUUAAGUGUUGCAACGUUGGAUUAUUCCAACUUGAUUUUUUCACGUUUUAACCACUUGGGUUUCAUUUUUUUUUUGACAUUUAAAAUAUUUGAUGAACAAAAAUAUGUAAGCCGAGCUGCUUUAUAUGCUUCUAGCUAAUAGCUUAGGAUUUCAAGAUUUCAAUAUAUUGGUUGAGUAGCAUAAAAUUAAAAUCAUGAUUUUGUGGAAUUAGCAGUCAAGAGGGAGGUUUAGAAGCCUGAUAUGCCAAGUUUCUUCGGAUUUUGGACUUAAGAAUCGGCAUAGGUUUCUUAGGAGUUCAUUUUUGUAAAAACAAAAAAAUGCAGAGAGAGAAAAAAAAGAAAAGAAGCCCCUGCCUACAUGCACGACUGCUAAUUCCUCCUGUCAUGCUAUCACCAUGUUGCUAAAAAUGGGUGUUUGUAACCUCUGAGAGAGAGAGAGAGAGAGAGAAAGAGAGAGAAAAGAGCGACGCACGUGUGUACCCUCGCCUCCUUCGACUCUUUUCUCCGUCAUACAGAAGAGAAGAGAGAAACGAAAGAGGGCAUCUCUCCUCCUCCUCCUCCUCCUCUGUCUCCCUUGCUCCGUCUGUCUUUGACUUUGUGCAACUUGCGAGCUCGAGAGAGUUGAAACCUCCACGUUCGUCCGCUCGGCUCUUGCCUUCAUUUGAUCUUCUUCAUUCUGGCAUGGGUCAAUUCUUUUCUACUUGUGUGUCAAGGCGAGGCAGUCUUGAGGCAUUGAGUAUUAUCUCGUAUUAUCACGUCUUUUUCAUUCUUCUUUUUCCCCAUUCAUUUCACAUGGCAGAUGACUGACCGUUAUCAUGUUGCGUUCGGCGAGGAUGACACAUACGCUGGGUUUUUACUCCAGCUAUUCCGGGAAGCAGGGGAAGGGAACUCGCGGCAAAUGGCUGACCGUUAUAAUGUUGCGUUCGGCGAGGAUGACACAUACACUGGGUUUUUACUCCAGCUAUUCCGGGAAGCAGGGGAAGGGAACCCGCGGCGCUGCAACAAGUUUGCUUCCUCCUGUGCCAUUGCAGCAUCUAUAGCCUGCCUUGUCAUCGGUUUUGGUUAGUUUCCCUCUCCUCCCUCUCUCUAGCUCAAUAUUUCCCACAAUUCCAUCAAAAUUUUCCAUAAAAUUCAUUGUAAAUCCUUGUAAAUCCAUAACAAUAAUUUGGUUAUCUGACUGCAUUUUUUUUUUUUGUCUAGCUUUAUUACCCAUAGUCCAUUCAUUUCAAUUGGUAAGCCCCUGUUUCUCUCGCCUAAUGUCCACUGCACGAUCGCUGUACGACCGGCGCACGACAACCACGCAACCAACGCACGACCGCCGCACGAUCGCUGACCAUCGCCGCCAAUUGCCACCACAAGAUUGCCGCCUAUCAACCGCAGGAGGGGAUAGUGGCCGAUGGGUUAUGGGCGGCAACCAUGUGGCGGUUGGCGAUGAUAGGCUGCCGACGGAUGGUGGCAGUCAUCGACCAGUGGGUUGUAGGCAGUAGUCGGUUAGAUUUAGAAAUUCCGAUGAGGGGAAUGAAGAGGCUCUUAGAUGGCAAAUGAAAGCUUAUGUGGGAUGGGAUGACGCGGGAUGUUUUAUCUCAUGUAAUUUAAAUACUUAACAAAUUAGUGGGGAUUUAGAUUUUAAGUGCUGCAACGUUGGAUUAUUCCAACUUGAUUUUUUGACGUUUUAACCACUUGGGUUUCAUUUUUUUUUUUUGGGAUAUUUUAAAUAUUUGAUGAACAAAAAUAUGUAAGCCGGGCUUCUUUAUAUGCUUCUAGCUAAUAGCUUAGGAUUUCAAGAUUUCAAUAUAUUGGUUGAGUAGCAUAAAAUUAAAAUCAUGAUUUUGUGGAAUUAGCAGUCAAGAGGGAGGUUUAGAAGCCUGAUAUGCCAAGCUUCUUCGUAUUUUGGACUUAAGAAUCGGCAUAGGUUUAUUAGGAUUUAUUUUUGUAAAAAAGAAAAAAUGCAGAGAGAGAUAAAAAUAAGAAAAGAAGCCCCUGCCCACAUGCACGACUGCUAAUUCCUCUUGUCAUGCUAUCACCAUAUUGCUAAAAAUGGGCGUCUGUAACCUCAGAGAGAGAGAGAGAGAGAGAGAGAGAGAGAGAGAGAGAGAAAAGAGCGACGUGCAUGUGUACCCUUGCCUCCUUCGACUCUUUUCUCCGUCAUAUAGAAGAGAAGAGAGAAACGAAAGAGGGCAUCUCUCCUCCUCCUCCUCCUCCUCCGUCUCCGUAACUCCGUCUGUCUUUGACUUUGUGCAGCUUGCGAGCUCGAGAGAGUUGAGACCUCCAGGUUCAUCCGAUCGGCUCUUGUCUUCAUUUGAUCUUCAUUUUGGCAUGGGUCAGUUCUCUUCUGCUUGUGUGUCGAGGUGAGGCCGUCUUGAGGCAUUGAGUAUUAUCUCGUAUUAUUACGUCUUUUUCAUUCUUCUUUUUCCCCAUCUAUUUCAAAUGGCAGAUGGCUGACUGUGAUCAUGUUGCGUUCGGCGAGGAUGACACAUACGCUAGGUUUUUACUCCAGCUAUUCAGGGAAGCAGGGGAAGGGAACCCGCGGCAAAUGGCUGACCGUUAUAAUGUUGCGUUCGGCGAGGAUGACACAUACGUUGGGUUUUUACUCCAGCUAUUCCGGGAAGCAAGGGAAGGGAACCCGCGGCGCUACAACAAGUAUGCUUCCUCCUGUGCCAUUGCAGCAUCUAUCGCUUGCCUUGUCCUCGGUUUUGGUUAGUGUCCCUCUCCUCCCUCUCUCUAGCUCAAUAUUUCCCAGCAUUCCAUCAAAUUUUUCCAUAAAAUUCAUUGUAAAUCCUUGUAAAUCCAUAACAAUAAUUUAGUUAUCUGGCUGCACUUUUUUUUUUGUCUAGCUUUAUUACCCAUAGUCCAUUCAUUUCAAUUGGUAAGCCCUUGAUUCUCUCGGCUAAUGUCCACUGCACGAUCGUCGUACGACCGCCACACGACAACCGCGCAACCUCCGCACGACCACCGCAUGACCACUGCACGAUCGCUGACCAUCGCCGCCAACUGCCACCACAAGAUUGCCGCCCAUCAACCGCAGGAGGGGAUAAUGGCCGAUGGGCUAUGGGCGGCGGUUGGCGAUGAUAGGCUGCCAACGGAUGGUGGCAGUCAUCGGCCAGUGGGUUGUGGGCAGCAGUUGGUUAGAUUUAGAAAUUCCGAUGAGGGGAAUGAAGAGGCUCUUAGAUGGCAAAUGAAAGCUUAUGUGGGAUGGGAUGACGCGUGAUGUUUUAUCUCAUGUAAUUUAAAUACUUAACAAAUUAGUGGGGAUUUAGAUUUUAAGUGCUGCAACGUUGGAUUAUUCCAACUUGAUUUUUUCACGUUUUAACCACUUGGGUUUCCUUUUUUUUUUUGUGGGGAUAUUUUAAAUAUUUGAUGAACAAAAAUAUGUAAGCGGGGCUGCUUUAUAUGCUUCUAGCUAAUAGCUUAGGAUUUUAAGAUUUCAAUAUCUUGGUUGAGUAGCAUAAAAUUAAAAUCAUGAUUUUGUGGAAUUAGCAGUCAAGAGGGAGGUUUAGAAGCCUGAUAUGCCAAGCUUCUUCGGAUUUUGGACUUAAGAAUCAGCAUAGGUUUAUUAGGAGUUUAUUUUUGUAAAAACAAAAAAAUGCAGGGAGUGAAAAAAAGAAGAAAAGAAGCCCCUGCCCACAUGCACGACUGCUAAUUCCUCUUGUCAUGCUAUCACCAUGUUGCUAAAAAUGGGCGUUUGUAACCUCUGAGAGAGAGAGAGAGAGAGAGAGAGAGAGAGAGAAGAGCGACGCGCGUGUGUACCCUCGCCUCCUUUGACUCUUUUCUCCGUCAUACAGAAGAGAAGAGAGAAACGAAAGAGGGCAUCAAUCCUCCUCCUCCGUCUCCGUCGCUCCAUCUGUCUUUGACUUUGUGCAGCUUGUGAGCUCGAGAGAGUUGAGACCUCCAGGUUCGUCUGCUCGGCUCCUCUAACUCUUUUCUCCGUCAUAAUGAAAUCAACCUCUUCUCACUCCUCAAACUUCACUCCUACUACACCUACAGAAGAGAAGAGAGAAACGAAAGAGGGCAUCUCUCCUCCUCCUCCUCCUCCUCCGUCUCCCUCGCUCAUUCUGUCUUUGACUUUGUGCAAUUUACGAGCUCGAGAGAGUUGAGACCUCCAGGUUCGUCUGCUCGGCUCCUCUGACUCUUUUCUCCGUCAUAACGAAAUCAGCCUCUCCUCACUCCUCAAACUUCACUCCUCCUACACCUACAGAAGAUAAGAGAGAAACAAAAGAGGGCAUCUCUCCUCCUCCUCCUCCGUCUCCGUCGCUCCGUCUGUCUUUGACUUUUUGCAACUUGCGAGCUCGAGAGAGUUGAGACCUCUAGGUUCGUCUGCUCGGCUCCUCCGACUCUUUUCUCCGUCAUAACGAAAUCAGCCUCUCCUCACUCCUCAAACUUCACUCCUCCUACACCUACAGAGGCGAAGAGAGAAACGAAAGAGGGCAUCUCUCCUCCUCCUCCGUCUCCGUCGCUCCGUCUGUCUUUGACUUUGUGCAGCUUGCGAGCUCGAGAGAGUUAAGACCUCUAGGUUCGUCCGCUCGGCUCCUCCGACUCUUUUCUCCAUCAUAACGAAAUCAGCCUCUCCUCACUCCUCAAACUUCACUCCUCCUACACCUACAAAAGAGAAGAGAGAAACGAAAGAGGGCAUCUCUCCUCCUCCUCCUCCUCCGUCUCCCUUGCUCCGUCUGUCUUUGACUUUGUGCAGCUUGCGAGCUCGAGAGAGUUGAGACCUCCAGGUUCGUUCGCUCGGCUCUUGUCUUCAUUUGAUCUUCUUCAUUCUGCCAUGGGUCGGUUCUCUUCUGCUUGUGUGUCGAGGCGAGGCAGUCUUGAGGCAUUGAGUAUUAUCUCGUAUUAUCACGUCUUUUUCAUUCUUCUUUUUCCCCAUUAAUUUCACAUGGUAGAUGGCUGACCGUUAUCAUAUUGUGUUCGGCGAGGAUGACACAUGCGCUGGGUUUUUACUCCAGUUAUUCCGGGAAGCAGGGGAAGGGAACCCGCGGCAAAUGGCUGACCGUUAUAAUGUUGCUUUCGGCAAGGAUGACACAUACGCUGGGUUUUUACUCCAGCUAUUCCGGGAAGCAGGGGAAGGGAACCCGCGGCGCUGCAACAAGUAUGCUUCCUCCUGUGCCAUUGCAGCAUCUAUAGCCUGCCUUGUCCUCGGUUUUGGUUAGUGUCCCUCUCAUCCCUCUCUCUAGCUCAAUAUUUCCCCGCAUUCCAUCAAAUUUUUCCAUAAAUUUCAUUGUAAAUCCUUGUAAAUCCAUAACAAUAAUUUGGUUAUCUGGUUGCACUUUUUUUUUUUUUUUUGUCUAGCUUUAUUUACCCAUAGUGCAUUCAUUUCAAUUGGUAAGCCCCUAUUUCUCUCGGCUAAUGUCCACUGCAUGAUCGCCAUGCGACCGCCGCACGACAACUGCGCAACCACCGCACGACAUUGUCGCCCAUCAACCUUAGGAGGGGAUAGUGGCCGAUGGGCUAUGGGCGGCAACCAUGUGGCGGUUGGCGAUGAUAGGCUGCCAACGGAGGUGGCAGUCAUCGGCCAGUGGGUUGUAGGCAGCAAUCGGUGGGCUACGGGCAGUGGUGACUAUCACCAGCAGUCGCCAGCGGUUGGCUACCAACGAUGGCCGUAGGCGGCAAGAGGUGGCCGACAGUUGGCAGGCGGCGGGCAAUGGCUGCAUUGGCAUUUUAGCUUUUGCUGAAGGGUGCUUAAAGUUGAUUUUGGAAAAAUAAAAUAAAAGAAACGAUAAAGGGUUGUAUAUUAAAGAGGAUUUGUCCAAGCUUAAGCUGAGGUUUAAUUAAUAAUUCAAAUUUCAUUGGGAGGCGAUGAACUAAGGGAUGAACUUUUAGGACCCGGUUGCAAGAACUACACAAGUUUUAAACGUAGCUUUAUCCAUAUCUGUUAGCUAGUAUAAGGAUUAUAAUCUUAAUGGUCGAAAAAAUUACUGAAUCAACAUAUAACUUACUUUACCUCGGGAAAAUCAUUUCAAUUACAAACAAAAAAUAUUAGACUUGGACGUAAACUAAAAUCGAUACAAAAUUGGAAGCUAGAGAAGAGAGAUGUGUUGAGCAUUUGUUUAUAACGGAAUCAUUUGUUGCACAACUAUUGUCCCUCGCAUCAUCAAUACGUAACCAAGAUUCAAGAAAAUGUCUAGAGAUUUUAGCUUUGUGAUUUGAAGAAAAUUGAACGACAAAUUUCAUCAAUUGCAAUGAAGAAAAGUGAAGAAAUUCAUAUAUUUUCUAUGACUCAUCAACCAUUCAUAAAUAUGACACGAAGAAAACCAUUUCGCUUUUACAAAAAUAAAAUUCGAAGCACAUGUCACAAUAUAAACAAUACUCAUCGAAAAUUUAACAUAUAUAUAGUAACGAUAUUUUGUUAUAAAUUACUAUUAUUGUUACUCCGAACUCUUAGUAAUUCGGGUCACGUCGAAAUGUGGCAAACAGCUGCAUUGAGAACCAUGAUUUUGCAUGGAGUAGAAGUGGGACAUCCAUAAUCGUUCAUAAUUUAGCACCAUCCGUCAUUGGAAGCUACACACGUGUAUAAGAAGUGCAAGUAGGAAUUGGUCAUAUGUACGCACGAAUGCAAUAGGCAUUGUUUGUCAAAGUGAUGAAUUUGAUUCUAGGCAAGUCAUAUCACAUUCUGAAUCUCCCGUGGAGGAAAGCAGGUGGCGAACCAUUUUACUUUUCAAGUGGGCAUCGGGUCAACUUGACUUUUAUUUGUCGGGUUUGAUAUCCAUCAAAUUGAGUCCAUCUCUUUCGAGCAAAAGCAAGUUAUUUGUAUUUGGGAGACUGAGUGCUAGAACAUUUUACCUUUCAAACGAUCAGUGAGUCAACUUGACGUAUUUAAUCGGAUUUGAUAUCCGCCAAAUUUAGUUCACCUUCUUUGAUCAUGAGUAGGUCAUUCACAUUAGGACUUGGAAAUGCUUCCUUGUGUUAUGAUCUCAAGUUUUUCAGUCAAGUAAAAAAUUAAAUCAUAGGUCUCACCUUAAAUUUUAGUUCAUUUUCGAGCUCAAAUUUUGAGAUGACACAUAUUCUUUUCGGAGUGGCUUGAUCAAAAUUGACGAUAACCAACUCUUUUCCCUUAAUUUUUGUAAAAAUUUCUGAACAGAAGUCAAGCUUACCCAAGUUUAUGUCUUAAACUUAUAUUAUAUAAUACGAUGUAUCUAAAUAAUAGAAUUUUCUCGCAAAAUAGAUUUUCGAGUUCAAGAAGGAAGAUGUUAGAUUCUUUUUUGGCCAUAAGAGAAAAGUGUCUCCUUUUAAUUGUUUAUCAAAUAACAUAAUAGAAACAUGGAGGACCGUUUUGUUUCAUUUUUGGGUCAAUAACGAUUAUUCUUUAUAUCUCGCUUUACAAUUGUAUAUCUUAAUAUUAUUAUUUGAAGGAGUGUAUUUUCUUCCAUCACAGAUUGGAGGAAACUUUCCGCUGGCCAUGCCUUUAAUUCGAGGGAUGCAAGUUGUUAAUAUCAUCUUAUGCAUACUAGACUAAAAUUAAAAGUGGGCGAUAUCCAUAUUUAUAACCCAUCGAUAAAAUGUAUGAUUGAAGGAAGAUAUGACAUUUAUUUAAAACAUCUAAAUGUAGCAACAUGUCAAGGAAAAAAUUGAGUGCAUUUUUUUUUAUCCCAAACAGUCUAGAAUAAGUCUACCUCUCCAGUCAAAUCAGAAGCAAACCAUCCAUAUCAAAAUUAGAGAAUUGACAAAGAAUUACUUCUUUGGAGAAUUAUUUCACUAUGUUCUUGGCACAAUGACCCAAGAGGCUCGUGCCAAGUAAAAGCAAAACAUGGAACCUCGCUCUAAUUGUGGUGCCAUUCCUCGGUCAUUUGACCUCGACUAGUUCUUUGGGUUACCUUGUGUAUCAGCUACUGUCAAUUGAUUGCGAAAGCAAUUUUGACUUCAACAUUUUAUUGGUGAAUUCCAUAAAAUUUGAUAAGUACUGUCAAGAAGAAUUGCGAUCUAAAACUAUGCGAUAAGGAACCAAACCCAAUUCUAAAGUUGUCAAGACAGCAAAAAGUUGAUUGCUUAAAUCUUUAUCGCUUUCCAAUUUGAUGCGUUACACAAGUUAAAGUUCAAUUUGCCGAGUAAACACAAUGUUUAACCCUUCAUCUUUUCACUUCUCUUGUCACAGAAACUGCCUCCAUGGGCUGUGGGUGCGGCCUGACAACGAAGGUUAUCGGCAUAAGAACGCUUCAAGUGUCAUAACUUUGCCCAAAGGGACACUUAAAUACCAUAACUUACGAAAGGUACACUUAAGUGCCACUUUUUAAGAAAAGUGGGACACCUGAGUGCCAUCUCCAGCGAAGCUGGCCGGAAAUCAUACGUGGCAUUAAAAUAUUAAUAUCUCUCGCCGAUAUGUCUCGCCGGAGAGCUGAGCCAGCUCGAAUUAACCCCAAACGACGUCGUUUCGGGUGUUCGCCCAAAAUAGACCCCUUAAAUCAGCGAAAAUGAAGCGCUGGAGCCCUAAUCCCGCACCCUAAUUCAAUUUGCCCCAAAUUCUACCACCGAAUAUUGGAAAUGGAGAGCAAGACUUUCAGCAGCGGUUCAAAUUUCUCUCGCCGAAGCGAAGGAGAAGGCGAGCAUUUCUGUUUCUGUGGGUUUCCAAGUUCAAGAAGAACAUCGUGGACUCGAACGAAUCCCGGGAGAAGAUUCUAUGGAUGUGCCCGAUACAGAGAAGGCUCGAAGUGCAAAUACUUCAAAUGGGUCGAUGCGAAAUUCUCUCACUGAGCCACAGAGGUGAUAUUGGACCUACUUGAUGGAUGUCAUCAACCUCCAUCUACGCUUGUGGACGACUUGGACGAUGUUGACUCAAUACAAGCUCAAGCUCAAGCAUCUUCUGUUAACCAUUUGAAGACGAAGUUUCAAACAUGAAAAUUGAACGGAAGUAUUACCAAGCGUUUAUUAUGUUGUUGUUUCUUUGUCUAUCCUACUUUAUGAUGAAAUGUAAAGGACUGGAAGAUGAGAAGAAGUUUCUCCAACUGCCAUAGUUGUAAAUGUGUGGGGAAAUGUACUUGUUUUGAAUGAAUGAAUUAAUGAUUUCGACAGUUUUUGCUUAUUCUCAAAUAUAAAUCAAUGAUGAUGGAAAGUAUAUUAGGUCGAUGUGUUGUGGUGACUAUUUUACUUGAAUUGAGAAUGUAAACCAGCAAUAAAUGUGUAAACCAGCAGCUUCUUUGUUUUGCUGCAAACCACCAUAUACAUAGAACAGACAUGAGUGAUUACUCGAGUACUAUAAGUUGUAUCUAGUGAUCACUUAAGUGCCAGUCGUGAUAGACAAAGAGUCAUCUAAGUGUCUAGUUAUUAUUAAAAGGAUCACUUAAGUGCCACUUGUUGUUAAAAGUGAACACUUAAGUGCUAGGUUUUUUAAAAUAUGAUCAGUUAAGUGGCAUUUUUUUUUGUACACAUCGGCUACUACCAGCUACCACCACUGCCCACCACUGGCCACCAUCUCCAGCCAUCAUCACCACCAGGCAUCCCAAGUAUCCACUUUAGCCACCACCAGCCACCACAAUGCUUGUGGUAUGUUGCUGCAUAAGUUGCAAGUGUAAGGUGUCUUACACCAGCUUGCACAAGCACUACCUAGUGCAAGCUGUGCAUAUUGCACAUACAUCUUGCACCAGGUGCAGCAAAAACCUCCAACCCAACCCACCACCACUAGGCUUUUUACCAGCAACCACCACCAGCCACACCAGCACCCCAGUCACCACCAUAUAUCCACCACCAGAAGUAGCAAUAAGUAAAAGAAUAAAAAAAAAAAAAAAAAAAAAGAAAUAGGCAUGCCAAAAAUGAUAAGUAACAACGGUUGUUCCAUUGAUUUUGAACAUCUGUCUCACAAACUCAAUGACAACUGAAGUCUCACAAACUCAACUAACUCAAUGACAAACUAUUAUAAAAAAAAAACAAACAAACAUCCAUAGAUGUUUACAACUGACUCCUCAGCCCCACAAACCAUAUCACAUCCCAUUUCAUCAAUCAAUAUGCACAAUGCCUCUUGUUCGUGCUCGUUUUGAUGGACUUCACACUUGAUUCAUAAUCCUUGCACUUUUUCUAACUGGACGUGAGACUUCUUCUUCAGCUGUCUUGGGAUGCGUUGAAUCUGAUGGAGCUGCAAUUGUCCUAGGCUGAACUGAUUCAGAAGGAGCUACAACUGUUGUAGGCUGAACUGAUUCGGAUGGACCUGCAAUUGGGUUCUUCUUACUCUUCUUUCUUGUUGGUGCAGGCAAUGUCUUCUUCUUUGUUGGCGCAGCCGUUGAUUCUUGAGUUCGGCCUUGAGAGAUAAGAACCUCUGAACUUCUCCCAGGCUUUAAAAAGAAAACUCAAUUAUCAACAAAAGUUUACACUAUAAAUUAAAUUAAAUGCAGCCUAUAAAACUUACAUUAAGAAUAACUGUUCCAGAACGGUCAUCUGUAUAAAGGCCAUAACCAUAUUGUUUAAGCCUCUUCCCAAGAGCCCCUCUUGUUCGAAGGGGAGUGUCACUUUCAGGUACUUGUGAUUGGUUGCCUCUUCUUCUCGCAUGUGAUUUUUUCGGCUCUUGUGGCUGUUCAGCUACAGAAGGGGCUUCUUCGGCCAAUUCUUCAGCUAGGCGUCUUGUAGAUGGCCUUCUUAUAGGUGGCUCUUGAUUUGGCUUUGGCUUUCUUCUGGUUGUUUUUCUAGUUACGCCUUCAACUUCAGUGACACCUUCGGUAGGCUUUGGUGGUGGCCCUUGUGAUGACCCUUCUAGUGGCCUUUGUGAUGACCUUGGUGAUGGAUCUCGUAGUGGUCCUUCAGUUGGGCCCUCUAUUAACAGCUGAGCUCUAGCUUGUCUUCUUCGAACCUGAGAAAAAGGCAAAGGACAUCAUAAAUAUAACAUCAGGCCAUAUUAGAACGUAAAUGAAAAGUAAACUCAAAUCAUUUAACUGACCGGGUAUUUUUUUUCUCUGUUGCUGCCGAAGAACAGUCGACUUAACUGGCCCUCCAGUUGUUUUAGCCAAUCCUGCAGCUGGCUGUCUUCCAUCUUCGGUUCUUUGAACAGGCCCUUCAUUUUUAGGUAUAGCAGAGGCUUCGGCCAAUUCUUCACGUGUUACCGUGACCUGACAAAGACAAAAACAUUACAUAUAUGUCACUUAUAUCUAUACACAUAUUCAUAACAAACCAUAAAGCAACAUAAACACAAUUGUCAUGACUUACUGGGUUUAUUGUCGUCGACUGAAGAACAGUUGACUCACUUCGCCUUUCUGUUUCUCCUUCUCCAACUGUCCCUUCACUAGGCCUUUCAGCUGGCCUCAAUUGUUCCUGCUGCUUCUUUAAUUGACAACCCUUAAUAUUGUGCCCUGCUAUGUGGCAAAAAGAGCACUUUAUCAGUACACCCAUCCUAUUCAUCCUACGGUGACAUGAGUCCUCUCCCUCCGUCAUUUUCCUUUUUUUUCUUUGGUCUUCCCAUUCUCUUCUUUAGUGGCAAAGGUUGAGGUGCUUCGCGAUCUGUUGGCUCCCAGAACUUGCUACUUUUAAUUGGCUGCAACAUGAAUUGAUACGAAACAAGAUAUUUCGGUUUCUUGUACCAAUCAUCAAGGUAGUCUUCUGUGUUAUGGCCCUUCAAUUGAAUUGCACACAUGGCAUGUGCACAAGGAAUUCCACUGAGUUGCCAUGCUCUACAUGAACACUUCAUCGUACCUAAAUGGACAACAUACUUAUCGGAACCCUUCAUUAUCUCAUAUCCUUCAUCCCCAUUCCAAAUGGGAUGAUAAUACCUACUUGCAGCCAAGUUGUCAUCCAAUUUCUUAGCAAUCCUAGGACCAUAUUGCUUAGUCCACUUUGCAGUGUCAUCUCUUUGUCUGUGCAGCCGAGUCAUAACCAAAACCCGUAUGUCUUCAAGCAUCGAGAUAAUUAGUUUACAUCUAGCAUCUAUUAUACUCCCAUCAAAUGCUUCGCAGAUGUUGUUAUCAAUGUUAUCACACUUGAAUUCCUCGCUGAAGAACGCCCUACACCAAUGCUUCGGGUCUGUUUGGAACAGUGCAUCAUAACCAUCCUUUGUCAAUUGAAGCAUCUCUUCUUUGGCCAUCCUAAAGUCAGCCAUAUUCGUGCUCUUUGCUAGCUGCCAAAAGUGCGACUGCAACUUGUCCCCUUUAUAGGUCUUUGCCCAAUUUGCGUAUAUGUGUCACGCACACAUUCGAUGUUUAGCAUAAGGUAACAGCUUAGCUAUUGCUAGAACAAGUCCCUGCAAUAUAAGAUGCAUUUUUUAUAUCCACAAAGAUGGUGCCCUCAUUUCCACCCUCAUACUCCCACUCAUCCUCCCCAAUCACAAAUUCCCCAUUGUAGCAAACUAUAACAGCGACAUAAUCCUUGUCAUGCGUCAUUACUGCACCAAGAACAAGAAAAAGAAUCAUUAGUUUUUGGGACCACUAGACAAUUGCACAUGGGAGUCCCCCCACUCUCAUAGACUUUAGUAAAUAGACGUCCCAACACUGAAAAUAUGCCCCUACAUGACAGGCAAAAAAGCCAAAAAAGAGGUCGGCACUUUAAUUAUUUGCCUUCCCUUCCCUUAAAAUAUUAGCAAAACAGAGGUCCCCACAGCAAUCAUAGCCCAAGCAUGUCUACUGCACUAAACGUGCGAUAUGAGAGAAUGUACAUUAACUUAAGCAAAUCAAAGCAUAGCAUACUCUGACAUCAACUUAAUCAAAUCACAGCAGGAUUAUGUUCUUAUUUAGGAUUUUGGAUUGAUAAACAUACCCUAUACAGCAAUCACAUCAGGGUUUUGGAUUGAUAAACAUACCCUAUACAGCAAUCACAGCAGGGUGGUUUAAGGACAUACCCUAUACAGCCUCACAAAUGGGGUGGUUCAAGCACAUACCCUAUAUACUCUCACAAGCAGGAUGGUUCAAGAACUUAGUUUUUUUCUCAAAACGGCAUUAGUCACCUACUUUACUAGGAUGCUCUUAAGGAGAUGCAUAGACAGUGAUCUAACAAUCACAUAUUCUGACAUUGGCUUGAAAGACAAAUGCACCAAAAUAAUGAGAAAUCUGGUUUCUUUGUGUAAUGUCAGUAAGUUACAGUUGAAGUGUAUCAACACAAAUUCCAUUGGAGCUAUAAUAAAAUAAUUGAGCCCUAAUUAAAUAAUCGAGCCCUAAUUUCAUCACAGGAGAGGGGGAGAAGGAGCCAAACCUGGAUGACUGACAAUGGUGAGCGGUGACGAUGACCAAGGAUGGUGAGCGGUGAGCGGCGACGGCGACCAACAAUGGCGACUGACGACGGCAACCGAUGACUAGCUCUAGGCGUGAACGGCGAUGGAGAGAAGGGCUUGUGAUUUACUGUGAACGCGGACGGCGAGGAACGGCGUUAGGUCAGCCAACCCUAAUUAAAUAAUCGAGCGAGCCCUAAUUGAAUAAUCGAGCCCUAAUUUCAUCCCAGGGGAAGGGGAGAAGGGGUCAAACCUGGACGAGCGACGAUGGUGAGCGGUAAACGACGACCAACGAUGGUGAGCGGUGAGUGGCGACGGCGACCAAUAUCGGCGAUUGACGACGGCGACCGAUGACCAGCUUUGGGCGUGAACGGUGACGAAGAGAAGGGCCUGAGAUCGACUAUCAACGCGGACGGGGAGGAAUGGCGUUUAGGUCAUCGCACAAUGACCUAAACGACGUCAUUUAGUUGAGCGCACUCAAUGUGGAUGGACGGCGUCGUUUUUGUCGUCCACGUCGGCUUUUUUUAAAUAAAAACAUUUGCCACAUCAGUCAAAGAAGUCGCCGAAAAUCGUCGGAAAAUGUCACGCAUGCAAUUUGGCCGGAUUGGCACUCAAGUGAUCCCUUUUGCUCCGAUUUUGGCACUUAAGUGUACCUUUCGUAAGUUAUGGCACUUAAGUGUCCCUUUAGGCAAAGUUAAGGCACUUGGGGGGUCCGCACGUCGAAGGUUAUCACUUUGUAGCUCCACGCGCAGAUCACUUUUAUAUCUCUUCGGAGAUCGCCGGUGUUGAGUUGCUGGCCGGACUACUCAGUCGGAAACACCAACAAUUGCUUGGGCCGAGGAGUUGGCUUGCGUGCUUGAAGAAACGAAGGAAUUUCAGGCUUCCCACAUCAACCGGUGCGUUAAUUCAUUGGUAAUUGUAAAGUAUUACUUUCUCUGAAAGAAGUUGAAGGGUGAGCUGUUUUAUUUGAGCAGUAGGUCCCAGAGCCAUGUGUCGAUCAAUGAGUGGGCCGGCGCCCAUGUGGUGUGGUGGGGCCGGGCUCGGUCUAGCAGAUGGCCGCUUGCCGACCUCGUCAAACCCGUACUCCUUGAUCCCAAACUGCUCCGCCAGCGCCAGCAAUUACCGGAAGUGCUCCCACUCGAAAACGUAGUCGUUGCUGCAGUUGAAGGCCUCGUUCUGUGCAUACGGAUCGACCGCUACCCCAAUCUGCUGCUCGGCAAUGAGAUCGCCAUUUCCUUCGAUGGAGUAGCUAGCACUCCCGGCCGUCCUUGGUCCCCGGGAACAUAAGCGGGACGCCCUUGUGCUUGCAGAUGGCGACAUAGACACAAAGGGUGCCGGCAAGGUUCAUGAGGCUGUAGGGGUAGAAGACGAAGAUGUGGGAAGCCCGAAACUCCGAGGGAAUUGAUGCACCGGUUGAUGUGGGAAGCCCGAAAUUCCUUCGUUUCUUCAAGCACGCAAGCCAACUCCUGAACCGAUUGCGGGCGAUGCACUUCGCAAUGAACAGGAGGAGCUUAGCGAUUCGGUCUCGAGCUCCUAAGAACUCUGCAAAGAAAAGGUUUGUUUCUCACCGGAAGGGUGGACGCCGCCGGAGGAGGGCUCCUUGAAGCUGAAUGUUGAUGGAUCCGUCGGUCGAUAGCUCCUCGGAAGCUUCAAUUGCAGGGAAUCGCUGCCAGCCGCUGCUGGGUUUCACGAGGAAAGUAAGAGCAGCCUUGGCCAAAGCAGUUUUUGGUGUUUCCGACGGAGGAGUCCGACCAGCAAUUCGGCAGCGGUGAUCUCCGAAGAGAUAUAAAAGUGACCUGCGCGUGGAGCUACGAAGUGAUAACCUUCGUAGUCAGGCCGCACCCGCAGCCCAUGGAGGCAGUUUCUGCGACAAGAGAAGUGAAAAGAUGAAGGGUUGAACGUUGUGUUUAUUCUGCAAAUUGAACUUAAACUUGUGGAACACAUCCAAUUGGAAAGUGAUAAAGAUUUAAGCAAUCAACUUUUUGCUGUCUUGACAAUUCUAGAAUUGGGUUUGGUUCCUUAUCUCAUAGUUUUGGAUCGCAAUUCUUCUUGAUAAUACUUAUCAAAUUUUAUGGAAUUUACUAAUAAAAUGUUGAAGUCGAAAUUGCUUUUGAGAUUAAGUAGCAGUAGAUGGUACCCAAGGUAACCCAAAGGAUUAGUUGAGGUAAAAUGACCGAGGUAUAGCACCACAAUUAGAGCGAGGUUUCGUGUUCUGCUUUUACUUGGCACGAGCCUUUUGGGUCAUUGUGCCAAGAACACAGUGAAAUAAUUCUCCAAAGAAGUAAUUCUUUGAGAAUUCUCUAAUUUUGAUAUGGAUGGUUUGCUUCUGAUUUGACUGGAGAGGUAGACUUAUUCUAGACUGUUUGGGAUAAAAAAAAUGCACUCAAUUUUUUCCUUGACAUGUUGCUACAUUUAGAUGUUUUAAAUAAAUGUCGUAUCUUCCUUCAAUCAUACAUUUUAUUGAUGGGUUAUAAAUAUGGAUAUCGCCCACUUUUAAUUUUAGUCUAAUUUGCAUAGGAUAAUAUUCAUAACUUGCAACCCUUGAAUUAAAGGCAUAGGCAAAGGAAAGUUUCCUCCAAUUCGUGAUGGAAGAAAAUACACUCCUUCAAAUAAUAAUAUUAAGAAAUAUGAAUAUAAAGCAUGAUAUAAAGAACAAUCCUUAUCGACCAGAAAAAGAAAUAGAACAAUCCUCCAUAUUUCUAUUUUGUUAUUUGAUAAACAAUUAAAAUGUGGCACUUUUCUCUUAUGGCCGAAAACGAAUCUAACAUCUUUCUCCUUGAAGUCGAAAUUUUUUCACUGGACUUCAAGAAAUUUACAUAAAAAUGCGAAAUAGCUUUAAUGCUUCUUAAUCCUAUGCAAGUCGAAUGGGCUUUUUGACCCAAAAGAAGCAGAAAUGGCCUAGCCCACUGGAAUGCCUCUGAUUUGAGAUCUCCUCUCCGCAUAGGGCACGAAUGUCCUAUGCAAGAGGCAAGAAUUUUCAGAUGAUCUUUAGGCGUGAAAUUAAGCUAUCUUAAUACGGUGAAACCAAUCAAUCACGAUAAACAAAGUAGUCUCGAAGCAAGUGUCUUUCAAUUGGGGCCACCAUAGUUACUUGAAAUGGGAGUUUAUGCGAGAUAAUUUUCAUUGUCGCCAAACAAGAAAGAUUAGUGAUCAAACAUCGAUCGUUUUGCUCCUCAAAUAACAAGUUGCAUACCAAUGGCUAACAAUGACUCUGGUGGUUUUUACCAGGAUAAGCAAAAGGAGAUCACUUUUUUGCUAAGUGGCAUGGAAAAUGGUAUUGACAUAAUUUACUUACUAAACAUCACCCUCCUCUAACCAAGGUUCCAGCAUCACAAUUCCAUUUUUUGUGUAAAUUGACGAGUCCGAUCAGGGAUAACACGCCACUUUCAGGAGAUUCUCAAAUUGCAAAGGCUUGGUUUGAUCAAGCCACCGAGUAUUGGACAUAAGUUAUAGCGCUUACUCAAAUAAUUAUAUUGAAGUACAGAAAUCUCACGAGAAUAUACAUAAAUAACUAUUUUUGAGAAAAAUUAUCUAAUAAAGAACUUCAAUACCAAGCACUUUUCUCCAUGAACGACAGGCCUCAUGCAUGGAGUUGUUUCCUUCGAGCAACUCUCGGUGUUGGAAUUGCAAGUGGAUGAUCAAAAGCAAAGAACGAUACAUGGACUUUGCUAUUUUUCUUUUUGCGGCACUACCUUUGAGACCGCUUCUUUGUUUUACUAAUGCUAAAAGAAUCGUUUAUACGGAUAUAUAUAUAUAUAUAUAUAUAUAUAUAUAUGUGUGUGUGUGUGUGUGUGUGUGUGUGUGUGUGUGUGUAAAUUAGAAAGAGCUAGAAGCAUUGUCUUAUCCUGUUGUGUGAAGGAUUACCCUUUUUUUUUCAGCGUCCUUUCCUAAUACAAAGAAAAGGUGAGAUUCUCUCGUACUGAUAUAAUGAUCAUCCUUACUUACUAAUGUAAAUCACUGUGGUGGGAGGCAAUUGAUCUCGAGGCGAUGGAGAAUUUGGGGGGCCAAGAAUGGUGAGAAAUUUUAUUUUGCGAGAUUAUUCCAUUAUUUAAAAUGUCCUAUUAUACUAAUAUACGUUCAAGACAUAAACUUGGGCAAACUUGACUUUUGUUCGGAGAGUUUUACAAAGAUUAGGGAAAAAGACUUGGUUAUCGUCAAUUUUAAUCGAGCCACUACGAAAAUAAUAUGCACCAUCUCAAAAUUCAAGCUUGAAAAUGAAGUAAAAUUUAAGGCGAGACCUAUGAUUUAAUUUUUACUUGACCGAAUAACAAAAUCCAAAAAUAAUCAUUUUCUAGCACAAAUUGUUAUUGGGAAUGGAAUGGUUACCAAACACACAAUUAACCCGUUUUUAGCCUAUUUCCAUAAUAUACAAAUCUAGCGAUCCAUAUUUAACCCAACUCAUACCCAACCCAUGUUGCUAAAAUGCAUAUAUUGAACCCAAUUUAGGAAAACUCAUACUCAAGUUGAGGUAAGAGGACAAGGCAAGCGAAUAAAAGAUUGAGUGUGAACGAGGAAUGGUGAAAAAAACUUAUAGAGAUGAAUUUUAUCUAAUGAGUUCUUCCAUUUAUGACCUAUUUAUUGAAUAUAAUUAACUCACUUAAUAACUCAACUCAUCAAAUACACACGGGGCCGAGAAAUGAGUGUGUGAUUCAUUUUGAUAGGUAUAAUACAUGGGGGUAUGAUCCGUUAAUCAAAUCUAUUAUCCCGUCACGAAACAAAAGGCACUGGCCCCAAGAUAUCCCCUGUCCCGCGGAUCAUAGUAGGCACACCCAAAAAUAGGCAACCGAAAAGAAAAAGAAAAAGAGGAAAAUAAAGACAGAGAGCACUAUUCGGGACCCACCACUUAAACAGAACGCUCGUGGUGGGGUCCGACGGUCUACAAACGAUAUGCACAACGCCACCGCGGAACCGUCGCGAAAGUCAAAAAACCGCGUGAACCGUAAACCGCCCCCACGUAACACGAGUGACUGACUUUAACUGAUUUUCGAAAGUUCCUGUCCAUCUCCUUCCUCCCUCUCUAGAUGCCCCGGAAUCCGCGAGAUUACACAACGAAUCAUUUUGACAUUCCGGAACCGAUUCGGAGAGCUCGGAAAGGGAUAAGAGAGGAGAGAAAUUCAUGCCCAUGCUACAAGCCUAGAAGUACCCGUCCCACCACCAUCAUCAUCAUCAUCAUCAUCCGACCCCAACGCAACCUCCCCAGUCGCUCUAGGGACAGAACCGUUCGUCUUCCCCGGAAAAGCGACCGGCCUCGAGGUACCCUUCUGGGGAAUAGUCCCGCCCGGUGGGUGAUCAUAGAGGGAGAAGCGGGAGAGAGCUCCUCCGUCUCUAGCUCACCUAGCUUGCCGUGCGGCGGCGCGGACAGUAAUGGAGGCGGUGGCGUUGUUGAGUACUUGAUCGGAGUGAUCGAGAAGGCUGGGUCUUACGGCGAUAAAAAAAUAUGCAGGUGUUGGAGAGCGAGGCGGUCAUGAGUAGAUUCCAUGCUGUUUACGACAAGCUAAACGAGGCCUUGGAUGAUAUGCCUUACGACGAGCUCGGGGUCUCGGUUGAAGUACAGGACCAAGUAAGUUUGCAGCAGACUCUUUAGUUUAAUGACAUUGUCGUUUCCUUCAGAGCAAGUUCUCUGAUUCGGUUUCGCAGAAUCAAGAGGAGUUCAACUGGCUGAGUGAAUUCAUGAGCUCAAAUUAGUAAAUUUAGAUAAAUUUUGUGUAUUGUUCCAUCGAUCGUUCGCCGACACUGAUGGGUCUCACGUAUAUGAAGGUCGAGCUAAUUUGGAUGCAACCCAAAAAGGUUCAAAAGAGGAGGGACACGCAGGACAUUGAGUUGGCGAUGGAUCUGAUGGUGGUACUAUCCGAGAAGGACGACCGGAAUGUGGACAAUGCCAUCCAACAGCGCCUUGCGAACAGAUUGGAACUACGGACCUUCUGCGAUCUGAAAGCAGAAACAGUUGCCAUCAGUAAACUCGUGAAGCAGUUUGGAAAAGAUGCGCAGAACAUCCGGCAAAUAAUGGGCUUAUUUGGUAAGUUCAAACCGAUCAUCGGGUUCGAGGAGCCAAGCGCGCAGGAUUUUUCUGUUUCCUCGAGGACUCUGGAAAAGUUGCCGUCUCUCUCCAUUCCUCAUGAAUUCUUAUGUCCGAUCACGCUCGAGAUAAUGACGGAUCCUGUUAUUGUCGCCACCGGACAGGUAAUUCCACUAAUCAACACCAGAACACAUUGCAUUCUUGCAGAAACUAAAACACAAGUAGUUUAACUGAGAAACGGUGAGUUUAAAGGACAGAUUUCAAGUGAAGCAUCACGCUUCAUCUUCUAGUCUCAGCACGCAUUGCGAGAUAGUUGAAGCUCAAUCCUCCGCAAAUUUUUCUAGACAUUGAUGUUCAUACAACAGUUGCAGUUCAGAGCAUCGAUAUAAGUAGUGCAUAAGAUUGAUUUGUAAGCUGAGAUAUCCUUUUCUGUCUUAUAUAAGACCUAUGAAAGAGAGAGCAUACAGAAGUGGCUGGAUUCGAAUCAUCGGACAUGCCCAAAGACCGGACAAAUCUUGCGUCACUUGUUGGUGGUGCCCAAUUACGCUCUCCGCAACCUUAUAUUGGAAUGGUGCGAGAAGAAUGACUUUGAGCUCCCAAGAAAGGCCAUUUCCGUUGGUUCUGAUGGCUCUUCGAGCGAACUUGUGAAGCAGAUAUCUUGCCUUGUACAAGAUCUGUCCUCUUCUCAGCUGAAUGCUCGAAGGCACGCGAUUCUGGAGCUCCGGACUCUCUCCAAGGAUAACCCUGAUAACAGAAUCCUGAUAGCCAACAUGGGAGGAGUCACCCCUCUAGUUCAGCUCCUGUCGUUUCCAGACUCUAAAAUCCAAGAACACGCCGUGACUGCACUCCUAAACUUGUCCCUCAACAACGCGAACAAGAGAGUAAUUGCCCGAGAAGGCGCGAUUCCAGCUAUAAUCGAUAUACUGCAGAACGGAAUGGAUGAGGCGUGGGAGAACUCUGCAGCAGCCUUGUUUAGCAUAUCGAUGCUUGACGAGAACAAGGUGCUUGUGGGCUCCGCGAAUGGAAUUCCUCCAUUAGUGGAUCUUCUGAAAAAUGGAACAGUUCAAGGUAAGAAGGACGCGGCUACCGCGCUUGUCAACUUAUCCUUGCACCAAGCGAACAAGUCCAGGCCAUCAAGGCAGGCGCCAUACCGCCGUUGCUCGAUUUGCUCGAGGACCAGAAUUUGGGAAUGAUCGAUAAGGCGCUCUUGCUCUUGUGGCUUCUCGCCUCGCACCCCGAGGGGCGAGGCGAGUUGGGGCGGCUAUCUUUAAUCAAGACACUGGUGGAGAUCAUCAAGAACGGGACACCCAGGAACAAGGAGUGCGCGACAUCAGUGCUGCUGGAGCUGGGGCUGCACAACUCGUCCUUCGUGCUGGCCUCGCUUCAGUAUGGAGUAUACGAACAUCUGGUGGACAUCGCCCGAAAUGGGACUAACAGAGGCCAGAGGAAAGCCUAUUCUCUGCUGCAGCACAUGAGUAAGUGCGAGCACAUUGCCUGAGACAUCGCGAAAUGGGCGACUUUCUUUCGACUGCCGGCCACAUUUUUGAGCUUUCGUCGGUGACUUGAUGUCUCUGUGGUCCUAUGGACGAGAGGUGAGUACCCAAAUGGUGAAUCCUCUGUUCUUGCUCUUGUAAAAACAUGACUGCAUGAGGUUUCAGCUCGAGUUGAAUGCGCAGCGAGAGAGCUUUUUCUGUCAGCAGCGAAUGCGAGCUUGAUGGAUCUAGAGAUGCGCCAUCUUCAUAUGUCUCUCGGGCAGAUGAAGAUGAGGCACGCAACAUUUCUAGUCAGCCUACUGCAAAAGUUGCAUGUGGAGUUGCGCAGAGAGGGAGCAACAAGAUGCACUCUUACAAAGAUAAUCGAACUAGACACUUUGUUGCUUCAGCCGAAUUGAUUUUAUCACGCUUAUAUGAGUCAUGAUGUAGUUUGCAUAGCCAAAUUAGUCUUAUUAGGCAUAUAUGAAUUAUGGCAUAAGUGGAUGUUCUAUAAUAUUUCUUCCUACCUCAUAACUAUUAUAAACAGUCAACUUUAUUGCCUAAUAAAAUAAUAACAAAACUAAACUUUUUUUUGUAAGUUGAGAAGAUUUUCCUUCAAAUUUCACUUCAUUGGCAAAAUUCAUAAUUUGUUAUUAUAAAAGAAAGGGAAAAAUUCAAAUAAUAUUUCAAAGUGCUUUUAUUUUCUUAAAUAAGGACUUAAAGUGGCUAAAUCAUCUCAAAUAAAGAUUUUUGAUUGGCUAGUGACUAUUUCAGUCAUCGAAAAAGGGGUCUUUUAGUAAAAAAAAAUUGUGGGCAUAUUUUUAAAAGUUUUUGAUUUUUUUCUUUCUUUUUCUUUUCUUCUUCUUUUUUUUUUCCUCUUUCCUCCAUCAGCCAUUGCUACGAGCCAUCACUACACCUUCUCAAUGGCCAAUGGAGGGAAGAGGGGAAAAAAAAAAGAAUGGAAAAAGGAAAAAAAAGGUUUUAAAAAGUAUAAGGUGAUAAUGCCCUUAAACUAGCAAGGUUAGGCCCUCUCUCUAAGAUUGAUAUGGUCACUUUAGACUCUUAUUUGAAAUAAGUUCCACUUCAGGUCCUUAUUUGAGAAAAUGAUAGGACUUUAUGCCCUUAUUUAUAAUAAUAUCUAAUUUAUGUCCUUAUUUGAGAAAAUUAGAUCAUCUCAUUCCCUUAUUCGAAUUUUCCAUAAAAGAAAUGAUUUGCUUCUUUAAAUUUGAUGUCCCUCAAGUCACUCUCCACUAUACUAUAUUAGAUUAGAUUUCUUUCGUAAAAAUUCUCGAUAAAUGAAGAGUAAUUGAUUAGAAUGACUCAAGGGUAUGCAACUGCACCGGUUCUAUAUGAAGGUUGGAUUGAUUCCCAAUUCUAAAUAUUUGGAAUUGGUAAGAAUUUAUCUAGCUCUCAGUUCCGAGUGAAAACUCGCCCGAGAACUAGAAUGAUCAAACUGAUUUAUAGACCGGAUUUGAAACUAGUUUCCUAGUUUCUCUGUUGUUGAUGGUCUCUUUUGGAGUUUAGUGCGACUUAAUUGACCAUGCAUUGCACUGAUUAACAAUGUCGACCGAUACUUCAUUUAGGAGACUUGGAAAUAUGGGGUAAUGAACAUUAGAAUGGAAAAUUUUGAAAUAAUAAUUUUUUGGCAAAGGAAAAAAAAAACGGAGGAAGAAUUUAAAAUUGUGAGUAUUUUUCUCCCUUUUUCUUAGGCUAGGGGCUCUCCCAAAUUUAAAUUUUGUGCAUUUUCUACCCCUUUUCAUUUUCUACCCCUUUUCAUUCCUCAUCCCUUCGGCCAAAAAAAAAAAAAAAUCCUCACCCAUUCUAAAAAACAACGUAAAUGUCCAUCACAAAUAUCUACCAUUCAUCAUUUUCGGAAUGUGGCUUUGAAAUAAAAUAAAAAAGAGAAAAAAUAAAGGGCAUGACUACUAUUCAUCAUUUUCAUCAUCAACAAAUCAAUUGUCGUGAAUCGUCGAAGGGACUAGGUGAGGCAACAGUGAUGUCACGUGACCCUUGAUGACCCACUCAAUAACUCAGACCCAUGCUUGCCGACAAUCACCUAAAAGCCUUGUGCAACCCUCAGUGGAGUAUUAAAUCGAUGACCUAAAUUUAAAAUUCAAUUUUAGUGAAGGAGACAAUGAACAGUGAUUGUGAGGGUAAAAUUGUAAUACGAAAAUAUCAGGCGAGACAAUGAACAAUGAAUGCAAAGUUAAAAAGAAAAUAUGAUUUGCUAACUCUGAAAAGCGGCAUUCUGAAAAAUGCCAAAGGUUAAUAUCGGGUGAGAUUUACAUGGAAUUAAAGAAACUCUAAAGAUGCUAAUUUUGGUUUGAAGGGUUUCUAAAAUGCUAAACCAAACACCUCAAUUUUGUUUCGAUCGCCUUCGAGAGUGUAUCAAAUAAACAGCAAAGAAGAUUAUAUUAAAAAAAAAAAAACUCAUAAUCUUCUCCUUGUUCUUUUUUUUUUUUUUCCUACAGAAAAAGGAACCAUACAGAAAGGAAAAACACCCUCAAAUUAUCAUUUUGCUCCCCACGCUAUGACACUCCUGUGUGCCCCCGGCUCGUACGAUACCAAACCCCCGGCGUUGGUUGGAAUAUGCGAACCAAACUACAGAGAAUCCCAACCCUCCCUCCCCUUCACAUUGGACGCACCCGACCCAAAAUUCCACACCUCUCUCCUCCUUUUUAAAAAUAAUUAAAAAUUGGAUUGUUUAAAAAUAUUUUUAUAACAAUAAACUUUUCAUUAACCAAGGAGCUUAAAACUAGGAAAAAAAUUAAGAUUUUUUCAAAAGGGAAAUUAUCUUCUUGAAUUUAAGCUUUGAUAGGAAUUUCUUUUUUCAUUAACAAGGAAAAUAUUUUUCAUUGACUCAUUUUAUUAAGUGAAUCAAAUGCCGAAAAUUGAGGAAAACGUUUUCUCAUAAAAAGGUUUUUUUUUUUUUUUUGUGAAAUAAAUGCACCCUAGACAAACAUUGGCCCACAAUAAUCAUUUUAUUUUUGGGAAAAACAAUAUAGAACAGUAGCUUGGUAAACUUUAAGUAGGUAUUUGGAUAAUAAUACAUAUCCAUAAGAUAUAUCCACAAUAAUCCUUUGUUUCAUGGAAAAUAAAUAGUUCAAAAACAUUUUCUUAAAAAUGAUUGCUUGCAUCACUUAAAAAAAUGAAUGAACUAAAAUUAUUUUCAUAUCACCAAUGAAUAUGUCUAGACACGAGUUUUUCUUGAUAAUGAAUUUUUUUUAUCGACUAAUUAUUUUAAGCAAUCAUUUUUUUUUGGGACAUUGUACCGUGGCAUAAACACCAUGUGAUGGCUAUGUCAUUAGUAAUAAGCAGAAAUAGCUUACAAUUUUUUCUUUUGAUAAUAUCUAUAUUGUUGGAACAAUUCAGAUUUAAAUUAUACAAGUAUUUCAAAAUUUAUUGUUCUAUUUUCCUUUUGAGUGAAUGUCACUUUAGUAUGACGGAGGAAUUUUAUUUCAUGCAUUUAUGCUUUUACUCUUGUUCAACCAAAAAGAAAAUACUUUUAAUCUUGUGAAGUUGUUAUGCUUUUAGUUGGCCUUUUAAAUGGAAUGUUGGAAUAACUCCUUUUGCGGAAACAUUGUCUUAAGAAAUUGAAAGCUCGGUAGAGACAAAUUAUGAAGUCCUACAAGGCAAUAAAGCUAAAACCCAGGUUCUCCUCAAAAAGAAAAAAGAAAAAUCACAAUGUAAUCAUCCCAUAAAAGGGUAGGAAAAAUUCUACCUUCUGUCCCCUUGCUCUCAUCACAAUGUAAUCAGCCCGGAUAAUUUUAGGCUGAUUUAAAUGGGGAUAGGUCUCUAGGUUAAAAAAAAAAAAUUAACUUGUCUUAACCUAUUUGACAGCUCAAUUCGCGUUCAAUCAUUCUCUAGCGUCGAACUUUUAUUGUAUAAUAUGAAAAUUAAGAAAAGAAAUGACAUUAUCUCAUCAUAGUUCGAUAUGCGUACAGACAAGAUUGAUACUUAUUUUUUUCAAUGUAGGGUAUGAUCCUAAUUAUUAAGACAAGAAAAUGGGAAACAAGACAAAAAAAAAAUUAAGUGGAAACAAAAAACAAAUAGCACAUAAACUUUACUGCAUUGUAGAGAAAUACAUUAUACAGGAAAAUUGUUCAAAAAACCCUAAACUUAUUAUUAGUGUCAAAUUGAACAAUUUAAUCAAUGACAAGGCGUUCUCUUUCAUUUUCCAGCCUAGGACCUUCGAACUUUUAAUAAAUUCUGCACGCUUUUAUUUUUAAUAAAAUUCUAAUAGUGAGGAAAGAUCACCCAUUAAAUUAUAUAGAUACACACACACAACAUGGGCUUUACUCGUUGUAAAGAAAAAUACUUACGCCAGCUUGUGCAAAUAAUAAUUGCAUGUUGAAAUUGUCGUGUCAGAUUAUAUUCCCUAGCAUUCCCACUGAUCGACAGCUUUAUCCGACUCCUGGGAAGCCAGGAUCUGGGCCCACCUCGCAUGUCUAAAUAUAGACCAUUCGAGGACCACCAGGUUGACUUGCCCUCUUGCCCGAACGGGGAUGUCAUCCACUUCCACGCCACCCAAUUCAACCGGACCCACGUAGGAUUCAAUCAAUCUAAUCCCAGAAUUUUCACGUUGAAAAAGGCACAUAUAAAAAAUACGAAUAACAUUGACCGUGGUCGUGCGGUCCAGCUCGAGUUAAAGGUGAAGGUGCGUAAGAUAAUAACCGGGAUAAUUAUUCAUAAAUCCAAAAUUUAUUGUACGGUGACUUAUCCAAUUUAAAACCUUCUUAUGACUUGUCAUUUUAGUAAUAGAUAUUUCAAUUUUAACUAGAAAUCGUUGACGUGACAGUUUAUUCAACAUUAGCCGUUUUACGUAUCAUAGUUGGCAUUUGAUGUUUACAAAUUUUUAAUUUUUUUCAAAAAUUUUCAAAGUUUAUCUCUUUUUUUUUUUUAAACCAAAAACACGACUUAGAUUCAUGGUUAGAGUCAAUGCCUUGGUUGCAUGCAUACACUGUUUGAUAAAAUGCCUUGAAGUCUCAACUAAAAAAUGGUCAACGAUAUCACAAGAUCCGAUAUUGAUAUGAAAUUGCUCGAUUAUAGCUAAUUUUUGUAAGUGCAUAGUGUUUCCAUAUUUUUUGUUUCCCUGUGCUAGUGCAUUUGCUUUAUUCUCUGUACUGGGCUGUCUUCUCGCGGUGGUCCUCCAUGAGGGAGUUGAGCGAAGAUCACCGGUAGGCAUGUUCAUUGAAUAUUCUGGUAAUGUCCCGAAAGCCUUACAUUAGCCUCGGGAGUUGUUGGCACUAUGAGUACGUUCAUUGAUAUUGAAGUUUCCAUCAUCAUCGGACGACCGGUGGUGAUGGACGAAAAAGGCCAAUAUUAACAGAGAAAUAUGAUAUUGUUUCGGGUAAGCAGAUUCGAUCGUCGGCCAAUAGUUGGUACGUUCUCCUUUGUAAAUACAUUUUAGGAAAAUAGAGAUGGGUUUGAAAAAAAAUUGGGUUGUUCUGGUCAUAUUAGGUUAAGUUUAGGGAUUUUUGUGGUAAUAUAUAUAUACAUAUAUAUAUCGCUUUUGUAUCGAGAGUGAUUUUUGUGGUGGGAGUUUUUCUAUGGUUUGCCCAUAAAUUUAGGCUGAGAGUGAAAAUUUAUUAAAGUUAGAUGGCGAUUCCACUCUUGCUAAAUGGUUUAAAAAUUCAUACGAGCGAUCUUCUCAUUUGUAAUUGAUUCAAUAAAAAACAAAGAAUUUUUAAACAAAUACUCUGCUCCAAAAUAACUGGCAUUCCAUGGAAAGAUCAAAGCAGUGCGGUAUUUAUCUUCUCAAAAACUCUCGAUAGAUUGUUCAUAAAUAAGUUCCAAACGAUUCGUCAAGCAUCCCUAGUCAAGCAUGGGGCUGCCCAUUGUAGGGCUAUCCUUACCUAUGGGUACCUUAUCCAUGGUACGUUGGGCCAGGCCCAAAUACAUCAUUGCCGGGGAUUGCAAGCUACCAAAGUAGCAUCCAGCCCGACGGGGGCCCACUAGCCACGAGUGAGGCAAGCCCAACUGUUGGAGCGGAACAAAUUGGCGGGUCGGACGAAGCGAGUCUAGGCACAAAUCCCUACCCGGGAUUUCAUAAUGUAGGGCAUGGAAUCGGAUCUGGUGGGUCGAGCAUAGGGACGAAUCCCUACCCAAAUUUCGCACCCAACUUUCUGCCUUUUUCGAUCAUGCCCGUCACCAGCUGAUCGGAGCUUGGCGACCCCCUAUAUGUGUCAACUGCCGACGGUCCAGAAUUGCGACUGAUCACCUUGCAAUUGACCGAGCCAAAAAACUACUCCAGAUGGUUGCAAACUUUUGGCGAGCCCUCGUGACAAAGGACAAGAACGGUUUCCUCGACGAAACCGUACCCGUUCCUUCAGACGAGCGAUUGGCCUGACACUGGAGAAAAUGCAACCAUCUCAUCCGAAUGUGGAUCGGCAACUGCGUCUCUCCAGAUGUCUCGGCCAGUCUCCUAGCGGUAGAGGACUCGAAGAAAAUGUGGGACAACAUCAAAGAAAUGUAUGGAAAAUUAAAUCGAGCCAAGAUUUUUUCCUCAUGCAAGAACUCAACGAACUCAAGCAAAGAAAUAUGAUGGCAAUGGCUUGUUACAACAAGCUAUCGUUGCUAUGGAACGACCUCGAGGCUGCAGAAGAAAAACUCAAGGGACCGGCGGAAACCCUCGAACAGUAUAGAUCUAUAAAGGAGAGGGAGAAAACCACUCAUUUCCUUUUGAUUUUGAACGAGAAUUACCUGACGUUCCGUUCACAGAUCCUAGCGAUGGAUCCGGUCCAUCCUCUUGAAAGGAUUUUUCAACUAGCUAUCCAAGAAGAAAACUAGCGACUCGCGGCUUCGGAGCAUGUGCAAGGAAGCGACAGUGUCGCUCUCACGCUUCGUGGGGAGUGGCAAGAUUCGGGGUUCAAAACCCUAGUGUGAGAGAGAGAAAACCGAGAGGCGUUAAGGUUGCAAGGCAGCGGCGAAAGGGUGUUUAAAAGGGGAGGUGCCAACGGUCUAGAUCUUCCACGACAAUUUGACAAUGUUUAGGAGUCUGAUCUCUCCGCUGAAUCGGACAGCGGAUAUAAUUCUACGAAAAAGGCAUCGGAUGGCCAUAUCUUUUCCGCAUCUUCAAGGAAUAUUGGCCAAAAUUCGAAAGGAAGAGGUAAAUUGUAUUUUGAGUACUGCAAACGCCCACAUCAUACUAUAGAUAAUUGUUGGAAAUUGCAUGGGAAGCCAGGAGAAAAAGAAAAAAAGAAAGAAUAUUCUGCAGCUUACCAAGUUAUUGGUCUCAGUAAUGAUCAGCCAAUUACCUCUGGGCAAUAUGAACAGUUGAUGCAGGCUUUACAAAAGGCAGACAUCGCAAACAAAUGAGGAAGUUUUUCAGGUAUAUCUCAUUGCCUGAUAAAUUCUAUUUCAAGAAAGGCUUGGAUAGUCAACUCAAGAGCAAGUGAUCAUAUUAUUUGUGAUAAAAGUUUUUUUUUCUACUAUGCAUAAUAAAUUGGAUAUAUCUAUUUCUAUGCAACUGCUGAAUGGGAAUAUCACUAAUGUCACCUUGACAAGCACUGUUCAUCUGAGUCCUCAAAUUACCCUUUGAAAUGUCCUCUAUGUCCCACAAUUUCAAUUCAAUCUUAUCUCUGUGUCCAAAGUCUACAAGGAAAAUUCCUGUCGAGUAUUCUUUGAUUUUGACACCUGUUUUUUCCAGGCUCUUUCGACUGGCAAGCUGAUGGGCUUAGGUAAUCUCUCAGAAGUAUUAUUUUUUUGGACUGCCUUUCCAAAUAACUUUGAUUUUUCACCAGUUGUCUCGAAUAAAAUAUCAUUGUGUAAUGCUACUACCAAUGAUAAGAACUUUCUUUUACAUUCAAGGAUGGGUCAUAGUACGUUUUUUUCCCUGAUCUAAAUGUUAUAUGUGCCCUAUGGCAAAACAAUCGCACACCCUUUCCCACCAAUAAAAGUCAUUCCAGUGAUAUUUUUUCGCUAAUCCAUGUGGAUGUUUGGGGGCCUCAUCACACGGCACAUUGUGAUGGUUCGCGUUAUUUUCUUACUAUUCUAGAUGAUUACUCUCGUGCCACCUAGAUAUUUCUAAUGCAGUCCAAAGGUCAAGUUCCUUCUAAUCUAAAAUCCUUUAUCAUUUUAUCAUUCUGACCAAAAAUCAGUUCGAGAAGUCAAUACGGUGGAUCCACAUUGAUAAUGGAAAAGAAUUUUUUAACCAUGAAUGGAGCUCACUUUUCUUAUCUCAUGGGAUUCUACAUGAAAGCUCAUGCAUUUACACUCCACAACAAAAUGGGGUGGUAAAACGCAAACAUCGUCAUCUGUUGGAGGUAUCGCAAGAGCACUGAAGUUUCAGGGAUCCAUUCCAGAUAAUUAUUGGGGAGAUUGUAUUUUUACUGCAGCCUAUCUCAUCAACUAGAUGCCCACUCGAAUACUCGCUGGUAAAUCACCUUUCGAAUUACUUUAUGGCAAAAAACCAGCAGUUGAUCAUUUAAGAGUUUUCGGUUGUCUAUGCUACAUUGCAACUGUGGGACCUCGGGACAAAAUGAGUCCACGUGCUAGACAAUGCGUAUUUAUGGGUUACCCCAACCUGCAGUAAGGAUAUCGUGUUCUUGAUCCAUCAACAGGAGAUUUUUUUGUGAGUAGAGACGUAAUUUUUCAUGAAAAUAUCUUCCCAUUCCAAGAAACCAAGGAGGAUUUGACUGUCUCAAACAAUUCUCAUAAUUUCUUACACUAGGAAGAUGUACCUCCUAAAUAUUUUCUUACAGGAUCUCCAGAUCCAGUCAUUCCCUCACCUUCAGCAUCCACUCCACCUAAUCAGUUGCAACCUCAGGAAGCAAUGGAAAAUAUGCCUACAACUCAACUCAAUAUGGAAAAUAUUUAUGAUGUUUUGACAUAAACAAAUAUUGAAGAAUCAUCUUCUCCACCACCAGCGGAUCCUCCACAUCAUUCGGGACAAGCCACACGACCACCAACAUGGACAAAGGAUUAUAUCUGUGCAUCUCUUAAUUCGCCAAGUAUCAACUAUCCAAUAUCCUCAUAUGUCUCUUUUGAUAAGCUUUCGUCAGAGCAUAUAUGUUGUAUUAGUCGCAUAUUCGAUGAAAGGGAACCUUCUAGUUAUGAUGAGGCAUCCAGAGAUCCACGGUGGCAAUAGGCCAUGGUAGCAGAAUUACAGGCAUUGAGUGAUAAUUAUACUUGGGAACUGGUCCAGCUUCCUCCAAAUCGAUAGUCUAUAGGAUGCAAAUGGGCCUAUAAAAUCAAAUAUAAAGCUGAUAGAUCCGUUGAGCGUUACAAGGCUCGAUUGGUGGCCAAGGGAUAUACCCAGCGAGAAGGUUUCGAUUAUCAUAAAACUUUUUCUCCUGUUGCUAAAGAUGUCACAAUUCGCUCCUUCUUAUCAGUUGUAGCAAUCCAUGAUUGGUCAUUACAUCAAAUGGACGUCAACAACGCUUUUCUCCAUGGCAACUUGGAUGAAGAAAUCUACAUGGAUAAUCCUCAGGGCUUGUGGAGACAAGGGGAGAAUAAAGAAUGUCGUCUCCGCAAAUCCCUUUAUGGACUGAAGCAAGCCUCCAAGCAAUGGUACGCAAAAUUUGCCAAGGCUCUCACAAUUGCAGACUUCAAACAAUCCAAAUAUGAUUAUGCAUUGUUCACAUGGACUAAAGGUACGUCAUCUAUUUACCUAAUGAUAUAUGUAGAUGACAUUCUCAUUAUGGGAAAUGAUGAAGCUGCAAUAGAGAAUCUUAAGAAAUAUUUGCAUACCAUAUUCCAUAUAAAAGACCUGGGAGCACCACAAUGUUUUCUUGGAAUUGAGAUUACCAGAUCUCACCAAGGAAUUUCUCUUAGUUAGAGAAAAUUUGUAUUGGAAAUCAUAUCAAAAGCAUGUUUAUCAUGAUACAAACCAGCAAUUAUUCCAAUCGACCAGAAUACCAGACUGCAGCGGAUCAUGUUAGGGGAACAUCUCAGGAUGAUCCUGUUCUUAGAGAUCCGACGAGUUAUCAGAAGCUCAUUGGAAAACUCAUAUGCUUGACUAUGACCAGACCUAAUAUAUCGUAUGCAAUGCAAAAUCUCAGCCAAUUUAUACACAAACCGAAGGAAUCUCACAUGAAUGCUGCUCUGAAAGUUGUAAAGUAUUUGAAAAGUUGUCCAAGUUAGGGAAUACUUCUAUCCGGAAAAUGCAACAUGGAAAUGACAGUAUAUUUUGAUGCAGAUUAUGUGACUUGCCCUAUGAGUCGAAGAUCUGUCUCUGGUUUUUGCAUUAAACUGGGAGAAUCACUUCUUUCAUGGAAAACCAAGAAGUAGGCAACGGUUUCUUUAUCUUCAGCCAAAGCAGAAUAUCGAGCCAAGGCGAAAACCACAUGUGAGAUUGUGUGGAUACGAGGUUUACUUGGAGAUCUCGGAGUACAAAUAAAGAGGCCAACAAAACUAUUUUGUGACAACGAGUCGGCACUGAAACUUGCAGCCAAACCCAUAAUGCAUGAAAGAACCAAGCAUAUAGAAGUGGAAUGUCACUUCACACGAGAGAAAAUCCAAGAAGGGGUAAUCAAAACAAGAGGGAUUGGAACUGGUAAACAAUCGAUGGACAUUUUCACUAAACCUUUAUGUUCAAGAUAACAUGCAUAUCUACUAAGCAAGUUAGGCGUCUUGGAUAUCUACAAGCCACCGGCUUGAGAGGGAGUGUUGGAAGAUAUGCCUGAAGAUCCGUCGGAUUUGAUCUAAUUGAUUUGAUUUGAUCAAUUAGAGAUUGGACAUAAUUGAAUUGAUUUGUAGAAUAUUUGUAGAUUCUUUUUUAUUUCCUUUUUUUCAUAUACAUCUUGUGUUAUAAUUACAAAGCAUUGUACAUCGAUUACAAUCGAAGGAAUAGAAUAAGAUUUCUCUCCUUGCUUCCUUUACGUAUUAUUUCAUUCUAGUGAUUCCAUUGUGUUAGUAUCAGUCAAAUUCAAUACUUUAAGGCUGCGUUUGGCAGUCGGGAUAAAAUUCGGGAUAUGAUAUAAUUUAUCCUAUCCUACGUUUGGUGCUCACUCGGGAUAGGAUAAAGUUGGAUAUAAGGGGGAUAUAGACAGGAUAAAAUUAUCCCAUGGGGGGUGGGAUAACGUCUAUAAUAGGAAAGUUAUUUUUUUUAAUAAAAAAUUUAUUAAAUUAACAAAAUUGAAAUUAUAUUUCAAUAUAAAUAAUAUUUGAAUUCUAAUUUAAGAAAAUAAAAAUAAAAAUUUAUUUUUAAUUAAUCUUAUUUUAAUUCUAUUUUAUAAUAAACAUUCAAUCUAUAAAUUAAAUAUUUAUAUUUAUUAUAUAUUUUAGGUAUUUUUGUAUUUUAAAUAUGUUAGUACAGUUUACUAUUUGAUAAAUUUUUAUUAAAGAAUGAUGAAAGGGAAAAAAGAAAUAAUAAUGAAAAUAAUAUAAAAAAGAGGAAAAUUAUAAUAAAUAAUAAAUAAUAAAUAAAUUAAGGAAUAGUGUUACGAGAUAUUUUCACCAUCUUCAUUUAUGAACAUUUAUGUUCAUUUAUAAUGAUAUGUCGUUUAUAUAAAAAAAAAAAAAAAUGUACAUGAUAUGAACAUAUCCGACUUUAAUACUGUGAUUCACCAGACAUUGGACGGGACAUAAAAAAAUCCUAGGAUUUCAUAUCCUAUCCCAUCCAAUCCUAUCCCGAUUAGAAAUCCGAACGACCAAACGUAGCCUAAGGAAAUUUCCUACGACCCAUAGUUAAAGCUUCCACACUGCAGAUAUGUGCUCUCAGAAAGAAGGUGAACUGCCUUCGAUGUAUCCAUCAGUACACAGAGAUCUCACUCCGAAAAUAGGUGCUGAAUAUUCCUCGCAAAACUCCCUAUUAUGUUGUGUAACUCGAUCAGGGCCUUAAGAUGCUUUGGUUGAACUUUUAUAGCCUUUGGCAUAUCUCCAGACAAAAUAUCUAACAAACUUGUGGUCAGAAAAAAGGAUAGCAUAUAUACAAUGAGUAGAAAAGGAACCGGGGGGCAGAAAUAAAGGAACUGACUGGGACAUGUAUUCAAGAAGUGAUCCUGUUUGAACCCCGAAGCAGGGAAAGAGCUAAAGAAACCUACACUGCACUCAAACGGAUAAAAUGAAGAAGAGGGAGAAACGCUGACCUAUGCCUUCUUGAGCUCUGCUCCUCGAGUGACGCGAUGGAGUUCCCGAACAGUGGGAUCUUCUUCCCAGACUUUACGGGAUUGCUGGUAAUUGAAGAGGCUUCUUGUAACAUGUACGCAGCAAAGCAAGCGACUGCAAUUUUUGGGAUAUAGCCGAUUUAGCCCUUGUUUAGAUAUUUUUUAUAAUUAUAUCCUUAAACUUUUUUUUUUUUUCAAAUUCGAUCAUGUUACUUACUGGAUUUUCCAUUUUCAGUUAUCGCCCUUUAUCAUAUUAUAGUAAUUUGAUGUGCCCUAAUUUUUUUGAUGUUAUGAAAGAAAAUUAGAAAAAAAUACUUUUAAAAUUAAAAAUUAAAAAAAAAAGACCAGAAAUAAUAAUACUUUUCAAUGAUGUGCCUAUAUGUUCCUUGUUAAAUUUGGAAUGAGUAAAUUUCUCGUUUUUAUUUUAUUAGACUAAGUUUUGGAAUAUCAAAAAUAUAAUAUAAUAAAAUUCGAGAUCAAUUUGAUAUAGAGUGGAGCUUCUCACCAAGAUCAUAAAAACACGUAUGUAGGAUCAUCCAUUUCAUCCGUAGCAUGUUUUGUUUCUAUAAAACAAUUAUUUUGGAUUUUUUUAAAUAAGUUCUUGUUUGGUAUGUUCACAUUUUGCAAGAUGGUUCUUCCAAGCAAAUGGAUAUCCCCUCAUGUAUCCUGAUCAAUUGACCGUUCAUCUACUAUUAAUCCAUCCAUGAACAACCCCUUAAUUUAUAGCUCCUUCCCCUUUUACAUAUAUCUUUUUCAGACUAAGACAUAAUUUCUAUCCAAUAAUUUCAUUUUCUUUCAAGGAGACAAAGCUUUUUGCUACUUCACAUCCUAUAAUCAACGCCACACAUGGCUUGUGUAUAUGGAGGGCACACUCAGAUAUACAUACUAAUAGUAUUGAUUUCUUUAUCAAGGGGGAGUUUUUAAACAAACCAUACUAGAGGUGAUUGAUCAGAUGGUUUGGAUCACAAUGUGUCUUUGUAUCAUGCUAAAAUUACAAAAUGCUUUUGAUGCUCAAUCAAGCAAAGUCCACCCCUAUAACUUUAAGCCCCCGUCGGGAUCCAUCAUAAAGUGCUUUCAUCCUUGUGGCUUAGGCCGGGCUUAGAUGGAUUUGCAAGCUGUUGGACCCAUGAUCAAGUCUAAGCCCAUUCAUUUGCAUGUUAAUCUUAUCGGUGGCCCAUAGGCCAAGUGAAUAGUUUUGAGCUCAAUUGGAUUAAUUACUUUGUCCAUGAAUUCAAAAUAAAUAAAUUCGGCUAAGCCCAUUCUUUAUCAUGGCUGGAAUUUUUCCUAUGAUAUGCAUGCGGGGUGCUGAGCUUGGAAAGAUUACAGAAUUUGAUCGAAUGUUGGGGGGCAAUAAAAAUAUAUUAUCCUUAAGAGUUUUAAUGGUAUUAAAAUGAGAUGUGAGGAUACAUUUUAAAGGUGUUAAAAUGAGAUGUGAGGAUACAUUCUUUUGAUCGAAUUUUUGGGGGCAAUGAAAAGAUGUUAUCCUUGGGAGUUUUAAUGAUAUUAAAAUGAGAUGGGAGGAUACAUUCUUUUGGUUAGGAAAAGGAAAAAUAUAUAAAAUAUAGGAGGAUUUCAUAGAAGAAGGAAGAAUUCGUGGAGAAGCAGAUACAGAGAGGGGAACGAUUUUCACGAAAGAAGAAAGAGAUGAAGGACAAGAAAAAGGGGGUAUGCACGUUUUUGUGAAGAAGCUAAAAGAAAAAAAGAAGGCAAAAAUCAAGGCACUGAAUUAAAUCACCAGUUUCGACCUUCUUAUGGUGUCAAUAAAUGCCGUUGGUUAUUAAGAUAAACUCGAAUGGAAUUUUUACUUGGAUUCGAUCUCAAGCUUGAGCUACAUCUGUUGUCAUGAAUUUAUAUAAUGGUGCAAGUUGGCAUGAGAGAGAAAGCAUCUUGCAAUUUAUCAUGAAAUUUCAGCUUGAAAAGGAGCGUAUGUCUCCAUCAUGGAGUGUGGAAUACAACUAAGGGAUGUGAAUUUAUAAGUUAUAUGUCUAUUUUUUCUUUUUAUAUUUUGCAGUCAUAGAUAAAGAUUAUUUCGUUUUUUAGCAACUCACUUUUUCACAGAGAAGCACACACCAAACCAUUCGAUCUUUGGUGAGAUAAUCUUUGAUUAUAAGACACAGAAAUCAUGUUGUUUACCCAAUAACAAUUAAUAAAAUGAAGGUGAAGAACUUAACUCAAAUAGUUGCGAAAAGAGAAGGAAUAUUAACUUGUCGAGCUGCGAGAGAAGAAGUACAUAAAAUGUCUUUUUAAAUUAAUAUUCAUGCAUCAAACCUGAAGAAUCCACCACCAGACUUGUCCACGUGUAACUCAGCGAACAAUCGCUUGCUUUCUCUACAUAGGCCCCACAACUUUGCUUUCCAUGCCACGUGGAUAAUUUACUUUUUUUUUUCAAGAAAGAUUAUCCAAUUUGUACUUUUGUCAAAUAAGAUGCCUAGAGGCUAGUGAAAACAGACACCCAAGAAAAAAGGAUUGUUAUCAUCAUUGGUACAUUUUCAUUCUAAUGCUAUAUCUAAUAUUUUUUUUUAUUGAAAAGAGUUCAAUCACAUUUAUAAAAAAAAAAAAAAAAUUUGUGGGAAGAUUUUUUUUUUUGUUUUUCAUUAUUUUAUUUUCUUGAUUUCCUAAUUACGAACUUAAAAUGAAAAAAAUAAAUUAGGAGAAAAUAAGGUUUAUUUGUAAUUUAAGACAUAGCCACGCUAUCCCGCUAGGGCUCCCACUGACACCGUAUUUGCUGCCAUUGAUCGCUUGCCCAUGCCCGGCCGCUCACCGCUGUCCUUGCACGGCGAGACACGUUCCAGCGACGGCGACGACUCCAGCGACGAUAUGAUGGACCCUGCGCUUCACGUCAUCCGCCUACUCCUGCACUCUGGCUCGAUGACUCAACACUGCAGCCACCACAGCCCAGCCAAGGCAUGGCCAAGCUCCCCGACGACCUGCCCCUGCAUUGCCCGUCACGGCCGCUGCACCGAGCCAAGAUGAUGAACAGCCGACCCUCACUGAGCCUUGCGAGUGUAGCCCUUGGUGCGUCCCAGAGAUCCAUUGCACCGGCGAUGAGCCAAACAGCUCCUCAUCCUUGCGCCGUUGUUCCCGCCCUGCACCGCGGUAUUUCCAGCCCCGUUGAUGUUGCUGCUUCUGUGGCUUGAGCAGCUGCUGACCGAACAUUGUCCUUGCCGAACCCGCUCUGUUCCUUUCCCCGUUUAGAUUACACUGAUUCAAACCAUUGUUGACGUUGGCUCUCUCUCUCUCUCUCUCUCUCUCUCUCUCUCUCUGUGCAGGACACCUGGUUUUGACUCGUCAAGUUAUUGCCCUUGCCACUGCCAUGUGCCACCGAGAACCAUCAAAAAGUAAUGUCCAAGCCAGAUUCUUUACUGAUGAAACAUAGACAUGGACUUCACCAUUUGAGUAAUGUCCAUAUUUAUUAUACACCACUUAGAGACCUAAUUUGAUGAAUUUUCUUCAACACCGUUCUUCUAAGGUUCUUCCAAUGGCACGAUCACAACAUCUUACAAGUCUUAUGAACUGAUUAAGUUUAAGACUUGAUUUAUACAGGUGAUCAUGUUGAAAAUCAGUUUUUUCAUGCCAUUUAUAAGAUUUGAAGACAUGACAUCCUAUUCCCAAGCUCAAAAUUCUCUAAUGCCAAACUAACCGUGCCAAUCUUGGGGGUGAAGUAUUUUUUUGAAAUUAGAGCAUGUGGUUUUUGUAGUUUUUAGCUUUAUAACGAAAUGCUACACAAUUUAAAAAGAAAAAGAAUUUUAAGAUUUUGUGUUUAUCUUGUGAAAAUUUUGUCCAUCAAUGAAAGUUAAUUGUUCAGUCAAGAGAACAUUUCCGAUUAUCAAAUAGGAUGCAUGUCCUUGAACAAAUAUUUAUUUCAAGAAAGAUAAUGUGAGAAUGAUCAAGCUUUGAGGAAUUAUAUAAUUUCUACGUUAUAGGUGCAUAUCAAUCAUAGAAGAAGAAGGAAAAAAAGUAAACCAUUAUCAUUUAAAAUGCAACAAACAGUAAUAACAUGUUAUAAUACUACAUCACAUGCUAUAUCAAUUUUGCCACUCAGUCUUAGUAUUUGUCUCGGCAAUUGCAGCCUCGACGACUGACAUUUAAAGAAAAGUAAGGUGGAAGACUCCAACUUUACAAGCGUCGCCUUCAUCGCCGUCCAUUGCCAUCGCCAUCGCUGAGACCUUUUUGCCCUUACUUAUCCAUCUCCUCCGACCAAAUGGAAUCCGGUGAGAUCCUGGAAGGUUUGCAAUUGAUGAUUCUCACCUGAUGUCAAGCCAGCUUCUUAAAUUUGGAUCUCUGGUCUAGUUUCGAUAAUAGUAACCAUUGUUCCAUUACCAUACUCCGGGUGUUGUUGGUGGCCUUAUUAAGCUUGUUCUGUGCCCUUGCCGUUCGUGGUUCAAUUUUGCUUGAUGAACACGUCGAUUGGCCGGCUACCUUUGAGACAACAACUAGCAAGCCUCGAGGAUAGAGGUGUUAAAAUGGGUCAACUUGUUUAUAACAAAAUAUAGUUAAAUGGGUUUCACAAUUAAAUGUUUAAGAUAGGUGGGUCUUAAGUGGGUUUUAAAUGGGUUGGGUUGAAAACUCAUCUUUAAUAAAAACAUUAUAAUCCCUCCCUUUUCUCUUUAACUUUAUAAAAAUCGAAAUUAUAAUUUUUUUUUAUUUUCUCUUUUCUUUUUCUUCUUUUUUAUCUUUCUCCUUUUUUUUUUCUUUCUUUUUUUUUUCUUUUCUCCUUCCUCCUUCCAAUCGCCGGCACGGCGACGGCCGGCGACUGGCCAGGCGAACCUCGAGCUCGUUGGUGUCGGGCGAGCUCGAGCUCGCUGGAUCUGGCGAGGCGAAGGCCUUGCUGACGCCCGGUGAGGCUCGAGCUUGCCGACGCCGGGCGAGGCUUGAGCCUCGCCGAUCUGGUGAGCCUCGAGCUCGCCGAUGUCGGGCGAGGCUCAAGUCUCCCCAGAUCUGGCGAGACUCAAGCUCGCCGGCGUCAGGCGAGGCUCAAGCCUCGCCAGUUCCGGCGAGGGGCGAGUUCGAGCUCGCCCGACACCGGCGAGCCUCGAGCUUGUCGGAUCUAGCAAGGCCGAGGCUCGCUUGUGGCCGGUCGCCGGCCGACGGCCGGCCAAAGAAGAAGGAGAAGGAGAAGAAAAAAGAGAAAAAGAAAAAAGAAAAGAGAAAAAGAAAAUUAUAUUUUAAAAAUAAAAUAAAAAUAAUUAAAAAUUUAAUUUUUAAAAAAAAUAAAUUUCGAUUUUUUAAAAUAAUUAUUUUAGAAUUUAUAAAAAUUGUCCAUUAAAUUUAUAUUGUAUAAAACUAUUUUAGCAAUACAAUUUAAAAAUAAUAAUAUAUAUAAAAGCUUGGAAGUAUUUUAAUAAUAUAAUCUUUAAAAAAAACAUAGGAAUAAAGUUUUUCUAAAUUUGUUAAAUAUGAAAGUAUUUUAUUAAUAUGAGUUGGGUCAGGUCGAGUAUGGGUGGGGUAUGGGGUCGGGUUGGGUUUGGGUCGAAAAAUUUACAUUAAGUUUAAAUGGGUCAAUUUGGGUUGGACCAUUAAUGACCCGACCCAACCCACUCGUUUAACGGCUCUACUCGAGGAUCAGUUUUCUGUGGGUGCUCUCUCUCUCUCUCUCUCUCUCUCUCUCUCUCUCAUGUAUUGUGUGUAAGGCGGCUUGCCAUGGAAACUUAAUGCCAACUGCGGAUGAUCAGAGAAAACUAAAGGAGGAAAUUUUGAUGUUGAGAAACUUCUUGAAUCCAUCAUCGGAUUGCCACCACUGUUUGGUGCCGGAACAAUCAAUUCUCAGAUAGUCUCUUGCUAGAAAUCACCAUUAACAAUGACAAAUCACAAAGUAGAAAAAAACAAAAAAUGGGUUCAGAUUCGGUUAACUGGAAUCAAGUCCAUUCAUUAACGAAAGUAUUAAGGUACACCAAUUCGCCCUCAGAUUGCACAAAAAGCAUGUAUUUCGCAAUUGUGAGCCUUCCAAAAAAGGCAAAAGCAUCGCUCAGAGUAAUAAACUAGAUUUAUUAAGCCCCACUUAACUAGGUUAAAAGGCAGGGUGAAAAUUUUUGGGUCAAUGUCCACACAGCCUCAUCAGACAUGGCAUUCCCCUCUGAUAUUAAUAUGUCCAGUACCAUGGUGCUCUCUAAUUCACCUUUGUCACUCUAAUUCCUCAGCAUAACCAGCCUGCUUUAUCCAAAAUUAGUAAAUUUUAUGUUGAAAAAUCACAUUUUAACGGGGCAGGGACAAUUUGAAGUAAAGAUGUUGCAAGGAUAGACGACAAAGGCUCCCCAUCUUUGCUCCUAAAUAUUUUUUUUAUAUAAUUUCUUUUUCUAAUGUGAAGCCCAGGAAAAUAAAUCAUCUCUUUAAUUAGGCAAAAUGUGGCUAAAAAUAUUUUCUUUUCAAUUUCCAACUCAAACAUGAAUUUAAAGUGAAAAAUAUUUUGUAUCAUUUUGUAUUUGGUAUAUGAUUUGAUUUUCUUCAGAUCACUUGUUUUGAUCAUUUUUUGUUUUUAUUUUUUUUCAUUUUUAAAAAUUAUAAUUUAUAAUUAUUUUUUUCUUUUUUUUAAUUUUCUUUUCCUCGACCGGUAGAUGGUUGGCAAGCGUCCCUAUAGGCAGAGCUUGGGCCUCACCACCCUCCAUGUUUAAGCACUCCAUGUUUAAGUGUUGCCAAUUUGACGAGCCUAAGGGAUUUAAUGCGCGCCUCAUUUUUUUUCUUUCAUAAAAUCCUGGUAAUCAAUGAUUAAUAGAUUAGAUUUAUUGAUUAAGGAAAAUAUUUCUUUUGAUAAAAACUAUCAAACUUUGGUUAUCUUUGGAUCAUAGUUAAUUUUUUUUCUUUUGGAGCUAGUAAAUCUCGUAAUAUCAAUAAAUUAUUUUUUUAACUAAAAAUACAAAGAAAGGAUAGUUUUUAUAGCUAUUUAUGUACUUGCAAAUUUGAAGAAAACAUGGAGAAAUAAUAGGAAUACUUCUUUGCUCUUCUCGGAAUGGGAACAAAAUGAAAUGGACAAUUUUACCCAUCGGCUCCAUGCUCCAUCUUCUUCUUCUUAUUUUUCCCUUUUUUUCUUUUUUCUUUUAUUUUAUAUUCUCUAUUUUUUCCUGGGCCCCACCACCUCUUUCCUUUCCCCUUGGUGGGCCCAACCGCCAUUUGAGUGUCUUUAUUAUUUGUUAUUUUCUUUUUUGGUCGUGUGUUUAUUAUGCGAUAAAGGUCCCCCCCCCCCCCCCCCCCUCUCCCCUCUUCUCUCCUCUCUCUUCUCUCUUUGUGGGAUUUUAAAUUUGUUUAUCAUUUCCAGCCUCCGAUCCGCAUCUGGUGUCUUUUUCACUAGGAACCUACAUUUUAUAGGAAAAACGUCGAGAAAAGGAUAGGAUUUUAAGAUGAGUUAUGAUGUAAAUUACAAUUUCGAAUAGGUGAAGAUGAUUAGUUUUUUGCAACGUCUCUAUAAAAUAUCUUUAAAAUAUUCAUAUAAAAAUUUGGAUUUUGGUAGAUUUAAUUGGAUUACUAGUACUAAAUCUUUCGGCUAUUGAUGAUCAGAUAUUCCCCUUUUUUAUUUUUCGCAUUCAUAUCUCUUCCGAUCGCCUCCUCGCCUUUCGAGUCUCGGAAAAGGAAAAGGAAAAUUUAAAAAAGAAAAAAAAAAAAAGAAAUGGCGCGCGAUUCUACCUUCCUGAUUGCACGGGAUGCCUUGAAGAAGGUAGCCGUUCCGAUCAAGGGCCAAUUCUAAUACGUGAUAUCCACCAAGCGCUACGCCGACCGUCUUUGGGAGGAAGUCUGGAAUUUGGAGUGGGAGGCUGAAAGGGUCGACUGCUUGGCGGGAGUGGCCAGAAGCAGUGUUCGGAAUAUCUAUUAUCGCUUCAUGGAGUGGCAGCGAAGUGCUGACAGGGCCUUGGAGUAGGCGGGAUACCUGUUAGACGACAUCGAACGGUAAGGCAUUACUUGGCGACCCCGACUAUCGCUACCAGUUCAGCAGGAAAGCCGAUGCCAAGAUCAAGGUCAUUGGGCGGCUCGUUCAGAAAUGCAGUGAAUUCAGGCAAUUGAACAUCUCCAUCGAUCCUGCUGCUGCUGCUGCUUCUCCUCCCCCUCCUCCAGGUGAUGUCUCUGCUCGGACUCCGGGCAGGAGAGAAGGUAGGCGUGCCACUCUGUCAACCGCCGCCCCAUGGCGGUCUCCUCUUCUUCUGCCUUGAUGUCUCUGCUCGGACUCCGGAAAGGUAUAAUCAUAUUAUGCUCUCAGAAUGCAUAAUAUGAUUAUACCUUUCAUGACAGGACGCAAAGCGUAAUUUUCCUGUUUAUGUAAGAAGGUCUAGGUGUUGGAACUCCAACAUUAUGCACUGUUUUUGGUUUUUGGCUGGGAUCUUCAUUUGUUGCUUGACAGACAUGCUCUAAUUGUUUAUUUUCCUAGUAGGAUUAUUCAUCACUGGGGAACAAUAAUGGAUCUUUACUCAUCAGGUACCUUUGAUGAAUCCUGUCAGAUUGAGCCACCGCACCAGGCAGAGGAACUUGGGAGAAGUUCUAUCGAGAUCGAAUCCAGUCCACCUGAAUAUAGUAGAAAGGUCCUUAGGCGUGGGGGUUUAGGACUGACGGAGCCUCCGGAGGUCACGCAAUGGUAGAGUUUCACAAAAAUUUACUUGAUGGAAAAUAAGUUGACUGAGUUACCAGAGAAUCCUCGGUGUCCUGGACUAUUGGUACUGUUUCUAAAUAGAUAUUGCAAGCUCAGAACGAUUAGUCCACCUUUCUUUGAUUUCAUGCCUGCUCUCGAAAUCCUGAAUUUGUCUUGAACUCGUAUCAAGUCCAUGCUAGAGUCUCUAUUCAGGCCAAGCCGCCUAAAAAGACUAUUCUUAAAUCAUUGUGAGCUAUUGAGGGAGUUACCUCUGAAAAUUGGAGAACUUCAGCAGCUUGAGGUACUUGAUCUUGAAGGGACUGAGAUCAUAGAUCUGCCAAAGGAAGUUGCGAAGCUAACAAAGCUCACUUGCUUAGAAGUAUCUUUUUGUCCACACACAAAUUGUGGCACAAAGUCUGCAGAAGUGAAUGCAUUGAUUCCUCAAGGCACUAUUUCUGCCCUAUCCCAUCAAAUGUGUCUAGAUCGUUGUCCCAUUUCAAAUUUGUUGUUGGCAAACAUACUGAACGCAUCAUGUGUCAUCUCCCAGAGGAUCUUGAGUUUGAGUUAGAACACUGGGAUAGAUCCCUGAAAUAUGUAAAUGGUUUGGGAGUACCCAUAGAUAUGCAGAAGAUGCUCCGGCAUACUACUGCAUUUUUCUUAGACCACCUUAAAGAUGUCACUAAGCUUUCUGAUUUUGGGAUUGAGAACAUGGAUCAACUAAAAUGCUGCAUAAUCAGGGAGCGUAAUGAGAUCCAGGUUAUUGUUGAUGGAACUGAUGUGUACGAUGAAGCUGAUAGAAGUGAAAUUGUAUUAGAAACAAGGGAAGAUGGCAGGAGGUUUCUCAAAUCACUUAAAUAUCUCUACAUAUAUUGUAUGAAGAGUUUGAAGUGCAUUUAUGAGGGGCCGCUGCAUCGAGGAUCCUUGUCUCGUCUUAAAUGCUUAGCCUUACUCACAUGUCCUUGGUUGACUACUAUAUUCACACCUGGCAUACUGGAAAACCUUGAUAGCUUAGAAGAGCUCAAAGUCGAAGACUGCCCCCUUGUCUUAUGUUUAGUGAGGUGUGAAGAUACUUGUGUUCAUGAGAGUGCUUCCUUCCUCCCCAAGUUGAAAAAGUUACCCUAUUCUCAUUGCCUGAACUCAUUAGCAUUUCCGAUGACUUAUGCAUUGCACCGAACUUGAAACAAAUGAGCAUUUUUUAUUGUCCAAAUCUCAAGAAUUCAUCUACCGGUGAAAUGUGUUGCAAUCAUCUGACAUGAACUGAAGGUAAGGGUAAUAAUCAGAGGAGAGCAUUGUUCUGUUGAAUUGAUGCCUGUCUUUUUCUUUCAAUUUCAUUUUAUACAUUUGAUUGAACAAGUUAGAAGCUGCAGGCCUAGCCUUAAUAACGAGAAAAUUGGAAAGUCAACACUGAUCUAAAUGAACUUUGAUCUUCUUUCAAUUUGAUAUCUGAUCUCACCCUUGAAAUGUUUAUGAAUGAGGUGGUGAUUGCUAAAUGCUCAAAAUUCUGGUCGUUCUAAUGUUAUCUUCGGAACUAUGACUUCUUCUGAUGCAUAUUAUAUUUCAGUUUAUGAAACCAAAUGUUAGCACACCAUAAGUGUGCAUUGAUUUGGAUUGCUAGUUCCAAGUUUGUAGAGUGACUUAACAAUAGCUGGCUUAGUUAUCAUUGGUGGGAGAAUUUCUUCAUUAGAGUGCCUAGGGAGUUAUUAUCGAUGUCAACUAUGGAUAGGUUAUUGGAAUUCCUGUUUCACAUGCUGUAGAAAUACUGUACUUUUUUUACUGGUGGUAUGAAGAUCUUACUUCGUGAUAUUCUGCUUGUGUUUGUUGGAGGUACCAUAUGUGAAAAAGGAAAGGAACAUACUUUUUUUUUUUUUUGGUCUGGUCAAGGAAUAAACUUGUUAAAAAAGUGAUCCAUUUUAAAGAAAAUUCUAGACUACACAAGAAAGAAAAAGGCAAGAAAACUCUCCAAUAAUGAAGAACUUUCUGGUACGUGGGUAGCAAAACACGUGGACAGCAAAUAGGCCAAAGAAAAGUCAACAAAAGUGGCUGAGAGUUUUUUUUUUGGUCAGAAGUGGCUGAGAGUUUGAGAGAAUAGAAAAAUGCAGAAAAAUGGAGGAGAGACCAGAAGAAUCGGGAGAAGCCACAACAUGCAGGGACAAAGAAGCAAGCUGAAAUUUUUUAUUAUUUCUUGUACUCAAUGUCGGCGAAGAAGAGGCGGUGCUCACGCCUAUAAAUAGAGGUGUGGUGUCUAAUUUAGUUGGCUGAAAAAACCAAAACCACUCCUUCCUUUGUAAUACUUACUUUCAUAAUAAAAGUUCUGUUUUUUUUUUAACCCAUACACCCUUGCCUUUAUAGCCCAUAUUUCACACAUACACACUUGCACACACACACACUUCUGCAAAACACCAAUAGUGGUAUCAGAGCCACGUUUUUCGGUUGGUAGUGGGUGUUUGUCCUACCUACCCAUUCCUAAAACUACCCCUUCCAAAUACCCACUAACUAAACCAUGGCCAAUUCUACCUCAUCCUCAUUUCCCAUUCCCAUUUUUUAUGGGAACAACUAUGAUUUUUAGAGCAUAAAAAUGACUACAUUCUUGAUGGCCCAAGACUUAUGGGACAUCGUGGAAAAAGGUUGCGAGGCUCUGCUAGAAGGUGCAAGUGUUUCGAAGGAUCAACUACAAAAGGAUGCAAGGGCGCUAUACUUUAUUCAGCAAGCACUCUCGGAAACCGUAUUUCCGAGAAUAAUUGGAGCAAGGACUGCAAAAGAGGCUUGGGAUAUACUACGAGAAGAAUUUCAAGGAUCGGAAAAGGUACGCACUAUUCGCCUUCAAACACUAAGAAGAGAUUUUGAGAAUUCUAAAAUGAAAAAUUAUGAGACCGUACAAGAAUAUUGUGGAAAAUUAAAGGAACUCAUUAAUCAAAUGAGAGCCUAUGGAGAUGGGAUAACUGAUCAAAGGGUUGUUGAGAAAAUAUUGGUGUCACUUACCAAAAAAUACAACUCCAUAGUUACAACUAUAGAAGGAACAAAAGACUUGACGACCCUAUCAAUAAGUGAAUUAAUUGGCUCUCUAGAAGCAUAUGAGAAAAGACUAAUGGCACAAGAUGAAGAUUCAGUUGAAAGUGCCUUUCAGUCUAAAGUAAAUAUACGGUCUCAUCAAAUUAAAAAUGAUGGAAGGAGUUCAUGGAAAAACAAAAGAGGAGGAGAAAUUAUAAAAAAAGAAAAUUAUCCACCUUGUGGUAUUUGCAAGAAAACAAAUCAUUUGGAGAAGGAUUGUUGGUUUAAAAAUAAAAAACAAUGCCGCUUUUGUAAAAGAUAUGGCCACGUAGAAAAAGAUUGUCGCUCUAAAACAAAUAAUCGAGCAAACUAUGUAGAAAAAAAAGAAAGUGAAGAGAAUACAUUCUACGCAGGCCAAGCGGCAAAUGACAAUAAAAAUGAAACAUGGUACAUAGAUAGUGGGUGUAGCAAUCACAUGACGGGGGAUGAAUCUAUAUUCACUCAUAUUGAUAAGUCGGUGAAAUCUCAAGUAAAGUUGGGCAAUGGUGCAUUAGUAGAUGUCAAAGGAAAAGGCACCAUCGCCGUGGAAACGAAUAAAGGCCUAAAAUAUAUACGUAAUGUAUAUCUAGUCCCUCGUCUUGCACAAAAUCUCUUAAGUGUGGGCCAAAUGAUACAAAGUGGGUAUUCUCUAUAUUUUAAUAGAGAUGCCUGCAUUAUCUAUGAUAAAUAUAAAAAUAUCAUUGCCUCUGUUAAGAUGAAAAAUAACAAUUUUCCUAUUCAAUGGAAAUUGGUCAAAGAUAUAGCCAUGAAAGCUCAACUUGAUGAUUCAUGGCUAUGGCAUCGAAGAUUUGGCCACUUCAAUUUUGCUGGAUUAAAAAUUCUCCAUCAGAAAAAUAUGAUGAGAGAUUUUCCAGCCAUCACAGAAAUUUCAGAUGUUUGUGAAGGCUGUCUUCUUGGAAAACAACAGAGACAGUCCUUCCCAUCUGGAGUUUCAUGGAAAGCUAAGAAGCCUUUGGAACUUGUCCACACGGACGUGUGUGGUCCGAUGAGGACACCUACACCUAGUCAAAAUAAAUAUUUUAUCUUAUUCAUUGACGAUUAUACAAGAAUGACGUGGGUAUACUUUCUUCGAGAAAGAUCUGAGGUUUUCUCUAUCUUUAGAAAAUUCAUGAACCACGUAGAGAAUCAAAGUGGCCAAAGAAUCAAAGUCCUAAGGAGUGACAGAGGCAUAGAAUACAAUUCAAAGGUGUUUAAUAAAUUUUGUGAAGAUGAAGGAGUCCAUCAUCAACUAACUGUUGGCUAUGCCCCAGAACAAAAUGGAGUAGCUGAAAGAAAAAAUAGAACCCUUAUGGAGAUGGCAAGGUCUAUGCUAAAGGAGAAAGGCCUUCCCAACACUUUCUGGGUAGAAGCAGUUUAUACUGCUGCAUACCUAUUAAAUAGGUGUCCAACUAAAGCAGUUCAAAAUAAAACUCUAGUUGAAGCAUGGAGUGGACGGAAGCCUUUAGCAAAGCAUCUCAAAGUGUUUGGAUGCAUUUGCUACGUCCAUAUUCCUGCUCAAAAAAGGAGUAAGCUAGAUGAAAAGACAGAAAAAGGAAUAUUCCUUGGCUACAGUGACCAAUCAAAAGGCUAUCGGGUUUACAACCUAAGAACUAAAAAGCUAAUAAUUAGUCGAGAUGUCGAGUUCGAUGAGAAUGCUGCCUGGAAUUGGGAAGACGAGAAGAUCGUGAAGAAGUACAUAACCUUGCCAGACACACCACCUGCUCAAGAGGAGUCAACGUCACAAGAAGAAGGAGAAGUACCGGAUUCUACCACUCACGACGUAACUCCGCCAAGCUCUCCAAGGGUAACACAAGAAGAAUCUACUCCAGAGUCUCCAGUACUAAGGGUAAAAGCCCUUAGAAGAAUUUAUGACACAUGCAAUUUUGCUAUUUUGGAACCAGAAAACUAUGAACAAGCAUCCAAAGAUGAAGUUUGGAUAAAAGCCAUGGAAGAAGAGAUUAAGAUGAUCAAGAAAAAUGAAACCUGGGAGCUUGUUGAUCGACCAGAAGACAAAGAGAUUAUUGGCGUUAAGUGGGUUUACAAGACAAAGCUCAAUGCGAAUGGAUCAAUCCAGAAGCAUAAAGCGAGGCUUGUGGCGAAAGGAUACUUGCAACAACCAGGAUUGACUAUACUGAAACUUUUGCUCCCGUUGCCCGCCUUGAUACUAUUCGAGCACUCAUAGCCUUAGCGGCACAAAAAGAAUGGAAGAUCUAUCAACUAGAUAUAAAAUCAGCAUUCUUAAAUGGAUAUCUUCAAGAAGAAAUAUACAUAGAACAACCACAAUGCUUUAUUCUCAAAGGCCAAGAAGAAAAAGUCUUAAAGCUUAAGAAGGCCCUAUACGGGUUAAAACAAGCACCACGUGCAUGGUAUAGUAGAAUCGAUGAGUACUUCAUCAAGCAAGGAUUCAGGAGGAGUAUGAGUGAGCCGACACUCUACAUCAAGACUCAAGGUAAGUCCGACACUCUCAUUGUCUCUCUAUAUGUAGAUGAUCUCAUAUAUAUAGGAAAUAAUGAGAUAAUGAUCCAAGAAUUCAAAGAAGAAAUGAUGAAAAUAUUUGAAAUGACGGACUUGGGCUUGAUGAACUAUUUCCUCGGUAUUGAAGUUAAUCAAGAUGAAGGAAUUUUCAUCUUGUAAAAGAAAUAUACCGAAAACCUCCUAAAGAAAUUCAAGAUGAGUAAUUGCAAAAUAGUUUCAACACCACUAGUGAUGAAUGAGAAACUAUUGAAAAAUGAUGGAGCUGAAAAAGUCGAUGCCUCCCUCUAUAGAAGUUUAAUUGGGAGUCUACUAUAUCUUACUGUUACACGACCAGAUAUUAUGUACGCGACAAGUUUACUAUCACGGUUUAUGCAGAGUCCAAGUCAAAUUCAUUUUGGAGCUGCCAAGAGAAUUCUUAGAUAUUUACGAGGAACUAUAGAUUACGGCAUUCGGUAUUGCCCAAGUAUUAACACCAAGCUCAUUGGCUACGCUGAUAGCGAUUGGGCUGGUUCAGCUGAUGAUAGGAGAAGUACUACUGGCUAUGCCUUCACACUGGGUUCUGGAAUAUUUUCAUGGGCAUCAAAAAAACAAGACUCAGUGGCACAGUCUACUGCUGAAGCAGAAUAUGUUGCGGCUGCUACAACUACUAGUCAUGCAAUAUGGCUUUGAAGAAUUUUAGAAGACAUUGGAGAACCACAAAUGGAAUCAACACCAAUAUUUUGCGACAACAAGUCCGCGAUUGCAAUAUCAAAAAAUCCAGUAUUUCAUGGAAGAACGAAACAUAUUGAUAUAAAAUAUUACUUCAUCCGUGAAGUACAAAGCAAAGGAGAGAUCGAGCUAAAGUAUUGUAAGACUGAAGAUCAAAUUGCGGACAUAUUCACUAAAGCACUACCAACAGCAAAAUUCGAAACAUUGAGAAGCAUGCUUGGAGUAUCACAAAAAUGGAUCAAGGGGGAGUGUUAAAAAAGUGAUCCAUUUUAAAGAAAAUUCUAGACUACACAAGAAAGAAAAAGGCAAGAAAACUCUCCAAUAAUGAAGAACUUUCUGGUACGUGGGCAGCAGAACACGUGGACAGCAAAUAGGCCAAAGAAAAGUCAACAAAAGUGGCUGAGAGUUGGAGAGAAUAGAAAAAUUCAGAAAAAUGGAGGAGAGACCAGAAGAAUCGGGAGAAGCCGCAACAUGCGGGGACAAAGAAGCAAGCUGAAAUUUUUUAUUAUUUCUUGUACUCAAUGUCGGUGAAGAAGAGGCGGUGCUCACGCCUAUAAAUAGAGGUGUGGUGUCUAAUUUAGUUGGCUGAAAAAACCAAAACCACUCCUUCCUUUGUAAUACUUACUUUCAUAAUAAAAAUUCUGUUUUUUUUAACCUAUACACCCUUACCUUUGUAGCCCAUAUUUCACACAUACACACUUGCACACACACACGCUUCCGCAAAACACCAACAAAGUUAGUGUUCAGUUUAUGUUGCAAAGUCCAACUGAAGGCUUAAGCUAUUAAGGGGAAGGAGACUACAUGUAGAUAAGAUCAUUGUCAAAAUUUCAAAUUGUAUUAGCGGUUGCAUUCUAAUAAUUACAGAUGCGGGCAUAUCAGCCUCUUGGAGGUGUCAUCACCACAACAGGGCAGAUAGUGGCUGUUACUGGCGUGAAUUUUAUUCUUAUCGACCGCAAUCAGCUGCUACCUAAAACAUUUGUAGUUAUAAGUUCAGAAAACAAGUGAUGUUCAAUACUUUAAUAUCCCCCUCUUGAGCAAACCCGAAUAAAACCAUAUGACGAAUGCACUUUAGGAAUAAGACGGAGAAAUUAUCUCACUCUAAGUGAAAUAUUAUUUGGGGCGUGAAUAAUUGAAAGUUGGCUCUAGUACCAAAUUAAAAAUCCAAUCUGAAAUUUUUUAGUUAUUAAGUGGAUGCAGACCAUAGGACCAUUUUCAACCCGAAAAGAUGCAAAGGGGGAUAUUCUCACAUUAUAUCUAACUUGUUACUGUGGAUUUAUUGUCUGGUUCUGGUUUUGCGCUUUGAUGACUCAUGCAUUGGCCCCACUAAAACUUGUCAAGUCGGAGUUGUUUGCUCUCUAAAUGUGCCAUUAUGCCUAGUUUAUGUAACUCUUUUGUUGGAUUUGUUGUGCAAUUGUAACACAAUUUAUCAACUCAGGCUGUAGCCCAAUCGAAACUUGCCAAGUUACUCUCCGAGACUCUUUGAUUGCCAGUAUCCUUAGGAGUGCUCUUUGUUCCCAGAGUUUUAUUUUGCAGUGUUGGUUUGGGAAGUGACUUUCAAUUAUUGUGUGCUGUAUACAUCUAGUAAUAGGAGAUGAGAGCGAUGUAUCUCAUAGGAAGACAAAAGUUUGUGACAGAUCUAGAGUAGGUUGAGUGCGUGAUAACACAAGAAGUGAGUGUCGAGUGCCUUAGAGAUUAAGAAAGUUGUAUAUCAGGUGGAAAUUUGGCAUUCUGAAUUGCUUAAAGAAAGUUUUAGUGUUUUAGUCUAUAUCAAGAGAUCAGGUAGAUUUCUUGCUGCUCAUCUUUUUCCAUUGCGUCGAGUGCAAGUUGAAUUAUGUUGUCAUAGUUAUCCAUUGUAAACCACAUAUCUACCUGGGUAUGAGAUACCCUCCUCUACUCGGGAGUGGAUGUUUCCUUCUAUUGGAAAAAUAACAUGUGCUGGGGCAACUAGCAGAUUAGCUAAUUUAUCUUCAAAUUCCUGUUUAGAUGAAGUGGCUUGGUGUUUGUUGUUUGUCUAAGUGACCCAAAUCGGUGGUUGCUCAUUUUGUCUAAUAUGCUAAUUUUGUAUUUUAGCAGCACAAAGUAUUCCAAAUGAUGCAAGCAGAGAGCAGCCUGCUCCUCCUGUGGUUUCUUCUACGACCACUGGUAAUGCAGGCUCUUCAAAUUCUAAACUCAAAAGGGAACCUAAAGUUGCUUCUUGGCUUUGGAAAUUAUUAUUUAAUGAUCUUAAGUUAGCUGCAAGAAACUUUAGUGCCGCAAGUCUUCUUGGUGAAGGUGGUUUUGGCUGUGUACGUGGAUUUACAAAUGAUACAAGCAGAGAGCAGCCUGAUCCUGCUGGGGUUUUAUUUACACCCACUGGUACAGCAAUCGACUCCUCAGUUUCAUCUACAACCACUAGUAAUACAGCAAUUACCACUUCAAUUUCAUCUAAGAUCACUAGUAAUGCAACAAUUAACUCUUUGACUUCUAAAGUCAUUGAGGAACAUAUAGUCGCUCCUCAGCUCCAGAAAUUUUCAUUGAAGGAUCUUAAGUUAGCUACAAGAAAGUUUAGUCUUGAGGGUCUGCUCGGUAAAGGCGGUUUUGGCUGUGUCUUUAAGGGUUGGGUUGAAGAAAAUGGGACUGCUUCUGCGAGGCCUGGCACCGGGCUGACUGUUGCCAUUAAGGUUCUGAACACGAGGGGUAUAAGGGUCACAAAGAAUGGCUGGUAAUAUAUCAUCCAAUGAUCUUGUAUUUCUGGAGUAAUGCGUGUUCGACUAUUGGUAUGAGUUUUGAUGCGUUGCACUUUCCAUGUGGCACGCUGAAGUGACUAUUCCUGGUCAUCUGGUAGAUCCAAAUUUGGUGAGGUUAAUUGAAUAUUGCGCGGAAGGCCUGCUAAUAUAUGAGUUUUUGCAACAAGGGAGCUUGAACAAUCACCUCUUUAAAAGUAUGCAUAGUUGUCCUGUAUAAUGUGCUUUGGUGCCCUUAAUGACAUGUGAAGCAUUAUGUUCAUACUACAUAAGUACUCAUGGUAUAACAAUCCACCUCUAGCUGGAUAUGGAAGUCAUGUCUCCCAUGAAAACUAUAUGAUUGCUACUAGCAUCUGGAUAAUAAUGUUAAGGAGAAAGAAUCUCACUUGUCCUUAUAAUCGAUGUCUUUCCAAAAGAUGGUAGGGUUCAGAAUCAUAUUUUCCUAAACAAUUUGCACACAAAUUGUCAAUGUCCACAAUGCUCAGCCUCUAUUGAAUGUUCUUCUACCUGAAAUGUUUUUACAUAAAUUGGUUGUUUGUUGUUGCUGCCACUGAGAACCAAAGGAUGCAAUACCAGAGACUUUCGCUGUUAUCAUACUCAGAGGACAUUAUCUGUUCGAAGCCAGGAAAAAGAAGGAAAGCAAUGUCGGUAGAUCAGAACUGGUCAUGAAAUUUCACUUUUUAGCAGCUUCCUCCAUGUGAUGAUCUUAGUAUCUUUUUAUCACCUUUGUCUCAAGGUACUACAUCUCAGGGAAUCCUGGACUCAAUUCUCUUUAAAAUGGUCAUUUAUGUGCAAGAAUACCACAGUUAUACCGUAUUGAGAAUGAAACUUAGUACAAGCUUGUAAGUAUGCUGGUAAUGAUAUUUAAUGGAGGUACAUGCUUGGCAAUGGAAGGACUCUUGAAAGAUACUAAAUGUUUUUAAUGGUAGGGCGUGAUGAUUUCUUUCAGCAGGUUUCACUGAGCUUUCCCUUGCAUAAGCGUAAAAUUUUAUUUCUACAGGAAAAGAAAGGAAAUCCUGCUGUGGUUUCUACUUUUUUCUUGCCUUGCCUACUAAUUCUUAAGCAUAAUGUGCAAGAACUACAUUUAAUUGUCCCACAAUCAACUGUAGUUCUUGCACAUUAUUCCCUUAUCUUCCAGUCCACCAAAAAUUCAAUCAUUGAAUGGAUUAUUUUGCGCAUGUCUUGCUCAAACUUCUGGAACAUUAUGCUCAGUGUAACUUGUGGAGUGACUGACUGGUACUCAUUACCCGCAUUCCUUUUCUUUGUUAGAAGCAUCUCUCAAUUGUUGUUUCCUCCGAGGAUAAUGUCUGGUGUCUCUCUCAUAUUUUUAGCCUGGGAGGAACCUGGAAAAUUUGCUGGACCGUCAUGAACUAGUGUUCCCAGUGAUACUGGAUAUACUUUUCUGCGGUAUGCACAGGCUUUGUUAAUGACAAGUACUGAUUACAAAUACAUAAAAGUCGGAUCUUGACGGUGCAAAUCAGGCGAGCUCAUAAUCCACGUUAAUGACGCAUUGCUGGCAAGUGAUUUUUUGUUUUGUUUUAAUCUCUCUCCCUCUCUCUCGGUCGGUUGUAUUAUUUUCAGUGCACGAUGUAAUGUCUGCUUCGCCCUCCAAACUCCUGAUUAAUCGGUGCUUUUUGAUAUGAUGCACAACCGGUGAUUACUGAAACGCAGAUUUUUAAGUUCUUUCUGUCUGUGUUUUACGUGCUUCAAUGCUACAUGUCUAAAGGAUUCUCGGUGUGGAAUGGAGUAUCUAGGUUUCUUCGUGUAGCUAGUUAAUUUCCCCUUAGUGUGGUGGUCGUCCGUCCCACACGUACUACAUAAUUACCGAAAAAUGUAAAUCCAAACUAGGUAUUAUUUGUUACUUUGUUUUAUGCGGUUUAGGGCUACAUGUAGUAAUCAUGAUUGUGUAUAUUUUCAUUAUACUUUCCUAUUUAUCAUAUAAUAGUAGCAUAAUUUCACAUUGAAAUCAUUAAAAUGGCGGUUGUUUUAUCUUAUACAUCUAUUGAUUAAGAGUUGAAAAUUUUUUCCCUCUUUUUUUUUUUUUUUUGCAUACGUCCUUAUAAAUUUCAGUGAACGCAAUGCAUUGAGAAUCAUUCACUAUGUUAUCGUGAAUUUUAAUGAUUAUGACUUGAAAAUUUCUAAUAAAUGGCAUCAUUUUGAAUUGAUAGAUUAAUUAGUUAGUUCAUAUUUAUCAUGCUAUAAAUUACUACUUUGCAGAAGCAAAUACCUUGACAUGACAGUCCAUGAAUGAAGUAUAUUAUGAUGACGAGAUACAAUAUUGUUUUUUGGAAUUGCCAUCUUCGAUAAUAUCACAAUUUGGGCUUUACUCCACUUUUAUGCCACUAAUUGCUUUGAUAAUUUCACUAAUACUGGAUAGCUAUUUUAUCCACAACAAUGCCCGGGGUGCUUAACUAGUAUUAUCAUAAGAAAAAAAAAAGGAGUGAUGGAAGGACAGAACAAAGUUAUUGUUUCAACCUUACCUGUUUUUGAUUGCUAGAGGUGGUUGAGAUAUUUGGCGGGUACUUCAUUGAUUGUAUUUAUAUCCAAAUAAAACUGACUGGUACUUAUUCUAGGUAUUCCUGACUAGUGACUACACCCAUAUUAUUGCAGGGCAAGUCUCAAAAAAGAGUGAUGUUUAUGGUUUUGGUGUGGUCCUUUUCGAAAUCCUAACCGGAAGAAAACCCUAUGACUUCACUAAUGAUGAACCUUCCCUUGUUGACUACGUUCGGUCACAUCUGGAAGAGGAAAGAAGUUUGUACGAAUUGAUAGAUUCGAGGCUUGGAUAUCACUUCAUGGAAAAAUGUGCCCAGAUUGCUUUGCAGUUGGCUACUCGCUGCCUUGAACCAAAGCCAGAAGCUCGUCCCUGGAUGAGUGACGUUGUCGAAGUAUUGAAAACUAUCCAAGAUCUUCCAUACAUAGCAAGUCCAUCAAAUAUUCAGGAUGAUACAGGAAGCGCUAGUAGUGGAACGUGUGAAGAUGAAGAAACAGAACUGAAGAAUUAAAGAAUUAGAAAAUGUGAAGAUGAAGAGAUAUGUCGAAGAACUGAAGAUCAAUCAAGAAGCUUUGAAUUCUUCUAUUUCAAUACGAUUGUGAUACAGAAUCUGUAUAUCUCGAAUCAUCAAUGAUCAAAGAAGAUUUAUACUUCUAAACUUCUCACAUGCUCUUUCUCUUUAUCUCUGUCUCUUCUGUAAAAGUACAGAGCAUUCAUUUACAGGACUCUUCUAUCUAUUUUCUACAUACAUUCACUGAAUGAAGAGUAUUCUGCUAAGACUACUUAUAUAUCUUUUCCUAUCGAAGAAGAUGAGGAUACAACAGAAAAACUGAUUUUAACAAGACUGUUUUUCAAUCUGUUUCAAUUCUCAACUGAAUAACUGCUCACGAGUAUUCAUGAGUUGGCAAUCCGUGUCAAUCUUCAUCACAAGUUCUUCACCAUUGCUAAUGAUCCAUAUCAACCUUCAUCGUGAUCGUUUAUUUGAUUUGUCGUGUCUUCUCCAGUUUGUGUUACUCACUUUGUUGCUUUGUAGCUCUUCCUUCUCUCUAAUAUCAGCCUCUAUUCUUUCUCCUUUAAUAUUAGUCUUCACCCUCUUUUCCCUAUUAUCAAUGUCAACAGCAUAGGUAGUUGGUACAGUUGGUGUUUUUGAUUUAUAUUCCUUAACAGAAUGGCAUCCAAACUCAAACCAUGGUGAAUUCAAGGAAUGCAAGUCUUUCAAUUCCGGAUGGGACCAACGCCUAUCCAUGCCACCACACCACCAAUUUUUGGAAGCAAGUGAUAAAUUGUGGCAACACGCCAUCAAAUAGCAGUCAUUCAAACCCGUUUGUUUCCUUUCCUCCUCUUUCCUUUUUUGGUGCCGGAGUUUUGGCUUCCAUAUGAACAUUAGCUUCUGGUUAUGGAAAUGUCGACGAAGUAAAAUAUAAUACAAAUUAUGCUACAUUUAUAAUGUCAUCCAUUGAGAAGUGAUUAGGUGAAGCCCGAAUUGGGAAGUAUGCUUGGGCAUUGAUACUUUAUCACUCCUCUACAGGAUUGUAAUGAUAAUGAUUACCUUUAAUGGUGCCUUUUUGACAUAUCAUAUCUUGUGAAAUUUAUUCUAUAUCGAGUUUUUCAUGUUGUGUUCUCAUUUUCAGUAAUCAUCUCGUUGUAUUUCUAUUUUUCACAUAAGUGGGGUGUUCAUUCAUUUGAAUUUGUUAAUUCGUUUGAUGUGGGAAAUUAUACGGUUGUUCUCAACUUCUCAUAUCAGCCAUGAAAAUUGUUAGAAAUUCUUUUGGGCUUGCAUUUGUUGUUGAAACCGGCAUUGAGUUUUCUUUGUUUGAGAUUGAGCAUUCAACGCAAACGCAUUUUUUUUAUUUCGGCCCAUACGGCCCAGCCUAAAAAAUUGGCAUGGGCUCGAGGCCCGGCCCAAGUGGGUGACAGGCCUGUUAACCACCCCUCGGACGGAGGUUGGAAUGCUGCCUCCAAGCUUUUUUCUUUGAGUUUUUGCUUUUUCAUAUUUUUCUAUUUUUUCUGCGGUAUUCUUUUCUUUUUUCUUGGUUUAUUUUUCCCAUAAAUAAAUAUAAAGUGCAUUCUUUUCUAAAAUUUAUAUUUAUAUUUAUAUUUUUUUUUCUCCUCCUCCUUUUUUUUAAAAAAAAAAAAUCUAAUCAAAGAUAUUCUUGCUCUUUUCAUGUAAUAAUACCUUUUCCUUUUGUGUUUUGCAAUUAGUCUAUUCAUAUAGCUGGACUUGAUCAAAUCCAAUUAUAUAUUAAUUCACUUUAAUUUUUCCAAACCUAAUUAUUGCCUUGAAAACAAAUUUAGGUCGUAGAAUCGAUAAUGCUUUUAUACUGCAAUCAAAAUGCAUAAUGCAAGAGGAUGUGCAAUAUCUAAUAAAUUUUAACAUCAGUAAAACGUCAACAAAGACAUUUUCGACUGGGAAAGAAUAACGAUAUUUUGAAAAUUACUAGUGUGUUGCCCAAAAAAAAAAAAAAAUCAUUCUUUCCCACGACAUCGGCCAAGUUUCUGUUCUCCGCACUCCCUCGAUUGCUGCCUUUUUCAUGUCUCCGUCCACUCCUUCACUCUGGCCUCCCCACAAUCUGAUAUACUCUAUUUGUUCCUGCAUUUCUAGGGUUAUGAGUUUCACUUUUGCGUGUGCGCUUGUCAUGUGCUUUCAUGCCUGAAACUGUUUCGAUCUAUUGCUUUCUUCCUUUGGCAAUUUCUAGUUGUAGCGCGGCCGCGGCCAUGGACAUCAUUUUCAGGGGGCGGUGCGGCAUUGGCGGGAAACAAACUCGGCUUGAAUGCAAUGCUUUCGAAAGAGGUAUUUUCAUCUCUCGUGAAUCAACGUUGCUUUGAGUGAUUGCGGAGCUCGCCCAUGCUGAUAGUGGGGUACGUGAUGAAAUUUGUACAUUGGAUUGGACCUGUGUUUUCUGAGAGGACAUUGGCUUUUGCUUUGGGUAUUUGAUGAAUUAGUAAUUAUUUUUUUGGUGAGUUACUAAUUCCAUUUUUCAUCAUUGUUUGGGUGUUUGUUGAUUAUGAUGGUAGUUUGUCUUUUAAUUGUAUUUAUGUAAUUGUUUACCUUUAUGGAUUGUUCCGGGAUGCCCAUGGAGACUCCACGGGCCUACUAGCUUGUUGACGACGAGACCACUGGCGGUUCAUAUUUCUUCUUGAACAUACCAGGGGUUCAUAUUUCUUCUUGAACAUACAUUGACUCUCUAAAUUUGCACAUAUGGCUGUAAUUCUAGCAAUACAUUAAUUGAUAUAAUUUGAUAUUUGUUCUCUAAUAAAAUAAUCUCAUCCAAGUCCAACCCACAUUCAUUUGCCAUUUUCCUCACCUGCAAAUGACCAUAAGUUAGCUAUUCCCCAAAGAAAAGCAAUUAGCACAUCAAAGAGGUCAGUCAACCAAAAUCGAAAUAAAAAUUGCCCAUUCACAUGUCCCCACCAGUGAGCAACUCACCUCAUGAUCCACACCUUCCGAAAGUUUUUAUAAGUUCAAUCACCAAGCUAUCUCCUGUAAUUUGCCCCACUUUUUGUACCAGCACAUGCUGUGAAAUCUUUCUCCCUAGAAAAUGAUGUUCAUGUUUUAAAAAUAUUUCAACAUUAAAGGAAAGCUGAAAACAAAGGUUGAAAGACAAUAACUAAAAGUCAAUGCGAUUGAUAUAGACUACGGACGAGGCGAAAAUCAAGAUACAAAAUUUCCCAAAAAUCAAAUCAAAAAAGUAAUUGAGGCGAGGGGCAACUUUAAAAAUUCAAAUAAAGUAAAUUUGCCAUUUUUUAAAAUAUGAAUUGUGCCUGCCACGCGUGUAGGUAUUUAUAUAUACUAAAUUAAAAGUCAAUUUAUUAUGAAGCAUAUCAUCAAUUUUGACACAUUUGCCCCAAUAAAAAAAAAUUUGCACUACGAUUACCAAUUUUUUUUUUAUAUGUAACACCAACUAAUUGAUCGACACGUGGCUUAAUGGUCCCACUUGUCAACUUCCCUUCGCUCUCUCACCAUUAGUCUUUCAAUUGGGCGUGAGCUUCUCCUUCCUCUUUUGUAGCCUUGAGCUUUUGUUCCUUUUUUACAAUAUUUUCUUUCCCCUGGUCUCGCUACAGAGACCUGACCUGCACACCUUGAGGCAUUUGCAUUUUUUGCAAAACUUCCCAAUUUUUGGAGAGAAUUUGGACCUCUCUUUUCAAUUUAUUUUCUUAUUUCGGGCACCUUCUCUAUCUUCUGGGUGGAGUUGUGAGGCCAACGUGGCAUGUGUCAUGUUGACAUUUAGGCUCAUCAUCAGAAAUCCUUGCAACUUAUCUCUCUUCAAUUGUACAACUCUCCCUCUUCUCUCUCUUCUGCGUUUCAAAGCCCUACGAUGCUCCCAAGACUCCGCCGCCUCUGGCACGACGCCUCCAUCUUUUUCCCUGUUUUGUCCAUUUGUCCCUUCUUUCUUCCACCUCCAGCUCUUUUCUUAAGCCCAAAGAUGCCAUCCUCACUCUACAACUCCUUCAUAUUGUUUAGGUAUGUUUAAGUAUGAUUUGAAUUGAUAUUAAUAUUACGUGGAGUGCGGUCAUAUAUCCCAACCUAACAUCAUAACAACUCAUCAUCACAUUUUCAUGGUAAGAACCGAUAAUUAUCACCAAAUAAAUGGCUCUCUCUCUCUCUCUCUCUCUCUCUCUCUCUCUCUCUCUCUCUCUUAAUCUUGUUUGUAGUAUAGUGUCAACUUGAUCAAGAACCAUACAAGACUUAGACCCAAGCCAAACAAAGAAAAUGAAAGAAUUGCAUACAUCGUAUGCUGCUUCUGUUAAUACUCGUGAUCGGGAAAAGGAAAAAUGAAAGGACCACUGUAACUUCUAUUCGGCCCCUUUAGCACUAUCAGUGACGGCAAGGCAAAACCUUUUCAUCCUCUCUCUUGUCCCAAUCCCACCUUUUGAAAUUCCACAUGCUGCUUCUGUUAAUACUCGUGAUCGGGAAAAGGAAAAAUGAAAGGACCACUGUAACUUCUAUUCGGCCCCUUUAGCACUAUCAGUGAUGGCAAGGCAAAACCUUUUCAUCCUCUCUCUUGUCCCAAUCCCACCUUUUGAAAUUCCACAGAGAGAGAGGGAGGGAGGGAGGGAGGGAGAGAGAGACCUUCCUUGAAUCACUCCUCCUUUGGAUGGGCCCCACCAAGGGGAAAAGAAAGAAGUGGUGGGCCCAGCAAAAAAUAGAGGAAUAUACAGGAAGGUAAGUAAAAAUCAUUUCCUCAUCUCACUUUAGUGGUGGAGCUCACUUCUUCUCAAAUCUUUUACUCCUACUUCAUUUAAGGCUAGGGUUAGGGUUCGAGUUUGAGGAGAACCAAAUUUGAUGAUAAAAUAAUGCCAAACCAAGAAAAGAAAGAGUGCUUCAUUUUUGUGUCACAAAGAGAAGGAAAGACUUUCGUGAAAAUGGAUGAACAUAAAAGAAAAAGUAAAAGAGUUGUACUUCGAGUUUUUUGAGACACUAGGUGACGAAAGGAAAUGACAACUACGAUAUUAUUAUAUUGCUACUUUAUAAAAAUUAUAUGCCCUAAGUGUGUUAUGCACGUGUCGUGCUAGCAUCGUGCACGUGUCGUGCCUGCAUUGUGGGUAUUAUGUGCAUAUUCCGACAUCAACAUAAAAAAACCUAAAUUUCAAUUAAAAAAGCAUCAUAAAUCCAAUUGACAAAAGUACUAAUAAGUCAUGAAACAUUUUUGACUAAACUUGAGGUUUGGCCUUAUGUUGGUAUUUCCCCCAUUCCUUCGGGAGAAUUUAACUUAGUUGUGUUGUGCCCUAGCAAGGCACUGUCUAUUAUUUGAAUUCAAAGUUCAUAGUGAUGAAACCAUUAAUCCGGAUAACCAUGUCUUUACUAUUAGUAGGUACAGAAAACAUACUAUGUGUGUUAACAACAUUUUCUCUAGUGACAACGGCAAUUCUCAAGCAAUGCCUUUCAUUAAAAACUCCUAGUUUGGACUUCCAAUGUAACUUCAUCUCUCACUAUAUAGCUAUUGAGAACAUUACAAAGGAAUGUAAUAAUGAACGUUAAAGAAACAUAAGGCACCCUUCGUAAUGGAUGAGUUUUACCGGUUUCCACUCUAUGUGGUAAUAUGAUGAAAGAACUAGCGCUUGAAGUUUAAGCUUUAAAUGCAACAUCACAGGUACAACAAGGAUUAGCUUUUUUGUAUCCAUUCAUGUGGGCUUUUAUCACCAUACCAUAGAACUCAAGGAAGUAUUGUUGAAACCUAAAUUUGGGCAACCCAUUUAGUCAUUUAUUGCAUAAAAAUUAGGGAUUAAUUUUUAACCGCUAAGAAAAAAUAUUAUAAUUCAAUUGCAUAGCAUACAAUUUUUUAGGUGCAUUUAUUUUUAAUUUACAUGUUUUGCGUUUUAUUUAUUUAUUUUUAGGACCAGUGGUGGAUGGGUUCGAAUUAAUAUUUCUAAACUCUAGUUCGGUAGGCCAGGCUAGGCCCAUAAAAGGAAACAAAUUAACUCAAGCCCGUCGUUAUUUUUAAUUAAUUAUCUUGUGAAAAAUUAAGAUUUGAUGCGAUAUUAUGAUGAUUUUUGAAAAUUAAGAAAAUCGCAUUGUAAUCUUAUCUUUAUCAAUAGAUGAUGAAAUCGGGGAGAAUAUUCAUGAGAUAAGGAUUUUUGUGAUCAAGAGAUUAUAAGCGAUAUUCGUGAGAUGAAAAUAUUAAUAAAAAAGAUCACGUUUUGUUUCGCCUAUAAGAGAGUGCGUACGGAGGUCGAGAAGGUGGAGGGCGUUCAGUUUUUUCUUUCGAGGGAUAUUUCGGUUCUUUGGGAAGAAAAAAGAAAAGGAGAAAAAGCAAAAACAGCAAAAAGUAGAAAAAAGAAAAAAGAGGGGCAAAGGAGAAAGGUACAAGCGGCAGCGGGACGACUGUUGAUUGUCUCCCUCGCCGCUCGACUCCCUCUGCAACUUCCAUCCACGAGGACCCCCGCGCCCACCGCCGCUCCGCCAGUAUCCUGACCGACCACCAACGUUGCCUGCCGAACGCCACCGUCUCGCCACGCCAACGCCACCUAGAGGCCGAGGCCAGCCGCGACCGCCUCGCUCGAAGCCCCGCCAGUGUCCGCCCGAGUUCUCCCGUUCGUGCCGCGCCGACCCACGAUCCCAACGAGUUGUUGCUGCCCAGUGCCUCCCUAGCCUUGCAUGAACCGCGAUCCACCUGCUACUCGGAGCCGAAGACCCGUACGCCAAGCCCAGAUCCAAGCCCCCACACGUCCGAGUAACGUCUCUGUUGCUGGCCAUCUCCGCUGCGAGCCUCCUCACGGUGCGCCUGCAGUUCCUUCGCUAAAUGUCUCCGAUUGCUGACGGCCGCACCCGCAACCUUCUCCACCCACGACGCCGGAUCCGGACGCCACCUGAUCCGCCUCAGUCGCAACCGCCUCGCUCGAAGCACCACCCAUGCCACAACGCCGCCCUUAUGACACUGCACCGGGCCCUCUUCCGUGUAGACGCUAAGCCACCCCUGCCAAGCCGCUCCAUCCGUUGCUGCCCUUCGCCGAAGCUCCAACCGAUGGCAACAACCUGCCCGGUGCCGACGAACUUGCUGCCCCCCAUUUUCCUUAGGUUGCUCAAUUUUCUUUUAUUUUUUUUUCUUAUUUUAUAUUAUUUUACUUUACUUUUAGUUAGUUUUAUUAUUAUUGUUUAAGUUUGAAUAUUUUGAGGUGACUUUUAGGUUAUGGAUAUUGUAGGCAUUACUCACAGGAUUUAUCCCUAAAAUUAUUGUAAUUAUUAAUUUUACCCGUAAAAUGUCAGGUCAUUUUUUUUAAUUAUAUUGAUUCUUGGGGUUUGUUGAUAACAUAUUAAUUGUUGAAUCAAUAUAAUUAUUAAUUUGAUCCAUAGGAUUUCGGAUCAGAUUUUUAAUUAUUUUGAACCCUUUGUCGGUUAGAUAAUUGUUAAUUUGACAUAUGAGACAACAUGUUAUUUCUUUCGAUUAUUUUAAUCAUUUAUUUGAUUGAAUGUCUUGAUUAGUUUAAAUACAAUGUUUAUUUGAUAAUUGCUUGUUUUGGAAAACCACUAAAAAAUAUCCAAAAAAAUAUUUGAAUCAAGAUUCAAUUUGUUUUGGAAUAUUUCUUGUUAUCUUGCAUAUCUAGAAGAGGGAUUUUAUUCCGAAUUUAGAAAAUAUAAAAAAACAAAAAAUGCAUUCAUUUAGGUUGUUAGUUUGUUAUUUGGAUUGCAUGUUUAAUUAUGUAUUAAUUUUAAUUUCGAAUUUUCAUACAGAAAAUCACAAAAAAAUAAAAAAUUGAGCAUAUUAGGUUAGAAUGGCAUGUUUCAUUUUAAAUUUAGAUCAUCUUUUUUAGAUAAAUUGCAUGUUAGAUUAAGAUAAUAUCUUAGUUUAAAUUAGGAUUUAAUGUGACUUAAUCCUUAGUUUAAAUUAGAUAGAAUUUUAAUCUAGCUAGAUCAUCUUUGCAUUUUUAAAAAUAGAAAUAUCAAAUGCACGUCAUUUAGUUUUUAUUAGGUUCAUUUAAUUAGAACUUCCUCGUCAUUAGACUAAGUCAUUUAAUAAAUGUCGCAUGACAUAUAACUCGCAUACUAAAUUGUAUGUUGCGUGUCAUUUUAGUUAAAAUAAUUUUGUAUGUCAUUGCAUCGCAUUACCCGUCAUUAGAAUUAGGUCAUUUGAUUAAUUUAGAUUGCAUAUCUAAUUGUUACAUUUCUUUAAUUUCAAAUUUCAUGGAAAAUACAAAAGAAUUAGAAUGAAUUCAUUUCAUCCUUUAGGAUAGAUUGCAUGCUUAUUUAUGUCAUAAAAUUUUGGUCAUGUUAUCAUAUCAUUUCAUGUUAGAAUAGUGACAUGCAUUGCAUAAGUCAUGAUUUUCAUUAAAUAAAUUAAAAAUAAAAUAAAAUUGAGUGUUAAUUAGAAAUCAUAUCUAGAAUUGCUGAUGUGAAUUCUGAUUUAACAAUGUAAAUGCUUUCGUUGCUUUGAGGUAUAUUUUGCAUUAUUUAAUUGCUUUCUUGAGUGUUAAAUUUGUGGUAUGCGCAUCUGUAUGAUCACUUUACAUGUUAGGAAGUUAAAUUAAAAUCAAUUCAAUUGCCAAACAUUUUUUUUGAAAAUGAAAUAGAAAGGUACCGAAAGGGCACUAGGAUAGUCUGCUGUAAUCAAGUCCCAGUAUCCUUUAGUUUUUUGGUUUGCAGGAGUAAAAGAAUGCUCCAUUUAUUUUACUUAGGUGCCUAAUCGACCUAUCCUAAACCGAUUAGUGGUGACUCUUAGAUAAUAAUCUUUUGCAUGUUAAAACUUUAAAUCGCGAAUUAGUAUGGGCUUGGAAGAGCCCGAGUUAAGCUUAAAGACUUAGUAAUCCAUUAACUUAGUUUUAGGUGGUGCACCCGAAAAAUUGGGUCGUGACAAGUAUUAUAUGCUCCUAUGAAAAAAGGAGUUAAAAGGAAAAGAGUCCUUAUAAAAUGUUAAUGUUAUGCCAUGUGCAGUUUGAAGAAGAAAGCGAAACGAUGUCAGUAAGUGCAAAGAUAUUAGAUCGUGAGAGUCUUGAGAUGCGAAAAUUGUCAUACCUGGCUUUAGUGUUGCUAAGAUGAACUCAACAGGAAACUUUGACGUUUACAUGCAUCUUUACGAUGCUUUUCCUUUUCCCUUAUUUUGGUAAUUUGGUUUAUGUUGUUGCUUGAUUUUUGAUGUCCUACCCAACUAUCAAGUUCAAUGAGAAAACUUGAGGAUGAAAUCAGUAAAUCCAUUUAAAUGGACGAGUCAUGAAUGUAUUUAGCCCAUAGGGCUUUAAUUUUCUUUAACAAGAUAUCUAGUCUUUGGAGGUACUUAUUUAGAAGGUGUUGACACCUACUGGCAGCUCCUUUCUGCCAUAUUGGGCGACCGUAGAAUGGUACAGGUCCUGGGAAAGCAGCAUCUUCACAAAGUCAUGUUACUAUUCUAGGCGACCGUAGAAUGGUAUGGGUCCUAGACAAGUAACACCCACUACCUCGAAUUACUCUAUCCUCCUCGAAGGUAAGUUAUUCCAGGUAGGUUCAUUUACAUUUGCAUUAGCAUUUCCAUGCAUCAUAUGAAUUGCAUUUAAAAAAAAUAGGAUUCAUUUCCCAAAAAAAAAUCAAAAGUCAUGUGCAUGGUCAAAAUUUAGGUCUCAAUUUGUCUUUGAAUGCAACCUCCACGAGCUCACCUUCAAAGAGGGGCAGCUGUUGACACCUAAAUUUUGGCGAUCCGUUUAUCACAUUAAAAAAUAAGGGAUUAAUUUUAACCCCUAAAAAAAAAAAAUUAAUUCCAUAACAUAUGGUCAUUAGAAGCAUAUUUCACUUAAUUGCAUAUUUGUUAGGCCGGCGGUGAAUGGAUUUUGGUGAAUGGCUUUGAAUAUUCAAGCCAACAAGAGCAUUAAACUGUGGAUAAGUCGAUAAUUCCUCCAUGGUGAUUGAUAUUACAUGGGUGUCCUAAAUUGUUAAAAGUCAAUUAAGAAAUUUCCAGCAUAUUGGCACCGACAUAUUAGUGCAUUUAAGGGAACGAAUGCGAAGGAAGGACAGUGUGUAAGCGGCCACCGAUUCGAACAUAGAGAAGCCCAACCACGUGAAGGAAAAUUAUGCGCUUUCCCAUUAUUCGGUCAACGUGGGGAGCAAGGAAUUGACCAGCAUUAUUUUAAGAGGAAAGAUACGAGCAUAUGCACAAAGGAAAUUCGGAAGAUCAGCAUGAGAGGGGAAUGUUGGGCACGUUCUGCAUUGCGGGCAUGGAUUUGCGAAAAAUAUAUAUAUCGGCAUUCGAUCAAUAAAGAGGAAAGGAAAGAAAAUAUAUUUCAACGCAUGCCCAGAAGGAAACAGAAUAUGCUUUCUUUCCUCAUUGGUUUACGCCCUUUCAAUAUAAAUUGACUCAUUACGGGACAAAAGAGAGGACUUUCGGAGCAAUACACAGAGAACACACGAGAGAGAGAGUUGAGGUUUUCUUCUUGAGAGUGAGUCUUCGUAGCUGCAAUUGGGGUCUACCAGCUUCACGAUUCAGCGUUGCAACGGACGCCGCUGACUUUUGCUGGUGUCGCCCUCCACUGAUCCGAGUGGUGCCGAGAUUCAUCCUUUUGGGCCAUCAUCUCCAGCUGCAUCUGUGACGCCGAAGCUUUUAUCCCAACAUUGUUGCUGACUUUGUUGCGACGUCUAGGCCAUGCAUGUCAUACCUUCUCCCUACCGCAGUGAUCAAUGAAGUCUGGCGAUUCAAUCCCUGCGAAGCCACAUCUCGCGCUUUCUUGACGUGAGUUGGACCAGCGUACAAAUAGCAAGCAACGGCCGUUAUUCGCAUCUUGUACUCCACGACGCCCCGGCUACUGUUCAGAACCGUUCCUUAGUCGAAGCAAACACCACAACAAGCUGUCCUUGCGCCAUCACAUUGAGCCCCUAUCGUGAUUCACGAGCCACCGUUCGAAGGCUAAAUUUGGAAGCGAAUAUUUGGGAUAGGUAAGAAUUUUGUCUACGUUAAUUUCUGAAAAUUUUGUUUCCUUAUUUGAUAUACUCAUUGGUGCACGUGAUGGAAAUUCCCAAUAUGCCAUGAUAUUCGCAACACGAUUAGCCUUUUAAAUUGGGAAAUCCUCCUAAUUUCACAACGUACAUAUGAUUGACGGUCCGAUUUCACGCUCGAAAUACGACCCGCAAUCGUACGGAAAAUCACCAAUCCGAUCUCACGCUCGAGAUAUGAUUCGUGAUUUUAUUUAAAAAUUGGCUAAUCCGAUCUCAUGCGCGAGAUAUGAUUCGUCAAUUUAGUUCCCAAAGUUAAAUGGACGUGGAUGAUGUCUUGCUUGAUUUGGUGCCAUGUUAUUCUUGAUGCUUUAUUUGUUUGCUCCCGUAAAAGAAAAAAAAUAUUUGAGUUAGAUUAGAUGCAUGUUAGGAUGUUACUUGUUUUAGAUUACUUUGCAUGUCUAGAAUAGGAAAUUUAUUUAUUUCGAAUUUUUGAAAAAAUUAAAAAUACAAAAAAUUAGGAUGUUAGAUUUCUGCUUCACUAGUCUAAAUUGCAUGUUUAACUAUUUGGCAAUUAUUAAUUUCGAAAUUUAAAAAAAAAAGGAAAAAAGGAAAAACACAAAAAAGGUCAUUAUGCAUAUGUCAUGUAAAAUUAGGGCAUUCUUUGCACGUCAUUGCAUGUUAAGAUUGCAUGUUAUAGGUUUAGAUAAUUUCUCCUAAAUAGAUUGCAUGCUUAUUAGGAAAAUAAAAAUUAUGUGCACGUCAUAUAGAAUUAGUUUCAUACAAUGCACGUCAUUUAGUGAUUUUUGUUAGAUGCAUUUAAUUAGAAAUUGCCCGUCAUUAGAAUUAGGUCAUUAGAUUAAUUUAGAUUGCAUAUUUAAGUGUUACAUUUCUUUAAUUUCGAAUCUCAUAGAAAAUACAAAAAAAUUAUUUAAAAUAAAUCAUCUCAUGCUUAUGAUAGACUACAUGCUUAGUUAUAUCAUAUUGUUUAGGUCAUAUAGUAAGUCAUGUCGCUAUGUCAUAUUAUUUCAUGUUAAAUUAGUGGCAUGCAUUGCAUAUUGCAUGAUUUUCAUUAAUUAAGUGAAAACAAAACAAAAUUGCGUGUUAAUUAGAAAUCAUAUUUAGGACUGUUGAUGUGAAUUCUGAACUAACAACGCAGAUGCUUUCGUUGCUAUGAGGUAAGUCCUGCAAUUUAUUCAUUUGCUUUCUUGAGUGUUAAAUUGGUGGUUUGCGCACCUGCAUGGUCACCUCACAUGUUAAGGAAUUAAAAUCAAUUCAAGUUGCUUGCCAAACAAUUUUUUCAAAAUAUAAGAUAAAGGUACCGAAAGGGCAUUAGAGAAAUCUAGUGUAACCAAGUCCCCGUACCCAUGAUCUCUGGUUCGUAGGAGUAAAGUAAAUCUCCCAUUACUUUACUUGGGUUCCUAAUCGACCCACCAAAAAUAGAUUAGUGGCGACUCCUAAUUGAAAAUCAAUUGCAUAUUAAAAACUCGAAUCUAAGUCGCGAAUUGGUAUGGGCUUGGGAGAGCCCGAGUUAAAUUUAGGCUUAACAAUCCAUUAGUCAAACCCUAGGUGGUUCACACCCCGAAAAUAUUGGUCACGAUAGUUUGGCGACUCCGCUGGGGACUUGAGUUAAAACUCUUAGUGGACUUAGGCCAAUUUUUCUUUUCUUUUGAAAAAUGUUUUUGUUUGGCAACAAGGAUCCCAGGUACGUCCCUAACAUUUAAGGUGUUAAAUGUUUUUGCAGGAUGGGAGGUAUAAGGGGAAGUGUUUGCUAACCUUUGUUUUGUAGGGAGGUGUAGAAAUGUAUGGUUUAUUUUCAUAUAUGAAGUGUUGCUUGAUAUAAAAUGUUGUGCAUGCCUUGCAUCUAGCACUACACUAUUGCACACACAACCUGCCGCCGGACCUGGGCCGCAUUAAGAUCAUCUAGGAUGGUAUUGAGAUGUUUGCCACUCCGACCGCAUGCUCGCGGUACGAGUCGCCCAUCUCAAUCCCGAAGUUUCUUUCAUGGUGUCAAGAGUACCCACCUCGGUCCGCAUGCUUGUGACUUGAGUCGGCUCUUUGACCAAGCCGGAGUCAUGAGGACCCGACAUAGUCCACAAGCUCGUGGCUAGUCCGAUCAUCCUUGUGGCUUCACUUUGAUAAGCCUUAUAGAGUAGAAAUCGAGCCACUUACCAUGCACAUGUCUAUGUGAUUGCCCAUCAUUGGUAAAGUAAGUUCUCUAAAUUUUUUGCCUUUGCAAUUUACUUACUUUAUCGCAUUAUUUUGUUGGUCCAUGGCAUUAGGAUUGUCCUGAGUCUUGAUCAAUAUACAAUGGGGACACCGGACAUUCGAAUUAUUUUCCCUCCAAGGGAAGAGCUUAGCAUUUGGUGGGACAAGUUAGAUCAAGAUGGCCGUCAGUUUAUAGAGUCACAUAUUGGUCAACUGCUUCCACUGCUGCGUAUCAACAUCCAUGUCGGCCUCGUCCAAGCACUCGCCCACUAUUGGUGCCCCGAGACUUCUACUUUUAUCUUCGGCGGUAAGCAUGAGCUCACUCCCACCUUGGAAGAGUAUAGCAUUGCCAUAGGAAAAUCCUUGAAAGCUGAAUUGAUUAGUCCGUCUAUCGGAAUAGAUCCUGUUAUGACCUUAUCUAAUUUUCUGAGAAUUAAGGAAGACGAUUUAAGAAAGGUUUUAAAGGCUAACCGCAAUGCAUGUCCUUUAUCUUUUCUGAAACAAUGUUUUGAGAAAGGCACUUCAUCUCAAAUGCGAAGGGUUUUCCUUUUAGCCUUCUUUGGGUUUAUAGUUUUUCCUUACUGCAAGAAUACUAUUAACCCCUUGAUCACUCAAUUAGUUAAACAAGUAUUGGAAGGAAAGAAUUUUGUAAACACUAUUCUAACUGAAACUUUCCUUUCCCUCACUCGUUUUAAAGGAGGCGGUGAUAAGACUUUCCAUUCCUCUCCUGAACUUUCGCAAAUUUGGUUUCUUUCACAUAUAAAAUGGUUUGGUGGUCUAAUGACUAUACAUGAUGUAAGUAAUUCCAAUCACCCUAUUAUGAGAUUUGAGAACAAUAAAAAACAUGCACCGGACUAUCAUUAUUCUAGGUGGCUAGCUUUCAUGAAAAAACCAACUUCCAAUGGUUUCCUAUGGCAUGCUAAAUGGUUCCAAGUUCGGGUAGCGAGACUCUCGUGUGGAGGAGUUGGCCCAAUCCCUCUAUUGGGAUUCACUGGAGCAUUGGAGUACUAUCCAACUAGAGUGACUCGUCAGUAUCAAGUCGUGCAGGAGCUUCCCCCAGUGUUACAAACAGAACCAUUCCAAGUCAGUUUUGUUGAUGGAAGCCGAGACCAUGAAGAUUCCAUUCUCACUAUCAAGUUGAUGUGGGACAUGUGCCGUCCACGAAAACUCAAAUGGCCCGAAGAGGAGUUGGAAGGCAAGGAAAUGAAGUACUAUGCCUUGAUUAAGUAUAUCCAACAACACAAGAUUCCCGAGGAGCUGCUUCCAAAGAUACCGGAGGCGCCGUUGAAGAUCACCAAUCAAGCUGAGAAUAAACGCCUCAAAAGAGUUGCUGAAAAAGCUCAAGAGGAGAAUAAACGAUUGCGCCGAAGGGUGUCCCGAAUGUAUAUUGAUCAAGCCAAAUGAAGUGCUUGAAUCAAUCUUGCUAUUCUCAUUUUUAGAUUAAUGUUUAGGGAGUUGGGGUCAUUUACUUUCCUAGUUCGUUUGUUUAGGACAUAUCGAAUUUCUAGGCUUGUCAAAAGCUCCAUUGAUGAAUAAAAUUUCUAGAGUAUUGCCAUGGAUCGGCGUAUUUUCAUAUGAUACUUAUUUGUGUUCAUUUCUUAAUUAUUAGGUGAUAACGGAUCCUCCACGCUCUCCCAUUAUCACGCGAUUAAGAGCAAGAAUGGCCGAACAAACCGAAGUGCGUGAUCGUGUCUCCGUUAUGGAAGGCCAACUCCAACAGUUAGCUGCCUCUAUGGAGCUUAUAACAGCUCAACUUCAAUCCCUCCAAGUGAAUCCGGCUCCUGUACCCACUCUCCCUGAGAUAGCCGUCCCGAAGCCGGCAAACAAGGCCCAAAUGGGUGAGGAUGACAUGCCCGGGCUGGAAGAUGAUCCAUUCCCGAUCAAUGUGGAAAAUGUUAAGCUUGUCAACAUCCCUAAGACGGAGCAGGAUGAACGCUUGGCGAAAAUGGAAGAAAAGUUGAAACAAUUGCAGGAGUCACAGAGUUCACUCCCAUUCGACUUGUCCGUGUACGAGAAAGUCAAGAUGCCAAAGAAAUUCAAAAUGCCGGAUUUUGAGAAAUACGAUGGUACUUCUUGCCCAAAAGCUCAUUUGCAGAUGUACCACGUACGCAUGGCCCAAUAUGUCAAGAACGAGCCUCUCAUGAUCCAAUCAUUCCAUGCAAGUUUGACCGGGUCUGCACUAAAUUGGUAUGUCAUGAAGAAUGUGAACCUUCUCAACACUUGGAAUGAAGUGGCUGACGCAUUUCUCAAGCAAUACAAGUUCAACAUGGAUAUUGCACCUUCCCGAGAGGAUCUUGAGAGGAUGGAGAAAAAGAAGAGCGAGUCAUUCAAAGAGUAUGCUGUGAGAUGGCGAAAUCUGGCAGCUCAAAUCACCCCUGAGCCUACUGACAAUGAGAUGAUGAAGUUAUUUAUCAAAACUCUCCCAUCUGAAUUCCGUAUCCGGAUGGCCAGCACGUACGUUGAAAGCUUCAAUCAGCUUAUUUCUGUGGGGGAACAAUCGAGAUGGGGAUAAGGGAAGGAUGGUUUACUGAACCAUCAAAUAGAAAAUUAUCUGCCAAGAAAGAGAAGGAGGCUGCUGUAGACGUAAAUGUGGCUUAUAGCCAGGAAAGUGCCAAUUGCACCCCGGCUAUCCAGAUGAAUCCGAGGCAACAGCAAGCUACCGGCCGUCAAUCGUUUGCUCAAGCAAGAAGGCAAUUCUCUCCUCUCCCUGGAUCUCCAUCCCAAGUCUUGGCAAUCCUAAGGAAGAAAGGAUUGCUUACUAGCGAACCAAAGCGCCCUAACCGCGAAAACAUUCGUGGUUACGACUCGACCAAGAAGUGCGACUAUCAUAGCAGUGAAUUGGGACAUUCAACUGAUGAAUGUUUCACCUUGAAACAUAAGAUCCAAAAUCUCUUAGACACGAAGGCCUUCUCAUUUCAAACUACUCGACCGAAUGUCCAAAAGAAUCCACUGCCUGAGCACGAAGGUACAGUCAAUGCUAUCUUAGAGCCUGAAGUAAGUCAGAUCAAGAACUCAAAGGUACACGUAGCAGAUGCUUACAACGGGCUGAUAAGAGCUGGAUAUUAUCCAGAUCAGGAGGAUGUUCCUCUAUCACUGAUGAAGGAAAGAGUCAUCAGGAUGGUGGAUGACGGAAUCAUCGUUUAUGCUGACUAUAACUGUAUAGUUUCCGCUAUUUCACCCAUCAUUAUUGAUUGGGAGGAAGAGAAGCGGCACUCAAUGCUGAUAAAGAGGAAAUUGAUCCUUCACUUGUGGACAUGCCCCCACUUGAAGAUGCAUCCAACGAUGAGAUAGUGAUUGAAAUGCCUCAACCGUAUGAAUAUGUCAACAAUAAGGCGGUCCCUUGGUCUUAUGAUCUAGAUGUUGACCUCGUUACAAGGUCUGGUCGGACUUAUUCUCAAACGAAUGCUCAACCCGUUAAACCUGUCACCGAUAAAGAGGCUAAGGAGUUUCUGGCCGUGAUCAGAGCAAGCGAGUAUAAGGUGGUCGAACAGUUACGAAAAAUGCCCGCCCAGAUUUCUUUGCUUGAACUCCUGCUUACAUCCCCUGUGCAUCAAAAGUCGUUAAUGAAGGUGUUAAGUGAAAUUCGUGUACCUGAAACGGUCGAGGCAGACAAGCUGGAAGACUUUGUGGGAUCGAUUAUUCUUAAAGACAUGAUUGCCUUUUCUAAUGAGGAAUUCCCUCUCGAGGGUAGGGGGCAUAACAAGGCACUCUACGUAUCUGUCAAGCAUAAGGCUUCUCAUGUGUCUCGAGUACUCAUUGAUAAUGGGUCCGCCCUAAACAUAUGUCCACUGGCCACUCUUCAUCGCCUCAAGGUGGACCCGUCCAAGAUACAUGCCGCAAAGACUUCUGUUUGAGCUUUUGAUGGUACGAAGAAGGAGGUGCUUGGAGAGAUUCAUCUUGAUGUGCAAAUAGGGCCGGUGGUUUUCAAUGUUCCCUUCCAGGUAAUGGAUAUCCUUACUGCUUUUAAUUUUCUGCUGGGUCAUCCCUGGAUUCAUACUGCUGGGGCGGUACCAUCAAGUCUACAUCAAGUUGUGAAAUUCGUAAUCAAAGGGAAGCUAGUCACUGUCUAUGGCGAAGAAGAUCACCGAAUUUAUCAUGAGACAGCUAUCCCCUAUGUAGAGCCAGACUUUGAGUUCGAAUCAAGCUACCACUCAUUUGAGUUGGUAUCCACUAUUCAUGCUUUUUGAGACUCACCACCACCAACUCCUGAAGUUUCAAAUGCUACUCUCAUGGUGGGAAGGAUGAUGGUUGGGAAUGGUUUUAUUCCUGGUAGUGGCCUUGGAAGAAAUGGUCAGGGGAUUCGAAACCCCAUUGAAGCCCCUCAGAGGUCCCGUGCUGCUGGAUUAGGGUACCAUGGAAGAGAUGGGGAAAGUUCUAGAGGACGAAGACAGGAAAGGCAAAACCCGCCACCUGACCACAGGCGAGGAAGGCAAAACCCAUUGCCCCCAAACAUUCGCGAGACAUUUCCUGAUCCUCCCAUAAUGAUGCAGGAUGAAGCAGAAAUAAUAGAUACCCUGGGGCAGCCAAGCGGAAAAUUUGACUAUCUGGUGAAGUAUUCAGCUCCUCCCAGUUUCUACAUUGAUCCCCGCGACAUUAUCCCAGAUGGAUGGGGUGGCAUGGAUGAUCCGACAUCCCUGGAGACGGAAAACCCUGAAGACGCAUUGGAAGGAAUCUCUAGUCUCUUCGAUGAUGUCUUCGUAGGGACCAUUGACGAAGGACCUCCGGAGAAGAUGGGCUUUAGCCCACAAGAGUAACUCAUUUAUUGAUUUUUCACAUUCCCCUGCGCGGGAAUUUUUAUCGCUUUCUAGGGCUUGUUUUCUAUUUCUUCUUUUUCGCUUUCUUUUAGGGCUUGAAAAUCGCAUUUCCAUUCAAUAAAUGUAAUUGAUUGAUGAAUAUCAAUAAAAUUACAAGUUUUAUUUUGAGGGCAUGAUGAGGUUUACCAAACCAGCCCGGUGAUGAUAUCCAACCGAUAAAUGAAAAAAGAAAAAUCCAAGGAGAACUCUGAGGCAUGGGCUUCAUCAUGCUUCCUCAUGUCAAAAUGUUUAAAAAAAAAACAUUUUUGUCAAAGAUUUUUCUUUCAAUAAAAAAAAACAAAAAAACAAAAAGCAAAGAUGUUGAUUACUCCGUUUGUCUUUAUGAUUUAUCUACUUCAUGUUUCAGGAACAAUCCUAUGACAUGCAAAGGUGUGGAAAUGGUCCAAUCCAUUACAACAAGUGCUGACAAUGAUGAUCCUAAAGACUCGAUCGAAGACUCCAUCGAGAUACAACGUAGCUGGGAGCAACAUGAAAAAGCUAAGCCUCUCACAUCUGAGCAAACCGUCACUAUUAAUUUGAGUGACACUGAAGAAGCCAAAGAGGUGAAAAUUGGAGCAAAUCUACCCAAAGACGAGGCUAAGCACCUAACUCAGCUACUAAAGGAAUACCAGGAUGUCUUUGCAUGGACCUAUGCUGACAUGCCUAGUUUAGACCCAUCGAUAGUCGAGCAUUGCUUGCCUACUAAUCUGGACAUACCACCUAAGAAGCAAAGGCUCCGGAGAACUAAGCCCGAGCUCUCGAAGAAGAUAGAGGAAGAGGUGAUGAAGCUCCUGAAGGUGGGAUUCAUUGAAGUCUCACAAUACCCUGAAUGGGUGGCUAAUAUCGUGCCGGUGAUGAAGAAGGAUGGUCGAGUUCGAGUUUGCGUCGACUAUCGAGAUCUGAACAAGGCUAGCCCAAAAGAUGAUUUCCCGCUACCUCACAUAGAUGUCCUCGUGGAUAGUACUGCCGGAUUUGAACUAUUCUCGUUUAUGGACGGGUUUUCCGGGUACAAUCAAAUAAGGAUGAAGGAGGAAGACAAUGAGAAGACUGCAUUUAUCACCCCGUGGGGGACCUUUCAUUACAAGGUCAUGCCCUUUGGACUCAAGAACGCAUGGGCAACUUACCAGCGAGCCAUGGUAACACUAUUCCAUGAUAUGAUGCAUCAGGAGAUUGAAGUCUAUGUUGAUGAUAUGAUCGCAAAGACUCGGCCUGGAAGAAGCCAUGUGGAAACCCUGAAGAAAUUGUUUGAUCGACUCCGUGAAUUCAAGCUCCGGCUAAAUCCCACUAAAUGCGUGUUCGAGGCAACAUCCGGUAAAUUACUCGGAUUCAUUGUAAGCAGUAAGGGGAUUGAGAUUGACCCAUCCAAGGCUAAGGCCAUAUGCGAAUUGCAAUCUCCAUCAACAGUGAAAGAAGUUCGGAGCCUCCUGGGAAGAAUGAAUUACAUAGCCCGGUUCAUUUCCCAACUUUUUGAGACUAUCAAGCCAUUCUUCAAGCUCCUAAAGAAGAAUGCACGAAUCAAAUGGGAUGAUGAGUGUCGAGAAGCAUUCAACAAGUUAAAGCAAUACCUAAUGAAUCCACCAGUUCUUGUCCCACCAUCACCGGGGCAUCCCUUGAUUCUCUACCUCACCAUUCAUAGUGAGUCAUUGGGUGCAAUGUUGGCUCAGGAAAGUCCUGUCGAUAAAAAAGAACGAGCCGUUUAUUAUCUGAGUAAAAAGUUCACUGUAUCAGAGCUAAAAUAUUCUGAUGUUGAAAAGACUCGUGUGGCAUUGGUGUGGGUAUUGCAUAGAUUGCGACAAUACACACUACAUUAUCAGACAUUUCUCGUAACUGAAAACGACCCCAUCAAGUAUUUACUUGAUCGGCCAGCUUUGGUGGGUAAGUUAGCCAAAUGGCAAAUUUUGAUCUCUGAAUUUGAUGUGCAAUACAUGCCACAGAAGUCGGUUAAGGGUCGAGCGAUCGCCGAUCUAUUGGCCGGAAAUUCAGGAGUCUCUAAUGACGAUGACGGUUUCCUUGAUGACCGUGUCUUGAGUGUAAAUGAAGACUCAUGGAAGAUGUUCUUUGAUGGAGCUGUAAACUUGUCUGGUUCUGGUACUGGGGCAAUUCUGAUAUCCCCAUAUGGACAGCACUAUCCGGUAGCUGCAAAAUUGAUAUUUCCAUGCACUAACAAUGUGGCCGAGUAUGAGGCUUGCAUCCUCGGACUUCAAGCCUCGAUCGAGAUGGGUGUAGCCAAGUUAAUGGUAUUUGGAGAUUCGGCACUAAUCAUAUUACAGACUGUAGGUGAGUGGAAGACCAAGGAUGCCAAGUUGCUCCCGUACCACAAGUACUUAGAAGAUCUGGUAAAGGAGUUUGACAAAAUUUCAUUUGAAUACUUGCCAAGGUCUCAUAAUCAAUUUGCGGAUGCACUCGCGACUUUGUCAUCUAUGUUGCAAGUCACUGACGGGUUAGAGGUUGAGCCUUUGAAGAUAGAGGUUUUGCCAAAGCCGGCUUAUUGUAUGAUCGUGACUGAAGAACCCAAUGGAAAACCAUGGUAUUACGAUAUCAUGAAUUACAUUAAAAGACAUGAAUUUCCCGAAGGAAGCACUCAGGCUAAUAGAAAAUACAUCACGAAAAUGGCUUCGAAAUUUUUCGUCAAUGGUGAGAAUUUGUAUAAGAGAUCUUACGACUCUGUUUUGCUGCGAUGCAUAGAUGCAGUCGAAGCCACUCAAAUCAUGCAAGAAGUACACGAAGGAAUAUGUGGUCCUCAUAUAAAUGGGCACAUGAUGGCUAAGAAGAUUAUGAGAUUAGGCUACUAUUGGCUCACACUAGAAAGUGACUGCAUCAAACAUGUACGGAGUUGUCAUCGUUGCCAGAUCCAUGGUGAUAAGAUAAAUGUUCCUCCAACCGAGCUACAUCAGUUCUCCGAGCCAUGGCCCUUCUCAAUGUGGGGCAUUGAUGUGAUCGGCCCAAUAAACCCGAAGGCUUCCAAUGGGCACCGAUUCAUUUUAGUGGCCAUAGAUUAUUUCUCCAAAUGGAUUGAAGCUACGUCAUUUGCAAGUGUCACUGCUCGCAAUGUUGCAAAGUUCAUCAAACGUGACAUAAUUGCUCGCUAUGGUGUCCCUGAAACAAUCAUCACUGACAACGGAACAAAUUUGAACAACAAGCUUGUUGAUGAGUUGUUCAGCGAGUUCAAGAUCAAGCAUCUGAAUUCGUCUCCUUAUCGCCCUCAAAUGAACGGGGCUGUUGAAGCGGCCAAUAAGAACAUUAAGAAGAUUUUGGCUAAGACAGCCGAAAAUUAUAGAGAUUGGCAUGACAGGUUACCCUUCGCACUAAUGGCGUAUCGGACAUCGAUCCGCACUUCCACUAGGGCAACCCCGUUUGCUUUGGUGUACGGCAUGGAGGCAAUUCUACCUGUAGAAGUGGAGAUUCCUUCUCUGAGAGUUUUAUCUCAAGUGGAGUUGUCUGAAGCUGAAUGGUCGCAACAAAGACUUGAACAGUUAAACUUGAUUGAUGAGAAGAGACUGAAGGCUCUUUGUCAUGGCCAACUUAUCAGCAAAGAGUUGCCAGAUCCUUCAACCGAAAAGUGCGACCAAGAUAUUUCGAGGUAAAUGAUCUUGUUCUGAGAAAACUGUUGCCAAUUUUCCUUGAUCCUAGGGGCAAGUUCGCCCCAAAUUAUGGUGGUCCAUAUGUGGUGAAGAAGGUAUUUCCUGGAGGUGCCUUGAUCUUGGCAGAAAUGGAUGGUCGUGAGUUUUCUACUCCAGUUAAUUCUGAUACUGUCAAGAAGUAUUAUCCAUGAUAGAAUUUGCCAUGUCUUGUCUUGAAUUGCGAGUAUUUUUGUGACUAAUAAAGUGGGUCAAUGAGCUGAAUUGUUCAAAUUUGUCAUAAAUCUUGUAUUUUUCUUUCUUGAUGAAUUGUGUGAGAUAAAUUGAAUGUGUCAAAUGAGAUACUUUGGAAUGAUGAAAGGCAAGCCUUAUUCUAUAUGCUAUCCCAUACACUAAUCCUCGGUGAGUUGUGUGAAGAAAUUUCAUGUCCGCAAGGAAGAGGGUGAUCUUGCAAAGGGUACACUAACCAAGGUGACGAGAGGCAAUUUCUUCUUCUACCCGAAACACUACAGGUAUACCCAUUGUUUAGCCCUUCGAGCCCACACACAUGAAGAAUUUUUAAAUCAUCCUUGUCAAGGGUCAUCCCAUGUUGGGACAAAGUUUGAAAUGAAUGAUAGGAAUUUUCUUACUCACACUUGCAUCAAUCUUCGAGUAUUGCUUUCGCGUUGUAACUCGUAUGAUAGUUUAAAGUGUCUUAGGAUGAUGAAGAGCAAUCAUUUCUCUAUCCUACACACUUUUAUCCAUUACAUAGCCCACUUGAGCCUAUGAAUUCAUUUCAUAUUAAACCCAGUUGGUGAUCAUCCCCCACACUGGGGCAAGACAAAUACAGUCAAGUAGCAUGAACAAGAAUGCCGACAAAAAUGGAGAUUUUGUUCAAAAAAAUGCAAAAAUGGGGCAUGAAAAAAGCAGUGUGCCUGGUAAAAGCAAGGCCGAUGCCCAAAAAAAAAAAAACUCAAAUGCUGUUGCAAUCAAUGCAAAUGAAAAGUCCCUAAUAAUGGAGAAGGAAAGUGGUGGAAAUGUCAAGAUGAUCACCAACUUUGACCCUCUAAAUACUUUUUGAGCCUAAUGAUCCUUUCAUUUCAUAACCCAUGAACCAAGCCUACGUUACAUCCCUUACGAAGUCUCUUCAGAUUAGGGCACUUGAAUUAAUGUAAGAGUUCAUAUGCUUGAAAGCAUCGCUUGAAGAAGUGCGAGUAAGAUAAUUACUGCCUCAUUUCACAUAUUUCUUGACUUGAAAAUCCCAAGACAGUUACGAAAUGUCAUUUUUCAAAUAACCUCGACUCAAAAGAGUCCCUUUUGUUAAGCCGUUGACUAAGCCCACAUUACGGUCCCUUUUAAAGACCUCUCAGAUUGGUGAAGUCGUACCACUUGCAAGAUUGCUCAGGCCCUUGUUUGGCAUGACGAUGGUGAGAUAGAGUGAUUGACAAAAUCCUGCAUCAAAGGUCAGGAUGAAAUUGCCGUUUUAAUGAGAAUGAGAGAAAAGUCCUUUCGGACCAAAGGAUCCCUCAUUUGACACAUUCAUGACACUCAUGUGUUCAGGUGGUGCAAGAUUAAUGGAAAUCAUCAUGAACCUCCAUUAUAAUGAUGCAUAUUUAUGAUUACAAAUGCAUGUUGCUUCUCCUACAACCAUGUUUUGCAGGAGACGUAUCCCCGAAGAUCGGAGAUGUUACCAAGUAAGUAUAUCUCUAUCUAUACCUUGAAUAUUUGUCAUUGCACAGGUAUUCCCUUUUAAGCAUACCGACACUCAAUUGAGUUGUCCCCCAAAGAUUUUUCCUGCAAAACCUCAGUCUAGGCGACCGUAGAAUGGUACGGGUCUUAGACGACAUUUAUUGCUCUAACAGGCGACCGUAGAAUGGUAGGGGUCCUAGCCAAGCAAAACCUCAGUCUAGGCGACCGUAGAAUGGUACGGGUCUUAGACGACAUUUAUUGCUCUAACAGGCGACCGUAGAAUGGUAGGGGUCUUGGAAAAGCAAUUUCCUCAUUCAGGCGACCGUAGAAUGGUAUGGGUCUUGGAAAAAUAAUUUUCUUCGUCGAGGCGACCGUAGAAUGGUACGGGUCCUAGACAAAACAUUUCUGCCGUACUGGGCGACCGUAAAAUGGUACGGGUCCUGGGAAAGCAGUUCCUUACAAAACCUUUCUGCCGUAUUGGGCGACCGUAGAAUGGUACGAGUCCUGAGAAAGCAGCUCCUUUCUGCCAUACUGGGCGACCGUAGAAUGGUACGGGUCCUGGGAAAGCAGCAUCUUCACAAAGUCAUGUUACUAUUCUAGGCGACCGUAGAAUGGUAUGGGUCCUAGACAAGUAACACCCACUACCUCGAAUUACUCUAUCCUCCUCGAAGGUAAGUUAUUCCAGGUAGGUUCAUUUACAUUUGCAUUAGCAUUUCCAUGCAUCAUAUGAAUUGCAUUUAAAAAAAAUAGGAUUCAUUUCCCAAAAAAAAAAUCAAAAGUCAUGUGCAUGGUCAAAAUUUAGGUCUCAAUUUGUCUUUGAAUGCAACCUCUACGAGCUCACCUUCAAAGAGGGGCAGCUGUUGACACCUAAAUUUUGGCGAUCCGUUUAUCACAUUAAAAAAUCAGGGAUUAAUUUUAACCCCUAAAAAAAAAAUUAAUUCCAUAACAUAUGGUCAUUAGAAGCAUAUUUCAUUUAAUUGCACAUUUGUUAGGCCGGCGGUGAAUGGAUUUUGGUGAAUGGCUUUGAAUAUUCAAGCCAACAAGAGCAUUAAACUGUGGAUAAGUCGAUAAUUCCUCCAUGGUGAUUGAUAUUACAUGGGUGUCCUAAAUUGUUAAAAGUCAAUUAAGAAAUUUCCAGCAUAUUGGCACCGACAUAUUAGUGCAUUUAAGGGAACGAAUGCGAAGGAAGGACAGUGUGUAAGCGGCCACUGAUUCGAAAGAUCAGCAUGAGAGGGGAAUGUUGGGCACGUUCUGCAUUGCGGGCAUGGAUUUGCGAAAAAUAUAUAUAUCGGCAUUUGAUCAAUAAAGAGGAAAGGAAAGAAAAUAUAUUUCAACGCAUGCCCAGAAGGAAACAGAAUAUGCUUUCUUUCCUCAUUGGUUUACGCCCUUUCAAUAUAAAUUGACUCAUUACGGGACAAAAGAGAGGACUUUCGGAGCAAUACACAGAGAACACACGAGAGAGAGAGUUGAGGUUUUCUUCUUGAGAGUGAGUCUUCGUAGCUGCAAUUGGGGUCUACCAGCUUCACGAUUCAGCGUUGCAACGGACGCCGCUGACUUUUGCUGGUGUCGCCCUCCACUGAUCCGAGUGGUGCCGAGAUUCAUCCUUUUGGGCCGUCAUCUCCAGCUGCAUCUGUGACGCCGAAGCUUUUAUCCCAACGUUGUUGCUGACUUUGUUGCGACGUCUAGGCCAUGCAUGUCAUACCUUCUCCCUACCGCAGUGAUCAAUGAAGUCUGGCGAUUCAAUCCCUGCGAAGCCACAUCUCGCGCUUUCUUGACGUGAGUUGGACCAGCGUACAAAUAGCAAGCAACGGCCGUUAUUCGCAUCUUGUACUCCACGACGCCCCGGCUACUGUUCAGAACCGUUCCUUAGUCGAAGCAAACACCACAACAAGCUGUCCUUGCGCCAUCACAUUGAGCCCCUAUCGUGAUUCACGAGCCACCGUUCGAAGGCUAAAUUUGGAAGCAAAUAUUUGGGAUAGGUAAGAAUUUUGUCUACGUUAAUUUCUGAAAAUUUUGUUUCCUUAUUUGAUAUACUCAUUGGUGCACGUAAUGGAAAUUCCCAAUAUGCCAUGAUAUUCGCAACACGAUUAGCCUUUUAAAUUGGGAAAUCCUCCUAAUUUCACAACGUACAUAUGAUUGACGGUCCGAUUUCACGCUCGAAAUACGACCCACAAUCGUACGGAAAAUCACCAAUCCGAUCUCACGCUCGAGAUAUGAUUCAUGAUUUUAUUUAAGAAUUGGCUAAUCCGAUCUCAUGCGCGAGAUAUGAUUCGUCAAUUUAGUUCCCAAAGUUAAAUGGACGUGGAUGAUGUCUUGCUUGAUUUGGUGCCAUGUUGUUCUUGAUGCUUUAUUUGUUUGCUCCCGUAAAAGAAAAAAAAAUAUUUGAGUUAGAUUAGAUGCAUGUUAGGAUGUUACUUGUUUUAGAUUACUUUGCAUGUCUAGAAUAGGAAAUUUAUUUAUUUCGAAUUUUUGAAAAAAUUAAAAAUACAAAAAAUUAGGAUGUUAGAUUUCUGCUUCACUAGUCUAAAUUGCAUGUUUAACUAUUUGGCAAUUAUUAAUUUCGAAAUUUAAAAAAAAAAAAGGAAAAAAGGAAAAACACAAAAAAGGUCAUUAUGCAUAUGUCAUGUAAAAUUAGGGCAUUCUUUGCACGUCAUUGCAUGUUAAGAUUGCAUGUUAUAGGUUUAGAUAAUUUCUCCUAAAUAGAUUGCAUGCUUAUUAGGAAAAUAAAAAUUAUGUGCACGUCAUAUAGAAUUAGUUUCAUACAAUGCACGUCAUUUAGUGAUUUUUGUUAGAUGCAUUUAAUUAAAAAUUGCCCGUCAUUAGAAUUAGGUCAUUAGAUUAAUUUAGAUUGCAUAUUUAAGUGUUACAUUUCUUUAAUUUCGAAUCUCAUAGAAAAUACAAAAAAAUUAUUUAGAAUAAAUCAUCUCAUGCUUAUGAUAGAGUACAUGCUUAGUUAUAUCAUAUUGUUUAGGUCAUAUAGUAAGUCAUGUCGCUAUGUCAUAUUAUUUCAUGUUAAAUUAGUGGCAUGCAUUGUAUAUUGCAUGAUUUUCAUUAAUUAAGUGAAAACAAAACAAAAUUGCGUGUUAAUUAGAAAUCAUAUUUAGGACUGUUGAUGUGAAUUCUGAACUAACAACGCAGAUGCUUUCGUUGCUAUGAGGUAAGUCCUGCAAUUUAUUCAUUUGCUUUCUUGAGUGUUAAAUUGGUGGUUUGCGCACCUGCAUGGUCACCUCACAUGUUAAGGAAUUAAAAUCAAUUCAAGUUGCUUGCCAAACAAUUUUUUCAAAAUAAAAGAUAAAGGUACCGAAAGGGCAUUAGAGAAAUCUAGUGUAACCAAGUCCCCGUACCCAUGAUCUCUGGUUCGUAGGAGUAAAGUAAAUCUCCCAUUACUUUACUUGGGUUCCUAAUUGACCCACCAAAAAUAUAUUAGUGGCGACUCCUAAUUGAAAAUCAAUUGCAUGUUAAAAACUCGAAUCUAAGUCGCGAAUUGGUAUGAGCUUGGGAGAGCCCGAGUUAAAUUUAGGCUUAACAAUCCAUUAGCCAAACCCUAGGUGGUUCACACCCCGAAAAUAUUGGUCGCGACAGAAGGAUUGUACUACUAGAUGGUCGUCCUUUUCUAUUGCUGGUUAGUAUCCUAAUAGGUCUUUUAAUGUUAUGAUACCCUUUCGGACAUCAUAAUUUGUGCAUGGAAUUAUAAUUCAGUCCUUGUUCAUGAUAUUUAUGUUUUGUUCUUUUUUCGUUCAUUUUUUGCUUAGUUCUUUUCUUAAUGCCAACCAUUUAUUCAUGUUUACUUCAGGGCUGAUGGUAGAGCAACAGCUCCGUGAUAUAAACUUGUGGAAUCUAUUGUCCCUAGAACAACCAUAAGGCCAAUUCAAAUUAAGGCUUUCCUAGGAGGAGGGGUAUCUCUCUCUCUCUCUCUCUCUCUCUCUCUCUCUCUCUGCAUGGAUGCAUGGAUGCAUGUGUAGCUAUGUCUAAGACCCUAUUAAAACUUUUCUUUCCAUAUAAGUUGUAUGACACACUUGGAGUACAUCUCCACCAUUGGCAAGCACUUAGAUUACCACAUCUUACCUCCGGUUAUCAGCUUAGGCAUUAAGAUGGAUUGGCAAUGGCUUUCGCAUAAUUAUGCGCCAUAUGAGACCAUUUGUAGAUGAACUUCAGGAGUGAGACGGUGUAAUUCCUGAAACAUUUUAUGAUGUAAUAAUUGUCAUCGGUAAUACUAUUAAUGUUAUCUAUUGUAGGAUAUUUAUAAUAUGUUCUUUACAUGUUGCAUGCUUCAUGGGUAGCUUUCAAUAGGGAGAUUAAUACUCCAAUUUUACUCUUGAAGGUGAUAUAUUUUAGCCAAGUAGUCUUUUAACCGGUGGAAGCCUAAAGCAAUUUCCUCAUCUGCUUGUUUUCGUUAUUUAGGGUGCGUUUGGUAACAUUUAUGUUUAAAAAUUUUUUCAGGAAACAGAAAAAAAAAAAAAAGUGUUUCUGUUCCGGGGAAUAAUUUUUGAACAAAAAAACACGUUUGGUAAACUUGUUUCGGGAAUAAAAAAUAAACAGAAACACGUUUGGUAAAUUUGUAUAAUUUUUUUAUUUCUUUUAUUUUUUAAUAUAUAUUUUUUCUAUUUUCUUUCUUAUUUUCUUAUUUAUUUUUCCUUUUUUUCUUUUUUAUUUUUCUUUAUUUUUCUUUUUUCUUCUUUUGGCCGAUCGCUGGCCAUGGUCGAGGCUGGCGACCGGCCAAAGAAAAAAGAAGAAGAAAAGAAGAAAAAAAAAAGAGAGAGAAGAAAAAGAAGAAAAAAAGAAAGUGUUUCUAAAUUUUGUUUAAGAAACAAGAAACAACUUUUCUUUGUUUUUUGUUUCUGUUCUAGAUGUGUUUCUCGGAACAAAAAAACAAUUUUGGAACAAAAACACACCCAAACGCAUUUCUGUUCCUUUUUUUAUUCUCAAGAAUGAAAAAAAAAAGUGUUUAAAAACAGAAAAAAGAAAUGAAAACAAACACAGCCUUAUUAUGCAUGGAUGUUGUUUCUGUUACAAUGGUCAGAUGUGUGGUGUUAUUCUCUUCGGAAGAGAGCUACCACAUGCUAAUUAUUAUUGUGUGGUGUAGGGAUGGAGGUGACCUGUUGAGGCAACUUUGUGAUUUGGCAAGGGCCGAGUCAAAACUCGCUAUAUAUCAGAAUAUCGGCAAUCGAAGCGAGAGGUAGACCUUGAAUACAUCUUUUGCAUUUCAAGUGCUGCACCAUAUACACUUAAAAUAAUAUAUAUAUAUAUAUAUAUAUAUUAAAAGCACGAGAUCCCUCCCCACCACAUUAAUUUAGGCAUUUGUUUAUUUUUUAAAAUAAAAAAAUUAAUAAAAAGGUAAAAACAUUAAAAAAAACAAGAAAUAUAGAAUAUAUAUAUGGAUGAGGCCUAGUUUUAGCUAGCCCAUUUUCAGCGAGUUUUGGGCUGGCCGAGCCCUUGGGUUUGGCCCAAUGUUCCUUUCUCAUCACCCCAUCUCUUUACUUCUUUUUAGGCCCAAUUCUCUUUCCUUUCUCUAACCCGUGAUGUGAGCCCAAGGGUGAAAGGAAAGCAAAGUCCGGCCCGACUCCGUCUCCGGCAUGCAAGAGCCUGACCUCGAUCAGCGAUCUCCAGGUCCGGGCAAUUCAACAAGUCACGGAUGAAGUGGACGAGGAGUUCAAGAAGAUAUCUGAGCAGAUCAAUGAAACUCGAAAAUCUUCGAAGGCGACUUUCGUGGAAUUCGUGGACGAUGCUCAAGCCUGCACAUCAUAGGAAGAUCUUUAUCUCGGAGGUUCCUUGUGGCCGUUCGUUGUCGUUGCUAACAUCAUCGUCUUCAAGGAGUUCCGGAUCCUAUUUUUCUCCGCUUCACAGUGAGAACCUUCCAGCCAGGAGGAUCUCAAUGGAAGCUGUUUAUCGCUGGAAUCACUGAUUUCCGUCGGCACUGAUUCUGGUCGCUCCAUUGUCCAUCACGAACCAGGCAAUGCUCUCUCUCUCUCUCUUUCUAAUGUUCAGUUUUCUUUUGCUUCUUAGGAAUCAAUAACCUCAUUCCAUUUGAUAGAUUCGUGGAUUAGUCCUAUGAAAUCGAAGCUGCUUUGCAGCGAAGGGCAAAGAUUCUCAGGAUAUUGAUUUGCAGGUGGCUGUGGAGAGUGAUGACUCAUCACUCAUGCGCUGCGUGAUGGGAUCUGAGCAGAGCCCAUGGGCCAGCCGACCUUGGAUUGAAGAUUGCAGAUUUCGGCUAGGCCUACGGAGAGGUGUCCAGCUAGCCCAUUGUCUCAUAGGCGCAAAUCAAGUCUAUCGUGAAGGCCCAUCGCAAGUUAUAGUUGGCUUGCGAACCCUUCGAAUGCUCUUUUAGAUUUAUUAUGCUCGGAUGUUGCACAGACUUUGCUUUAUAGAUUUAUUAUGCUCCGAUGUUUCACAAACUUUUCUUUAGUAUCUAAUGAAUUGCACCUCUUUUUCGACCAAAAAAAAAAAAAAGAGUUAAAUUGUUGAGUCAAGAGUACAUUAUCAAUAAUCAAAUUGACUAUGUUAUAAAUGACACAUGAAAGUCUUUCAAGAAAGUCAUAUAACUCCUAUGUUAUGUAUACUUAUCAGUUGGCAUGAUAUCAUAGAAGGAGGAAGAGGAGGAGGAGGAAAGGAAAACUUUUAUCAUUUAAUAUGCAACAAACAUCAUUAAAAAUAUGUUACACUGGUUUUAAAAGAAACUAAGGUGCAAAGCUCCAGCUCCACAAGGGUUACCACCUUUGUCGCCAUGGCCAAGAUCUUUUCCCCACUGAUAUCAAGAAGUUGCUUCAGCAUACUAUUGCAUUUUUCUUUGACCACUAUAUGGAUGGGACUAAGCUAUCUGAUUUUGAGAUUGAGAACAUGAAGCAACUAUAAUGUUGCAUAAUUGGGGAGUGUAAUGAGAUUCAGUUUAUUAUUGAUGGAACUAACAUGCAUGAUGAAGCUAAUAGAAGUGAAAUUGUGGAAACAUGGGAGGAUGAUAGGAGGUUUCUCAGAUCACUCGAGUAUCUCUACAUCUCUCGUAUGAAAAGUUUGAGGCGCAUUUAUGAUGGGCCACUGCAUGGAGGAUGUUUGUCUCAUCUUAAAUGCUUGUCUUUAGUCAAAUGUCCUCAAUUGACUGUCAUAUUCAUGCCUGGCCUACUAGAAAACCUCGAAAGCUUAGGAGAGCUCGAAGUCAUAGACUGCUCCCUUGUCUUAAGUUUAGUGAGGUGUGAAGAUAAUUCUAUUUACGAUAAUAUAGAUACUUCUAUUUAUGAGAAUACCUACUUCCUCCCCAAGUUGAAAAAGAUAUCCCUAGUCUCAAUGGUAGGGACUGAAGGUAAGGGUAAUAAUCAGCGGAGAGCAUUUUUCUAUGGAAAUGGUGUGUCUUUUUCUUACCAUUUCAAGGGAUACAUUUGAUCGGACGAGUAAAAAAGCUACAAGCCCAGCUUUGAUGAAGAGUAAAAUUGGAAAGUCAACAGCUAUCUAAAUAAUUUCUUAUCUUCUUUCAAAUUAGAUUUUUGAUUUGUUACUGUUUAAAAUGUCUAUGAACGAGGCAGUGGUUACUGUACAAAUUUUGGUCGAUCCACUCUUAGCUUCUUAUGCAUAUAUAUUUCAGGGUACAAAACUAAAUGUUGGCACAUCAUUAGUAUGCAUUGAUUUGGAUAGCAAGUUCAUUUUUGCCUCUUUAGAUAUGCUUCAAGCUUGCAGAAAGGCUCAACAAUAGCCAGCUUAGUUACUUUCUUUGGUAGGAGAAUUUCUUCAUUAGAGUGCCUAGGGAGUCAUUAUCGAUGUCAAAAUUUUGGUUAGGUUAUUGGAACUCCUCUUUUACGUUCUGUACAAAUACUAUGCUUUUUAUCUGGUGAUAUAAAGAUGUUACUUCUUGAUAUUUUGCGUGUGUUUGUUGGAGGUACUAUAUGGGAAAAAGGAAAGGGCAUUCUUUUUAUUUAUUUGUGGUCUGGUGAAGGAAUACACUUGAAGUUAAUGUUUGGUUUACAUUACAAAGUCCAACCAAAAGCUUAAGCUAUUAGAGCAGGGGAGACUACAUGACACAAGGGCCCCAUUUGGUUCAGCAUUCCCAAGGGGCUUUCAACCCCAAAAACUCAUUGGGAAAAUUAGGUGAUUGGUUCAACAUUUGGAGGUGUCCUUGGUUAAAUGCUGGCAUUUGAAAUGCUAAAAGCCCAGAACAAGUGGGGACCUGGUUUGAGCUUUCAACAUUUCGGAAAUGCAAGUCCACUUCUACUAUUCAUCCAUUGACUUUUUUUUUUAAAAACCGAUCAUCUUCCCCACACCCCAACCACCAUUGAUUGGCGACGGAUUUUUAUUGGAUUUUAAUUUAAUUUUUUAAAAAAUAAUAAAAACCCUUUGCAAAUGUUGGGUUCACCUUUUUUUUUUUUUUGUCAUUUUUAUCUUUUGACAAUCAAUAGCCCAACUUUUUAUCAAUACACUAGAAUGAUCAUUAAUUAACAAAGAUGAUUAAUACUACAAUAAUUUAAAAAAAUAUAUAUUCAAAGUUGAAAACAAACCUAAAAGAACCCUAAACCAAAAGUGGAGCUUUGCAUCUAAUCUAUAAUCAAUUUCUUUUAAUAUAAUUUUUAAAUAAAUUUACUAAUAUAUAUCUUUUACAUUAGUCUCAACAUGAAAAUGUAAAAUGUUAUAUAGUCAUUAUUUCUUUUUUGCAAUUUUAAAAAUACUAAAACUAAAAAACUUAAUUUGGUCACACUAAAGGGCUUUUCAAAUAUAUGUUUACCAAAUAGUCUAGCAUUUCAAAAAACCCAUUUACCUCAAAGGUAUUUGCAUUCUCUCAAGGGCAUUUCCCCAAAGUCGAACCAAAUGGGCCCAAGGUUAUAUCAAAUUUUCAAAUUGCAAUGCCAAUUGCAUUGCCGCAAAUUCGGGCAUAUCCGCCUCAAAAUAGUGGAUAUGGUCACAGUGGGCGUGAACUUUUAAAUUAUUGCAUCGACAUUAUGCGGUAAUAAAUUAACUUCAAUAACUUGAGUGGGGUUAUAUGAUGAAAUGGAGCAGAAAGGGGUGAAGCUUGUUGAGGAGUUGAACAUAUCCAUUAGAAUGAGGUUGUAGUGUUCGCAUAGAAUUAUUUAAGUCUAUAUCAAGAGAUCAGGUAGAUUCACUGCUGCUCAUCUUUUUCUAUCUCUUUGAUUGCAAGUUGAAAUAUGUUGUCAUAGUUAUCUUCUAUAGACCCCACAUAUCCACCUAGGUUGCUACAUAACCUCCUCUAUUUGGGACUGGAUGUUUCCUUGAAUUGGAAAAGUAAGACAUGCUAGGCCAACUGGCAGAUUAACUAAUUCAACUUUAAAUUCCUGUUAAGAUAAAGUGGCUUGGUGUUUGUUGUUCAUCUAAGUGACCCAAAUCUAUGGUUACUCGUUUCGUCUGAUAGGCUGAUUUUGCAUUUGAGCAGCACCAAGUUUUCCAAAUGAUGCAAGCAGAGAGCAACCUGCUCCUGUUGUGGUUUCAUCUACAACUACUGGAAAUGCAUAAGUUAACCCUUCAAAUCCUCAAAUCAAAAGGAAACCUGAAGUUGCUCCUCGGUUGUGGAAAUCCUUAUUCAAUGAUCUUAAAUUAGCUGCAAGAAACUUUAGCGCUAGAAGUCUUCUUGGUGAAGGUGGUUUUGGCUGUGUAUGUGGCUUUACCAAAGAUACAAGCAGAGAGCAGCCUACUCCUCCUAGGGUUACAUCUACAACCACUUGUGAUACAGAGAUUAACUCUCAGUUUCAUCUCCAACCGCUAGUGAUAAAAUGCCGAAGCCUUUCACCAGCACUGGAUGCUGCAAAGUGUGUUCCUUUUCUACAUAAGGACGUAGAAAGGCUUGUGAUAUGUCAUGAUUUUAAACCUACAGAAUCCUAUUAGACGCUGUAUAUAGCAAUAGUUGUGGCAGCACCUGAUUUACAACCCCAAUGCCAAGCUUUUCUGGUUUUGGACUUGCAAACAUUUUUCCAAAGGGAGAUAACUCUCACUUCACCUAUGUCAUUGGAACAUACAGCAAUACUGCUCGGGAAUAUGUGAUGCAGGAUAUCUAUCUAUUGGUACGGGCCAUUUGAGGAUGAGAAUUGCACAAGUAACCUGCAUAAAUGCGGUCGAGUACUAGUUUUGACAUGUCAAAGUAAUCCCAUUGUAUCGAAAAGAAAAGAACAGCCCCAAUCUACACACCUCACGCACAACAUGUGCACCAGUUAUGAUUAGGAACUGAAUUCGAUUAGGUAGAUAUCAACCAAACCAAAGACAAGAAAAUGAGAGCGAUGGUCAUAUGCUGAUGCACUAUCUGUCUGAUCUGUCCUGAUACAUGUGGCCACUAUUUGCAGGAUGGUAGAAUUAGCUGUAGUUCUUGCACCCCAUGCUAAAAAGUUGGAACUUUUUUUUCUCUGUUUUAGUCCUGCAUGUAGUCUCCUAAAUGAUGCUAUUCCCUCACCUUCCAGUCCAUCCAUCUAUCUACUCUUUCUCAUAUUGUUUGCCUGGGAAGGAACCUAGAAAUUUUGCUGGACCCUCAUGAGUUGGUGUUCCUAGGUGAUCUAGAUCUACUUUCUGUGGUGCGCACAGGCUCUGGAAAAUACAUGAAAGUUGGAUCUUGAGGGUGCAAAUCAGGCAAGUUCCUAACCCAUGUUAAUCACGCCUUGCCGGCAAGUGAUCAGAAAUAUGUAGAACGUCUGCUAAGUCCUUCAAAUACCCGAUUAAUCCCUAUCAUUUUUAACUACUGAAACACUAAUUCACAAUUAGAGUUAUUUCUUUUAUGUGCUUUCUACGCGGCAUGUCCAAAGGGUUCUUGGAUCCAAAUGAUAUAUCUAGAGCAUGUCCGAGUAGAUGGUUAAGUUCCGCUGGGCGUGGUAGUUGACUGUCCUACAUGCACUUGAUAAUUCCCAAAAAAAACGUUGAUUCAUACUAUGAUUAGGUAUUAUUUAUUACUUUGUUUUUGCGUUUCAGGGGCAUGCAGCACAUUGUGCUGGCCGGUAAAAGCAUAGUCGAAUGAAAGACACCUUGGUAUUUGAGAACUCUAAUUAUCAUAUUUUGGUAUUUGAGAACUCUAAUUAUCAUAUUUAUUUUAUUCCUAUUGCUAUAAAUACCAAAUUUUCGGGGAGAGAGAGAGAGAGAGAGAGAGAGAGAGAGAGAGAGAGAGAGAGAGAGAGAGAGUUUAACUUGGUUGUAACACCUAAAAUCUGUGGAAAAUAUUAACAGAUGAAUUCUAAUAUAAUAUUCAUGAUUUUCUAUGUUUUAAAAUAGUUCUUUUUUAGCAGAUAAGUUCGAUGACGUUUUACUUUAAAAAGAAGAAGAAGAGAAAAUAAAUCUCAUAAUUAAGGUUAAAUUUAUUUUAGACAGGUUUUGCUUUUCUUUAAUCUCAAUGUCUCAUGAAAUUCAUUUUUAUUUAAUAAAAUGUACCUAAAAUCUUUCGAAUUUUUAAACAUCAUCCAUCGUAUUUAUAUUUCAAAUGCUUAUAUUUCUUUUUUUCUUUUUUUAAUUGCAGCCAUUUCAUCUUCGGGCCAAGAUCUGUGUGCAUCGACCAAUCCACCUUCUCGAGCAAUCUUAAAUAUGUGUAAAACUUUGACAAUGCUGGAACGAGAUCUUUUACCAUUUAAGAUAUUUUUUCUAAAAGGAAUUAUUAGAUUCAAAUUAUAAUUCUUCUUGGAUUUGAGAUAUUUUUUCUAAAAGGAAUUAUUAGAUUCAAAUUAUAAUUCUUCUUGGAUUUGCAGACUUAACAUUUUUGUUUAUUAUUAUUAUUAUUAUUAUUAUUAUUAUUAUUAUUAUUAUUAUUAUUAUUAUUAUUAUUAUUAUUAUUAUUAUUAUUAUUAUUAUUAUUAUUAUUAUUAUUAUUAUUAUUAAAGAUUCCACCCAUGAGGUGUGAUCACGAUUAGAAGGUAAAUGCCGAUGGCAUGAAGCAUUAAAACACAUGGAUAUGAAAAUUAGAACGUAAAGCCUACAAAAGCCCUCUUUGGGCCGGAUUGUUUAAUAUUUAAGUCAAUUAUCUCAAUAACCAUCUUUAUUCUUAUAGAAAAAUUAUGAGGUUGAGAAAAUUUUUGAAAUUAAUUUUGACUUCCAAAGUCCUUCAAGUGAAAUCAUAUUAGACUUUGACUUUUUAAAAGAUAGGCGUAUAAAAGCUUUAGAGUGAUUUUAUCAAAAUUUAAAUUCAUCGUUGACAUCUGGUUAAAAAAGAGAGGAAACAAAUUGGUACUUGAAAUUACAAUGUGGCCAUGUACUUAUCAAUCAUAAAAAAGUUAUUGAAAUAUUUUCAUUUAAGAAAGAGCAUUUAGACAUGUUAAUUAAUUUAUAAAAUCAAUGUACGAGAUAAUUUUCAGUCUAUUUGGCGAUCCUCAAAGUAUGCGUGCCUCCAAUACUUCUCAAACACCAAUCCAAAACCUAGUCGUGAACCUGAGCGUUAUGACCAAGACAAAUUUGGAAUCCGGUCAUCUACAGCAAGGUUCGACGUUAGCAAUGUGAAAAGAUACCGCCAGUGAACUUGUUUUCUUGCCGCCCAAGAAUUUAUAGAGGUCGAAAACUCGGUCUGAUCUAAUUCAGAACAUGCCGGGAGAAUUUGUUCUAGAUCCGUCAAAGACUGCACACUACCUAAUGAUGUUGGAAUGGAUCCAUUCAACCGAUUAUUAGAAAGACCGAGUGAUUCCAAAUUUUGCAAUUUUCCCAUACCUUAGGAACUUAAACUGAGAUGGAAUUCCUAGAAAGCCAUAAAUAUUUUAAGUUCCUUAAGUGCACUAAUCAAUUCAAUGACCCAUCCAGUUGAUUACCCAAAAGAUAUGCAUCUGGCUCGAUUGCAUUUUAUUACGAGUUUUAUCACUUAAUUAUACUUUCAUGACAAGAGUUUUUUUAAAAAUUUUAAGAUUUAAUUGCAUUUUCGUAACAAAUAAAAAUUCCCAAAAGAUUAGGAUAAAUGACUGAAUGUGAAAGUAGAGUAAAACCGAUCAAAAAGCGAAAAAGCCCAAAGACCAGGUGGACCGUGUAUAGAUGGGCUUUUCGGCAGAGACAUAUGGGCCGAUGCAAAGAAACCCAAAACCACUAGCGAUGACGGUUCCCCGACAACCGCCCCCCCUCUCGCCUACGGUUUUCUUCGGCUCUCUCUCGCCGCUAUAUAUUGAAGGCUUUCGGCAGCCUCCCCAAAACCGUUGUCGCGUCUCUGCUUGGUGGUCGCUUCUCUUCUCCUGCCGACGAAAAUGUCGAAGCGAGGUCAUCCCCCUCUCCCUCUCCUUCUCUCUUUUCUGCUUUGUGUCAUAUGGCUUUGCCUGGGAAGAUGCGGCGAUCAAUCUAUGGCCGCAGUGUUCGAUUUCAUUUGCCUCUUUGCUAGUUAGUUUUCUCGCAAAAGAUCUUGCUUUUGGACUUACCCAUUUGAAUUAGCUUGAGAAAAAAUCGAUGCUUGGUUCAUGGCAGCUUAAGUUUUUACUCGUGGGUUUAGACUGGUGGGAUCUCUUGAGAUAGACACGCUCUCUGUGUUGAUCGGGCGUUGUGGGUGCUUUUGGCUGAAUAUGAUUGUAGCUUGAGAGGGAACUGGAUGGUCCAAAUUCGGUUGCCAUUCGUGUGAUUCUGGGGAAAUUUGGUCUGGGUAGUCGGGAUAGUGAAACGGGCAGUUUGGAAUUUGUGUUUCUGAUGAUCUGUCGAUCUUGUAGGACGCGGAGGUAGUGCGGGUAACAAGUUCAGGAUGUCGCUGGGUCUGCCGGUGGCGGCCACAGUUAACUGUGCGGACAACACGGGGGCCAAGAAUCUCUACAUUAUCUCGGUAAAGGGAAUCAAGGGUCGCUUGAACAGGUUGCCCUCUGCCUGUGUUGGAGACAUGGUGAUGGCCACCGUCGAGAAGGGGAAGCCCGACCUCAGGAAGAAGGUCAUGCCUGCAGUCAUCGUCAGGCAGCGCAAGCCGUGGCGCAGAAAGGACGGCAUCUACAUGUACUUUGAAGGUCGGGAUCACUAUUGUCUUUUUGUUUAAUUGGAUUAUAUGCUUCGGUUGUCCACUUGAAUCUUAAUUGGGUUGUUGCGGUUGCAUUCAGUGGUACCAAUGUGCAUCUGAACUUUUAGCAAGUUUCCUUCAAGUAAAAUCGAUGGGAAGGCCAAUUGUGAUAUUUUAAGUAAAAUUAAUAGGGAAGGUCAAUGAUAUAUAAAUUAAUAUUCAUUAUCUAUUAUUAAAGUAUUUAUUUUGACUUAGUUAGAUAAAACACAUUGACUAUAUAAAUAGACAACUAUCGUUUGUAACUUAUAAGUUUUUAUGAUAGGCCAAAAUACUUUUUCAGGAAGCUAGGUCCAUCCCCUAUUCAAUUAGGGACAUUGGAUCGGCAGUAUAUUGCUUCACCUACAUGAAAUGGGCUAACUUGUUACAUUGACACUAGACUAUACAAAAAACUUGUCCCGUGAUUGCUUGCCACUCUAAUAUGAGGAACUAGACAUUUCUUAUUGGAGAAAGACAAAGCCAUGUUGGCAAGAAGAGAAAAGGAGAGGGGGGAAUGAUCAAAGCAGGAGUUUUUUCUAUUAGAUAAUUUGUUUCAAACCUACGAAAACUCAAAAAAAAAAAAAAAACAAAAAGGAAUUGGAGCUGCAUUAAGAAGAUAAAAAAAAGACACUACUGGUGCAUUCAUGCUUUUUUUGCCUACAAAGACCAGUAGUGUCUUUUUUUAUCUUCUUAAUGCAGCUCCAAUUCCUUUUUAUUUUUUAUUUUUUUUUAGUUUCGUAGGUUUGAAACAAAUUAUCUAAUUGAAAAAACUCCCGCUUUGAUCAUUCCCCCUUUUCUCCCUUUCUCUCCUUGCCGACACGGCUCUGUUUUCCUCCAGUAAGAAACUAGACUGAAAUGUCUUCUUCUUUGAAUAGAAGAAGAGUUAAAGUGGCAAGCAAUCACGGGCAAGUUUUUUGUAUAGUCCAGUGUCAAUGUAAUAAGUUAGUCUGUUUCGUGUAGGUGAAGCAAUAUACUGUAAUCGAAUAGAAGAUGAACCUAGUUUAAAAUAGAAGUAUUUUAGUUAUAAAUGAUAAUCGUCCUGAUACUAUUUAUAUACUCGACGUGUUUUAUCUAACUAAACUAAAAUAAAUACUUUAACUAAUAGAUAGUGAAUGUUAAUUUAUAUAUCAUUGGCCUUUCCCAAUUGAUUUUACAUGAGAUAUCAUAAUCAACGUACAACCUCAAAUCUACCCAACACUUCCUAUCCCUCUGGAAAAUCAGACAACCGGAACAGCACGACAGGUGAAGUUUCGCGGGGGUCGCACGGAGGUAAUGAACAAAAUGGCUGCUUGUGUGACAGGUGGUCUGGUCUCUUUCCUAUUCAAGAAGUCUACACACGUUCUCAAAGAGCGGUUGACAAAGUUAAGUUUGUGCUAAACUUGUCAUGGCACGGGCCCCAUGUACAUAAAAGAUUCGUGCGUAGCUCGUUCAUACCCCCAUUAUCCGUUAUUGGAGCCAGGUUUGUCUAGAAAAAAAAGUCAAAUUGGAGAAAAUAAAAUCUUCUCCCAAAAAAGAUGAGAAGAAAGUAGAUUUUUUUAUCUUUUUUCACUCAACUUGGAAAGUUAAGACGCAAUGAAAUCGUGGGUUAUGCCAGGUUUAGCUAAUGGUUUUAGUCAUCAACUUCCUUGAUUGAAGCAGGUUUCUGUCGCGCAUCCAACAUCUGAAGCACAUUGAAUUAUCUCCAAGAUAAUAUGUCAUGAUUCAAAGUGACCGACACUAGACGGUGACUGAAAUUGCUGGCGACUUUUGGUCAUGAAAUUCGUCCUCAUUAUGCCCCCACCCUCAGUGAAACCAUGAGAAGAAGCACCGGUUCAUGGACAUGUAGCGCUGGACAUGUAGCGCUGGUUCGUUGACUUGGGCGACUGAUGGUUCGUCCAUGUGGAACUCGUGCAACACAUCUGGCAUCGUCAUUUCUCCAAAAGCCACGGGCCAGCACAACCUUUGUGGUACGCGUGCUUGCAACAUGCAAGCAGUAGACACACUUUGCCGUCCUCGAAAUCCCUCGGUGAAUAGCAAAGUCCGUGUUCCUGGCCUUUGUUUCAUUGCUAUUGCACGCGACGAUCACCUGCGCGUGCACACCAAAAGACGACAAGCUCCGUUGCCGCCGUUCUGGAGGAUCCUCAGCUCCGGCGAGGAAUCAGAGAAAAGAACUACGAAUAUGCAAGCGAUGGGAUUGAGGAAAAUGUUGAUUUCGCCGGCAAAGCAGGACUCAAGAUGGAUGGCGACGGUGGUGGCGAAGAUUGGGACGAUGAUGAAGAUGAUAAGUGAGAGAAGUGACGAGGUCAUCGUGCAAACGGAGAAAGAGCUACUCGGCAGGAGAAAGGAGAACUGAAAUGCACGUCAAACGCUUAGGAAUUGGAGCAGCAACAAGCCUCUCUCUCUCUCUCGAUCUUCUAGGCGUUCCAGAAGCCUUGUCCACCGUUGAUUGGUGCCGGAAACCACCGCCUACCAUGCGACAUCGGUGCUCUUCAAAUAACGGUGUUCUCGCGCUUGAGCUUCGAAUCUGGGUGCUCCAUCAAGGAACUCGAGUUUAUUGAACCAAGAAGAAUUUCUUUCGACCUUCGAUAACUUGGGGUCUUCAAGCUUUCUGAUUUUAUCGAGUGUGGAAGUUGAGAACAUCAUUCCAUUUAAGCGCGUAUGUUGAAGAUAUUGUUGCCCAUAAUUGAUCAUAAUUGAUCUUUAUUGAUCUUUAUUGAUCUAAUUGGUAUAUUUAGAGAAAAUUAGAAUUUUGUAUAUUUGGGAAAUUAUUCUUUCCUCAUUUUGUAUAUUUCUUUUCUCAAAUUAGUUCAGGCUUGUACAUUAUUAAUAGGGCUGUAAGCUGUAUAAUUCUCGACUUCUUUCCAUGUAAUAUUCUGAUAGUUUUCCAUCUAAUAUUCUGACAUGGAGCCUAUCAUCUAGCUUCCGCUCCUUUUUUGUCUUCCCUUCUUCUUCUUCUUCUUUGUCCAAACCCUUUAUUUUCUUUAUGUUCUUUUGUUUCCUUUCUUUUCCCACGUCAAGCUUGCAAAUUUUUUCUGGGCUAAAUCAGCAAGGAAACAAAAUGCCGAGAAACCAAGCUUCAAAAUCUGGCACAUCCCAAGAUCCAGAAUUUCUUCUAACGUCCAAGGAUUUGGUGAUUCACCUUUGGAUGAACAAACAAAUCUGGUGACAGAAAACCAGGCGCAAGAACAGAAUCAAUUGCCGACCCCUGAGGAGAGACAAGGUUUUGUUUACCCCAAUUCGGGGCAAAUUUUUUCGGGCCCAUGUGUUCAAUGGGUCCCAAUCCAAGUUCAACCUAUUCCGGGCCAGACGAGUCAGAUGAAUUCGACCCAAAGUUCCACUAGCUUUGCCGAGAGAAUCAAUGGCGGGCAAGGGGGAGGAAACCCACAACUUAAUAAUGAGUCCAACUCCGGUGGGAUGGGUUGGCCCUUCUUGAGUCAAACCGGUUCGGGUACAUCAGGAUUUGGGGCAAAUCCUUACCUGACCUAUGGAAUUGGAUUCCUUCUCUUCGCAAGCACCAUUGCAAUCCGUAUUAAAAGCUAACCCGGUAAUUUAAAAUCACUUUAUUCGGAAAAAAAGAAGAAGGUAAUUUAUUGUGUACUCAUACAUAUUCAAAUCCAGUGAAAAUAUUUGUAAUUGGAUUGAGACAUUAACAAUAUAUCUCAAAUUUUUACUUUCAUUAACCAAAACUUCAGCUUUUUUGUAGAUAUGUGCACUACAAGUCCUAAAAUUUUUCGCAAAAGUACAAUUGAAUCAUAAAAUUUUCAACAAAUCUAAUUAAAUCUUAAAACUUAUCAAAUUAGUACAAUCAAGUCAUUUCGUUAACACCGUCAAUUUAUAUAAUGGAAAACACUAACGUGGUAUUUUUAUAUUAAUUUCUCUCUCCUAUGUGACAUUUUUAUUAAUUUUCCCUUUAAAUUUUAUUCAAAAUAAUUAAAAACAAACUAGAAAGAAGAACAAAAAGGCGCAGGAGCUUGCCAAUGUGUGUUGCCAUCACCAGGUGACCAUUGCUACGCCCAGGUGAGGCCCCUUGGGGGCUAGCGAAACUUGCCAGAUCUAGGCGACGUCUCAUCGGCCCUCGCCUAAGGCUAGGGCGGCAUGCCCAUAUCUAGGUGACGUGGCCCCCACUGGGUCGGUGAUGGGCGACAGUGGCAGCCCCUGCCCCUUUUUGUUCUUCUUUUUCCAGUUUGUUUUUUCUUAAAAUUAUUUAAACUUUUUAAAUAUUAUUUGGAUAAAAUUUAAAGGAACAAUUUAAUAAAAAUGCCACAUAAGAGAGAGAAAUGAAUUUAAAAAUGCUAUGUCAGUGUUUUCCGUUAGAUAAAUUCAUGGUGUUAACUAAAGAAUUCGAUUAUACAAAUUUGACAAGUUUUAGGACUUGAUUGAAUUUUUUGAAAAUUUUAGGACAUAAUUACACUUUCACGAUAAAUUUUAGGACUCGUAUCGUACAUGUCCAUUUUAUUUGAAGAAUAAAGAUCUAGCUCAUUAAAGUUAAAUAAUGUCUCUUUCGCUACGUGUAAAAAAUUGAAUCUUUCAUUUGUAAAAAAAGAAAGUCCCCUCUCAUUAGAUUAUACGUUUUUUUUUUUUUUUAGUCAGUCCUACUCUAUUCCUACUCUACACUCACUCGCAGACUUGUGCCCUGCCUCUUGCAGGGUACGCUCGAAACUUACGCGUUCCUAUCCCAUCCCCCCCUGAGGAGGUGGGAAUUUGAACCCCUCACCUCCCCCUUCCAUGUUGGAAGGGUGGCCACUGGGGCAAACCCCCAGUGGUUAGAUUAUACGUUCAAAAGUCUACUUUUAGUAUAAUUUAUUAGAAAGGUUGGAUCAAAAUAUUACUCAUGAAUAGACAAAUACUUAUUUUUCCAGCAUGGAAAGUUAGUAACGAUGGUGGGCAGCAUGAAUGUUCAGCUAACCGUACCGUUAGCUUUUGAAACAAACGGUAUACCCUUCACCGUACAUUUCCCAUGCUUGUGCUUCGCUUGGCAAGUUUCCACAUGCUUGUGCUGGAGAAAUGAAACUUUCGUGUUGGGUCCCUCCACCGUUGGCUUACCAAUUAAGCAACUGAGCAGGUAUAAAUUAGGGCGCGCAUACAACAUUUUUUAAACAAAAAUCAAUUUUCAUUCCAUGAACAAGUUUCUAAACAAAAAAACGCGUUUGAUAACGAUUUAAAUUUUCUAUUUUUGGAAUAAAAAUUCGUUUGAUAAAAGAAUAAAAUUUUUAUUUCUAAGAAUGGUGAAGAUCGGCGUCCAGUGGUCGAAACCGACGUUCGGCGAGUGGCGGCAAGUGGCUGGAGUCCGACGUUUGGUGAGUGGCGACAAGCGGCCGAAGUCCGUAGUCCAACAUUCGGCGUCCAGCAUUUGACGUCUAGAGUUUGGCAUUUGACAUUCGGCGGUUGACGACCGACAUCCGGCAUCUGACAUCCAAAGUUUGGCGUCCGGCAUUCAACUGGCCGGCAACCGGCAUCUGACAUCUGGAGUUCGGUGGCCGGUGGCCAUUGGUCGAAGUCCGGCGGGCGGCCGAAAUCCAACAGCUGGUGGCAAGUGGCGAACGUCCAGUGGUCGGCGAUGGGCCUUCGACAUCUAGCAGUUGGCGAUGAUCGGCCAAUGCCCAAUGGGCAUCCGGCAUUUGACGGCCAAUGGUCGACAACAGGUGAUCAGAGUCCAGUGGCCGAUGGUGGGCGGCGGGCAUCUAGCGUCCCACGGGAUGCCGAUGGGCGAUGGGCAGUGACAAGAGUGAACGAUGAGAAAAUUUUUGAUUUCUCAUUUUUGUUUUAGAAAUAGAAAAGUUAAAAAAUUAAACUUUUGAUUUAUAUAUUAAAUUUAUUUAUGGAAUAGAAAUCUAUUUCAAAAAUAGAAAAAUUAAAUUGCAUUACCAAACAGAUUUUUGUUCCAAGCCUGUUCUAGAGAAUAGAAAAAUAGAGAAAUCGAGAGAUAGAAAUGUUGUCAUGCGCGCCCUAAGCAACUCUAGGAGGCGAAAACUAACUUCAAACCUCAUAAGCGAUUAUUGCCAAAGUCAAUAGAAAAAAACGAAGACAUAAAGAGCCGAGAGAGGACGGUGGACUUCCCUUGGAAGCAAGAUGUACAACAAGUCUCUUUGCUUUCCUUGUUAGACUAAGGACGCAUUUGGUAACGAUUUUGUUCCGGGAAACAAUUUUUGAACAUAAAUAUUUUUUUUCUGUUCCAAGGAAUAAUUUAUGAGUAAAAAAACACACUUUGUAACUGUAAAAAAUUUCUAUUUCAAGAAUAAAAAUGCGGUUGAUAAACUUGUAUAAUUUUUUUUGUUUCUUUUAAUUUUUCAAUAUUUUUAUUAUAUUUCUCUCUCUCUUUUUUUUUUUUUCCUUUUGGCCGAUUGUCGACCCUCGGCGAGCUCGAGCUUGCCCAACUAAGGCGAGGUUGAGCCUCACCGGCCGGCAUGAGGCUCGGCCUUGCCAGGCCAGGGUGAGGCUCAGCCUCGUCAAGCCACUGCUGGGCGACGUCGACCUGGCGAUGGCCCGGCCAGGCUAAGCCUCAUUGGUCACUAGGCGAGCUCGGCCUUGCCGAGGGCUGGUGACGCUCCGGCGAGGUCACUCGCCCUUAACGGCUGGCGGCCAACCACCGGCCAAAGGAAGAAGAAGAGAAGAAAAAAGGAGAAGAAAAAUGAAGAAAAAAAUUGUUUAUGGGAAUAGUUCCUAAGAACAACAAGAAAUAACUUUUUUCUAAUUCUUGUUUCUAUUCCAAAUUUGUUUUCGGGAAUAAAAAAAAUAGUUUUAUGUUCUCAAGAACAAAAAUUUUACCAAACGCGUUUCUGUUUUUUUUUUUUUUUCCUCAGAACAAUAGAACAUAAAUUUUUAUUUCGAGGAACAUAAACAAAAAUAAACAAAUAGGCCCUAAAGAACCAUCUCGGCAACACGUAUUUUGCUCGAUUGUUUUCACGAGAAGAGGAAUCAUGUCAGAACCAUUGUGGCCAGGGCAGGUCGGGCUCCUCGGAGACGAGACCUGGAUGAGCUCCUCCCCAUUGAAAAAGCCCGAUCUAGAGAUCCCCAUGAAGGACAGCAGCGGAGGAGGUGGGGCUGUGGAGGAAGGAACCACUUGGAGGCCAAGGGGCCAUCCGCCGGGACCAUAAGUCUCUCGUAAGUAGCAUUAGAAAAGGUAACCGCGACCAGUACGAUAGGCCCCAAAGCCACGAGCGAGCCCACGACGCUUCUACUGACCACUUGACCUCCACCUCCAGCUAGGCUUAUGGUCAACCCAGUUGACCCUGGUGGGGCAGGACCAGGGAAAAAGGACCCAGCGAUGGAGAGAAUCUCGAAGCGGCCGUGAAGGGCCACGACCGUCCCCGGGGCUGUGGGUUGCCGGAGCGUGACAUUGGUGACCGUGCCCCUCCCGCUGAGCACAUGGACACCCCUCUGUCACUGUCUAGCGAACCAGGCCACGUACUCGGCUACAUCUGCACCACUGGCUAUCUCCAUCACAAGGCUGCGAAGCGUGUUAGGACUAUGCAUAGUCACAAAGAUACUUCUAUUGACGACAGUAGUCACUUUCUCCCCAACAUGAAAAGGAUAUCCCUAUUCUCAUUGCCAGAGCCCGUUAGCAUUUCCAGUGGCUUACGCAUUGCACCAAACUUGGAACGAAUGAGCAUUAUCGAUUGUCCAAAUCUCAAGAGUGCAUCACCUGAUGAAAUCUGUUGCAAUCAUCUGAUAGGGACUAAAGGUAAGAGUAAUUAUCAGCGGAGAGCAUUGUUCUGUUGAGAUGAUGCCUGUCGUUUUCUUUCCUUUUCAUUUUAUAUAUUUGGUUGAACAAGUUAAAAAGCUACAGGGCCCAGCCUUAAUGAAGAGAAAAUUGGAAAGUUAACACAUAUCUGAAUGAAAUCUGAUUUCUUUCAAAUCGUAUUUAUGGUAUCACCCUUGAAAUGUUUAUGAAUGAGGCAGUGGCAGCUAAUUAUACAAAAUUCUCAUCGUUUUGAUGUUAGCUUCAGAACUAUGACUGCUCAUAUAUUUUCAGUGUACAAAACCAAAUAUCAGCACACCAUUAGUGUGCAGUGAUUUGGAUUGCUAGUCUAUUUUUGCCACCGUAAACGUGCUUCAAGCUUGUAGAUUGAGGUAACACUAGCUAACUUAGUUAUUAUUUUUUGGUAGGAGAGUUCUUCAUUACAGUACUGAGGGAGUUAUCAUCAAUGUCAAUUGUGAAUAGAUAAUCGGAAUUCCUGUUUUACAUUCUGUGGAAAUACUGCACUUUUUAUCUGGGAAUAUGAAGAUCUUAUUUCAUGAUAUUCUGCUUGUGUUUGUUGGAGGUGCUAUAAGGGAAAAAGGAAAGGAAAAUACUGUUUGUUUAUUAUUGGUCUGGUGUAAGAAUGAACUUGAAAUUAAUGUUUGGUUUAUGUUACAAAGUCCAACCAAAAGGCUUAAGCUAUAAGGCAAGAGAGAUUACAUGUACAUAAAAUUUUCAAAUUGCAUUACCGUUUGCAUUGCAAUAAUCGUGGAUGUGGCAUAUCAACCUCAUUGGAGGUGUCAUCACCACAAUAGGGCCAACGGUGCCCAAUAUUGAUAAGAAUUUCAAUUUUACUGACUGCUAUCUGCCGCUACUUAAAAAAAAGGUUUUCAUAAGCUCUCUAAACAAGUGAUGUUCAAUAUUUUAAUACUCACUCUCAUGUGCAACCCUGGAUAAAUUAUAUGAUGAAUGCACUUAACAAGUAAGAUAGAGAAAAUAACUCACUUGAGAUGAAAUGUAAAGAGGGGCAUGGAAAAUUGAGAGUUGGCUCUAGUGCCAAAUUAAAAGUUGAAAAUCUGAAAGUUCAAGUAUUAAGUGGAUGCAGACCAUAGGACCCCCCAAAAGAAGCAAAGUGGGAUAUUUUACUAUUAUAUGUAGCUGUUAUUGUGGAUUUAUAGUCUAAUUCUGAUUUUGCGUUUUGAUGGGUUAUGCAUUUGCCCCAGUAAAGCUUGUCAAGUUGGAGUUAAUUGCCAGUGUCCUUAGGAGUGCUCUCUGUUCCCAGAGAUUUUUUUAAGUGUCCUUAGGAGUGCUCUCUGAUCCCGGAGAUUUUUUAUUGGCAGAGUUGGUCUGGGAAGUGACUAACAAUUAUGGUGUAUUGUUUUUACCAAAAAAAAAAAAAAACAAUUAUGGUGUGUUGUAGGUCAUCUAGUAAUGGGUGAUGAUAGCGAUGUAUCUCAUCGGAAGACAUAAGUUUGUGACAGAUCUAGUGUAGGUUGAGGGUGUGAUAUCACAAGAAGUGAGCAAAGUAAGUCAGAGAUUGAUUGCAUGGAAUUAUUUUAGUCUAUAUCAAGAGAUCAGGUAGAUUUAUUGCUGCUUAUCUUUUUCCAUCGCUUUGAUUGCAAGUUGAAGACGUUGUCAUAGUUUUUUCCUGUAAACCACAAAUAUACACCUACGUGGCUGCAUACCCUUCCCUAUUCAGGACCGGAUACUUACUUCAAUUUGAAAAGUAACAGUUGCCAGGCCAACUGGCAGAUUAGUUGAUUCAUCUUUUUAUUAUUGUUUAGAUGAAGUGGCUUGGUGCUUGUUGUUCCCCUAUGUGACCAAAUCGAUGGUCAUUUGUUUCGUCUGAUGUGCUAAUAUCGUAUUGGAGCAGCACAAAGCAUUCCAAAUGAUGCAAGCAGAGAGCAGCCUGCUCCUACUGUGGUUUCGUCUACAACCACUGUUAAUGCAGACCGUUCAACUUCUAAACUCAAAAGGGAACCUAAAGUUGCUUCUUGGCUGCGGAAAUUCAAAUUUAAUGAUCUUAAGUUAGCUGCUAGAAACUUUAGUGCUGCAAGUCUUCUUGGUAAAGGUGGUUUUGGCUCUGUACGUGGAUUUACGAAUGAGAAAUUAAUAGUCGCUCCUCAGCUGCGGAAAUUCUCAUUAAAGGAUCUUAAGUUAGCUACAAGAAACUUUAGUCCCGAGGGUCUGCUCGGUCAAGGCGGUUUUGGCCGAGUCUUUAAGGGUUGGAUUGAAGAAAAUGGGACUGCUCCUGCGAGCCCUGGCACUGGGUUGAUUGUUGCUGUUAAGAUUUUCGAGCUAAGUGGGCAGCUGGCUCACGAACGUUGGCUGGUAAUAUUUCAUGUGAUGAUCUUUUCUUUCUGGAUUAAUGCAUGUUUUGACAGUUAGUAUGACUUUUGAACUCUUGCACUUUCCACGUGCCAGGCUGAAAUGAGUAUUCUUGGUCAUCUAGUGCAUCCAAAUUUGGUAAAGUUAAUUGGAUAUUGCGUGGAAGGCAACCAAAGGCUGCUUAUAUAUGAGUAUAUGCAACGAGGGAGCUUGAAAGAUCACCUCUUUGAAAGUAUGCGCACUUGUCCUUUAACUUGUGCUUGGUGCCCUUAAUGACAUGUCCUACAUUAUGUUCGUACUAUACAAGUACUCACGGUAAAACGACCCACCUGUAGCUGGAUAUGGAAGUCAUGUCUCCCAAGAAAACUAUUUGAUUGCUACUAGAAUAUGGAUAAUAAUUUUAAGGAGGAAAAAAUGUCACUUGUCCUUAUUAUGGACGUCUUUCCAGAAGAUUGUAGGGUUCGGAACCAUAAUUUCCUAAAUAAUUUACAAUGCUCAUACUCUGUUGAAUGUUCUUCUGCCGGAAUUUUUUUUUUAUAUGUAAAUUGCUUUUUUGAUGUGCCACCGACCAAAAGGAUGCAAUACCAGAGACUUUCAAUGUUAUCAUAUACUCAGAGGACAUUAUAGUUCGAUGCCAGGGAAAAAAAAAAGAAAUAGCGGAAGAUCAUGUGAUAUGGUCAUGAAAUGUCACUUUCUAGCAGCUUCGUCCGUGUGUGAUUUUAGUAACGUUUUAUCAUCUUUGUCUCUCAGUAGUACAUCUUAGGAAAUCCUUAGGCUUAAUUCUCUCUAACUUGGUCAUUUAGGUGCAAGAACACCAGAGUUGCACCGUAUUGAGGAUGAAACUUAGUACAAAGCUUGCAAGUAGGCUAGUAACGAUAUUUAAUGGAAGGGAAAUGCUUGCCAAUUGAACAACUCUCGAAAGAUACUAAAUGUUUUUAAUAGCAGGGCAUAUUCAUUUGCAUAAGCAUUAUUUUCAUUUCCAUGAGAAAAGAAAGGGAAUCCUGCUGUAGUUUCUACCAUAUUCUUGUCCUGCCUACUAAUUCUCAGCAGUUAUUUUCAAAAAGUUGGUAUCAGUUUUAACCAAACUAUCUUUGAUUAUGCUGGCUUCAGAAAGGGAAUAUUGAUUUAUCUGUGAUGACAAGCAUUUUAUUAGUUAAUUCUUGUGUUCUUUUGUGGGUUGAGUAGGGAAAUUGCCUCUUACUUGGUCUACCAGGAUGAAAAUAGCGCUGGAUGCUGCAAAGAGUCUUGCUUUUCUUCAUGGGGAGGCAGAACCGCCAGUGAUAUUUCGUAAUUUUAAUCCUUCCAAGAUCCUAUUAGAUGCCGUAUGUAGCAAAAGCUGUGGUGACAGUCCUUUUUCCUUUUUAAUCAUGAUGUUUGAUUUUUUCACUACUCGUCUCUUUUAGGACUACAAUGCCAAGCUUACUGGUUUUGGACUUGCGAUUGUUCUCGAGGGAGAAGAGUCUCUCUCCGCCCCUAUCAGGAGAACAAUUGGCUAUGUUGCCCCGGAAUGGAUGAUGAUGGGUAUGUGUAUGUUUCUACGAGCAAUUUGUGGAUGAGAAAUGUCCAAAUAACCUGCACAAAAGUGGUUGAGUAAGAUUUUUGACAUGUCAAAUUAUCCCAUAGUAUAGAAAAGGAGAACAGCCCCAAUCUACACACUCAUUCACGGCAUGUGCACCAAUAAUGAUAAGGAACUGAAUUGAAUUAGGUAGAUAUCAAUUGUGACCAAAGGCGAGAAUUACAGGGACCGUCAUAUACUGAUAUGACCUCAUUUUCUCUUUGUGCAUCCUGUCUCUGCUCUGUCCUCACAUAUUGUCACGAUUUGCAGGAAUGGUAUGAUCAGCUGUAGCUCUUGCACAUCAUGCUUAAGUUACUUUUUUUUUUUCUGUUUUAGUCCUGCAUGUGGUCUCCCAAAUGAUGUUAUUCCCUUACUUUCAGUCCACCAGAUAUCUAAUCAUUGGAUGGAUUAUACUGCACAUUUAUUGCUUGAACUUCUGGAACAUUACGCGCAGCGUAGGUUGUGGAAUGACUGAUUGGUGCUCACUACCUGCAUUCCUUUUCUUUGUUAGAAGAAUUGUUGUUUCCUCCAAGUAUAAUGUCUGGUGUCUUUCUCAUAUUUUUUUGCCUGGGAGGAAUCUGGAUCGUCAUGAACUAGUGUUCCCAGGUGAUCUGGAUUUUACUUUUCUGCGGUACGCACAGGCUUUGUUAAUGAUAAGUACUGAUUACAAAUAAAAGUUGGAUCUUGAGGUUGAGGGUGCAAAUCAGGCAAGUUCAUAAUCCGCGUUAAUCACGCGUUGCUGGCAAGUGAUUUUUUGUUUUGUUUUACUCUCUCUCUCUCAGUAUUAUUCUUUUCAACGCACGAUGGAAUGUCUGCUUCGCCCUCCGAACUCCUGAUUAAUCGGUGCUUUUUGAUAUGAUGCACAACCAGCGAUUACUGAAACACGGAUUUUAAAGUUCUUUUUGGAUGUGUUUUUACGUACUUCAAUGCUACAUGUCCAAAGGAUUCUUGGUUCGGAUUGGAGUAUCUAGGUUUCUUCAUGUAGCUAGUUAAUUUCCAAUAAGUGUGUUGGUCAUCCGUCCCACACGCACUACAUUAUUACCGAAAAACGUAAAUCUAAACUAGGUAUUAUUUGUUCCUUUGUUUUGCGUGGUUUAGAGCUACAUGUAGUAAUCAUGAUUUGUGUAUUUUUACGUCGUACUUUCCUAUUUAUCAUUUAAGAAUAGCAUAAUUUUACGUUGAAAUCAUUAAAAAGGCAGUAGUUUUAUCUUAUACAUCUAUUGAUUAAGAAUUGAAACUUUUUUCUCUUUUUUUAAAUUGUUUUUUUUGGGCAUACAUCCUUAUAAAUUUCAGUGAAGGCAAUGCAUUUAGAAUCAUUCACUAUGUUAUCGUUAAUUUUAAUGAUUAUGACUUGACAAUUUCUAAUAAAUGGCAUCAUUAUGAAUUGAUAGAAUAAUUAGUCAGUUCAUAUUUAUCAUGCUACAAAUUACUACUUCACCGAAGCAAAUACCUUGACAAGGCAGUCCAUGAAUGAAGUAUAUUAUUAUGACGAGAUCCAAUAGUGUAUUUUGUAAUUGCCAUCAUCGAUAAUAUCACAAUUUGGGCUUUAGUACACUUCUAUGCCGCCAAUUGCUUUGAUAAUUUCACUAAUACUCAAUAGGGUGCUUGACUAGUAUAAUCAUAAUAAAAAAAGGAGUGAUGGAAGGACAGAACAAAGUUAUUGUCUCAACCUUACUUGUUUUUGAUUGCUAGAGGUGGUUGAGAUAUUUGGCGGGUACUCCAUGCAUUGUAUUUAUAUCCAAUUAAAAUCAACUGGUACGUAUUCUAGGUAUUCCUGACUACUGACCGCACAGAUAUUAUUGCAGGGCACUUUAUAAUAAAGAGUGAUGUCUAUGGUUUUGGUGUGGUCCUUUUCGAAUUCCUGACUGGAAGAAAACCCUAUGACUUCACUGAUGAUGGACUUCUCCUUGUUGACUACGUUUGGUCACAUCUGGAAGAGGAAAGAAGUUUGUACGAAUUGAUAGAUUCAAGGCUCGGAAAUCAAUUCUCAGGGAAAGGUGCCCAGAUUGCUUUGCAGUUGGCUAUUCACUGCCUUGAAAUGGAUCCGGAUGCUCGUCCCUGGAUGAGUGAAGUUCUCGAAGUUUUGAAGACCAUACAAGAUCUCCCAUAGAUGGCAAGUACAUCAGAUAUUGAGGACAAGACAGGGAAGCGCUAGCCGUGGAAUGGCAUCCAAACUCAAACCAUGGUGAAUUCAAGGAAUGCAAGUCCUUCAAUUCCGGAUGGGACCAACGCAUAUCCAUGCCACCACACCACCAAUCUUUGGAAGCCAGUGAUAAACUGCAGCAAUGUGCCUAUAAAUAGCCGGCAUUUAACACCAUCUGUCUCCUUUUCUCCUCUUUCCUUUUUUGGUGCCAGAGUGUUGGCUUCCAUAUAAACAUUCACUCUUGAUUAUUGAAAUGUCGACUGAGAAAAAUAUAGUGUGAGUUAUUUAAGCCCAUUUGUCAUCCAUUGAGUUAUACUACGUUUAUAACUACGUUUAUAAGUGUGAGUUAUACUACGUUUAUAAAGUCAUCCAUUGAGAAGUGGUAAGGUGAAGCCUGGAAUUGAGAAGUACGCUUGGGCAUUGAUACCUCAUCUCUCCUCUACAACAUUUUAAUGAUAAUGACUACCUUUGAUGGUGUCUAUUUGACGUACCUUUUCCUGUUAAAUUUAUUAUGUAUCUAGUUUUUCCAUGUGGUGGCAUGUCUUUGACACAUGUUUUCAUUCUCAAUAAUCACCUCGUUGUAUUUCUAUUUCUCACAUAACUGAGGUGUUUGUUCAUUUGAAUUUGUUAAUUCGUUUGCCGUGUAAAAAUAUACGGUUGUUCUCUUUCAGACAUCAGCCAUGAUAAUUGUUGGAAAUUCAUUUGGGCCAGCAUAUAUUGUUGAAACAGGUAUUGAAUUUUCUUUAUAAGAGACCGUACAUUCAACGCAAGCAAUUUUUUUUUUAAUUUGGGCCUAUGCGGCCCAACCUGAAAAGGUUUUGUCAUGGGCCGGGGCCCCGGCCCAAGUGGGUGACGGGCCCCCGUUAACCCCGGGUUGGAAUGCUGGUGCUGUAGCGCCUCCAAGCUUUUUUCUUUGAUUUUUUUUUUUUUUGCAUAUUAUUCUAUUUUUUCUGAGAUAUUCUUUUUUUUUUUUGGGUUUAUUUUUACCAUAAAAAAAUAUAAAGUGUAUUCUUUUUCUAAAAUUUAUGUUUCUUUUUUUUUUCUCCUGCUCCUUUUGUUUUAAUUUAAAUCUAAUCAACAAUAUUCUUGCUUUUUUCAUGUAAUAAUACAUUUUUCUGUUGUAUUUGGCAAUCGGUCUAUUCAUAUAGUUGGACUUGAUCAAAUCCAAUUAUAUAUUAAUUCACUUCAAUUUUUCUGAACCUAAUUAUUGCCUUGAAAUCAAAUUUAGGGCAUAGAAUCGACAGUGCUUUUUAUGCUACAAUCAAAAUGCAUAAUACAAGAGGAUGUGCAUUAUUUUAUUGACUUUGAUAUCAAUAAGAUCUCAACAAAGACAUUUUUCGACCGAGAAAAAAUAACGAUACUCACCUAAUUUUGAAGAUUAUAAGUGUGCUAGAAAAAAACUAAACUUUUUUUCCCCUGACGUCGCCAAGGAUUCUUUUCUCUGCACUCCCUCAAUUGCUCCCUUUUCCAUGUCUCCGUUCACUCCUUCACUUUGGCCUCCCCACAAUCCGAUGUACCCUAUUCGUUCCUCCAUUUCUAGGAUUCCGAGUUUCACUUUUGCGUGUGGGCUUGUCACGUGCUUUCAUGCCUGAAAGCGUUUCGAUCUAUUCAUUUCUUCCGUUGGCAAUUUCUAGUUGUUGCGCCGCCACCGCCGUGGAUAUCAAUUUUCAGGGGGCAGUGUGGUAUCUGCGGGGAAAUGAACUUGGCUCAAACGCAAUGCUCUCGAAAGAGGUAUUUUCAUUUCCUGUCAGUCAAAAAUGUUUUGAGUGAUUGCGUAGCUCGCCCGUGCUGAUAGUGGGCACGUGAUCAAAUUUGUACAUUGGACUCGAUCUGUGUUUUAUGUGAGGAUAUUUAGCUUUUGCUUUGGGUGUUUGAUGAAUUAGUAAUAUUUUUUUGUGAGUUACUAAUUCCAUUUAUCAUCAUUGUUUGGGUGUUUGUUGAUUAUGAAGGUAGUUUGUCUUUUAAUUGUGUUUAUGUAAUUGUUUACCUUUAUCGAUCGUUCCGGGAUGCCCAUGGAGACUCCGAAGGCCUACUAGCUUGUUGACGACGAGACCACAAUCGGUUCAUUUUUCUUCUUGAACAUACAUUGGCUCUCUAAAUUUGCACACAAUGUUCGUUUUUAUGUUUAAUUGAAAUACAAUAUAUUUUUCUUGGGUGGCGGCAUAUGAUUUACGACCCCAAUGCCAAGCUUUUCUGGUUUUGGACUUGCAAACAUUUUUCCCAAGGGAGAUAACUCUCACUUCACCUAUGUCAUUGGAAUGUACAGCAAUACUGCUCGGGAAUAUGUGAUGCAGGAUACAGGCCAUUUGAGGAUGAGAAUUGCACAAGUAACCUGCAUAAAUGCGGUUGAGUAUUAUUUUUUACGUGUCAAAGUAAUCCCACCGUAUAGAAAAGAAGAGAACAGCCCCAAUCUACACACCUCACGCACAACACGUGCACCAGUUAUGAUUAGGAACUGAAUUCGAUUAGGUAGAUAUCAACCGAACCAAAGACAAGAAAAUGAGAGCGAUGGUCAUAUACUGAUGCACUAUCUGUCUGAUCUGUCCUGAUACAUGUGGCCACAAUUUGCAGGAAUGGUAGAAUCAGCUGUAGUUCCUGCACCCCAUGCUAAAAGGUUGCCACUUUUUUUGUUUUCUCUGUUUUUAGUCCUGCAUGUAGUCUCCUAAAUGAUGCUAUUCCCUCACCUUCCAGUCCACCAUCUAUCUACUAUUUCUCAUAUUGUUUGCCUGGGGAGGAACCUAGAAAUUUUGCUGGACCCUCAUGAGUUGGUGUUCCUAGGUGAUCUAGAUCUACUUUCUGUGGUGCGCACAGGCUCUGGAAAAUACACGAAAGUUGGAUCUUGAGGGUGCAAAUCAGGCAAGUUCCUAGCCCACGUUAAUAGAAUGUCUGCUAAGUCCUUCAAAUACCCGAUUAAUCCCUAUCAUUUUUUCCUACCGAAACACUGAUUCACAGUUAGUGUUCUUUCCUUUAUGUGCUUUCUACGCCGCAUGUCCGAAGGGUUCUUGGUUCCAAAUGAUAUAUCUAGAGCAUGUCCAAGUAGCUGGUUGUCUGUCCUACAUGCACUAGAUAAUUCCCAAAAAACGUUGAUUCAUACUAUGAUUAGGUAUUAUUUAUUACUUAGGUAUUAUUUAUUACUUUGUUUUUGCGCUUCAGGGGCAUGCAGCACAUUAUGUAUACUUUCUCCAUCGUAAUUUCCUAUAAACAUACUCGAAUGAAAGACACCUUGGUGUAAAUACCAAAUUUUCAGAGAGAGAGAGAGAGAGAGAGAGAGAGAGAGAGAGAGAGAGAGAGAGAGAGAGAGAGAGAGAGAGAGAGAGAGAGAGAGAGAGAGUUUAACUUGGUUGUAACACCUAAAAUCUGUGGAAAAUAUUAACAGAUGAAUUCUAAUAUAAUAUUCAUGAUUUUCUAUGUUUUAAAAUAGUUCUUUUUUAGCGGGUAAGUCCAUCAAUGAUGUUUUACUUAAAAAGGAAGAAUAAGAGUAAACAAAUCCCCUAAUUAAGGUUAAAUUUAUUUUAGACAGGUUUUGCUUUUCUUUAAUCUCAUAUCUCAUGAAAUUCAUUUUUAUUUAAUAUAAUAACCGAAAAUCUUUCGAAUUUUUAAACAUCAUCUAUCCUAUUUAUAUUUCAAAUGCUUAGAUUUUUUUUUUCUUUUCUUUUUUUAAUAGCGGCCAUUUGAUCUUCGGGUCAAGAUCUGUGUGCAUCGACCGAUCCACCUUCUCGAGCAAUCUUAAAUAUGUGUAAAACUUUGACAAUGCUUGGAACGAGAUCGUUUACCAUAUAAGAUAUUUUUUCUAAAAGGAAUUAUUAGAUUCAAAUUAUAAUUCUUCUUGGAUUUGCAGACUUACCAUUUUUGUUGGCUCUCUCUCCCUUUAUUAUUUUUAUUAUUAUUAUUAUUUUUGCUUUCCCUGCAUAAAAACAAGGUCGAAGAUUCCACCCAUGAGGUGUAAUCACGAUUAGAAGGUAAAUGCCGAUGGCAUGAAGCAAUAAAACACUUGGAUAUGAAAUUCAAACGUAAAGCCUACAAAAGCCCACUUUGGGCCGGAUUGUGUAAUAUUUAAAUCAAUUAUCUCAAUAACGAUUUUUAUUCUUAUAGGAAAAUUAUGAGGUUGAGAAAAUUUUCAAAAUUAAUUUUGACUUCCAAAGUCCUUCUAGUGAAAUCAUAUUAGACUUUGACCUUUCAAAAGAUAGGCGUAGGAAAGCUUCAGAGUGAUUUUACCACAAUCCAAAUUCACUGUUGAAAUCUGGUAAAAAAAAGAGAGGAAAAAAAAAUUGGUACUUGAAAUUACAAUGUGGCCAUGUACUUAUCAAUCAUAAAAAAGUAAAUGAAAUAUUCUCAUUUAAGAAAGAGCAUUUAGACAUGUUAAAUUAGUACUUGCUCCCCCUCUCGACUCGCGCUUUGCCCUCGGGGAAGGUCCUAGGUGACCAGCUAUCGGCCUUGGCUGCCCCUCUCCCCGUCAACGGCGGAGCCCUUAGUGCAAUCAUGGUGGAUUUGGGAUGGUGAAAUGAAAAGCUCAGCCGUCGCCCUCCAAGCACCACACCAAGAUCGCCGUCAUGGAGGUCAGGAACAUCGGCAAGGCCAUCACCCAGACCAUCCACACCCAGGACCUUGUUGACGAGCUGAGCCUCAACGAUGCCAAGCCCGACAAGCUCCCUGGCGAGACGCUCGACCUCUAGCAAGCCACGGCGUUCCUCCCCACGUCGACUACUGCAUCGCCAGCCGGUCGACCGAAUCCGAGAUAGAUGAAGGAAAGACCAACUUCCAUAAACGCUGAGAUCUCGGCCUCUCUCUCUCUGAAGGGAAGAGACGACGGAAGAAGAAAGAGGAAGGAUGGCAUGUGAGAAAGAUUUGUGAGAAUCCUAAUAGAGCGGGUCCCGUGGGACAUCUGUCAAUCAACAAAUAGACUAUUAUUUUGCUGAGUUGUCAAUCACAAGUGUACCCAAUAUUCGAGUGAUGAAUUCAACCAUUUGGCAAUCGAUGUCAACCGUCCAGAUCUGAACGAUGCGAUGGACGAUCAGGUUCUGGAUUCGUCCACCUCCAAUUGCCUGAGCAUUGUCUGUGCUGAUCAAUCUGGAACUGAUUCUUUGCUAUUCAAUGGCAUCGAGCUGAUGGAACUCAACGAAGGAGACAAGGUCCACUCCUAUAUCGAGGAAAGACUCGCCUCACGUCUAGUUGAGCUUGGGGCGCAAGUUACCGUGGUGGCAAUCCUACUCCAGUUUCUCGGCGAAAACGCAGACCCAAGCUUUUCAACUUCACUCAGAGGCAGUGCAGAAGAAAGGCGGCAUUGACACCGCCAACGCGAGGUGCACAUGGUAUGCGACCUCGAACGAGGAAGUCCCCAAGAUCUUCUCCUAUGGCUUUGAUUACAGUGACAAGCCUGAGAACAAUGGCUUCUAUGGUUGUGGAGUUUAUUAUGCUCCUCUUGAUCAUCCUCUCUCGAAAUGUACAUGAGUUCCCUUUUAACAUACUUUUUAUAAAGUGGUACGAUGAUGAAGAUAUGUUAAUAUAGCAUGUUACUAGAUUUCCUUUGUCACAUAUGGUCAGUUAUAUCUAAUAGAACUAGUAUAUUUCACGAUCAUGUUGUUGGACUCGUGUUAGAAUGUUGUGCGUAAGAUGAUAUUGGCCUUAGAUGGUUUCUCGGUGAUGCCUUGGCAGCGUUAAAUCUGCCACUAUUAAUUGCACAAAUGAUCGGAUAGAUAUUGUUUGGAAAGUCUUAUUUAGAGCGUUAUUGUAUUUCCCUUUUAUGCUAUGAUUGGUUAGAUCCGAUAGAGUGAGUAUGAUGAUCGGUGAAAUUUGAUAGAUCGAGUAUGUUUCAUGAGCAUAUUGUUUCUUGACUUACGUUAACAAAUGUGCAUGUGAUGAUAUUGGUCUUAAAUAUUUUCUUUAUAUUGCUUUGGCGGUACUAUGACUGCUCCCAUAGAUAAAGAUGGCGUACGGCAUUUGUUGAUUUGCCGUGUCACACUGGGGAAAUCAGAGCUUGUUAGUCAUGGCUCAAAACAGUCUCAUUCUAGUUUGGAAUAGAAUGAUUCAAGCGUCGAUGACUUAUAAUCUCCAAGAAGAUACAUAGUUUGGAGCACCCAUAAGAACAUUUACGUGUUGCUGGAGUAUGUUGUCAAUUUUAGAGCCCCUUGUUGCUCAAGAGGUAAUCGGAUUUUCUUUUCCAUUCCUGCUUUUGCAUUGGUGAUAUUUGUGUGUUUGACUUUAUCUGUCCUAUCAACUAGCCGGAUGAUUUGUGAAAUUUAUAUGCAAUAGGGCCGUUGAGAACUCCGGAGAAUUCAUGGAAUCUUAACGCCCCUUGGAUCCCAUUCAAGGAACGAAAACCUUCACUGCAUCUGCAAUCAAUUUGUUCUCCAAGUAUUAUAAGGCUUACAGGGUAAGUGCCACAUCAACAUUGUCAUCACAAAAUUCUUGACUUGCAAACAUUUUUCUUUGAGAAAAAGUAAAUGAAAGCGUGGGUGUGGAAACAUCAUCUUCCUUCCCUUAAGAUCUUAAUUUUAUUCGAGCAUAAUUCCGAAAGUUAGUAAAAGAGAGGCGAAACCAGAUUUCCUUUUUCUAUAUAAAAGAUAUAAGGGCAAUGUCAGACAGGAUGGUAACUUCUACUAUGAAUUUUAGAUUGGUCAUUCAUGAUUUAUCAAUUUGUCGGAGAAAGUCCAAUAAAUCAUGAAAAUAAAAUAAAUUUUGUCCUUCAUAUUUACACAAUGCGUAAAAAAAAAAUAUUAAAAAUAAAAAAUGUUAUUCAUUUAAAGGCUUAAAAUGUGGGGAGAAAAUCCAAUUAACACUUAAUCAUCUUUUGUUGGAGGUGUGACGCGGCCAUCCACCAACACCUCCCACUUAAAAUUGAGUCCCUUCGGUGGCGGCAACCUCAGAGAGCCAUGCUUGGCGUCCGUCCUCUGUCGCUGCCUAGCUGCCCUCAAACGCCUCUUCGCUGCCGCCACCUCCAUCAGCAAACCUUCCUUCUUGCUGAAUUCCUCCACGAUCAGUGCCUCCUCAUCCAGCUGUGACCACUGGCGCCACAAGUGAGACGGGACCGAGUAUGACCGCAUUGGGGCAGACGUGAACUGUCCCUAGUGCUUGAAGCAAAUCCCCUCCUCUUCUCCAACCGCCCCCCUCCAUUACCGGCUGAGAGCCCGACGUUUACCUAGCCCUCAACCUCUGCCCUUGCUACCGGACGGCCUUCUACUUCAGGCCUUUCAAGCUGGAAUGAUUGUAGGGGGAAGCUCCAUCAAGAUUAGCCAGGUCUUUGCUAGGGACAUGGAGAGGCAUUGAGAUGCAUCGUGUGUGAAGAGCAAAGGUUCUGGUGAAAUGGCAGAGUUGCCGUUGCUGAUGCCGAUGGAGGUUUGCAAGGCGCUCGACAAGUUCAUUGUUGGGCAAUAAAUGGCAAAAGACUAAGUGUUUAGAACCGGCAUGUGUAAUCAGUACUCCCUAGUCAUAGACACUGUGCGAAGAGUGAAAAAGGUUGCAGUGAAACGGCAAAGUUGUAGAUAUUUAUGCUGAAGGAGCUUUGCAAGGGGCUUGACAAGUUCGUUGUUGGGCAAUGGGAAAAUGUCACAAACAAUUCCUAAACUUCCACUUAAUGUGCAAUCUCGUUUCUAGACUUUUAAUUUGUUCAAUUUGGUCCCUGAAUUAUCGAUAAAUGUCCAAUCUAGUCCCUGACUAUUUGAAAAUUGACCAAUUUUGUCUCUGAGCUUUCGAUUUGCUCAAUUUGAUCCCUAAACUAUUAACAAAUGUUCCAUUUAGUCCUUCUGUUUGUUCAAACCGUUAAGUGAUGACAUGAAGCAUUAAUUGAUGACGUGAAACUAAGUUGGGUUACUAGAAUUAUGAGUCAAUAUGUAUCUUAAAAAAGGAAAACAAAUUAGGGGUCAGCUAGAGAUGAGAGCAUUGAUCACAAAAGCAGAGAUAAUAAGUGAUUCUGUAUCUCUUUUUUUUGGAUGGUGGCCACAAUUUGACACGUUUUAAAGGUAGUUUCCAUGUGAAUAUUCCACAUGUCCUUUUUUUAUUUUAUAUUUAAGAGACUAAAAGCCAUGGAAGCCAAUUUCGUUAACUUUAACUAACGGAAAGACGAAAUUAGUCAAUUUUCAAAUAGUUAGGGACUAGAUCGGACAUUUAUCAAUAAUUCAGGGACCAAAUUGAACAAAUUAAAAAUUUAGGGACGAGACUGCACGUUAAGUGGUAGUUCAUGGACCAAAUUGAGCAAAUCGAAAAUUCAUGGAUGAAAUUGAAUAUUAGAUGAAAGUUGAGGGAUCAUUUGUGACAUUUUCCUUUGGGCAAUAAAUGGCAAAAAAGUUCCGCUGUUAUGUUUAUGUUCGGGGAUUUUCAUUUGUGGUUCAUUUACCUGAGAGGGAAUUUGUGUAGAAUUUGCAUAUGCUUCUGCUUCUCCGAUCAUCCCUAAUUUUUUGGUGAAAAAUUGGGUAUGAAAAAUACUAGAUAAUAUGUGGUAUUUGCGCUACAGAUAUAGGACAGGGGGUAAACAAGUCAAACAAAUGGAUCAGGUCGAAUUAAAAUUUUUGAUCUAAAUUCACUCAUUUUUAUACAAAGCAAAUUUAGUAGCCCAUACUUGACCCAUGCUCUACUCAUACAUUCAUAUUAUCAACCUGUGGAAGUCCAUAUCCAUCAACUUGGCCCACUUUAAGCUCUUAUGUGAAUGUGUUAUUUAGAUAAAAUUUUGUAUCAAAUUAAAAAGUAAAAUAACAAAAUAAGAAGAUGUACAUAAAUAAAUAAAUAUAAAAAACCUAGAAAGAACUAUAACAAUGUGCAUGUGUUGUAACAAAACAUUUUUUUUGGAUGCAUGCUUUACUCAACAAACUAAAAAUUUAAUCCUUUCUCAAUAAUUUGCGUCAAAUUCCAUGGCCUACUUAUCCUUUCUCGGCACGUAUUGCAUAGUGACAAUUAGCUGGUGUAGUAAAUUUACGUCUCUCUCAAUUUCACCUUACAAUUCCACACUUAGUAUCCAUCUCUCUCUCUCUCUCUCUCUCUCUCACUCACACACACACACACACACACACACACACACAGAAUUCUGCCAAGAAAAAUAUAUUGUAUUUCAACUAAACAUGAAAAUGAACACUUUGUGUGCAAAUUUAGAGUGCAAAUUUAGAGAGCCAAUGUAUGUUCAAGAAGAAAAAUGAACCGCUUGCGGCCUUGUCGUCGACAAGCUAGUAAGGCCCCCAGAGUCUCCAUGGGUGUCCCAGAACGAUCAAUAACGGUAAUAGUUACAUAAACACAAUGAAAAGACAAACUACCAUCAUAAUCAACAAACAUCCAAAUGAUGAUGAAAAGUGGAAAUAGUGACUCACAAAAAAAAAAAUUACUAACCCACCGUUAGGCAGCCGCGUUGGUUGAAAAUCUCUCAUUCAUCGCCAAAGUUGAGAGUUCAAAACCCGCAAUUACUAACAUGCUAGUCUCCCUCAAGGUAUAAUCGCCGUUAAAGUCAAAAGGUGCCACCGGGUGCUGGAGGACCUUGUGUCUCCGAAUAGCGUAAGCAAAAGGGGGCUCAGGCGGAUCCUCAGUUACCCAAAAAAAAAAAAUUACUAAUUCAUCAAACACCCAAAGCAAAAGCUAAUAUCCUCUCAGAAAAUACAAGUCCAAUCCAAUGUAUUAAUUUCAUCAUGUGCCCACUAUCAGCAUGGGUGAGCAAAGCAAUAAUUUAAAACAUUGUUGACUGACAGGAGAUGGAAAACACCUCUUCCGAAAGCAUUGCGUUCAAGCCGAGUUCAUUUCCCGCCGAUGCCACACUGCCCCCAAAAAAUUGAUGUCCACGGCAGCAGUGGCCCUACAACUAGAAAUUGCCACGAAAGAAAUCAAUAGAUUGAAACGCUUUCAGGCAUGAAAGCACAUGACAAGCGCACGCAAAAGUGAAACUCGGAACCCUAGAAAUGGAGGAACGAAUAGAGUACAUCGGAUUGUGGGGAGGCCAAAGUGAAGGAGUGGACGGAGACGGGGAAAGGGCAACAAUCGAGGGAGUGCGGAGAAAAGAAAUCUGGGCGAUGUGGCAGGAAAAAAGUUUUUCUUUUCUUGGUAACACACUAAUAAUUAUGGGAGCUUCGUUAUUCUUCCUCAGUAGAAAAAUGUCUUUGUUGAGGUUUUACUGAUAUUAAAAUUAAUGAGAUAAUGCACAUCCUCUUGUAUAAAAGCAUCGUCGAUUCUGUGCCCUAAAUUUGUUUUCAAGGUGAUAAGUAGGUUCGGAAUAAUUAACGUGAAUUAAUAUGUAAUUGAAUUUGAUCAAGUUCAACUAUAUGAAUAGACUGAUUGCAAAAUACAAAAGGAAAAUGUAUUAUUACCUGAAAAAUGUAAGAAUAUCUUUGAUUAGAUUUAAAGGAAAAGAGAACAAAAAGGAAAAGAAAAAGAAAUUAUAGAAAAUAAUACACUUUAUAUUUAUUAAUGGGAAAAAUAAACAAAAAAAAUAGAAUAUCUCAGAAAAAAUAGAAUAAUAUGAAAAGAAAAAAUCAAAGAAAAAAGCUUGGAGGCGCCAUGGCACCAGCAUUUCAACCUCUGUCCUAGGCGUGGUUAACGGGGCCGUCACCUACUUGGGCCGGUCUCGCAGCCUCUGACAAUUUUUUGGGUUGGGCCGCAUAUUCCCAAAUAAAAAUAAAAUAAAAGAUCGCCUACGUUGAAUUCUCAAAUACCGGUUUCAACAAGAAAUGCUGGCCCAAAAGAAUUUCCAGCAAUUUAUCGUAGCUGAAGUCUGAAUGAGAAAAACCGUGUAUUUUUACAUAGCAAGCGAAUUAGCAAUUCAAACGAACAAGCACCCCAGUUAUGUGAGAUACAGAAAUACAACGAGAUGAUUAUUGAGAAUGAGAACAUGUGUCAAAGACAUGCCACAACGUGGAAAAGCUCCAUACAUAAUAAAUUUCGCAGGAAUAGGUACGUCAAAUAGAUACAAUCAACUUUACCAAAAAAAAAUAGAUACAAUCAAAGGUAAUCAUUAUCAUUAAAACACUGUAGAGGAGAGAUAAGGUACCAAUGCCGAAGUCUCAAUUCGGGCUUCACCUCACCACUUCUCAAUGGAUGACUUUAUAAACGUAGCAUAACUCAUACUAUAUUUUUCUCUAUUGACAUUUCAAUAAUUAGGAGUGAAUAUUUAUAUGGAAGCCAAAACUCCGGCACCAAAAAAGGAAAGAGGAGAAAAAGAGAAAAAUGGGGUUGAAUGCCGACUAUUUAUAGGCACAUUGCCGCAGUUUAUCACUGGCUUCCAAAGAUUGGUGGUGUGGUGGAAUGGAUAUGCAUUGGUCCCAUUCGGAAAUGAAGGAGCUGCAUUCCUUGAAUUCACCAUGGUUUGAGUUUGGAUGCCAUUCCACGGCUAGCGCUUCCCUGUCUUGUCCUCAAUAUCUGAUGUACUUGGCAUGUAUGGAAGAUAUUGGAUAGUCUUCAAAACUUCGACAACUUCACUCAUCCAGGGACGAGCAUCCGGAUCUAGUUCAAGGCAGCCAACAGCCAACUGCAAAGAAAUCUAGGCACCUUUUUCUGAGUACUCACUUGUGAGCCUUGGAUCCAUCAAUUCGGGCAAAAUUCUUUCAUCUUCCCUAUGUGACCAAAAGUACAUGACACAAACGGUUUUCUUCCGGUCAGGAUUUCCGAAAGAACCAUACCAAAACCAUAGAUACCACUCUUUACUGUAACGUGACCUGCAAUAAUAUAUGUGUAGUCAGUAGUCAGGAUUACCAAGAACAAGUACUAGUUGGUCCUAUUUGGAUAUAAAUACAAUCCAUGAAGGACCCGUCAAAUAUCACAACCACCUCUAACAAUCAAAAACAGGUACUUGAACUAAAAGGCUGAAACAAUAUUUAAGACAUAUUUAUUUUACAAAAAAAUGAGUGAUUUAGAAAAUAAAUUUUUAAAAAUGAUCGUUUGUAUUGUUUACAAAAAAAAAUUAUUAAAGAAUAUUUUCAUUGUCUACAAAAAUAUUUAUACAUAUAUUAUUAUUGAUAAUGAAAACAUUUUUCAUUGACUAGUUACUUCAAAAAUACAAACGAUCAUUUUUAGGAAAAUAUUUUCCAAAUCAAUUGUCCUUUUAGUUUUAAAGUUAAAUUUCGCUACUCCUAAAUGAUAAAUAGGAAAUUAUAAUGAGAAUAAACACAAAUCACGAUCUACCGCAUGUAGCCCUAAAGCACAUAAAACAAAGAAACAAAUAAUACCUGGUAUGGAUUUACGUUUUUAAGUAAUUAUCUAUUGCUUGUAGGACGGACGACUACCACAUUAACCGGCUACUCUAAGAAACCUAGAUUCUCCGUUAUGAACUAGGAACCCUUCAGACAUGUAGCAUUGAAGCAUAUAAAAACUUACAGGGAAAGAACUUUAAUUAUGAAUCAGGUUCCGUAAUUACUGGUUGUGCAUCCUAUCAAAAAGCACCAUACCUGAUGGGGAUCAAUCAGGUGUUCGAAGGGUAUAUAUAUAAACUGACAUUUCCUACGGUGUAAGCAUGACUCAGAUCCAAGUCCUAUACAUAGAGAAGAAGUAAGGAUAGAAGAUUUCAACAAAUCUAUAGAGAAUUGGGAAAUUCCUAAAAUACAGCUUAAGGAAAUAUACAAGCAAUCAAAAUUGAAGUUUUUCAAAAAAUCAGACUAUGUCAUAACUACUGAAGAAAGAGAUGUUCCUCUUUCUAAUUCUUAUGAAAAAAUACAUCUUUUGAACAAAGAGUCCAUUCUAAAGCAUAAACAAAAAUACAACUACAUUCAUAUAGGACUAGUCCAAGUAGGAGUCAAACCUCUUACUAAAGAAGGCCUUAAUACUUCCAUUCUCUUAGUCUUACGUGAUUCACGUCUGGGCGGUAAUCCUCUACUUUCAAAAUCUUUCUAUGGGAGUGAUGGUGCUUAAAUGGAUGUAAUGACCUAAAAAUCUAAUCUUGGUUUUGAAGAGUGCAAUUUUAGUAGGAGAGACUACCAGACCGUUUUGUAUGAUAUUUUUAUGAAAGUAGAUAAAUGUUUGAAAUGAUGUUCUAUAUUGGAAGAGAAAACUAAAACAUCAUCUAUAUAAACUAUGAUGUAUUCUGAAUAGGGAUUGAAGAUCUCGUUCAUAAUUCUUUGGAAUUCUGAAGGGGCAUUUUUGAGGUCGAAUGGCAUAACAUUCCAUUCAUAUUGGCCAAAAGGUACAGUAAAGGCUGUCUUGUAUUUAUCUUUUUCACUGACUUGUAUUUGCCAAAAUCCUGAUUUUAUGUCAAAUUUAGAAAAUAUUUUUGAUCUACAAAGUCUGUUUAGUAAAUCUUUUUUAUUAGGUAUAGGGUAUCUUAUCCAUCUAAUGGCUGUAUUAAGAGGUUUAUAAUUAAUAACUAACCUAGGAACUCCUCUUUCUAAUUCAGCAUUUUUAUUGACAUAGAAAGCAGAACAACUCCAAGGUGAUUGACUUUUUCUUAUGAGUUUCUGCAUGUGAUGUCUUUGAAUUUUAAUCUCUGUCCAGAUUGAUCCCGUAGCAGUCGUCUUCAUUAGUGUUUCCAUUGUGAUGUGACUGGGAGGAUCCGUCUUGACUGUAUUGAGAUUUGGAAGAUCCACAUUGUGAUUCUUCCGCUUCUGAGAGCAUCGUCCUAAGGAUGUUGCAGUAUUCCUCUCUGUUUUGGAUUGCUGCAAGUGCUGCACUUGCCAUGGAUUUUUCCUGUAAAAACGAUGUAUUUGAUGGGGAUGCGAUUAUUUGGGUUUUUUUUGGCUAUUUAGCCAUGUUUUAACCGCAGCUUCAGAUCCUUGAUCAAGAAAUCUGAAUCCAUCCCACCAUUUUGUUUUGUAUUUUCGGACAAGUACUGGUACACCUGGUUUAUUGGAUGUAUUGUAUUCGAAUUCCCAUGCUGUUACCCAAGAGAUUCUGAAUAUUAUAAAGAAAUGUAUAAGGCAUGGGAAUCUUAUAUCAUGAGGUGUUGGUAUGAAGUGUUCACUGAAAAUCUUGUAUCAUUGUUUGACUGUGGGGUGUAAUAUUAUGUCCAAAGGAUCAAAGAGAUCCCACCAGGAGUCAAACCAGUUUGGUAAGCUUUGUCUUGGGAAGUUGUCUUUGUAUUCUCAAAUGAUAGAUGCUGAGCUUAAUGUUUUAGAAAAACAUUUUGAACCAAACAAAAAUUUUCUUAAUAAAGAAUUUAAUUCUGAAGACAACAAACAAAUCAGAGAAUGGUUCUUCAAAACCUUUGCUGACAAAGCAAAAGAAGUCAAACAAAAAUAUUACGACUACAUAUACGAAUAUGAAGUCCAUAUAUUCUUCUUUGAUUGGUUAGAAGAACAAUUCCUUGAACCAAAAGAAAUAUUUGUUUUAGAUCAUCAUUACAAAUGGAAACUUGAUAAUGGUGAAACCAUAGAAUCCAAUCAUCCACCCCUUAGGAGAAUAAAAAUUCAGCAUGGAGAUAGCGAAGUUACAGCCACUCCCUUUAGGCUUCCAGACAAAGGAGACUCUCUAUACACCCACAAAGUUAUUGAACAAAACAAUUUUACUAAUCAACAUUUAGUAACCUUAGGAAAACAGUUGAAUAGGAUAGAAUCCACCAUCCAGAAUCCUACUCAGAUCAUUACACCUCAAGUUGAGACACUCAAAAAACCCAUUUUUAAAGCCUUUGAAUUUCCAAAAAAUCUUAGCCCAGAAUUUGCCAAGGCCUAAUUUCUAGUGGUCUAAAACUGUCUUCUUUUGAAUCAGUGGAUCUCUCUAAUUGGCCUCAGUGGACGUCCAUGGAGAACCUUAAAUUUCUUACCGUGCGUGGCUAAGACGGCAACUUCCUUUAAGCACCCGAUAAUAAGAUGAAGCUUUUUUUUUUUUCAUUUGGUCUACUUGGUCCACUUUUUGUGGAAAGUAGGCAUUCAGAUUCAGUACUUGAACUGAACCGAGAACUGCGAGAUUGUAACUGCGGAGACUUUUAUUAUUACUUUGACUUGCCUUAUGCUUAUCACAGCAGCAAAUAAACAUGUUCUUGUUUAGGUACUGAUCUUUCCCAAAAACAUAGGUUCGAACAUGUGGGUUAUAUUCACUGAGACUGUAAUUGAGCCAAAUGCAGAAGUUCUACAUUAUUUAUUGUUGAGACAUCUCUGUUAAAAUCUCUGUAUCAUUGCAAAAGUUAAACUCAUUCUCUUUAUUAGAGUAUGUUUUCCUGUACGUUCGCUUGACAAAUGUAAAGUCAAACUCUGUUUUUCCUUUUGUCUAAGUUUACAUCUCAUGACUAAACCGGAUUACUUGCUCUUUUCUACCCAAGUAAUCUGCAUUUUCUUGUAGGGCUUUUUCAAAUUGAUUUUGUUCUUGUGAUAGUGAUGCUUGAAGCAGCAGCUUCUGCAGCAGCAGUCGAAGGCUACAAGGAUGGACGUGGCAUUUUUGGCUACAUCUGUCAAAAAAUUGACUAUACUAAUCAUUUCAAGGUUAAUUUUGAGGAGAUGAAGGAGCAAGCAGGAAAACUUAAAGCAACAAGGCAUGAUUUAGAGGCAAAAAUAGACAGGAUGAACAGGCUAACCAAUGUACGGGAAGCCUGGAUUAGCAGGGUCGAGGUGGCUGAACAAGAAGUACUCGAAUUGGAAAGAAAGUACAAUGAAGAGACCGUGCAUGCUUGGAGAUACGCUCGGUUCUGGUCCUGUGCAAAUCUUAGCAAGCAUAUGGCCAAGAAGCGUGAGAAAUUAAAAGUCCUGCUAGAAGAAGAAAAACUUGAUGAUGGAGGGGUAGUUAAAAGAUCCCUGGAGCCUGUGAGAGUCAUAGACGCUCCGAGGAGAUGUAUUGUAGUAAAAUUCUUAAAAGCUACUCAAUUGAUUGGAUUGGACUAAAAUCGUGUUUGAUUGAUUCUAACCAUGAAAUUUAAUUUGAUUUCGGGAAUCAAAUAUUCGAGCAUGUCACGAUUUAUUUUUAGGAUCCUGUCUCAUCGGCCGUCAAAUUAUUGAUGAGUCCGAAAUUUCAAGAAAGAAAUUAUUAGAGGAAAAAUCGAAGAUUAGGAGAAAAUAAAAAGGAAAUGAGAAAAGAAAAAUAAUAGAAGUAAUAAGAAAGUUGUGUUUUCUUAUUGAAAAUAUUAUUUUUUUUCCAUUUUUCUUUCUCUCUCCCUUUUCCCUCUAUUUCUCUCUUUUUCUCUCUCUUUUCUCUCUCCUCUCCCGUCCCCCUUCGUGCGGACAGCUUUCCCCCCACCGACUCACUCUUCUCUCUCUCUUUUCUUUUGACCGGUCAAGGCUUAUCUCUCUCUUCUCUCUCUCUCUCCUCCCCACCCACGUGACCGAACACCACUUCUUCUUCUUCUUUCUUCGCGUGCGAACCAGCGAACUGAGGAAGAACAGAAGCUGCAGCUCGCCGUCGCCGCCCAUCCCGCCGCCCGCACCGCACGCUCGCGCGACGCCGCGCACCCCGCCGCUUCUUGCCCGCGCCUGCCGUCCUCACCGUGCGCCGUCCAGCCCCGUUUGGCCUCUGCUCAGCCCUGUUCCGACCCGAUCAGCCGCCUCCGGCCACCGCCCAGCUUCGUCCGGCCACCGCCCGGCCUCCCCGGCGUCCCCCAUGCCCUCCACCGGCCUUGCUCCGCCUUUUCAGCCCCCGGAGCAGCUUCGUUCGGCCAAGAACAGCAGCUGGAAAAUGGGUUUCCAGCAGCGGUUCUAGGCCCGUUUUGAGGUUUCCGGACCCCGAACCCGAGGCCCGCUUUGGAGUUUAUUGUUCCUCACGUCACCCCCGUCGGAUUGAUCCGAUUUGGGUGCGAUUCCGGUGAGUAAUCUCACUAAUCCAUGAUUAAUUGGCUAAUUAUGCUUAAGGAUUAUUUAGUUUUGAUUAAUUAGGUUUAAGUGAUUAGAUUAGAAUGAAUUAGUGAUUAUUAGUUAAUUGUGAUGCAAAUUAGUCAAAUUAAAUAUGUAUUUAGUAAAUAGAUGUGGUCUACUAUUUAUUGAAAGUAUCUUGGGAUUUUUCCCGACCCUAAUCGGGCUUCAAUUAGGCUUUUCGGGCCUAAGUGGAAUUUUUGGUAUUUAAAUAUUAAUUUUCGGAAUUAAAUUAAAUAAUUAUUUAUUUUCCAAAAAUUCAACUGGGAUGGCUCGUGACCGGAAUUUUAUGCUGGUGAUCGUGGUGAAGUCUGUUUAUUUUAUUGGGCUUUAUUUUGAGCUAAAUUGAAUUUUUAGUAUUUAUUAAUUAAUUUUCAAAAUUAAUUAAUUAUUUAUUUAUUUUUCAGAAAUUAAGAUUGAGAUGACCGACAGCUGAAAUCUCGUGCUGAUCGUCGUAGUGCAGUCCGUUUAUUUAAUUGAGCUUUAAUUUGUAUGGAAUUGAUUUAAAUUGUGAAUUUUAUGAUAUAUUCCUAUUGACUUGAUUUGAUUAUUCAAUUGAGAAUUAAUUGGGUAUCGAUAAUGGAUUGGCGAACUUUAGAGAAAGGCGUUGUUUCAUAGUGGAAUCAUGGUAGAAAGUAAAUCACCUGGAGAAGGGUACAUUGGCUCGGUGAUCUGAUAUGUCACUUUGGUGAACUAGUACCUUAGAGAAUGCACAUGGGUUCAACGAUUGAGUAUUGGCAUCUAAGAUGGCACGUGGCUCGGCGAUCUGAUACGUCACUUUGGUGAAUUAGUGCCUUAGAGAAUGCACGUGGGCCCGACGUUAUGGAAUGGCAUCUAAAAGGACACGUGGCUCGGUGAUCUGAUGCGUCACUUUGGUGAACUAGUGCAUUAGAAAAUGCACGUGGGUCCAGUAUUUGAGAAUGACAUAUAAAAGGGCACGUGACUCGGUGACUUGAUGUACCACCUUGGUGAAGAGGUCGCCUUAGAGAAUGCACGUGGGUCCAAGAUUUGAGGCACGUGGCUCGGAGACUUGGAAUGUCAUCCUAGAGAAUGCACGUGGCCUAGCAUUUAGAUAUUUCUCAGCGGGGAAUGAUUCGUGUGACAUGUAAUCGACUAGUUCGAUUUGUCUGGAGUAAAUGGACACAUAUUAUGAAUCAUAUUGGCUUGCAGGUGGGAUUUAAGGCCAAGGUAAGUCCUUUGCUCUGUGCGUGUUUAGGCAGCCUAUAAUAUAAUGGUUUACUAAUCGGGCCUUAGUGGAGUAGAACUCGCUGAGACGUAGUCUCAUCCCGGUUUGGAGAAAACAUUUUAGGACCCCGAUGAGGAGAUGAGGAAGAGGAAUCUGAAAAGGAGAUUUUUGAGGUGAAACCUGAGGAGAAAAUUUUUUGGAAGAAGAAGAUAAUACCGAAAGGAAUCUUAUGUAUGACCUGGAUGGACUGAGAUUCCAUCUUCUUUUGAGAUCUCCAUUUUGAUGUGAAUAAUUAUGUAGUACUUUGGUUUGCGUUUUGUAUAAAAGUUUGGUUAUAAUUUUCAAUAUGAAAAAUAUGCCUCUGCUUUUCUAUCCCAUCGAUUUACUAUCUGGGAUUUAUAACUGCUUUCGCAUGUGCUUAAUAAAUGAAAGGGUUGGCAAUACAUAGUUUUGGGAUAUCGCAAUAUAAAAUCGAUCAAGGUAGAAGGAUAUGUGCGUGCCCGAGGAUCGGGGCGUGACAGGAAGAUCCAAGUAUUAUAGCAGUAGCAUAACUCGUGGUUAGAGAGUGUGUUGGUUUGCCACUAUUAAUCGAUGGAGUGGCGAAAGUUUUUGGAAAGAAGGACGACGUUUCUCUCUGGAGAGAUGAAUUGACACAUUUGCAGAGAUGACUGAGUAUCAAUAACCAAGGCAUGAAUGAAAUGCUCGAAUUCCUUAAGUUCUGUUACGAGGAUUUAGAUGGGGAGGAUAAAAAGGUUUGCUUUCUUUAUGGAGCAUUGUUUCCCGAAGAUUCUGACAUAUUUGUAGACUAUCUGGUGAAAUGUUGGAAGGUGAAGGGAUUUCUCCAUAGCGUUGAUGAGUUUCGAGAUGCACGUGAUAGAGGGCACAACAUAUUGGAUAAUCUGAUUAAAGUAUCAUUAUUAGAAAAAAGUGCGGUGAAGAGAUAUGUCCGAAUGAACAUAAUACUUCGUAGUAUGGUUCUUAAAAUUUCAUCAGAAGUCUCAGACCAUAAGAUCCUGGCAAUACCAUGCGAGGGGCUAAAACAGCCGCCAAAGGAAGAAGAAUGGACAUCUGCAAGACGAAUUUCUUUGAUGGAUAAUGACUUGUGCAGUUUACCGCCAAUUUCAAAUUGCACAAAUCUUUCAACUUUCCUCUUGCAAAGAAACAAUAGUUUAAUGAUGAUCCCAGAGAGCUUAUUCUUGUCUAUGCAAAGACUUCGAGUAUUGGACUUACACGCUACAGUAAUAACAUCCCUUCCACCUUCUUUGCCUUGUUGACUCAUCUCAGGGCACUCUACUUGAAUUCAUGCAUGGGCUUAACAGAACUACCUUCAAGCUUAGAGGUACUGGUGCAUCUAGAGGUGCUUGACAUUCGACACACCGGAAUCAUCGCUUUACCUAUUCAAGUUGGAAGGUUAAUGCAGAUGAGAUGUUUACGCAUGUCAUUGUCAAUUUUUUGGGAUAUAAUAUGAAUUUAUAAAAGAAAAAAGAAAAAAAAAAGAAAUGACCUUAUCUCAUCAUACAUCAUAAUUUGAUAAGUUUAUGGACAAAAUUGAAAUGUAAGAUUUCAAUGUAUAAUGUGAUCGUAAUUACAAAGAUUAGAGAAAGAGAAUCAAGAAAAAAAGAAUGUUUAAAGAGGAAAUAAUAAGAAAAUACAUGAAAUUAUAAAUAUAUGGCAUGUACUUGAAUACAUUACAGAGGAAUAUAGUAGAUUGUAUUGGGUAAAAUAGAAUGACGAUUCACUGUAGUUUCAAUAAAAUAAGACACUAACACUGACCCAUAAGGUGCAAAAAGAAUGGAAGAACAAAAUUGACACCUUUAAAGUGAAAAAAAAAAUUAAAGAUAAUGAUAUUGUAUAAUAGAAAUGAAAAAACAAAGAGAAAAGGUGUAGGGAUUGGCAUGGAAGAGAUCUUUAGUAAAUUAGAAAAGGAAAGAAGGGAGGGAAGGACAUAUAUCCUCUCAAAACCCUCGUUUAAUAUAAAGGAUACAGCAUAGGAUAUAAGAUGCCGGGCAAACUACUAUGAACUCAAUUCACAUAAUAUGCAUGCCCUACACAAAUCUUCUUUGAUAUUAGUAAAACCUAUUAAAUGUUCAAAAGUCAAUUUUACAUUAUGUAUUAGAUAUUAUAAGAGUAGUAAACAAACUUGCAAUACAUAACUCGCAUGAUAUUGAGAAGAAACUACAUUUAAUUCACUAUUUCCUGACAAGAAGCAACUACAGUUUGCAGUGCUAAAGGAGCUCAUUAUUGCAACAAGUAAUCAUAGAAAAAAAAACACCCAGAAUCGUUCUUUUUAUCAUUUUCAUCACCUCAUCGGUGAGUAUAACCAUCUAAUAGAUUGUGCAUGCAGAGAAACAAAACAAAAGCCUAUGCUAAUACAUAAUUCCAAUCACAACAAAUAAGAUGAAUAAGAAGCAAAGAGCUACGGAGAAAGGCUAAGUGAAGCUACAAAAAGGACCGUAAUCUUUCCUUGAUAGCAUCGUCUUGGCACACCAAUGUGGACCACCAUGAUUGCUCAGCAUCAAUGGAUUUUAAAUUGAUAGCAUUUAUGCUGGUAAAAGGAGGUUUCAAUAAGGAUGGACAUGAAGCUAUAUCCAGUCUCUCUAGAGAAGGCCAAAUCAAUAAGUCAUUCAGAGCAAUGCUUCUUAAAUUCGGAAGAUCAUGAAGCACUAGCUUUUUAAGACUCGGGAGUGUUCUAGGGUCCAAGCAAUGAUUCUCAAUUUCGAUGAUGAUCUCCUCAAUUUUGUGGCACACUUCAACACUCAAAUGCUUCAGCUCAGAUAGUUGCUUGAUCAAUCCAUUUGAGAAUAUCUUCUUGAGCUCGGGGCAAUUGAACAAGGUCAAACUAGUCAUUCGGCCCUAGCUUCCCACGGUCAUGGGGCCCUUCCAUAUACAAUGCAAACUUGAGGCAUUUUUUUAUGACCAUUCUCUCUAGGCAUUUGAAUGCAUGAGGUGGUGCUACGUCACCGUCGAUGAUGCGUCUAAUGUCCUUGCAGCCCUCCACUGAACAAGCUCUGAGUUCACUCAAGUUCUCAGUCCCAAAUUCUGAUAAGCUUAGUAUAUUCCUAUGAUCAAUCAGUUCAAACACUUCGGUCUUAGUGAGUACUUCUGAGAUCAUAGGAUGUGUGCCUUCAUCGUUUGCGUACUUCAAACACUUGCACAAUUGAUAUUCAAAAUAAUCAAGAAUAUGAUACUUGACCGAAUUGUAAAUACCGAUCGAGAACUGAAAUGUGAAGCGAAGGUUCGCCCACACGGCUUGUUCUAACGAAGAUUUCGAGGCACUCUACUUUAGGAAAGAAAAAUGUCGGUGAAGUCAACCGUGUCAAGGCAGAAGCCUCCUCCGUGAUAGUCUUCAUGACCUGAUUAGACCACGAAGUGUUCGGGUCUACAUCAAUCAUGAGUUCUUCUAAUGAUGAAAUGCUCGAAAUCACCUUGGACAUUGGGUUUGUGGUGUCUAAAUUUGACAAUGACAUGCGCAAACAUCUCAUCUGCAUUAACCUUCCAACUUGAAUAGGUAAAGCGAUGAUUCCGGUGCGUCGAAUGUCAAGCACCUCUAGAUGCACCAGUGCCUCUAAGCUUCUAUUAAGCCCUUGUAUGAAUUCAAGUAGAGUGCCCUAAGAUGAGUCAAGCAAGGUAAAGAAGGUGGAAGGGAUGUUAUUGCUGUAACGUGUAAGUCCAAUACUCGAAGUCUUUGCAUAGACAAGAAGAAGCUCUCUGGGAUCAUCAUUAAAUUAUUGUUUCUUUGCAAUAGUAAAGUCGAAAGAUUUGUGCAAUUUGAAUUGCCGGUAAACUGCACAAGUCAUUAUCCAUCAAAGAAAUUCGUCUUGUAGAUGUCCAUUCUUCUUCCUUUGGUGGCUGUUUUAGCCCCUCGCAUGGUCUUGCCAGGAUCUUAUGGUCUGAGACUUCUGAUGAAAUUUUAAGAGCCAUACUACAAAGUACUCUGUUCAUUCGGACAUGUCUCUUCACUGCACUUUUUUCUAAUAAUGAUACUUUAAUCAGAUUAUCCAAUAUGUUGUGUCCUCUAUCACGUGCAUCUCGAAACUCAUCAACGCUAUGGAGAAAUCCCUCCGCCUUCCAACAUUCCACAAGAUAGUCCACAAAUAUGUUAGAGUCUUCGGGAAACAAUGCUCUAUAAAGAAAGCAAACCUUUUUAUUCUCCCCAUCUAAAUCCUCAUAACAGAACUUGAGGAAUUCAAGCAUUUCAUUCAUGCCUUAGUUAUUGAUACUCGGCCAUCUCUGCAAACGUGUCAAUUCAUCUCUCUAGAGAAAAACGUUGUCAUUCUUUCCAAAAAAUUUCGUCACUCUAUCGAUUAACAGUGGCAAACCAACACACUCUCUAACCACGAGUUAUGCUACUGCUAUAAUGCUUGGAUCUUCCUGUCACGCCUUGAUCCUCGGGCACGUACACAUCCUUAAUGUGAUAUCCCAGGACUAUGUAUUGCCGACCCUUUCAUUUAUUAAGCAUAUGCGGAAGCAGUUAUAAAUCCCUAGAUAGUAAAUCGAUGGGAUAGAAAAGCAGGGCCAUAUUUUUCAUAUUGAAAAUUAUAACCAAACUUUUAUACAAAAUGCAAACCAAAGUACUACAUAAUUAUUCACAUCAAAAUGGAGAUCUCAAAAGAAGAUGGAAUCUCAGUCCAUCCAGGUCGUACGCAAUAUUCCUUUCGGUAUUUAUCUUAUUCUUCAAAAAAUCCUUCUCCUCAGGUUUCACCUCAGAGAUCUCUUUUUUCAGAUUCCUCUUCCUCAGCUCCUCAUCGGGGUCCUAAAAUGUUUUUCCCCAAACUGGGAUGAGGCUACGUCUUAGCGAGUUCUACCCCACUAAGGCCCGAUUAGUAAACCAUUAUACUAUAGGCUGCCUAAACACGCACAUGGCAGAGGACUUACCUUGGCCUUAGAUCCCACCUGCAAGUCAAUAUAAUUCAUAAUAGGCACCCAUUUACUCCAAACAAAUCGAACCGGUCGAUUACAUGUCACACAAAUCAUUCCCCACUGAGGAAUAUUUAAAAGUUAGGCCACGUGCAUUCUCCAGGAUGACAUUCCAAGUCUCCGAGCCACGUGCCUCAAAUCUUGGGCUCACGUGCAUUCUUUAAGGCAACCUCUUCGCCAAGGUGGUACAUCAAGUCACCGACUCACGUGCCCUUUUAGAUGUCAUUCUCAAAUACUAGACCCACGUGCAUUCUCUAAGGCACUAGUUCCACCAAGCCACGUGUCCUUUUAGAUUACAUUCCGGAAUGUUAGGCCGACGUGCAUUCUCUAAGGCACUAGUUCACCAAAGUGACGCAUCAGAUCGCCGAGCCACGUGCCCUCUUAGAUGCCAAUACUCAAUCGUUGGACCCACAUGCAUUCUCUAAGGUACUAGUUCACCAAAGUGACGCAUUAGAUCACCGAGUCACGUGUCAUUUUAGAUGCCAAUACUUAAUCACCGAGCCAAAGUACCCUUCUCCAGGUGAUUUACUUUCUACCAUGAUUCCACUAUGAAACAACGCCUUUCUCUAAAAUUCGCCAAUCCACUAUCGAUACCCAAUUAAUUCUCAAUCGAAUAAUCAAAUCAACUAAAUAUGAAUAUAUCAUAAAAUUCACAAUUUAGAUCAAUUCCAUACAAAUUAAAGCUCAAUUAAAUAAACGGACUGCACCACGACGUUCAACAUGAGAUUUCGGCUGUCGGCCAUCUCAAUCUUAAUUUCUGAAAAUUAAUUAAUUAAUUAAUUAAUUUCGAAAAUUAAUUAAUAAAUACUAAAAAUUCAAUUUAGCUCAAAAUAAAGCCCAAUUAAAUAAACAGAUUUCACCAUGAUCACCAGCAUAAAAUUCCGGUCACGAGUCAUCCCAGUUGAAUUUUUGGAAAAUAAAUAAUUAUUUAAUUUAAUUCCGAAAAUUAAUAUCUAAAUACCAAAAAUUCCACUUAGGCCCGAAAAGCCUAAUUGAAGCCUGAUUAGGGUUGGGAAAAAUCCCAAGAUACUUUCAAUAAAUAGUAGACCACAUCUACUUACUAAAUACACAUUUAAUUUGAUUAAUUUGCAUCACAAUUAACUAAUAAUCACUAAUCCAUUCUAAUCUAAUCACCUAAACCUAAUUAAUUAAAACUAAACAACCUUUAAGCAUAAUUAGCCAACUAAUCAGGGAUUAGUGAGAUUACUUAUCAGAAUCGCGCGCAAAUCAGAUCAAUCCAACGGGGCGAUGCGAGGAACAACAAACUCUAAAGCGGGUCUCGGGUUCGGGGUCCGGAAACCUCAAAACGGGCCUAGAACCGCUGUUGGAAACCCAUUUUUCAGCUGCUGUUCUUGGCUGAACGAAGCUACUCCGGGGGCUGAAAAGGCGGAGCAAUAUUAGGCGGCGAAUAAAUUAUGCACGAGUAUCUUACCUAAAUUUGAAGAUAAUUUCCAAAUUCGGGCCUAACGCGAUUGGGGUCACAAUUGGGAAUGGCGGUGGACGAUUGGCUCCCAGCAAUAGUUGCUCAUGUUGGUGUGGACUUCUCGGCUCGAGCUAGUCGGUAGCCGGCAAAACUCGUGACACGGCCGUUGAGGGUUUUGCCAGCAAGGACAAGCGACAGCGGGCAGACUUGGGCGACAACGAACGCAGAAGACCUUUGGGAUUAUUGGGGCUCCUCGGUGCAUGGACAAUCACUGGAAAACCUGCACAAAGAAGAGCUCUCUGAAUUGAAGUACGCUGAGAAACAAAGUAAAAAUAAUUUGCUGGUUUUUGCUAAGGGGCUUGCGGGCUUGUUUGUUCAAUCUGCAGGUAUUGGCAUCAAGGCUUCGCAAUGUGCUUUUUCUAUAUUUUUUUUUCCGUUUUGCUUGCAUUAAGCGAGGCCACAAAAACCACAACUUUUGCUGUCUUCUUUCGUCGAGUGUGGACGAAGACCAAAAGAUAGCAACAUCCACCGUCUUCUUCCCCCUUUCGCAAGGUCAUGUGUGUUGCGCCCACUAUUCUUUUCACUCGCAGUCUGGUAUCUUUCUGUUUGACUGAGUCUUCAACCCCACUCAAUUUCUUGAAGACCUCAUCAUAUCCUCCCCUGGGCGUCCAGGACGUGCGUUGCCGGCGAUAUCUUAAUCGCAGGCUUGUGAAUAGCCGGGGAGGCGCCGAUUGCAUUGUGAAAGUUACGUAACCUGCAAAAGAAACAAAGAAACAAAACUUGCCAAAGCUAAAUUGUGAGUCAACUAGCGGAACAUGUAUAGGUGCAACAAGCUGCUAUUGCCGAUCGUCGGGCGAGGACUGGACACCGCGAAGCUGAUGGAUUUUUACGUCAAUCUCUCCAUACGGUGAAGACUCCUUUUGGCAUCUUCUGCAAAGUGGUGAACCUCCAAGGGGGGUGAAGCUCGCUCUUCAAUGCUCUUAAUUAUGGCUGCCGUGUAUUCCACUUUCUUGGCUUUUAUGCUUGCUUUCUUUUUGCUUUUUACGCAUCUUUUUUUCUUUGAGAUAAUCUUAAUCGAUUUAAAUCUUGCCGUGUCCAAUUUCCUUUCCUCUGAGGAAUGUUCAAAAUAUAUUUUACUCUGACUUCUUUCCUUUUUGCUUUUGCCCGUGGGUGCCUAAAGAUGGUCUUCGAUUAUAUUCCCCAUGUUGACCGAUCCCACUUCUUGUAAUCUAUAUAUUUUCCUUGCACGAAGAGGCGAACUUGCAGAUCUUCUUUCAUUUUCCUUUUUCCCCUUUAUUUCUUUCCCAUAGCUAAAAGAUUCGGCCCCCACUCAAAUAUCAUGCGCAUUUGAAUGAAAUCUUUGCAUGCAUAACUUUAGCCAUCAAAGGAAUAAUGGGCUUGGCCAAAUUUUUUUUUGUCAACUCACCAAAUAGAAGCUCAGAACCAUCGAAUCGAACACAUUUGUCACCGAUCCAAAUAAAUGCACCUAAAAUUAUAUGCUAUGCAAUUAAUUUUUUUUUUAGUGAUAAAAUUAACCCAUAAUUUUCUAUGCACUAAAUAAAUAAACGGGCCGCCAAAAUUUAGGUGUCAACAGGCUUGACCAGUCAAAAGAAAAGAGAGAGAAAAGUGAGUCGGUGGGGGGAAAGCUAUCCGCACGAAGGGGGAGGGGAGAGGAGAGAGAAAUAGAGAGAAAAGAGAGAGAGGAAGAAAAAGGGAAAAUAAAAUAUUAUUUUAAAUAAGAAAACACAAUUUUCUUAUUACUUCUAUUAUUUUCCUUUUCUCAUUCCCUUUUUAUUUUCUCCUGGUCUUCGAUUUUUCCUCCGAUAAUUUCUUUCUUGAAAUUUCAGACUUGUCAAUAAUUUGAUGGCCGAUGAGACAGGAUCUUAAACAUAAAUUGUGACAUGCUCGAAUAUUAAACAAAUUAAAUUUCAUGGUUAGAAUCAAUCAAACAUGAUUUUAGUUCAAUCCAACUAAUUGAGUAGCUUUUAUGGAUUUUAUUGCAGAUACAUCCCUUAACGGUUUCAUCCAAUAGGUUAGUUAACUCGUGAGUGAUCAGCUCAGAAAAAAAAAAAAAAAAAAAGACCAUAGGCACGUUGACGACAUGCGCAUUUCAUUUUAUUGAAACGGAGUCGAAUUUCAGAAUGUCACACUUCCAUAGUCCGACCUACUUUUUCUUUGAAGAUUUUAUAUGCAUCGGCAUCGGAUAAACGAUUCAUAUGGACUAACUCGUCAGCACCCGUGUCAUGGCACAAAUCAUAGAAUCUACUGGCAAAUACCACCUUGCUGCCCUUGUCAUUGGAGGGAAUACCUACCUCUUUUAAAUUUAAAUGAUCCCAAACUUCAUCUAGGAGAAGUAAGAACCUCAUGCCUUCCAACUCGUCAUUUAUGAGUUGUGCAAUCUCAACCGGGUCCCUUCCGCCCUCCACUUUCAGCUUCAGACGCUGCGUGAUUGCAUUUUGCACCUUCUCGAUAUUCCUGGCCUUCGAUACUGAUACCCAAAGGACAAUGUCAAAGAUUUUCUUAACUUCUUCACUAUUAUUCAAAUUCUGCAUCACCGUUGUUUUCCCAGUGCCCACCGAUCCCCAGAGUCCGAUCAUUUUAAAUUCUCUCUCCCUUAUAUUACCCAAAAUCUCUUCGACAGCCCAGUGUAGCGAAGGCUUACCCUUAGUCCUCGGAGCGUCUAUGACUCUCACAGGCUCCGGGGAUCUUUUAACUACUCCUCCAUCAUCAAGUUUUUCUUCUUCUAGCAGGACUUUUAAUUUCUCACGCUUCUUGGCCAUAUGCUUACUGAGAUUUGCACGGGACCAGAACCGAGCGUAUCUCCAAGCAUGCACGGUCUCUUUAUUGUACUUUCUUUCCAAUUCGAGUACUUCUUGUUCGGCCACCUCGACCCUGCUAUUCCAGGCUUCCCGUACAUUGGUUAGCCUGUUCAUCCUGUCUAUUUUUGCCUCUAAAUCAUGCCUUGUUGCUUUAAGUUUUCCUGCUUGCUCCUUCAUCUCCUCAAAAUUAACCUUGAAAUGAUUAGCAUAGUCAAUUUUUUGACAGAUGUAGCUAAAAAUGCCACGUCCAUCCUUGUAGCCUUCGACUGCUGCUGCAGAAGCUGCUUCUUCAAGCAUCACUAUCACAAGAACAAAAUCAAUUUGAAAAAGCCCUACAAGAAAUCGCAGAUUACUUGUGUAGAAAAGAGCAAGUAAUCCGGUUUAGUCAUGAGAUGUAAACUUAGACAAAAGGAAAAACAGAGUUUGAAUUUACAUUUGUCAAGCGAACGUACAGGAAAACAUACUCUAAGAAAGAGAAUGAGUUUAACUUUUGCAAUGAUACAGAGAUUUUAACAGAGAUGUCUCAACAAUAAAUAAUGUAGAACUUCUGCAUUUGGCUCAAUUACAGUCUCAGUGAACAUAACCCACAUGUUCGAACCUAUGUUUUUGGGAAAGAUCAGUACCUAAACUAGAACAUGUUUAUUUGCUACUGUAAUAAGCAUAAGGCAAAGUAAUAAUAAAGGUCUCCGCAGUUACAAUCUCGCAGUUCUCGGUUCAGCUCAAGUACUGAAUCUGAAUGCCUACUUUCAACAAAAAGUGGACCAAGUAGACCAAAUGGAAAAAAAAAAAAAAAGCUUCAUCUUAUUAUCGGGUGCUUAAAGGAAGUUGCCGUCUUAGCCACGCACGGUAAGAAAUUUAAGGUUCUCCAUGGACGUCCACUGAGGCCAAUUAGAGAGAUCCACUGAUUCAGAAGAAGACAGUUUUAGACCACUAGAAAUUAGGCGAUGGCAAAAGAUGGCAGCAGUGUGAGCUGCAAAAGAUGCAUUUUUUGUGAUCGCACCAUCGUUUCAUCACGUAGCAGAGGAUCAAUCUUGCAGUAGAGAGUGGAUCUUUUGAAGCACAGGCUUACGCACAGAAAGGAAGGAAAGAACAAGAAAAAGAAGAGAUAAAAAUACAGUCCCAUAAGCAACAUAUCUUAGAUUUAGAGAGAGGGACGAAGCAUCUCGCAUACCUGAUUCUGCAAAGAUUGAGAUUGGCAAGAUGAGAAAGUCAUACACAGUUGAAGUUGCUCUAUGGAGAGAGAAGGGAUGAAUCAGUGGUAAUCCAUUGACGUUGACUUGUCAGAGAGACCAAAUUGCACCUGUACAAUUGCAUGAAUUUCCUCAUGCACCUUAGCGCAUGAUUGUAAAUUGGAAAGUUUCGAGACAAUGCCUCCACGUGUCUAAUUAGGUGCUUGAAUACUGACCACCUACUUUCUCCUCGCUCCUUUAACUUCGUAAAGUUCAAAUAAUAUUUCAGUUUAUUAGGAGAAAAGGCUUUUCUUCUUUUGCCCAGAGAGAGAAAGUCAAUAGGCAAUUUCCAUGCCUAGAAACGAACGGGACGAAAUAACUUUAUGUUUUUUCUUCUUGGCUUAAAAAAAAUAACCAGUUAUGAAGCUUCAUUUAUUUGACAGAAAACGAAUGAUUUAAAAAAAAAAAAUUCUAAAAAUAAUUAUUUAUAUCGUUUGAAAUAAUUAGUUAUGGAAAAUACUUUUAUUAUCAACAAAAAUUCUUAUUAUUUUCAGGAAAAAUGAAAAUAUUUUUAUUUGUGCAUUUUUAUCGGAAAAUAUAUUCAAAAUUAUUCAUCUUUUGUGAAAUAAAUCAAUCCUAAUUUUCUAUCUUUAAGUGGAUGGUCAACUUUGUUAGAAUCGUCCACCCGAGAGAGUGCAAGCAAUAUCUACUCUUCCACAAGAUUCUUGGAUACAAAUAUACAACUAAUACAUGUAUGCCCUAUUUAUAAGUAACAUUAGAUGAUUUGAGGCCCAUCUUAUCUAACAUCACAAGUCAAUUAGUGAGUUGGUUACCACUCUCUUUCUUAAGAACUUGUCCUUCAUUACUUUAUUAUUGCGACUCACUAUUCAUAUUAGGUAUGACUUGUUUCAAAGUAGAUAGAUUCUAGGUUCUAUUUUGUCAAAGCGGAUUCUCAAUUUUUGUAUUCGAGAACCAAAUUGGUGGACCUUGGAAUCGGCCUAGUAUCAAAUUGGCUAGUUCCAAAGUAGACUGGGAUUUGGCCACAUUUUUUUUUCUGUUUCACUUUUAUUAUUUAUUGAUUUAAGACCUUUAGACUUUGAAGGAGCAAACUUUAACGAAAAUAAAAGUGGAGCGACCUGAUUAUGUAAAUAAUCGCCAGAAAUCCCCACAAAGUUGCCCAGCCUCUUGUGGUCUCUAUAAUCUGAUUAGUCCUGCUCACCCCGCGAAAUCAAGACGGAGACUAUGGAAGGACCUGACAGAGAGACUUCUCAGUUCUCUUCCAAAAGGUAACCAGAUUUGGCCAUGUAGAAUUUGAGAAUGUUAUGUAUAUUUCCAUAAUUGAUCUUGAUUGAUUGCAAUUGAUAUUUUAUUAUUUUCGAUAAUUAUCUUGUAAAGUCUACUUUUUGUUCAAUAAUAUACAUUAUAUUACAUCUUUUUCGUCAUGACUAUUCUCAACUUCAAAGAACAAAAGGACUAGAAUCAACGGGAAAGAUAAUCCCUAGCACAUUUCCAGCAGCUUACAAAUGUGCUCCCAAUCAGCUUACUCUUGAUAUAUAUACAAUGUCAAAUACCAAGUAAUCAUAAUGCUUCUAUAAGGAGAAUAAUAUAUGCAAAUCCAUCUCCAUUCAUGCUAUUUGCUAAGUAAUCUUAUUUAUGUUGUGUACAACAGUACCCAUAUUAUUUUCUUUCAAUUCGAAUAUGCAAGAGAAAGAAGAUUUUUUUAUUUGUUAUCUUAAGAAUCUUUUUUUUUUUGUUAUUUUAUCUCCUUUUCUUACAUCUAAUAACAAAAUAGAUCGAUAUAAGAUAAUGGGUUAUUUUAAUAUGUCAAUCGUUUUUAUGGACGCAAUAAUUAAAAUUCAUAUGGCUAGAUAGAGUGCGUACAUGCUACCUUCAUCAGUUCAGUCGACCCUUAUGCUUCUCUUCCUCGAGACAUUGCCCUUUUUAUUAGGAAAAUGGGCAAUGCCAUGGUGACGGCUCGGUCAUUCUUUCACCGGUAGCAGGUGCUUUCCUUACCGGAGAAUAUUCCAUGGAACCGGACUACUUUACUUAGCUAGUUUUCAGGGGAAAAAUAAGAAGGUUUCAUCUGCCAUAUUUUGUUAUAUUUCGAGCCGGGCAAUUCCCCCCACUUGUCAAACUUUCAUUAUGUGCUUGAAUACUGUCCACUGACUUUUUCUUUGCUUCUUUAAUUUUGUAAAGUUUAAGCAGUUUUUCAAAUUAUUAGGACGAAAUCUUUUAUGUAUUUAUUUAUCUACUUAUUAUUCUCGGCAGAAAAAGAAAGUCCACAAGUAAUUUUUAUGCCUCAAAACGAACGGGAGAAUAUAGCUUUUUUUCUUUUUCUCCUUUUUGGCCGGAAAAGAAAAAUCAUCAUUCUAAAUUUCUGAACUUUUAAGCGGAUGGCCAAUAACUGCUGGCACUAUUGACCGUUGAAGGGAGCGUUCAGGCAAUAUCCACUCGAGUGGGCACUCACAGGUGGGCCCAAAUUUGCCACGUGUCGACUUUUGUAUGAUGAUACGUUUCACUUACGUGUAGUGUAAAACCCAUUCUUAGCCAAAUCUGAUGAAUUGUCGAGUAGCCCAAAGGAGAAGACAUCGCUUCAUUAAAAAGUCUUACUGAAACUAUAUAACGUAACUUUCCUUGGAUCGAGUUUUCUUUCCGUACUCAGAUUCUUGAAAUAUUUUCAACUGCUCUCUCUAUUACAAGAACUUCUUGUUGGCUGACUUAUUGGGACAUCUGGAAAUCGUAUACGGUGCGUGCGUUGAUCGCUUCUUCCUGCGAUCAUGGGGAACAUCAGAAGCAAGCCACAGUCGAUUGAGCAGUUGGGACGCCAUGGGAGUGGGACGAAAGCAAGUCCUCCACCGCAGGCCUUUGGUUUAGGUCCUGCUUCGGUUACAGGCUUGCCCGUUCAAGCAGCCGAUUUCGACAUCUCUCGCAGUUCCUUCAUUUCCUUGAAUUUUGUCAUACAUGUUCGGUUUUUGGCUGGAAUAGUAGGAUUGUUCAUCAUCUUUACUCAUCAUCAGGUAGCCCGCAAUCGUCAGAGGAAAUUGAGAUAUGGUCCAAGGACAUUGAGUCCAGUCCGCCUGAAUAUAGCAGAACGAUCCUUAUGCGGGGGUCUAGGAUUGAUGGAGCCUCCGGAGUUCACACAAUGGCAGUCUUACACAGAGAUUUACUUGAUGGAAAAUCAGUUGACUGAUUUGCCCAAGGAUCCUCGGUGUCCUGUACUCUUGGUAUUGUUUCUAAAUAGAAAUUACAAGCUCAGAACAAUUAGUCUGUCUUUCUUUGAUUACAUGCCUGCUCUUGAAAUCCUGAAUUUAUCUCGAACUCGGAUCAAGUCCUUGCCAGAGUCUUUAUUCAGGUUAAGCAGCCUAAAAAGACUAUUCUUAAAUCACUGUGAGCUAUUGAUGGUGUUACCUCCAAAAAUUGAAGAACUUCAGCAGCUUGAGGUGCUUGACCUUGAAGGGACUGACAUCAUGGAUCUGCCCAAGGAGAUUGCGAAGCUAACAAAGCUUACUUGCAUAGAAUUAUCUUUUUGUCCACGCAUAUAUCUGGGCACAAAAUCUGCAAAAGCAAAUGCAUUGAUUCCUAAAGGCACUCUUUCCGCGCUAUCCCAAUUAGAAGAGCUAAGUAUUGAUGUAAAUCCAGAGGACGAGAGGUGGGACAGUGUUGUGGAAGAUAUUGUUGAUGAUGUUUGUGGCUUGAUGAGUCUAGAUUCACUUAAACUGUACUUUCCUCAAGUGGACCAUAUGAGGAAAUUCAAAUGGUUUGGUGCAUGAGAGGUGUCUAGAUCAUUGUCACAUUUCAAAUUCAUUGUUGGCAAUCAUGAUGAACGCAUAAUGAAUCGACUCCUGAGUUUGAGUUAGAACACUGGGAUAGAUUCCUAAAAUAUAUAAAUGGUGUGGGGGUGCCUACAGAUAUCCAAAAGACGCUUUCGCAUGCUACUACAUUUUUCUUAGACCGCCAUCUGGAUGUCACUAAGCUAUUUGAUUUUGGGAUUGAGAACAUGGAGCAACUGAAAUGCUGCAUAAUUGGGGAGUGUAAUGAGAUUCGGGUUAUUAUUGAUGGAACUGACAUGUACGAUGAAGCUGAUAGAAGUGAAAUUGUAUCAGAAACAUGGGUGUCACGCCCCGAUCCUCUGAGCGCGCGAACAUCCCACUCGGUGGUCGAUAGAAUUUUGCGACGUUCCCAGGUCUCGUCGCCGACCCUUCCUUUUCAUUGCACAUGCGGAAGCGAAUUACUAAUCCCCUGACCUCAACAAACAUGGGAUAGAAAAGCAGGACAACAAUUUCCAAAUCAAAAUACACAUUCAUAAACACCUCAAGCUUAUACAAAAGGUCUAUGUCAAAAAGAACUACUGAGCCACCUAUGCUCCUGACCCUUUCGCUUCAAGCUCCUGGCUCUUCACACUAGGGACCUGAAAAUAGUUAUUCAAUAACCAGUGAGAUAUAAAUCUUAGUGAGUUCCACCCCUAAGCCCCAAUUAGUACACCAACUCAACUCGGGGGUAUCUAUCCAGGACUACCCCACCACAAGGAACAACCAACAGUUGAUUCGCAUACAACCUUACCUGGUAUGCCAUACCCUGCAUGAUAUCACUCAGCAUGAUACACACAAAGCACAUGGUCAUUAGCUGAUACAUUUCAUCAAUCACGUAUGAGUCGCAUCACAAGCAAUCUCACCUGGCCAUUGCCACACUCUGCACGUUAUCGAUUCAUGCGUGUGUGCCAUAAACGAUGUGGUUCACUCACGCAUAUAAUUAAUGCAUAUAACAAUUUCACACAUCAGUGCAUCGAUUCAAAUUGAGCUAUCGAUCAAUCGACUCAGUCGAUUACAUGUCAACUUGACCUUGCCUCGGUCGCUUAAUUGAUACCGUACAUUUCUCUCAUGAUGGAAUAUCUAGUCGUCGAGCCUACAUGCAUUCUUCAAGACGACAUACUUAUUCAUAGAGCCCACGUGCAUUCUCCAAGGUGAUGCAUCAGGUCACCGAGCCCACGCGUCUCUUUAAGAUGCCAUACUGAAUCAGUGAGCCCACGUGCAUUCUCUAAGGCGAUGCAUCAAGUCACCGAGCCCACGUGUCUCUUUAAGAUGCCAAAUAUACUCAUUGAGACCACGUGCAUUCUCCGAGGUAAUGCAUCAAAUUACCGAGCCCACGCGUCUCUUUCAAGAUGCCAAAUAUACUCAUUGAGACCACGUGCAUUCUCCGAGGUAAUGCAUCAAAUUACCGAGCCCACGCGUCUCUUUCAAGAUGCCAAAUAUACUCAUUGAGACCACGUGCAUUCUCCGAGGUAAUGCAUCAAAUUACCGAGCCCACGUGUCUCUUUCAAGAUGCCAUACUUAAUCACCGAGCCCACGUGCAUUCUCCUAGGUGAUAGACCAACUCACCGAGCCCACGUACCUUCUCCGAGGGGAUGUAUAACCUCCCUUGGAUCCACUAUACACAUUUCUGACGUUGUAAACCGACGCCCAGUAUUUUCAAAUUAAAAUACCUAUUUUUCACAAUCAUCUCACAAUUAUACAAAUCAUAACUCAAUUCAUUCGGAUGCCCAUGCAUUUACACAUCCAUUCACUUCAUAAAAUCAACACACAUGAAUUUUAGACAUUUUUCGCAUUCUGGAUGAACAGUGCUCGUGAACAGUACUCGGUGAACAGUACUUCAUGAACAGUAAUCGCAAAACAGUACCUCGUGAACAGUAAUCAUGAAUAGUGUCGCAUGAACAGUAUUUUUUCCAGAAUUUAAUAAACUAUAAAUUAAAUUCAGAAAUAAUUAAAAGCAUUAAUUAAAGCAACCAUCAAUUAAUUAAAGCCAAGCAUACUUAAUUAACCACAUAAACCACAUUAAGCAAAUAAAGCAAGAUUAAGCUAGACUAAUCUAAUCCAUCCAUCUAACCACCUAUCUUAGGGCUAAUACAACUUAAUUAUAUCACUUAAACUAGAAUUAAAUCUAACUAAACCAACCCUAAGCAAGUUUAGGCACUAAUCGAAGGAUUAGGAGCUAAACUCACCCGUUAAGCGGGCCGGAGACACCGACGCGGCGGCGAUGACGGUGGCUACGCACCGGGACCUCAACAACGACGAUCCAAGGCAGUCCCAAGCUCAACACAGCAACCACAGCUCGGACUCCCACUGAAAACACUGAAAAACAGCCCUGCCGGAGGAGAAACUGAGUUGAACGGCUUGGCCGGAGCUCCGGCGAGGGGUUUGGCCGGCAACCGGCGACACCUGGGGGUCUUGGGGUCUUGCUGGAGGUUGGGAUGAGCAAAGGAAGGAUCGGAAUGGGAGAAAAAUGGCCGAAAACGCGAAACAGUGCAGGCUGCAGGCGGACCGACGGACCGGCAACCGGUUCCUUCACGGCGGCGCCCAGGCCGACCGGCGGCUCUGUUAGGGACGAAAUUGGUCUCGUUGGAACGGUCUGUCUCUCCCGGUCACGUUGAUAGGUGGCUCGUUGUCUGAUUCAUCCGGGAAGACCACUUUUGACUCGAUUCUUCACCAAAGGGUCAGCUGGAGCAUAAACUGGAAGAGAGGGAAAACGAGGAAGAGAGGAGCUCGUCCGCUUGGAGGCCGAAUGGGAGAGAGAGAGAGAUGUGAGGGCUGGUGUCACACCUCAUUAAGGCCAUUAAAUGGCCACUUCAAUUCCCCAUUUAAAGUGACAUCAUCUUCUCUCUCUUCCUUUGCCUUAUCCACAUGCUUUUAGGGGCAUUUAGGUCAUUUCCACCUUGCACAAAUUACUCAUCUGACCUUGGGCUGAAAUUGGUGGAUGGGCCUAAGGAUUGGGCUUGGCCAUGAAUAGGAAUGGGCUUGAAAUGGCCAAGAAUUGGCCCAUGGGCUUAGAAGAUGAAUAGUUGGUUUAGGCCCAAUGGACUCAUUUACUUGGCUUAGGCCCACUAUGGUGGCUGUCCCACCUUGGGCCUAAGGCCCACACUGGCUUGGCUCGGCCCACUUCCUCACGGGCUUGCUUCCUCGGUCCGAAAAUCCCUUUUUCAAUUGCUCGGCUUCACUGGCUCUGUCGGCUGUUUGAUGUAACUUCAUCCAAAGUCCGUCUCGGACAUUCCCGAUAAUUCAAAAUUCAAUCUUUAGUCCUCAAGCCAUGUCAAUUUCGCCAAAUGCCAUUUCGGUUACAACUUAGACUGACGGGUGGCUGUGAGGAUUCACGCGUGACCGACUUAUGCCAAACCACGUUCAAGACAUCUCGACGCAUGGACGUCCUUGACUGCAUGAAAUUACGGAGGAUAGAUUCUUAUUUCAAAGUACACGAUUAAUGAGGAUCGACAUAGGGUCGUUCGUGGAUUCGAUAACAGUAAACGGAAUCACCCGUCUUUCCAUUAUGUUCUGUCCGCGAAUCGACUUUUAGUUGUCCUUAGAAUCGGCCUGCCUAUCUACAGGAUCAUCCUCACGUAAACCUCACGGUCAAGUCAUUUUCCCAAGUCGAGUCCUUUAGUCGUACGAGUUAUGUCCUCAUAUUAGCCUUUCCUCUCAAGGUCAGUAUCUCAGGAGUGAUCAAUUCCGAGGGAGAUCAACCAACAAUGCAUUGACGGAAUUCACCUUCACUCAUUCCUCAGAGGACUCGAAUUUCAGGAUGUCACAAUGGGAGGAUGACAUGAGGUUUCUCGAGUCACUUGAAUAUCUUUAUGUAUAUCAUAUGAAGAGUUUGAGGUGCAUUUAUGAGGGGCGGCCGUGUCGAGAAUCCUUGUCUCAUCUUAAAUGCUUGGCCUUAGUCACAUGCCCUCAGUUGACUACUAUAUUUACACCUGACCUACUGAAAAACCUUGAUAGCUUAGAAGAGCUCAAAGUCGAAGACUGCCCACAUGUCUCAAGUUUAGUGACGAAUGAAGAUACUUCUAUUGACGACAGUACUCACUUUCUCCCCAACAUGGAUAUCCCUAUUCUCAUUGCCAGAGCUCGUUAGCAUUUCCAGUGGCUUACGCAUUGCACCAAACUUGGAACGACUGAGCAUUAUCGAUUGUCCAAACCUCAAGAGUCCCACACCUGAUGAAAUCUGUUGCAAUCAUCUGACAGGGACUAAAGGUAAGAGUAAUUAUUAGCGGAGAGCAUUGUUCUGUUGAGAUGAUGCCUGUCGUUUUCUUUCCCUUUCCUUUUAUAUAUUUGGUUGAACAAGUUAAAAGCUGCAGGGCCCAGCCUUAAUGAAGAGAGAAUUGGAAAGUUAACACAUAUCUGAAUGAAAUCUGAUUUUUUUCAAAUCGUAUUUCUGGUAUCACCCUUGAAAUGUUUAUGAAUGAGGCAGCGGCAGCUAACUAUACAAAAUUCUCGUCGUUCUGAUGUUAGCUUCAGAACUAUGACUGCUCAUAUAUUUUCAGUGUACAAAACCAAAUAUCGGCACAGCAUUAGUGUGCAGUGAUUUGGCUUGCUAGUCUAUUUUUGCCGCCGUAAACGUGCUUCAAGCUUGUAGAUUGAGGUAACACUAGCUAACUUAGUUAUUAUUUUUUGGUAGGAGAGUUCUUCAUUACAGUACUGAGGGAGUUAUCAUCAAUGUCAAUUGUGAAUAGAUAAUCGAAAUUCCUGUUUUACAUUCUGUGGAAAUACCGCACUUUUUAUCUGGGAAUAUGAGGAUCUUAUUUCAUGAUAUUCUGCUUGUGUUUGUUGGAGGUGCUAUAAGGGAGAAAGGAAAGGAACAUACUGUUUGUUUAUUAUUGGUCUGGUGUAAGAAUGAACUUGAAAUUAAUGUUUGGUUUAUGUUACAAAGUCCAACCAAAAGGCUUAAGCUAUAAGGCAAGAGACAUUACAUGUGUAUAAAAUUUUCAAAUUGCGUUACCGUUUGCAUUGCAAUAAUCAUGGAUGUGGCAUAUCAACCUCAUUGGAGGUGCCAUCACCACAAUAGGGCCAACGGUGCCCAAUAUUGAUAUGAAUUUCAAUUUUGCUGACUGCUAUCUGCCGUUACUUAAAAAAAAGGUUAUCAUAAGCUCUCUAAACAAGUGAUGUUCAACAUUUUAAUACUCACUCUCAUGUGCAACCC